rnacentral:lncRNA from 1 species
CGUGUCUCCACAUGUAAACAAAUAGCCUGUUUGUGAUCAAGCUUUAUGCGGAUCUGAUAAAUACCCUGCAUCUGCGUAACCAAUCAGUUCUGAUUUAGAUUCAUUGGAAUAGAAUAAACCCAUGUCCAUGGUCCCUCGAAGAUAUCGAAGUAUGUGUUUAACACCAUUCCAAUGUCUUUUUGUUGGGGAGGAACUGAAUCUUGCCAGUAGACUUACUGCAAAACAGAUAUCUGGUCGAGUAUUGUUAGCAAGGUACAUUAGUGCCCCGAUCGCACUAAGAUAAGGAGUUUCAUCACCAAGAAGCUCUUCAUCAUUCUCUUGAGGUCGAAAUGGAUCUGUAUUGAUGUCAAGAGAUCUUACCACCAUUGGAGUACUCAAUUGAUGUGAGUUAUCCAUGUAAAAACGCUUUAGUAUCUUUUCUGUGUACGUUGAUUGAUGAACAAGUAUUCCAUUUGACAAAUUCUCAAUCUGUAGACCAAGAAAAAAUUUUGUCUUGCCGAGAUCUUUCAUUUCAAAUUCUCUUUUCAGACACUCAACAGCUUCUAAAAGCUCUUUACGAGUUCCAAUGAUGUUCAAAUCAUCAACAUACACAGCUAUUAUUACAAAUUCAAACCCCAACCGUUUAAUGAAAAUGCAGGGACAAAUCGGGUCAUUUUUGUACCCUUUCUUUAACAAAUAUUCACUCAAACGAUUGUACCACAUCCUUCCUGAUUGUUUCAGUCCAUACAGAGAUUUCUGAAACUUUAUUGAACAAGUUUCUCUUGAAUCUUUGUAUGUUUCAGGCACUUUAAAUGCUUCACGAAUUUUCAUGAAAAUGUUGUGGUCCAAUGAGCCAUAUAGAUAGGCUGUGACAACGUCCAUUAGACGCAUUUCAAGUUUUUCAUGAACUGCCAGAUUUAUGAGAUAUCUAAAGGUGAUUGCAUCUACCACUGGAGAAUAUGUCUCCAUAUAAUCAAUGCCAGGUCUUUGAGAAAAACCUUGAGCAACGAGUCGGGCCUUAUAUCUCAUGACUUCACCUUUCUCAUUUCUUUUUCGUACAAAAACCCAUUUGUACCCCACUGGCUUGAUACCUUCAGGUGUUCGGAUUAUUGGUCGAAAAACUUCACGUUUUUCUAGUGAAGCCAAUUCAGCUUGAAUUGCAUCCUUCCAUUUUGGCCAAUAUGUUGUCAAUCACAACAUUAUUUCGGUUCCACAACUUUCUCGUCGAGACAUAAUUCAUUGAAAUUUCAUUAUUUUCAGAAGUUCGAACCUCCUCAUCAUCAUGUGUUAUGACUUGGGUCUCAUCUUGAGAAAUUUCUUUCAACCCAUGAUCAUCUUGAUCAUUUAUUCCUUUUAUCUUUCGAGGAUUUUUAUCCUUGGAACCAAUUGGUCUACCACGCUUCAAAUGUGGUCUAGACUCAUUUGCCUUAACAAUUUGUCCCGUCGGGAUAUCAACUCGAACUGGAGCAUUAACAGCUGGAAUAUGCGAUUUAGUAAUCCUUGGAAGAUUCGUAAAUGCAUCUGGGAGCUGAUUUGCAAUGUUCUGCAAAUAAAUUAUUCUUUGAACUUCUUGCUCACAUUGGUUUGUUCGAGGAUCCAGAUGAGAUAGAGAUGAUGAAUUCCAAUCUAUCUUUUUUCCCAAUGACUUAUGGUCUCCCCCUAAUGUUGGGUAUACUGAUUCAUCAAAAUGACAAUCAGCAAAUCUUGCCUUAAAUAAAUCUCCAGUCAUAGGCUCCAAAUAUUUAUGAUUGAAGGAGAUUCAUACCCAACAUAUAUCCCCAACCUUCUUUGCGGCCCCAUCUUUGUGCGUUGUGGUGGAGCAAUUGGGACAUACACCGCACAUCCAAAAACUCUAAGAUGGGAAAUGUUUGGCUCUUGACCAAAAGUCAAUUGUAAUGGGGAGAAUUCAUGAUAAUUGGUUGGCCUUAUGCGCACAAGUGUUGCUGCAUGCAAAAUAGCAUGCCCCCACAUAGACACAGAUAACUUUGUUCUCAUUAGUAAUGGUCUAGCUAUCAAUUGCAGACGUUUAAUGAAUGAUUCUGCUAGACCGUUUUGAGUGUGAACAUGCGCAACUGGAUGUUCAACAGUUAUACCAGUAGACAUACAAUAAUCAUUAAAUGCCUAAGAUGUAAAUUCACCAGCAUUAUCUAGACGGAUUGUCUUUAUUGUAUAAUCUGGAAAUUGUUCUUUCAAUCUUAUUAUUUGAGCCAGCAAUCUCGCAAAAGCCAUGUUGCGAGUUGAUAAUAAACACACAUGUGACCAUCUUGUAGAAGCAUCUAUCAAGACCAUAUAAUAUUUAAAGGGUCCACAUGCAGGUUGAAUUGGUCCACAUAUAUCACCCUGUAUACAUUCCAGAAACGCAGGGGAUUCAAUUCCAACCUUAACUGUUGAUGGUUUAAUGAUCAACUUUCCUUGAGAACAAGCAGCACAAGAGAAUUCCUUUGAUUGAAGGAUAUUUGGGCUCUUUAAGGUGUGUCCAUGUGAAUUCUCAAUGAUUUUGCGCAUCAUAUUAAAUCCAGGAUGGCCCAACCGGUCAUGCCAAAUGAUAAAAUCAUUAAAAUUAGUAAACCUUUUGUUUACUACGGCAUAUGAUUCAACUGUACUUAUACUUGUAUAGUACAACCCAGAAGAAAAUGCAGGUAAUUUUUCAUGCACAAUUUUCUUCUCAACAUUAAUUGUAGUAAUGUAAAGGUAUUCAACCUUUCCUUCAUUAGCCGUCUCAACAUGAUAGCCAUUUUGGCGAAUAACUUUGAAACUUAAUAAGUUUCUUUGAGACUUACUACAAUAUAAUGCAUUAUCAAUGCUUAAUAUUGUCCCUCCAGGUAGUAAUAAGGUCGCUCUUACAGAGCCCUCAAUUAAUUUUGUACUACCUGAUAUUGUGUUGACAUAUGCCAUUUUCAUAACCAAAUUAGAAAAGUAUUUCUUUUCUUUUAAUAUUGUAUGCGUUGUAGCACUAUCAAGAAGGCAUACAUCUCCAUUACUCAUCUUGAAUCCAACUGACAACUGGGGAUUUCUAUUAAUUUUCAUUAAAAUAAAAUACAUUAAAAGAAGGAAGAAACAAAAUUAACAACGGAAAUUUAAAUACUUCAACAUAAAUAACAUGAUAAUUAAAAAUACAUAAGUAAAAUAUUAACAGACUUCAUUCCCCAGCUAAAAGAUCAAAAUCAGUUUCGAUCUCCAAAGAAGUCAUCAACUUCCAUAUGAGUAAUGUCACCAAGGCCAUCAAAAACAUCAUCCUUUAAAGCCAAAUUUGCUUCAACAUCCUUAUCAUAUUUCUGAGAUGUUCCCGACUUAUCAUCAUCUUUAAGAGUCAUAUGUGACUCAGCUCGAGCAUUGGAAGAGGAAGCACCACUUUUAUUUCCUUUCUUUUUAAAGGAAUUUUGAUAGAGCCUUACAAAAUGUUCAUGUGUGCGACAUUCAUUCUUCCAAUGGCCUUUCAUGCCACAUCGACGACAAUUACUUUUUGAGGGGUUAUUUUGAGAACUCGUGUUGUUCUCCCUUUUAUUAUGACCACCACCUUGACGAUUAGUGUAUCGUCUUUUAUCUUUGCCACGUCCCCGUGCAUUAUUAUAUCCCCGAUGAUCAUCUCUUUUUACUUUAGAUUGAUCACGUGCUUCCACCACAUUUGCCUCCGGUAAUGGAGCAGCUCCAGUGGGACGAACUUCAUGAUUUUUCAUUAAAAGAGCAUUAUGUUGCUCAGCCACCAAAAGACAUGAAAUUAGUUCAGAAUAUUUCUGAAAACCCUUUUCACGAUAUUGCUGCUGCAAUAUCACAUUUGAGGCAUGGAAAGUAGUAAGUGUCUUUUCCAACAUGUCCUCAUCUUUUAUAGUCUCCCCACAUAAUUUUAACUGGGAGGUUAUCCUGAAUACAGCAGAGUUGUAUUCAAUUACGGUCUUAAAAUCUUGAAACCGUAAAUGCAUCCACUCAUAACGAGCUCUUGGCAACACUGUUGCCUUUAGGUGGUCAUAUCUCCCCUUUAAAUCAGUCCACAAUUCAAGUGGAUCUUUCACCGUCAGAUAUUCAAUCUUCAGGCCCUCAUCAAGAUGAUGACGAAGGAAAAUCAUAGCUUUCGCCUUAUCUUGACUCGAUGCUUCAUUUCCCUGAGUAAUAGUGGCAUCAAGACCUUCAGCAGCCAAGUGAAUCUCAGCAUCGAGUACCCAUGAAAGAUAAUUCUUUCCAGAAAUAUCUAAUGCCACAAACUCAAGUUUGGAUAAAUUCGACAUAAUGAAAUUAUGAGAGAAUAUGUGAAUCAAAUAAAAUUAUUUAUAUAAUACCUUUGCAAGUAGCAACUUCGUGCUGAUAACGUGUUGUAAAGAAAGCUCAGAAUAUAAGAAGAAAAAGACAAGAAGUAUAAGAUAGAGGAGAUAAUUUUCUUAUUCAAGUAUGUAUUACAAAAGGUGAAUGAUAUCUCUAUUUAUAGAGUUGAGAUAUCACCCCAAAAGCCCCCAUGAUAAAUGUCCAAUUAGUAGGUACAUAGUUAUCCAAAUGAUUCUUAUCACCUUGGAAACAUGUAUACAUGAAUACAAUUAAGUCUUGAGUAAAUCUAAAGGACAAUCCACACAAUUCAAUAGAUUUAUAACAGUUCCAUCAUUAUCCCUCAUUUUCUCUUAAUCCAACUAUGUUUUUCAGAUCUGUUCUUUUAGAUAUAUAUAAAAAAAAAAGUUGAAACAACAAAUCAUUUCUCCUUCAGUUUUUUUAUUUGUAUCCUCUUUUUUCUGUCUCAGAUUCAUGCAAAAGUUGAACAUAAGUCAACAAUUAAUGUUGGAGUUGAGCUAUUUCAGCGAACGAAAAUCAAUUUUGAUAAAAGAAUUGUGAAACUGAAUCCUUCAAUUUUUUAUCACUUAUAUAUUAGUGUAAUUUUGCAUCAACAUUAUUCAUUUUCUCGUCUAAAACAUUCAAUGAAUAAUGAUGGAAUUGUGCUAUUUCAAUGAAUAAAUAAUUCACUGAAGAGAAAUUUUGAAAAUGCUCUGUUUGGAACUAAAUCCAUCUCAAUUUUGUCUCAUUUAUCAUGUUUUUAUUUUGGUGUUUAAUUAAAGGAAUUAAUUCACAGUAAUACUUUCAUUCAUUUUCGAAAAGGUAGUACUUUCAUUCACACGAUGAACAUAUUAUAAAACUUACUUCGAUGAACAUAUUAUAAAACUUACUUCAAAAUAAAAGCAAUCACAACGGAAGACACUAACUUUUGACCAAAUUUAAAAUUUUUUAUAUCAUUUAAAUAUUUCAAAAUCUAAUUUAAAUAUUUUUGACUUUUAUCUUACUCUAUUAAGUUUAUUUUAAAAUAUUUAAAAGCAGCAAAAGAAUCACUUUUUAAGGUACGUUUUAUUUUCGAUUGUUUAAAAAAAAUGAAAAGUUAUAAAAAAUAUAUAUUUUUAUCUAAAUUAAUUUAAAUAAAUAAGCUAGUAUUUCUUAUUUGUAAUUUAUAUUAGCUACUCAAUUUUUUAUUGGUUUAAAAGUAUUUAAAUAUUAUAUUAUAUUAUAAUUAUGAAAAAUAAAAAUAAAAACCUAAAACUACCCCAUAACCCAUUCUCCACUACCCCACACAACCCACUCCCCUCAACUACAAACACGUACCACACAAUAUUAACAUUAACAACACAUCCCCACUUUCCCCUAUACAAUGCACACACUACCAAAAUAAAAUAAAAUACAAUACACAAAAACACAACAAUACACACAAUCUCCACACAGAUUUGGCACAACAAAAAAACACGAGCAAACAAACAAAAAAAACUUUCACAUCUCUUUUAUUUUCUUUCAAAAAUACAUCAACUCAUCCAUAUUUUUUUAUUUCUCAUUUCUUUCAUAUAAAUACAACACAUACACCAUUACAUGCAAUUUGCAAAAAAAAUCGCGGGUGUUCUAAUUAAGGUUGAUCAAAAUUUUGCGGUACUUAUUUUCUUUAUUUAAGAUUCUACUUUGUGUUUUCUUUUUAAUUUAAUCAUGAAAUUUGACGUAAUUUAUGAUAAAUUUUCUUAUAUUUUAUUCAUGAAUUGAAAUGAUUAAUCUGUUAGUUAUUAUAUUUCUAUUUCAUGAAUAAAGAUAACUUAGAUCGAUAAUUAUUUAUUUAUUUUUAUUUGUUGAUUGUGAUCUCUUAAAAUGAACGGGUCAUAGCAUUGUUCUUGUCUUCAUUCAGAUAAUAAUGAUAAAGUAGAAAUAGUUAGGCUAAUUUCUUUAAAAAUAAAUUAAUAUUAUUAAUAUAAAAUAAAAGGAUAUAGAAGGGAUGUAAGAAUUAUAUAUUGAAUCCUCAACAUUUAGAUUUAUUUUACUUUGUUUGAUUUAAUGUAUAAAGGAAAAAAUAAAUAUUUUUUAAUGAGUAGAUGAGUUAUACGACCUGUUAAAAAAUGUUAGUCUCAACUAAGAAUGUGAUUACACAUCUUUAUUUUCAAACAUUAAAAUAAACUCAAGGAUGCGGUGAUGAAGUGUGAUGAAGAUAAGACAGUUAUGUCUCCAAAUGCCAAAAUCAAGAAUGCAGUUACACAUCUAAAUUGAAAUCAAAUAAAAGUUCAAAAAUAAAUAUAAAUGCGAACAACCCAUUGCCUGAAAAUAUUAUAUCAAAAAAAUUUUAAGUUAAUUAUAAGAGCAUGUUUGAAUGGGCUUAAAAGCUGAUCAAACUGAUUUAAAAGUCAGUUUUUGACAAUUAUCAAAGUGACUUAUUUAAGUUAAAAAUGACUUAUUUAAGUCAAAAGCUAAAAGGUAGGUGAGGGGUGUUUUUUUUUCCCCAACUUAAUAGUCAUUUUAUGUUGACCAAGUAUGUUACCUUUUUGCCCUUAAUUCUUUUUUUAUUAUUAUUAUUAUUACUAUAAUUAACCAUAAUAAUAUUAAUAUUAAUAUUAAUAUUUUUGUUAUUAUUAUUUAUUAUUAUUAUUAUUAUUACUAUUAUUAUUAUUAUCAUUAUAAUUAUUUAUUUUAUUAUCAUUAUUAUUAUUUUUAUUUUUAUUUUUUUAAUUAUUAUUUUUUUUAUCAUUGUUGUUGUUGUUGUUGUUGUUCUAAAAAAAUUGUGAUGAUAAAGAAAUAUGUGAAUAAUAGGAAAUAUUAUAACUUAUGGAUGUAAAAUUAAAUUAAUUUUUUUUAAAUUUUUUUAAGUAUAAAAACCUUAAAUUAAUCAACUUUUAUCACGUUUACAAUUUUAAUGGUAUUUCAGACAUUUUGAUAAAAAAAAAGUAUACGAGCACUUAUUUGACAAACACAUCAACAACUUUUUUUCAACUGAAACACUUUUAUCCAAACACAUAACUACUUAUUUUAAAAAUAAAUUUCAGCACUUUCAAACUAUUUUUAAAAGUUGCUUUUUUAAAGCCCAUCCAAACGGGCUCUAAGUCAAUAACAGCGAGUGUGUUAGAACCACGGGACUCGAGGGAUGCCUAAUACUUUCCCCUCGAUCAAGAGAAUUUCUUACCCAAAUUUCUAGUUCGCAAAUCAAAUAACGAGUCAUUUCCUUUUGAUUAUGGAUUAAACAAAUAGGUGACUUCGAACACUACAACUCAAUUUCCAGUGGCGGCUCUGAACAAAUAAAAAAUCAUUUAAUCAAUACGUCACUUCAAUAGAAAAAAUCCUUCAUCCGGAGCGAAAAAAGGGGUCCAACAUUUUUUCAGUUGUAUAUCACUCACAAAGAGUCUUUGCCAGAUCCAAACAUGUCUUCCACCUGAUUCAUUUAAUCUAUAUAUCUUAGUUCAUUUCAAAGUUUGAGUUUUACAAAUUGCUUGUAUAUAAUAUAUGAUUAACUUAUGAGCGAAAGCGAAGAAGUGACUUGACCACACCUUCAAAUAAGGUUGGUGAUCAAAACAACCGAUCAAAUCCCUGGCCUCAGUAUGUGGCUGAAGCAUAUGAAAAUAUGUGACAUCUUGUUCAUCCUUAUCAGAGAGUUUCAACAUCUGUACAUACAUAGAAAAUAUAAGUCAUCAGAUUUUUUUUGUGAGGAGAUGAAAACAAAAUGAUACCUGAAUGUCUCUUUCAUUUUUAGAUGAAAGAAUAUUUGUACCAUAAAUCGUAAUGACAGGAUGAUUCUCUGUUGGAGGAUAUGAAAUAAAAGCGAGAGCUAGUAUGACGGAAUCAUUUAAUCGUAGAGGACGAUAAAAUAUUUUAGUAGAUGGAUCCCACUAGUUGGAAGCCAUCAUAAAAAGUCGUGAUUGGCUUGAUUUUUUCCAAUUAAAAUCUUGGAAACUUAUCCACGCUUAUAGUGAAUUUUCAAGAGAAAAGUGAGCCACCGGUUCAAGUACAAGAUACUAUCAUUACCGCCUGGACAAUUAGACAUUCAACCCUUAAUCGCAGCGACCCAAUUGCAAGAGAUUCAUUAGCAAACCAGGUAUUAUUAGAAUCAAAUGGGUAUAAAACCCUUUGAGACCAAAGAAUACCAGGGGAAAAGAACCCAUCUUGAAUGGAAUGAAUUUUAUUCACAUUAAAGAUGAACGCUGCUAUCUCAUGCUUUAAGUUCACAAAGAUAUUGUGUUCUUUAACAUAUUUAGCCGCUGCUCCGUCUACAACAUCAUCCACCGAAUAUUGAAACCGGCGAACAAAGUUGUCGAGUAAUGGAGUACUUUUCCAAGUAGGUUUCCAAUUCAUACCCUUUUCAAGAGGCAUGGAUUGGAGAUGUGGAAGAUACAUUGGUCGAAGCUUCUUUCAAGAAGUUUUUAUUUCUCCAAGAACUUCACGGACACUAUCAAUAUCUGAGUGAGGAGUCGUAAUUGAUUGGAAAGUGACUUUCUUCACUUUAGGAGCCACUGCAAUCUAUUUUGAUAAUCCAAACCAAGAUAGAUAUAUCCUGACCAAAUAAUCACCAUGAUCAGGCUUUGCCCUUACGUGUUUUCGUAAUACCGCAGGUAUGAUCUUGGAAAUUCCAUAUCGGGUCAAUGAAACUGGAACAGACAUGGUGUCAUUCUUAGAAUAACACCCAGCGUAAUAACGCUAAAGGGAAACUGUACACUGUUUUAAAUACAAAAUAGUAUACAGAAAACCUGAACGUCGUUUCAGUUUCACAACUAUUUUUAUGAAAUCGCUGCCCGCUAGGGCGUUAUUGACCAUAUAAUAAAAGCAGAUCUUGGUCCAUGGAGUCCCAAGAAGGUAAGAACUCCAACCUUUCCGAUGCUUCUUCGGCCAAAUACGAUAUACAAGUGGGACCUGCACUAUGAGCAAGCUGUGUGAAAAAACACUUCUUUUUCCGAUUCCGAAACAACUUGGGCGAAAUAGGGUUCUACCUGCCGCCCCCUACUUGCUCAUUCGCAAUUACUACCACAAGAAAGUCGCCCCUAUCUCUAAAGGGGCUUAUGCACUCCACGACUUUCAUAUGUUAUGGGGUCUCGAAGACUGAAUUUAGCUGCUUUAUUUAUAUUUUUUCUAAGGAACUAUUUGUUAUCCCAUUUAGGGAUUUUGUGUUCUCAACUUCUCUCUGGGAUUUUGAUUUUAAGUGUCGGGGGAUCAUUUCCUCUUCCGGGCCCUUCUGGGCAAGCAAGCGGGGCUGAGUUUGAAGAGGAUCAUUUUGGGAUUGAUGUCCUCUUGGAAUCAUGGGAAAAAUCUACGGAGACGGGCAUGUUGGUGGAUCAGCCAGAACCAGAACCAGGACAUGUGCCGCCUGCUAUUCAAGUAGCUCCCCGAGCGAACGAAGCUGGUCCACCAAAUCAGCCCCCACGAGUGGUCCCCUAUCCGUAUCAACUGGAUGAAGUGAUAGGGGGGAUUCCGUUCAGUCUAUCCAGCGAAGGCUCCUAGCCAAAUACUCCUAUACUCCUCCUAUCGGGAUCAUGUACCUGACCGAAAUAGAGGCAAAAGACCUAUUCGAGGUCAAGGUCGAGAUUCUAAGGAUCAUGGCGGUCUUUGAUCAAAUGGAGGAUUGGAUGGGACGGGGAGCUCGGGCCCUCGUGCACCUGGACUAUAGAGCUUCUCACCCACUAAAAAAAGAAGAGGUCGGGGAGGAUCGAUACACUUUGUUGUCCAUCCCAUGGACAACUCCUUCCUCUUAGGGCUGCAGGGAGUUCGAGGCGGCUCCAACCAAAAGUAGGAAACUGGGCGAAGUAAAGUAAUCAAAGAGGAAGUCAGUGCUAGUAGUAAGGACUUGUCACAAUCCAUUGGGGCACAUAGAAUCUAUGUCCUAGGUGUAGACGAAGACCAAGAGUUCUUUAAGAUCUGAUUCGAUGGUAUAUCCCUCUUCUAUUGUUCUUAGACAGAUCUCUCACUCUUGAUGAAGAAAAAGACUUCAGCUUUAAAGAUCCGAUCUCGUCUUCACUCACUGAUUCCUUUAAUAAGAGAAAUGCCCGGAAUGCUUGGUACCCUUUUUCUUGCUACUGGUUUAUUCCCCUCCCACUUCUGCUUUCCUCACUCUCCGGCUUGCUUGCGUAGUAAAAAGAAAGAAAGCGUCUUUGGCAGAUGGAAUACGAGAUCUAGGCAAGCCUUUCCUCCUUUGUUAACUUAAAGGCUAUGUAGAAUCCAAGGUUUCGCUUCAUAAUACCAGUCAUGAGUUCCGGCUAUCGCUCCAAAGUGAUAGCGCCAUUGAAAGAUAGAGUGUCAAACAGUCAAACUUCGAUACCUAAAUUCAUUUAUCCAAAGGCUUUUCCAUUCCCUGAUCCGUGCCUCCUUGCUUUAACUAAGACUUUUUGAAUAGUGGCUUGGCUGGCUUUCGAGUUGGGAAAGAUAAGAAGAGCUUGACCGAUCCAUUCUGAAGGAAAGAAGCACACUGCUUAAGAUAUAAAGCGCAGUGCAGCCACCCCGACUUCUGUCCUUUCCCUAAUAACAGACCUGGAUAACAGGUAAGCUCCAAUAAAUAGUUCCUUGGUUAGACUGUCAGUGAUAAUGAGAAGAACCUUCUUAAGAUAACCUCCUCAAGGAACUUUUGGCAUCACUACUUUAUGGCAAGCUUACUGAGUAUCCACCACAUCCCUUUCCAAAGAUUCAUUCUGAUUGAUUUUUGCCAUGAACUCUCUUGGCAAAGUCAGGAUCAUCUUGCAAUCCACCUUAUUCGGUAAGUUACCUAAUAGAACUUGAAACUUUGGCUCAUUUUCUUUAUUCUUUAAUCUGGGUCUAACUGCUUGAUUCACCAACCUUCAAGUCUUCCCCCAUCAGGUCUUCUUCCGGAACCAAGCCUUCUGAAAGAAAGCUCAUCAAAAAACUCCGUUGACGAGGCCUAUCCAUUCUCCAACUUCUUGUGGUCUUUCCCAACCUUACCUUCUACUGGGUACUUUACCAUUAGACCAACAUUCUGUUUCUUCUCUACUUCAGUCUGUAUUUUCAAUUCCAUUACCUUCUUCCUCAGCAUCCUCCUUUUCUGGGUCCUUGUCAGCUUAGAUGAUUUCUACUAUGCUGGACUCUCUCCUACAGCGUCCUUCUCAAGUCUCGAUUUCUGUGCGGCAUGAACCCACUGAUCAGUUGGUGGGACAAUAGACGGUGUUUGAAAUAACUAUUGUUUAUUCAAAAUCUCAUAAGAGAAGAAAGCUUUUAAUGUGGGUCGGCGUACAGCCCACUCCAUUCUAUCUAUGACGCAUCGGAUCAACUGAGAGAAAUCCUGAGUAACGAGAGAGAUUCUCCACACGAACGAACGACCCGCCAAGUUCGAACUGACAUAGGUGAAUCGCCCCUAGGUAUUCUCUACUUACCCACCUGUGUCAGUUUCGGGUACAGGUACCCUCUUGUUUAACGUCGUUCGAGCUUUUCCUGGGAGUAUGACAUGGGUUACUUCAGCGCCAUAGCGCCUGGUAUUCGAAUAUUGGAUCGAGGCAUUUUCUCUGCCCCUUCUUACUCUGAAAAAGCAGGGACACCUUACAUUCUUGAAUCGAUAACCAUCUUUCGGCUAACCUAGCCUCCUCCGUCCCUCGAGACUAACAAGGGGUAGUACAAGAAUAUUCACCUGUUGUCCAUCGACUACGCCUUUCCUGAUCUUAGGCCCUGACUCACCCUCCGUGGACGAACCUUGCGGAGGAACCCUUAGGUUUUCGGGGCAUUGGAUUCUUACUAAUGUUUGCGUUACUCAAGCCGACAUUCUCGCUUCCACUUCAGUCAUUGAAGUACCAAAGGCGCGCUCAGCCCAAUGACUAGGAAAUGAGUUUGCCCUUGAAUUGAAGUGAUGAGAUAAGAAAGAGGGAAGUAGGGCUCGUAUUGACUAAAGGUGACCAUUAUUUUCAUAUUCGUAAUAGUGUGAAAAGAAGGCCCGGCUCCAAGUUGUUCAAGAAUAGUGGUGUUGAGUUUCUCAACCCUUUGACUUAGGAUUAGUCAGUUCUAUUUCUCGAUGAGAAGGUAGUCUAGGACUACCCUAAGCCUAGAAAAGAAGUAGGCAGGACUUUCAGUUACAAUGUCUAGGUUGGAAAAGCCACCUUUUGCCUUUCUAAAGCCAAUCGAUUAUCGGAUUUCACCAAGCCAACCAUGUGUUUUGCCCAAGGGCGAUGAUAGCAUUGCUAGGCCCAAUGUCGUCUGACCAUGAGUGCAGUCGAAGGGCGAUGAUAACAUGUCAUGCUUGAUGUCGUCCUACUGUGUGUGCUUUCCAAGGGCGAUGAUGGAAUUCGACGCCCGACAUCAUCCGUACCUGUGUAUGCUGCCCAAGGGCGAUGAUGGCCUACCACGCCCUACGUCAUCCUUUGAUUGUGUAUUGAAUAUAGAUCCAUGUCUUUCUUGUUCCAUUAGCUAAGACCAAAUUCUCACAUGUCCCAUUCGUCAUUCCAACCUUCUUUUUUUCAUAUUUCCUGUAGAAAGCAUAUGUUCUUUGAUCGCUAAGAUAUUUCGUAAAACUCUGUAUGGAUCCUCAAUCACCAAUCCUUGCAUGAAUAUGGGUUGUGCUCGAGAGGCUAUGAAUCGAUUGGACCUGCCAAUCGAAUGAAUCGUAAUACUCGUAAUGAUCGACUUUACAAAGAUUCCAUUGGAUUCCGGAAGCUCGUAGCAUUGGUCCAGCACAAUUCCCAAACUUAAGAAGCUGGGGGCGUGCCCGCCGGCCCCUGACCUGCCUCUGAUUACUGAAAGUGAAUUCGUUUUCAAUUAUCCCAAGCCGGCCUAUCAUUCAUUGGUUAUGGUUAGGGAAAAAAGCUAGCUGGAAGUGAUCUCUUCUUCUCAGUGAAAGCUAAAGGCCCUGGUAUAGUAGAAGUGUGGUGUGUGCUAUCUUUAUUCUGUAGAUGGUAGUGUUGAUGUUUUCAUUUAUUUCUACAAUCUAAAGUGUGAUAAACAAUCUCUAAAAACUAAGUUUAUGCAUUUAAUAGAUAUCUUGUUUUAAGCUCAAAAUAGUUUAAUAUGCAAUAUAAAUAAAAAGUUUUACAUAAUGUCCCCUUUUUUUAGAAGAAAAUGAAGAGAUCCUAGUGGUCUAGAUUAAUUCUAUUACAUAAGUCACAUCAUAAAAAUUAGUCUAUUUUUUUUUAUCAAAUACUAUCUUCAUCUCAUUUUAUGUGGUAACAUUUGAUCGGACACAUAAAUUAAAUAAUAAUGAAGACUUUAAUAUGUUAAUCAAAUUGCCCUACAAACAAGUAAACUGACCAUUUUCUUCUUAUAAAUAUAUUAGAGCACUAUUUUUCAGGCAAAACAAAGGCUCUUAACAUUUCUUCGCUGAAGAAUAAUCAAAAUUUAAGCUUUGUUAUAUUGAAUUUUACUUAAUUUUAUUUAUUGGAUAUAUUGUGUCCCCUUUUUUAUAAGAAAAUGAAGAGACCCUAGUGAUCUAGAUUAAUUAUAUUACACAAGUCAUAUCAUAAAAAUUAGUCUAUUAUUUUUUAUCAAAUACUCUCUUCAUCUUAUUUUAUGUGGUAACAUUUGAUCGGACACAGAGAUUAAAUAAUAAUGAAGACUUUAAUAUGUUAAUCAAAUUGUCCUACAAACAAGUAAACUGACCUUUUUCUUUUUAUAAAUAUACUAGAGUACUAUUUUUCAGGCAAAAAAAAGGUCUGACAUUUCUGAAGACUCCGUUGAAGAAUAAUCAAAAUUUAAAAUUUGUUAUAUUGAAUUUUACUUGAUUUUAUUUAUUGGAUAUAUUGUGUUUAAUGACCUAACAAUUUCCCCUUCUUUUAGAAGAAAAUGAAGAGACCUUAGUGGUGUAGAUUAAUUAUAUUACACAAGUCACAUUAUAAAAAUUAGUCUAUUUUUUUUAUCAAAUACUCUCUUCGUCUCAUUUUAUGUGGUAACAUUUGAUCGGACACAAAUAUUAAAUAAUAAUAAAGACUUUAAUAUGUUAAUCAAAUUGCCCUACAAACAAUUAAACUGACCUUUUUCUUCUUAUAAAUAUAUUAGAGUACUAUUUCUCAAGCAAAAAAAAAAGCUCUAACAUUUCUGAAGAUUCCGCUGAAGAAUAAUUAUAAUUUAAGCUUUGUUAUAUUGAACUUAAUUGAUUUCAUUUAUUGAAUAUAUUGUGUUUGAUGACCUACUAACUUUAGUAGGAAAAAUCAUUUCGAAUGAUCGUGAAAAGAGGUCUGACAUUUUUGGCGAGUUCGCUGGGGAAUAACCAAAAUUUGAGUUUUAUUAUAUUGAAUUUUAAUUGAUUUUCAUUUAUUGGAUAUAUUGUGUUUGAUGGCCUAAUGUAAUAUUUGGUACUCAUUUAUUGUCUUUAUAAUAUAUAGGUCCAUUAUAAGGAUUAAUUAGUUAAUCAAUUAGGUGAAAGUCGUUUAAAUCUUAAAAAUUGAAUAAAAGUAACCUAUAAUAUUUAUGAGGUUAAACAUUGUUUUCUCAAUAGUUAUAAAUAUUUUACUUUUACACAUUAGUUCAAGAACUAUAAUAGUUGUGGGAUUAUCUUAUUUAGUCGUUCGACAACUUUCGUAAUUGUUCAAACAAAUUCACUAAUUGUCCAGACAAUUAAGAUAACGUUAUUAGUUGAGUUUUUUUAAAUUAAUAUUAAAGAUGAAAAAAGUAAAAAAAAAAUAAUGUAGUUCACUUGUACCUUUUUUAAAUAAUUAGAAUAUAAUACACUUUACUUUAUUUUCCCUUCUAAAUGAUUGAUACAUAGGCUAAUUAUUGCUAAUCCAAAUUUGAAAUUGCUAAAAAGUAUAGGACACAUUAAUAAUGUUACAUACUUUUAUAUUUGUUGCUUCGGGUGGAAUGAUAUUGUUUUGAUGGUAAUAACUCAUCUAAUGACUUGCCAAGUUUUAUUUUAUAAGAAUUGACAAAUUCAAAUCUAGAACAAAUUACCAAGUAUAUAAUUAGGACAACUUUCACAUAUAGCAAAUAAAAAAUUCAUAUUUGUACGCUAUAGCAAAGUUUGCAUAAUUGUGGUCCAUAACAAACAUAGAAACUGUAUAAUUCCCUAUACAUAUACAGUUGCAGCAAAUAGUAUAAAACGAAGUGUAUAAAACAAGAUAGAGAAAGACAUUUGGGCAGAGAACUAUGUAAAAACGAAGUGUAUAAAAUGAAUUGUAUUAAGUGUACAGAACGAUUAUAUACAAUUUGAAUUUGUAUAAAAUGAGAAAGAGAAGACAAAAGAGACUUGACAAGGAAUAUACAAUUGAAUCGAAUUGUAUAAAACGAGAAAGAGAGAAAUUAGAUACAAUUUGAAAAUUGUAAAACGAGAAAGAGAGAAAGGCAAAAGAAAUUGGGCAGGGGAGUAUUUUUAUUCUAUAAUUAUUAGUGUAUAAGACGAAAAUACAUGUACUUGCAAGCGUAUAUACAAUUUUCUCUACUUGCAAGUGUAUAUACAAUUUUGUCACGCGUUAUACAAACAAAAACGCAAUUUAUACAUUUCACUUAUGUUUGUAUAAGUGAGAAAGGCAAGGGUGACGAGCGAGAUUUGGGAGAGUGGCGAGCGAGAUCUGGAAGAGGGGAGAGAGCGGAACAAAAAUAUAUGUAUUUAUAUACAAUUUUAUCUACUUUAUACAAUUAGAAAUAAUUUUUUAUACACUUGUAUUUGUAAAAAAAGUGAGGAAGCGAGCGAGAGAUUGGAGGAGUGUGGCGAGCGAGAUAUUUGGGAGAAAGGCGCCUGACAAUUUUUUUUUGCAAACGUUUGCAAUGAAGCACAAUUAAAUCAAACCCUAGCUACUCCAUUUAUUUUAGGUUAUUAGUUUGCUAUUAUGUACAAUUUUCUCAUAUAAUUAUUACAUACUAAUCAAUGAAAAUGGAAAUAUCCCCAAUGUAACUUACCAUAAAGUCAAAGACUCAAAUAGAUGAUAAAUCUUGUAGAAUUCUUGCAUUUUUGCUUUUGUUUCUACACUUAUUGAUCCCUUUUUACACUCUCAUAUUAAGUCGAUGAAGUGAAAUCAUGACAAGUAAAAUGUAAAUAUAUACGAGGACAUAAGAGAUACUAUUACCUCCAUCAACAAAUGAUCCAUGUGUAAUAUUUUUAAUUUUUGAUAAUACGCGCAAACAAUAAAUUUGUUACCUCUUUCAUAUGACACAAUAUUUUAGUAUCAAUUGAAAUAUUAUGAUAAUGUUCAAUACACAUCGUGAUAGUAUUUGUGGUAAAAGGACCAACACCAUUUAUCUUCAAGUUAGAGUAGUAACCUUAACAACACCAUCUAACUUAAUUUUUUCAUUAACAACUUGUUUAAUCAACUCAAUCAAAUCCUCUACUCUAUAUCCAAAUUUUCCUUUGCCUUUAUGCUCUCUCUCUCUCUCUCUAAAACUUGCUAAUUCUCUCGGGCUCAGAAAGUCUCCAAUAUUUUCAGAUCCAAAGAUGUCUUCCACCUGAUUCAUUUAAUCUAUAUAUCUUAGUUCAUUUCAAAGUUAAAGUUAUAUGAAUUACUUGUAUAUAAUAUAUGAUUAACUUACUGGCGAAAACGAAAAAGAGACUUUAACACAUCUUCAAAUAAGGUUGGUAAUAAAAAAAAAUUGAUCAAAUCCUUUGGCCUCUGUUUGUGGAUGAAACAUAUGAGAAAUAUAUGAUAUCUUGUUCAUUUUUAUUAGAAAAUUUCAACAUAAUCUUCACUUGAAAUUGUACAUACAUAAAAAAUAAGUCAUCGGGUUCUUUUUUUUUUGGGUGAAGAAAUGAAAACAGAACAACACCUGAAUUAUUCUCUCAUCUUUAGAGGAAUUGAUAGUUGGACCAUAAAUUGUCAUGAUAAAAAUGAUCCUCUCCUAGAGGCUAUGAAAUAAAAGCGACAACUGAUAUGAUGGAAUCAUCUAAUCGUAGAAGACGAGAAAAUGUUUUAGUAGAUGGAUCCCACUCGUCGGAUCCAUCAUGAAAAAUCUGUGGUUGCACAAGAUUUUUCAAGUUAAACCUCGGAAACUUAUCCAAGAUGAUAGUGAAUUUUCAAGAUGGUAGUGUUGAUGUUUUCAUUUAUUUCUACAAUUAGAAGUGUGACCAACAAUCUCUAAAAAUUAAGUUUUUGCAUUUGAUAGAUUUCUUGUUUUAAGCUCAAAAUAGUUUCGUAUACAAUAUAAAUAAAAAGUUUGAAAUUGUCAUUUUUUUUUUGUAGACAAAAAAUAAAGAGACCCUAGUGGUCAAGAUUUACUAUUAUGCAAGUCACAUCAUAAAAAAUAGUCUAUUUUCUUACCAAGUACUUUCUUCGUCCCAUUUUAUGUGGCAACAUCUGACCAGACACAGAAUUUAAAAAUUAAUGAAGACUUUGAAAUGUUUACCAACUUGUCUUUCAAAAUAGUUAACUCACUUUUCUCUCUUCUUAUAAAUGUACUAAGUUGUUAUUUUUAAAAUAAAGUGGAAUCAAAAUAGAUAAAAAAAAGAUUGAUAUCUUUAAAUACUUAUUGUAUAAAUGAAACGUGACUUUUUUGAAACGAAAAAAAGGAAAUGGUGCAACAUAUAAUGGGACGAAGGAGCAUUUUUGACAAGUUAUUUUUGGGUAAAGUUUCACCAUAUUUUUAACCAUAGAUUUUGAAAAAAGUAUUUAACUUUUUUUAAAAAAAUAAUAAUUUAUACCUAUUAUUUCUAAAAACUAUUAAAAUGAACACAUUCCGUUUAAAAGGAACGAGAGCAGAGAAAUGUUAAAAUAUUAGAAUUUUAAAAAAAAUCAUUCGAGUAAUAAUUUGUAUAUACCCCAAAGAUGGUGAAAUAGUGAGUCUAAAACUUUUCACCAAUAUACAUGCCUAUAACGUUUUGAUUUAGAUACACAUUAUAAAUGCUUAAGAAAUAAAAAAAAUAGUUUCAUCCACAAGAAAAUAAUUUCAGUCCACAAAAUGAUUAACUUCAAUGUAAUUUCAAUUCCUUAAACACUUUUUCGAAACCUGAUCAAAGACAUCAAAAUAAGAAUAUAAAUGAAUAAUCAUUAGUUAAGUUAAUAGUUGAGCAAAAUAACUUUUAUUAUCAAGAAAGAGUAAGGACAUGGGAAAAACUAUAAAAAUUUACAUAAAUUAUUCAUCCAGACAACUCACAGAGCAAUGAUUGCGUUCGAAAGUAGAGAGAGAGACCUAGAUAAAAUUGAUGAGGAGUUAUACCGAUGGUUGAGCCAAAAUGACAUUCUAUAUCUCUUAAUUUGACGAUGAAAUGAAUUCUGAUCUGGACAAAUGAAAGGAUCAUUCAACAGCAUGACGUUUCCACCAUCUUAUCUGAAUUUUAAAAUCGAACGACAUGUUUUUUUGGAGAAGGUACUUUUCCAUCGCUUUUUCCUUCACCAUCACCUCAAUAGUCGAUCCAUCUGGUAAUGUAUGUGUAUGUGAUUAUGUGGCACUCUUAUUGAUAUCCUUAAAAUUAACAAUUGCACUUCAAAUUUCCAUCUCUAACUGAGAUUGUAUACUGAAGACACAAUGCUUUUCUUGAUUUUCGAUCUUCCAUUUCACGAGAAUGACACAUUUCACUUACUAAUUUGGGACUUGUGUCUGAAGGUCUACAUAUUCAUAGCGCAAGGGGAAGCGAAUUAGUCAAGAAACUAAAUUAAACAAUUAAUUAGGGCAUCUAUAAAUUUGGCAGUAAACUUAAGAAGAUAAAAUAGUAAUACAAAAUACUAAUGAAAAUAAUAUUAUAUACCAUGAAGAAUUCUACUGACAAACUUAUCUUAAAUUUACUUAUCCUAGUACAUAUUACAAGUCAUGUAAUUUUGUUGAAAAGGAAUUCAUGAAAGGUGAACAAAAGAAAUAAUAAAAAAACUUACUUUUCAGUGAUUAGUUUCGACAUCCAAUUGUAGCAAGUUGACAAUUGCCCUCGUUAAUAGCCUUUGGUGUAUCUUUCCGGAGUACAGAAUUGUAGCAAGUUCAAUUUUCCACCAUGUAAAUUAGGCUUAAAAAGUCUAAGGUGACAGUACAUUGUGGAUUACUAAUAUAGUCAAUCUUCCAAAGUAACAUUGUUUUUUACCAUGCGGAUAUUUCAUGUGAUAUCAACUUAAAUCAUAGAAAUAAAACUCCCCACACCUAAGUAUGUGUAUUAUAUAUUUAAGCACGAAAUACUUUGGAAGAAGUACUGACGUACUUAAACUAAUGUUUCGUCAAUACAAUGAGCACAAGGCAAGGAAGUUGAUAAACAAAACUUCUUUAAGUGGUUCAGUAAAAAUGAUAAAAGGGAUGAAAUUGUGAGAUGAUCAAGCAAAAAUCAUGGUCCAAUCCUCUUGUUAAAAUUAAGCAAAUAUUGUAUAAACAUUCUAACGAUGCGUAAGAGUAUAUCUUUAAAUAUAUUAAGUAUGGUAAUAUAUAUAUUUAGAUAUUACAUGUAUUUUAUUUGUUUUUGCUUAACUUCUUGUGUACAAAUAUGGUUCUAGUCUCUUUUACUCACAAUGAACAAAAUUAUUAAUUUUCUAGGUUUUCUUGUGUUCUUCUCCGUCUCAUUUUCUAACAUGGUAUCAGAGCCGGUCAGGGAUGAAGUUAUGUACAAAAAAUUGAACACUGAAACCGUGGUCAUUUGACUAAACUCGAUAUAUUACUUUAUAAUUAUUAAAAAAUGUUAUUAAAUUAAAACUUGUAAAAUACGUUCUUAAAAUGGUUGGAUGGUUCAUUGGUACAACUUGAAAGAAAAUAAAAAUAUAUAUCACUUUAAUUUUGGAGUUCGCGAAGAAUAUAUGCGACCCACAUGGUCUCAGCAGCAAGAAGAGCAAGGGCGCGGUAUUCAGCUUCAGUCGAAGACCGAGAGACCUUGGGUUGUUUUUUUGUACACCAGGAGAUCAGGUUCGGUCCCAAAAAAAUGAGAAACCCCGAUGUAGAUUUUCUAUCAUUUUUAUCAUUCGCCCAAUCUGAAUCUGAUAAACCCCAAAGCUCCAAGUCCCCGGGUCGAAUUAGUAAACCACGACCAAGAGUGCCAAAAAUGUACCUGAGAAUGCAUUUUAGACAAUGGUAAUCAUGUUCACUUGGUUGAUGCAUGCGCUGAGCAACUCGGUUGACAGGAAUGAGGCUGCGAAAGUGGGUGAUAUCGGCAAAGGGGGUGUCGGCUCCAUUCGUAAACGAAGAGACUGCCAUCGGUGUUGGUUGACUGGUGCAUUUUUCCAGUCCAGCUUUCUGCAACAGAUCUCGAGCAUAUUUUGACUGACGAAGAAACAAGCCGCUGCCUGUCCGAGAAACCUCCAUUCCCAGAAAAUAAUGUAAUGGGCCAAGGUCCUUCAUUUUGAAGGUAGUAUGCAUAGCUCGAGUGACAUCCUGAAUGAGAGCUGCAGUAGAGCCUGUAAUAAUGAUAUUAUCUACAUAGACAAGAAGAAUGACUGUACCGUGUGCUGAAUGUCGAGUAAACAGACUCGUGUCGUGUACGCAACACGUGAAGCCGACUCCCUGGAGGAACGUUUUCAGACGUGUGUACCAAGCACGGGGGGCUUACUUGAGCCCAUACAGAGACUUCUGGAGUUUACAAACAUGUUGAGGGAAGCGGGGAUCAACAUAGCCCGGUGGUUGCGUCAUGUAGAUAGUUUCAUCAAGCAUGACAUGAAGAAAAGCAUUGCAAACAUCCAACUGAUUGAUGAGCCAAUUGUUGCGCACGGCGAGUGACAGUACCAGGCGAAUGGUUCCCUGCCGAAUAACUGGACUGAAUGUCUCGGAGUAAUCAAGCCCAUACUCCUGAUUGUAGCCUUUAGCAACCAAACGAGCCUUGUACCUGGAAAUACUGCCAUCUGCAUUGUGUUUAAUUUUGUACACCCAUUUACAGCCCACUGGGUGCCGCCCAUGGGGCUUAGGUAUAAGGACCCAAGUUUUUUUAUUAGUCAACGCCUUAAACUCGUCAUCCAUAGCAUGACGCCAAUAAGCAUUUUUUUAGGCAACAGAGUAGGUUGUUGGUUCACUAUCGGGAAGGGGUGUAUUUGGUAGUAUGGUAGCCUGAAAGGUUUUGGGUUUAAAGAUACCGACUUUGCCACGCGUUAACAUGGGAUGAGUAUUGGGGGGUGGCACGGGCGGUGGUGAUUCGGGGGUGGCCGGGAAGGACCCAAAACGGAUCGGGCUGGAGAUGUUGUGGGUAUGGGGUGGUUCGGGUUGGUUGUGAGUGUUGGUGGUUGCGGGUGUAUUGUGGGUGACGGUCGAAGGGGCGAUGAGGGGUGGUUGGGUAGUGGGUGGAGGUGUGGGGGAAGGUGGUGAGGGACCCUGUAAGUAUGUUGGAAAAAGGGGAAGGACGCCAAUGAAUGAUGUAUUUGUGGAGGAGGAAAUAGACUCGUAGGGAAACUCAUUUUUGACAAAUUUGACAUGACGAGAUAUGUAGACUUUAUGAGUUUGUGGGUCAAGACAGCGAUAACCCUUGGAGGUAGGAUGAUAGCCCAAAAAAAUACAAGGACGGGAUCGGGGUUGUAAUUUAUGAGUAAUAUGAGGGCGUAGCCAAGGGUAGGCAAGACACCCAAAGACGCGGAGGUUGUUAUAAUUGGAAAGUUUUUGGUAAAGGAGUUGAUAGGGUGAUUUGUUGGAGAGAGUGUGACUGGGCAUUCUGUUAAUGAGGUAGUUUGCGGUGGCUAGAGCUUCUACCCAAAAGGAUACAGGGAGAUGAGAUUGAUGUAGAAGAGUAACCACCGUUUCAAUGAGAUGGCGAUGCUUACGCUCAGCCACCCCAUUCUGUUCGGGAGUGUAUGGACAGGAGGUUUGAUGUAUAAUUCCCAGGGAUUGCAGAAACUGGCCAAAGAUGUUAUUGACAUAUUCCUUUCCAUUGUCACUUCGAAAAAGUUUAACAUGAGAAUUGAAUUGUGUUUUGACCAUUUUUUCAAAAGUGACAAAGGUGGUGUAUGCCUGUGAUUUGUGUUUUAGUGGGUACAACCAAGUGUAUUUUGUAAAAUCAUCCACAAAACAAAUAAAUAGCGAAAACCAGCAAAUGAAGGAACAGCAGUAGGACCCCAUAGGUCAGAAUGAAUAAGUUGAAAAGGUGCAGUUGUACGCUUCUCAGAUAAAGUAAAAGGUAAUUUAUGAGAUUUAGCAAUUGAACAGGAGUCACAAUUGUUUACAUGAAUGGAAGAAAAACCUAAUUGAGACAUUAAAGAAUUUAUUAUUUGAGUAGACGGGUGACCCAGACGACUGUGCCACAACAGACUGUGGCCAUCAGUCGAAAGAGCCACCGGAGCCACAGGAACGCUUUCUGAAACUGGGUGGGCAGACGAACUUGUGCCAGGAAGAACGUACAGACCAUGCUCACAGAGGCCCUAAAAAAUCACCCUCUUGGUAGUAUUGUCUAGGAUUUGAAAAUCAUUAGAGGUGAACAAGAGUGAACAAUUAUUGUCUUUUGUGAAUUGGUGAACUGAAAGGAGAUUGGUUUUAAUAGAAGGGACGUGGAUAAGGUUACCUAGGUGAAAGAUAACGGUGGGGGUUUUAAUGGUACCCGUGCCAGUGUGAGAAAUAUUAAGGAACUCAACGUAGCCAACAGUAAUACCAUUGGAGCCAUGAUAUGGAUUUGGAGCGUUAAGCUUGGAUAGAUCAGAAGUAACGUGCAUGUUGGCCCCAGUACCCAACAGCCAUUCAGAGGAAGGGCCGGCUUGAGAUGCAUAAUUGGCACGGUUAUCACUAUUUCGGCUCUCCUCAUACCGAAACCAGCAACAAACAGCGGUGUGUCCUGUUUUCUGACAGAUUUGACAAGUUGGACGAUCCCGCUCGUAAGUGCCCUGCCCGCCGCUGGAAGAUGACUGUCCGCCGCUACCGAAGGAGUGCAGGCUAUUGUUGCUGCCGUGCUGCUGACCGUCGUACGGCGGACGACUGCCCUGCCGACCGCCGCGCCCGCGGUCUCCGCUGUUUCUGCCGUAGCCGUCGCGGCUCCCCUGCUGGCCGCCACCACGCCCCCCGCGAUAGUUCUGGCUUGCGGUGAGGGCAGUGGCCGGCUCCAUAACAGCGACUUCUCGGAGAAGAAGUUUGCUCUCCAGAUCCACAUUGAUUUCUUCACUUUUUAGCCACGAGGAGAGAGUAGCCAGGUCAACGGGCGUUGGACUGAUGCGAACCGCCUGUUUAAUGGAGGAGUAAGCUGAUGGGAGCCCCGGAACGACGCAUGUGACGAGAUCUUUUUCGGGAAUAAUUUCGUUCACGGUGUCGAGGGCUGUGAUGAUGGUGGAGACCUCUUCUAAAUACUCCGCCAUAGUUUUUGUGCCUUUGGUAAUUGUGUGGAGAUGAUCACGCAAUUGAAAAAUAUGAGAGUGGAAAAUUGAUGCAUAGCAUGUUGCGAGGUCCGUGCACAGGGCUGAAGCAGUUGUGUAGGAUCGGACGUGUUUCUGGACCGUGGGAGAGAUGACCGCAAUCAAACAUGAUCGGAUCUGGCCAUCCACGGCUUUCCAGGCGGCAUGGGCCGGAUUGGUUUUUUCUGAUUUGUCCGUGGCGGUGAUGACUGCCGGCAGCGGUUCUGUGCUUCCAUCGACGUAUUUGAGAAGGUAAUUGGCCUCAAGGGCUGUAUGAAUGGUGAUUUUCCAUGUAGGGUAAUUUAUGUCUGAUAAUUUUUCGGGAAUCAGGGCAUGAAGAUGCUUGAUAAGGAGUUUAACGCUAGAAGGAAGUGAAUCGAGAGGAUCCACCUCAGUUGUCAUGGUUGCCGCCGCCCAAGAGAAGAGAGGGAACGAUCGGUGCCCUAAAGAGAGAAAAAAACCUAGAGAAAAGAAGAUCUAGGUUUCCUGACUCUUGAUACCAUGAAGGAAUAUUGAUUGUAUUGAAGUGUUGAACUAAUAAGGGAAUACAUGGGAGAUAUAUAUAGGAGAUAUAGGAAUGAGUACUAAUCCUAAUAGGACUAGGAUUAAGGAUUACUAAUCCUAAUAGGACUAGGAUUAGUACACAGUAAAUACUAAUAUUAUUUAAUACUAUUUAUUUAAUACUAUCUGUUAUUAAUUAUUGUAGAUUUGCAUCAAGGUUAGCUUAGUGGUGUAAAGCUUACCCUUGUUUCUUGAAAAGUUUGAAUGAUGUCUAUAUCUCUUCGGUUUCUAUAUCCAUGAUAUUGGUUCAUGUCCCGUGCUAUCAUAAUUUUCUUGCCUAGUUGCAUCAAACUAAGUUGUCUAGCGUUUCUGACUGUAAUCGAUUUUUUUUGUCGACCACUAAUUAUUUAAGCUCGUUUGUAUUUCGAAAAAUAAAAUCCAAAUCUAGGUCAUGUUGAAAUAUUUUUUAGAACGUCUCGAAUUCUUAUCUCCUGCUAGUGUGUUAUGGUGUGCAUUUCUUAAGAGCUAAAUAAAUGUUAAGUCGAUUUUGACAUCAACAUUAGUGGCUGUCCAGUUUCCUUGUAGAUUUCGAUAAGAUAUCUUCAUUAUUUUAGCUCAAAAGUUCCCUAGAGAAUCUGUGUUUUGACUCCUAGUCCCUUUGAACCUAAGUUUUUAUUGAUUAAUGGUUGUUUGUUGUAUGAUUACUACUGUCUAUUGGCAUUUAGUCAAAAUAACACUCUGUAAAUUGAUUGCUCAAUGUUAAUAACACAUAUGCAUACAUUUCUUUAAAUGGUGAACAAGAAAUAUCAAUCUAAGCAGUUUGGUGUACAAAACAUCCCAAGUUAGCACGGUUUGGAGAAGUUCUACACUACAAAGGGAGCGAGGUGGACAACCUAAUCAAAUGCAAGUAUUAGUGGUUUCUUUCACGGCUUGAACAAGCGGAUCUAAGAUUUUGAGAUUUUGGGCGCCACACUAUUUUUAGAUUUGAUUUAUUUUGAGCUUUGGUUCGGAUAAUCUUUCUUUUUUAUUUAUAUAGACAAGUCGAUCUAACAAAAUAAUUUGAUAAUUGUGAUACUUUUGAACAAAGCAUAAAAGUUCAAUUAUAUUACUAAUAUCAAUAAAAAUAUUUUAUGUAUUUAUAACUGGCCUUGACAAAUUUAAAUAUUUUGGAGUUAUCAACUCAAGGAUGGACAUCUAGAACUAAAAGUCACUAUAAAUGCAUAUUUAGAGCUCAAAGCAAAAACUUAAUAAUCUUUAUGAACUUAAAAGAGAAACUAAGGGGUUUACCUUCUACUUCGAACUCGUCGCAUAGGCUUGUCUAGUGUGGGUUACCUAUCUUAUGUGGUUUGCGAGCUAUUGUAUAGAAGCGGGGAUUUUAUCGUAUGCGCACUCAUAUGGUAGUGAUUGCGGGUUUCUAUUGUCAUAUAAAAAAGAAGAGAAAAUAACCAAAUGACCCCCAUCUAUUACGAAAUUCCAAAUUGCACACCUAUCCUCCGCGGGAGUCGUAUACCCGCCUAAUCUACUUUAAAAUGGAAUAAUAACCCCUUAAGUGUUGAGUUGGCAUAGAGUGUAUUUCACUCUCUUUAAAUGAGUGAGUUGCCUAUUUAUAUUUAAAUUUCCAGUUUUAUUAAUUUUCUUUUCUCUCUCUCUUUCUUCUUGUUUAUCUAUACAACAUUUUUUACCAUUAUCAUUGUUGAAGUUUUUUAAAUGGAUGUUUGGAAUAAAAAUUAUCAACAACAAAUGCAUUUAAUGAAUAAAUAAUUUUUCAAUUAACUUAUUUAGAACAUAUCUAAUAAAUUAAAUUAAUUUUUUUUUAAAAAUACCCAUUGAUUAUUUUUUUUUAAAAGUGAUGGAUUCAAGAGUAAUAAAAAUCAAAGUGAAGUGUAUAUUUAAAAAAUAUUUUCAAACUUAAUAAAAGAAACUAAAACAAACCAAUUUCUUCUACAUUUUAAAAGAAUAAUCAAAAUAAAAAAUUUAAAUUAUAAAUUAAUCAUGAUAAUUUUAGAGGGAGAAAUAAUAAAGAACGGCGAAAAGAGAGAGAUUUUACUCAAAUUGGUCUUCUCAUCUGCGAUUAUUUUUGAGUUGUCGGCGGAAUAUUCAAGGGAUGAACCAGAACUCGAAUGUUCAUGACCCACUUAAUGUGUAUUUGAAAGUGUCUAAGGAGUAAAAUCGAACGAAAUGUAAAUAUAUGUGAAAAAUUGUUGAACUAGUUGGAUGAAUUGUCCACAUUUUUACAACAUAUGUUGAAUUUGCGUAUAAUAGCAUCUACCAUUUCAACAUCUAUAUGGCCCCAUUUGAGGCCUUAUAUAAUAGGCAUUGUCGCUCUCUAAUUGGUUGGUUUGAGUCUACAAAGCCUAAACCAUGUGACACACAAACUUGAUUUAGUAGGCUUUGGAGCAGGUAAAAGUGAUUCAAGAUAGACUUUGACCAGCUCAGAAUAGGCACAUGAGUUAUGAUUGUAAGUGACGGCCUUUGAGGCUACCUCAAUAACCGAACAAUAGGCCCAUAAUCAGAAGGCUAGGAAUCAUUCUUUAUUUAGCAUUAACAUAUUAAAAUGGGCAACUUUUCACAUAUAGCAAACAAAAAAUUCAUAUUUGUAUGCUAUAGCAAACUUUGCAUAAUUGCGCUCCAUAACAAGCAUAAAACUGUAUAAUUUGCUAUACAUAUACAUUUGUAUAAUUCGCUGGCCUAAAUUGUAUAAUUCGCUGGCUUAUUUCGCUGCAAUUGUAUAAUUUGUUUUGCAUACAAUUGAAUCGAAUUAAAAUGUAUGUAUAUUGCAUAAUUAUAAGUGUAUAGCAAGAAGAUAUAUGAUUUUCUCGCUUUAUACAAAAACAGAAACACAAUAUAUACACUUCUGUUGUAUAAAGCUAGAGAAAAUUAUAUUUCACUGCAAUUGUAUAAUUCGUUGGCCUUUUUUUUUCUGCAAUAUUUGAAGUAAAAUGUUUGUAAAUUGUAUAAUUAAGUGUAUAACACGAAGAUAUACAUUUUUGCAUGUGUAUAUACAAUUUUCUCUCGCUUUAUACAAAACAGAAACAGAAUUAUACACUUCUGUGUAUAAAGCGAGAGAGGCGAGCGAGAAUGGAGAGUGGCGAGCGAGAUUUUUGGGAGAGAAACGCUAGCAAAUUUUAGCUAAUAUUUGCUAUGGAGCACAAUUAAAUCAAACCCUAGAUAUUCCGUUUAAUCUAGAUUAUUAAUUUGCUAUUAUAUACAAUUUUCCAUAUUAAAAUCUUAACACCAAUUAAUGACUACAAUUCAAAUAACUUCCAAUUUCUAUAAUUAUAUAAUUGUAAUUAACUAAACUUCACUCUAACUCUUGGCACAUACACAUCAGAUGAAGCUUCUCUUUCUUUUUUUUCUUUCCAUUUGUUCAUGUAGUCUCAAAUGCAUUUCUUUCUUUUUCUUUGUCAAUUCCAAGUAAUACUUUUGGUGUUGAUUUGCCAACAUUAUCAAAUGGUUAUUAUUUUGAAGUAAGGUUAUUUAUUUAUAUACUUUACUUUGCAGGAAGGAUUAACUAAGGCAACACUGAUUUUUACCUUUAUCGACAUUGCUUAUUUUGGCCGUUUAACUAAACAAAAGAAAAUUUCUUUGUUUCACAUUAUUAACACAUUAAAAUUUAAUUUUUGAUAAUGUGAUUUGAAUUUUGACUUGUUCAUUAGCCCUCAUUCUCAUACCUUCAGAUGUCUAGUCAUGGAUUAUUCGAUAUUUUUUUUCGAUAACUCAAAUUUAUAAUUUUAAAAUAAAAAUAGAAAAAUAUUUACCAUCCAAAUCAACUCCUCCCCUCUUUAUUGAUAAGGCCCAACCAUUUGAGUUGUUACAUUUUUUUUUAAUGAUCUUUCCACAAAAAAUCAUUUUCAAGCUACCCACGUGACAAAAUAAUUCAAAUUCCCAGCCAAUAUUAGUUGAACGCCAAGUCAAAAACACUAUUUGACCAAAAUAUUAAUCAGAAUUUGACAAAGUUUGGAUGUGGGUCACACAACAAUUUGUUGGACGAGUUUUCAAACCACGGUACACCUCCAUGUUAGUUCGUUUGAUUUGAUUCGAAAUAAGAAAAGUUAAAAAAUAAAGUUUACAUAUUUAAAAAUUAUAUAAAAAUAUACUAUAAAAAUAACGAUAGCUAUAUAGUUAAAAUAUUUUAAAAAAAUAUUAUUUAACCAUUCAAAUAGAGACAAACAAAUCCAAAUAAAAAAAUAUUUUAUUUUUAUAUAACGAUUUAAAAUUAGUGGUCGCUCAAAUUUGUAAUAAUAUAUACAGUAUAUUAGUUGUGGAAGAUCAUUACCAUUAAAUGCUUCCACCUUGAGUCUUGUAACACAUGUAAUGACAGAAAAUUAAGGAUAUAAAAUUGGAUGAAAACAUCAUAUAAUUACAAAUUCCAGUUGACUUCUCAUACUUCUCAAGUUGGCAAAUCAUUCAAACCGUGUUGAAGAAAGUUUUAUUGACUUCUCUUCUUCUUUAUAAAAAAAUUGUAAAAUCAUGCUUGUUUGCUUCAGCAUAUAUAUCUAAACUUUUUUUUCUUACCCACAAAGAGAGACAAUAACAAGCUCAAACAACGAGAAUCUUUAUAGUAUUGACUAUUGAGAAGUUUUUUUUUAAUCUUUUCAUAUCUUUUACAUUGUCAACGUAUAUAAUAAAAAGGUGUGGGAGUUGUGAAAAAAAGAUGAAGAGCGUUAUGAAGGUUGUGAUUGUGCUUUCUAUCAUCGUGUGCAUACUCCUGACACCUACCGUUGCGAAGGGGGGUAGUAGUGGCCGAAGUGGUGGAAGUAGACGAUCUGGUGGUAGUGGAACCAAGUCUAGAGGUGGGUCUGGUAGCAGUGGAACUGCAACCACCACAUGGAUCCCAUCAGCUCGUGCUCGCCCGACGACGGUCGGCAGCAACAGCAAUAGACACAGCAAUAGCUCAUCAUCCACCUCCUUUGGCUGGUCUUCCAUGGCGAUGACUUUGUUUGCUUACUUUACUUUUGUUUAUUUUUGAACUAUUUUUUAUUUUGGUCUGCCACAUAUUUGAGCUCCAUUUACCCAUUUUGAGUGAUACUCUUAUUAGUAUAUUUUUUCAUAUUAAGAGUGUAAAUUCGAUAUCUUUGGUUAAUGAUGGAGCAAUUUCACUACUGUAUAUUCUUUCAACAAGUUCAUAUAAUCAGCGUAAAUAUAAUUUAUUUUUUGUGUAAUUGAUGUGGAUCUAUAUUGUCAUGACUUUGUAAUGACCCAAUGGGUCAUUUUUGGAAAUUUUUAUAAAACUAUCAUUUUGUCCCUCUUCGUAUUGACCCCAAGUUUUUUUGUUUGAGUUUUGAAAGUUGGUUCAAACUUUGCACAAAUGUAUAGCAGUAUUUUGACAUAUAUAAAUUUACAAUUCGCUUCUCUCUCACUCUCUUGCUUGCCUUUCUCCUUCCUCUCCCAAUCUCGCUCGUCAAUCUCUUCCCUAUAACGUGUAGCUACGAAUUGUGAUCAACAAACUAUAUCUAUAAGACGUAAUUAAGUUACUUUGAGUGACUAAUGCGAAAGUUUCUCAAUACGAAAUAAAUGAGAUAAGUAAAAUAAGAAUGACAUAAGAGUGGAAAACUUAUUCAUUCUAAAACAUAACCCCAAAACUUGAUUCUCACGUGUAAAAGUCAUUGAUAUAUAAAGUGCGGAGUUGAAAGAUAAUCACAAGUCUCACUGUCUUUUUUUCUCAAAUUGAUCAACAAAAUAUAAAAUAAGAAACAAGAGGGUGCCGGAAUGACAAUAAUUACCUAUCAUAGUCCUCUGAAAGUCUCAAAUAUACAAGAAGAAGAAGAAGAUAACACCGGUCCGGAUCUAGGCUCAAGACAUAUACAAGUUUCGAAGUAAGGAGUGAGUAUCAACCAACAUGGUAUUCAGCAUGCAACCUAUCAAAUAAAGCAAAACUAACUAAAAAAUGAGUAUUGCUUUCAUCCCAACAAACCUCCUCAAACUACAACUUGCAUUGAAAUCAUCCCUGCAUAAAAGCUUCACAAUGUAAGGUUCACAAGGCUUAACAAUCAUAGUCCAACAAUCACAAAUCAACAACAGACAAGCAUCAAGUGCUCAAGUAUCAAUUUCAUCGAAUCAUAAUAGUCACUAGCUGAAACCAUUUUCUUUCGACGUUAUAUCUCAUCUAUAGUCGGCACCAUUUUAUUUUGGCUUCAUGUCACAUUAUUUGUCGAAAUUAUUUUCCUUCGGCUUAAUAUCACAUGUCUCAUCGCGAAGCACAAAAAUCAAUGCAACUAAGCAAUUUCACAUUAUAAGGAAGAGACACCAAUUCUUCAAGCAAUUGAAGUCCACAAAAAUGUCAGCAAAGCAUUUCAUCAAUCAACCAAACAGAGUCCACAACAAGACAAUUCACAAAACAUUAUAAACAACGCGUUGCUUUUUUCAUUAAGAUUACCCAAGCGGAACAAUGAUGUCAUCACUUUAUUAUCAUCACUCCCCAACACAUACAACGAAGGAAAAUACACACAAUUUUACAAAUUAUAUAAGGUUUAGGAGAUCACUUCCCUCAAUUCAAUAAAAGUCAAUUCAAGACUUCAGUCUUUCUCUUUUAAACCAUGUCUAGAGCCACACAAUCUAAUUCAAUUAUGUAAUCACAAUAAGAUUUUGGAAAUAAAAAUAUCAUAUCAUACAUUUUGAAAAUGUGGUUUGAAUCCAAAAAAUUUUACUUGAAAAUAUUAUAUAGGACAUUUGAAACUCAUUGGUGAAAAUCAUUUGAAAAAGAAAAUUAAAUCAGUUCACAAUUAAUAUUUUAAUUUAGAACUCAAGUUCUUAAAAAACCUUGUCAUUUUUCCAAUCAAAAUCUCAAGUUUUGAUGUUAAAAUCCAUCAAUGAUAAAAGAAAAAUAAACUUUAAUGGUCACAAAAACUUACCCAAAUGAUUUAGCACUUUUACAAUCUCCUCCACUGAUUUCUCAAAAAUGAAAAUGGGAGUUAAACUCUAAAAUUUCAAAUAAAAACCCACUCCUAUGUCGAUUAAGAAAAAGGGUUCCCCCUAAGUGAGGCCUCUCACUAAGCAAAUCUUCUUUGUUUCUGCGAAGAUCACUUAAGUGACUGGCCUUCGCGAAAGCGAGGCUUGCAAACACCAGCAAACACAACCAACUUUCAAAUCAUUAAAAUGUAUCUGUGGGAUUCGUUUGAAAUUCUAUACACACAAACCAUAUAUGCAAUUUGACUAUACCUAACGAUUUGAACUCAUUGAAACUGUUGAAACAUGAAUUUGAGAUCUCCUUAUCCUGACAUCCCUGAAAGUCAUAAGAAACUAACAUAAAACCUAAAAAAUCUCGAGACCUCUUAGAAAUUUAACCAUGACCUCUUUUAGGCUUUGUCCCUCGAAUACUUCGACGAAACUCUCAGAAUUUCGAUCCAAGCAUCCAGAUCCCGAAUAUUGACCAAAAGUCAACCUUAAGGCUAAAAUUUUAAUAAUUACCAACUUAAGACCUCAAAUCUUUUAUUAAAAAAAAAUCGAAUCUGAAAUCGAUUACUCUUUUGGACCUAUUUCAACAUUCAAGACCGAUGGAAUCGACAGUGAAACUUUAAAAGAUACUAGAAACUAUUUUUAACAACUUUAGUCUUUCAAAUUUUCAAAAUUCCUAUUUGGUAACUCAAAAUUUAAAGCCAAUUACAAAACUCAUUCAAAAAUAACUUCAAACCACUAUCGGGAGGGAUAAAAUAAUAAUUUUAUGAAAAUUUCUAAAAGUAACCGUUCGGGUCAUUACACUUGCUCCUAGAUCUCGUUCGCCGCCCUCCUUCUAAUAGUUUGUUUCUGAUACAGAUCAAUUAUAUCAAUUGUAUUUUGCUCAUUUCUCUCCUUUUUUAACAUGUAUUAAUCAAGCUAUAAAUAUAGAUCUCCAAUUAAGCUCAGAUAAUAAUCAUUUUUGAAAGCAUCACAUUCUUUUUCAAUCACUGUGAACUUUCGUUUUUUAUGUUUAUUUACUGACUCAAUUCAAUCAAACUUGUUUAAUUAAGUCUAACUGAAAAUUUAGUGGAUAUGAAAUUUAAAUUGACCAACAAAAUAUCUUUUGAAAUGUUUUUUAAUUUUUAUAUAUCAUAUAUAAUCAGUUAAUCAUAUUAGCUCAAAUUUAAUCCAAUUCACUUAUUUAUACCUUUGCUCCAUUAGUUGAUAUAUUAUAACGAUAUUUGCAAGAAGACUUAAAUCGGAAUCAUCGGCGGCGAGGCGACAAAAUAAUUCAAAGUCUAAUAUCCUGUCAAUGUCUCAUUUGGUGUCUCUCCCACUUGUAAUGUAAUGGUAAAUUAGAUAAACAUCCCAUUUGAUAUUCAUUAUUAAACGCACACCAACUAAAAUUAUUGUAUCGUAGAAAAAACAAUAAGAAAGUGGGUCAACGACACUUUUUUGUUCUAAACAUUAAAUGAAUUUUCAAACUAGCAUCUUUUUUGCCCUAUAUAUUUAUUUAAAAUUAUAGUCACCAUUCACCACCCAAAUUUGUAACAAUAUACUGUAUAUCUUUUAAUGAUGAUAAUGCGAGAUUUCAUUUGUUUACACUUAAUGCUUUAAAUUUUAAUUAUUUAAUUCUCCUUAUUAUGUAUGUUUAUUUUUUUAGAUUGAAUUUUAAUUAUUCAGAUUUAUUUUAUUAAGUUGAUUUAUUUUAUUUUUUUCUAGGUUUUUUAAUGAUUGAAUAUAUCUGAAUGAAUCAGAUUUGUAGCACACUCUUAACAUCAUUCAGACCUAAAAAAGAAGACUCUUAUAUUAAUUCAACUACAACACAACAACUCAUAAAAAGUUGUUUCUUAUUUAAUUAAUGUUAAUUACAUGCUUAUCUUUACAAUUCUCUUUAUUCUUAUUAACUUAUUACAGGUCUUUUAUUUUCAUAAAUUAAUCAAUAUCCGUGAUAUAAUAUUUAGCACGAUUUUAGAAUAUAAGAAAGUAUUAAUUAUUUGACCGAUAACAAUAACAAAUGUCUAUUAUAAUAAAAUGUUUUCAUAAACAUUAUAUUACUACUAUAUAUCAACUGUUUUAAUUGCAUUAUAUUAGAUUCUCAAAAUUUAUGAGUGCAAAGAAUAGUCAUAUUACUGAUGUAACUUAAUAUUAAAUUCUUAAAAGAUAAAUCAUACUACCUUGUUACGAUAAAAUGUUCAAAGUACUAUUUUUAUUUUUAAAAAAUAUUUUAUUAAAAUGAGGUUUUUUAUAAUAUUUUGUUGAUAUAGCGUUUAAAUUCAUAUACACAUUAAGAUAUUGCAAAUAAACAGGAGUCCGGAGCCUAAAGGGUACAAAAUAUUAACAAAAAUUUCAAAAUGGUAUAUACAAUUUUAUAUUAACUAAAACGGUAAAUUCGCUGCAUCAACAAUAAUUUACUUCACUGAAAAAACAAAAUCGCUGCCUCUGCAGCGAUUUUACAAAACAUGAUUUUUUUUUUUAAUAAAAAUGAAAUCUCUACCUAAGCAGCGAUUUUAAAUUAUUUUUUUUUCAAAAUCGCUGCCUUGGCAGCGAUUUAGUCACUUAAAUCAUUCCCGUCAAAAAAAGUUUCACGAUUGAAUAUUGUAAUUCACAUAUUGGGUAUUGAGCAUUUUAAUAUCAAAUAUUGUGUUGAAGUGCUAUCAUUUUACAAUGUCAAAAUGUGCUGCUGCACGUUGGUAGCAUUUGUUAUGCAUUUAUUUGUCGCAUUUUUUUUAAGUUAAUGGUAUAAUAUACGUGGCAUUUUAUGAAACUUCUAUAAUUUCUGAACUUUUUAUUUUAUUACUAUUUUAUCUCUAUGUUUAUAAUGUAUAUAACUUUUUAAGGAUUUUUUUUUAAUUUACACACAUUACAAUCCCACCUUCGUUUAUUUAAUACUUUUUCCGCCCACUAUUAUUUGUCAUAAUUUCUAUUUUUAAAGUUAAAUUAUAAAAAAUUUAAUUUAUAUUUAAUGUAUUUUUUCAUCAUAUUAAUAUAGAAAAAAUUGCAAUUUAUAGUAUGUUACAUAUAGUUUUGAAUAUUUAAAUUUUUUGUUUAAAAUAUUAAAUUAAUAUAAUUUAAUUUAACUUUAAAAUUAAUUAAAUUGACUUUCGAAAAAUAUAACAUGAAAAAAUAAAAAUAAAAAUAUAACAUAACAGAUAAAAAUAAAAGGAGGGAGUAUGAGAAAAAAUAUGUCGUCUAUAAAUAGUGACAAGUUUUAGGAGUAUAUUAUAUUAUAUUAUAUUAUAUUAGCUAGGUAUAAGAAAAAUACAGAGUACAUGAAAAUUAUUAAAAAGAAGAGCAUUUAAUUGAAGAAAAAAUAGUUUUUUUAUCAGAGCUUUGGUUUCAACUCGUUUCCUAAGUUUAUUGAUUAAUUAUACAAUGUCUGUUCGGCUAUUGUAGAGACAAGUCAAUAAGAACAUUAUUUUUGGAUCGAUAAAAAAUUUUCAAAAUGAACCUAUAUCUCUUUAGAAACAGUGAAAUAUACGCGUCUCAACAUAGAUAAUUUUUUUGUUUUAUGAUGAAAACAUCACUAUCAAAUAAAAAUCUAUAUGUUAUUUUCAGUUUUCACAUGUCAAAAUUUCCUUUAAAAACUCUAUUCAAAUUCUUAUAGGUUGACUAAUUCUCUGCUUCUCAAGUUGGACACUAGGUCAAAUAAAGUUCCUAAUCCUCUGUUGCCAAAUUGCCUUUCUAUAUAAUGAGAAAUUACCAGCUCCCUUGUUCCUUAUAAAUAUAUAAAUGUGUUUGUUGCUUCAAAUUCACUUAUUCUCCUAUAUCCAAAGUGAGACAAUAACAAGACAAAAUAGUAAGAACGUCAAGGAAAAAUAUAAUCUUGAUAGUGUCUACAUUUUUUUUUUAUCUUUUAGACGCUCAGUACAAUACAAUUUGAUAGUAUAUUAGCAAGAUCUAAGAAAGAAGAUGAAAAACGUUAUGAAGAUUGUGUUUGUGCUUUCUAUCAUUAUGAGCAUUCUAUUGACACCUAGCGUUGCAAAGGGCGUGAGUGGUGGAAGCAAGGCUAGUACCGCGUCUGGUCGUACUGGAACUCCAACCACCACAUGGACCACAGUACCUCGUCGUCCUAGAACCACCACCAACAGCAGCUCAUCCGCCGCGUCCUCCAUUGGCUGGUCGUCCUCCAUGGCUAUGGUUGGCGCUUCGUUAACUUAUCUUACAUUAGUUUACAUUUAAAACUAGUGUAUUAAUUUAAUUGGCGUAAACAUUAUUAUAUUUGUAUUAUUGAUGUUGAUUUUAUAUACAUUCUCACUAUUUAAGUUGUACACAAGUUUGGGUACAGGGUGUUGAAGUCCUACGGCUUUACUUCACUCCCCAAAUUCAAUGUAGAGUACUGAUAUUUAUAAAAUAUAUAUUUUUUUACAUAUUUUAUGUUAUGAUUUAUUUAUUUAUUCUGCAAGUGACAAUAUGGAUGUUUUCAAUGGGACUAAUGUAGUACAAGAUAUUAUUAACACCUCAAAUAUGAGGAAAAGGGUUUCAUCAGUUUUUACCAUUGAAAAAUAAUUUUUUUUUUUUUAUGAUUUUGCAAAGAACUAAGGAGAGUCUGGUAUUUUUAUGAUUCUAGGACAUAAAUGAUAAAAGUGCACAUACAUUAGGAAGUAAGAAUAAGUAGCUAUAGUCAAUCUCGUAUCCUGAUCCUAAAAUCAUGCUGAGCAUACAAUAGGAAUCCAAAUGGCAAGUUACUUCAAUAUAAAGUUGUUAUUCUUAGCUAAUUUUAGGUCCGAAUAAGAUCUACUUCACAUUUUUAGGUCUUCUUUUUCUAAAUAAGUAUUGGGUCUAAAGAUACCAAUUUUGUAUAGAACUUGUACCAACAUGUCAAUCAUGGAAUAACUAAAAUGUUCAAUAUAAUAGAAAAAAUAUUUUAAUCAAUCCAUUUUCUAUCCCCAUAUGCAAGCUUUGAAAAUCAGAACAUUCCAAAUUGCAAACCCAAUUAAGCACCACAAUCUUCAAAAACCAACUCUAAGAAAUUGUUUUUAAAAAAAACAUAUCUUGCACAUCAAACUAAUUAUACUAUAUUUAUGGUUAAUCAGACAAUAAAUAAAAAUGAUAUCAGAUCCACAAAUAUAUUAUAAGAAGAAACGAAUUAUUACCAAAUCUAUGGAUCUGAACCACAAAAUUGAUGGUAAGAACCCCUCAUUUCCAAACUCGUUCGAGUCAGCAAAGUGAGAGCUUCCUAGGGAGGGUUAAAAAAAUGAAAGCAUAGAAUUGUUAAACUAAAGAUGGGUAAUGAGCGACAAGGCAUUGCUGGAGAGAUCUAUAAUAACACCCAUGCUUCUAGAUAUUCCCGUCUCCACAUUGGGAUUUGCCUUUUCCUCCAAUUCGUCGAAACCAUAGAUGCAUGUUUGUACAUUUGUUAAUACAGAACUUGUGUACGAUAUAGCGUUAUGCAACUGAGAUUCUUUAUCUUCAGCACCAUUUAGAUGUCCUAUUAUUUUAACAGUCUUCCUCAGUUCGUCUUCUGCACUUUUCACAGCUUCUACGCAGUCUCUAAAAGCCACAGCUUCAUAUUUGGAAAUUCCCUCCUUUUUUUCAAGAUUAGACACAAUCACCCCCGCGCUGCGUGUGCCUUUUAUCGCUACUUUAAGGGCUUCUAUGCAAAGUAUUCUGGGGUUGUUUUUUACGGUACAAGCAUACGGCAUUAGUGUUUUCACACAAAGUGUAGGCUCUGUGGUUACGUUGCAUUUGGUUUUGAUGAAGUUUGUGUACGACUCUUUCGUACCUGUAGCUGUUUGUGUGAUCAAUAAAACUAUUGCCAAAAUGGGGAAAAUCAAGGUUUUGCUAUCCAUUUUUUUUUGUGUGUGUGUGUGUUGGGAAUAAAGAGAAAAGAUAUGAAGGUGUAUUUAUGGAAAUCAAAUUGGCAACGGGAAGAAUCGUAUGGCCAUAUUAAUCGUUAUCACUUACUUAGACGUUCCGAUAAUUACGAUGAUCGUUAUCAAGUUUUUGUAUUUUUACUUGGGUUUAUUUGUUAUAUCUUCCUUUUUUUUCUCUACUUUAGUCUAUACUUUUUUUUUUGUCAAGGUCUAAUGAAAUUUUAACAUUAGGCAACUUAUUUUAUUUUACAAUAUAAUUUAAUACUGAGAACCCUCAUCAACAACACUAACUAAGUUCUCAUACUAAUUAAUUCAUCACCAAGCAUUAAAUAUCUAAAAUAUGCUCAAAAAAUUGGAAGCAAAUCUAAAAUAAGUUGAAAUUGAAGCGGUCGCUGAACAUUACGUGCACAAGUCAGCAACUUUCAAUUAGGAGUUUGUUUCCUUUGAAAGUGAUUUGUUGCUAUUUUUACGUUUGGAUUUGUUACAAAAAUUGAAAGUGGUUUGUUGCUAUUUCUACGUAUGAAUAUUCGUAACACAAAUUUUAGUACAAACGUUACAAAUGCAAUCAAUGUUAAUUAAUUAUAGCAAUAAAAUGGAUGAUAAGUAACUUUUUCAAUACAAAGUGUCACUAUUCAUCAUUCAUAAAUAUGGUUAAUGAGUGACAAGGCAUUACUGCUAAGUUUAAUAACAACAGCCAUACUUCUACUUAUAGCAUCCAUCACUUUUGGAUUUACCUUACCCUGAUCAGUUAACCCACCUGUGCACGAGUCUGCAUCUGUUAUAGCAGCACUUGCAUAUGUUUUAGCAUUAGCCAACUGAAAUGCCUUAUCUUUAUCGCCUAAAUGUCCUAUUGCUUCAACAGCUAGCUUCAGUUCGUACACUGCAUCCUUCACAUCUUCUAUGCAGUCCUUAAUAGCCGCGGCUUCAUAUCGCGUAAUUCCCUUUUGUUUUUUCAGAUUCAAGACAAUGGCAGUGGCAUCUCGUGCGCCUUUUGUGGCUACGUUAAGGGCUUCUUUGCAAAGUUUUGUGGAGUUUGUUUUAACAGAAGAUGCAUAGGGAAUUAGUGUUUUUACGCAGAGUGAAGGGUAUGUAGUGAUUUUGCAUUUGGUUUUGACGAAGUUUGUGUUGGAGUCUUUGGCAGCUGUGACUAGAACAUGUGUUUGUGACGAGAAUAGAACAAUGGAAAAGAGGAGAAAAAUCAAGCUUUGGCAACUAGACGCCAUUAUUACUUCUUUUGAGGAGAAAUUGUUGUAUUGUGAAUAUAGAGAGAAGAAUUGAAUAUAUUUAUAGUCACAAAUUGGCAGAAGGAAAAAUCUUUCUUAAUUGCUCAAGUUGAUAAUAUUUUAUUUUCUUUUUUUGAUCUGUAUAAAUAAAAGAGUGCCUCAACAUCCUACGUUCAGGACCACAAGACAUGUUAAUGUAUAUUCUUAAUUUUACAUAAUACAUAAAUAUACUAUUUAAGUUAGUUUCAUCUGAUAUCUAUGUCCUACUACUUUACUUGUGCACAAAUAAAAACUAAAAAUUUGUAGAAAAUUAAGCAAAUGGAUACAAAUGUUUUAUGUGGCUUAGUACAUGUAGAACGUCACAUAGACAUAAAUGCGCUAUUUAUUUAAUUUUAUAUAAAUUUACAAGCUUAUUAGUAAGCACUCCAAAUUGAAGGACAUACAUGCUAGAUGAAUCCAAGUUAAAAUUAUAUCUUUUUAAUUAGACUUUAAUUGAGACGAAAUGAGUAUAAUAUAGCAAUAAAAUUGAUUUAGAAAAUGAGUUGUGAAUGUAGGCGUAUCAGCUUAUCUCGCGCCGUCACCAAUGCAGCAAUCACAUGGUAAUUGAAGUAUCUGGAGAUCGUCGGCAGAGUCAACUUAUCAACGUGUGAGAUCCAAGGUGGAUCUAUGACUUGUAAUUUAAGUACAUCAAUUACACCUACAAUAUUCAACUAUUAAAUUGCACAUUUUUUAGGUCCAGUAGUUCAUAAUUUUUUUUCAAGGUACGUCUGGCCAAUACUUAUAAAGUCCAUUAUUCAACUAAAGAUAUUAAUGCGUGAACAUGGCUAGAAAUUGAUCAAAAAAUGAGAAGCACAAAACACUGCAGAAGAGAAGGCGAUGUCUCUAGUGGACAAUUACUUGCCGAAAACGUUUGCAUUGAUGCGUGUUUUCCUUUAUGUUGAACAUCAACCUCAAUAAUUAUGCCUUAGGUAACACGUUUUGUAACUAGGAAGCUUACGUUCUAAUGAAAUUUCAUUUUGAGUUAUGAAUAGUAAUUUAAACAUGUUAUUCUACGAUCAAUAGGGAGAAAAAUUCAAAAUUGAGCGGAGCUCAAGUUGAAGCGCGACAAAAAUUAUCUAAAUUAGAUAUUUUUAACAUUUUACUCCAUUAAGAGAAAACAAAUAAUAAUACGUGCGUGAUCAUAAGUAGAAUUCAUCCUACUAAAAUACAUAGAGCUCAAACUUUCUGUUCUCCUAAAUAAAAAAGUAGAGGACAUUGCUUCCUAGGCAAAUCGAGGAUCAAUGGAUUGAUGAAUUCUUUAAGGAAAAAGGUAAAAGCUUCUUAAGGGACACUUUACGUGUAAGAAUUACUCCUAAGUUCAUUAUUUAGAGUAUGUUUUAAGCUAAUUUUAUCUAUUUUGGUAUUGUUUGGUGCUCGUGGUGAAAAUUUGUCACGCAUGUGAGCGAUUCAUUUUUUAUAUUACAAAAUUUGCUGAUUAGCAAAGCAAUAAGAAUGAACUUGAGAACUUCUGUCUAAAAACAGAUCAAACCCGUAGAGUAUAGAGUAAGAUGUAAAAAAAAAGUUGAUUGUUAAGAACAUUUUAUCUUUUAAUGUGGAACUUUGCAGUGAGAUUCAAAUUUAGUCGAGAUUUGUAUCGUGAUAUGAAGAAGGUUAGAAAAUGGUAAAACAAAAGGAAUAUUCCUAUACAGCUGUCCAUUAAGGAUUGGCUAAUAAUAACAAAUUUAGCUUGCUAUACAGUGCUCCUUUUAUAUUCUCUCAUGUUACAAAAUCUGAGGACUUCCAUUGGAAAUUAUUGCUUUCGACUGUGAUUCAUUACUAAUUGGGCCAUUAUUUGCAACUGGGCUAAUUUUUCCUGUAUGGUACCAGGUGUUAAUAUAUUGGGCUUUGUGUCUGAGAUCCAAACAUGGCUAUCCGACGCUUAGGACCAACAUUAUUUUAUGAGCAAAUAACACAAAUCUCAAUAGUUUGAGAUCUAAUGACGUAUUCUAAAUUUAGUUUUUAAAAUUAUCUUCUGUAUCACAUUUACUUCGUCAACCAUAUGUAUAUGACAUACUCAGAUAGAUACAUGCGGAUCAAUUUAAAUGUAAUUUGUGUCAUGUCAGAUAUACUAUAUUUAAGCGCGAUAAGCAUGUAUCUAGGAUAUACGCACUCACUAUCUGAACUCUCUCAUUUCUCUUCUCUUAGUCGCCUCUCUCCCUAAUUAUUUCCAUUCCAAAAUGUAUCCGCUAUCAAAAAUACUAUCUGACUUGAAAUCGGUUACCAUAUUAUUAAUUAGUGAAAUAUUAUGUUAUUAUUUCAAACUCUGAAGUAUUUAAGUACUAAUAUUUAUGAUAUGAAUUUUGUAUAAUUUGAUAGUUUUUAGUUAAAACUUUGGUCCAAAAAUAGUAUUAUCAUUACUUACUUGAGUUAAACGGUGGCAUCCGCAAUUUCUUUUUCUUUUUUUUUCCUCAUAAAAUCGGAAAAUACAGAAGAGAAACUCUGUUUUGUUUUCCAAAAUGGUAAAAGGAAAGUAUGUGAAUAUUGAAUUUUUUUAAUAUACUAAGAAGAUGAAAGAUUUUUUGUAAGAGCUAAAGCAUUACUAGUUAACUGUGCUACAUUAACAAUAUAAUUUCUAAUAGUAGCUUUAACUUUGCUAUUCAUAGCAGAAUUGUCUUGAAAUCCAUCCAUACAAGUAUCUUCAUCUGUCAAUGCAGCACUUACCCAUGUCAUUACAUUCCCCAUUUUCUCUUCAAAAUCUGGUCCAUUCAAAUUCUUCAUUUCCAACAGUGAUUUUUGUAGCUCAUCAACAGAGUCUUCCAUGUUUUCCACACAGUCCGUUAAAGCAUGUGCUUCUGCUGGACCUAAGCUUUCCUCUUUAGACAUCUUCGCGAUUUUGUUGGUGGUUGAUUUAGCUCCCUUUAAGCUCACUGUGAGUGCAGAGUUGGCUAAUUCCAUUGGGCUUGUUUGGAUGGAGUUUGAAUAAGGUGAGAGUGUUUCGAUGCAUAAUUUGGGGUAUAAUGUAGUGCCACAAGAGGUUUUGAUGAAAUCAGAGGUGUUGAGUUUGGAUUUGUUGGUAAGCUCUCUUGUUGCUGUUGAUGAGCAUAGCAAUGUGGAUGUUAUUACAAUGAAAUAGAAAAAUGAAAUGUGAAAUGUGGAGAGGCUAUGGCAAUUUGAAGUAGAGGAAUUCAUUAUCAAAUGAUGGGGGGAAAAGGAUUGGGGAUGAAUGGUUGGGAAAAAGUCCUUGCACUUUCUUAUAAGGAUGCAAUGUUCCUUGCAUUAUUUUUAGGAUAAAUAACAAUAAAUCUACCCUUUAAUUAAGUUCUCGAAUUAAAUUAAUAUACCUCGCGUAUCGAAUUAAUAUAUCAUAUAUAAAAUGUACAUCAAAUUAGUAUCAUGUAUAAAAUAUAAUGUAUCUUACUUAAUAAUUAAUUGUAUCUCGCGCAUCAUUUUUGUCGUUAUAAACUUAUAAGGGACAAAUGAUAAUUUUGCCUUAAAAGUAUGUGAUUUUCUCUUUUGCUUAUUUUUAAUAUACUACUAAUUCGAUCUCAAUUUAUAUUACUCACUUUCAUUUUAAUUACUGUUAAAAAAAAUAUUUCUAAUUCACUUUAAAAUUUAUAUUUUAUACUUAAUGAUAUAAAUAUUUAUAUUUUAUUUUAAAUAAUAACUUUUUAAAUAAAAUAAUUCUUUCUUAAAUAUUGUUCAAAACAUAAAUUAAGACGGAGAAAUAAUUAUUGCGCAUAUCCACUCAUUUUAUAAUCACGGGUUUGUGUUCGACAUAUUGAUUGUUCCACGAAAAAGGAAAAAGCAAAAGGUGGACAGCACGGGAGUACAUGAAUUGGACGGCAUUAAAUUAAUUAGGUGUAUUCUGAAUAUCUCAUCCUACAUUUACAUUCAUAGAAUAAUGAAAAAAAAAACAGAAAGUGAAGGAAAUGCGCAAUAAAUAUAACUAGCAGUAUGAAUAGAUUUCUGGCUGAAAGCGUAGCGGAUUGUUCACAUUAUUGACGGAAUAAUAAAUAUUAUUUUAUAACUAUUUUUAAUAUAAUCGACAACUAACGAAAUUAAAGGUGUAUUGGAUGGAGAAACUAUUGGUUUGGCUUUAAGUUAGGUGUAGAGUAUGUGGUAGUCUGUGUGUGCGAAUGCGGAGGGAUCCAAUCUGAACAUGAAGUUACAUGGUAGCAUCUGAACGGUUAAGAGAGCAGUAAAAGGUGGGGACAUCGAUAGUAAUAAAAUCCGUGAGGUGCAAAAUUUGAUUCUCAUUUCAAUUAGCUAUUUUCAUACUUACAGUACACAUGUCUUAAAACAUGUUUUUUUAUAUUUCAUUAAGUUAGUAUGUUUCGUACGAAGGAAAAUAUUUUUCUAUUUUUUUUAUAUUUUUAUUAAAAUUAAAGAAAAUGACUUUCCUUCUAAAAUUAAGGAAAAUAUUUUUCAAAAUUCUCCUUCUAUUUCAAAUUACAUUUUCUUUGUGAAAAACAUCAAAAUUAUUUUUUUCACCCGAUUCCUGACUCUCCCCACCCCACCGGCCAGCCCCCCCAACCCCACCCCCUCCCCAAAAAAUUAAAACUUCAAAAAAAUUAUUUUUAAAGUCCAAUGCCCCCCACCCCCCCCCCCCCCACAACAACCAAAAACAUUAAUUUUGUUUUUCAAAAAUAAUAUCAACUCCAAUUUUUUAUCUUUUCACUCCUACCUCUCCCAAAAAUAAUAUCAACUCCAAUUUUUUAUCUUUUCACUCCUACCUCUCCCCCUGCCCUCACCUACUUAACCCAUCACCACUCCAAAAAAAUAAUAAUUUUAUUUUUAAAGAAUUAUUUUUAAUUUCAUAAAUUAUUUUUUAAUCUAGUAAAAUAAAAUAUGUCUCUCAAAAAUUUGUUUCAUUCAUAAAUCUAACACAAAAAUCAUUUUCAAAAAAUAUUUUCGACUAACCAACCAAAUAUGAGAAAAUAAGUUCAAAAUCUACUUGUUUUUAGGAAAUAUUUUCCAUGGAAAACAUUUUCCUCCAUACCAAACACACCCUAAAUGAACAUAAAUUAUUUUAGUUUUUAUUUAACGUUCAUCAAAAAUAUAUUUUCAAAGAUAAUAACUUUCAUAAUAUAAAAUAGAAAGAACGAUAUCAUUUAUACAUAAUUUUAUAAAAUAAUAAAUAAUAAGGAAUAUUCAUUUUUAGAAUAUGACACCUAAAUAAAAACGAAAAAAAAAUUAUAUUUUUUAUUUAUCGAAUAAAUGAUUUUUAAUACUUUAUCGUAAAACUUAGUAGAGGAGAAACAUUUUAUGCGAAUUAGCAUAAGAAGUAUCAAGAGCCGGACAAGACAGUAGAAGGAUACCAAAUUUCAUGCGAGUUACCAAACGAAUAAAAUAUUAACGAAGUUUAUUCCCUUUAUAUUAUAUAUACUCUAUAGUUUUCGAAUCAAAUAAUAUGAAUGUAAUAAAAUAUAGCCAGUGCCCAAGUAGAUGGAAAACCAAAUUUUUUUUUAUCGAUAAUUGCACAUGCCCCUCUAUCAAAAGUGGCACAAGUUUCAAGUUCAACUGAAAAAAGAACAUCCAUUUUAUUUAUUUAUUUGUAAAUUAUAGAUCCGUUCAACACUCUGAGCUGAUUAAAUUAAAGAGCUCUAAUUGUUUUAUCUGCCACUAGGGGCAUUUAUAUAUUAAUAUUAUAUAGACGGCCGACGUGUAUUCUUCUUUAUUUCGUUGGAGUAUUAUUAUUUUUAUAAGAAGCAGCUAUAUUAACUUUAGCAGCCACUUUAGUUUACCGAUUAAGUCAUUUGAAUGCCUAAUUAAGUAACUAACAAACAAUUUGAAACUAGCCAAGUUUGAACUUGUAGUCAAAGACUGUACAUGGACCCUCACUGUCACUGUCAUUUACUCCAUGUUCUACUAUCUUUCAACCACAUUCCCACUGAACAUAAUAAGGGAAAACACAUCAAAUAUUGGAUCCCUUUACUACAAGAAAAAACGAUAAAAUAUUGGAUCUCCUUUACUAUACUACUUUAAAAAAAAAGGGGGGGUUAUUGCGAGUGAAAAUAUUUUUAGUGAGUGAAAAAAUAAUAGAUCAAAACUCCUUUCACCGUUGAUUAUAAAAAAAUUUGAUAUUAAGAAUUCAAUUGUUAAAAGUCUUUUAAUAACGCUAUAAAUUCUGAUUAUUAUAUAAACAUUGAAUUUUUUUUUUCUUUCACUAAUUUGUUGAUUGAUCAUAAAUAAAUUUUGAUGACAAAAACUAUUUUUGUUGUUAUAAGUGAUUUUAGCCGUCAAGAUUCUCUUUAUUAACUAUAUAUAACUUUUAAUGAUGGAAUUUUCUUUCGCUAAUGCUUGCCCAUUUAACUGUUUGAGAUCUUGUCACCAAAGAGUUAUAUUUUCCUUCGCAAAUAAGGAGUGAACUAGCAACGAACAAGAAGUUGAGUGUAACAAGUUUGAAAUUGUAGUCAAAAGGCCGCACAAGGACCUUCAAUGUCACUGUCACUUAGUCCAUUUUCUAGUAUCUUUCAGUUGUAACACCACAAUUGCUGUGACAUAGUUUAUUUUAUGUUAAAACUUCAGUUAUUGUUGAAAAAUUUAAGUGUAAAAAUUAGGGUUGCGUUACUACAAAUUCAUUGAUUUUGGCACAAGAAUGCAACAUUUUCAUACCAAUACAACUUGUUAGACCAAAAUUGGAAUAAAAAACCAUCUUCUUCAAAAUUAAAACCCCCAAUCGUGACCCAAUCGUUAUCCUCUUUUUUUUUUUAAAAAAAAAUAUUGUUGAGUAUAGUUUAUCCACAAGGCUUCUUGGCUGACAGAGCAAGCCCUUCAAUGGUCCCCAAUUUAACUUUCCAAAAUCCAAAGUAGUCUCCACUCUUUUGCAAAUUGCAAUGCUUUUCAUAAGUCAUAACAUCAUCCUAUUCCUAGUGGCUUGGACUAUUACAAUUUGGGAGUUUGAGUUGUACACUAGUGAAUGGGGAUUUUCCUAAAAAAAGUAUAAAUUAAAACUGAAUAAAGAAAAAAUAGUGAGAAGAUCAAGAUAAUCCAACCAUAUUCCUCUAUAUUGAGUCCAUUUGUCUAGUAUUUAAAUUUAUGUCUGGAGCCUAAAGGACAAAAAAAAUGAUAAAAAUUUUAAGAAGAUAUAUCAAUUUUUUUUAGCCAAAGAGAUAAAUCGCUAGUGAAAUUAAGAUUUUGCUUUGACGUUGUUAUUUCGUUAAACAAGCAAAAUCGCUAACCUAUCAGUAAUUUGUUCAAAAAAAAUUCCACUUUAAAAAAAAUCAUUGUCCAAUGUCCAUGCAACGUUUUUGGAAAGAUGUUUUCUAAAAUACUAAAAAAAAAAUUAAUGGUGCAAUUUCGGCGGAAAAGAGUUUAUCUUUUUAAACCUUUUAAGUGUUUUUUAUAAGUGAAUAGAUAAUUAUAAAUUACUUUCAUUAAUUUACUAUUUUUUUUAUUAGUAAUGUGAAUAGCCAGGCUACUACAAAGAAAAAACAAGUUUCACCAAUUGCAGCGAUUUUGUAUUUUUUUGAAUUUUUUUUUCGGAAAACGCUAUACGAAUAUUGAUUUAGUUUUAAAUAUUGAAAUUUUUUUAGAUAAAAUCACUGGUAGGUCAACGUCAAAUCAAAAUCGCUACUCCGCUAGCGAUUUUGCCCCUUUGAUUAAAAUUAUUUUUGAUAUGCCCUUUUAAAACUUUUAUCAAAAGUUUUUACUCUUUAAGCUUUGGACUCAUUUAAUUUAAAAUGUACCUUCUUGUUUUUAGUCAAAAUUAGAGCUAUAACAAUAUCCUUGAUUGAAAUACCCCUUGGGUUUUCCUUUCAAAGAGCAUACUCCCUCUUAAAUAAACCUAUUAGUAUUUUAGUUGUGAAGUACACACUUCACUUGAACUUAUAUUGUAAUCUUCUUUUAUCUUUCAUAAAAUUCUAUACACCUUUGAGUGAACAAUUGUAAAGAAAAGAGAAAGAAAGAUAUGAGUGUAGGUUAUACAGGUAGAGGUUGUGUCAUAGAAGAAUGUCUGAUUUGCACAUCAGACGGGCUCUUAAUUGUAACAUUCUGUAACAUCCAAGUUCUCAACAAGCUCUUAAAGAAACCCUUGUAACCCAAGGAGACUGGACUAGACAACACUUCGAUGAUCCGAACCAGUAUACAAAACACUCUGUUAUUUACUUAUUGCAAGUUAUCAUUACUGUUUGUCUGUUUUACUAACGUGCAGGUGAGUCGACUGACCAGAGUAGAAAGUCGACUGAAGGGAAUUUUAAUUCACCCCUCCCCCCCUCUUGACUUUCAAAUACAACUAUUUUGGGGCGUUUCUUUAAAAAAACAAAACACGCAAAAUAUGAUAUGAUUAGUGACACUAAAAUAUCCAACAAAAUAAUAAUACUGAAAUCAUGUAAAACAAAUACUAAAUGAUCGUAAAUUUAAAGUACUAAAUCAUGCUAAAAUAAAUUGAGUAAAUAUUAGUAACAUGGAUAAAUAUUAAAGGAAAUUAAAAUUAGAUUAUGUAUUUUAAUUGUCUAAACCAAUAUAAAACUAAAGAACAAAUAUUCAAUAUUAUUGUUGAAUUGAUUUUCUUUUUGCAUAAGUAUUAUUUUUAUCUUGAUUUAAACUUUAUUAUAAUUACCAGCAUUUAUGGAUUAUAAUUUUUAUUAGAUCAUUCAGAAUUCUAAAUCAAAAACUUGAAAUAGUAUAUUAAAGGAUAAAACUAUGAAAAAGCAUAAGAAAUAUUUAAAAAUUAUAUCAAAAUAAAUAUUUUUAUGUAUCAUGUCGGGUUGGUUUGGUUUCGGAUUGAUUUUUUUAGUUAAAAUCUAUUGAAAUGUAGAUAUGAUGAGGUGUAGUUUUAUGAUUGGUUAGUUCAAAUGUUAGUUAGAGUCACAUGUGUUAGUUAGAGUCACAUGUGUUAGUUAGAGUCACAUGCUUGUCACAUGGUUUCCAUUUUUUCAGUUAGGUUGUUGUUAUGCUAUCAAAGUUAGUUGAAGAGUUAGUUGCUAACAAACUAACAGCAAUUGUAAUCCUCUAUAUAUAGAUGAUGAAGUAUAGAUGUACAUUGAUGAUCAAUAAGAAAAAGAGGAAGAUAGAUAGCUUCCAAAUUCUCCCUACAAACUCUGUCUCUGUGUUUCUUCUUUCUUCUUCUUCUGUUUCUGUUUUUGUAUGAAUUCAGAAACUUAAUAUGGUAUCAGAGCAUCGAUCAAAGGAUUUCUAAAGGUUUGAAUCUAUAAUUUCUGCAAUUGUUGAAGCUGCAACAAUGGUGGAAUCACAGAGUACAGAGGUAGAAGAUAAUCCCCAGUCGAAUCACAACCAUCCACUUCAUCUUCAAGCAUCAGACAUACCUGGUGUUGCCUUGAUUCCUAUGAAGCUCACAGGACCAGAGAAUUAUGGUGUGUGGAGCAGAUCUAUGCGAUUAGCACUACUAGUCAAAAAUAAACUUGGAUUUGUUGAUGGCACAUGUGUUAAGAAUUCGUACAAGGGAGAUCUGGCAGUUAGAUGGGAAAGAUGUGAUGCAGUUGUUUUAUCCUAGAUAAGUGCAGCAGUUGCACCAGAGUUGAUGACUAGCAUAGUAUAUGCUUCUAGUUCGAAGAAGAUUUGGAAUGACUUCAAGGAAAGGUUUGAUAAAUCCAAUUUGACAAGGAUUAGUAUAUUGUCACAAGGAACUGAUUCUGUAACAGCCUAUUAUUCCAAAAUGAGAGAUCUAUGGGAUGAGAUGGAUGUAAUGAUACCUUCUCCGUCUUGUGAUUGUGUUGAAUCAAGUUCACAUGCUGAACAUGUCAAACAACACAGGUUAUUGCAAUUUUUGAUAGGUUUGAAUGAGAGUUAUGCUCAAGUGAGGAGUUCUAUUUUGUUGAGUCCAUCUAUUCCAAGUGUAAACCAAGCCUAUGCAAUGGCUAUACAAGAAGAAAGUCAAAGGAAGCUAGGACAAACAGAAGGAGGUAAAGAACCUCUCACAAUGAUGGCAGGAAGAAGUGCUCAACCACAUAAUUUCGAUAAUCAAAUGAACAAUAAUCAGAGGAACAAUAAUCAGAUGAACAACAACAGUUUGCAUACUAAGAAGACUUAGGGUCAGAAUUCACAAGGUAGAAGGAUGGGAUUAGUGUGUGAUCACUGUGGUUACAAAGGUCAUACUAGAGAAAGUUGUUAUAGAAUUGUAGGAUUUCCAGCAGACUUUAAGAGUAAGAGAAAGGGAUCUGGAUCUGUGAAUGAAGCAUAUGCAAAUAAUUUCACUUCUGAGUCAUCUGGAUCAGCAUCAAACUUCUAUUUUCCAGGAGGCUAUUUCACAAAGGAACAAUAUGAGCAAGUUACUAAGAUGUUAUCUCCUUCUUCACCUACAGGAAUCUACAGGGUUGAGGCUAAUGCUGCAGGUAUGAAUCCUUUAACUGUUAAUGAUAGUGGAAAUGCAGUGGGAUGGAUUAUUGAUUCAGGAGCAACACAUCACAUUACAUGCUGUGAAAGUAUAUUGAGUGAAUGUAGAAAAUUAUCAGAAUCCAGUUGUGAUAAAGUGCAAGUGCCAACAGGAAAUAAAAUUCAUGUGAAACAUAUAGGAGAUGCAGUGAUUUUGGGGAACUGCAAGUUAAGAAAUAUUUUGCAUGUACCAGAUUUUAGGUUCAACCUGCUGUCAGUUUCUAAACUAACCAAGGAUCUAAAAUGUAGUGUGCCUUUCUAUCCUGAUUUAUGUGUAAUGCAGGCUCUCUUUACUGGAGAGGUGAUUGGGAUUGGUAAGGAGAAUGAUGGCUUGUAUAUUCUCAGACAAGAAGUAAUACCUACUGUUGGAGCAGCACUCAAAAGCAAGAACUCAGAAGAACAUAAACUUUGGCACCUUAGACUAGGACAUCCCUCUUUGAAAGUAUUGCAACAUCUACAUAUAUUGAAAAAUAAACUGGUUGAGACCGUACAUGAAGAUUGUUUGAUUUGUCCUUUGGCAAAACAAUGUAGACUCAAAUUUCCUUCUAGUGUUACUCAUAGUAAUAAGAUGUUUCAGUUGGUACAUCUAGAUGUUUGGGGACCUCAUAAAGAUCCAACUUAUGAUAGAAAACAAUAUUUUCUGACUAUAGUUGAUGACUUUAGCAGAUUUACAUGGGUUUCUUUACUGCAAACUAAUAAGGAUGUAGUAGUUGUUUUGAGAAGUUUUAUAGCAAUGGUUUGUAAUCAGUUUGAUUGUGCAAUAAAGGUGUUGAGAUCUGACAAUGGAACUUAGUUCUUUAACAGUCAAGUAAAUGAAUUGUUAUCCUCUUUUGGUAUUAUACAUCAAAGUAGUUGUGAAUAUACUCCACAACAAAAUGGUAUUGUUGAAAGGAAACAUAGGCAUAUACUUGACACAAGUAGAGUUUUAAAAUUGCAGUCUCAUGUUCCUAGUAGAUUCUGGGGUGAAUGUGUACAAACAACAGUCUACUUAAUUAACAGGUUACCUACUGGUGUGUUGAAUGGACAAUCUCCUUAUGAAAGGUUGUUUGGAAAGGCUCCAAAACUAGAACAUAUAAGAGUAUUUGGAUGUUUGUGGUUUGCUACUACAUUACCAAGAGGUGGAAAGUUUGAAGCCAGAGCUAAGAAAGCUAUUUUAAUGGGUUUUUCUUCCACACAAAAAGGAUAUAAGCUAUAUGAUCUCGAGGCAAAAAUUAUGUUCAUUAGCAGGGUUGUUGUAUUCAGAGACAGUGUUUCCUUUUAAGCUCAUGCAAUCUACUGAUACAGGUCCUUGUCCUUUGUUAUCACCUUUUCUUGAUAAUGUAGAUGAUGCUAGUAAUGAUGUAAACUUGGACCCAUGUCAUACUCAUAUUGAAGAGAUUUCCAAUAACUCUGAUGGUCUGCAAGAAAGUUCUCAUAGUUCAAAUAAUGAACCUCCAAUUAAUGUGGGAUCCAGAAAGACUACCAGAACAAUCAAGCCUCCUGUGUGGAUCAAAGAUUAUGUUGUGCCUCAUAAAUCUAGUCCUCAUUCAAUCACUAAUCAUGUCUGUUAUGACAAUGUCUCCUCAGGAUAUCAAUCUUAUUUGCAAGUUUUUUCAGUAGUUGUAGAACCUCAAUCUUUUCAUGAAGCAUCACAAAAUAAAAAGUGGAUUGAUGCUAUGAAACAAGAGAUUAAGGCUUUAGAAGAUAAUAACACCUGGACAAUUGUAGACUUACCUCCAGGUGAGAAAGCAAUUGGAUCAAAAUGGGUAUACAAGAUAAAGUAUCAGUCUAAUGGUGAUGUCGAUAGAUACAAAGCUCGACUAGUUGCCAAAGGUUAUACUCAAAGGGAAGGACUUGACUAUCAUGACACUUUUUCUCCAGUUGUAAAGAUGGUUACCAUUAGAACUGUUCUUAGCCUGGCAGCUUCUUGUGGUUGGGAUUUAUCUCAAUUGGAUGUUAACAAUGCCUUCUUGCAAGGUGAUUUAGUUGAAGACAUAUACAUGGCACUUCCUCUAGGCUUCCAAGGACAGGGGAUAUCUAAGGUCUGCAAGCUGAGGAAGUCACUUUAUGGUCUUAAGCAGGCUUCUAGACAAUGGAAUAUUAAAUUCAGUGAAGCAUUGUUGGAAGCAGGAUACUCUCAAAGUGUUCAUGAUCACUCUCUUUUUAUUAGAAAGGAAGGAACUAAAAUGGUUGUGAUUUUAGUAUAUGUUGAUGAUCUUUUGAUAACUGGAAAUAGCUCCAGAAUGGUUCAAGAAGCCAAAGACACAUUACACAAAAAUUUUAAAAUGAAAGACUUGGGAAGCCUCAGAUAUUUUUUGGGGAUUGAAAUCUUGAAGUCCAAAGAAGGGUUGUUAUUGAAUCAAAGAAAGUAUGCUUUACGAUUAAUCUCAGAGACUGGAUUGAGUGGAGCAAAGACUGUAAGCACUCCUUUAGAAUUCAAUCAAAAAUUGAGUAGUGUGGAGUUUGAUCAAUACACUGGUGGAUCUGAUGAUGCAGAGCUAGAAGAUGUUACAGCAUACCAAAGAUUGAUUGGUAAAUUGCUGUAUUUGACAAUUACCAGAUCUGACAUUUGUUUCAGUGUUCAAGUUCCGAGUCAGUUCAUGCAACAUCCUAAGGUUUCACAUUGGGAGGCAACAUUAAGGGUAGUAAGAUAUAUUAAAAAAUCCCCAGGACUUGGAGUAAUGCUUAGAAGAGGUACUGGUGUUACAAAACUCACAGGAUACUGUGACUCAGAUUGGGUAUCAUGUCCAAACACAAGAAGGUCAAUAACUGGAUACAUGGUAAAACUUGGAGAUUCUCUUAUUUCGUGGAAAUCAAAGAAGCAGCAGACAGUAAGUAGGAGUUCAGCUGAGGCAGAGUAUAGAAGUCUGGCAGCUCUUGUUGCUGAACUGAUCUGGUUAGCAGGAUUACUUAAUGAAUUACACUUUCCAUGUGCCACUCCAAUUUCAGUGUUCACAGACAGCAAAUCAGCCAUUCAAAUAGCUGAAAAUCAGUUUUCAUGAGCGUACGAAACACAUCGAUAUCGAUUGUCAUUUCAUUCGAGAAAAGGUGAAGUCGGGGUUCAUUGAUAUUCAAUAUUUGUCCACUACCAUGCAGCCUGCUGAUAUUUUGACAAAAGGGCUAGAGGCCAAUCAACAUCAUCUCCUCAUGACCAAACUUGGUGUGCUAGAUGUCUUUCACCCUUCAGUUUGAGGGGGUGUAUUGAAAUGUAGAUAUGAUGAGGUGUAGUUUUAUGAUUGGUUAGUUCAAAUGUUAGUUAGAGUCACAUGUGUUAGUUAGAGUCACAUGCUUGUCACAUGGUUUCCAUUUUUCAGUUAGGUUGUUGUUAUGCUAUCAAAGUUAGUUGAAGAGUUAGUUGCUAACAAACUAACAACAAUUGUAAUCCUCUAUAUAUAGAUGAUGAAGUAUAGAUGUACAUUGGUGAUCAAUAAGAAAAAGAGGAAGAUAGAUAGCUUCCAAAUUCUCCCUACAAACUCUGUCUCUGUGUUUCUUCUUUCUUCUUCUUCUGUUUCUGUUUUUGUAUGAAUUCAGAAACUAUUAAAAUCAAACCAAUUCAAAUAUAAUAAAAAAAAAAUUCAACACCAAAUUAAGUCAAACCACUCAAAUUUGACUCGAUUUGUAAUUUGGUUUGGUUUUUGAUUUAAUUCUGUACCCUAAUAAUAAUCUGUGAUGCAAUGCAUCGAGGUAUCAUUCAGAACGAUUGUUGUAUCUACUCUCACUAUCAUUAAACUUUGUGUAUAUGCGUCAAGAUAUAAAUCUAUUCCUGACCAAUUAGAAAAAUCAAUCGUUAUUUUAUAAAAAGCAUGACCUUAAAUCGAAUUUUAUUUCUUUUAUAUGCAUCAAUCAUCCAAGAAGACCAAUCUAACCUUCGUCUGGUUAGGCAACAUACCAAAUCAUAUAACGUAUCAUAUAUUUUUUUGAAGUUGUGACAUUUUUUCCCAAAUACACUUUCUUCAUCCCAAGUAUAGCAUCAUUAUAUUAAAUGAAAUAUGUGACAAUAAUUUUCAAUAAUGACAUGUUAAACAUGCUAUGAGCUUUUAAACGACCAACAAGAUAUAUUUUAGAUAUAUAGAAAUCUUAAUAUAUCAUGAAUGUCCCAUUUAAUUUGUAAGAUGAACUUAUUAACUCAUUUUCAUAAUUAACACUAAGCAAUUUAUACGAAAUUAAGCAAUAACUUUAAUUUUGGAGAGAAUUAUAGACAAAUUAAUUGUCCCUCACAUGCAUAUAUAAUUUUAUUCAAACCUUUGCUUCAAAUUGUUUUUAUGAUGUGGUAUGACAACCUAAUAAAGUAGUUCAAAGAUCAACAUACUUCAAGUCGAUCUUAUAUAAAGUAAUUUGUCUUGACAGUUCCAAUUGACAACCAACCGUUUCCAACAUAUUCAAGCUAUAUUUAUUAAUAACGCAAUCACCAAAGAAAUUAAUGUUACGAAGCCAAAUUAAGUGACGACUUCUGAAAAUUAUAGUUUUAAAUAAUUUUCACAGUGUUUUCCUUAAAAAAGCCCUCAAAACUCAAUAGUUACAUCAAUAUUGAAAUAAAUAUCUUAACCUUAAUUUUCGGCUCCCAUAUAAUUAGGCUGACAGUUCAACAAUCGAAACAAAAAGACAUAAAAAUAAAAAGAAAAAGAAAAAAUUGACCUAGAAAAAUCUCCAGCCAUUUCCUUUCUUAUAUAACAUCACAAUGAACAUUUGAAGGUGUUAAUUUAGGAAAAAUCGACAUCAUUUUUCUUUUCUUUGUUUACGAAAUGUUAAUGAACACUUGUCACUUGAAGAUAUAUGUGUCAUUUGAGAGUCAUUUACUAAUUAAGAUUUAAACUCCUACCAAGUACAUUAUACAUUAUACAUACUGUUAAGAAUAUUACUUUUGGGCGAUAUGUUUUCGUCAUUGAUGUGUGAUUAGUCUCUUCAUUAUAUUUUAAUAUUUCCAUUCAAAUAAGAAAAAACAGUUUAACCUUUUACACACUUUUAGGAUAUUUUUCAUUUUGUGCAGGUAGUUAUUCAUAGUGUGGAGCUACGGAGAAAAGGGGAUUCAAUUAAAUCGUCAUUUCGUUAAAACAUUAAUUAGUAGUACUAUAUAAAUAAGAGUGUUCUUUAAAAAAUUACUAUAUUCUCCUUUUGUUCUAUUUUGUUGACACAUUUUUCUUUUUAGCUUGUCAAAAAAAAAGAACGACAUGAUUCGUAGGUAUAUAAAUAUAUAAGAUUGAUCAUAAGUUCAAAUGUACUAUAUUUAGGCUAGACCUACUUAUUAUUUUCUGUUUAUUAAUGUUUAUUAUAGUACUUCAUACACCUUUUUAUAGUCCUACACAAGACCUUUUAGGAAAGUUUAAAUCUCUUCAUAUUUUGGUUAUAACACUGUGCUCAAUUAAACAAAGAAUUUUUUCAAUAAGGUGCAGAUAAAUGAGAUUUAAAUUUUGUUUUAGCGUCACAAAUUAAAUGUUGUUGGAAAAAAAUAUUAAUAUUGAUAUUAGAUUGGAAUUAUAAAGUAAUAAAUAACUUAUUACAAAACACUGUGUUGUGGCAAAUCACUAUCUUGAAAGCAAUUUCGGUUCGAUUCCGAUGUAAAUCGUUUGUAGCCGGUCGCUCCGCAAGGUUCCACAGUUACUCUCAAACACGUGCACUCAUGACUGAAAGUUUGAAAUUGCACAAAAAUAACUUCCCAAAAAAUCUACAAUAGGAUGAAGGAUUAUUCAAGCCAAUAAAAGAAAAUUGUUGAGGGUGAGUAAAUGAAAGAUAGAACUUGCUUCUGUUUUUUCUCUGUUUUUAGCUCCAAAUUGAUACUCCUUAAAUAGGAAAAUCAUUUACGUUUCAUUCAUCAAAAGAAUGUAAGAAACUAACGUAUAAUUAAUGUAAUGGAACAUAACUCUUACUUCAAUGACAAAUUUGUCAUAAUAUAAAAGUAACUUCAAGUUCAAAUAAAUGUGAUCCAUUAAUGAGAAAGUAACUUUCCUAUUUCACAUAUAUUAACGACUUAGCAAUGUUCACAUAGAUAAAUUAUGGAAAGUUAAAAGGUAUAAUUUAUCCUUUGCAUUAAAAAAAAAAGGAAUAUUAUCCACAAAUGUAAUAUUCUAUUUUAUUUUAAAUCCUUUCUUUAUAAAGUUUAAUCUAACUUUGUGAAUAAAUUAUUUUAUUAUCUAUCUAUAAGAUGUGAGAGUAAUUCAAAAAAGAUAUGUACUAUUUUCAUUAUAACACAAGAAUUGUUAUAAUAAUGCGCAUUCCUAUCACGAAUCUUCAAAUAAGAUAUUCAUGCAUGGCCAUGCCAUAAAUAAAAUCAUUAUAUAAAAAGUUCCUACCAAUAGAAGCAUCAAGGUUCGAAAUUAAACAAAUUCAGAUACAGUAAACUCAUGUCAAAACAAAAAAUAUUAUAAUAAUAAGAAAAAAAUGAACUCAAAAGUUAAAUAAGUCCAAAUACAAUAUAACUAAUUCCUAAAGUAAAUUUCUAUGGUUAGAGAUUCACAUUACAAAAUUAAAUUUUAAUUAUUUAUUUUAGCCUAUAUAUUAUCUUAGAAAAAAUAGAGAGAGGAGAAAUAAAAAAGAAGUCCAAUUCAUAUAAAAAUUCAAAUUUAAAAUCAAAAAUCUAAAAGUCAAAUAAAAAAAUUCAGCAAAACAGAAUUCCCGUUUCAGAUUCGUGUUUUCACAAAACUGCGCCCACCCCUACGACCUACGAGGAAUGUCCUUGGCAGCACGCCAGAAACACAUACAUGAACUCGCAUAAUAAUUAACCGUUUUUUAAUUUAAUAAUAUCCACAAAACUUUUCUAUAAAUUCAGAAUAUCCCCCAUCCCUAAAUUCACUAUCACUCAAUUAAUUAUUUUAGUUAUCGAGAGAUGACAGGUGGUUAUUUUUUCACAUAUUUUCUUAUUUCAAUUGCGUUGAUAAUUUCUUCUAAUAAUUCGAAUUCAGUUUCCGCCGCAAGGCCAGCAUCGGGAGAAACAAAUACGGAUUUUAUCCGAACCUCCUGUAAGUCAACCACUUAUCCAACUCUGUGUUUCAGUUCAUUAUCAAGCCGUUCAAGUGCUAUUGGAGUUUCUCCACAACUUUUAGCCCAUGAAUCUCUCUCCGUUAGCCUCGAAACAGCUCAAUCAACCUCCGCUAUGAUGUUGAAAUUGUCACACAGUCAAGGCAUGACGCCCAGAGAAGUAGGCGCCAUGCGUGACUGUGUGGAGGAAUUAAGUGACGCAGUGAGUGGAAUUAAAAAAUCUUUAGGGGAAAUGAAGGAAUUGAAGGGAAAAGAUUUUGAUUUGAAAAUGAAUGAUAUUCAAACAUGGGUGAGUGCCGCCUUGACGGACGAGGACACGUGUACCGAAGGGUUCGCCGGAAAAGUGAUGAACGGGAAAGUUAAAACAGUGGUGAGAGGAAAAAUACUUGAAGUUGCUCAGUUGACAAGUAAUGCUUUGGCUUUGAUCAACAGACUUGCUGCCAUUCACGGAUAAAGUGUAAUUAAUUUAUUAAUUAAAACAUACAAUUAAGUAUAUAAAUAUGCAUAUAUGUUUUUAAUGAAUCUUCAUUUAGAAAAAAGUUUAGUUAAUUCAUGAUCAGUUCAUUGCUGUAAUGUAUUAGAUAAGAUGUUUUGUUUGUGAUGAAUUUCUUAAAUGAAAAUGUUCCGUUGCAUGCAUAAGUGUACUGGGUAGUAAUCCUCCAAUUGAGUAUAAUUAAUUCUUAACUAUUUUGAAUUAAAAUAUUUUAGUGUGAUUAGGGACGGAAUUUAAGUAAACAGGAAGGGUUUUUAAAUCAUGUUAUUUCAAAUUAAAAUAAAUUAACUUUUAUAAUCUUAAUCAUGCCAAGCAAAAUAUUGAAAUUUAAAACUUAUCAUAAAAGAAUAAAAGAAAAAUAUUAAUAUUUGAACUGAGGGAGUACUGGUUUGAGCGUAAAAUAUCUGUUUUUGCUAAAGCUUUGUAAAUACUUUUUAAUUAUCUUCAAUCUCUAUUUAUUAUAAGUUAUAUUCCUUUUAUUUUAAUUUAUUUACUUUAAUAUUCCUUUUAGCUCAUUUAAAAAGAAUGUUUCUUAUUCUUUUGUUAACUUUAUAAUUUUAAUUUUUCAUAUAAAAAGUUUAAAAUCAUAAAAUAAAAAAACAUUUUGAUAUAUUCAUUUAAAUUUUAAUUUUAAUUUUUUAAAAAACUUUCUUAAUCCAUAUAAUGAAAAAAUAAUAAUUAAGGGGUAAAUUACGUGUACGAGUAAACAUGUGUACGAGUAAACAUAUACUAGUUAAUUAAUUUUUUUUAUAUAUAAGCAAACAUAUAGAAAACAUAGCUAUAUUUUGUCUUACUUCCAAUUCACAACCUAUUUUUAUCUAUAAUUAUGUGGCUCAACUUUUUUGUUUUGUAUAAUUCACACGCUUGUAUUAUAAUUUGUAUAACUUUUGUAUUAUUGAGAAUUUGUAUAACUGUUCACACUUCUGAUAUUUGUAAUUAUAUAAAUUUGUUCUUUCGAUUUUUAUAAAAAUAACUGAAUUAUACAAGUGUAUCCGUAAAUAAUAUAAACCUGCGAAUGAUACAAAUUCGCGAAUUAUACAAACGAGACAAUUUAAACUGUAGCUACAAUCGUAAAUUAAAUAUGCAAACUACAACUGUGAAACAUAAUUAAGUUUGUUAUAAUGACUUUUUGAGAAAUGAUAGAAUAUGAUAGAAUCGAUAAUUCAUGUUUUGAUGAUAGACAAGAAGCACAAAUAAUAAGUAGCAAAUGUACGCAGCAAAAGAAGCCAAGCUCGAGUCCAAGAUCGAGUAAAAUGGGUCAGCCAAGUAAUCAAGAAAAUAAAGUUAUUUGUCAAAGUCAAAAAUAAUAUAUUAAAGGUACAAGUUAAUACAAAUAAGGAAAACCUUAAAUAUAUUAUUAAGGAAGGAAGUUGUCUAUAAUAAGGAUUCUAAUUUAAAAAAAAAAAAGGAAUCCUUGUUUAAACAUAACUUUCUUACCUUAUCAGUAAGGAUUGUACAAGGCAAAAACUCGAUAAGAAGAGCACGAGGCAGAAGAAAAAAGACGACGACUUCACGCAGAGAACAAGGGAGAAUUAUUCAUCAAAUUGAAGUCUUCAAGGUUGAUAGGAUUACUACGUUUAAAACAUUCUUGAGUAAGAAGGUUUUAUCGUGUAGAACUAUUUGUCUUGUUUUUGUUCUUAUUUGUAGUUUACAGUUUAUUGUACAAAGGGUGGGUUUGGCUCUUUGUAGGGUUGAGUGUUAGUAAGAGUUGUAACAAAAGGUGGAUUUGGCCUUUUGGAGAGAUCGAUUGGAAUCAAUCGAGGGAGUAGUAGAGAUAAUAAGACUUUUGAUUAUUGAGUUGUAAUCACAAAAUCUUAUAGUUGAAUUAAUAAAACGAGGUUUUUCCUUCCUUGAGUGAGGAAGGUUUUUAAUUCAAUAAGUGUUUGUGUCUUUACUCUGUCUUUACUUAAAAGCAACUUACACGAACCUGGUUCGUGUUCUGAGAUAAGGUUUCUUCAAGAAAGUUUCCCAAAAUUAAGAUCCAUUUUAAAAGAUAAAUCAAUUUUAUAUAUAUAUAUAUAUAUAUAUAUAUAUAUAUGUUUAUCCACAGUGGAUAUAUUUCCAGAUUGGAUGCACUUUUCAGCUGAGCUGUAAAGGAUAAACAUGGCCCUAUGCCCUUGAUUUUGACAUCACUAUCAACUUGUGCAAGAGGGUUUACUCCUAAUUCGAUAAGUUUCGAGAGGGAGCUUAAAAUGGAUCCAAUCUGAAAUUAAGGGCAUAGGGCCAUGUUUAUACUUUACAGUUCAGCUGAAAAGUGCAUCCAAUCUGGAAAUAUAUCCACUGUUUAUAUAUGAGUGUGGACAACUAUACACAGGGUGAAGCUAUAGUGGUGUUAGGGUGUCCAAUCUUUCGUUGAAAAAUUAUAUUGUAUAUAUAAAUAAAAUGAUAAUAUAAAUAAUUAUUUAGUACAUUUAAGACACCCUAAACACAUAAAGUAUGUGUAGCCUAGUGAUUCCUAGGACUGACGAGGUAGCGUAGUUUGGGACCGGGGUUGCAAGUUUGAUUCUCACCUAUAACUUUUUCUCCGUUAUUCUAUUUAAUAUAUUUUAAAAAAAUUUAGUUAUUUUCUAAAUCUAAAUAAUACUUAAUAAAUUGUUAUUAGAAAUAAUAAAAAUUAAUAUUAUCUGAUAAAAUAAUCCUUAGUUAGAUCCAAUUUAAGAAAAUAAAGGGUCGCAAAUUCGAUUCUCAACAACAAUUUUUCUCCUUUAUGCUAUUUUUAUAUUUAAAAAGAGUUCUUUUUAUAGUUAUUUUCUAAAUCUAAAUAAUAGUUCAUAAAUAUAUUAUUAGAAAUAAUACAAAAUUAAUAUUAUUAGAUAAAAUAAUCCUUAAUUAGCUAUAAUUUUAAAAAAACAUAUGGUCGCAAGUUCGAUUGUCACCACUAGCUUUUUCUCAUUUAUGCUAUUUUUUAAUUUUAAAAAGAGUUUAUUUUGUUAUUGUCUAAAUCUAAAUAAUAGUUAAUAAAUUUGUUAUUAGAAAUAACACAAAAUUAAUUUGAUAAAAUGAUUCUUUAUUAAAUAAAAUAUAAGAAAAUAAAUUAAAAAUUUAGCAGCCAAAAUUUUAAUUGAUGUGACUUUGACUUUUUUUAAUUAAAAUUUGAAUAAAAGUAUUUUUUAUUUAACUUAAGUUAAUAAACAACCUUGAAAUAUUUAUAUAAAAUAACAAAACACAAAAAAGCGUUCAUAUAGAAUUCUUUUUUUUAAAAAAUUGUUUGAUUAUACUCUUUACUUUAAUAUGUCUCGUUGUUACAGUCUUUGUUGCUUGGAGCGUAAAAAUAAUGUCAUUCUAAGUUGAAUUUUCUCCUUCUUUCUCUCUUUUUUGUUUAGUCCAAUCACGUCAUACUAAACUAAAAUACACAUUAAAACGUAUAUAGUUUGAUUUUAAAAAUGUGCAAUACACCCAUUGUCACGACCCAAAAAUGGGCGUGAUGGCACUCGUCUUAUCCUACCAAGACAAGUCAGUCUAAAACCCAAUAUCUAACAAAGUGCGGAAGUAAAUGACAAUCCAACAACAAUUUCUAUAAAAGAAAACCAAGUCAUAUUAAUUCAAUCCCCAAAACCAGGUUGUCACGUGCACAAGCCUCUAAUAUAAAAAUUAGAAUUGGAACAAAGUAGAAAUCUAAAUGAAGUUGUCUUUCAAGUAAAAACAAAGUCAUAAACUGGAGUAGGAAAGUUCGCUGAGAUGACAAGCAGCUACCUCACAAUACUCCACAAGAUACCUCGGAAACGAAGAGAAUGGAAGGUAUCACAAAAAUCCCGGCUCGUAACCUACAAAAAUUUGUAGAAGCAAGGGGUGAGUACCAAACCACGCGGUACCCAACAAACAAACCUCUAAACACAAGUUAAGUGAACAAAAUAUGGGUACUCCUUACACCCUAUCUAAACCUCCACGCUACAGCCUAACAGUUUACCAAACACACCACUCAAUAACCACACUCUAUCAGUUUACACAUUCUCAAUAACAACUCAAUAUUCAACAAUCACAAAAUUCACAGAGAAACAAUCACAAGAUCAGCAAAACACAUGUUCAAGUUCAUUAAUAAUAAAAUGUGCAAUGUCAUGAGAUGCAAUGUCAAGUAUAAUGAUGCAUGUCUUUCUUAACGAUACACACCCGCUGUCUCUCAGUCCGGGACCCAUGGGGGACAUAUCUGUCCAUGCAUCUGUCGCGGCGCACGACACGACCCUCGAUAAUAGUAACCUUCGCGGCGCGCGAUACGUCCCUCGAAAUAUAAUAUCCAUCGCGGCGCGUGAUACGACCCUCGAAAAUAGUACAUCCUCUUACCACAACCAUGUCUCAGAUACAAUGCAAAUGACAUGCUCAAAUGAAAAGGAGGAGAUAACCAUUUGAUAACAAAGCACAAUUUGCAACAAGAAAUACAACACUAACAAAUAAGCAACAAGUCUCCAAAUCAUUCUCAACAUUACACAAGGAAAUACACGAAUUUCGUACGCUUAACAAGAGUUUAGAAAUCCACUUGCCUUAGCCAAUCGAAUAAUUACUCUUGGACUUGAGCCUUCCCUUUCUGUUGAGCUUCUGAACCAAUGAAAUCUAUUCAAGUAUAUAUUCACAAUAAGGUUUCAGAACUAACAACACUCACACUUUUAUGCGUUUAACCUUGACCUAAGAAUUCACUAGAAUUUAUAAUUGAAUUCGUAAAUCUUGAUGCCAAUUAACAUUUCAACUAUCAUAAUUUUUCAAGUUCCGAAUCUAAGGUGGAGUCCACUCUUCUCAAUAUCAUAAUUUGAAUUAUAUUCAUAUAGUAUAAUAUACUUAAUACUUAUUCAUAUGCACCCAAUAUUAUAUAUAAUAGUUAAAGUUGUAACACGAUGUUCAUAAGAGAUUUCCAACAUGAAACUAAAACACGAAAAAGGUAUCAAUUUAGGUAAGAAUCUUACGACCCACUCUUCUAUGAAUUCUCAUAAUAAUUGUGCAUAAUUGAUCCACUAUUUCAAACCUCACAGUGAUAUAUAAUAAAUUCCUAGCUAAUAAAUCAAUUAGGUUAGCCAAUCAUACCCUAAACCCUUUGAAAAUUGAUUAGCCAAUACUCACUUUCUCAAAUUCUAUAAGAAAACGACAAACACAUACAUAAAUUUUCUCUGCCAAGAACUUAUUCCAAAUCUCCAAACCCCAAAUUCAAUUCUAAUAUAAUAUUAAUAUAUAUGUGUGUGUGUGUGUGUGUGAACAACAAUUAAUGCUAGUAUGCAAAGCAAUUAAUGCUGCAUCAUAUGAGAAAUUAGAAAAGCUUCAAAUGAUUUUGUUUUUCUUUACUGUUCACGUGACUUUUCUGUUAUUUUUUUUAACAUGCAAUCUGCUUUCAUUGUUGUACACACACACAUAUAUAUAUAUAAAAUUUAAUAUAUAAUAUUGAUAUGUAUGCACAUGUAUGUGCAGAAAAUAAGAAACUAAAGAAAACGAAACUUACCUUAAGCAGUUCGCAGCCGCAAGUGCAGAGACACCCUUUGUCUCUUUUUUUUUCUUUUCCUUAUUUGAAUUUAUUAAGUACUAAUUGUGAUAGGUUUUACCCACAUAUUUUAUUAAAUAAAGGGUAACUAGUAUAGGGUCUUAAAUAAAUUAUCACUUUAGCCCAUAAACUAUCGAUUAAUUAACUCAAGUUAAGCAAAUAUUCAAAAUUUCCAAAAAUGACCUUCCGGGUCAUUACAUCAAUUUGUUAUUUUUUUAAGGCAAAAGUAUUCAUUACCCCCUGAACUUGAAGCUUUUUAUACAAUGUACACCUAAACUUUAUUUGGUUUUAAUUACCCCCCUGAACUUGCUUAUUCAUCCUACACGUACACCUUUUUCGUCCACUCAAUAUGAUCGCGUCUACACGCGCAUGACACGUAGAUAAAUAAUUUACCACCUAGAUAAAUAAUUUGCCACCUAGAUAAUUAUUAUGUUACCUAGAUAAUACCGACCUUCAAAUGUAAACUUUUGAAAGAAGCUUCUCGAUUUUCUCUGAACCUCUCUUUGAUCUUCCCUAAACCUAUCUUUGAUCUUUCCUAAACCUCUCUUUGAUCUUCCCUAAAUCUCUGACGAAAGUGUAAUCGACAAAGUAACGAGUAGAUUUGUGCCAUUAGAGAGUUCGUGAAGUGUUUAGUCGAUUUUCUCUAAACCUCUCUUUGAUUUUUCCUAAAUCUCUCUUUGAUUUUCUGUAAACCUCUCACGAAAGUGUAAUCGAUAAAGUAACGAGUAGAUUUGGCAAGUGUAUUCGACAAAGUAACGGUAGAUUUGUGCCAGUUGCAGUUCGUGAAGUGUUUGGUCGUUUUUCUUUGGAUCUUGUCUGAAAUUGUGUCUACAAGUAAGUGAUUAUUCACUCGAUUUCGCGUAGUCUUGAUGUAUUGUUGUCUGUUUUCUUUACUUUUUCAUACAUAUUUUGCCUAUUUUUCCUAUUUCGUUUAACGUUUCGCCAUAGUUUCCGAUUAGGGGUCUAAUACUUUUCAACUAUAAUUUUCACUUAAUGAAUAUAUUAUUAUGAAGCUUUUUACCUUAUUCAUGCAUAAAAUUUAGGCUUUUUGGUAAAAUUAAGGUUCUAAGUAUUAGGGUUUCUGGUAUUGUUAAAUGGUGGGGUAUUUUAUAAUUGGCAACCUUUAUAAUUUGUUUAAGUAUAUUGUGUGGGAUGCCUAUUGUAUGUUGUUGAGUAAUACAUCUACUAUCCUAAGUACCAAUUGUUGCUUAUGUUUUGGUGUUAUUAUAUAUGUUUCGAUUUUGUUGCUUGCAUUGUACAAUAUACUGAUUAUUAUUGUGAUUAUAGGUUGACAGUAUGACUAGUAAGUACCUCAAUUUAAGGUUCAAAUUUGGGGGUAUGUUGGUGAGUGAGGUAGGUCCAGUAUAUGUUGGGGGUAGGACUGCAUAUGUAGACAAUGUGGAUGAAGAUCAUUUAUCAAUUCCUGAACUUGCAGAUUAUGCUAAGUCUUUUGGGAUUGGUAAGUUAGGAAAAACAUAUGCAGCUCCAUCUCUAGGGGGUGAUAUGGUGGAAUUGAAAAAUGACAUGGACAUUUGUAGCAUGACAUUAUUUAUGCAUGAUGGGGACACAAUAGAUAUUUAUGUGUGUAAUAACACUAUUAUGGAUGAUGUGGGUCCCAGUGAAGGUCAAAUUAGUCAAUCUUUAAGUCAAGUGGUUGAGUCUUUUAAUUCACAUGGGGAAUCUCUAACUGCACAACCAAAAAAAUCAGAUCUAGGUUUAGGUUCCUCUUCUUCCUUUCCAGCUACUGAAAGACUUGAAAAUGAUGGGAUUGCAAGGGUCGAACAAGAAUGCCAACAAGAAAGUGAUGAUGAUUAUUCUUCAAUAGAUUGGACUGAUACUGAAGAAGAAGUUGAACCAACUAUUCAACAAGGAACUGAACCUUCUAUUCAACAAGAAGUUGAGCCAAUUACCCAAGAAAAUGCAGAGGAAGACAUAGACAGUGAUUCUUUCUGUUCUGACCAGUCUAUUGACUAUGGUAGUGAUGUGUAUGAGGAGUUGAGAAUUGUUAAGGAAGAUGUGAGAAAACUUAGAGAAAGUAGGAGGAGAAAGAAGAAGGAAAAACCAAAAGGUUUUUUAGGUGAAGUUGGAUUUGAUGAAGGGUAUGAGGAUAUUGAAAAAGGGAAAAAGAAUUUCAAGGGUAAGCUAACAGAGGAUGAGCCAUACUAUGACAGUUCUGACUGUGAUAGUUUUCAAAGUGAUGAAGAAGAACCUGUUUCUGAUGAUGAACUUGAAGGAAGGAGUUUAAGGGGGAGAAAGAAGAGUAAUAGGGUGGUAUAUGAUUCUUCAUGUGAUAUUGUAAUAUGGCAGUGUGGUUUGAUAUUUGAAAGUGUAAAGCAAUUUAGAGAGGCAGUUACAAAAUAUGCUAUAAAAAAAGGAGUUGAGUUAGAUAAGUAUGUGAAUGAGAGUACUAGAGUGAGAGUGAAGUGUAAAAGUGGUUGUCCAUGGCUGUUGUAUGCAAGCAAGGAAGGAAGGAGUGGGAACUUUACUAUCAAGACAUACAAUCCAAGGCACAAAUGUACCAGGACCACCAAUAAUAUUUUGUGUAAUUGAAAGUUCUUAUGCAAGUAUCUGAAAGAUAGGAUUAUUUCUCAACCUAGUAUAAAAGGGUGGGAGAUACAAGAAUUGGUGAGGAAAGAGUUGAAUGUUCAUGUAGGCAAGGCAAUUUGUUUAAAAACAAGAAAAAUUAUUUUAAAGGAAAUUAUGGGAGAUCAUGUGGCAAAAUUUAACAGAAUCCUAGACUACAAGGAUAUGUUACUCCAAACAAAUCCUGGUAGCACUUGUGUUGUGAAGCUUAAAGAUUCAGAAUCAGGAAAUGGGAUGAAACAAUUUGAGUCUUUUUAUAUUUGUUUUGAUGCUAUGAAAAAUGGUUUUCAACAAGGAUGCAUAAGAUGUAUAGGGCUAGAUGGGUGUUUUCUAAAGGGAAUUUUCAGAGGUCAACUUUUGGUAGCUGUUGCUAAAGAUGCAAACAACCAAAUGUAUCCAAUAGCAUGGGCAGUCAUUGAUACUGAAAGCAAGUUGACAUGGAAAUGGUUCAUGACCAUUCUGAAAGAUGAUCUUAAUCUAGGAAAUGGUUCCCAGCUAACUAUCAUUAGUGAUAUGCAAAAGGUAAUUGAAUAUCUUUCUUUUGUUUAUGUUUCAUGUAAUUGCUAAUUUAAUUUGACUAAAAUUUAACUUGAUUUUUUUGCUUUGCAACUACAGGGACUAAUAGCUGCUGUAGAUGAACUAUUUCCAGAAUGUGUGCUAGACACAUAUUAGCAAAUUGGUCACAAAACUUCAGAGGCUUAGAGAGAAGAAAGAAAUUUUGGGCUUGUGCUAGAUCAACAUUUGAGGCACAAUUUAAGUACAAUAUAAAUGUCCUGUCCAAGCUGAGAAUAGGUAUUGUUGAAUCCCUUAUCAAAUACAACAAGGAGACAUGGUGUAAAGCUUUUAUUCAAACAUUUUCAAAGUGUGAUAGCAUAGAUAAAAACAUGGCAGAGAGUUUCAAUUCUUGGAUCUUGGGACCUAGGAACAAGACCAUUGUAACUAUGUUGGAAGAAAUUAGAGUUAAGGUGAUGAGUAGAGUGAGUAAGUCAAGAGCAUUUGCUGAAACAUGGACAGAUGGAAUAUCUCCAAUGGCAAUGAUGGUAUUCAAUACAAAUGUAACAAGAUCAAUGCAGUGCAACAUUGAAUGGAAAGGUGAUGUUGGAUUUGAAGUGUUAGAAGGGGUAUACACGCAUACUGUGAACUUGGGUCAACAAAAAUGUAGUUGCAGAUCAUGGGAAUUAAAGGAUAUCCCAUGUGCACAUGGUAUAGCAGCAAUGAACCACUUGAAUAUGGAUGCAUCACAAGCAAUAUCUAGUUGGUAUAGAAAAGACACAUAUAUGAAGACAUAUUUUCAUUUCAUUCAACCAGUCCCAAACAUGGAAAUGUGGCCUGAAAGUAGAAACCCAAUGGUUGAACCACCUGAGGCAAGACAAAUGCCUGGUAGGCCACCAAAGAACAGAAGAAGAGAAAUUGGUGAAGUGAGAAAAGCUGGAAAGUUGCCAAGAAUGGGGACAGUAAUGACAUGUUCACUUUGCAAAGGACCAAAUCAUAACAAGAGAAAUUGUCCAAAAAAUCCUAAAACUAAGUCUACACCAAUACCCACUCAAGAGGUACAUUCAUAUUAAUUUGCUUUUAUAAAUUAUGUUAGAUUACUUAUUAAAUUUAAUGUCUUGUUGUGUUCUUUUUUCAAUCAUAUUAGUCCACCACUGGAAAAAAGAGGGGUAGAGGUCAUUAUGAAAGAACAAGCACCAGUAAGACUGGUACAAGAAGAGGUGCAGGAAGUGGUUACAAGAAGAGGCCUAAAGUUGUUGGACAAGGUGUAUUUGUUGCUGAUACUGGAUAUACGUGUAUUAAUGUAAGUGUCUUAUAAACUGUCAAAAUUAUAUUUGUCUUCUAAAUGUGAAUCCUAAAAUAACUAUGUAGUUGAUAUUGCAGUAAGGAUUGUCUAGCAGAAGGAGGGCUAAUACUGGUGUGGUGAGUUCUGCACAUGUGACAGGUGAUAUUGGUUUUAAACCUACCAAGGGACUGAAGUGGAAAGGCAAACAGGCCAUGACUCAAAGACAACUUCAAGUCGAAAGUGUUGUGCGUCGUUUUCAAACCAGAUCAAAAGCUGAUGGCAUUCAAACAAGGUCACAAGCCAAAGGAAAAUCACUCUCAAAGAAAACUUCUUAGUUGUGUGGUUGUGGUGUCCAACCAAACUUGAAAUAGUGUUUUAUGUGGUUUUAUGUGUUGAUGAAUCUAUGGUUUUUCAAACAAACUUAAAGUAGUUACUGUUUUAUGUUUUGCUAGUUAACUUAAGUUAUUGUGGUUGUUGGUUGGUGCUUGUGUGGUUAUUCAACUAACCUUAAAGUAGUGAUUGUUUUAUGUUUUGCUAGUUAACUUAAGUUAUUGUGGUUGUUGGUUGAAACAAUGAAACACUAUGAUGCUUCUUUUUUAUGAUCAAGAAAGCACUAGUUAUGUUAUGUUUGUUGCCUUCAUGUUAUUAUUUCAUGGUAUCAUAGUACCCAUUACAUGUAAUUGUAUUGAUCAGCAAAAACAGCAAAAACAUACAUUAAUAGAAUACCAAACCAAACUAAUCCACAAAAUGAGUACCCUAGAUCUGUUGAACAAGGAACACCAAACCAAACUAAUAACAAUUGCAUUAAAAAAAAAUUCAACGACACACUAAAUAAAAGAACAAUAUCACAUUGCAUAUCAAACUAAUACCCAAAAUCAGUUUCAAUAUCCAUUUGCACUUGAGUUGUUCUUCUUGUUUGUUGGUUUUCUUCAACAAACCCAAAAUUACAAUAUUCGCUUUGGUCGGAAAUUCAGGAUCAUACCAAUCGAAAAACUUACAAGAAUUUCGAAAUGAGGACUGCAUUCAUAAAAUCAAAGUUAAAAAAAUGAAAUUGCAUAAUACGAACUUGUCAAAUAAAAAGCAAAAAAGGAGUAAGAAUACAUACCCCAUAGUGUCUACAACCGAAAAAUCUACGUCCGGAAUUGUCAUUUGUCCAUGAAAUUUUCAGAAUUGGAGGAGCCCCACAUAAACAAACAAGUCUCCUGCUAUUGCUCAUGAAUUUAGCAAUAACAAUUAAAACAAAAAAAGUGAGAAAAAUCUAAAAUUUGAAAAGGGAGAAGGGAAGAAGAAGAAUAAAUAGGUAGAGAAUAGAGAGAGAAAAAAAUCUUAAAAUAACCCAAAUAUUAAAGAAAAAAUUAGAUUUUUAUUUAUACUACCGUUGUAACUUUAUGAUGUGGCAAAAAAUUGCUGUCUCACGCGCCGUCUAGAGUUUGAUUUCAGUUUCUAUGCCAGGUGGAUGGAAAAGGUGUACGUGUAGGAUGAAUAAGCAAGUUCAAGGGGGUAACUAAAACCAAAUAAAGUUUAGAUGUACAUUGUGCAUAAAUGAUCCACUAUUUCAAACCUCAUAGUGAUAUACAAUAAAUUCCUAGCUAAUAAAUCAAUUAGGUUAGCCAAUCAUACCCUAAACCCUUUCAAAAUUGAUUGGCCAAUACUCACUUUCUCAAAUUCUAUAAGAAAACGACAAACACAUUCAUAAAUUUUCGCUGCCAAGAACUUAUUCCAAAUCUCCAAACACCAAAUUCAAUUCUAAUAUAUAUAUAUAUAUAUAUAUAUAUAUAUAUAUAUAUAUAUGCGCACAAGAAUUAAUGCUUGUAUGCAAAGCAAUUAAUGCUGCAUCAUAUGAGAAAUUAGAAAAGCUUCAAAUGGUUUUAUUUUUCUUUACUGUUCACGUGACUUUUCUGUUAUUUUUUUUAACAUGCAAUCUGCUUUCAUUGUUGUACACACAUAUAUAUAUAAUUUAAUAUAUAAUAUUGAUAUAUAUGCACAUGUAUGUGCAGAAAAUAAGAAACUAAAGAAAACGAAACUUACCUUAAGCAGUUCGCAGUCGUAAGUGCAGAGAAACCCUUCGCCACCUUUUUUUUUCUUUUCCUUAUUUGAAUUUAUUAAGUACUAAUUGUGAUAGGUUUUACCCACAUAUUUUAUUAAAUAAAGGCUAACUAGUAUAGGGUCUUAAAUAAAUUAUCACUUUAGUCCAUAAACUAUCGAUUAAUUAACUCAAGUUAAGCAAAUAUUCAAAAUUUCCAAAAAUGACCUUCCGGAUUAUUACACCCAUUUGUUAUUUUUUUAAUUGAUAUAAUUUUUGGACACCCUCAGUAAAAAUUUUUACUACGCCACUGACUACAUAGGUGAUUAUCAACAUGCUUGCUUCACCUAUAUAGUUAUAACAAUCGGGUUUCAUCGUUAUAGAAAUGCUAACAAGAAAAAAAUCGAGGCCGAUAAAACCUUUUCAUAGUGUUGGAUUAAUUUUCUGCAGAUUUGAAGAAAAUCGGAGUCAUCAAGGUGUAGGAAAAUUUGAUAGUAAUUGGUUGAAUUAAAUAUGAAUUUGAUUACAUAAUCGGUUAGAUAACUCAUUAAGAAGUUCAUACGAUUUUACGGAAAUAAAUUUGGAUAAAUAGAUCUCCAGGAAUCUAUUCUGGCGUUUAGGAUAUUUUCUAAGCGUAGUGGGUUAAGAGUGUGAUGUAAAAGGGGAACUAAAACUUCCUUAAGGAGCUCACUACCUCAAAUUCUGCCGUUGCAGCGACACCGCUACAGCGGAAUAGGUACCGCUGUAGCGGACGAGACGGGAAUAAAAUCAUAGGAUUUUUGAGAUUUUUCAAGACGAAGCUCACUAGUUCAAAAGGUACCGCUACAACAAGAUUUGUGUCGUUGCAGCGACGUUGCUACAGUAGUAUGGGUGUCGUUGUAGCUGGACAUACGCAUAACGACUCGUAAAUAAAACCCCUAAACGAUCUUAUUUGAUAAUUUUUGACUUUUAGAGCUAAAGAACGAUCCUUGGGCUAUUCCAACUCGUUUUUCACCAUUCUCUAAGCUAAAGGUAAACUUUUCACUCCCAAAAUUCACUUUUCAAUCUUUAGGACAUAAUAUGAUGGAUCAAUAUUGAUGGAGAAGGAUUUCUUGAUAGAUUUUAUGGGGGUAAUUAACCCUAAUUUGACUACUUGGGAUCAUGAGUUUGAUCUAGGGUUCAUAGAAAUGUUAGUAUUCCGGGUAAUUAGUAAUUGUUUAUUGAUAUCCAUAUUAUUGUGAUUAUUUGUAGACCAAGAUAAGCGGAACGAAUUCGAAAAGGGAAAAAUCAAGUUUCUUAGGGGUUAAGCUUAUUUCGAGGUAGAUGAUGAUUGUGAUUUCGUGAGCUGUGUGAGUUGCAUGUUCUUGCUUCAUUAUGAUAUACUUGCAUGUAUAUGAAUGUCGCAGUAUUGAUCAUGUUGUUGUAAUCGAGAUAUAUGAAGAAAUAUAUCCGUGAAAUCAUGAUGUAAAUGUCUGAUCUUGAUGAUGUACUUGUGAUUGUGAUUGUUUUAUGUGAUUGGGGAUCGAAUUGACACGUUUGACAAGCUAACGUUUAAAAUAUUUUAAAUUAUUAAUUGAUGACGUACUUGCGAUUGGGAUUGUGGUAUGUGACUGUGGAUCAAAUCGUUCGUGUCCACCAAAUUAUAGUACUAUAAAGGUGCAAAGUCCAAAAUAAUUUUAAAAUAUUUUAAAUUGUUAAUUGAUGACGUACUUAUGAUUAUGAUUGUGGUAUGUGAUUGGGGAUCAAAUAGUUCGUGUCCAUCAAUUUCGGACUUGCACCUUUAUAUUUAGUUUGUUGAAUAGUUCAUUAGUAAUUCCUUGUUUAUACUUGAUUAUUCGAGAGUAGUUUUGGUAUGGUACAUUGACUUUGAGGUUUUAGGUUUAUCUUCCACAAAUGCUAGUUGUUAGAUCUUUUGUUUAGUUAUGGAACUUCAUUUUAAGCCAGUUGUUUCCGCAACUUAAAUGCCCUAGUUUUAGAAAUUGCUUUAGUUGGAUAGAAGUGGUGGUUCUCCCACCGGCUUAUAAGUAUGGAUGCCAACCAAAACGGGUUUGGAUCCUGACAAUGGUUCUACGCUUACAUAUACAUUUCUCUAUUUUUUUAGAUUUUCAUUUUAAUUUAUUUAUCUUGCUUUUUAACUUUCUUAUAUAUCUAAAUAUUGCGUUAAAAAUACUAUAAACCAUGCUAAUUGACAACUUAGAAUUCAUAUAAAAUUGAUUGCUUAUAAAAUGAAAUACGAUUGAUUCAUAUAUUAAUCUAUCUAUGUCAUAUAAAAUGGGACAAUAGAAGUAACAUGUAUUAUUUUAAUUUGGAAACUACGUACAUAGUAUUAUAAAUCUCAAUUAUUAAUAACAUAUUGACUCUUGAAAUUUUAUUUGUACUACAUUUAUUGAGACAAGGGGAGUAACAUAUAUUAUUUGCAAAAAUUAGGUAAAAAGUACUAUAAUUUGUAACAAUUAACAAUUUAAAAUUAUUUCAAAAUUUAAUUGACUCUCUAAAUUUUAUCUAUAUUACAUUAAGUGGGGGAAAAAAACAAUAAAUACUAGACCCGUGCUAGCACAAACACUUUUAUCUAGUAAUCUAUAUAUCAGUAGGAAACAAUUUGAGGGAAAUUAAGAAACUAAAGCUUUUACAAAAUUUUUAAUCAGAUAACACGAAAAUGACCUUAAAUAGAAAGUUAUUGAGAUAGUAAACAAAGCUAAAAAGUCAGUAGAUAAUUGACGUUCUCCCUCUUUUAUGUACGAGAGUAGGGGCUAGCCUCAUUUUUCCCUCUUCUCACUACUGGUAGAAUUAUUUAGUAACUAUAUAGGUUCUUAUCAUAUUAUGUUUAAUACUAUUUGUUGUUUUAUUUGUUUUCUAUCUUGUAGUUUGUUACAUUUUUCUUGCAAUCUUACAUUAGUAAUAUUUUUUUUGAAUUUAUAGUCUUUCAAAAAUAAUUUUUAAAUCUCACAAAAAUAAAAAUAAAGUCUACAUACAUUCUAAAUUCAAUAUGUAGCCAGCCACCAUAUAAACGUUGUCACGAAGAAGAACAACAUAUUACACAUAUUUAUGAAGAAGAACAACAUAUUACACAUGAAUAUGUUGUACUUUUGUAACGACCUGUUUAGUCGUUUUGAGCAGCAGAUUUUAUUUCUUGAAAACUGGCUGAGACGACGGACCUCACGACGGACCGUCAAGGGUGUCUCGUUCCAAAACACUUGGGAAUUCUGAAAUUUGAGUGCUGAAAUCGACUCUCUGAACUCUGUGACGGACCUGCAGGACGGACCGUCACAGGCACGACGAACCGUCGUGAUCCGCCGUUUCAAAACACUUCAACUCUUGAGAAUUUGGUACAGGAAACGAUUCUCUGAACGUCGUGACGGAAGUGCAGGACGGACCGUCGUAGGUACGACGGGCCUUCACAGACUCCUUAAGGAAAUCGAGUCUCUGACGAACCUGCAUGACAGACCGUCGCAGGCGCGACGGGCCGUCACAGGUUGCGUAAUCCCUGUCGGAGUCGGAUUUCUGGUUAUGUUUUAAAGGGGCGUUUUGGAAUAUUCCUGCUAUAAUUAUAUACUUCGUGGGUUUAUAUUAAUAAUUGAAUUUCUUGGGGGAUAAAAGAGGUAACCUUGAGUUAAAUUGUGGGUUAUUAUUGUCAUCUUUUACACUUAAUUACAUGUUAAUUAGGGUAAAAGAAAGAGGGUUUGAAUAAGAAAAAGAAAAGAGUAGAAAGAGAGAGAAGGAGAAUCGAUAGAGAGAGACGAACGAAAAGGAAAAACAAAAGCUUGAGAAAUUUGCUUGCUUGAUCACGAAUCUUCGGUGGAGGUAGGUUAUGGUUUCUCUUACGAUAUUCGUAGUAAACUCUUAAUAGCGAAUGAUAUGUAUUGAUAAUAUUGUAAACCCUGCUAUGUGCUUAAUUGUAUGCUUGCAUGAAUGUAAUUAUAUAAUUGUGAUUAUAUAAGCAUGAUGAAGUUAUUGAAUCCCAAAUCUUGAAAAACCCUAAUCUCUUUGUUAAUGAUGAUGCCUUGGUAUAAAAGAAGUCUUGAUGAACUAAAGUAAUGAGAUGAUGAUGCCUUGGUAUAAAAGAAGGCUUGAUGAACUAAAGUAAUGAGAUGAUGAUGCCUUGGUAUAAGAGAAGGCUAGAUGAAUUAAUUGAAUGAGAUUAGCGGAUCGGUUGUCACGAACCGACACAUAGAAUUAGUGGGACGGGUGUCACGAAUCGACACAUAGAAUUAGUGGAUCGGGUGUCACGAACCGACACAUAGAAUUAGUGGAUCGGGUGUCACGAACCGACAUAUUGAAUUAGUGGGACGGGUGUCACAAACCGACACAUAGAAUUAAUGGAUCGGGUGUCACGAACUGACACAUAAAAUUAGUGGAUCGGGUGUCACAAACCGACACAUAGAAUUAGUGGGACGGAUGUCACGAACCGACACAUAGAAUUAGUGGAUCGGGUGUCACGAACCUACACAUAGAAUUAGUGGAUCGGGUGUCACGAACCGACACAUAUAAUUAGUGGGACAGGUGUCACGAACCGACACAUAGAAUUAGUAAAUCGGGUGUCACGAACCGACACAUAGAAUUAGUGGAUCGAGUGUCACAAACCGACACAUAGAAUUAGUGGGACGGGUGUCACAAACUGACACAUAGAAUUAGUGGAUCGGGUGUCACGAACCGACACGUAGAUGUAGGGGAUCGGAGUGUCACGUACCGACACAAGAGAAAUAAAGAUAAUGAAUCUUGAAAGAUGUUAAUAUACUCAAUCUAAUGAACAUAAUUCCCAAAUGAGUAUGGUAUUAAGGCUUGAGUCCUCAUGUGUGAACUUGACGGUAAUUGAUUAUGACAUAGUACUUGUUGUUGCUACAUGUUGAGUAUCAUAGUUGAUUUUAUGAUAUUACUUGGUAUAUAUUGAUUUCUAUUUUGAGUUGGCCGAUGAUAUCUACUCAGUACCCGUGUUUUGUACUGACCACUACUUUUAUGUUUUCUUCUUGUUUAAUUGUAGAGUGCAGCAAACGUGCCGUCAUCUUCGACUCAACAGUAACUCUAGUCAGUCUUCAGAUUUGAACUGGGGAAAAAAGGAUUUGCAGUCCUCUGCCUUACCACUCGGCCAUGUCGCCAAAAUGCUACAAAUAUUACUCCGGAUAUCAGGGUGAGCUAAUGCUUCUAGCUUGGACUGGAUCUUCCUCUUCAUGUCUUGAUGCCUUGAAGUUCCGGCAUGGACUAGCUUUUAUGUAUCUUUAGCUUCUUAGAAACUCUUAGAUUUAGUAAUUUGAAGUAGAUGUUCUUGUGAUUAUGACUUCCAGAUUUUGGGAAAUAAUAGUUAUUGAAUUGGGUUUUAUUAAUGAAUUUAAGUCUUCCGCAUUACUUUAUGUUGAUAGUACAUUGAAAUGUUAAGGUUUAGAUUUGGUUGGUUCGCUCACACAGGAGGGUAAGUGUGGGUGCCAGUCGCGGCCUGAUUUGGGUCGUGACAAACUUGGUAUCAGAGCAUUAGGUUCGUUGGUCUCAUCACACAAGAACGAGUCUAGUAGAGUCUUAAGAAACGGUAGGGGGACGCCUUUACUUUUCUUUGAGAGGCUAUAAGACUUUAGGAAAAAUUCCAUUCUUUCUUUCGUGCUAUUACUUGGGUCCAAUUGGUAUCUAGGUGAUACAAAUUGGUAUCUGACCAUCUUCACUCUAUUUUGCAGAUGGUUAGAACUAGAGCAACAACCGCGCCAAUACCAGCACCGGCGGAACAGGGUGCGUCCGAGCCAGCCACUGGGGCUGUAGCUCGAGGAAGAGCAGCGGCAAAAGGCCGUGGUCGAGGUCGUGGGAGGACGUCCUCUAGGGGAAGAGGACGAGCACCUAGCCCAUCUUAUACUAGGGGCAGUGACUCCUCCACCGACUCAGGAAGUAAUAAGAGAAGGGGAGGAUGGGGAAAAUGAACAAGUGCAGAAUGAGGGAUUGCCACCCCAGCCUACCCCAGAGAUGAUAAAUCAGGUGCUCGCUUAUCUUAGUGGGUUGUCUGAUCAGGGUCAGGCACCUCCAGUGUUUUCUGCACCAACACCUCCGGUUUCAGAGGUACAACAUGCAGCCACUAUGGCUCCUCGUAUGGAUGCCUCAUUGGACAUAGGCACGUUUCCACGUCUGACUACUGGGCCUAUAAUGACAAAUGAUCAGCAUGAACUUUUCAGUAAGUUCUUGAAAUUGAAACCUCCAGUCUUCAAGGGUGCUGAAUCGGAGGAUGCUUAUGAUUUUCUGGUUGACUGUCACGAGCUACUACACAAGAUGGGUAUAGUAGAACGGUUUGGUGUGGAGUUUGUGACUUAUCAGUUUCAAGGAAACGCCAAAAUGUGGUGGCGGUCACAUGUUGAGUGUCAACCAACAGAGGCACCACCUAUGACUUGGGCCUCGUUCUCUAGCUUGUUUAUGGAGAAGUAUAUCCCCCGGACUUUGAGGGAUAGGAAAAGGGAUGAGUUCUUGAGCCUAGAGCAAGGUAGGAUGUUGGUCAAUGCAUAUGAGGCUAAGUUUCGUGCACUAUCCAGAUAUGCCACCCAACUUUGUUUCAGUCCACAAGAGCGGAUUCGUCGUUUUGUGAAGGGGUUGAGGUCAGAGUUGCGGAUUUCAGCCUUAUAGGUAGCGGCUACGACAAAAUCCUUCCAAGAAGUGGUAGAUUUCGUGGUAGAGGUGGAAGGAGUGAAGCCAGAUGAAUUCACCUUGGCAUCGACAUCAAAGAGGUUUCGAAAGGGAGGUGAGCUUAAUGGUUCUUACUCUAGAGGACAGGGUUCCGGAGGUUACUCAGUUCGACCCAUUCAGUCUUCACUACAGACUGUAGUUGGGGGUCUACCUCAGACCGGUCAACACUUCUCUGAGAGACCUAUGCUUGACUCUAGAGAGUGUUAUGGAUGUGGGGAUACUGGACAUAUUAGGAGGAAUUGUCCCAAACAAAGUUAUAGACCCCCAAUAGCUAGAGGUAGAGGUGGUCAUGGUAGAGGCCGUUAUUCUGGAGGACGUGGUGGUCGAGGUAAUGGUGGUCACCAAAACGGUUGGGGUGAUGGGCAAACUGGAGCCACUACAUCACAACAUGGUAGGGGCAACAAACAGACAGGUGAGAGGGCCCAUUGUUAUGCUUUCCCUGGGAGAUCGGAGGCGGAGACAUCUGAUGCUGUCAUCACAGGUAAUCUUCUGGUUUGUGAUUGCAUGGCUUCUGUAUUGUUUGAUCCUAGAUCCACAUUUUCUUAUGUAUCUUCCUCAUUUGCUAAUGGUCUAAAUUUACAUUGUGAAUUACUUGAUAUGCCUAUUCGUGUUUCUACUCCGGUGGGUGAGUCUGUGGUAGUUGAAAAGGUAUAUAGGUCUUGUUUGGUGAACUUUAUGGGGAGCAACACUUAUGUAGAUUUGGUUAUCUUAGAAAUGGUUGAUUUUGAUGUAAUUCUGGGUAUGACUUGGCUUUCUCCGCAAUUUGCGAUCUUGGAUUGUAAUGCUAAAACGGUGACGUUAGCCAAGCCUGGGACAGAUCCGUUAGUGUGGGAGAGUGACUACACUUCCAAUCCGGUGCGUAUCAUCUCCUUUCUUCGUGCUAAGAAAAUGGUUAGUAAAGGGUGUUUAGCUUUCUUGGCACAUCUCAAGGAUGACACUAUCCAAGUACCUUCGAUUGAGUCGGUUUCGGUGGUCCGUGAGUUUCGGGAUGUGUUCCUUGCAGAUCUUCCUGGUAUGCCACCAGAUAGGGAUAUUGACUUCUGUAUUGAUCUUGAACCGGGUACUCGCCCCAUUUCUAUACCCCCUUAUAGAAUGGCUCCCGCGGAGUUAAGAGAGUUAAAAGCCCAACUUCAAGAGUUGUUGAACAAAGGCUUCAUUAGACCAAGUGCAUCUCCUUGGGGUGCUCCGGUUUUGUUUGUGAAGAAGAAGGAUGGGAGUUUUCGGAUGUGCAUAGACUACCGGCAGUUGAACAAGGUAACCAUAAAGAACAAGUAUCCUCUUCCUCGCAUUGAUGACUUAUUCGAUCAGUUAUAAGGUGCUUGUGUCUUCUCUAAGAUUGACUUGAGAUCCGGUUAUUAUCAAUUGAAAAUACGGGCAACCGAUGUGCAAAAGACUGCUUUUAGAACCAGGUAAGGGCAUUACAAAUUUGUAGUGAUGUCUUUUGGUCUUACGAAUGCCCCUGCUGCUUUCAUGAGCUUGAUGAACGGGAUUUUUAAGCCAUAUCUGGAUCUCUUUGUGAUCGCAUUUAUUGAUGACAUACUGAUAUACUCUAAAAGUAAGGAGGAAGAUGAGGAGCAUUUGAGAAUGGUAUUGGAAAUGUUGAGGGAGAAAAAGCUUUAUGCCAAGUUCUCUAAGUGUGAGUUUUGGCUAGAUGUAGUGUCCUUCUUGGGGCACGUGGUUUCUAAGGAUGGAGUGAUGGUGGAUCCUUCCAAGAUUGAGACAGUGAAGAAUUGGGUAAGACCUACUAAUGUGUUAGAAAUAAGGAGCUUUGUUGGUUUAGCUAGCUAUUACCGCUGAUUUGUCAAGGGAUUCUCUUCCAUUGCUUCCCAACUGAUGAACUUGACUAAGCAAAAUGUCCCAUUUGUAUGGUCGGAUGAGUGUGAGGAAAGCUUUCAGAAGCUCAAGACUUUGUUGACUACUGCACCAAUUCUCACCUUGUCAGUGGAAGGUAAGAAUUUCAUUGUCUAUUGUGAUGCAUCCUAUUCGGGUUUGGAUGCAGUGCUAAUUGCAAGAGAAGAAUGUGAUUGCUUAUGCUUCAAGACAAUUAAAAGUGCAUGAACGUAACUAUCUAACUCAUGAUUUGGAAUUGGCCACGGUAGUGUUUGCAUUAAAGCAAUGGAGACACUAUUUAUAUGGGGUUAAGUGUGAGGACUACGAAAUCACUAUUUUGUAUCAUCCGAGGAAGGCGAAUGUUGUAGCGGAUGCUUUAAGUAGAAAGGCGGGAAGCAUGAGAAGUCUAGCUCACUUGCAAGCUUCUAGACGUCCAUUGGCUAGAGAGGUUCAGACUCUAGCUAACGACUUGAUGAGAUUAGAAGUAAAUGAGAAGGGAGGAUUUUUAGCUUGUGUGGAGGCAAGAUCUUCCUUCCUUGACAAGAUUAAGGGAAAGCAGUUUAAUGAUGAAAAAUUGAUCCGGAUCCGAGAUAAAGUGUUGCAAGGAGAGGCUAAAGAAGCGACAAUCGAUGAGGAAGGUGUUUUGAGGAUUAAGGGAAGGGUAUGUGUACCCCGCGUCGAUGAUUUGAUCAACACUAUUCUGACAGAGGCUCAUAGUUCAAGGUAUUCGAUACAUCUGGGUGCAACCAAGAUGUACCGUGACCUAAAGCAACACUUUUGGUGGAGUAGAAUGAAGCGUGAUAUUGUGGAUUUUAUUGCCAAAUGUCCAAACUGUCAACAAGUAAAGUAUGAACACCAAAGGCCCUGAGGAACACUUCAGAGAAUGCCCAUUCCGGAAUGGAAAUGGGAGAGAAUCGCAAUGGACUUCGUGGUUGGUCUUCCAAAGACGAUGGGUAAGUACGACUCUAUUUGGGUGAAUGUUGAUAGGUUAACUAAGUCUGUUCAUUUCAUUCCGAUCAAGGUGACUUAUAAUGCAGAGAAGUUGGCCAAUAUCUAUAUCUCAGAAAUCGUUCGAUUGCAUGGGGUUCCACUAUCCAUCAUAUCAGAUAGAGGUACACAGUUUACUUCUAAGUUUUGGAAAACAUUGCAUGCGGAAUUGGGUACUAGGUUGGACCUUAGUACCGCGUUCCAUCCUCAGACCGGUGGUCAGUCUGAGCGAACGAUUCAAGUGUUGGAGGAUAUUCUUCGUGCGUGUGUGAUAGAAUUUGGUGGCCAUUGGGAUAACUUCUUACCCUUAGCGGAGUUUUCAUACAAUAAUAACUAUCACUCAAGCAUUGAUAUGGCUCCAUUUGAAGCAUUGUAUGGUAGGAGAUGUAGGUCCCCCAUUGGUUGGUUUGAUGCAUUCGAGGUUAGACCUUGGGGUACUGACCUUCUGAGGAAAUCGUUAGAUAAAGUGAAAUCUAUUCAAGAAAAGCUUCUAGCGGCGCAAAGUAGGCAAAAAGAAUAUGCAGAUCGAAAGGUUAGAGACUUAGAGUUCAUGGAGGGUGAACAAGUCUUGUUGAAAGUUUCGCCAAUGAAAGGGGUGAUGCGGUUUGGUAAAAGGGGCAAGCUAAGCCCAAGGUACAUUGGUCCCUUUGAAGUACUUAAGCGAGUAGGGGAGGUGGCUUAUGAGUUAGCCUUGCCUCCAGGGCUGUCCGGAGUACAUCCACUAUUUCAUGUGUCUAUGUUGAAAAGAUACCAUGGGGAUGGAAACUAUAUUAUCCGUUGGGAUUCAGUUUUGCUUGAUGAGAAUUUGUCUUAUGAGGAGGAGCCUGUUGCUAUUUUAGAUAGAGAAAUUCGCAAGUUGAGAUCAAGAGAAAUUGCAUCCAUCAAAGUUCAAUGGAAGAAUCGACCAGUCGAAGAAGCCACUUGGGAGAAAGAGGCGGAUAUGCCUGUUUACAGAUUCAGGUACUCCUUUUCGCCCUUGUUUUCCUUCUUGUGAUCGUUCGGGGACGAACGAUGGGUAAAUUGGUAUCUAAUGUAACGACCUGUUUAGUCGUUUUGAGCAGCAGAUUUUAUUUCUGGAAAACUCGCUGAGACGACGGACCAUCAUGGGUACGACGGACCGUCGAGGGUGUCUCAUUCCAAAACACUUGGGAAUUCUGAAAUUUAAGUGCUGAAAUCGACUCUCUGAACUCUGUGACGAACCUGCAGGACGGACCGUCACAGGCACGACGAACCGUCGUGAUCCGCCGUUUCAAAACACUUCAACUCUUGAGAAUUUGGUACAGGAAACGAUUCUCUGAACGUCGUGACGGAAGUGCAGGACGGACCGUCGUAGGUACGACGGGCCGUCACAGACUCCUUAAGGAAAUCGAGUCUCUGACGAACCUGCAUGACGGACCGUCGCAGGCGCGACGGGCCGUCACAGGUUGCGUAAUCCCAAUCGGAGUCGGAUUUCUGGUUAAGUUUUAAAGGGGCAUUUUGGACUAUUCCUGCUAUGAUUAUAUACUUCGUGGGUUUAUAUUAAUAACUCAAUUUCUUGGGGGAUAAAAGAGGUAACCUUGAGUUAAAUUGUGGGUUAUUAUUGUCAUCUUUUACACUUAAUUACAUGUUAAUUAGGGUAAAAGAAAGAGGGUUUGAAUAAGAAAAAGAAAAGAGUAGAAAGAGAGAGAAGGAGAAUCGAUAGAGAGAGACGAACGAAGAGGAAAAACAAAAGCUUGGGAAAUUUUCUUGCUUGAUCACGAAUCUUCGGUGGAGGUAGGUUAUGGUUUCUCUUACGAUAUUUGUAGUAAACUCUUAAUAGCGAAUGAUAUGUUUUGAUAAUAUUGUAAACCCUUCUAUGUGCUUAAUUGUAUGCUUGCAUGAAUGUAAUUAUAUAAUUGUGAUUAUAUAAGCAUGAUGAAGUUAUUGAAUCCCAAAUCUUGAAAAACCCUAAUCUCUUUGUUAAUGAUGAUGCCUUGGUAUAAAAGAAGGCUUGAUGAACUAAAGUAAUGAGAUGAUGAUGCCUUAGUAUAAAAGAAGGCUUGAUGAACUAAAGUAAUGAGAUGAUGAUGCCUUGGUAUAAGAGAAGGCUAGAUGAAUUAAUAGAAUGAGAUUAGUGGAUCGGGUGUCAGGAACCGACACAUAGAAUUAGUGGAACGGGUGUAACGAACCGACACAUAGAAUUAGUGGGACGGAUGUCACGAACCGACACAUAGAAUUAGUGGGACGGGUGUCACGAACCGACACAUAGAAUUAGUGGAUCGGGUGUCACGAACCGACACAUAGAAUUAGUGGGACGGGUGUCACGAACCGACACAUAGAAUUAGUGGAUCGGGUGUCACGAACCAACACAUAGAAUUAGUGGAUCGGGUGUCACGAACUGACACAUAGAAUUAGUGGGACGGGUGUCACGAACCGACACAUAGAAUUAGUGGAUCGGGUGUCACGAACCGACACAUAGAAUUAGUGGAUCGGGUGUCACGAACCGACACAUAGAAUUAGUGGGACGGGUGUCACAAACCGACACAUAGAAUUAGUGGAUCGGGUGUCACGAACCGACAUAUAGAAUUAGUGGAUCGGGUGUCACGAACCGACACAUAGAAUUAGUGGGACAGGUGUCACGAACCGACACAUAGAAUUAGUGGAUCGGGUGUCACGAACCGACACGUAGACGUAGGGGAUCGGAGUGUCACGUACCGACACAGGAGGACUAAUGAAUAUGAGGGAACGGAGUGUCACGUACCGACACAAGAGAAAUAAAGAUAAUGAAUCUUGAAAUAUGUUAAUAUACUCAAUCUAAUGAACAUAAUUCCCAAAUGAGUAUGGUAUUAAGGCUUGAGUCCUCAUGUGUGAACUUGACGGUAAUUUAUUAUGACAUAGUACUUGUUGUUGCUACAUGUUGAGUAUCAUAGUUGAUUUUAUGAUAUUACUUGGUAUAUAUUGAUUUCUAUUUUGAGUUGACCGAUGAUAUCUAUUCAGUACCCGUGUUUUGUACUGACCCCUACUUUUAUGUUUUCUUCUUGUUUAAUUGUGGAGUGCAGCAAACGUGCCGUCAUCUUCGACUCAACAGUAACUCUAGUCAGUCUUCAUUACUCCGGAUAUCAGGGUGAGCUAAUGCUUCUAGCUUGGACUGGAUCUUCCUCUUCAUGUCUUGAUGCCUUGAAGUUCCGGCAUGGACUAGCUUUUAUGUAUUUUUAGCUUCUUAGAAACUCUUAGAUUUAGUAAUUUGAAGUAGAUGUUCUUGUGAUGAUGACUUCCAGAUUUUGGGAAAUAAUAGUUAUUGAAUUGGUUUUUAUUAAUGAGUUUAAGUCUUCCGCAUUACUUUAUGUUGAUAGUACAUUGAAAUGUUAAGGUUUAGAUUUGGUUGGUUCGCUCACACAGAAGGGUAAGUGUGGGUGACAGUCGCGACCCAAUUUGGAUCGUGACAACUUUCUAGUUUAUGCUUUUUAUUAGAAUUUUAAUUUCAAAAUUAUGUACUUUGAUUUUUUUUUACUAAAGACAAUUAUCAUGAAUAUGUACUUUAUGAUUCACCCACCAAUAUAAAGUACUUAAAUUUGAUUAUGCGAAUGCAAGAGGGCUAAUAUAUAUAGUCGCCUUUUUUUUCUUUUCGAGGUUUCAAAUUUUACGUUUCAAAUGCAAAAAUGUAAUAGUUCAUUUGCUAUUUGUGCAUUGAACUAUUCUUUCCUCUUUUAAUCCUAGUUAAUUAAUAAAAUGGUAUUUACUAAUUUUUGAUUAUAUAUAUAUAUAUAUAUAUAUAUAUAUAUAUAUAUAUAUAUAUAUAUAUAUAUAUAUAUAUAUUUAUUGUGAACUCCUUAUCUAUGUUUGAAUAUGUGCCACUUGAGUUGCGUGAGUGCAUAGAAAUCGAAAGCUGAAUCGAUUUUUUUAUUUUUGUUAUUGAUUAAAUUUUGAAAGCAAAAUCUUUGAAGUGUCAAUAUUUCGUUAGAUUGUCGAUUUUAGUAUUCUGAUAUUUCUAUGAAGUUGUUCUACUGAUUUCCUUUUAUUUUCAAUAAUCCAAUUGAGCGCAUGAAACUGAUAAGUGUGUUUGGAUGGUUGUUACAUGUAGGGUUGUUCAUGGUUAUGGUUAUAAAAUUAAAAUUGUAUUGAAAUUUGAAUUAAAUUAAUUAAAAAAGCAUAUAUUUGAUUUGAUUUGGUUAUGUUUUAAUUUUAAAAUUUUGAAAAAUUGACAUUAUUUGUUUUGAUUUUAUUAAAUAUUAAUCGCAAAAAUAAUCAAAUCGAAAUGAUAAGCUAUAUAUAUAAUUUAUAAUUAUUCGUAAAUAAAAUAUAAGUAUUUUGAUAAAUUUUAAUUAAAUUAAAUCUUUAAUUUUACUAUUUUCUGAAGUCAACAUUUAGGACCCGUUUGGUAGGAAGUAUUAAUCAAAAUAAUCCAUGGAUUAAAAUAUAGUCCAAACAAAAACAUUGUUUGGUUACUUUAUUUAACCUAAUCCAUGGAUUACUAAUACCUUUUACAUGGUCUUAUUUUAUCCCUAGGAAAGGGAGGGAUAGCUAAUCCAAGGUUUAACAAUCCUUGGAUAAGACCCCUAAUGACUAAAUUUUCUCCAAAUCUUUUUUCCUAUUUUUUUUUUUUUGUAAUUCAUGUUCUUUUUUAAUUUAUAUGAGAAUAUUUAUAAUUGUUCAUUUAAUUCUCCAAAUUUAUUCCAUGUAAUUUGAUGAUUUCACAAACUAAUAUUUUUUUCUCCAUGUUUGAGUUGUUAUAUUGGGUUGAUUUUUUGUUUUUUUGUUUUUAAAUGUAGUUCGUCAAUUGACCAUGUAAACUAUUUUCUUUUUAAUUUUUAAAAUAAGCUAAGCGUAUUUGAACAAUUUAAGUAGCCUUAAAUUCAUGUUAAGUUCAAGGUAUAUUUGACCAACAAAAAAUUAGAAAUAUACCAUGUGACAUAACACACCUCAAAAUUAAUAAUAUUUUUGUAUUUUUUUUAAUAUUUAACUUGACUAGUUAAAUGAAACAUAAUCUCACAAUAACUAAAGGGUAUAAUAGGAAAUAAACUUUUUCUAAAGUUUUAAACCAAACAUAAGACUAGGUAGGAAAUAAUGAACCAAACACUUGCUAAAAAAUAAUCCCUGCAUUACUAAACUCUGCAUUACUAAUUCAUGCAUUACUAAUCCAUGCAUUAGUAAUCCCUGCAUUAUGCAUCUUUGUACCAAACGACCCCUUAAUUUUUAGCCCAACUAUUAUAGCCUUAACUCUAAAUCUCUCAAUAUUCAUUACUUUAAUGAUUACACUUUCUUUCUUUAUAAAAUUUCCAAACGUAACACUGAAUAAUUUAAAAUUCAAGCUAAAGAAGAUGAUAAUUGAUUAAUUUUGACUAUGAAAUAAUGAUUGUUAUAUUUUUAAAAAAAAAGUAAUUUCUCAAUAUUUUAAGUUGUGAUUUUAUUGAAAAAUUGGAUAUAAUGUUGAUAUCUCUAGAAUAUUGACCUACUUUAUGUUAUUGACAAUAAAUUUUUUUUUGUUUAUGAAACGUGAUAAAUUGGAUGAAUCAAUUUGUUCAUACAAUAACUUAUUGUGAAUUAUUCAUGCACUAAGUGUUUGUAUCUAUCGAGAUGUGUAUGUCCUCAACAAACUUAUUACUUUCGAAUUGAAAAAUAUCGAAAAAAAAUUGACGAUUCUUUUAUUUGAUUUGAUUUAAUUUUAGAAAUUUAAUAAUCGAUUUAAAUUAAUUAAUUUUAAUUUUAACUGUUAACCUAUCUAAAUCAAAUCAUGAACAACCCCUAAUUAUAUUCACGAUUUUAUAAAGUAUUUAUUUUAAUUUUGUGUUAUAUUGUUUUUUUUCUCAAAAUAUCUAAUAGAUCAUAUCAUUGAAACAAGUUAGGUAAAUGAUAUAUAAAAUACUAUUAUUAAAUAAUAACCAACAUUAAAAUAAGAAAAAAGAAAGAAAAUCAUUACUUUGAAUAAUUUUUUUUGGCUGUUACAUAGCAGUGAAUUAAAAGUAUAAUAUUAUAAAUUUUAGUGACAAUAAAAAUGGACACUAAACAAGCACAACUAACUAUUUUAUUGGAUUUAACAGCCAUCUAAAUUGCCGUAACCAAUUGCCACUAGAACAAAUAUGUUCUAGUGGCACUUUAAUUGUUUUUAUCGGCUAUAAAAAUGGACGCUACAUGAGAAUAACUAACCUCUUAGGAUUGGAUUUAGCAGGCUUAUGAAUUGUCACAUCAAAUUGCCACCAAAUCGAAUGAGUUUUGGCAGCAAAAGAGCUUGGCUUUAUCAACUUUUGUCCAAAAAGCCGCAAAAGCCUUUACCGACCCCUGAUACAGCGACUAAAGUACAUUAGCUAGUAAUGGCUAUAGCGGCCAUAAUUAUAGCUACUAAUACCUUUUUUAAUUGCCGCUAAAUCCCCUUUAUGUUGUAAUAGAAUUUCAUGUUGGUGUGAUGCAUGUUAGUAAUUACUUCAUUUUUAUGCACGUAUAUAUGCAAAUAUUGCAUUAUUGAUCACACUAAUCGUACAUGAGUAUGAAUAAAUAAUUGUAUGCAAAGGAUCAACACUUGAUUAUAUGAUUAUGAGAAUGUACAUUAUGAUUUUGAUUAUGGUAUGUUGAAUGGAUCAAAUGUUACAUUCCAACACACUAACUUGUAUCGGAUGUCAUGUUCUGGCGCAUAUAUGGGAUCGAAUGUUAAGUCUGACACACUAACUUGGAUCGAGUACCACGUAGUGGUACACUAAGAGUUUGGGUAUGGGUUCCUUGAGAUGACCAUUGACUUGUUAUAUUGAUGUAUUUCGAGAAUGUGGAAUUAUUCGUUCAUAUUGAUAAGAUGACUGAUAUAGCAUAUGUUCAUUAUAUCUUUUUUUAUUAUGUUGUGAGUAAUUGCAUAUGUUUCACUUAUUGGGAUAGCCGCGUGAUCCUACCAGUGUACUGUGGUUGUGUACUGAUAUUAUAUUUGCUCUUUCUUUUUUAAGUACAGGGCAUCUUCAAGCGGCUACUGACAAACCUCAUUCAGAAGACCAAUGAUCAAUCGAAUUCAAGGGUGAGCCAGUUAUUCCAGGCGGUCAUAAGUUCUCGUUAUGUUUAGUCUGUUACUAUUCAGACUUAGACAAUACUUUAGUUUUCCUUAUGUUUAAUUGAGUUAUACCCAUUUAAUUUAGACUUAUGGAUUCUUGUUAGAGUUUUCAUUUGGUACAUUGACUUUCAGGUUCUACGGAAUAAUUUUCGCAAUGUUUUGUUAGUCGUUGUUAGAUCUUUUAUAGUUUAUGGAAACUCUAUCUACUCUUGUAUCUAAAUUUGCUUUCGUAUCUUUAAAUGCCUAGUAAUUGAUUGAGUUGUGUAGUUCCUUGGUUAGCUAAUUAGUAUUAAUGGUUCUUACGUUGGAAUAUUAAACUUGCUUUCGUAUCUUUGUACUAAUCCCAACAAUAGUUAUCUAUUAUUCAGGUCCGUGAUAGAGUAAAGUGCAGAAAAUGAAUAACAAAAAGUAAAUCAGGCACAAGAGUUUCAUGUGAAAACCUCCUUGUUUAAGGGUGUAAAAUCACGACCUGUCAAAUAUGACUUAUCAAACGGCUUUCACUAAUUUUCUCAAAGCAAAAAUAAAAACCAGUUUACAACCACACUAGAGAUUAACCUCCUAAUCUCUAAACUAAAGUAAUACAAAUUACUUAAUGAGCCUAACCAAUAAAUCUAUUUCCCCUUAAACUAACCCUACUGAUUAAUAUAGAUUUUUUAUCAUAAGACACAAAUUUACCCUUAACUAUGUUCUUACAAGACUCAAACAGUUUUGAAACAUCUCUAACAAGAGUGAAACGAAUUCUACAAGUUAAGUUCGAUCAAAUACAAACAUUCAAGAACAACAACACGUACGUAAAACACUUCUUCUAUUGAUCAAGUCCUUACUGUAUGUGUUCUUGUGCUUGAGUUCUUACUUGAAGAUGUCUUUUUCCUUUUAAGCUUGUGAGUUUUGUUUGCCAAAUCUUGAGUUUGUGGUUUUUGAGAAGAGACUAUAUAAAAAUCAACACAAACUCGACCUUAAGACAAUCCUAUUGGCUGAAAGUUUGCUGUUUAAAAAAGUUUUGCACCUAUCAUAUCAGAGGUGACAACUUUUAUGACAACUGUCUUAUCACCAUUUCAUAUAAGCAAUCUUUUAAGGAUCAAGUCUCGUGCAACAUUCUUUGUGAGUUCUUGAAUGACUUGCUAACUCUCUUGCUCUUCUGAAUGAAUAAAUAUAAUAUGUUAUUUGUCAUGUUGAAAAUAUUAACCAUAAAGAGUUAUUAACUGUUGGACAAACAACCUCGUCCAUUUUGAUUGGUUCAGUACGUUGGUGUCUCACCAACCAAUGACAUGAUAACUGUAUAGAUGUACGCCAUUAUGCGUAUGAUGAAGAGAACUCUGUCAGGGAUCGGAUCCCAGCGUUUGUGAGCCACUGAAACAUACAGUUUGGCUGCUCAGUAUACUGCACUUUUCACCUACCAUCUGACAUGACAACUUUACAGUUGUACCCUAUUUGAAUCUGAAUGAGAGCAUUCUGCCAGGGACCAGAUCCUUGCAUUUGUGAGAAUCAUCAAACCACCUAGAAUAUAACAAUUAUUGACUUGAAAAACACCUUGAGAAAGAAUACUAGGAAUCAUAUUACUAUAUUAUCCUUUGAAUAUAUUAAAUGUAAUGAUUUGAGAAAUGUAUCAUGUAUUGACUAAUAUUUAAUACCAAAGAUAAAAUAGACACUAAAGGGUAAAGUAUGUCUUGAUUUUCCAAAUUGGUCAAGUACUGUUGUACUACUAUUUUUUGUAAAGUGUAUAAGUAAAUAUGAAUGGAGGGAUCGAGUAAAAGAUAUACUCCCUCUGUUCCUAAUUAUUUGUUCAAUUAUUCUUUUUAACUUGUCUCUUUUAAUUUUACUUGUCUAUUUUGACAAAUAAAUAAAGAAAAAAAUAUCUUCACCUAUUAUACCCUCAAUUAAUUAAUUUUAAAAAAGGUAAAACUUCUUUAACUUUUAAUUCAUCCACUUUAUAAUUAAUUGGGAUAAAAUGAUGAAAUUGACUAUGUCAAUCAUUGUUUUCUUAUAGGUGUUUGAGAUUAAAAAAUGGACAAGUAAUUAAGAACAAAUAUAGUAUUUUGUAAAAAACUGAUCUUGGUAAUAUCACAGACGAUGUACUAUAUAUGUGCUUAGGAGUUAAGGGAGACAAAAUCAAACUCAAUCUAUCCAACCCAUUUAUGUUUGGAUGUGUUAUUGACUCACCCGUUCAUGAGUUCAACCCAUUUCAAUCCAACCCAUUAAGAUCGUUUAGUUGAUAUGUAACCCAAAGCUCAUUAGAAAUAUUGUUAAAAUAUUUUUAUUUUAUUUUUUAAUUUGAUAAGUAAAAUAUAGCCAUAAUUUAUUUAUUUUUAUAAUUUAUUAGAUACUAAAAUAUUUUAAAAGACCAAGUUACCAAUUAAGUUUAGUAAAAUUUGGAUUGGGUUGAAUGUUCACCCGUUAUGUAACCCAUUACUCACCUAUUUUAACCGAAGUAAAUUUGGAUUGAAUUGAAUUGAAUCCUACCCAAUUAUUAUUUUAACCCAUUAUGAUUCAUUUAAAUUUGACUCAACCUGAUCGAUUGCACCCAAUAUGUGCUCUGUUUUUAUGCCUUUUACUUCCUUAUUAAACAGAAACAUUCACUGAACCUAGUUCUUUUACAACAGCGACGCAUAUUAAAAGUUCACAAAAUCUGAUACAAAAGAUGAAAUUCUUGUCAAACACUUUAUACGUGAUAUAUAUAGUAACCCCACUUGCCAAUAAUAAUUUGAAAUAAUAGUCAAACUUUGGUCCCCAAGAACAAACCCACACAAAAUGAUCAAAUGGGUACCCUUUUUAAUUCGUUUAAUAGUUAUCUUUACGGGCCCUAUAGGCUAUAUAUAGUUCUUCAUUAUUCGCAAUGUAUCAAUAAAAGAUCCGUGAAUGUACUUUAUAGUUGAUACAGACCACUUUAGAGUUUAGAUAUUUUAUUUCAAAUACGUACACUUACGAUAUUUUAUUUCGAAUACAUGACUUUAGUGUUUAGAUAUUUUGCACAACCAAUUAUUUAAACAAAAAAAAAAAUCAUAGAUAUAUAAGAAAAAGUGACCUUUGGAUAUUUCAUGGUCUCCAUUAUAAAUACAUAGUGCUAUAAAAGUAAUUAAUACAUGUAUUAUCCAGGACCCAUCUUUAUUAAAGUUUUUAAAUCUUAUUAAUACCAUUAAAUCAAAUCCAAGUAGAUACACGUCUUAAACUGCAUUACGUACAUAAUAUUUUUGUAUUAAACACAAAUUUAGUCGGCAAAAACGUUUAUCCUAAUAUAAUAACGAAACGUGUAUAUGCAUUGGCUACUAAUUAAUUGUCUAAUUUAUUCGGUUUGAACUUUUUUUUUGAAUACAAACAACAUGAUGAUUCAUGCAAAUUAAUUAGUGGACCUAUACCACGAAUUAAUGGUCUUGAAACCCUACCACGUAUUGGAAAAAAAACAUGAUUAAACAUGUUAUUUAGGAAAGUUCAAACUAAACAUCAGGUCGAUUAGUAAUUUAGUUUUAACUAAUGCUACCAAAGAGUCUGAUAACACGUUCAAAUCGCCUAUAUUUUAGUGAUAUUUUAAUCACUCCAAAAAUUUGAACUUCACUCCAUAGAAAUAUGGGUAUUCAUAGAUAAAAUAUGAAUAAACUUAAUGGAUUAUACCGAUUGUCAUGAAACAUACUCUAGAACAGAUUAUCCUUGACAAAAAAUAUAUACUAGAAAAUUAACGUAUCAAUACAAUUCUUAAUUUCUCUUGAUUCUUUUCUUUAAGAAUUCUACAAGAACAUCCCAUCAACUUGGUUCAUUGUAACUAAUUCAGUAAAUUUGAAACCUUAUCUUAAAAUCGGAUUACAUAGCUGCGAAAAUUAAUUUCUCAUGAUCCAAUAAUUCAAACUCCUCUUGCGUACGUAGUAUGAAUAUCUUUACAACAAGUUGGAACUAAAAUUAAAUAUAUGAGGCGUGGUAAAAGUUCAUAAAUUCCUGUACAAAAGAUGCACUUUUUAACAAACACUUGAUAUAUACUCCCACUUGACACCAAUAAUUUGAAAUAAUAGAGAAACUUUGGUCCCCCAAAAACAAACUCACACAAACCGCUUAAGUUUGUUUAAUAGUGGCCGACAGGGCUCUUCGAUGGCGGGUGGUGUGUGUGCUUUUCAUCAACUUUGAUACUUUAGAAUUCUUCUCCACUUUUUCCACUUUGUAUCAUGAUCAUUAACAAUCGAAAUAUUGAUGAUGGAUCUAAAAUUUUUACUAAAAAUAUAAUAUUUAGUGAUUUGAAUUUAAAAUUAAUUGGAAUUUCGUAAACAACAUCUUUGGUUCAAGUCAAAUUUCAAAUGAAAGAAAUCCAAAGAUAUUAACGAUGAAACAAUGAUUUCAGUGAUUUCGUUUUCUAUUAUUUCGUUAUAGAAAAUUCAGAAUCUCUCUUUAUAUAUAUUGUAAUAUUGUUUUAGAUGCCUAGAUCUGCCAAACAACACAAUCGUGUUAGUAACGGAGUUAGUAAUUUGACGAACGAUAUGUAAAUUAAAUACACACUCAUAUUGACUAAAUUUUACUUUUAUACACCAUAUAAUUUUCUAAUGAAGGAUGUACACCGAACUACCAGCCAAAUGGUCUUAGCCCUUGAAUAUGAUAGAGCUCUUCCACUGAGAGAGUUAAAACAUAGAUUGAAGCUGGGUGUACUUCAAAAUUUUAAGCUUCGUCCACUUAUGUAUAUUAAAUCUAAAGUGAAGUAUGUAAUUAAACUAUGUGCAUAUGGUUUUUCCUUAUCGGCAAUCAAUAAUGUUGAUAAUGGGGCCUCCUCCUUAUAUGCACAUCACAUGCGUUAAAGCUCAAGUUUGAUCAGUGUACUUUCCCGAUACAGACCACUUAAAGUUUAGAUAUUUUGUUUCAAAAUACUGUUUAGAUAUUUUAUAUAUAUAUAUAUAUAUAACAGAUAAUAAAAAGGAGAAAUUACAUAUUUAAGCAAAUAUAUUAGUUAAUUAGUCAUCACAGUUAUAAUUUUAGUUAAUUACUAUCCAUAACCAACAUUAAGUGAUAAUUACAUGAAUUGGAGUUUUGAGUUUGUAUAAUUCACACGUUUGUAUAAUUCAGUAGUUGUAUAAUAUAUAAUUUAUAUAACUAUUUAAAGUUUAGAUGUUUAUGUUUGUUUGAAUAUGUUAUUUUGAUUUUAUACAAAAAUAACUAAAUUAUACAAACAUACCCAUGAAUUAUACAUAUUCACCAGCAAAUUAUAUAAAGAAGCAUCUUAAACGGCAGCUACAACCUACAAUCCAUAAAUGUACAAGCUGUCUCUAUAAAACAUAACUAAAUUUAUUAUAUAUUUGACUAUUUGUGAAAGUUCCUCGGAUAAAAAAAAAAGGAUCGACCUUUGAAUAUCUCCUCUUAUUAUUAAGAAGCCCGUCGUGUUAUAAAAGUAAUUAAUACAUAUAUUAUCCAGGAUCCACACCUUUCACCAGCACUAAAUAUCUUCUUCCUUAUUAGAGUAUAGUUUAAGCCCCAUUUUGUGACCAUCAAAUGUAGUGUAUGCCUUUAUAGUUUGGAUUGACUUUAAAAUUAUCUUGUAAACUACAAGAUAAAACUAAUAAGUUAGGAAAUAUUCAACUUUAAGCAUUUAGCCUAUUUUGAGUAUUUUGGACCUAAACUUAGAAUUUGAAGGCAUUUUUUUAAAAAUCUUUUCCAAACAUUAUACGAAAUAGAAAAAGAUCUCAAAAGCCAAUAACAGUCAAAAUAAGUCAAUCCAAACGUUCAUUUUCUACUCCUUUUAACUUACUUUUAUUUAUUAUUUAUUUCUAAAAUAGAUUCCAUUUUUACUUGUCACUUUGACAUAUCAAGAAAAAACAAUUAUCUUUUUCCAUGUUUUAUCCUCAACAUUAAACACUAUCUCCAAAUCAUUUUUCAAGACUUUAUACUUAACAUCAUUUAAUAGAUAUAGUUUGGUAAAAUACCUAUAUCAAUAAUUGUUUUCUUAAUGAAUGUGUCAAGUCAAACAGUGACAAGUAAAAGUGAACUGUGGGAAGUGCUAAAUCUGUUUAGGAAACACCAUUGGAUAGAUGCUCAAGUACCUAAUGAUCUAAAUUUAAAUCAAUGUAAUCGGAUUUAAAGUUUUCUCUAGCCAAAUGAAAAAUUGAGGUUCUAACUCUUCUUGAAGUUUGAGUAAUAUACAAAUGAUUAUGCCUUUCUAAUGUGCAAACACUUAUUUUUCAACAUUGCUUUAACUACGAUAUAGAAAUAGAACUUGUUUUGUAUACUAUUAAAUAGAACAGUACAAGUUCAUCCCCACUCCCACGUGAGAGUUUUUGCUAUAAAUGCAGAACCCUUCAUUCCCAUUUUCAUCACACUCAACUCAACUAGCUUUCAUUAGUUAUUGAGAAACAAAAAGGUUAGUGAAAGAGAGAAAUGGAAGGUUGUUGUAAUAACCAUUACAAUUUUCUCACUAUCUUUCUUAUUUUAUUAGCCUUCACUACUUCAACUUCAUCAACAAGGCCAGCAACCGGACAUACAAACACAGAGUUCAUACGAACAUCAUGUAAGUCAACAACUUAUCCUAACCUAUGUUUCAGUUCAUUAUCAAGCCGUUCAAGUGCUAUUGGAGUUUCUCCACAACUUUUAGCACAUGAAUCUCUCUCCGUUAGCCUCGAAACAGCCCAAUCAACAUCCGCUAUGAUGUUGAAAUUGUCACACAGUCAAGGCAUGACGCCUAGAGAAGUAGGCGCCAUGCAAGACUGUGUGGAGGAAUUAAGUGACACAGUAAGUGAACUCAGAAAAUCUUUAGGAGAAAUGAAGCAAUUGAGGGGAAGAGAUUUUGACAUGAAAAUGAGUGAUAUUCAAACAUGGGUAAGUGCUGCCUUAACCAACGAAGACACGUGUACGGAAGGAUUCGCCGGAAAAGCGAUGAACGGAAAAGUUAAGACAGCAAUAAGGGGAAAGAUUGUUGAAGUUGCACAUAUGACAAGCAAUGCUCUGGCUUUGAUCAACACCCUUGAUGCCCUUCAUGGCUAAUUAUAUAUAUUUGCAUGUGUUAUAUAUUAAAAUUAAUCUUCUUUUAAAAAGUGUGUACUAGUUCAUUGCUGUAAUAUAAUAGAUAAGAUAUCUUCUUUUGUGAUGAAUUUCUUAUAUGAAAUUGUUCCUCCAAUUUACUGAAUGAUACACGGUGCAUCAAGAGUACUUUCUUUGAAGAUAUAUUCCUCCCCAUGUUUUACUUUAUAUGAUUUAACUAGGAUAACUUUCACAUAUAGCAAACAAAAAAUUCAUAUUUGUAUGCUAUAACAAACUUUGCAUAAUUGCGCUCCAUAGUAUAACUGUAUAAUUUGCUAUACAUAUACAAUUGUAUAAUUCGCUGGCCUAAAUUGUAUAAUUCGCUGGUCUAUUUCGCUGCAAUUGUAUAAUUUGUUUUGCAUACAGUUGAAUCGAAUUAAAAUGUAUGUAUAUUGCAUAAUUAUAAGUGUAUAGCAAGAAGAUAUAUGUUUUUCUCGCUUUAUACAAAACAGAAACAAAGUUAUACACUUCUGUGUAUAAAGCGAAAGAGACGAGCGAGAAUGGAGAGUGGCGAGCGAGAUUUUUGGGAGAGAGACACUGGCAAAUUUUAGCUAAUGUUUUCUAUGGAGCACAAUUAAAUCAAACCCUAGCUAUUCCAUUUAAUUUAGGUUAUUAGUUUGCUAUUAUAUACGAUUUUCCCGUUUAAUUACCUCUAAUUCAUUUCAAUUUUAAUAUUUUAGUGUGACUAGGGGUGUAAUUUGAGAUAAUAGGAAAAAACUUUUGUGUUAUGUGAUUGUUAAAAUAAAGUCUUAUAAUAGAAAACAAAUCAGGUAAAAUAUUGAAAUUAAACAAUUAUCAUCAUUAUAUUUAUAGUAUAAAUUUUAUACUACAAAAAUUAUAAUUUUCUAACUUAAAUAUUUUAAAUUAUUAUAAUACUCUCAACUAAAAACACUUAAUGAAGCAUAUUUUCUACAAUUUAUAUUCAUAUUUAUUUAUAUAUUAUAUUAAAAGUAGAUAUCUGUUCACAUCGAAAAAUUGUGAUUUUUUCAAAUAAUUAUGAUUUUUCCAAAGAGUUGUAACUUCUUUGAGGAGUUGACCUUUCCAAUGAGUUGUGAGUUGUGAUUUUCCAAUGAGUUGUGUUGCGACUUUAUUGAAGCGUUAUGACUUUUUUGAUGAGUUGUGAUUUUUUUUAUGAGUUGUGACUUUUUUGAUAGAAUUGUAAUUUUCAUAAUAAGGACAAUAAGCACAUAUUAAUAAACCAUUUAUUGGCUAUAAAUAACAAAGUUUAAUUUCCUCUUGUUUUAGAGCCUGUUUGGCUCAGCUUAAAAGCUGGUCAAACUGACUUAAAAGCUGUUUUUUGACUUAUUUAACUGUUUGGCAAUACUCAAAAUAGCUUAUUUUAAGUUUAAAAAAAACUUAUUUUAAGCCAAAAGUUAAAAGCUGGGGUAGGGGUGCUUUUUUUUUUUUAGCUUAUAAGCUGUUUUAAGUUGACCACAUUUUUAUGUUUUUUCCCUUAAUAUUUUUAUACAAUCUUCAAAUUACCCAUAUAACCCUAACAUCUCUUUCUUCUAUUUUUCCCUUUUCACGUUUGGCAUAACAACUUCAGCACUUUUAUCCAAACGCAUAACUGCUUAUUUUAAAAAUAAGUUUCAGCACUUUCAAAAGUACUUUUUUAAAGCUGCUUUUAUUAAGCCCAUCCAAACGGGCCCUUAGACUAUAAAUUUUUUAAGUUUUCUAUACUUCUUACAAAAAGGCAAGUGUAAUUUAUAGUCGUUAAGUGAAUUCUUGUUUUAGACUAUAAAAUUUUUAAGUUUUCUAUACUUUUUCUUCUUACAAAAAAGCAAGUGUAAUUUAUAGUCGUUAAGUGAGUUCGAAAUUUAACAAAAUUUAAAAUACUACUAUUCUUGACAUACAAAAUGGCAUGUCAUCAAAUAAAUUUUCAUUUGGUAAGAGAAUGAAUUAUCAGAAUAACUAUAAUUUAGGUAUAUACCUAAUUACAACAUAGAUGCAACACACAUAAUCAUUGCUUUAUAAACUAAUUAUACCUAUAAAUGGUUGCUAAUUAAAGAAUAAGUAAGAAAAAUAGAACCUGAAUUUGUCACUUUCUCUUAAUCAUUUCUUUGACGUGGCCCUUUUUUGACAUAUAGUAUUUUGAGGAUAAAAUGAGUGUUUAUACCAAUAGUAAUAGGAAUAAUAUUAGGAGUGUCAACCCUGAAUUGAGCUUUGUAGUGGGCGGUGUUUUACAUCAUAUAUAUAUAUUUGAGGAACAUCAUUUUAACAGAAUGGUGAGAUAUAUAUAAGAAACAUAGGAAGAAUUGUGAAAUGUUUAACGACGUAAGAACUGCAAACAGGUUUGGGGCUUACCUCUAUGUAGAAUUUUUAACCUAAAUAAUUUGUUAUCUGACCUAAGGAAUAGGGCCACAUCCAGGCAUGAGUCAAUCGCUAACUUGCUAUUUAAUAUUUAGGCACAUGGACAGUCAUCUUUCAAUAGGGCCCUUGAGAGUUGCAUUAGUGCUUUGCCCCAACAGACUUUGUUUGCAUGUGUGGUACUAUUAGAUCACAUGUUGUCGAAUAGCAUUUGUUAAUUAUAGUAACUGUGCCGUGUGUAUCUAACUAGUAAGCACCAUUUCGGGUUUGUUUUGUAAAUAUUUUUCUGAAAAAUCAGGGAUUCUUUUAUUUAUUUUCUUGUGUUUGAUACGCAAACAAAAUAUAUAUGCACAUACACAAUGAGCUUGCAAAGCAAGGGAAGGUUUAAAUGCAGUUGCUUUUUAUAUCAAGCAGAAAUGAAUCAGUCAUUUUGACAAAGAGCUACUUUUCCUCAUGAAUAGCCUUUCAAACUGAAAAGCAAUGUGGUCUCUGAAAAAAAAACAAGUCAUGAUCUUUCUAAUUGUGUUGGUGAUUUCUGGCAAACUUGUUAAUUGGGAUAAAAGUUAUUUCUUAAAUGCUCCUAAAACAUCUGCUUACAAGACCAAUAGAAUUAGAAAUUGUACUGGUAUUAUGGAACAAGUCCUCUUUUCCUUUACUUAUCUUGGAUGUCUCCUGUAUGUUGGUAGAAAAAGACUGCACCUUUUGAUCAUAUGGUUAGUAAAGUGGUUUAGAGGCUUCCAUAGUUGGCAUGGCAAGUUACUAUCCUAUUAUGGCAACAUUGUGCUAAUUAAGAGUGCUCUUCAAUCUCUUCGCAUAUAUACUUCAUCUUUGGAGAAGACAUAUAGGAAGAAAUCACCUAGAAUUUUCGUCGACCUCAAGGUUCUCAACCCAUUUCAUUGAGCACUAGGUCACACUUUUGGAUGCCUCGGUGGUCAACUUUUGUCAAAAAUAAAUAUAUUGUAAAAAUAGAUCUCACUUGAUCAAUAGACAAUGGUAUUCAUAAUUCCAUGGCCGGACGCAUAUGGUUCAAGUAAGGUAAAAGCAGAGGUUCACAUGAAUCAGCAAAUCAACUCAGUUACUUACAAAUCUUUGGCGGGCAAUUGGUUUCGUAAGGGUCAACUUGCUCAUCUGGUUCCUAACGGGAUCACAAGCUCUAUCUGCUAAAGAAUUCAUCCUUAAUGGAACACAGAAUCUGGCUAAAUUAAGCAUAGACCAUAUCCCAUUUAGAUAUUUAACAGACGCUUGGUGGCAAGAAAGAACUAUAAAUGAUGUGCAUAAAUUAAUCCCUCAUAUUACUCCUAUAAAUUAUUAUAUGUUGGAAAAAAAAAAAGAAAUUAACUUUCUAUCUGUUCAGCAGCUUCUCUAGUUGAGGAACCACUAAAUGGGCUUUUGGUUUUGUAUCUGUAGCUUCAAUUAUAAUGUUUAAGGAAGAAUAUGUUAGGUAAUGUGUACAUUAACUACACAAAUUUGGCAGAAUAAUAUGCUUAAAGUUACCAGAAAAACAGAGCUCAAAGUUGGAUGUGAGCGUGAAAAUAGAUAAUUUUAUGAAAAAGUUGGUAAAAAAUUAUGUCUUACUAAGUAGAAGUUUUGACCAAAAUGAGCUAUUUUUAAAACCAAUUCAUUAAAAUAAUACGUUUUAAAGUUUUUUCACAAAACUAGUAUAAACGUACUUUAUGGUAACGUUUUAGGAUAUUUUCAUUAUAAAUAUUCAACGGACAAAAAGUUAACGGAUUAUCGACGUUAAACGCAUAAACAUAACUAUGAGUAACGUUUUAGGUGUAAAACGUUACUCAAGAGUACGUUUUUGGAGAAUCCAAUCACGGGCCACUGACUCCAAUCCUGCAAAAGCGGAGUAAAAUCAUUCAACUGUAAAACGUUACUAUGAGUAACGUUUUACACUUAAAAUGUUACUUUGAGUCCCGUUUCUUAAGAAUCCAAUCACGGGCCUUCGACUUCUGCAAAUUUAGAAUAUUUAGCUAUAAAACGUUACUCAGAGUCACGUUUUACCUUAAAAACGUUGCUGUCAAUUACAACACUCUAUUAAAGUUAUAUUCCUCCAUUUUUCAAACUGACCGAAGUGACUAUAAAUAAAUGUUGUUGUAAUAUUUUGCAUGUUCAAAUACAAUUCAGCUUAAUUUUUUCUUGUGUGGUCCAUUUUAAAAAUAAUAUUCACAAAAUUUCAUCAGGUAUGAAUUAAAUAAGUGAAGUUUAUCCUUUGUUAUGUUCUUAUUAUAGCUUUAAAAUUAUCUUUCUAAUUUAAUAAUAUUGUUUUAAAAAAAUAUUUUAUCUUUAUGUGUAGGAUUAAGAUGACGAGCUUUGAACAUAAUGUGAUGGUUGCUUUGUAUUGGGGUGGAGAAAUAAUUGCAGAUAUGAACAGAUUUAGGUAUACUGAAUGUGCUAGAACGAUUAUUAGCAUGUCGACUUCAACUACCUAUGUUGAAUUGGUUGGAUUGUUGCAUGAGAAAAUGGGAACAUAUAGUGAAAAUAUUCAUAUGGAUAUUUCUGGAAAAUAUCCAUGUUCAAUUCAAGGUAACAAUACAAGGUUCAUUGAGUUUAAAAUUGAGAAUGACCAAUCUUUGUUACAAUUUCUUUUCAUACCUCAAAAAUUUGCGGAUAAGAUUGACAUAAAUGUUUUGGAGAUGUAUGUAAAGACUGUAUCGACAGAUCAAAAUGUUGCAUUUCAAGUUAGUGGUCAUUAUGAUUAUCACAUGAAUUUGUUGGCUCAAAAUUAUGACCUUACCAUGAUCAAUCAACCUCAUGUUGUAGAACCGAUUGUUCAACCACCAUUUCAACAAUUGUUGAUGCAUGAUCAUCAAUUUGGUGAAGGCUCAAGUAGUCAAAUGCAUAUUGAUAAUAGUCACAUGGAAUAUGAGGCUAGGUAAACAACAAAUCUUUAUUUUAUUAAAUUUUAGUCUAACAAUUUAAUAAGAUAAUUUUUAUUGUCAGUAUACACAAAUUAUCUCUUAUAAAUAGAAGAAAUAAUAUUUUAGAGUAUUUAUUAUCGCUUUUAAAACAAGCUUGUAUAUUUAUAAUUUUGCUAGAAUUUGACUAAUAUUUUUUUUACAGAGAUAUUGAUAUCAACGUUGAUCUAUAUAAUGAUGUAAAUGCUGAAAUUAGUGAUGAAAGUUCGGAGGAAGAUGAACCUCCGAAAGAUGGUGAUGAAAGUGAACCUGAUGAAGAUAUCGAUGAUAUUAGAGAUUUUUCUCAAAAUGGUGUAAAUCUUCAUAAUCAUGAUCAGGGUGUGUCUCAUGACAUACCUUAUUUCAGGACAUUAGAGAAUGAGGAAGACAUUUUCAUGUCUACAUGUGAAUCUGAGAUGGAAUGUUGUUCAGUUUGGUCUGAGCAAGCAAAAAAAGAUUUAAAAAAAGGUAUGCUUUUUAGUAGUAAAGAAAAGUUGAAAAUGACUGUAACGAUUUGGAGUUUGCACAAAAAUAAGGAGUUCAAGGUGGUAACAUCUACCAAAAGUCUAUGGGUUGUGAGAUGUAAGUUUUAUAAUUUAUUGGGUUGCAUGUGGUUUCUUCGAGGACGACAAGUUGGAGAAAAAUUUUGAAAGAUCGGAAAAUAUGUUGAAAACCAUAGAUGUGAGACUGAGGGGCUUUCUAGUGGUCACGCCAACCUAAAUACCAAUUUGAUUGCAUCACUACUUCUAAAUCAAAUUAGAAAAAAUCCUAAGUUCUUGAUGGUAGAUGUCAUUUCAAAGGUUCAUAAAAAUUUUGGUCACCAAGUGACAUAUAGAAAAGCAUGGAUUGGACGCAACGCGCGUUUGAAUUGGUGUAUGGUGACUUUAAGAAAUCAUUUAGUGAACUACCUAAAUUUUUUGCAGCUUUUCAACACUUUAACCAUCAAACAAUUGUGGAAUGGAAACACGAAGAGUCUAUGAGUUCAUCGGAGGUAAAAACUUUUAAAUUUGUAUUUUGGGCUUUCAAGCCAUGCAUUGAUGGAUUCCAAACAUGUCGCCCAGUUAUUUCAGUAGAUGGAACUCAUAUUUAUGGAAAAUAUGAGAUCAAAUUAUUAAUUGUUGUUGGAAUUGAUGGAAAUGAUAACAUUCUCCCUUUAGCGUUUGCUAUUGUAGACAAAGAAUCAAAAGAGGCAUGGAAAUGGUUUUUUAGAAAUUUGAGUGCACAUGUGAUGAAAAGUAGACAAAAUGUAUGUGUUAUAUCUGAUAGGGCAAAAGGAAUCUUGACUAGUUUGCAGGAGUUGCGGCGAUUUCAAGAGCCUCGAGUCUUUCAUCGAUUUUGCAUAAGACAUCUUAAGAGCAACUUUCAAUCUAAAUUUCCAAAUAAGGACCUCAGCAGAUUGAUGUAGAGGGCUGCUUCAGCCCAUCAAGUAAGGAAGUUUGAGUCCAUGAUGUGGCAAAUUAAAGAAGAAAAUAUCGAAGCACAUGCAUACCUCAUGGAAAUUCCCUUGGAUAAAUGGACUGUUAGCCAUGAUGAUGGAAAAAGAUGGGGAGUGCUGACGACAAAUCUUUCAGAGUCAUUCAAUGGAGUGUUGAAAAGAGCACGAGGUUUUCCUGUCACUUCUAUGAUUAGACUUUCAUUGGAGCAAACUAUUGAAUGGUAUACCCGUAGGUCUCAAAUAGCACACCAACUUGCAGAGCAAAAUGAAUUAUGGACCGGUAGGUUCAAAAUAAAGUGGGAGAAGAAUUAUGAAAGUUUAAAGAGGCACUUUGUUUUUGAUUGGAAUAUACCCACAGGAGUAUACGAGGUUAGAUCUAUACAAGUUGAUGGUACUGGUGGUAAUCCUCAUUGUGUUUCACUAAAUGAAAGAAAAUGUGAUUGUGGAAAAUGGGUUAAUCUGCACUUCCCGUGUUCACAUGUCAUGAAGGUAACUGAUAGAAUGGGAGGGCUAGCUAGAAAUUUUGUUAGCGAGCAUUUCACAAUAGAGAAUUAUGUUGCAACAUAUUCUGGGUCAUUCUCACCAAUUGGUCAUGAGUCAUAUUGGCCAUCUCCAAGUUUUACAAUGAGAAGUAAUGAAUUCUAUCGUCGUCCUAAUCGGCCAAGGACAACUAGAAUACAUAAUGAAAUGGAUCGUAGUUCUACAGUGUAUGAGCGAGCUUGUGGAUUAUGCAGGCAGACAGGACAUGAUAAGCGUAAAUGUCCCAAUUGUAAUUAAAUUUAAGUGAAUAAUUGUGGGUCAAUGUCUAAUGGUGUUAAUUUUCUUUAUGUUAUCUAAUGUAAUAUGAAUUUUUCUAGAUUGCUAAUAAAGAAAAAUUAUUAAUGUUAAUUUCCAAAUUUCCAUUUAUAUUAAUUUCCUUUCAAUUAUUAGUGCAUAAAUUUAUCUACUACAUAAGCUUAAAUCUUAGAGGAAAAAACUAACUUAACUUAGAAAUUCUCAGAUUACUAACUUAGAAUCUGCAGCUGAACAAAAUUUCAUAUUUGUUGCCAACCUUGGUGAUUCCCAAGCUUCCAACCUUGGUGAUUCCCGAACAAAAUUUCAUAUUUCAAUUAUUAGUGCAUAAAGUUAUCUAUCACUUUUCACAAACUUGAAGUUACAUUAAGGAAUAGUUGAAAAACACAAACUAAAUAGAAAAUAAUAUAAACAUUCAUGUAUUCAUAGAACAUGUUGCUUUACAAAAUAAUGACUAGUAGUUUCAUUCUUCACAAAGAAUCUCUACUACUAAAUAGAAAAUAAUAUAAACAUUCAUGUAUUCAUAGAACAUGUUGCUUUACAAAAUAAUGACUAGUAGCUUCAUUCUUCACAAAAAAUCUCUACUAUUCACCAAGGGUUAUCCAGAAUAUCAACAAGCUGCAUCAACCUAAGAAAAAAUGAUUAAGAAAACUUUGAUGAGUUACAUGCACCAAGAAUCUCAAUCUAUACUGAAAGCACAAACUCAGUGGCACAAGCUAGCACGUCAAGUUUCAUUAUUUUUAUAUAUUUUCAGAAUUUACAGAUGUUCAUUUGGCUGCCCAAAUAACUUUUGCUACUCUUUGUCGUGUCAUCAAAGAAUCUAAACAUCUUACAAGAAAGUGGGGAGAUCUUCAUCUGUUAACUACUUGUUAGACAUGAGAAUUCAAUAUUUUUAGACAUGGGAAUUAUAUGUGAAUAACCACAUGAGAGAUUUGUGCAAUGUUUUGAUAACAAAGAGCAAACUGCAAAUCCCAAAUGAAAUAAUAAAGAAAGAUAUAGUAAUAGUGAAUUUAUAAUGCAGUUCCUAGAACUAUCCUAGAGGAUAAGAACAUCCGAAGCAAUUAGCAGAUAACAACCAUGUCUAAAAAUAUUGAAUUCCCAUAUCCAAAAUUUACUUAAAACAAUUUUCCAAUAUCUAUCGAGAGAUGAAACAACACAAACAUUAAAUUAACUCGGAACAAUUGAAGCAUUUCAGAUUCGGAACAACUCUGUUUUACCAAAACAUGGAAGAAACAAUUGAAGUAUUUCAGUUUUGGAACAACUCUGUUUUUCACAAGUUCAUUAUCAAAAUGAAAGGUAGUUAUCAUUCGAUCAGUUAAACAUACUGUAAUCUCAAACAUGAGAUGGUCCUUUAAAUCCCACAUUCUUUCCUACUCACUUAAUAUAAGAUUAGCAACACUAAGCCUCCUGACUAUUUUGUAUCACUUAUAUGGGUCAUUUACUUCCAUUACUAUUAGUACCAGUAUCAAAAAUUCUAUUUCUUGGCAUUUUUUCGAUUAGGCAACCUGUGAACAUUUAUUUUUAUACAAGCUACCUUCCAAACUAAAAAAAGGACUGAUUCCAAAAGGUUGUAGGUCUUCUAAGUCAAUUUCUCUCCAUGAAAUAUUACAUCCACCUCGUCCCUUUUAGUGUCUUCGAACACCAUAAUAUCAGCACCUACAAAUUGGUGCACUUGGAGGUCUAUAUAUGAUAUGUCCAAACCAUUCUACGCAUGUGAUUUGCACCCUUUUUAACCAUUUGAUAAUUUUCAGUACUCUAUAUCUUAAUAUCAACAUUUCUAAUAUUCUAACUUUUUGAGCAAAUUUAUUUCACUCAACUGUUUUUCUAAUUCAGAUUUCAAUAUUUUUUUUCGUUCUCCUUUUGUCCAACCAUCUAGCAGAGCAACAUGGAAAAUUUAAAAAAAAAAGAAGAGUUUUCAGAGCAACCAUCCAACAGAGCAACUUUAAGGUACUAAAUCAAAGAAGAAGUAGAUCUCAAGCAAUCCCAACACAGACUCUUCAUCACAAUACAAUUUUCAACUAAGAAAAUAUCAUACCCAAUUUUACCUAAGACUGACAAAGAAGAAGAAGGAGUACCAAAUUUGGAUACCUGAAACCUCUCAAUUACAGUUCUUUGUUUCUCGUUGCUUUUUUUUUUGCCAUGCUGGUAAAGAUAGUGACUCCCUGACAAACAAGAAUAAUUUUCAGUUGUUCGACUAAACAAAGGAGUAUUUAUGUCAAAAAAAUAAAAUAAAGAUGUUAAUAGUACCAGUCCCACAACGCUUAAGGAAAAAUCCUACGCUUCUCCUUCACUGAUGGUUCACCACAUUCGUUUGCAUUCUCCACUUCAUCGUUGGAGUCCUCUAAAUGAUUAACAACACCAGGGGUCUCAAUGGAUAUUGGCAGCCCAGGUGAUGAAUUAAAGUUGGGGGCAUUCUCAAAAUCUUGAGGUCGAGAACCACCAAAUACAUUCUCAAGUGAUGAAAGACUAGAAUUCCUUAAUAUUUGUGAUGCCAUGUAUGGAACAAUAUCAGUAUUUGUUGGUUGAUAUGUCAUACCUGAUGCCCCGGGAGUGAAUUCUUGAGUUUGGCCCCUUGAAAUGGAACCAAAAUCACAAGUUGUGUGAUCAUCUUCGGAGACUAAUAUAUCCAUUUCAAUUGGCGCUCGUCCUUUCUCAACAGCACGAGCCCUCCUACCGGCAACACCACCUUUUCCUCGCCUACGAACCGGAUGAUGUAAAUGAUCAUCAUAUACCUCAUCUCUUCUAUAAUCGGCUUGUACAUUAAUCCUAGCAGCCUCGUGGACAUAUGUCAAGCACUUUUCUCCUUCAUUUCGGACCAUUGCACGAAAUAUGUAUAAAUCCUCCAUUGAUGGCUGAUCACCAAGGGCUUUUGCUCUAUCAAUCGUGGAAUGAAUAUGACGCACCUACACAAAGAUCAAAUUUUUUUCUUACAAACAUUUUCCAUUCUUUUUUCUAACAGAUGCUCAAACAAAGAUCAAUAAAGCACUUAUUUUAUAUUUUGUAAGAAAAAACAUAGGUAACAAUUUUCCAAGUCACAAUUUUUGAGAAGAAGCAAUAUUAUCCUCAAAAGAUAAAUCACAAACACACUAAAUAUAAUGCAUACCAUUGUUUCAUAUGCCGUUGAAUUGGCACAUAACCUUCUUGUUGUUGAGGACGCUGAGUAGGAUUACCAAUAACAAGACGAGUAAUGCGUCUAAACCAAAUAAGGUAAGGGUCGUCAUAUCGAAGUGGUUCACGAUUGACCGGAGCAUCACAAACAUAUUGAAGUCGUUGGUUCCAAAGAGGCAACCAUUGUGCAUGCUCCAACUUCCAAUUUGUAUUUGGUCUUCCCCUUCGAUCAUGGUGAAAAUGUGUGGCGUCAAAUAGAUUUGGAGUUGGUAUCGUUUGGUUUAGUCCAAAUUUUCUCAUAACUCGAUCAGGCAAGUGAACUUCAACGAUAUCCCAACAAAAAAUUGGAGCUCUUACACGCCAUAUAGGAAGACUCUCAAUUAAGUCAUCCGAAUAUGGUUCCCAAAUACACUACAUAAAGAAAAAUACAUGAGUUUCAACUACAAUAUAUACAUAAUUUUUUAAAGAAAAACAGUAUAACAUCAUACCUGAUCCUCUGUCAUGGAAUCAAAUGCAUCCCUAAAAACUUUCAACACAUGCUUAGUGGUAUCAAUCCAACUAAAAUGUGCAAACCAUCUAGUAGCACGUGGACCCCUAGGUAAACAAGCAAGAAAAUUAUUUUCGAUGUCUCUUUGUGCUAUUAUCUGAGGUCUGAGGACAGUAACUCUCUCCCAUGCCCAAAUCUAAACAUAAUAUAUAAAUAUAUAAUUAUGAUAUUAUAAACUAGAAGAAAUAUUUAUAAAGAAUUGAUGUAAUUAUUAUGUAUACCUGAAGCAGUGGUAGAAAGUCAGCUAUCUCAUUUUGGUUACUCUGUGAGGCCUUACAGAGAAAGCGAUACAAGCACGCUUAGGUCGCACUACCCCAACUAUAAGAGCUAACUACAUUGAGAUCCUCGAGCAUAGGAAGGUACAUAAGAUUUAGAUAGUUGCCAGAUGUAUCUGCCAUCAUCAUAUCAGCAAUCAUCCAAAACAUGUAACAUCUAGCCAUUUGAUCGAUCAUUUCUUGUGUUGUCAAGUCAGGUAAUUGUAGUUGCUCGAGCAUAUGCGCAUUAAGUGCAGUUACCUUGAGGCUACUACGGUUGAAGUCUUGAGGACGUGGAAUAAAACCUAACAAUCUUUGACAAAUAUUUUGCCAAUCCCCUAUGGUCCUUAUCGACUCAUCACCAACUACUGGAUCACCAUUCACAGGUAAUCCAUACAACACUUCUACAUCUUGCAAGGUGAUUGUCGCCUCACCCGUUCUAAAGUGAAAUGUGUGAGUCUCGGGACGCCAUCUCUCUACUAGUGAAGUGAUCAAGCUACGAUCAACAGAAGGUCGAUUUGAUCUAUAAACACCAUAUAGUCCUGAUAAUUCAAUCAUUUCUAAGACUCGGAUGAAUAUAAUAUUUCUUUACGAGGUCCCAAAAUUUUUCAUCACACCUCCUCGUAUUUUAAAUCAUAUUAACACUUUCAUUCCAUAUAUCCCAUGACCUAUGGGUAAGUUGUUGAGUUAGUACCGAUGGUUCAAGUGGACCGGGAUCCAAUCGAUAUGCACUAUAACCAGUCAUAUAUGUAUCUAUUAAACUGAAAAUUUCAUAUGAAAGUAUAUUAAUUAUAAUUGUUAGUCCAAAAUAUAACAACCAAAUCAAAGUAAUGUACUAUCACCAAAUGUUUUAUUAAAAUAUUGAAAAAUAAACUCAAUUUUAGUAGAAGCGCAUAUGCAGGUCAACCAAAUAUAGUCUUCCCUUCCAUUUUCAUGUGAACAUUUUUUUCUUUGUUUUUCUUUUCAUUGUUUCUCUUUUCAUCAACAAGAUGCAUGAAUUCAAAAUAAAAACAGAACAUGCAUAUUAGAAUUUCUUGAGUGAUAUUAUUCUAUAUAACCAAAACAAUAUAAAUACGAGAAGAUCGAAAUUCUAAAAUUCAAGCAUUCCAUCUACUAGUUUGUAAGGGAAAAAAACAUACCUCAAGGCUUUAACACAGGAAAUUAACUUGAUUCCAAGCUUUCCAGAAGAUUGAUAGCCGUAAUUUUUCGUGAAACUCGAUAUAACAAGAAAUCCCCAAAAUUGAUUUGGAAAAACUACAGCUACCGUUUAUCCAAGAAAUGAGGUUUUUAUCCAUUCAUUAUCUUCCUGUGUUUUUGUUCUUUAACGCCUCCUCUUCGUCCAAACCGAUCGAAAAUGGAAUUUUUGGAAGUUUAGAAUGAGGCGGCUGCCAUUUUUUUUAGGGUGAAAGGGGUUGAAAACUUGAAAGGGGUGAAAGGGGUGAAGGGGUACCAAAUAACAUUAUUAAAGGUAAUAAAUGAAAGUGACAUCGUUCAGUGAAAGGGGUGGGGCUCACGUUUUAAUAUAAAAUCGUUACUGCCAGUAACGUUUAUUAAUUUAACGGCGUUAAUUUUUUUUAAAAUCAAAUAAAGCCUAAAACGUUACCAUAAAGUACGUUUAUACUAUUUUUGUAAAAAAAAUAAAAAUAUAUUAAUUAGGUAAAUUGAUUUUUAAAAUAGAUCAUUUUGGUCAAAAAUUCUACCAAGUAUGUGAAUAAUGUGCAUGCUACUAUGCUGGGGAGGGGGGUGGGGGGAAUAUAUUUUAAAGACUACAUACACAAUUUAUGGUCAAAAGGAAAACAAAUAAUAUUAUCUGAAUAAGAAAAUAAAGAGAAUAUUGCAAAGUAAAAUUUAAACAACAACAACAUACCAGCAUAAUCCCACAAGUAGGGUCUGACAGUAAAAUGUAAAGAGUAAAACAAUAAAAGCAUAAACGGGGCAGAGGGGGGUGAAGGUUGGGGCAAGGCCGGGUGACAGAUUGGGCAGGGAAAAUAUAUGGAAAAACCAUAACUACGCUGAGCGCGUCCAAUUAUUUGUGGGUUAAGGCAUCUAUAUCCCUAAUUAUGUAAUACGUGAUUGGGAUAAAACCGUUAAAGAGAUAAAACAGAAUGUACUUUUAUUUCAUAUUGAACUCCUUGCGAAGAAAUGGAAACUCUAUUGGGAGGCCCUUCUUUAUUGAUGAAACAAAUACAUUAGCUGCUACAAUCAACUGAGUAACUACCUGCAGCACAUGACACAAGUUUUGUGGUAUGAUACAUCAAUUCGCUCAAAUGUUGUUAUUCCAAAACAUAAUGCGUGUAAUGCUCAAAAGGAGAUAAUAAAAUAGUUGAGCCUCGGGUUCUUCUUUCUUCCCAUUAGUUUCAAUUAUCAAUAUCAAUGUUCCAGCAGGAAAGAAAUAACGCAAUCACUUUCUCAAUUUAUCAAAGUUAGAAACCCAGUAGCGUAUUGCAUAGAUACUACUUUUGACACAAAUUUUACUAUUCUAGAUUAUUUAUGGAGUAAUAAAUAUUUAUAUAUGAAAAAAAAUUAUAUUUUCCAAAAAUUUAGCUCAUAAAGGAAAUAACAUGCUUGUACUUUUAAUUGAUAUCUGAUAAUAUGAGAUUAUGCUAUAGAAUAUCUGGUGCAACAAACGUAGAAUGGUCCAGUAAGAACAGAGCUACGCAAAUUAAUUAUUCUACAAUUUCUUCAGCUUUUGAGAUUAAAACAUUCGGCAAGAUCCAGGGCCAAGUAAGAAGUACAUGUAGCCAAUUACUUUUAGGUGAUGUUUUGUAUAUUUCAAAAGAGUAGCAAAAACAUAUAAAUGAUGCAAAUUUUCUUUAAUUCCUUGUAUAGAAACACACAAGUAAUAAUACAAGUUUCAAGAGUGAGAGAUAAAAUACAAAAAGAUUAUCAGACACUCUAUGCUUCUAAGUUCUACCCUUUCUUUAUGCCUGAAGUUCCAGUAAGGUACACUUUUGACAUAUUGUGAGAAAGGAAAUUUCAGUAAUCUGUACAUAUUUGAGUUACUAUAAGUCCACAAGUAUUCAGGACUAGGGAUGAGCUUUAAAAUAAGCUAAGAGGCCAACAAGAGGUGCGUUUACAUAUGUAGUUGGUUCUGACUGGGCAGCAUUAGGUCUUGAAUCAACAAAAUAAUCUUUGAUGUCAGGUCCUCCAACCACAGCCCCUAUAUGCAAGUUGGGAUUUGGAUUUUCACUGAGGAAAUAUGGUGUCCCUUCUUUACAUCCCAUCUUCUCUGGAUGUUGAUUGAUAGACGGCAAUGAAGCUCCUCUAUGGUGUAUUCUUUGAGGAAAUUUCGUUCCAAACCCAACCAUGUAUGACAUGUUCAUUGGAUUUAUCCCAAGAAUAUAAUUCACCUGCAGUCAUCAUAUCAUAUGUACCUCCAUUAAUUUAUUAGUUUCUUUCAAAUUUGUCACAAUUUUGUUAUUAUUCUAAUAUGUAGCACACGCUACAAUACCUGGCUUCUUGCAAAACGAAUGAGCAUCUUUUGAGUUACAUCAAUGUUGCCACAACGAAUGACUCUGCUCUUCAUGUAGCGCGCAUAGGUAAGAAGUAGAAAUGACAGAGCUGUUGGAUUUUGCAUAUUACAAAUCCCUGAUUUGUACAUGAGUCCACCUGCAAAAAGAAUUGAGGAUGAAAACAAUUAGUACAAUCAUUUUUUGCUUUUGAAGUUGAAGAUAAGGGGAGGGGGCGGCGGGAACUAUACCUGGAGUGUAUCUGACUGUAUUGGUGGGAGAUUCAGGAAAUACACUGCAGACGAAUGUAUCAGCGUAUGGAAGGAAGGGGUUAGCAUUUGAAGGGUUAUCGAGAACAAACUGUAGUAAUGUCCACAAAAGUGAAAGAUGUUAGAUUGAAUCAUAAAUAUAUAUGCAGAGUAAACAAGAGUAUGCUCUAGCUAGUUAACAAACCUUGGAGAUAAGCACAUUGAUACCAGCAUGCUUGGCAUCCCAUCCGAAUUCUGAUAAGCUGCUUUCCAUGUCUGAUUUGAAGUUUAUUAUGUUUUGUUUGACGUAGAUCCAAUACAUAGGUUUUCUUGUAGCUUUGAGGAGCCACGCUGCAGCCCAAAGCAAUUCAUCCUGUUCAACUAGGAAUAUCAAGAACUUGCUGAAUGUCAAAACAGUUUGAAUAUUAUCAAGCCUUCAGACUUACUUUGUAUCCAUUGUAAUCACAAUAGAAUGGGCACACCCAAGAUCCUAAGUGAUCAUUGUAAGAUCCCCUGUAUUUAUCCGCAAACUCAAAAACCUGAAGUUCGUGCAAAAACAAUAGCAUUAUUUUCACCUCGACUAUUUGGUAGUACCGAAGAGGAACACUUUAGUUGUCUUAUUAAUAAUACUUCCUCUGUCUCCAAAUAUUAGCAGUCAUGGCAAAGUGAAUAUAUUUAAAAAAAUUGAUGGCUAGUAGCAUAUUGUUACCUGAACAGCUCUGUUGACAAGCAAUUUGGAAUAUGCAGGAUCAGUACGCUUAAAAACCACGGAGGCAGCAGCUAGAGCAGCAGCAAUUUCAGCAGAAACUUCAGAACCAGGAGCUUGUGCAGUAACUGCAAAAGCAGUACGAGGAGUGUCCAUAUCUUCAGGCCUUUCCCAACAGUUGUGAUCGUUCUCCGCGUUACCUACUUGUGCAUAUACCACAUUGGGAAUGUUUGUUGCCUUUAAGAAAUAAUCCGUGGACCACCUGAUAGCCUCCAUGGCAUGUUGCAAGUCUGGUCCCAUUGAAUUUUUGAACUGCUCGACACUCCAAGCCAACAUGGUCGAUGUAAAAGCCAUUGGAAAGUGGAACUUGACAUUGUCACCAGCAUCAUAGUACCCACCUACCAAAUCCACCUGAAAAAACAAUCCCUCUGAAUCAAUCAAAUGUAUAUAAUGUACCAAAGUGUCAAGUGUUCUUAAACAUGCCAACUAAGUUAACGGAAUUAAAGAGUCACUAUUGAAUAUAGGAAGUGAUAUUUUCUUUUAAACAUAUAAAAAAAAGUAAGACGCUUAGAUUGAGAUAGAGGGAACUAGUAUCCUAUAUUAUGUAUGCUUACACCCUUUUCCGCUCCAUCAAGAAGAGCAGAAUCCUUUCUCCAAGUCAUGCGCUGGUUAGGGGGUAAUUUACCAGACCUUUGUCCCUCGAAGAAGAGAAUACUCUUUGUCAAGGCAUCAGCAUAAUUAGGAUUAGGAACGUUAAUUGCCACAACCGUUGAUGUCAAGCAGACAAAUGCUGCUGCUAUUAUUUUCAGGACUAGACAAUUAAGAGAUAACUUUCCGCUACCAAUAAUCAUCUUUAGUUUCUCAAUAUUCGUCUUGGUCUAGGUACGAUGUUUGUUGUUUUUAUUCACUAGAAACUAUCAUUUUACAUUAUAUAUAUACUUGUCCAAAAGAACAUCCUCCUUCCCGAGUAUGCUUUUCCAUAAAGAGUGGAAAAGCAAGCCUUGGAAAUGCAAGUUCAUUCUACAAAAGCAGACUAAUGAUCUCUGAUUGAAGUAUAUCAGAGGACGACAAUUUCUAUUUUAUUUCUGUGGGUAUAGACAUAACAAGUUAACAACAUUUUAAAGUCUAAUUCAUAUAUUUAAUCACAUUGUACACGAACAGUGGUAUUGUAGCGUAUCUCAAAUGAUACGGAAGUAUAUGUGAAGUUACCUUUAUGAGCGGGAGGCUGCGGAAAGCAACUUGCCAUGGUAUUAGCUCAUGAUCCGAGUGAUUUUAAUAAAAUAAAAUAAAAAUUUAGUAACUUUAUUAGAUAAUUUUUUUAAAUUAAGUGAUUUUUUUGAUCUAUUAACGAAAAUGUGAAAAAAAUUUCAGAUGAUUUGACUAGAAUAUAAUAUGAUUAAUUAGAAGGAGAAUUUGUUUCAAAGCAAGCAUAAAGAGAUGUAAAAUCCAAAUAGCCGCCAUAAUCCCUUUUCGAGGAUUAAAUUUGGGUCAAACAAAUAAUAAUAAAGAAACAAAUAUUUAUGUAAUAAUACUAAUAUUUUAUUUCAAUAUAAGUGUUAUAAUCUCUAUGAAUUGUUUAUCAAAAUUCAAAUAGCCGACGUCUUCCUUUUCAAGGAUUGCAAGAUCCAUUCCCAAAUUAAAGUGAAAUUCCGAACAAGUUACAUAUAUUAGCUCUGACUCUAGUUAUUGGUUGACUUUUAAGUUUCUUUCUAUCUAAGCACCUUUAAUUUCAUUUCCCCCAAAGCAAAACCAUUUGUAAGUUUGCCUUAUAUGUCUUCGUAACACCGUGUCGAAAUAUAUUUGAUUGAUUAUGAAAUUUAAAAGGGAGAAGAGAUUUUUAAAACUUUUGUUUAAAAAAAUUAGGGAUGGAAAAGGGAAGACAAUAUGGAGAGUCAAACUUUAAGCAACCACUUAAUAGUUCAAAUAGUUAACCAAUUAAAUUAUUAAAUUUUUUUGUAAAUUUUUAAAAUUUGUAAUCUAAAAUAAAUUAUUAAAUUAAAGUAUUUAUUUAUUACUAAGUCUUUAAAAAUAGUUGAGAACCUAAAGCUGAAUUGUCAAUAAAUACUUUUAAAAAAAUUACCAUUUCUAUUUAGGACCGCCUAAGAAGGAAACAAUGUCACUUCCAUUCAAUCUUUGAUUUUUUAGACUUUGUUCUUCUUUAUUAAUUUUUGCCUCAAGAAUUUCUUAAUGAGUUAUUGAAAAAACUUAUUAGAUUCAGCAUAUAGUAAUAUUAUGAGAAUUGAAUUUUGAACUGAAAAGUUUAAAGAUUUGUUCUUUAAAAUGAGUGGGAAUGGGUAAAUGGAAAUGGGGAUAUGAUAUUGGGUUAAUCCGGUUAUUUCUUAAAAGGGUCGGGUUAUCGGGUUAAAAAUAGGAAAUAGUUUUUUUAAAAAAAAAAGGGUAAUUGGGUCAAUUUAGAUCAAUUUUGGGAAUUUUGUCAAAUGAAGGGUAAUUUUAACUUUAUUUUAACGGCGAGGACAAAGUUAAACAAUAAACCAAAGUUAUAUAUAUAUAUAUAUAUAUAUAACUAGAAACAAACUUUUAUGUUUUUUAAGCAUCUCUUUCUUUUUUACUAAUGCUCUCAAGAGUGACGCUGAUGAAACUGUUUCAUAGACAUCAGUUUCUUUUUGUAUGGAUGACCUUUAAACUAGGAUAAUCCAGUCCAGUUUCAUGAUCAGUUCUACUUGUGUACGGUGCAAAAAUUAUUCUCCCCUGUCAUCUCAAAAGGGAAUUAGAAGCUUGAGGCUCUUAAAAUCCCAAUUAGUUAAGAUGAUAAGUUAAACUUAAAAAGUAUUUUCAAAUGUCACAAGGGAAAAAAUGAACGUGACGGAUUAAUUCAACGUAGGUUUCUUAUUAGAGUAAAUUCUUAGUCAUCCAAUGGUAAGGAUGUUGCAUUGCAUCCACCAACACUAGCUUGUCGAGAAACAACUUGUUAAACUGGAUUCUCGUGAACUGACCUGCCAUUUACAUUUUUUCUUCGUAGUCUUGGGAGAUAACAUUCAAUUCUUCUAUUAAUAAUAAUAACUAUCUUAUAGCAGACUAGACUAUUUUGACGAGCAUAAUGCUUAUGCUUAGCUUUUUUUUGGCUAUUUAGAUCUUUGUGGUCAACAAGUCCGCAAACCUUGCAGAACAUCCAUGGGAUUCCCUAUAGUAUUGCCUCAUGCUGAAAGUGAUGAAGCUGCAGGUUGCUAUUUGCUGCUUCAUCUCUAUUUCCUUUUACAAGUCUACAGGGGAAUUGGGAAGCAACAACACGCCUUUUUGCCCAAUACAGGUGGUCAUCGUCCACAUCCAAGAUGAAUAGGGCAGAGCCAUGGCAGCAUCCAUCCCUUCACAGAUUUGCAGCUAUGUGCAAUGCGACUUGAACGAUGAAAAUCAAGUGAAAGUGAUGGUUGAACGGUCCAAAAAUAGGGUCAGCUUGACAUCAUGUUCAGUAACGCACAAAUUGUUGGCAGUUCAGGUCAAAAGGUACUCAAUCUGGAUCUUUCCAAAAUUAACCGGGUGAUGAAAGUCAAUGCUCGAGGGCAUGUUUGUGUAAAGCACGCAGCACAACAAGCCAUGGUGGAGAAGCGUGUUAGGGAGAGCAUAAUUUGUAAGGCCAGUAUUGCGACAAGCAGGGGAGGACCCUGGUAGACUGAUUACAUAAUGUCGAAACACGCUGUUUUAGGGGUAGUGAGAUCAGCUUCAAAGCAAUUGGGUGAGUAUGGAAUAAGGGUAGUUAAACACUUGUAGUUUAGCUCUUCUCUUAGAUGGAUUUUGAAUCUUCACAACGUGCAUUCUCUAUUCUAAGAUUGAAUGUGUCUUGAUUUUGUAAUUAAGAUGCAGUGUGUUGUGACCUUCUGGCUAUGUAAAAUUCUCCAAAUUACAAUGCUUUGAUUACAUUACGAUUUGGCAAAAUUGCAAGUUACAAUUGGAGAAGUAUUGGCUAUUACUGGAGAACUAUUUGUUAGGCCUAUGGAUCCGUGAUCUAUAGAUUGCAUUAAAGCACAAGUCCAGAAAAGCAAGUGUAAAGUUUCCUAAAAGUCAUGAACUCUAGAAAACCAAGCAGUUGAAACAAAUUUGAUGAAAGUUCGACUACGUAUCCCAUUAAUAUUAUGGACUAUGGAAUACUAAAUUCUACUGAUAGAGAAUAAACUUUUGGUAUAUUGGAUAAAUUUAGGGAGAAAAUGUCUAAACAUUAAGUAUUAAUGUGGUUUGAUUCAUAUGACUUAUAGUUUGUGUUUUCUUUUGGGCCUGAUGCAGUUUUGACGGAAUCGUCAUAAUUGACUUGUUAUAACUGUUGGGAAAGACAAGGUACUAACAAAGAAUGUCUGAUAGGAUAACAGCGGAAGAAUACGCAAGUCUAUACUUUCCCUUUUCGAUUUGAACCAAGAGAAGACAAACAACCACAAGCAAUAUGAUAGUAAGGCAGCAAGUAAUUCAAUCAAACAAAUAUAACAAGGCAAUGAUAAACCAAUCACACAAGACACCAAGAUUUACGUGGAAAACCCUUCGAUGUGAAGAGUAAAAAAACCACGGGACCAAAAGCUCCACUAUAAUCACCAAGAGUUACAAUAUUGUUCUCCAAAAUUGGCCACAAAACAAGUGCCAAACAACGAGCAACAACAAAAUAAGAUUGCACCAAAUCUAGAGAAUUAAAGGAGCAAAAUCACCAAUUUCGCAGCUACUAUUCACGACAGCAAAACUGAAGCUGCAGGCCACCAAAUCCAACUCUGUUAGUUCCUAAUCAAAGAUUGAGAUGAAGAUAAUAUGCUGUCCAAAAAUCAGCUCAAUCGGACAAGAAACGAAGCGGGAAUCGCAAUUUGAAGUUGACUGUUAGGGCUGAAUUUUGACUGCGAAAAUCUGCUCUUUUUCUCUCUUUUUAGCUGCUAAAAAACUCUCUGUGUAUUUGAAAAUAAGACCUAAAUAGGCUUAUAUUUGCCUCAUAAGAAUAUGCCUAUGGGCAAAAAUGGAUUGGUCCAAAUUGAGCUUUUAUUUCUACACAUAGGAAGGGAAAAAAGACCCAUAACCCAACAAUAACUUGUUAACAAUCAUCAAAUUUAAAAGCUUUGAGCGCAUGAGGAACCUAGUCUUUUUUAUUAUUAUAUUAACGAAGAUAACCAAAGUUGUUGUGCAGAUUAUAAGAAGUUGGUAUGUAACUUGUAAAUCUUUGACACACAAACUUAUGAAAGAAACAAUGUAUACAUUGAACUGGAAAUUGCACGAGUAAAAUUGAAAUAUCUAUUAAUAACAAGUACUAUUAUUUAUAUGCGGCAACAUAUAUAUAUAAGUAUUGAAAAUCCAUUAUCACUUGGCUUGAAGCAUACAAACCAUUGGUUGAAACUAAAAACUAAUCAAGAUUUUACAUGUAUAGCUUUCUUGGUAAAUUGAAUUUCAUACUGCACUAUGCUUCAAUCUUAUACCUUAUACCCAAAAACGGCGUAAGACAAACACGUUCAUGUUUAAUUCUCUGAUGCGUGAUUGUCGAGCCUCUAGGAUCCCAAUGGUUAAUAGCAAUGCCGAGAACUAUUGGUAGCAAAGGGCAGCCCAAAUUGGCUGGUAGAGACAUCAUAGUCCGAGCAAAAGAAGAGAGUUCCCAGAUGAUGGGCAACAUUGUGUGCAAAGGGAGACCUACAGAGCUUAGUAUUUCACAAAGACUAUCAUCGGGAGCAGCAUUGUCACGAAUCAUAGCAUUACUCGGCAAAUAGUAAGACUCCGUGAUAAAUGGACCUCGAGGUUCCUCAACGAUGGGAUCCCCUUUCUUUGAUAGGUACUGAACGAAUUCUUGAACCCGAAUUUCAAUCAAGAAUAAUGGACUGGUAGAUGAGUUGAUAAUGCUCUUCAAGUUGAGGUACUUUGGAAUGAUAAAAUCAUCUGUCCAAACUUCAAACUCAUUGAAGGCAAUUUGUGGAAUCUCCAUGUUCUUGCAAUUGUAGAUUGACCUAAGUGAAUGAAUAGAAAAGAUUAUUAGUGAUGCUUUUAUGCACUUUGAAGAAAGAGUAAUUUGUGUAGAAAUAGGAAACGCAGGUUUCUAAAAUUGAUUAAUUUCAAAUAAACUUUUCAUAAUUUACAAUUGCUACUCUUUAUUUUUGGGCAAAAGAGAAAAGUAAAAAUUAGAUUAGUUAAAAUUAAGUCAGUAUCUCCUAUUAUUUUCCUUCUUUAUUCUCCUUAAGAGAUAAGUGUCAUAAAAAACCUAAUUGAGGGAUAAUAUUGUGUCUGAUUGGUCAUACUGGUGUGAGUUUGAAAUUUAUGAGUAUCUAUAUUUAACUUUGUUGUAACACUUGAAUGCACAUGUUGGUUGCUGGUUCAAAUGCCCCGAAUGCACACUGUUGUUGUUAUUUUAUAGCCCUUCAGAUCAGAAACAAAACAUAUAAUGAAAAUGUGAUACCCCAAGCCCUUAAAUCAAGAACAAAAAAUAAUAAGAAAAUGUGAUGUCCCGGACAGCGUUUGCUCAGUUUAUAAAAGUAAAAACCAAACUAAUUAGUGUGCUGAGCUUACUAAUCCCCAGCAUGCUCUUUGUACAAGCAACUAUAGGUAUUAUAUUGGUUUAUAAAAGUAAACACCAAACUAAUACAAAGAUACUGAAAACAAAGCUACGUUCAUAAAAAAAAAAAUCAGUGGAUCAAUUGUAUUACAAAAGUUCAUUCCUAAAACACAUGAAAAUUAAAGGAUUGAAAAAAAAAGCGAGCACUGGGAAGACAAAUAUUUAGCGUAGCCCUCUAAAUUUAAGUUACCUUAUCAUACUACAAGCAUUUCUUCCUACUUUUUAUCCUACUCCAUUGAAUAUUCUUAAAAUUUCUUGUGCUUUUUAUAUUUUUAUUUUGUAAUGUUUCUUUAUUUUGCACUUUAUAAAAUUUUAAAUUUAGUCUCCAUACAAACACAUGUUACUAAGAAAAUCGUCAAGAUUCUCUACAAGUGUGUAAGUAUAGAAUUACUAAUAUUAUAAUGCAAUUCUAAUAUUAUAAUGCAUAUUCAGAAGAUAAAUUAAUGGAACCAUCAAUUUUUGGUUCAUGUAGCUAAAUUUACUAGGUUAGUAAUAAUUUGUAAAAAAAAAUGACAAAUAAAUCAAAUAAAUUUAGUUUCCAUCUCUCUAAAGUAAAAUUGAAGAAAUAGAAAAUAAUUCCAUGAAUUUUAUUAAUUUGAUAUUAUUAAAAGGAUAUAUUGAUGAUUUUUUAGUUUCUUCCUUUAAUUACAUCUAAUUUAUUAUCUUUUUUUAAUUAAAAAAUACAGAUAUUUCUAUCUCUAUUUCAUGUUUAAUAUAAUUCAUCAUUUUGAAAGAGUUUAUUCAACAAAAUGAUGAAUUAUAUUACUCUCGCUUGCCACUCUUCCUCUCUCACUUGCUCCUUCUCUCGUUUUUAUACAAAGACAAAUGUCUAAAAUAUAUUUGUGUUUGUAUAUAGCGAGAGAAAAUUGUAUGUAUACAUACAUUUUUCAUUCCCCUCUUUCCCCUUUUCAAGAUCUCGCUCGCCUCCUCGUCUCUCUCGCUUAUACAAAUAAAAACGAAAUGUAUAAAUUGUGUUUCAAUUUGUAUAAAGCGAAAGAAAAUUGUAUAUACACAUGCAAAUACAUAUAUCUUCGUCCUAUACACUUAUAAUUAUACACUACAAAUAUUCUCCUGCCCGAUUUUCUUUGGUCUUUCUCUCUUUCUCGUUUUAUAAAUACACAAAUUAUACAAUUGAUCUUUUGUAUACAACUGUUUUCUUUUGUAUAUGUAUAGUGGAUUAUACAAUUGUUUCUUUGUAUAUCUAUAGCGAACAUUUUUUUUAUAUGUAUAGCGAAAUAUACAUAUUUAUAUUGGCUAUGGAGCGCAAUUAUGUAAAGUAUAGAUAUAACAUACAAAUAUGAUUUUUAUGUUUGCUAUAUAUGAAAGUUACUUUAUUAAAAAGGCUUUAUAAAAAAAAAGCAAAAUGGUCUGAUAGAUCCUUAUACUUGUAUCAAUUUGUAUUCUGGACCCUUUCACUUAAUCAUUAUCAACUGAACCCUUAGACUCAAUAAAACACAAUUUAACAGAUCCCUAUAACCAUUGACAAGGCUUAUGUGGCAUUAGAAUGUCUGAGUUGGCAAAAGUGUGUAAUUACACACUCGUUUAGGCGAGUUAAUAACAUUUUUGGGUUAAAAAGAUAUAAUUAUAUAUUUAUUUUUAACAUAUCAAAGUCUAUAUAGUAUAUUGAACAAAAACUCAAGAAAAUUGUUAAAAUCAAAUUCAACAUCAUCAAAAUUUCUUCCAACAAGUGAUAAAUAAAGUUGUCCAAAUUCAUAACAAGAGUGAGUCUGCUGAUGCUCUCAUGGGUCUUCUUUACAGCCACCAUCAUGGAUUCCGAUGAGGAGAACUACGUCGAAGAUGAAGGAUUUUCAGAAGCAAUUUACGUCAUUACGGCGGACCGGUUAAAAUUGUAAAUUUUAAGAGAAAUAUUUUUUUAAAAAAUAAUUAAUCAAAAAAAUCCUUCUUUUCACUCACUAUCCAUCAUUUUCAACCAUUUUCAUCCCAUACCCGACCCUUCUUUCUUCUUCUCCCUACAAUCUAUAAACAUCAAUUUACCAGAUUUUGCACACAUCGAGUCCACUAAUUGACCGCAGAGGUAGAAAACAACGUUGAUGGUACUCGCCACACGGAGUCGCAGUGGAGUUAGCGAGAUAAGAGACGGUGGUGCACGUCGGAGACAAUGCGAAGUAGUGGAGUGAGAGAGAGGCAGCACUGGUUGUUGGAGAGGAAAACGAGGUGGGUGAGAGUGUGAGGUCAUGGCGGCGAAGAGGUUUCUCUGCCAGAUCUAGCGGUGUGGUGGCUUAGGUUGUUGGUUUUAUGAAGGUUGGAGGAGAAAGAAAAUGGGGUGUGCGGCGAAGAUGAAGCCAGGUAAGGCAGAUUCGAUUACGCCGGUAAAAGUGAUGACGACGAACGCAUCGACAGCUUCUCCGGUCGAUGUUGGCCGUGAACAGUGAAAAUAGGAGAAUCAGAUGUAUGGAGUUUUACUUUAAAAAAUAAAUUAAAAUUUAAUUGUUUUACCUUUUAUUAAAUAAUUUUGGUUAACAAUCUUAAAAAACAGUUAUGAAAUAAUUAUGACAUGCACUAAUAUAUAUGACAUGUCAUUUAUGUAAAGAAGAGUGAGCCACACACAUGUUUGGAGGGCUUAAAAGUUUCAUAGUAAUUGAGUCUAAGGGUUCCAUUGGACAAAUGACUAAGGAAAAGGGUCUAGAAUACACACUGAUACAAGUAUAAGGGUUCAUCACAUCAUUUCGUCAAAAAGAGAAGCACUAGUUAUGAAUGAAAUUCGAACUCAUAACAUAAGGACAAUUCUUGAACACCUUAUCCACUAAGCUAAGCUUCUCAUUUGUUUCAAGAGAUUCAUUAUACAUACUCAAAAAUCAAAAUUUUGUCUUAUAUAUAGCAUAAAUUUUUGACGGAAGGGGUUCGGGUGAAUCCAUGGGCACCACCUAGAUCCGCCCAUGUCCCUGGAUCAAGUUUGGCCCACAGAUAGGGAUGACAGAAUGAGUCAUUAAUAUGGGUAUUCAACUCAUUUAAAAUGGAUACAAAAAUAUUAUAAAAAACUACUUAAUAAGACAUACAUCACUUACAAGUUACAUAUAUAUAUAUUUUACCUCUACUUUAAUUUUUUUACAUGUAAUACCACUUUUUAAUAAUCAUAACAUAUAUUUUAAAGAGUAAAUUAGAUACACAAAUGCCUUAAACAUGGAAAUGAAUAGUUAUCUUAAAGUCUAAUCUCCUUGAUUGAUGUGACACUCACAAUUAAAAAAAAAAUCUCUCACAUCACCAACACCUUUGAUGCCUUAAUCAUCAAUUCUGAUCAAGAGCUCCAUGCAUUGUUCACUCCAAUUCUUCAAGUUUCUAAUCCAGAAACUAUUAGAAUAAUCAAAUUCACAUGCCGCAAUGUCGAAUAAAGAAAACCCAAUGGUCAAUUCACCUAUGGCAACAAUCAACACUUCGAAUCAUGAUAUUUCCAAUUCUCCAUCACUGGAAUCGCUUGGAGACCAAAUAAUUGGACAACAUUUAAUCUCCAAUAGAAAUGACAAGAGUUUGGGGGAAGGAAACAAGUGAUUCUAGAUGGGCAAAUUUGGUUGAGGAGGAAGAAAAUAUCUCUACACCUGCAAGGAGUAAGUUAAGUCCUCAAGCACCCUUAUUUGUGCCAAGUAAGGCAAAUCCAUCUAUGGCGGUGACAAUUUAUAAUUCCAAAAAGAGCUUAACCAUUACCACCAAGGUAUUGGAAAAGAGCCAUGAACCAGAAGUUUGAGUUUCAAGACUUUGUCCAACCACAACAUAUAAUAGUGACUUGGGAAGUGAAAAGUUUGAUGAUGACGAUGACGAAGAUGAGAUAGUAGACAUAUUAUUUGAUCAUGUAUCCAAGGAUGGAGAUCUUUCGCCUAGGCAACAAAAAAGUGAAAGCAACAAAAAUAAAAAGAAGACAUGAAAGGCAACAUAGUUGGCAAGGUACGGUGAUUGAAAAAUUUAUUUCAAGGCACCUACCCAUGUGACUAGCAAAUAAAACUCAUAUGACAGUUUCAACAACAACACGAUCCAGUAAAUCCAAAAAAAGAAGUGAAGAACUAUCAAGUUUUGUUGGACACAUUCGAUAAAGAAGUCAAGAGGGAAAUACUUCAGGUUACUUUACACAACAAUACAUCUCUUUUAAUUUUCACAAGUUUGAGAUUGAUAACUCAGCUUUAUUCUUAGAUUUUGUAUUUUGCAUUGCUUAAGCAUUCUCAUUUGUAGUAUCAUCAUAGAAUUUACUAUAAACUCUAUGAUGAUCAUAAAAUAUCGAGUUUUCUUUAGCUGUUAAUUUGUUCAUGCUUGUUAAUUAGUAGAGGUUCGUUACCUCAUUAAGAUUAGCAAGGUAAGAGCUAGCCCCGCUUGCUUGUACUUUUCUCAUUGAGAUCCUUUUCUUUUUAUUAAUAAAACUAGCCCUAGGUACAUAUUGCCUAGCGGAAUUGCUUGAAAAAAUACUUAUUUUUCAAAAAAAAAAAGUUGUUUCCCUCCCCAUUCUCAUUACAUGUAUGUAUCUAGCCCACACCCCCAUAUAAUUCCCACUUUCAUAACUACUUAUUGAUAAUCAACACGAUGUGAUUCCGAAUGUAAAGCGCAAAUGGAGAGUUGUUGGGGCCAGAUCCUGCUAAAAGGCCAUCAUUCUCAGAAAUUUCUCAGAAAUUAAGAAUGACAACGGAAAUGAAUGUCAAAUGAUACUGUUUCAGGACUUACCAUACUCGCUCCUUCCAAGAUAGUCAUUUACAUUAUGUUUAAUUUUUCACUCAUGUUCGUUCUAAUGUAACUCAAUUUUUAUCAGUUUUAUGUAUUUGAGUAACGUAAACUUCAUAAUCUUUAUCAAUUCCUUCCUUUAUAUCUUAAAAUUUCGAAUAUUUUGUCCUUGAGAUGCAUGUAUCAUUAGUUGUGAGAUACAUGUAUUCAUGGGUUUUAGAAGUUGUGAUACACAAUUUAUUACUUAUAAAGGGUGUAACUUAUUUCCUUCUAUAAUUUUUAUAUUCGGUUUCAAAGAUUCAUGAACCUGAAUGCCUCAACAAUAUUGUGAUUUUCACUAAUUUCAUGUAUCUGAGUAUUGUAAAAUUCAUCUUCUUCAUCAAUUCCUUUCUUUGUAUCUUAAAGUUUCGAAUAUUUUGUUAUUGCGAUACAUGUAUCAUUAAUCGCGAGAUAUAUGUAUUCAUCGAUUUUAAAAGUUGUGAUACACAAUUAAUUACUUUGAAUUAAAGGGUGUAACUUAUUUCCUACUAGAAUUUUCAUAGUCGGUCUUAGAGAUCCAUGAACCCGGAUGCCUAAACAAUACUGUGAUAUUGACCAAUUGCAAAAAAAAAAAAAAAACUCAAAAAAUGAAGAUUCAAAAUAAGAAAUUGAUGAAUAAGAUGAAGUUUACAAUUUCAGAAUUACUAAUGUUUAUGAUUGUAUUUUUAUAUUAAAACUAAUAAUAGUUGAUACAAUGAUCCACUAAAUCCGUUUUGUUUGUUAAUUUCUCAUCAUUUACUCCUUUAAUUAAUUAAGGAAUUAAGUUAAAUAAAAUUAACUCAAAUCUAUCAAAUCAUGUAUCUCGUCCUUUUAAAUCUGCUAGAUGCAUGUAUCUAAUGACUUAUGGUACAUGUAUUUGAUAACCGAAAGUGGUAUAAAAAUUAAUAUUAAAAACUAACGAGAUUCCUAGUAAUUAGGAUAUAAAAUAGUGAAAUUUAUCUAGUUACCCAAAUUAAUAUUACUCAUAUUAUUUAUUUUGAAGUGAGUAGUUAAUUGGGUAAAAUUAUUUUAAAAGAAAGAAAAGUGGUCGGGGAGGUGGGUGGUAAAAAAACUUUUAACAAAAUAUUUAUUUUUUAAAUUGUUUUUUUUUGGGAUGGGAGGGGGGGGGAUGUGGUGGGGGGAGGGGCUAAUAGGGGUGGGGUGGUAAAAAAAUUAUUAAUUUUUUAAAAAUAAAAAAUAUUUAAAUAAUUACAUUAUUUUUAGGAUGGGGUGUGUGCACGUGUAUGUUGGGGGGGGGGUAGCAGGGGGAGGAGGGUUGGUAAGGGGUGGAGUGAUAAAAAAAGAAAUUUAGAAAAUAUUUUUUUUUUAAUAAUAAUAAGAAAACUUCUUUUUCUUAUAUUUUUUGGGAUGAGGCUGGUAGGAGGUGGGGGCAAUAAGAAAAAACUUUAAAAGUUUUGUUUUUGAGGAUUUUAACAAAAUCCCUACUAUUGGGGACACAUAUUUAUCCAUAUUAUUCAUUGGGUAAUUUAUUUUUACCCAUUUAAAUAUAAGUCUAGUCGAGUGCUUUAUUAAUUUUUUGUUAAUUUAAUUUUAAUUGACUCAUAUUCGACUCGAUCAGCUCAUUUGCCAUUCAUAGUCACAAAUAUGGAAGUAGUGGCUUCAACCAACACACCAAAGUGCACAAUUUAAUGUAUAUAUAUUCCAUCUUAUUUUAUGUGGCAAUAUUUGACUGACCACAAAGUUAAAGAAAUAAUGAAGACUUUGAAAUGUUUACCAAUAUUCCCUUCAAAAAAGUUAACUCACUUUUCUCUCUCCUCAUAAAUGUAUUAGAGUACUAUGUUUAAAAUUAAGUGGGACUAACAAGGGUAAGUACCUUUAAAUACAUAUAAGAAAAUGCGACCUUCUUUUUGGUACUGACCAAAAAGGAAAUCUUGCCACAUAAAAUAGGACGGAGGAAGCAUAGAAGUUCAAUAAUUUAUAGUGACUUUUAGUUCUAGAUUAGGGCUGGCAGGGGGACCGGGUCAUCCCGCCCCGGAACCGGCCCAUCCCCCAAGGUUUAAGGGGAUUACGGGAUGGGGGAUGAGGGGACCGUUCAGGGGCCGGUUCACCCCUGUGUCCCGGUCGACCCGGCCCGGUUGAACCCGCCGGUUCGCGGGAUUCCCCCCCCCCCCCCCCCAAUAUUUUUUUUAAAAAAAAAAAUUUAAAAAUGUAGCCGUUACUAUCCGUUGGGGAAACGAAUAGUGGGCCCCCCCCAACGGAUUUAUGCCUCUUUUUGACUUCCCAAACACCCCCUACCACCCCUACCAUCCCCCUACUUUUAAAAAAUUAUUUUAAACCCUCAAGUUAUUAUAAUUACAUUUUAACCCAUAUAAAUACACCUAUCCUCUACUAUUUCUUAUAAAAUCAUCUAUUCUCAUUUCUCUCAUCUAUUUUCUAUAUUCUAUCAACUCUUAAGUCUCAAGUGUCAAUCUUAAUUUCUAUUCAAUUUUAAUUCUCAUAUUAUUAGAAUCCAUAUAUUUCAAUUUUCAAUUCAAAAUUUUCAUAUUAUAUCAAUAAAUAUAAUUAUAUUAUCUCAUAUUUGUUAUCAAGUAUUGGCUUGGAGUUACAAAUUACAAGUUACAACAAAUCACAAGCUUCAACAAUCGGUUUAACGUCUGCUAUUAACGCAGACGUUUGGUACAUUUGUUUCAUAAUAUUUAUAUUUUAUUAUUCGUUAUUACUUUUGUGUUAUUAUUAUUUUUAUAUUACACUUUAUAUAUAUAUAUAUAUAUAUAUAUAUAUAUAUAUAUAUAUAUAUAUAUUAAGUAUGAUUUCUAGCAAAAAAAAUAGCGGUAAAGGAAAAGAGAAAGCACAAGAUAACGAAGAAAGUAGACUUUUUAAAUUAUUUAAUUUUGGUAAAAAAAAUAGUAAAAAAAUAAAGAGUUAGUAAAAGUGGUGGUACUUCAUCUAAAUCAACGAGUAGAGUUAGAUUUAACAUAAAUGAUUCUUUACUUAUGUUGAUGAUACUCCUUAUAAUAUUGAUUCAAAUGUUCAACUCGAUCACGAAAGUUUAGAACGACGUUAUGAUAAUAUUAAUUCUAAUGUUGAUGAAAAUUCAGGUGAAGAAGUAGAAGCUGAUUUGGGAGAAGAGGAGUUAGAUGAAACACCUACUAGUCCGGUGACAGAAGUUUCAAAUGAGACUAUCAAUUUACCGGAGCAAAAUUUUGGAUAUCCACCCCUUAUACCUCCCACAAGGGAGAAGGUGAAGUAUCAACGACCUAAAACUUCUAUUGUGUGGCAAUUUAUGACUUCUGAUAAAGAAAAUAGUGUUGCUAUUUGUAACAAGUGUAAGCAAGCUUUUAAACAUAAAGGUGGGGGUCAAGGUGGAACGGGGGGAUUAAAUAGACAUUUGUUAUCUUGUGUGCCGAUUCAAUAUAAAGAAGCUAAAGCAUUAGCCAAUAGAAAAAAGAGAAUUUCAAUUAAUGAAUUAGAUAUUAUCGGUAAUGCAUCGAUAGGGGCUUCUAACAUGGUUCAAGGAACAUUAGAUCCUUUUAACCCCGCUGGUCCAAUAACACAAAGUAAAUAUAAUAAGGAAUUAGAUCGGGAAAAUUUAACUAAAAUGGUUUCUGUUUGUGGUUUGCCUUAUAGUUUUCCUUCAAAUCCCGAUUUUGUCGAAUAUAUUCAACAAACUUAUAAUCCGGAUUAUAGAGGCUUUUCAAGAAAUACUGUCAAAACUGAUGUUUUUGAAUAUCAAGGUAAACAUUGUCAAUUUCUUCGUUGUCUAUUUAGCAUAUUAGAUAGUAGAGUGUCUAUUACUUCGGACAUGGGUCGUAGUGUUAAUGGAAAUGAUUAUUUAACUGUAACUGCACAUUGGAUUGAUCAUAAUUGGAAUUUGCAAAAAAGAAUUAUAUGUUAUAAACUAUGUAUAGAGAAAAAAAACUGGUGCAUAUUUAGCUACAAAUAUUUUAAGUAUUUUAGAUUAUUACAUGAUUAUAGAUAAAAUAAUGUCUGUCACAUUAGAUAAUGCAUCUAAUAAUACAAAUGCCGCAAACAUGUUAAAAGUUAGAUUAUGUCCAAUUGACAAUAAAGUUUUUCAUGUUAGAUGUGUUGCACAUAUAUUAAAUUUAGUUGUACAAGAUGGUAUUUCAUUAUUUGAUUGUGGUAGCGUAAAAGUUGAAUAUGCUGUUACCUGGAUUUUUCAUACAAACAAUGCUGCUAGAAUUAGGGAAUUUAAUGAGCGUUGUUUACUAUGUGAAUUGUCACCUAGAAAAAUUCCAAAACACUUUAAAACAAGGUGAAAUUCUCUUUACGAAAUGCUUUCGGUUGCUUAAAAAUAUAGAAGACCCAUACAAAUGGUUUUUAAUGCUCAUAAUGCUAACCCAUUAGAUAGAAUUUGUGAUGAAGAUUGGGAAGAAACUAAAGAACUAUUACAAUUUUUAAGACUUUUUUAUGAUGCUACUACCAUGUUUUCGGAAAUUUAUUAUCCUACUAUUUUAUCCGUAUUAAUAAAUAUUUGAGCUCUUUCAAUUCAAUUUUCUAAAUAUAAAAAAAUAGAUAACUUUAGAGUUGCAAUUGAAGGUAUGAUUGAAAAAUUUAAAAAAUAUUUUUUUCCUAUUCCUCAAGUUUUUUUAACGGCUAUUUUACUUCAUCCUGCUUAUAAAUUACAAGGUGUGACAGACCUUGUCGAAACUUUUUAUGAAACUUUAGAAAUUUUACCGGAAGAAACUCCAGAUUGUGAAACGUGUAAGUCUAGCAUAAAAAUAGAAGCAAAAGUUUUGUAUGAAAAAUAUAGAACUAGUGAAAAUUUUGAAGGAGAAGUUGGUCAAACUUCUAAUGUUGAGAUUGAUUUGUCAGUUCCAAUUUCAUGUUAUAUGCGAGGUUUUCUUGGUCUUAAUUCUACUAACCGUGAUGAUUUUGAAGAAUAUCUUAAUCAAUCUUUAGAAAACUUGGAAAUCAAAGAUGGCAAUGAAGAUUUAUUAGGAUGGUGGAGUAGACGAAGCGAUGCAUUUCCAACUUUGAGCAAAAUGGUUCGUGAUAUUCUAGCUAUUCAAUCUUCAUCAGUUGCAUCGGAGGCUGCUUUUAGUGCGGGAAGGUUUCAAAUCGGUGAUCAUAGACAUUCAUUGGCGGAAGACAGUUUGGAAACAACAGUUUUUAUUUAGAGACUGGUGCAAUGCCGAAAGGAGGAAUAACAAUUUGACAAAGUUAAGUAAAAAACAAGCAACUUGGAUCAAAACUUGUAUUGAAUGCAGUGAUGAUGAAUUAGAGGCACAAGAAUUUCUAACAAGUUUGACAACACCGGAGGAUAUCACCAUCGAAAUGAUGCGACAAUUAGAAUUAAAUUUUAAAGGAGAAAACAGAUAUUAUUAGAUUACAUUCGAGAACUAAUUGAAACAAAACCCUUCCUAGAAGGUGGCUGCAUAAAAUUAGUUACUCAUCUAAUAUCUGUAACAAAUAUUAGUUUUACGUAUGAGAACUUAUUGAAAUAGAACCCUUCCUAGAAGGUGGCUGCAUAGAUUAGUUACUCCACUAAUAUUUGUUAAUGGUAAGUUGUAACUUAUAAGUUCUAUUGAAUAAAUUUUUUUAUACAAUUAUUGUUUUGAAUUUUAAUUUUAAUAUAUACAAUUAAAUAUAUAUGCUAAAGUACUAAACUAAUUUUAAAAUACUUAAUUUAAAGUUUACAAUUUACAUUACUUUAAAAUAUUUAAAUUACAAAUUUAAACUUCUCAAAUUUGAAAUUUAAAACUUUAAAGUUGAAACUUGAAAUUUGAAAAAUGAAUCUUAAAAUUUGAAAAUUGAAACUUUAAAUUAGAAAAUUUAUUUUGAUAUUUGAAAAUCAAAAAUUAAAUUUAAAAUUUAUUAGCUAAAGACGUACCAUUUCAAUAAAAAGAUAUAAAUAUUUUAAAAAAAAGAAUCCCCCGUCCCAUGUCAUCCCGUCCCGUCCCAUCCCCCCAAAUCUCAUCCCAUCCCGUCCCAUCCCCCCAAAUCUCAUCCCAUCCCAUAUAUAUAGUGGGACGGGAUGGGACCUAUUUUUCGUCCCCCCAAUCCUGGUCCCCCCAAUCCUGGUCCCAGGUGAAAUCCCCCCUCCUCGUCCCCUGUUCCGUCCCUUCCCCCUUCGUCCCGUCCCCCUGUCCCCUUCCCCGUCCCCUUGCCAGCCCUAUUCUAGAUGUCUUCCUUGAAUUGAUAGCUCCAAAAUAUUAAAAUUUGUCAAGGUCAGUUACAUAAAAUAUUUUUUGUUGAUAUUAGUAAUAUUAUUGAACUUCUAUGCUUUGUCCAAAAAUAUUAUAAUUAUCAAAUUAUUUUGUUCAAUCGACUUUUCAUAUAAAUCAAAAAGACAAAUUCUCCGAAUGAAAGUUCAAUAGAUCAAAUAAAAAAAUAGUGUGGCACCCAAAAUCUCAAAAUCUUGGAUCCACAUGUUGAAGUUGUGGAAGAAACCACUAAUGCUUGCAUUUGGUUAGGCUUUCCACCUCGCUCCCCUUAUGGUGUAGACCUUCCUCAGACCAUGCUAACGUGGGAUGACUACUAUUUAGAUUGACAUUUCUUGUUCACCAUUUGAAGAAAUGUUUGCAUAUGUGUCGUUCCCUGAAUACUUAGGCGUGGAGAGUUUUAAUUCUAUGAUUUGAGUUAAUAUGACAUGAAAUAUCCGUAUGGUCAAAAACAAUGUUACUUUGGAAGAUUGACUAUAUUAGUAAUCCUAUAUUAGUAAUCCACAAUGUAUUGUCACCUUAGACCUUUUAAGCCUAAUUUACAUAGUGGGAGAUUGGAAUGUUAAUCUUAGUCGUAUCUCAGAAUGCUCUCUUAUAGUGCGUACUCUGGAAAGAUACAUCAAGGCUAUGAAUGAGGGCAACUGUCCACUGGCUACAAUUUGAUCUCAAAACCAAUCAAUGGAAAGUAAGCUUUUUUACUAUUUCCUUUUGUUUUCCUUUCAAGUUUUUCUUUUCGACAGUAUUAUAUGACUUGCAAGAUGUACUAGGAUAAGUCAAUUUAAGAUAAGUCUGUCAGUAGGAAUUCUUCAUGGAAUAUUAUAAUUUUUUCAUUAGUGUACUACGAUCUUCGUAUUACUAUUUUAUCUUCUUCUGUUUACUGUCAAAUUUACAGAUGAAUUUUUUAGUACAUUUAGUUUCUUGUGUAAUUGGUUUCCACCUGCGCUAUGAAUAAGUAGACCUUCAAACACAAGUCCUAAAUCAGUAAGUGAAAUGUGUCUCAGAAGAGAGAAAAAAAAGGAAGAUAAUAAAUCAAGAAAAGCAUUGUGACUUCAGUAUACAAUCUCAGUUGGAGAUGAAAAAUUGAAGCACAGUUGCUAAUUCUAAGGAUAUCAAUGAGAGUGCUACAUCAUCACAGAUACAUACAUUACCUGAUGAACCGACUAUUGAGGUGAUGGUGAUGGGAAAAGCGAUGGAAAAGUACUUGCUCUAGGAAAACAUGUGAUUCUAUUUGAAAAUUCAAAUACGGAUGGUGCAAACGUCAUUUUGUUGAAUGAUUCUUUCUUUUAUCCAAAUCAAAAUUUAUUUUAUCGCCAAACUAAGAGAUAGAGGAUGCACUGUUGGCUCAACCAUCGGUGCAACUCCUCAUCAAUUUUGUCUAAGUCUCUCUCUACUCUCUCACGCAAUCACUGCUCUAUGAGUUGUCUAGAUGAACAAUUUACAUGAAUUUUUUUAAUUCUUCCCAUGUUUUCCUGAAAUAUCUCCUCACUCUUUCCUGAUAAUAAAAGUUACACUGCUCCACCAUUAACUUAAUUGUGAUUAUCCCUUUAUUUUCUUAUUUUAUUGUCUUUGAUCAAGUUUCAAAAAAUAUGUUUAAGGUAUUGAAAAUGACAUUGAAGGUAAUCCUUUCAUAGACUAAAACUAUUUUCUUUAUUUCUUAAGCAUUCUAUGAUGUGUCUCUAAGCUAUAACGUUAUAGGCAUGUAUGUUGGUGAAAAGAGAAGACUCACUAUUUCACCAUUUUUGGGGUAUAUACAAAUCAUUGUUGGAAUGCUCUUUUUUUAAAAAAAUUUGUUGUAAUUCCAACAAUUGAACAUUUCUCUGCUCUAGUUCCUUUUAAACGGAAUGUGUUCAUUUUAAUAGUUUUUUUAGAAAUAAUAGGCAUAAAUUAUUUAUUUUAUAAAAAAAAGAUAAAUACUUUUUUCAAAAUCUAUGGUUAAAAGUAUGGUGAAACUUUACCCAAAAAUAACUUGUUAAAGAUACUCUCUCCGUCCCAUUUUAUGUGAAAUCAUUUACUUUUUGGACAGUCCCAAAAAAAGUCAUAUUUCUUUAUACGAUAAGUAUUUAAAUGGGACGAAGAGAGUAUUUGGUAAAAAAAAAACUAAUUUUUGUAGUGUAACUUAAGUAAUAAAGUGAAUCUAGACCACUAGGGUCUCUUCAUCUUCUUCUACAAAAAAAAGUGACAUAAUAUCAAACUUUUUAUUUAUAUUGUAUAUAUGAAACUAUUUUGAGCUUUAAACAAGAUAUCUAUCAAAUAAAAAAAUUAGUUUUUAGAAAUUGUUGGCCACACUUCUGAUUGUAGAAAUAAAUGAAAACAUCAUCACUACCAUCUUGGAUAAGUUUUCAAGAUUCAACUUGAAAAUAAUCGUUCACAAUCACGUCAUAAUGGCUCCCAACCAAUGGAAUGCAUCCACUAAAACAUUUUCUCGUCCUCUAUAAUUAGAUGAUUCCAUCAGAUCAACUCUCGCUUUCAUUUCACCUCCUACACGAGAGGUUCAUCCUGUUAGUACAUUUUACGGUGCAACUAUUCUUUCCUCUUAGGAUGAGAGAGUCAUUCAGGUGUCGUUCUGUUUCCAUCUCCUCACCCAAAAAAAUACUGAUGACUUAUUUUUUAUGUAUGUAUACUCUUAGGUGAAGAGAAUGUUGAGACUCUCUGAUAAGGAUGAACAAGAUGUUACAUAUUUUCCUAAGCAUAAUCCACAUGCUGAGGCCAAAGGAUUUGAUCGGUUUUUUCGAUCACCGACCUUAUUUGAAGAUGUUGACAAGUCUCUUCUUAUUCGUUUUCCCCCGUAAGUUAAUCAUAUAUUAUAUACAAGCAAUUUGUAAAACUCAAACUUUAAAUUGAACUAAAAUAUAUAGAUUAAAUGAAUCAGGUGGAAGACAUCUUUUGAUCUGGCAAAGGCUCUUUGUGAUGUACAACUGAAAAAAGUAAGAAUGUCGAAAAUAAAGAGAGACAAUAUUGGAGACUUUCGAGCCCGAGAGAAUUAGCAAGUUUAGAAAGAAAGAGAGAAAAGGCAAAGGGAAAUUUGGCUAUAGAACAGGGGACUUGAUUGAGUUGGCUAAACAAGCUGUUGAUGAAAAAUUUAAGUUAAAAUUUAAGUUAGAUGGUGCUGAUGAAGUAUUAUCAUGAUGUGUAUUGAUCAUUAUCAUAAUAUUUCAAUUGAUACAGAAACGUUGUGUCAUGUGAAAAAGGUAACAAACUUAUUAUUCGUGUAUAUCAUAAAAAAUAACUAACAUUGCACAUGGAUCAUUUGUUAAUGGAGGUAAUAAUAUUUCUUAAAUCCUCUUAUAUAUAUUUACAUUUUACUUGUCAUGAUUUCAUUUUUAUGAACUUAAUAUGAGAAAACGUAAAAGGGGAUCAACUAGUGUGGAAACAAAAUAAAAAAAUACAAGAAUUCUACAAGAUUUAUCAUCCAUUUGAGUUUUCGACUUAAUGGUAAGUUAUGUUGGGGAUAUCCCCAUUAUUUUCAUUGAUUAGUCUAUAAUCAUACACUUGAUUUGUUGGUCUUUAUAUUUGAACUUACCAACUCUUAUGACAUAAAAUUUGGCUAGACAUUGGGUAGUAAUUACCAUCAAUAUAUCAGCAUGCCACCAAAAACAAGAAAUGUUAAGGUACAUAACAUUAUUAAUGUGUGUCCUAUACUUUUUGUCACGACCCAAAUCGGGCCGCGACUGGCACCCACACUUACCCUCCUAUGUGAACGAACCAACCAAUCUAAACCUUAACAUUUCAAUAUAAUAUCAACAGAAAGUAAUGCGGAAGACUUAAACUCAUUAAUAAAAUCAAUAACUAUUUUUAUCCCCAAAAUCUGGAAGUCAUCAUCACAAGAACAUCUACUUCAAAUUACUAAAUCUAAGAGUUUCUAAGAAGCUAAAAAUACAUAAAAGCUAGUCCAUGCCGGAACUUCAAGGCAUCAAGACAUGAAGAGGAAGAUCCAGUCCAAGCUAGAAGUAUUAGCUCACCCUGAUAUCCGAAGUAAUGAAGACUGGCUAGAGUUACUGUUGAGUCGAAGAUGACGGCACGUUUGUUGCACUCCACAAUUAAACAAGAAGAAAACAUAAAAGUAGGGGUCAGUACAAAACACGGGUAUUGAGUAGAUAUCAUCGGCCAACUCAAAAUAGAAAUCAAUAUAUACCAAGUAAUAUCAUAAAAGCAACUAUGAUACUCAACAUGUAGCAACAACAAGUACUAUAUCAUUAACAAUUACCGUCAAGUUCACACAUGAGGACUCAAGCCUCAAUACCAUACUCAUUUGGAAAUUAUGUUCAUUAGAUUGAGUAUAUUAACAUCUUUCAAGAUUCAUUAUCUUUAUUUCUCUUGUGUCGGUACGUGACACUCCGCUCCCUCAUAUUCAUUAGUCCUCUUGUGUCGGUACGUGACACUCCGAUCCCCUACAUCUACGUGUCGGUUCGUGACACCCGAUCCCCUAAAUCUACGUGUCAAUUCGUGACACCCGAUCUCCUAAAUCUACGUGUCGGUUCGUGACACCUGAUCCCCUAAAUCUACGUGUCGGUGUGGGUAUCUUUCUCGCAUAUCGGCCUCUUUCUCCCAAGUGGCUUCUUCGACGGGUCGAUUCUUCCAUUGAACUUUGAUGGAUGCAAUCUCCCUUGAUCUCAACUUGCGAAUUUCUCUAUCUAGAAUGGCAACAGGCUCCUCCUCAUAAGUCAAAUUCUCAUCAAGCAAAACUGAAUCCCAACGAAUGAUGUAGUUUCCAUCCCCAUGGUAUCUUUUCAACAUAGACACAUGAAAUACCGGAUGCACUUCGGACAGCCCUGGAGGCAACGCUAACUCAUAAGCCACCUCCCCUACUCGCUUAAGUACUUCAAAGGGACCAAUAUACCUUGGGCUUAAUUUACCCCUUUUACCGAAACGUAUCACCCCUUUCAUGGGCGAAACCUUCAGUAAGACGUGUUCACCCUCCAUGAACUCCAAGUCUCUAACCUUUCGAUCGGCAUAUUCCUUUUGCCUACUUUGCGCCGCUAACAGGUUUUCUUGAAUAGAUUUCACUUUAUCUAACGAUUCUCUCAGAAGGUCAGUACACCAAGGUCUAACCUCGAAUGCAUCAAACCACCCAAUGGGAGACCUACAUCUCCUCCCAUACAAUGCUUCGAAUGGAGCCAUAUCAAUACUUGAGUGAUAGCUAUUAUUGUAUGAAAACUCCGCUAAGGGUAAGAAGUUAUCCCAAUGACCACCAAAUUCUAUCACACAUGCGUGAAGCAUAUCCUCCAACACUUGAAUCGUUCUCUCAGACUGACCAUCGGUCUGAGGAUGGAACGCAGUACUAAGGUCCAACCUAGUACCCAAUUCCACAUGCAAUGUUUUCCAAAACUUAGAAGUAAACUGCGUACCUCUAUCUGAUAUAAUGGAGAGUGGAACCCCAUGCAACCGAACAAUUUUUGAGAUAUAGAUUUUGGCUAACUUCUCUGCAUUGUAAGUCACCUUGACCGGAAUGAAAUAAGCAGACUUAGUUAACCUAUCAACAAUCACCCAAAUAGAGUCAUAUUUACCCAUUGUCUUUGGAAGACCAACCACGAAAUCCAUUGCAAUACUUUCUCACUUCCAUUCAGGAAUGGACAUUCUCUGAAGUGUUCCUCCGGGCCUCUGGUGUUCAUACUUUACUUGCUGACAGUUUGGACAUUUGGCAAUAAAAUCAACAAUAUCCCGCUUCAUUCUACUCCACCAAAAGUAUUGCUUUAGGUCACGAUACAUCUUGGUUGCACCAGGAUGUAUAGAAUACCUUGAACUAUGAGCCUCUGUCAGAAUAGUGUUGAUCAAAUCAUCGACGCGGGGUACACAUACCCUUCCCUUGAUCCUCAAAACACCUUCCUCAUCGAUUUGUGCUUCCUUAUCCUCUCCUCGCAAUACCUUAUCUUGGAUUCUGCGCAGUUUCUCAUCAUCAAACUGUCUUCCCUUAAUCUUGUCAAGAAAGGAAGAUCUUACCUCCACACAAGACAACAAUCCUCCCUUCUCAUUUACUUCUAAUCUCAUCAAGUCGUUAGCUAGAGUCUGAACCUCUCUAGCCAAUGGACGCCUGGAAACUUGCAAGUGAGCUAGACUUCCCAUGCUUCCCGCCUUUCUACUUAAAGCAUCCGCUACAACAUUCGCCUUCCCCGGAUGAUACAAAAUAGUGAUGUCGUAAUCCGUCAGUAGUUCCAUCUAUCUCCUCUGUCUCAAGUUCAAAUCUUUCUGAGUAAAGGCAUACUGUAGGCUACGAUGAUCCGUAUAGAACUCACACUUAACCCCAUAUAAAUAGUGUCUCCAUUGCUUUAAUGCAAACACUACCGCGGCCAAUUCCAAAUCAUGAGUUGGAUAGUUACGUUCAUGCACUUUUAAUUGUCUUGAAGCAUAAGCAAUCACAUUCUUCUCUUGCAUUAGCACUGCACCCAAACCCGAAUAGGAUGCAUCACAAUAGACAAUGAAAUUCUUACCUUCCACUGGCAAGGUGAGAAUUGGUGCAGUAGUCAACAGAGUCUUGAGCUUCUGAAAGCUUUCCUCACACUCAUCCGACCAUACAAAUGGGACAUUUUUCUUAGUCAAGUUCAUCAGUUGGGAAGCAAUGGAAGAGAAUCCCUUGACAAAUCAGCGGUAAUAGCUAGCUAAACCAACAAAACUCCUUAUUUCUGACACAUUAGUAGGUCUUACCCAAUUUUUCACUGUCUCAAUCUUAGAAGGAUCCACCAUCACUCCAUCCUUAGAAACCACGUGCCCCAAGAAGGACACUACAUCUAGCCAAAACUCACACUUAGAGAACUUGGCAUAAAGCUUUUUCUCCCUCAACAUUUCCAAUACCAUUCUCAAAUGCUCCUCAUGUUCCUCCUUACUUUUAGAGUAUAUCAGUAUGUCAUCAAUAAAUACGAUCACAAAGAGAUCCAAAUAUGGCUUAAAAAUCCCGUUCAUCAAACUCAUGAAUGCAGCAGGGGCAUUCGUAAGACCAAAAGACAUCACUACAAAUUCGUAAUGCCCAUACCUGGUUCUAAAAGCAGUCUUUGGCACAUCCGUUGCCCGUAUUUUCAAUUGAUGAUAACCGGCUCUCAAAUCACUCUUAGAGAAGACACAAGCACCUUGUAACUGAUCGAACAAGUCAUCAAUGCAAGGAAGAGGAUACUUGUUCUUUAUGGUUACCUUGUUCAACUACCGGUAGUCUAUGCACAUCCGAAAACUCCCAUCCUUCUUCUUCACAAACAAAAUCGGAGCACCCCAAGGAGAUGCACUUGGUCUAAUGAAGCCUUUGCUCAACAACUCUUGAAGUUGGGCUUUUAACUCUCUUAACUCCGCGGGAGCCAUUCUAUAAAGGGGUAUAGAAAUGGGGCGCGUACUCGGUUCAAGAUCAAUACAGAAGUCAAUAUCCCUAUCUGGUGGCAUACCAGAAAGAUCUGCAGGGAACACAUCCCGAAACUCACGGACCACCGAAACCGACUCAAUCGAAGGUACUUGGGUAGUGUCAUCCUUGAGAUGUGCCAAGAAAGCUAAACACUCUUUACUAACCAUUUUCUUAGCACAAAGAAAGGAGAUGAUACGCACCGUAUUGGAAGUGUAGUCACCCUCCCACGCUAACGGAUCUGUCCCAGGCUUGGCUAACGUCACCGUUUUAGCAUUACAAUCCAAGAUCGCAAAUUGCGGAGAAAGCCAAGUCAUACCCAGAAUUACAUCAAAAUCAACCAUUUCUAAGAUAAUCAAAUCUACAUAAGUGUUUCUCCCCAUAAAGUUCACCAAACAAGACCUAUAUACCUUUUCAACUACCACAGACUCACCCACCGGAGUAGAAACAGGAAUAGGCAUAUCAAGUAAUUCACAAUGUAAAUUUAGACCAUUAGCAAAUGAGGAAGAUACAUAAGAAAAUGUGGAUCCAGGAUCAAACAAUACAGAAGCCAUGCAAUCACAAACUAGAAAUUACCUGUGAUGACAGCAUCAGAUGUCUCCGCCUCCGAUCUCCCAGGGAAAGCAUAACAAUGGGCCCUUUCGUUUGUUUGUCUGUUGCCCCUACCAUGUUGUGAUGUAGUGGCUCCAGUUUGCUCAUCACCCCGGCCGUUUUGGUGACCACCACGUCCUCCCGAAUAACGGCCUCUACCAUGACCAUCUCUACCUCUAGCUAUUGGGGGUCUAUAACUCUGUUUGGGACAAUUCCUCCUAAUAUGUCCAGUCUCCCCACAUCCAUAACACUCUCUUGAUUCAAGCAAAGGUCUUUCAGAGAAGUGUUGACCGGUCUAAGGUGGUCCCCCAACUACAGUCUGUAGUGAAGACUGAAUUGGUCGAAGUGAGUAACCUCCUGAACCCUGUCCUCUAGAGUAAGAACCAUUAAACUCACCUCCCUUUCGAAACCUUUUUAAUGUAGUUGCCAUGGUGAAGUCAUCUGGCUUCACUCCCUCUACCUCUAUCACGAAGUCUACCACUUCUUGAAAAGAUUUCGCUGUAGCCGCUACCUGUAAGGCUGAAAUCCGCAACUCUGAUCUCAACCCCUUCACAAAACGGCGAAUCCGCUCUUGUGGACUGAAACAAAGUUUGGUGGCAUACCUUGAUAAUGCACGAAACUUAGCCUCAUAUGCAGUAACCGACAUCCUACCUUGCUCUAGGCUCAAGAACUCAUCUCUUUUCCUAUCCCUCAAAGUCCGGGGGAUAUACUUCUCCAUAAACAAGCUAGAGAAUGAGGCCCAAGUCAUAGGUGGUGCCUCUGUUGGUUGACACUCAACAUGUGACCGCCACCACAUUUUGGCGUUCCCUUGAAACUGAUAACUCACGAACUCAACACCAAACCGUUAUACUAUACCCAUCUUGUGUAGUAGCUCAUGACAGUCAACCAGAAAAUCGUAAGCAUCCUCAGAUUCAGCACCCUUGAAGACUGGCGGUUUCAAUUUCAAGAACUUACUGAAAAGUUCAUGCUGAUCAUUUGUCAUUAUAGGCCCAGUAGUCAGACGUGGAAACGUGCCUAUGUCCAAUGAGGCAUCCAUACGAGGAGCCAUAGUGGCUGCAUGUUGUACCUCUGAAACCGGAGGUGUUGGUGCAGAAAACACUGGAGGUGCCUGACCCUGAUCAGACAACCCACUAAGAUAAGCGAGAACCUGAUUGAUCAUCUCUUGGGUAGGUUGGGGUGACAAUUCCUCAUUUUGCACUUGUUCAUUCUCCCCUUCCUCACCCUCUCUUACUGCUUCCUCAGUCGGUGGAGGAGUCACCGCCCUAGCAUCAGAUGGGCUAGGUGUUUGUUCUCUUCCUCUAGAGGACGUCCUCCCACGACCUCUACCACGGCCUCUUGCCGUUGCUCUUCCUCUAGCCACAGCCCUAGUGGCUGGCUCAGUUAUAUCCUGCCUUGCUGGUGUUGGUGUUGGCGUAGUCGUUGCUCUAGUUCUAACCAUCUGCGAAAGAGAGUGAAGAUGGUCAGAUACCAAUUUGUAUCACCUAGAUACCAAUUGGAUUCAAGUAGUAGCACGAAAGAAAGAAAGAAAGAAUGGAAUUUUCCUAAAGUCUUAUAGCCUCUCAAAGAAAAGUAAAGGCGUCCCCCUACCGUUCCUUAAGACUCUACUAGACUGGUUCUUGUGUGAUGAGACCAACGAACCUAAUGCUCUGAUACCAAGUUUGUCACGACCCAAAUUGGGCCGCCACUGGUACUCACACUUACCCUCCUAUGUGAGCGAACCAACCAAUCUAAACCUUAACAUUUCAAUAUAAUAUCAACAGAAAGUAAUGCGGAAGACUUAAACUCAUUAAUAAAAUCAAUUAACUAUUUUUAUCCCCAAAAUCUGAAAGUCAUCAUCACAAGAACAUCUACUUCAAAUUACUAAAUCUAAGAGUUUCUAAGAAGCUAAAAAUACAUAAAAUCUAGUCCAUGCCGGAACUUCAAGGCAUCAAGACAUGAAGAGGAAGAUCCAGUCCAAGCUAGAAGUAUUAGCUCACCCUGAUAUCCGAAGUAAUGAAGACUGGCUAGAGUUACUGUUGAGUCGAAGAUGAUGGCACGUUUGCUGCACUCCACAAUUAAACAAGAAGAAAACAUAAAAGUAGGGGUCAGUACAAAACACGGGUACUGAGUAGAUAUCAUCGGCCAACUCAAAAUAGAAAUCAAUAUAUACCAAAUAAUAUCAUAAAAGCAACUAUGAUACUCAACAUGUAGCAACAGCAAGUACUAUAUCAUUAACAAUUACCGUCAAGUUCACACAUGAGGACUCAAGCCUCAAUACCAUACUCAUUUGGGAAUUAUGUUCAUUAGAUUAAGUAUAUUAACAUCUUUCAAGAUUCAUUAUCUUUAUUUCUCUUGUGUCGGUACGUGACACUCCGCUCCCUCAUAUUCAUUAGUCCUCUUGUGUCGGUACGUGACACUCCGAUCCCCUACAUCUACGUGUCGGUUCGUGACACCUGAUCCUCUAAAUCUACGUGUCGGUUCGUGACACCCGAUCCCCUAAAUCUACGUGUCGGUUCGUGACACCCGAUCCCCUAAAUCUACGUGUCGGUUCGUGACACCUGAUUCCCUAAAUCUACGUGUCCGUUCGUGACACCCGAUCCCCUAAAUCUACGUAUCGAUUCGUGACACCCGAUCCCCUAAAUCUACGUGUCGGUUCGUGACACCCGAUCCCCUAAUCUCCUUCUAUCAAUUCAUCAAGCCUUCUUUAUUACCAAGGCAUCAUCAAUCGCAUUAUUUUAGUUCAUCACGCCUUCUUUUAUACCAAGGCCCCAUCAUUAACAAAGAGAUUAGGGUUUUUCAAGAUUUGGGAUUCAAUAACUUCAUCAUGCUUAUAUAAUCACAAUUAUAUAAUUACAUUCAUGCAAGCAUACAAUUAAGCACAUAGCAGGGUUUACAAUAUUAUCAAUACAUAUCAUUCGCUAUUAAGAGUUUACUACGAAUAUCGUAAGAGAAACCAUAACCUACCUCCACCGAAGACUAGUGAUCAAGCAAGAAUUUCCCAAAGCCUUGUGUUUUUCCUCUUCGUUCGUCUCUCUCUAUCGAUUCUCCUUCUCUCUCUUUCUGUUCUUUUCUUUUUCUUAUUCAAACCCUCUUUCUUUAACCCUAAUUAGCAUAUAAUUAAGAAUAAAAGAUGGCAAUAAUAACCCACUAAUUUACUCAAGGUUACCUCUUUUAACCCCAAGUAAUUAGACUUAUUAACAUAAACCCACUAACUUUAUAAUUAAAGUAGGAAUAGUCCAAAACGUCCCUUAAAACGUGUAAAGAAAUCCAACCCAGACUGGGAUUACGCAACCUGUGACGGCCCGUCGUGCCUGCGACUGUCCGUUCUGCAGGUCGUCGCAAAGUUCAGAGACAAUUUCCACCAAAGAGUCAGUGAUGGUCCGUCAUGCCCGUGACGGUCCGUCCUGCCAUUCCGUUACGAAGUUCAGAGAGUCGAUUUUCAGUAUCCAAUUUCAGAAUUUCUAAGUGUUUUGAAACGAGACCCCUCGACGGUCCGUCGUGCCCAUGACGGUCCAUCGUGGGUUCCGUCAUCUCAGCCUGUUUUUCCAAAAAUAAAAUCUGCUGCUCAAAACGACUAAACAGGUCGUUACACUUUUUAGUAGUUUCAGAUUUGAAUUGAUAAUAAUUAGCCUAGAUAUCAAUCAUUCAGAAGAGAAAAUGAAGUAAAAGUGUCUUAUAUGUUUCCAAUUAUUAAAAAAAAGAGGGACAAUUGAGCCAUAUUAUUUUUCUCUACUUUUUUUCUUUAAUAUUAGUAAAAAAAACUCAAACAAUAACAUUAUUGUAGUAGUCUUGAACACUAUUAAGGUUGUUUGAAAAACUACUGAAGUUGUUAAAUGACUAAAGAAGAUAUCCCUAAUCCUAUAACAGUUGUUUGAACUAGAGUGUAAAAAUUAAAUCUUUGGAACUAUUGACAAAAUAAUUUUUAACCUAGUUAAUAUUAUUUGUCACUUCAAUCCAAUUUUUAAGAUUUGAAAGUCUCCUACCAAAUUGACUAACUAAUUUGUCUUUUAUGACAGAUCUACAUAAACAUAAAAACAAUAAAUGAGUAGCAGGUAUCACAUUAGGUCAUCAAACACAAUAUAUCAAAUAAAAUAAAAUCAAGUAAAAAGUUAAUAUAACAAAGUUCGAAUUCUGAUUAUUCCCCAGCAUAGUGACCAGAGAUAUCAUACCACUUUUUGCGCUUUAGAGAGAGUUUUUCCAAUUAAAGUGAUUAGGUCAUCAAGUAAAAAUCAAUGUAACAAAGCUUAAAUUCGUAUUAUUUUCCAGCGAAAUCGCCAAAGAUGUUAAUUCCCAUUUUGCUAUCCAGAAGAAGGGUUCUUCCUAGGGGUGACAAUUGGGGCGAUGCAAGAUAAGGUGGGGAAGGAAAUUAUGUCAAUGGGACAAGUUAAGUUACGGCAAGGCAAAAUAUUUUCUUUUAUAAAUCUUAAUGGAUUAGGCUGGGCAAGGUAAUUUCAAAUUUUAAAAUGGGCUCGAUUAAAAAAAUUGACCCGCCUAUGCCCUACUUCAAAGAAUGAAAGUAGUGACUCUCUUCCUCAAAUUUCAUCGCUCUCAAUUUUCUUCUCCAUUCUUCAUUUGGGUUCUGACUUAGAUUUUACAAAUCAUGAUUGAAUCGUUGAAUUUUUAAGAACUAUUCUUCCUUAAUAUUUCAUUUUCAGGUACUAUUUCUCUCUUAGCUAGCAUUUGGCCAUAGAUAUUCAAAUAUUUUUGGCAAAUAUUAUUUGGAUGAAAAUUUGGGUGAAAUUUUACCAUGUGUUUGGCCGUAGAAUUUGAGAAACAUAUUUCAUUUUUUUUAAGAAAUAUGAUUUAUACCCAUAAGUUUUUAAAACUAUCAAACUAACCAUAAAUUUGUAUUACAUAGCACAAUAGAAAUCUCACGUAAAAAGAUUUAUGACUUCCGCAACAAAUCAACAAGAAUCAUUAUAGUAAAUAUUCGUAUAGUGAAAAGAUCUUGGUACAAAUCAUGAUAAUGAAAAUACAACUAAUAUAAAUUCGGAAAAAAAAAAGAAGAAAACAAAAGGAAAUAAAUAUUGCAAUCACUGAAGAACAUAUGCUUACUCAUCUGGACGAGUUCAACCUAUUCUUUAAUAUAAUCUUCCCACAUUUUAUGAACAAUCUCUUCUUGAUGAGCUUACAUUUUUGAAUCAAACGAUCGAGAAGGUGAAGCGAUGUUGUUACCCUGAGCCAGUAGUUCGUCACUUUCAUCAACAACCAUAUCAUCAUUUUCAUUUUCAUUGAAUAUUCCAUCACUACUUUGGUGUUCACGUAAAAAAUUAUGCAAUACAGCGCAAACAAUUACUAUUUUCACUUGCAUAUCACAUUCAUAGUUGUUCAUGCAUUGUCUUAAUAUUCUUAAUCUACUUUUCCAUGCACCAAAAGUUCUUUCAAUUACAUUGCGUAGAGAAGUAUGUUUAUAGUUAAAUAACUCUUUUCCAUUCUUAGGCUCUCUUUCACUUUCUCGGUAGUCCUGCAAAUGAUAGCGCAUUCCAAUGAAUGGAGCUAAAAAUCCUCUUGUGUUCCGUAGACCAGCAUCAACAACGUAAUAUUUAUCUACCAAAAUAAAAUAAAUGCAAUUCAUAUUUUAUUUAGUAGCUAGUUCAUUAAGACUAACUGUAAUAAAGGAAUGUAUGAAAUCAAAAGAAUGCAUGUAGAAGGGAGCUAAUUGAAUUGGUUGGUGUCAAUAAAUAUAUUAUUUUUGUAAAAUAAAAAGUUAAGAGUAAAAAUUGAAUUUCUAAAACUUUCCAAAUAACGAAAUUUGGCCCAAAUACUAGUUUUUUCUAGUAUUUGGGAAUUUGAAAAAUUUGCCAAAUAAUAAAAAAGUGUAUGGACAAACAAAAUUUGCCAAGUUUUUCCCCAAGUUUUACUUGCAAAAUUUAUGGCCAAACGGGCCCUUAGAAUUGUAAUUUAUCAGUUGGAUUUGAUAUAUUUUUUCAUUUGUUUGAAUGUGUUUAGUUUUCUAGCUAGAAUCUAUGUUCUUUGUUUGCUACAAAUUAAUGUAAAACAAAUGAUUGUCACACCCCUUUUCGCAUGGCGACGUAAGAGUUUUUCCAAUUUAAGUGACGUUAUUAAUUAAGGGAUUAUUUUAAUUUUUUCAGAGCCGCCACUUGAAAUUGAGUUACGGUGUUCCAAGUCACCUUUUUUGUUUAAUUUCUAACCAAAAGAAAUGACUCUUUGUUUGGUCUGCGAACUAGAAAUUCGGGUAAGGAAUUCUAUUGACUGAAAGGAAGGUAUUAAGCACCUCUCGAGUCCCAUGGUUCUAGCACGGUCGCUUUAUUGACUUUUAUAUGACUUGACUUAAUUUUCAAUAUAUUAUGUUUAUUACCUAACAAUUUACUUAUGUCCCGCUUUCUUUGAUUUAUUUUAAAUUACUUUGUAAAAUUGUCAUAUUUUAUUAAUGUGUGGUUUAUUGGUAGCAGCUCUUUCCAAUCUCAUCACAAAUUGAUUAUUUGUUUGUAUUUAAAGACUAAAAGUAGUUUAAUGUUUUUUGGAUCUUAAUAUUUUAUUAGUAUUAUCAUUAUCAUAAGCCUAAAUUAUACAUUAUCUUAGUUUUAUUUUUCUAAAAGUAAAUGAAAAAUAUAUUAAUAAGAACAUAAGAUAAAAAUAAAUUAAAAUAAUACACCUUUUUCAUAUAAAAUUUUAUUACUUUUUCUUAUUUUAGUCAUUAAAAUGAAAAGAACUCGCUUAUUAAAAUCAAUUUUAUUUAUUUAUUUAUUUUACAAGUUUUGGGUCACUUUAAUAUUGUUUUUCUAUUUUUUUUUUAAAUUUUGUUUCUCUUUCUUCUUAUACUUUACCUUAUUUUUCUUUUAUAUUUUCUCCUUCUUAUUUUUUUAUAAUUUUUUUUACAUCUUUUCCUUUUAUAUAAAUUUUUAUUUUUUAUUCUUUCAACAUGAAUAAACUAAUUGAUUUUUUUAAAAAAAGUUUCGCAUUAAAAGAAAUGUAAAGAUAGUGUAGGUUUGAUUUAUUUUAUUUUUAUUUUUAUUCUUCUCUUUUAAAAAAUAAAUAAAUACAGUUUUAUUAAAUAUACGAAGUGAGAAAGUAACUUAACAAAUAAGAACUAAAUUUCAUCUAAUUAUUACUAACUGCAUACUGUAGAAUAUUAAGCUUCGAAUUUUAAUGAAGAAUAAGAUAAAAGGAAACUUUAAAGCAAGCAAGAAUAAAUACAUGUUAUAUAAAUUUUACUCAAAUUUAAUAAUAUAAAAUCUCAAUCUAUUUCAUAUCACAAUGUAAAAAUUAAACAUUGCAUAAAUUUAAAACACUUUAUAUCAUUGAAACCAUAUCUUGCAUGAUUCUGAAACAAAAUAAUGUAAUAAAGAUCAAGGGUUAUCUUUGGUGAAAAUUAAUUCACAAAGAAAAUACCUCGAUAAAGGACCACGAAUUUGAAGCCUUAAAUUUCACUAUUUUUGAGUUGUUUUUUUUUUUGUGCAUGUGUUCCUUAGGGAAAAAAAAAGGUGAAAAGCUUUCUUUUUUUUUGUUUUUCUUUUCUUGGAUUUCUGAAAUUUUUCUUUUCCUUUGUACCACUUUUUCUUCUUUUUCUCUUUUCUCCUCCCAUUAUUAGUGUAUAUGUAUUUAUGUAUAUGUGUGUACAUGUGUAUGGAAGAGUUGGAUUAGUGGAGUGGGGUGUGGGGUGAGUGGAGAGAAAUGGUGAAGUGGGGGUGGGAUAAUGGGUAGGUUAAUUUCUUUUAAUUUUUUUUGUUAUAAAAUAAUAAUAAUAUUAAUUAAGAAAAAUUAAAUAGCUAGAUUAAAAAAAAUAUAAAAAAUUAAAAUCACUAAUUAAUUAAAACUUUGAAUGAAUAAAUAAAAAUAUACCUUAAAGUGUUAUUCUAUUUUUUUGUGGUUUUCAUAUCUUUUAAAAAUAAAUUUAACAAAAUAAGAUAAAAGUCAAAAUAUUUGUAAAAAAUAUUUAAGCUCUAAAAAGGAUAUAAAACUUAAAUUCGGUAAAAAAUUAUGUGUCUAUACUGAUUACAUAGUAAAACGAAAUGAAUUAGCAUUUAUUCAUGAAGAUGAAACUUAGAAAUAAAGCUGGAUUAUGUUUGAAUUAACAAAAAACGCAUUCAGCUGGACUUAGAUUUUUAAAAUGGAUUUUGGAUGAACCAAACUUAUAUGAGCAGGAAACCAAAGCAGCAGCUAUACUUCAAGCAAACUUCCACGAUAUAAUUGAUUAAAUAUCAUUUCUAAUAGCUAAUACACGAAUAAAACAUCUAAAUGAAUAAUUGAGCUUUUAGCGGAGAAAGAAUCUUACGAAUUGAGUUGUUCGAGUCUAAUUUAUUCAACAACUCUUUUGCUAGUCCUCUUGAUGUGAAUAAGCUGUUGUUAGGCUAAUGAUUUGAUAAUACAGUGAUGUAGUUACUUGAACUCGCAAGUAACUGCAUGAAAUUCAUUUCGGAUCAUAGACCAACAAUGCGACAAUUUUAUCAGACUGUUAGUGCGAUUCUCGAGUCCAAGACCAAACAGGGGACUAUGGAAUAUAGUUGCACUUGGACUACAAGCAGGGGAAGGGCCAUCAAUGGUAUAAGUAGCUUUGGUUCAAACAAUAUGUUGGUAUGUUGUGUGAAAUCUUAUAGUCGCUAUUAAAACUCGAGAACUUUGAUUAAGUAUAAAGGGGUAGGUAUUGGUGACAGACCAUAGUUGUAAACACCACCACUAUUUACAUUGUUACAAUAUUAUAGAGCUUGAUGUAUUUGCAAAAAUAUAUAUUGGCAAUCUAACAUCUUUUUUCUAUUUUCGUAAUAGGCAAUAAUGACAUCUCAAAAUGAUGAGAAUCUGCCUACUUCAUCUUCUAAUGGUAUUUCCUUAGAGGUUGAGAGUCCGAGGCCUUCACAAAUUGAUGAAGUUGUUGUAUCGAGAAAAAGAAAGAGAUAUUCUAAAGCAUGGAAGCAUUUCUAGUUAGUGUAUGUUGAUGGUGUUCCAUAUGGUCAGUGUAAGUAUUGUAAUUCUCGAUAUAAAAAUGCUAAAAAUUACGGGACGAAGUCUAUGUGGAAUCAUUUAUGUAAGUGCCCUAAUAAGUCAAAAAGUGAAAUAGGGGGUGAAUGAUGAAGGACACUAUUGUGAUCAAGAUGUUUCACGAAAACAACUAUCACAUGCCAUUAUUUUACACAAUUAUCCACUCUUUAUAGUUGAUCAUGUGGAAUUUAGGAACUUUGUUACGAGUCUCCAACCUAUGUUUAAAAUGGUUUCAAGAAAUACAAUAACGUACUGAAAAUUUUUGAUAAUUUGAAAUCAAAGACUGCUAAGUUGUUGGAUAAAGUCACAAGUAGAGUUGCAAUAAUAACCGAUAUGUGGACUUCAAAUGGCAACAAGAAAGGAUUUAUGGCUAUUAGUGAGCAUUUUAUUGAUGAUUCAUGCAGUAUUCAAAGUCACAUUUUUAUGUUUGUUUAUUUUCCCGCACCACAUGAUAAAGAUGCGUUAUGUAGUGCUUUGGUUAAUUGUUUGUUUGAUUGGAAUCUUGAACGGAACAUCAACUAUCACAGUUGAUAAUUCUAGUACUAACAAUGCAAUGAUGAGAACCUUAUUGGAUGAGAAACUUAAUAAAAGAGAUUUGUUAUUGGAUGACCGAGUGUUUCAUAUACGUUGUGAUGCACACAUCUUAAAUCUGAUUGUCCAAGAAGGUUAAAGGUGAUAGGAGAAAGUAUUGGCAAAAUACGUGAUAGUAUCUUAUAUUGGAUUGGAUCAUCCGGUAGAAUUGAGAGAUUUGAAGAAAAUGCAUGUCUACUACGUUGUUCUUGUAAGAAGAAUUUGGAGUAUGAUUGUCCUACCCGUUGGAAUUCAACAUAUCUAAUGUUGAGAACAACCUUAAAAUACUAAGAAGUGUUUAAGAAACUGUGUCUAACUGACUUAAACUAUAAGUCGUAUCCAACGGAAGAGCAAUGGAGUCAUGCAGAAGAUGUUUGUGGGAAGCUCAAACUCUUUUACCAUAUCACUAAACAAUUUUCAAGGACUCAAUAUCCAACUUCCAGUCAAUACUUUACAAAAGUUUGUGAAAUUAAGAUGGAGUUGGAAGAUCGGGCGAAAAACAUUAAUUAGCUCUUUGGCGUCUGCUAUGUUAUUAAAAUUUCAAAAGUAUUGGAUGAUGUGCAUGUUAUGAUAGAUAUACUACAAUCUUUGAUCCAAGAUGUAAGAUGAAGUUUGUAGAGUACUUUCUUCCACAAAUUUAUGGUAAGGAUGCUUUAACUAAAAUUUGAGAAAUUCGAUCUCACUGUUAUGAUCUCUUUCAUGAUUAUAAUAGUAGACUAUCUUCUCCAAGGGGGUCAUUUGAAGUAUCUAGCUCUAGUGAAGUCACUAAUCCUAUUUAAGACGGUCGACUAUUGAACUUUGAUAGAUUUGUUGCUUUGAGUCAAGCUACCACGGAGAUGAAAUCAGAGUUGAAUUUAUAUUUAGAAGAGAGUUUGCUACCCAGGACUCCAUCAUUUGAUAACUUGAGUUGGUGGAAGACAAAUGGAUUGAAAUAUCCUACUUUGCAAAAGAUGGCUCGUGAUCUCUUUAGAAGCUUUAAUGUGUGCUCGCACAUGAUUUUGGAAUGAAAUAAAUGGUAUGCAAUUUUUCCACUGUCAUCUUAUUAGUUAUUCAAUUCUUACAAGUAUAUAAUUUUCUUUUCAGAUUUGACUUCAACCAUCGAUAAAGUGUCAUGUCCAACGUUGAUUGAUGAAGAGAAAGAGUUGGAGUUUAGUUUCAUGCCCCAUGUUGAUUGAUGUGUUUGUGUGUGUGCGCGCGCGAUGUCCUGAUUGUUGUUGUGAAUCGGGUAGGGCGGGGCAGGGCUUAACGGGGCGGAGAAAUCUGUUUGAAAGAUGUUAAAUGGGGCACGGUAGGGCGGGUAAGAAUGUUAAUAGGUCAAAGCUUCCCCUGCCCUAACCCGCCUCAUUUACGUCUCUAGUAUAUAUAUAUAUAUAUAUAUAUAAGAAUUGAAGUUUACGGGUGCACGUACACUUCUACCUAUCUAUGUAGGGCCGCCUAUGCUUGUGAAGUAGAGAGAGUGUUUUCAACUGAUCAUCGGCUCAAGUAAAGUACAUGAAAUCAAUUAUGAAAAUAAUAUGGAAAGAAUAGCAGCAACGACAAAUAAUAUAAUAUUCCCUUCGUUCUAUAUUAUAUGUCACUUUUUUACUGUGCACAUGCAUGCAUUAAGAAAUGAUGUAAUUUUAUCGUUCUACCCUUAUUUAAUUUUUUUUAAACUCAAGUUUUCAAUCAAUGAAUAUGAAUUGAUUUAUUUUGAUUAAUUAAUUUAACCAAUGAACAUGAAUCAUUUGCUUAAGUUCUCUAAUUAGUUGGUCAAAUGUAUAUUUUCAAUCCUAAUAACUUACAAGGGUAAAGAAGGAAUAAAUAUGCUACUUUAUGCAUUGAUUUUAUGAAAUGACAAGUAUUAUGAUUUAACUAUUUAUCGAAAGGGAUGCCAUAUAAAUUGGGAUGGAGAUAGUAACAGGAGCAAAUGGUAAUACUAGAAUCUAAGAGUAAGAUAAUAAGAAAGUAAUAAUAAUAAUUAAUAGGUAUUUCUAAUAAUAAUACAGAGAAAAUCACUUAACUGCCCACUAACAUUCUACCCUAAUUCAUAACCUCCCACACUACGGUAAUCUAUCUUCCCUGAGUGGAGGAUGAUAUACACACAAGAAAUUCGAACAGCGUGAGUAUGAUUUUCCACAAAGUAGCACUAAUUUAUCGUCAUCUAAAUUAUUUGAAAUUUCAGAACGAAUAAAAGAAAAAAUUGCGUAUGAAGAAGAUAGGAGCACAUGGGAUCCCCUGAAAAAUAGCUGUUUAGUCAUCUGCUUAAGGGAUUAAAGAGAAUAUUAGCUAAGCUUGUUCCUUAAAUUGCACAUUAUAAUACUUGAGCAUCAAGUCAAAACAUCACAUGUACGGACCUCAAGACAUGUUAUUGGCUUUCUUUGUGUCCACCCUAUAUAUGUAACAAUAACACUUAAAAUUCAUCAUAUUACAUGUACAUAUUUUGAUCAAUUCUUGUUUUGCACCAAUGAAAUGUCUGUAAAUUGAAAUUGUAAUGACGUAUAUCAUCACGUUAAGCAACUCAACAAGGUCAACCUACAUUCAUAAUUGUGACAUUAAUUAAAACUGAUGUAUUCAGCGUAAAACCAGAGAAAAGCAUUAGCCACUCUCUAUUUAAAUAUUGAGGUGAAUUUUAAGUGAUCCACAAAACAAGGAUCUAAAAAUGAAGGAAGGACUUUAGUAGUCCAAUAUUUUUGAAUAGACAUAAUAUAUAAAUUUGUUCUCAACUUGAUUUUUGCUGAUAUCUAUGUCCUUCAAUUUUAAGUGUCCAUAUGUAGACGUUUAAACUUGUAUAAAAUUGAAUAAAUAGACAGGCACAUACGUCUAACGUGACAUCCAACAUGGAAAUUAUGUGUCCUGCAUAUAUUAUGUCACAUAGAAUACAUUUGUCUACAUGUUUAAUUUUAUACAAGUUUAAAUAUUAAUUUGUGCACACUCAAAGUUGGAGGACAGUGAAGUAAAGUUAAAAAUAGCAUAUUUAUGUCUUAAGUCUUUUGAAUAUGAAAUGAAGUUUGAUUUGUGGUUUCAUUUUCUUAUAGCUCUUAAUUUGCCACCCAAAAUAUUUCAGAAGCCAACUGUCCUUUGACAUUGCACUUCUCUUCCAGUUUCUCUCUAGCUACUAGUAUAAGAAGUCACUUACUCUAUCGACAAGUUCAAUUAAUAAACACAAUGUCAAAUUAUAAGUUCAAUUCUUUGCUCCUUAUACUCUGUUCUCUUUCUCUGUUCCUAAACCAAUCCUUGUCCAAUACCGAUGAUCAAGAAACGAGUGCUCAUGACAUUAACUGGUGGUGUAGCAAAACUCCUCAUCCUGAUCCAUGUAAUCACUUUAUGUCAUCUGGUGAUGUCCAACCCAAAAAUAAAUCCGAGUUUCGGACCAUGACGGUCCAAGUGGCUAUGGAUCAUGUAAUUCAAGUGCAGAAUCAUGCAAAGAAUGUAAGCCAGAAGUGCAGGGGAAAACGAAAGAAGUUAGUGUGGAUGGAUUGUGAAAAGCUCAUGGAUGAUACUAUCCUCCAAUUGAGUCGUAGUCUCGAUGGCAUCAAAUCAAAUUCAAGUUCUGAUUUUGAUGCACAAACUUGGCUCAGUGCCUCGUUGACAAACAUCGAGACCUGUCUAUCAGGAUCGAAUGAUCUCAAUGUUUCCAACAUCCUCCAACCGAAUUUAUCCACUAAUGUUUCUCAGCUGAUUAGUAAUUGUUUAGCUGUGAAUGGUGAGUUCAUGGACGCGGAAAAUACAACACAAGUUGGUGGAUUUCCAAAUUGGCUUUCGAAUAGGGAAAGAAAGUUGUUGCAAACUUCGUCAAUAGAUUUAAUGGCUACUAAGGCGAAUUAUGUCGUGGCUAAAGAUAAAUCAGGUCGAUUUCGGUCCAUUCAGGCUGCAAUAAACUAUGCAGCAUCGAAGAGAGUUGGAAAUGAAAGAAUCGUUAUAUAUAUCAAAAGGGGUGUUUAUAAAGAGAAUAUUUUGGUAGGUCCUACAAUGGGGAAAAUCAUGUUAGUUGGUGAUGGCUUAAGAUACACUAUAAUCACAGGAAGCCGCAGUGUUGCUGCUGGUUUCACAACUUACAGUACUGCAACUGUUGGUAAUGACUCUCGAGCUUCCUCUCUGUUUCGUUUUCAGUUUUGUCUUUCAAUUUCUUUCGUUUUAUAUCAAUAUGGUUUCAUCUUUCAUGAAUUGAAGUAGAUUAAUGCGUAAUUACAGAAGCAUAAUGCAAGGGAUUUAGCUACUUCUAGUUCAUUGGCAUUAAGUAAAACAACCGAAACCACAGAGGAAUUCCAUGUAGAAUGAACAAAAUUGUGGGAAAUGUCUAGGGAUUUUGCUCUUCUACUUUUUUUCGCGGGUAAAUAAUAACACUUCCCUUUUUAGUCGUCCCAAAAUAAAAAUAGUACAUUUUUGAAACACAUAGUAAACAAUUUGAUUUUUAAAUGUCUAUUUCACUCUUCACAUAUUUUUUAGAUAACAAAUAUUAAAAAUUUUUCUUUUUUGCUUAAAUUUCGUAUCAAGUCAAACUACUUGUUAUAAAUUGGGAAGGAGAGAGUAGUUCGUCCCAGUUGCAUCUAAUGCAUAUUGCUUCAUAGCAUAAUAAGGUGGAGAAUCAUUGUAAUACAUAAUUCCAUCAAAAAGGUUGAGGCCAAACUAUAUGUUUUUGAAGAAGUACGUUUUGUUAUAUCUCUCUACACUCUACUUUGUGUAAGGGUUGACGUCCAAAACAGACUUUAGGAAACAUUAGGCAUUAUGUGAGUUAAGUUACGCCAAAUUGGCAUAAUUUUUCUUUAUAUCGGGAUUCGGUAGUCAACCACCUCCCUAAUACUGUCACUGGAAGGAUCAUGACAUACUUUUUAUUAAAAUAUUGAGAAAUGCUUAAAAAUCAAAGGACAAAACAAUCAAAAAAAAAUUAAGCUAAUUAAAGGUCAAAUGCUAUUUUGGCGGAUCAUUUUGUUGCAUUCAAUUCCUUUCACGUGCAACAAUUCUUAAGGGGAACAAUCUGCAUUUUGAAAUUACUAUAAUUUAUCAGGUCAGAUCUUAGAUUUCUGAAUUAAAAAAAUAAUGUAUACGAACAUGUUUUCUGAGAUUGAGAAACGAGGUUGACAUAUUUUUUAUUUUAUUUUUACUAGUAAAAUAAUGAGAGCAUAUGGUACAUUAAUUGUAAAUAAUUUGAAAUUACAAUGUUUUAGGGGUGGAUGGAAUUGGAUUUAUCGCUCGAGGCAUCACAUUCCGUAACACAGCAGGGCCACAAAACGGCCAAGCAGUAGCUCUACGAUCAGCAUCUGAUCUAUCAGUAUUCUAUGCUUGUGGUUUCGAAGGCUAUCAAGACACCCUAUUUGUUCAAUCUCAACGACAAUUCUACAAAUCAUGUUAUAUCUAUGGAACCAUAGAUUUCAUCUUUGGCAACGCUGCAGUUGUUUUCCAAAACUGCAUGAUUUACGUCCGCAAACCAUUAUGGGGACAAGUAAACGUGAUCACAGCACAAGGAAGAAACGAUCCAUUUCAAAACACAGCAAUUUCAAUUCACAACUCUAGAAUUAUGGCAGCUCCUGAUCUUCGUCCAGUAAUUGGAUCGUUCCAAACAUAUUUGGGACGUCCAUGGCAGCAAUAUUCAAGAACGGUUAUCAUGAAGACUUAUUUAGAUACAUUGAUUAAUCGAGCAGGCUGGUUGACAUGGUUAGAUUCUAAUUUUGCUUUGAGUACGUUGUACUACGCGGAAUAUGGUAAUAUUGGACCAGCGUCAUCGACUAGGUUUAGGGUGAAGUGGCCUGGUUAUCACGUCAUAAAAAAUGGAAAUGUUGCUUCUAAGUAUACAGUUGCAAGCCUUAUAGCUGGACGGGCGUGGUUGCCUUCAACUGGGGUCCCAUUCACUGGGGGGCUGUGAAGAACAAGUGUUAUUAUUAUUACACACUUUUAUUUGCCUUGUUAUUUUUCUUUCUUAUUUUUUCAUUGAUUCUUCUUUUUUGUACGUGUCAUGCCAUUAUGACAUAUAAAUGGAUUUAUGGAUACUAUUAUGAUACAUUGAAAUUCCACAUAAGAUCUAUAUAAUUUUUGAAUAGGGCGGAUUGAAAUUUUUUUUGAUGGGUUGAAGAUUUAAUUUUAUUCAAUUGGAAGAUGUCUUGUGAUAUAUAAUAAUAAUAUCUUAAAAUAAAUUGUUAGUUGUAACUUGUAAGGGUAAAAAUAGGUUGAAAGAUGAAUUGAAUAGUAUUUUUAUUAAAAAAAGAAAAAAUACAUAAGUAUUUUCUCAAUCUAUAUUCGAAAUUCUAGAGGCACACUUAUAAUAUACUAAUGUCUAUUACCCUUCUGAACUUAUUUUAUAAGUAAUUUUAUAUCCCUUUUCGGCCUACGUGACACCAGUUUGAAAGAAAAAAACAACCAGCAUUGGGCCACAAGAUUAUUAAUAAAAUAAGUUCAAGGGGAUAAUAAGACCUUUGUAUAGUAUAAGUGUGUUUCUGAGAUUUCGAACAUAUGUUGAAGAGUACUUUUGUAUUAUCCCUUAAAUAAAUGAAUGAAAAUAUAUUUAAACCGUUUCGAACAGUCUCAAAAUAUUUGUGACCCUUUUAAGCACACAAUUUUACAUGGGAAACCCUUUCAUUGAGAAAAGGGUGAAGUCAGGCUCUUUUUAAUAAUAUGAAAAGUUCGGGGCAAGCUUUUAAGUUUAGUAAAUAUACCUAGGCCCCCUUUUUUUUUUUAAUCACUACUGGUAAUUAGGGGUCCCUUUCUAUAAUUUGAAAAGCUUGGAGAUAUUUUGCUACGAGCUUGCUUAAUUUUUUAAAAAUGUAAAUGCUUCUGUUUGAAUAGAUAGAAGUUGAGAAUAUUUUAGAUAUUUAAUGCAUAGAAGGAGUAAUUCAGUUAGAAACCUUAUUAACUCUGGAUAGCUAUCAGUUGUUUUAUGAGGAUCCAUUAAAAUUCAAGUUAAGGGAAUUGUCUUAAAAUAUUAUUUGUGUUUUAUUUAGGAUUAAAAUAUCACCCAACUAUCACUAUUUUACAAUUCAAAAACAUGAUUCUCUCAUAGUUGGCAUGACAUGACAUUAAAGUCUUUUUUUAAUAAUAGAGUAAUUUAAUUCAUUAAACUCAUUUAACUAAAAUAAUGAUCAUAUUGUUUUUAAUUUUUUAAAUUAAUUUAUCAAGAAUAAAAUUUUCAUACUUAAAUCUUUUAUCAUAAUUAAACUUUUUAUUUUUUUUAUGUUAUGCAGAAUGUGUUUUUAAAUGGUACUAUAAUCUCAUUAAUUUUAAAUACUAAUAAACACAUACAUUCGGAAAAAAUAUUGAUGCAUAAAUCACUCAUGAACGUCAAGUUACUACAAUUAAUCAUAAAUUGUAUAAUAAAUCAAUAAUAUUAAAGAUCGAUCAAAAAAUAUUGAUAUACAAAUCAAUCAUGAACGCCAAUUUACUUCAAAGAUUAGACCACUUUGGUGAUUAACUAAUCUCAUAUGCAUAAUUUCAAAAUAAAAUACAUCAUGAUAGAGGAUAAUUAUUUCACUUAAUAAUACCUAUUACCGUUUUCAAAUAAGGAAAACAUUAAUGUUAUGAAAAAUCACUAGUUUUUAAACCAUGCUCUUGAUACCACAUAUAAGUAUUUUUUAAUGAUUGUGAAAACAUAAACAAUCUGACAUUUAGAAAUCCUAUCAAUUAUUCAGGAUUGUAGAACUAUAUGAUUUUCACAUAUAUUUAAUACUAUGAUAUUUCAGUCAAGAAUACAUACCCGAAUCUGUCAUUAUAAUUCUUGACUAUUGAGCGAAAGUUUUUUCUUUUGAAUCUUUAGAAGUUGUUUCUCCCUCUUGUCUUAUACUUUAUGUAUAGCUUUGAUGGAUAAGAAAAUAUCUUUAUGGCAGAGAGAGGACCCUUUAAAUAGAGUAUUUUUUAGCAUCAUUUCCAUCUUUCCAUCAUGGUGAGUAGUGGAGAUAAUGGAUAGUUGGAAGAGCUAAUGGGUAAAGUGAAAGAGUUAAUGGGUAGUUGAAGUAACUUCUCUACUUAUCCAAUUAAAAUUAGAAUUUAGUUAGUAAUUAAAUAUUAAACCAAAAUAAUAUUAAUGUGAGUAGUUCAUAAAACUAACAGUAUCAAGGCAGAAGUAUAAUCCCUCAGCACAUAGAGUCCUCCAACAACAUCACCAAAAACGGGUUCCUUCCUCAAAGAAGGUUCCUGUAGAAUACAUCCAUCUUUAGUAAAUAACAUAUCAAGGUCAAGUUGUUUUGUCAAAAGACUAAUAAAGAUUAGCUUAUGAGUAAAGUCUGGUACAUAAAGAACUCCAUUUAGUGUUGGAGUAGGAUUAAUAGACUACCCAUGAAAAAAGCAUGUACUUGUUGUAACUUGGCCAGAUUGAUAAAAAUAGGAAAAGGUAAAAAGAGUUACAUUUUGUAGAAUAUGUUUGUUAAAUGUCAUGUGUUGAGUAGCACCAGUGUCUAAUACCCAAGAAUAGUUGGUGAUUUUAGAAAGAAAAGAAGUGAAGAGUAAACAAGCAUGAUUUAUACCAGUUGGUUUAGCCUUAACAAAGUUUUCAGAAUUAUAGCCUUCAGAACCUCCAUUCUAAUUCCCUGAGUACUUUUGUGGAGUCUAUCUAGAUCCUUCAGUGUUUAGAAAAGCAGAAGAUCUGUAAUAGAAACAAAAUUAGAGUACUGUACCUCCUUUUGGCUUUCCUAAUACAAAAUGAUAGAGUAAGUUUGCGCAGUACUGGGAAGAGGCUUCUGAAAGAGUUGGUUUUGGUUCUUGUGGAAUCAAACUAAAUGGAAGAUGAAUUAAUAUGAAUAUUUGGUAGGAAGAUAAUUAGUACAAAAUACAAGUCAAAGAUUGUAUCUUGGUAGGUGAAAGUUAGGCAAACCAUAAAAUGGUUUGCUAUCUUAACCUUGGCAAUUUUGACACAUAGUGAUGUCAUGGAUGACAUCAAUAGGAUGAAUUUAUUCCUAUAAAUAGGUAGCUCUUAAUUCAUUUUCAAAUCAUCUUUUCACUUGCCUUCUCACCUUCUAAGGCAUUGUGUUCUCUCUCUUGUAGUAUUUCACUUAUAUUCCUUUUAUAGUGAAAUAAAUAUCGGUGCAGUUGUUCUUUGGUGGACGUAGGAUCAUUUUGAUCCGAACCACAUUAAAUAUUGUUGUUCUUCCUUGUUCUUUAGUUUCACGUUUCCGCUAACAAUUGGUAUCAGAGCAAGGUUUUGUCUGAGUAUGCUCUGUGGUUGCAGCACAGUCUGAACUUCCAAAUCAGAAAAGGAUUACUUUGGUUUUCUGUAGUUCCAAAUACAUUGUAGUAGAAAAGGAAGAACAAGUAAAAAAAAUGAGUUCCAUGAAGUUUGAAAUUGAUAGAUUUAGUGGGCGCAACAACUUCAAUAUCUGGAAAAUCCAGAUGAUAGCGUUACUGCGGAGGGAAGGUUCAAUCCAUGCUAUUGACGGAAAGUACCCCGAUAAGAUAUCGGAUUCCGACAAAGAAAAGAUUGAAGCAGAUGCAUUGAGUGCAAUCCAACUGUCCCUUGCACCUAACGUACUUUGUGAAGUGAGUACAAGUACCGAAGAGACGGCCAAAGAGUUAUGGGAAAAGCUGGAAGGGCUUUACCAGGACCAGUCAGUGACAACAAGGAUGUUGUUACAACGGCGUCUUCAUACAUUUAAGAUGGAUUCAGGUACUUUGUUGCAAGACCAUCUAGAUGCGUUCAAUAAACUUGUGAUGGACUUACAAACUGCUGGAAUUAAAAAGGACGAGGAGACACUUGCAUGUUCUUUACUAUUUUCAUUGACUUCAAAAUAUCGUGAUAUUGAGAAUUCAAUGAUGUAUAGCAAACAACCUAUUAAACUUGAGCAAGUGCGGCAAGCACUAAACUCUUGUGAUGUGCGGAUGCAUUUUGAAGGAGACAAAAGUGACGAAGCUAGUGGACUCUUUGUAAGAGGUCGUACUAGCCAAAAGGGAAGGAGAAAAUCGAAGUACAGAUCAAAGUCUCGUGUGAACAAAAAGAAUGCGGAGUGUUGGGGCUGUCACAAGAAGGGGCACUUUGAACGAGAUUGCCCUAUGUCGAAGUCCAAAGAAAAGGCGAGUGCAUCCAUUGUUGAGAAAGUACAUGAUAAUGAUGAUGAUUAUGUACUAACAACAUCAUGCAAUAAUGGAGUCUAUGACAACAAAUGGAUCUUAGAUUCUGGUUGUACUCUGCAUAUGACAUUCCGAAAAGAUUGGUUCAGCAGCUAUGAAACAAGCAGAGGAACUGUAUUAAUGGGCAAUAAUGCAACUUGUAAAAUAGUUGGCAUUGGUUCAGUUCAUGUUCGCUGCCAUGAUGGAAUCAUGAGGACUAUUACAGAAGUCCGUCAUGUUCCUGAUCUAAAGAAGAAUUUGAUCUCCCUGGGUACUUUAGAUAAACAAGGCUAUAAGUACAUGAGUGAAGGAGGAACUAUGAAAGUGACUAAAGGGUCUUUAGUCAUGUUGAAGGCCAAGCUGGAGGAUGGCCUCUACACACUUGCGGGAAGCACCAUUAUUGGCUCUGUAAAUGCAUCUACAGUGCAGUUAUCUAAUGAUGACAAGGCAAAAUUAUGGCACAUGAGACUAGGCCAUAUGAGCGCACGAGGAUUGGAGAUGUUGAGCAACCGCAACCUUUUGAAUGGUGAGAAGAUCGGCACACUUGAAUUUUGUGAGCACUGCGUCUUAGGGAAGCAGAAAAAGGUCAGCUUCAGCACUGGCAAGCACAAGACGGGAGGGGUGCUAGACUACAUCCAUUCAGAUUUAUGGGGUCCCUCUAAGCUUCCAUCAAAAGGAGGAAAGAGGUAUCUUCUCACAUUUAUUGAUGAUUUUUCACGAAAGAUUUGGGUUCGUUUCCUGAAGACAAAAGGUGAUGCUUUUGAAGCAUUUAAAGAGUGGAAGAUUUUGGUUGAAAAUCAAAUUGAGAGGAAAAUCAAGUAUCUUCGCACGGACAAUGGCUUGGAGUUUUGCAGUGAAGAGUUCAAUGAUUUCUGCAAGGUUCAUGGGAUCGCAAGGCAUAAGACGGUCAGGCACACACCACAGCAGAAUGGAGUUGCCGAGAGAAUGAACAGAACUCUUCUUGAGAAGGCUCGUUGUAUGCUCUUACAAGCUAAGAUGUCCAAAGUAUUUUGGGCUGAAGCAGUUCAUACUGCUUCUCAUAUUGUCAAUCGGUCUCCAGUAUCAGCGAUUGACUUUAAGACUCCGAAUGAGGUCUGGUCAGGUGAACCCUCUAACUAUUCCUACUUGCGAAUAUUUGGGUGUCCAACUUAUUAUUAUGUUAAUGAAGGUAAGCUUGAACCAAGGGCUAAAAAGGCCAUAUUCGUAGGGUAUGUUGAUGGAGUAAAAGGGUACAAACUAUGGUGUUUGUCUUUACUCAAAUUUGUAGUUAGUAGAGAUGUUACCUUUGAUGAAUCCUCUAUACUUGAUCCUCGUAAAGUUUCUGUGGAGUUAUCUAGAAAUGAGAACAAUGAGCAGGUGGAGCUACCGGUGGAGCUUACCAAGAAACGGGAUCAAGAGACUCAAAGUGAUGAGUCAAAAGAUGCAGAAGAACUUGCUUCCAAUGAACCAUACACAAUUGCGAAGGGAAGGGACAAAAGGCGGAUACGGAAACCGAAACGUCUUAUAGAGCAAGAAAAUCUGAUUGCACAAGCGUUCGUAGCUGCAGAAGAAGAGAUUAAGGAUCUCGAGCCCUCUUCGUAUAUUGAAGCAACUUCUUGCAAAGACGCUGCACAAUGGCAGUUGGCCAUGAUGGAAGAGAUGGAGUCUCUUCACAGAAAUGAGACAUGGGUCUUAGUUAAAAGGCCAAAAGGGAUGAGGACAGUUGGAUGCAAAUGGGUCUACAAAAAGAAAGAAGGUAUUCCAAAAGUGGAAGCUGCUAGGUUCAAGGCGAGAUUGGUUGCAAAGGGUUUCAGUCAGAAGGAGGGAAUUGACUACAAUGAGAUCUUUUCUCCAGUUGUGAAACAUAGCUCAAUUCGCGUGCUGCUAGCAUUGGUUGCACAAUUUGAUUUAGAGCUUCAACAGCUUGAUGUCAAAACCGCUUUUUUACAUGGUGAUCUAGAAGAGACAAUCUAUAUGGAUCAGCCUGAAGGUUUCCUAGCUGAAGGUAAAGAAGACCAUGUAUGCCAACUGAAGAAGUCUUUGUAUGGUUUGAAGCAAUCCCCUAGACAGUGGUACAAGAGGUUUGAUGCAUUCAUGACUACACAUGGAUUUUCGAGGAGUGCAUUUGAUAGUUGUGUGUAUCACAAGAAGAUGUCUGGUAACUCUAUGAUUUAUCUUUUGUUGUAUGUUGAUGAUAUGCUUAUUGCUGCUAACAACAUCACAGAGAUAAAUAUUUUGAAGAAACUGUUGAGCAAGGAAUUUGACAUGAAGGAUCUAGGAGUUGCAAAGAAAAUCCUUGGAAUGGAAAUUUCAAGAGAAAAUGGUGUUGUACAUCUUUCUCAGAAGAGGUACAUCCGAAAAGUUCUUGAAAGAUUCAAUAUGGAUAUGAGCAAGCCUGUAAGUACACCUUUAGCUUCUCAUUUCAAGCUUUCAGAGUUACAAAUGCCUCAAUCUAUGGAUGAGGUGGAGCAUAUGUCAAAGGUUCCUUAUGCGAGUGCAGUUGGUAGCAUUAUGCAUGCUAUGGUAUGCACACGUCCAGAUAUUGCCCAAUCCGUAAGUGUAGUAAGCAAGUACAUGGCAAAUCCAGGAAAAAGGCAUUGGGAAGCUGUCAAGUGGAUAUUGAGAUAUCUCAAAGGAGCUCCUGAUGUUGGCCUAACCUUUCGGAAAAGUGAAGGUAUUUCAAUUCUCGGUUAUGUUGAUUCUGACUAUGCAGGGGAUCUUGAUCGAAGGAGGUCCACAACUGGAUACAUCUUUACUCUCGUUGGCAGUGCCGUUAGUUGGAAAUCGACUUUACAGUCGAUUGUCGCUUUGUCUACAACAGAGGCAGAAUAUAUGGCAGCAACGGAGGCAGUGAAAGAAGCUAUCUGGUUGAAAGGUUUGGUGGCAGAAUUGAGUUCAGCUCAGCUUAAAUCAAUUCUAAAAUGUGAUAGUCAAAGUGCUAUUCAUUUGAUUAAAAAUCAAAGAUUUCAUGAGCGCACCAAACAUAUUGAUGUCAGAUUUCAUUUUAUUCGAGAUGUCGUUGAAAAGGGAGCUAUCAAGGUUGAGAAGGUUAUCACAGACGAUAACGCUGCAGACAUGUUGACCAAAAUAGUUCCGCUUGCCAAGUUUGCACACUGCAAGGACUUGGCGGGAAUAUGAUGCAACUCUAAGAGAACAACUGCUAGGUGGAGCUGGUAUGUUCAACAAAGGUUUGAUUCUUCUUGUUUCUUACAAUGGGAUUGCCCAGUAAGCUUAGAAGUUUUGGCCGGAGUUGUUUAUACGCAUGCUUGGAACACAAACCAAGGUGGAGAUUGAAAGAGUUGGUUUUGGUUCUUGUGGAAUCAAACUAAAUGGAAGAUGAAUUAAUAUGAAUAUUUGGUAGGAAGAUAAUUAGUACAAAAUACAAGUCAAAGAUUGUAUCUUGGUAGGUGAAAGUUAGGCAAACCAUAAAAUGGUUUGCUAUCUUAACCUUGGCAAUUUUGACACAUAGUGAUGUCAUGGAUGACAUCAAUAGGAUGAAUUUAUUCCUAUAAAUAGGUAGCUCUUAAUUCAUUUUCAAAUCAUCCUUUCACUUGCCUUCUCACCUUCUAAGGCAUUGUGUUCUCUCUCUUGUAGUAUUUCACUUAUAUUCCUUUUAUAGUGAAAUAAAUAUUGGUGCAGUUGUUCUUUGGUGGACGUAGGAUCAUUUUGAUCCGAACCACAUUAAAUAUUGUUGUUCUUCCUUGUUCUUUAGUUUCACGUUUCCGCUAACAGCUUCAUCACUCUCACACUAUUUAGAUACAUGAGAAAUUAGAUAUUUUAUCUUGUCUAUAUUUGCUCCACAUUUACAAUCACAAUUGCAUAUCAUGAAGGUGCUUAAAACCUACCUCUGAUCCCAUUAACUUUUGAUUUUAGUAAAGUAUCUGUGACAUCACCUAUCUCUUUGCAGUUUAAAAAAGUUUGGUCCCAUCUACUUGAUCAUACCUCUCUUCAAGCUCAUCCCAUAAUUCCUCAUCAGUUUGUGAAUAAAUCACACUCUCACUGAUGUCCUUGAUGAGAGAAUUAAGGAGCCAAACAAGGAUCAUAUUAUUACAUCUUCUUCACUGUUCAAGCAAAGGUGAAUCUGGUGAGGAAAUGAGACAAACCCUAGUGAUGAACCUUAGUUUAUUUAUUGCAGAAAGAGAGAUGAGAAAUCCUCUUCUCCAGUUUCCUUAACUAGAUCCAUCAAAACUCACACUCAGAAUAUUUGUACAUGACUAUUUAUGUCCUUCAUUUCUAUCUUCAUCAGGAGAGAUUUAUUCCGACAAUACGCAUAGACUGACACUUUCCAAUAAAAUGGGAAAUUUCAAGUGCAAAUAUCGUAUUGUUGAAUCGUUUAUUGUGUUGGAAAGAAGACUAGAAUAUCUUAGUUUAAAAGGUUAUGGUUUACAAUUCUUCAUACUCUAUAAGACAUAUGGUCAUUACUCAUUUGAAGUUGGUCUAAAUAAAAAAGACGAACCUAUCAAAAUUUUUAUUUAAACACCUUAAUUAGAAUCUGUUCAUUCAUAAUAAUGGGCUCAUUAUUUGACUUAAAGCUCCAAAAUUUAGGAAGAAAUAGAAAUAUAAUUUAGGAAAAAUUAGCAAUUAAGACAAAUUUAAGAACAUAAUUAAUCAAAAUAACAUUAAUUUAAAAAUUUUAGUGAAAAUGACAAAAUAGCAAUAUGUUAUAUUAAUUGUACGUAUUUUUAUUAAAUAUGUAUAUUUCAGAUUUUAGUAUAUUUUGAUAUUAUUAAAUUAAUAUAUAAAUGGAAAUACAUUGAUUGGACCAAAACAUGGUCCAAUAACAUUUAAUGAAAAAAAAGAAAUUAAUUAAUUAAAUUUUCGUGUAAAGUUCCAAAAAAGCUAAAAAUUAAAAUCAAUUCAAAAUUUUCAAGUUCCUUGUUCAAAUUUUCCAGAUUUCUUCAUCAAAGCCAUUGUUAUCAAGGAUUCAAGCAGAUUCUCGAGCUAGGUUCAUUAUUAAAGUAGAUUUCGUGGUGGAAAGGUUAGUUUAAAUUUUGGUUUUGAUUUUUUGAGCGUUUUUUGUUCAAGUUCUGAUUUUGUUUAUCAAGAAUUGAUGGACAAUUUAUGUGAUUUUUAUUUUAAUAUACAUCAUAAAUUAUGAUUUUGUAUUUUUUGUCUAUCUCUUGUGAUUUUUUUUUUCAAUUUUUAAGAUUAGGAAAAGUCAUUGAUUAUCAAGGAUUCAAGAAGAUUUUUGAGCUAGAUUCAUUAUUAAAAGCAGAUUUCGUGGUGGCAAGGUUAGUUCAAAUUUCGGUUUCGGUUUUUUUAGCGUUUUUUGUUGAAGUUCUGAUUUUGUAUAUCAACACUUUAUAGACAAUUUAUGUGAUUUUUGUUUUAAUAUGCAUCAUACAUUUAUGAUUUUGUAUUUUUUGUCUAUCUCUUGUGAAUUUUUUUUCAAUUUUUAUGAUUAGGAAAAACCAUUGAUUAUCAAGGAUUCAAGAAGAUUUUUGAGCUAGAUUCAUUAUUAAAAGCAGAUUUCGUGGUGGCAAGGUUAGUUCAAAUUUCGGUUUUGACUUUUAGCGUUUUUUGUUGAAGUUCUGAUUUUGUAUAUCAACACUUUAUGGACAAUUUAUGUGAUUUUUGUUUUAAUAUACAUCAUACAUUUAUGAUUUUGUAUUUUUUGUAUAUUUUUUGUGAUUUUCUUUCAAUUUUUAAGAUUAGGUAGAUUAUGAAAAUUCAUAUAUAUAGAAUCAUUGUUGUUUGAUGUUCAAUACGCAGUUGUUAAAAGAUUUUUUUUUUCUUCAGAUUUUUGAAUUGUUGGGGGAAAAAACAGUGUAUUGUAUGCAUUGGCUGAUUCAGUCAGAAUUACUAGAGGUAUAAACAACAACAUUCAAAAUUUUAUGGAAUUUUCCUCAUUUGAUUUGUGCAUUACUCAAGGAAUGAUCGAAAAUGUAGGAUCUGCGGCGAGAAUGACACUAGAGUAUGAAAGGGCAAUUGAUAGCUCUUCAAAAAAAAGAAAAGUAUCGUGCUAUAAAACCACUGUUGAUCAACAAAAAUAUCCAAGUGAUGAAGUAUUACGUCAUGACGAUGAAGAGGUGAUAAAUUAUUAACGAAACUAAUUGUUAUGCUAUGUCUAUAGUUGGUUUUUGUGUUUGAAAUUUCAUGUCUUUCAGAUUGGAAGCUUAUAGUUUUAAAUACAUAAAAAAAUUUGUAUCCCUAAAUGUGAUGUGAUAAAUAUCAAAAGCAAGUACAAAUCAUAUGAUUCAUAUGUUACCAUGAACCUGCCCCUAUAGUUGUUUUUGUAUUAUAGUAGCCAUUAUUUUUGCCCAUAAUUUGACUUUGUAAAAAAAGAAACUCUCAACUUAAAUUAGUUAAUCUUAAAAUUAGCUUAUUUUCAAAACGACAAUUUUGAAGUAGUCAAUAUUAGUAAUUUCUUGUCAACAAGAUUGCAAUGUGUUUUACUAAUAGAAUUAACAUAAAAUUUGCAAGUUUUCGACCUAUUAACUAUUUCUAGACUCAAUUACUCUUUAUUGGUGAAUUUUUGUUUUAGAUAUUUCAAUAUUUUAUAGUAUAUUUAAUUUAUCAAUUAAUUGAAAUAUAAUAAAUAUAUUAUAAUUAUUAAUCAUUUAGUCACUUAAUUAUCCAGGCAUAAUAUGCAGCUUAAAUAUUAUUACCCACAAUCAACAAUAAAAUAGUUACAAAAGUAUUUCUUAUAUAUUAAAUAUAUAAAGGCAAAAAAUGUAGUAAUUUUUAAUUAAUGAAAGAUUAUAUGUUAUUGAAUACUACUAAUAAGUAAAUUCAUUAGUAAUAUAAUAAUUGAAGGACCAAAUGUGUUAUUAUACGAAGAUGAGAGAGAAAUAGCGAUAACUGUACAGUAAUUAAUCAUCUUAAUACUAUAUUAUUGUUACAGCAGAAAUUGAUUAAUUAAUUAAUUCAAAAUUAUAUUAUUUGUUGUAUACAUAUAUAUAGACUGUUGAAUAAUGUAGUUAUGUUUUCUUCAGCAUAUUUAUGUAUUCAAAUGUUGAUAGACUUAUAGUAUCAGCUUAGUUGUAUUUUGUUAUUUAUUUUAUUUUAUUUUUUAUGUCAUCAAUAUUCAUGAUUCUGAAUUAACAUUCACUAUUUUAUAUACAAUGUAGUUUAUCAUAUUCUAUUUUUUUAAUUAGUAAUAGAUUUAUAUAUCAGAAAUUUUUUAAGUAUGUAUUCAUUUUAUUGUUGAACAUGUGCAGGCAAAUGAAUUUUAUGUCAAAAAUAAACCAAAAAAAGCUCCCCAUAUUCAUUGUUUCUUUAAUCAUGACAUAAAAGAUGACUUGAUGACUUAUUUACAUGGACAUGUAUACAAUGUAUUCUGUGAAAGCACCUGCUUUGGUAAUUAUAUGCAAAUGCAUCAAUGUCGUGCUCGCGGACAAAUACAUAGGUGUUGCAUGGCUUUAGAACUCAAUAGUUCUCGCCAAGCAUUUGUAAUGCGUGUAAAUAGAUCUACGUUGCGUUUCACUUUGAGAGAAUUUGCUUUAAUCAGUGCAUUAAAUUGUGUCAACGAAGAAACUGAUUUCAUCUUUGAUCAGUUAGAACCAAAUAGUUUCAUGGAAAAAUAUUUUGAGGGUGUUAAGUUGAUCAGAAAAAUUGAUAUAAUUAGGAGUUUUCAUCGAAAAGUAUGGGGGGAGAACGAUCAGGAUGGCCUGAAGUUUGCAAUUUUAUACUUCAUUCAGACAGUGAUUUUUUCCGGUGAAAGAGCUACCAAAAAAAUUUUGAGAUUAUAUUUUGAUCUUGUUGAAAGUGGAAGGUACAGUGAGUUUCCAUGGGGAAAAAAAACUUUCUCUUUGCUGACGAAGAGCCUGAGCAAGAGGUUAAAUGAUGAAAAACAAUUUUACAGAAUCGGGGGAAUGCCUAUUGUAUUCCAAGUAUGGUUGUUUGAGUGCAGCUCGAGUAUUGAUUUCCAAGUCGCUCAAAAGGUUGAUGACCAUAUUCCGAGGUUGCUCAACCGGCGCACGACCAAUGAGAGUCGUAGAUACAAGAAACUUAUGAACACCAUAUUUAGUGAUGUUAAUAACAAGGUACUUAACUUGACAUAUAUUUAAUAAUCAAACCAAGUUGUAUGUUUUCUUAUUGGUUUUAUUUAUAAUAGUAACCAUAUGUUUGGAAUUCAGAUUAAAUUCAGGAACAUUACACCAAAUCAAAGGGAACUUGUAGUAUUGCAACUGCCACCGGAGGGUAUUGAAAAUCAAGCUCCACCUCAGUAUUCAGAUUCAUCAGAUGAUGAUAUAGAUGAUGAAAUAAUUGAUAGAAAUGAUGUUCAACGAGAGGGAAGCUACGACGAUAAAGAUUCUGAAGAUGAUUUUCAAGCACCUCCUCCACAAGCAGUAAAGGUCAAAAGAAAAGAAAAUGGUGGUUCCUCAACGUCGCCUGUUAGAAAAAGGACAAAGAAGCUGGUGACUGGUGGAUCCAAACAGGUUGCAAAAAAUUUGGAACCUCGAAUUGCUGUUAAACAACCGAUGAAAAAGAAUGUUGUAUCAAAAAAGGUACUAAAGAAACUUAAGGUUAUUUUAAAACAAACUGAAUGUCUACAUGCAUAUCUAACAAAAAUACAACUUUCGAGUGAUUAUGAUAUUUUUCAGAGAACAAGCGGAUCUGAAGUGGAAGGCUGGGUGAAAGAGCUGUCAGAUUUCAGAAAAUAAGUAUUUACCAUAUAGUACAUCCUUCAUAGUUAUACACUUAUUAUAAUUAUAAAUUUUUAAUAACGUACAUCAUUAUGCCAUAUUUUUAGGUUAAACAAGAGUUUGUUGAAAUUCGCAAUUUGAUCAACGACAACUUCAAAACUGUUCUGGCAGCCAUCAAUUCAACACGGGAUGAGCAGGCGGUUUGUUAUAAAAAAUAAAAUGAUGUAACGUAUUUCAAAUUUACAUUUUUGUUAAUGAUUUACGUGUAAUAUAACACAGGCAGAGCAUUCUGAUGAUCAUAUUGUCCCUCCAAAUUCAAAUGAUGAAGAUGGGUAUACACCACCAUACACUUUCAAUAAAGAAUCUCCAUCAAAUCAAGUUCUUGUAGCUCAGUGUGACAAAUUGGAAUCUGGAAAUUCAGAGGUACUCGUAGUUUUUUUUAUUAAUUUAGGCUGUAUAUAAGAUCCCUAUUUUGGUGUUUUUUUACGAAAAUUUUGAAUUUAUUCACUUUUUAUGAAGUCGUAACUUUUAAUAUUUGUUUACAUAUUUAUUGAAUUUUUAUAUUUUUACAAGACACUCAAAGCUUCAAAGGACAGUAAAUCAACAAAUGUUGUGCCUCAUGUAAGUCAAGAUUUUGUGUAUCAUUUUUAAACUCAAUACUUGUGUAAUAAAUAUCAUUAAUAAGCCUCCCAUAUUUUAUAUAAUUAUACAUGUAUAUGAUUAUGAUCAAACUGUAUCAAACAAUCUUAACUCGUUUUAUGAUUACAUGUAUCAUAACUGUUAUCACUUACAACUUUAAAUGACUUUUCAUUAUUUGUGUCCAUUAAAAAAAAUUCAUGUUUAUUGUUACUUUUAUUUUUUUUAAAGACAAUCAACAAUCCAGAUGGAAAAUACCCCAAAUCCGAUGAUCAUGAAGUAAGUCAGGUUUUAGACAAGUUUUAUGUUUUUUUUUCGUACAUCCUAACGUGUGAUUACAAUAUACAAAUUUGGCUUAACUUCCAGUCUCAUUAAAUGUUCAUUAUCAUAUCGACAAUUUCAUUUUAUAAGGUUUUUUGUGUCAACACCCCUGUUCGGAAUCUAAUUGAAGUGGAUUAUGAAUUAAGUGCUCCAAGACAUACAAUUUCUAGAGUAUGUUAUUUAAUUUUAUAAGUACAUUUGUUAUACCAUUUUUUGGGUCAUUACUUUUAAGGUGUUGUUACUUUUACGAAAUUAAUAGGUAAAUCAAUCAAGUUUUGUAUUUGAUAUACCCCCACAAAAAGUGCUUAGAGUAUCUAAAAAAUCUCAUGAGGAUGAUGUUGAACAAAUGUCAUGUCCAUUCCCUAUCCGUAUUUUGGAUCACAUGAAAGUGACAAUCGAUUCACAGUUUGAAUUGGACGAUCAAUUCAUGCCUAGUCUCAAUUCUAUAAAUAGUAGCAUCGCACCACAUUCAACUGUGAUAAAAGGACAUACUGAACAGCUGCCAACAACAAUUGCAGGAUGCAUUACAACAAAGGAAGAUCAGGUCACUAUCGAUGUCCAAUUGGGUACGAACGAUGAAAAUUUGAUGAUAGUUCAACCUAUCAGCAAUAACGAACAGACGCCAUUACCUACGCGUAGGAAUAGACGUCUAGGUCUUAUAAUACAUCUCCGUAUCUGACCAAUUUUGGAUCAUCUACUGGUACAGUAUUCUAUUAUUUUAAUACUUUUGUUAAUUUAAUCAUUUUUUUAUUACUACUGUUAGUGUGUAUUUAAUUUAUAGUGUUUUGAACCAUCUCAGGUAGUUCAUCAAGUCAGCCCCACAUUUUUGAAUUGAAACACCCUUUUAUAUUUGUUUUGAUAUCUGGCGAUUAUGAUAUAACAUUGUGGGAUGCGUUUCGUUCAUGAAUCCGAGAUGGCUUACUUACAAAGCAUGACAGAAAGUAAAUCAUUGGUGAAUAAUUACAAGAUAUUUUUAAAACAUAACUGUUUAAAUUUUUGUAUCCGGUUAAAUGUUUGUUUGUGUUUCAACAACAGUUAUUGUUAGAUGCAGCUUAUAUAUAGGUUUUCUUAAUUUUUUUUGUAUUUAAAUGUUGAUAGUAAUUACUUUACUUUUUUAAUGAAUGGUAUAAUGUUUUUAUUUUUAUUCUGUUUUUAGGAAGCAUGAUCAAGACCAUUACAAGAAGAAUCUGGCUGAAAUUUCUGUGGCCAUUAACCUUGGCAUUCUCAUAGUAGACAAUAAGAAUUGCUUCUAUAAUAUGUUUUUCAAAGGACAGUUAUUGAACAAUUUGGUAAGAGAUAUUUAGCAUUUAUAUUUACAAACAAUGAUUAUUAGUAGUUAUAGUAUUUAUACAUUUGUGUUUAAAUUUGUCAGCGUGUUGAUGUGAUUUUAUAUUAUCUACGGAAAAAAGCCAAGUAUGAUGUUGGAGGAAGCUAUAAAUACACAACUUUAAAUUGUGUAUUUAGUUCAAAGAUCUCUGCUAUUUGGGAAAAAUGUUUGGAUUUAGAUAGCGGUGUUGGUUGUGCCGAUGAAGAGCAUGUCAUUGGUGAAUACAUUAGAGGGUACAAAAUGCAUGCUGCUACACCUUGGCAUAAGAUCGAUUACGUUUUUGUUCCUGUCCACGUCAAGGAGAAAUUUCAUUGGGUGUUGGCUGUGAUAUCAUUUAAUGUUAAGUGUAUCAACGUGUAUGACUCAUAUAGGGCAGCAGGUCACGAUGUAGCUAUCAAGGCAGAGAUAGUUAAACUGUCUCAGUUGAUCCCUUUGAAGUUAUCAGUCAAUGAAUAUUACAACAAUAAAGGAAUUGAUGUAUCGCAAGCUCAACAAGAGAAUGAGUUCUUUAAUGUAGUAUUCAUAGAUAAUGUUCCUCAACAGUCGCAUGAGUCUCUGUAAGUUUGUGUUUUUUUUAAAAUUUUACUAUCAUCAAAUUAUCAAUAUUAUAUUUUGUACUAACUUUUAAUUUCUUAUAUUAUAGGGAUUGCGGUAUUUAUAUGCUAGCUUUUGCCGAAUACCUAUCAUACGGCCAAGGUAUUCCAGCGAAUAUUUUGGAUGCAUCGUGUUUACGGUCAAGAUAUGCUACACUUCUUUGGAAUUAUGGCCAAUAAAAGAAUGAUGCCGGAGCAAUAAGUGACAAUGAAGCACCUCCACGAUAUAGCAGAUUCAAUGUAGCAAUGGAGGAGAUUGAUACAAUUCAAAUAGAUUAGUUGUUGUCCAUUUUGUGAUGUGUAAUUGGACAUUAGUUUUUGUAUUCUAUGAAACGAUUUUAAAGGGUUCCUGUUCUUUUGUGUUUAUUAAUGUAUAAAAUCUUGAAGUUAUGGUUUCAAAGGUUUUGGGUUAAUAUUAAAGUGUUCAAACUUAAGUAUUGCAUGUGGGGUACACAACUCAUUUUUGAUGUUUAAAUGCAAUACAUAUGAUUCUAUCAACAUACAUAUGAUUCUACCAACAUACAAUAUAUAUAGAACAAAUAUAAUGUAGAUUAAAAUCAUGGAUACGAAUACAUUUCGUUAUAAAAGGUAUACCAAAACAAUUACAAUAAUCUAACAAACUGUAUGCAUUCAUAUGUUUCAAAUGGAUGUAAGACUUGAUAUUAAAUUAUUAAAUUGUAAAUACAAUUAAUAAUACUAACAACAUAAAAAGAUAGAAUACGUAUAGCGAAUAUGAAUACUUUUAGAGAGAACAUGUAUACCAAAAAAAUAAAAUUGUAUGCUUUAAAAUGUUACAAAAACAAUUUAUAUUAUAUUAUAAAUACAAUUUAACUUGAUUACAAGUAACUGCACUGAUUUUGUUUCUUACUCAUACAAUUUUACGCAUACAUUAUAGAUAGAGCAAAUACAUUAUAGAUUAAAAACAUAAAUAUGAACACUUCCUCAAAAGAUAUUAGUAUUUGGGAUACAAAUACAUUUCAAUAGAAAACGAAGAAAUUUUUUUUUGCAUUCAUUAAAAUGUUACAAAAUAUAAUUUAUAUUAUAUUAUAAAUACAAUUCAACUGGAAUACAAGUAACUGCAAAGGUUUUGUAUGUGACACAUACAAGUUCACUCAUAAAAUUUAGAUAGGACAAAUAUAAUAUAUAUUGAAAACAUGGAUAUGAAUGAACACUUCUCGAAAGAAAACGUAUACAAAAAAAAUAUUUGCCGAAUUCAGAAUAGAAGAAUCCAACAAUUGUAUGCAUUCAAAUGGAUGUAACAAUUGGUAUUAAAACGUAGAUACAAUCAGGUUUCGAAUACAAAUAAUAUUAUUCGAGAGAAGACGUAGAGCGAAUACAUCUCAAGAUACAACCAUGAACAAAGAAGUCCAUGUUAUUUUAUUACCCAGAAGGCAUUAGAAGUCUGGAAGAAACCUAACUCUAAAAAUAUACAAAAAAUGAAACAUCAUUAACUACACAAUACGCGGUCCAUUCCUACAUGAACGCCUAUUGUUCCCUUUAAACCCACACGUACUGCAAGAAUUCUUUCUCUUCUUACCAUAUAGCUCGCUAUACGUCCUGUCACGAUACUUUUUGGAUGGCCUUCCAGGGAGCUUUUUAUGAUUUGGAGGCUGCACCAUCUGGUCCUUAAUAUACCCAGGUACAUUCCACUCUUUUUGAUCAGGUAACGGACGAAUUGGAAUGCUAUAUGUAUCUAACAAGUUACUUGGCUUGUACACGUCGGAACAAUAUGGCGCAACAUCAAAAUGUUUCUUCUUUAAAACAGCCCAAGCGUGCGAACAUGGUAUUUCAUCUAUUUGAAACCUCUUGCAAGUACAAGUUUUAUUUUCCAAACAAACAAUGUAGGUUCUACCUUCGUGAUGAACACUAAACACAUAGUUAUUUGAUGGCACAACCUACAAAAAUAAAACAUUUAUGUCAUAUAAUUUUGAUGAACAUAUAAAUCGUAACAGCAUACCUUCAUACGUAAUGAUGCUUCUUCAUUAGCAACAAGCAUCUCUUGUGGUCUACCACAAAGUGUGAUGAAUGUAUGUGAAGCAGACGUAUGAUUUUUCAAAUUCCAUCUUGCAAACAUCUGUCUUACUUCCUCAAGAAAAUUGUAUACCGGUAAUUCCCUUGCUUCAAAUAGACAAGCAUUUAUGCACUCAGCUAUGUUUGAUGUCAUAACCAUUCCUCGAUCAACUGUUGCAUACACCUUAGCCCAUUUUUCAUAACAUGUUGAUUCCAAGUAAUUUUUUUACACGAACAUCAACUUGUUCAACCUUUUCCAUCAGUUCAUCAAAUUCAGAUUGUUUGUAUGCCUUUGUCAUCCCAUAAAAACUUCCGACAGCCUAUUGUGCGACUUUUUAAAUAAUGUUUUCACAUUUUUUCACAAAUGCCAAAUACAUGCAUAAUGAGGAACUCCAUCAAAUACCCUCGAAACUGCCUUUAUAAUACUUUCGUUUCGAUCAGACACAACGCACAUGUUAUAUUUAACGUCAUGCGCUUCUCUAAACUGUUCAAAAAACCAAGUGCAGGAUGCAUCAUUUUCUGAAUCAAUAAUUUCAUAUGCUAGCGGCAAUAUAUUUCCUACACACAAAACAUUUAAUAAAGUUUUUAUUUCAUAUAGAAUAAAUAUAUUAAUCAACAAAACAAAGUGUAUAUAUUAUCAUUCCAAUACCUGCUCCAUCAACAGUACUUGCAGAAACAAAUACUCCAUUGUAAGUCCCCCUGAGGUGGCUGCCAUCAACUAUGACAAUUGGUUUACAAAACUCAAAACCUUUUAUGAAUGGGAAGAGCGAAAUAAAAAGAUAAAGAAAUUGAUUUUCAUCGGUUUUCUUCAUCCUUAUAUGAGAUCCAGGGUAGGUAGCGUCCAAUACGUAUAAGUAGCUCGAAAGUUUACCAUAAGAACCAGAUGGGGUACCCCAUAAAGAAAUUACAGCCUUUUCUUUAGCCUUCCACGCCACUGAGUAUGAUACAUUUACUCUAAGAGCUAAGCUGACAUCUUGUUGUAUAUCCUUUGGCGUCAACUUUCUUUUAUGAUCAACUAACUUGGGUUGUAUCAUACCUCUAAUAAGAUUGCUUGUUGCUUGACGUUGUUCAUAGACCUUAUCUUUCAAUGGACACGUGUGAUCAUCUACGAAUUUUCUAAUUCUGAACAUUCCAGAUUUAUUGAUACUUGACGACUUCAACACCCACCCACAAUUAUCAGAGACACAAACAAGUGUAUAACUGUUUGAAUAACACCAUAUUAGAAUUAGGUAAAAUACAAAUAAAUAUUUGAUAUAAUGUAAAAAAAUAUAAUGAAAAAAAAUUAUAAGAGAAUCCAACCCAAAUACACAUACCAUUUUCGACUCGAUCUGUCCGUUUUCCAUUGGAAUCUAUGAUCAAUAGCGUAUUGCGUCAUCACAGCCUUUAAAGUUCCCUUGUCCUUAUAAACUUGAUCUUCCAACACUACCUUAUGUUUGGCGUUUGUAAUAAUGUCGCAAUUCAUGUUAUCGCUAUUGUUCGGCACACUAAGCAUUAAUGAUUUGUAUCAACUAUAACUAUUCCACCAGGCCCACACAUUUCGAAUCCAUCUUUUCAAACAUAUUUCUAUCAGCUAAUUGACAGUCAUUCACAAAUAUGGAUACACAUAUAGGAUACUUUGACAAUUCUUUGUUAUCUUUUUUCAACGACACAUACACUCUCACGCCCAUGUCGUUGUGUAUUUCCAGAGGUGCAGUACUACCCUCUAUCUUAUAUUUAAGUUUCACAAUGUUGAAGCUCAAGUCAUCACAAAUUUGCUUUGAAACAAGAUCCAUUAGUUCUCUAAAUGUCGCUUGCUCUUUUAACACAAUUGCUUCCGCACUGUAAUCAACAUAGCAGUUUUUAUUGUUCUACCUCCCAGAAUGCAUGACCAAUAAACUAAUGCUUCCCAUGGCUACAAUAACAAAUAUAUAAGUGAUGAUCACAUUUCAAUAGUAUUCCAAAAUAAAAAAAUGUGUCCAAUCUACAUUCAAAAAAGUGUACGCUUCAAAGGGUACCAAAAUCGGUAAAGAUUGAACUCAAAUUCACAACUUUUAUCACACACUAACAACCGUUUCAAAAUUAAUACAUAUAGAAUUUCAUAUUGUUAAAAACAAGAAAUAAAAAAAAACAUAACUAAUAUGGGUCUAAACAGAAUCAAACACAUAUCUAGCCGUACACAUCAUAUAAACAUAUAUAAUUAUAUUAUUGUUGCUUAUAUUGUUCAGAGAUUUUAUACUGAUAUAAAUGGAACAUAAGAUGAUCUUUCAAAAAAAAAUUCAAAUCAUACAAACAUUUAACAUAUUCAUAUUAAAAAAUUUUAAAAAAAUACCUGAUCUUUAAAGUAUGAAUAAAACCGAAAGGAAUAAAUUGUUGUUGUGGGAUUUGAAAAUUUCCGCUUUCAAAAAAUUUUCGUAUUCGAUUAUAUUUGCAGAAUUCGAAUUGUAUAAUAAAGCUUCUUUAUCAAUUGAAUAAUAGAGGAGACAAAUCUGUUUAUAAUCAUUUUUAAACAUGAAGAACAGGGAAGAAGAAAAAAAACGUUCAAAUUAAUAUAUGCCAAAACUACAGCUUUUAAAAAGUAACUGAAGAAAUAUUAAUACUACUUACCUUUUUUAUGUUAUAAUUUCCAUCUUUUCUAUAAUAUUUUUUUAUAAAUAUACAUACCAUAUUAAAAGAAAAUAUACGGUAUUACUAAUCUAAAGUAAUAAUUAAACAUGCUAAUAUUACUAAAUAUUGAAAUAAUGUUACUAUAUCACCAAAAAAAACUAACAUAUUGCUGUGUUGAUUAAAUUCCCAUUAAUUUAAUAUUGACUAAAAGUAUGGAAAGUGAAUUACGGGUCCACUAUUCUUUAAGCUCAUCAUAUCCAAAAGAAAUAAAAUCUCAAAAUCAUUCUUCUUCAGCUUUGAACAUUUUUCUUCCUUUAAUUAUACAAACGAGAGACUGCGUGAUUUAUAUAAAUAAGAGCCUGCUAGUAAUUUUAUACAAAUCGAAUGUCUUUUAGGAUUUAUACAAUCUGACAUUUCAUAGCAAAAGUUUGUUAAUGAUUGUAUAGUUAUAAUUUACAAAUAUGAUUUUUUUUUGCUAAAUACAAAAAUUGCUCUUAAUUAAAUAGCUUUAAAAAAUACAAACAAUGUGAAUUGUGACUUAACAGAAAAGCAAUGACUAAUAUUUAGAAAAAAUUAGCUAACUAAUCAAAAUCUCAAACAUAAUUAUUAAAAAUAUCUAUAUUUUAAAAUAAUUAUUAAAAUAUUAAUAUAUCAAUAUUUUAACAAAUAACGUGUAUCCUUGAUUAGUUACUAAUAUAUCUCAUAUUAAGCCCACAUCUCAAGCUAUUACGUCUUCCUCUCGUUAUUUUUCAAAUUUUUCUCUCUCAUAUGUAGUAAAUUAUAUAUAUGUUUAUAAUUAUUUUCCUAAAAUAUGUCAUAUUUCGACUCCCCUUCAACCCACUUUCGUUCUUUAUUCUCUUUUCUUCCAGAUUCUUUCUCCUGUUUCUUUUCAAAAUAGAAAAAAAAAUCAUAUAAAAGAUAUGUAUCAUAUAAUCAUUUCAUCGGAUAACUUCUUAUUGAGUUUGUAUAUACUGAGUUAACAUCAUUAUUUUUUAUUUUUUAUUUGUAUUUUUUUGGAGUCUUUUAUGUAUUUUUGUGUUUCAGUUUCAAAAUAGUUUAUUUAGUAAAAUAUCUUUCGAGCUUGUAUUAUUAUUAACCUCACUUCUAUUUAAUUUGUGUUCAUAUUAGUAUUGUUUGUUGUAUUUUUUCAGAUUUCAAUUGUAUUUACAGAGUAUUGUAUUUAUUUAAAUUAAAAUAUAGGCAAAUUAAAGAAUAUAUAUUCUUACUUAAAUUUGUAUUCGUUUACUCAUGCUUUCAUGGAAAAAGGAACUAGAAGUCUGUUUGUUUAUUUUUUGUAUGUUAAUUGUAUUUUCAUCAAAUAUUUAUUUAAGCAUAUUAUAUCCACGUGCAUUUAAAUCAUUCAUUUUGUAUGUCAUGUUCAAAUUCAUUUAUCAACUAUACUUGUAUUCAAAAUAAAUGUAUUUUGUAUGUUGUAUAUCAAUUAUUUGUAUUUAUGUAGUUUUAUUUUGAAGUUUUGAUUAAACAAAACAAAAAAUUGUAUUCUAAAUUAGAUUUUGUAUUUCAAAAAUUGUAUUCUAAAAGUCGUUUCCUUAUAUAGUUGGUCAAUAAAUUCAUUAUUCACUUUUAUUUUUAACUUUUCAUUUAUACAAAAGUGUAUUUUAAACUGAUUUGUAUUUGAAAUUCUUAUGUAUUUCAAAAAUUGUAUUCUAAAAAUUAUUUACUAACUGUUGAACAACUUUGUAUUGCAAUCACUCGACAUAUAAAAUCACAAUAUUUUAAUAUAGAAUUGCGAUCUCAUCAUCAAGAUUGUAUUAUAAUCAUUCAAUACAUAAUAUCAUCAAAUUUGUACUCCAAACUAAUUUAUAUUUGAAUUAUUCAAUAUACAAUAUUACAUCAAUAAAUUUGUAUCUAAAUUCAAUUUCAAAAUCUACUUUCAAGCUGCAUUACCCCUAAUUUCUUAUACAAUUUAUUUUCAGUUUGAGAAUGAAUUAAAAAAGGUAGCAUGCUUGUUGUCCCCAAUCACACAUAAAUCCUGAGCUCUUGGGAAGAUCAACUUGUUAUCCUUGAGUAACUUUUAUCUGUUGAGCGACGGUCCUUCCACACGGCACCGUCAAAUCACUACAGCCGACUUUCGUCCCUGCUCGACGGGUGGCUCUUGCAGUCAAGCUUCCUUCUGCCUUUGUACUCGAGGUCUAAUCUUCGUCUGGCCCCGAGGAAACGCCCCAUAGGAACUGUCUGCCUGAGACUGUCCCUUGGCCCCUAGGUCUUGACACAAGGUUAGAAUUCUAGCCCUUGCAGAGUGGUCUCACUGAUGGCUCCCCCCCCCCCCCCCCCCCCCCCCCCCCGCGGAAGGCUCCACCUAAGCUGCGCAGGAAAGGCCCAAAGCUAUCCCAUGGAACAGUGAAGCUUCAUAGCGUCUUUCUGUCCAGGUUCAGGAAGUCCGCAUCUUCACAGACAUGUCUAUUUCACUAAGCCUCUCUCCAAGACAUUGCCCAGAUCGUUACGCCUUUCGUGCGGAUUGAAACUUACCCGACAAGGAUUGUCUUCCCAAAAUAAUAAAUUAAGCAUAAAACAUUAGCGAUAAAUCAUUCCAAAGUUUGAAAGAAUAGAUCUUUAAUAGUUAAUUUCAAUAUAUUCAACUCUGCGUUGAGUUAAAGUUGAGCAGCCUAUAAAAAAUUUCAGACUGAGUUCAAAGAUCCAUUCAAAGUUACAAAUGGAAAUCGAUAAAAUGCUAACCACAAGGAGAUGGGUUCUUUGGUUUCAGAGAAAUGAGCCAAUGGUAGUUCGAUUAUUUCAACAUUUUCUUUCGGCACAGAAAAUAUAUCCUAAUGAAAUUUGAGAAAUAAUGGGGAGAAAAUUUGAUAUUGGACGUUAGAGAAACAAUGAAAGUCGAAUCACUAUAGUUUUUUCUUUUUUAAAAAAAAUUGUAUUGAUGAAAAUUCAAGUGAUAUAUUCCUUUUUAAAAAUGUUUUCCCUAAUUUUCUCUAUUCUGUUAUUGAAAAAUUGUAUUCUUUCAAAUUAAACAAAUUAAAAAAAUAAUAUAUAAAAAACUCAAAUAUUGACAUUUUCAAUAAAUAUUGAUAAUGUAGCUAAAGGGUCAUAUUAAAUGACAUUUUGAAAAAAUUUCUUUUAACAUUGGAAAAAUAACUUAAAUACACAACUAUAAGUUUAGUAUACUCUAAUUUUCCCUUCUUUUUUUAAAUAUUACAUAAUUCUUUUUUUUUUUUAAUUUUAGUAGAAGUUCAGAGAUACAUAGUCUUCUCUCUCCUAUAACACACACUUCCCCAUAUCAUGCCUAUUUUUUUUCCACUAAAACACUCAAUCUUCUGAAUCACUUUUUGAAUUUUGAAUUAUUAAUUUUAAUUAAAAACGUUUCACAACAUUUAAUAUGAAAUUUUGAAUUUCAAAAUUCAAAAAAUUUGAAAUUUCUGAAAAUUGGACCAUUGUUCUAUGGUUCUUCUUCUUCUUCUUACUCCAUCGUCCGUCUAUAGCUCUUGUUCUUCUUAAUCCAUCAUCUGUUCUUAUUUUCUUCUUUUUUUCUUCUUGUUCAUUGCUAUAUUAUAUCAGCCGUCUCUAGGUCUGCUUUUUCUUCUUACUUUAUCAUCUGUUCUUCUUUUCUUUUUCUUUUUCUUUUUCUUUUUGUUCAUUGUUCUAUUACAUCGUAUUAAUGGAUCAUUUUACUAAUAGAAGGAUUUAUGAUUCGGACGAUGAAAAUUGGAAAGAAAAUAGAAAAAAGUCUUUGCAUGAUCCUAUGAAUGUUCGGAAGGAUUCAAACAAAGAUUUUGGCGAAUCAUCUAAAUCAAAGGUUGACAAAAUACAUCAAAAAAGAGAAAAGAAGCAGCAAUCAUUGUUGUUGAAAUUAGUAAAAAUUUUAGUAAAGGAAUCCCAUAUAUAUCAUGAAUUUUUGAAAAUUGUUAUCAUGUAUAAGACAAUAAGUUUAAUACAUAAGUACUCAGUGUGUUAUAGUGUGUUAGUCGAUGCAUUGAUACAUGAAUUAGAUGUGUAUCAUAUGAUUUUCUAUGUAUCAUGAGUUUUUGAAAAUUGUUAUCAUGUAUCAGUCAAUAAGUUUAAUAACUGUGCCAUCAAGUGUGCUUGCUGAUACAUAUCGACUCAGUGUGUUAUAGUGUUUAGACGAUGCAUUGAUACAUGAAUUUGAUGUGUAUCAUAUGAUUUUCUAUGUAUCACGAGUUUUUGAAAAUUGUUAUCAUGUAUCAGUCAAUAAGUUUAAUAACUGGAUGUUCAUAAAAAUGUCUUUAAACUAGAUGAUAUAAUCUUGAAUUUUCAAAAUUUGAAACUUUUAUCCAAUUACGUGCUGAACUAAUGCUUAUUAAUAAACUGUUACCGUAAUUUAAGCUGAUUUAGAUAACCAAUUUAAAUGUUCCAUUUUUUUUCCCUUUUAAUCUUAACAGUUUUAAGUUACUGUGUAUCAUUUACCAUGUAUCACAACAUACUAAUAUGUUAUGCCACAAUAAUAUUAAGAGAUUAUUAAAAAAUAUUAUAUUUGUCGGGACAGAAUGUAAUUAUUGUAUUACAGAAUGGGAUUCCUUAAAUUUAUUCUUUUAACAUUUAUGCUAAUAGAAAGCCCACGUAACAAUAAAGCCUAGGAAGCCGAUUUAACAGUUAAAGUCCAAUUAACCGCUUCAUUCCAUGUAGUAGCAGUAACACAUCAUGUUAAUUAAUAGUCAAACCUUUGGCUUUUCAAUUUCUUCAGUUUUACAGGUCUUGUCACUUGUGUAUAAGAAAACGUAUUAAUGUCUCCAAUUUCAUGUUCAGGGAAUCCCAGAAACAUAUGGAUGGAACUUCAAGUGAAGAUAAUUUGUUACUAAAGAGAAUGGUAUGUCAAAAUUUAUUUAACUUUUUACAAAUAUUUGUGGUAGAAUUUCAUGAAAUACGAUUGAUUUUGUAAUCAAUUUUGUAUAUAUAAUUAUAAUGAGAAGAGUUCUUUGAUAUGGCAAUGAGGGUAUUUGGUGUUGACAUUUGUUAUUUUUAUGAGAUGAUUAUGUAGAAUUAAUUGACGAUCAUGCUACUGGGAACAAUGGCAAGAACAAAACAUUAUGAAAAUAAGCAAGAAAAAAAGAACAAAUCAAUACUGUAAUUACAAGUUGAUAACAUUUGAGUAUCAAUAUUCUAAAAGACCACUGAUUUCAUUGAAUAUCACACUUGUUCAGUGCAAAUAUAUCUUUAUUUUAUAAAAGUCAGUUUUAUAUAUUAGAUUUUCUGUUUUUUAAUUCUUUUCUCCCUUUCAACUGUAACUGUUUAGUUUGUGCAAAUAUUUUAUGUUGCAAUUACUUCAUUAUCAACUUCACCCUUGAGUAUAAGUAAUGAGAUGUGAAUUUUAAAUUUAAAUUUGCAAGCAUUAGGACAUCUCUUAUUCUCUUGAAAAAUUUAUCUGUUACAUGAAUAUAAGUUCUUAUCAAUAGUUUAACAAAUAAAAAAAACUUGAAUUGAAUUAUCACCACAAUUGUUUCAUUUAUCCAAAUAAUUGAUAGCUUGAAAUUUAAAAUUAAUAUCUAUACAUAUUUAUAUAUAGUUGGACAUAGACAAAGUGAUAUUACAAACUCUAUAAUCAAUAACCAUGUUUUUUUCUUUUUUUCUCAUUUUUUACUAUUUAAGUAUUCAAUUAAUUAGGGAAAGAUAAUUGCUAUAAAAGAUGAGCAAAGAUGAAAAACGUUCGAUUUCAAAUAGCUAAUGAGAAUAUUAAAGUAUGGAAAAUUUGAUUAUUCAAAAAUAAAGCACAAUCUCUAACUAACAACAAGAAUUAAUUAGGGAAACAAAGAAAAUAAUGAAAUUAAAUAAAUAAAUAUAAAAAGGGUCGAAAGAACUAACGCUCUAGAAAAAUAAAAAGAGGAAGUAGGAUAAGAGAGGGAAAGAAAACGAAAUUAAUCUCGAAGAAAAUAAUGAAAACUUGAGAGAAAGUAACCUAUUUGUUAAGCUAGAGUUUAUUAUUUAGGGUAUGAACAAAUGAGGGAGAGAUUAGAUAGGGAACAGAAGAAAAAAAAAAGAUUUUGAAAAAAAUAAUUAUUAAAAUACGAUGAUAAAACACAAUUCAUUUCUAGUUAUAUCUACCUUUACUUUUCAUUUCGUGCUUUACUUUAUUUUAUUAGAAGAAAAUUGUUAAUGUAUAUUAUUGAUUUAUUAAGGAUAUAUAUAUAUAUAAUAUAUAUAUAUAUAUAUAUGAAUGUAUGUUAUUCUUUUGAUUGAUUUUUAUAAGUUUAUUUUUAAUUUUAUAAAUAAUUUUUAUGACAGCAUGAAGCGCGAAAAUAUUCACUAGUAUAUUAAUAUAGUCAAAGACUCAUGUCCUUACAUUUUUUAUUUUUUUUGGCCAAACUCCUCGGUGGUCCCUUAAACUUGGCACCAAUUUUCACUUAGACACCUCAAUUAGGCGAUGUUAAUUUUAGGCACCUCAUGUAGGGUUCUGUUGUGUUAUUUUGACACUUUGUGUUGGCAUGUCAAAGUGAGUGUGACACACUCAACAAUAGCGCGUGAAAGACUUAAUUUCAUCAUCUUUAAUUUUAUUUUCUAUUCUUAUCAAAAUCUACCAUCACCUCCCUCCAUUUAUUGCUAGAAAAAUGGAUACCAACACCCAUAUUUCAUGUUUAUUCUCUCCUUCUUUGUUCCUCUCCCUCUUUUCUUUCAAAAAAACAAUCCUAAAAAGAAAGAAGAUGAAUAAAUAUGAAAAAUAGUAAAAGAAAAGAAUAUAUUUUUUUUUGAAAAAUCACAAAAGAGAUUUUGAGUGUAAUGAAAUAAGAGAUUUUCUUAGAAUAAUAUUUUAAAUUUAUUUACUAAAUAGAUUUUAUAAAUAUUUUAACUCAAAAUAACACAUGUAAUUAUUUAAUUGAUUGUUUGUCACGUCAUUAACGGGUGUAUUACACUCUCCUUUAAUUUUUUGUUUAUUGUCAGAAAAAGUGUAAAAAUGACACAAUAAAACCCUACAUGAGGUGUCUAAAAUGAACAUCGCCUGAUUAAGGUGUCUAAAUGAAAAUCGGUGCCAAGUUUAAGGGACCAUCGAUGAAUUUGACCUUUUUUCCCCAUAAAAUUAGUAUAUCUUCAAUUAAAUAAUUUUACUCUCUUAGUUCUCUGCUCUCAUAUUUAUCACCUAAUUAUCUCACCUCCUUUUUUAUUCAAGAAGUUCAUCAUACAAUUUCAUUUCAACAAUGAUUAAUUUACUCUCUUCUUCUCAAGAUAACAUUACCAUGACCGACAAAUUCAACUGAACCCAAACCUUAUUUUGUAUUGUUCCUUUCUAGCAAGACCAACUCGAAGUAACUGUUACAAAGAAAGCCUAUCAAGUUAAAAAUCGAUGGACACUACUAAAAAAAGGCCAAAAAGAGACCUAGAAAAGGAGAGAAAUCAAACAAUAUAAUAUCAUUGAAGUAAAGCACACAGGGGAAUAUGAAGCUUAUGAUCCUUUUAUUAUUGCAUAAAAUGUUAAGCAAGUGUUUAAUGUUCCUUAUCCCUUGCAUCCAGAUAAAGCUGAUUGGUGGGUGGUUAUUAAAACCAAACCCAUGGGCCAUGUGGAAGUUGAAAACGUGUUGGAUGUUGCAUACCAAAAUGAUGAUUCAUCAACUGUUCACCACACCGUCGAUAUUGAAUUAGAAAAUGAUUUAGAGCAUCCUGAACACAUAUUAGAAGAGGUUGAUAUGGAAGAAAUAACAAAUGAAGGGGCAAAUGCAACAAUUCAUGAGGAUGAGGAUGAGUAUGAUGAUAAGGAUGAAGAUGACAAUGAGGAUGAGGAUGAGGAUGAGGAUGAGAAUGAGGACGAGGAUGAGGACGAGGACGAGGACGGGGAGGAUUAGUAAUUACCAUUGUAUCUCUGUAUUGAGUGCUUUAUAGAGUUAUUAAUGAUACAGAGAUUAAUUUAUUAAUCUAUCCUCGUGUGCCUUUUGUUUUAAUUUCAAUAAGUUCAACUCCAUAUGUUCUCGUGUGCCUUUUGUUGGAUGUUGUUUUCCAUAUUAUUUUGUACUUGUGGUUGUGGCUUUAUUUUAUUUUAAAAAGUGAUGAACUGCUAGAUAAGCUACUGGAUGAUGUUUGUCUCUCAUAUCUUCAACACAACAUCUCUCCCACCAAAAGACACUCUGCCACAUUGCUAUUCUAGGCCGACUGUGCCUCAACAUAUUAAUCCUCCUUCGACCUAUUUGCAUCCACCACUGGAAUAUACUCAGCCGCCCCCUCAGGUACUUUUGAUAAUGACCACAUCAGGGAAUGCCUACCCCACAUGGAUACAGUGUUUUGCCUCCAGAGGAUAAUCGACCAACAUCUAGUGUCUCUCGCACUAAUACUCACAACCCUGCAGACUCACAACCAUCAUCAUCAUCUGUUUCACAACUUAUGAUGUCGAGUCUUCGCAUUCAAGGUAAUAGUUCUGAGCCUAACACUCCUACCACAAAUCAGUCAGAAACACCUGGUUAUGACAAUACACAAGUUGGCAUGAGGGACAUGCAUAAUAGACUUGUUAUUGAGCCUGAAGGCUACAUGUAAGUUUUUUUAAAAAAAAUAUGGUAUGUUUAUUAUCAUAUGAUUUAAUUGUCUUUGUUUUAACUUGUAACUAUUAAAACUUUGUAUUACAGUUUCAAUCCAAAUGAUGUUGUGGAGAUCAUUUCUCAGGCAAUCAAAGAACUCUAUAGAGAUGCUUAUCCUACAUGGGGCAAGUUCCCUAGCAAUCUCAAGAGACAAAUAUUUUUGGAGUUCAGGGUAUGUUCAAAUUUAUUUGUUUAACACUAUUAAAAUACUUGUCUUCAUUAAUACUUAUCAAAUAAAAUAAUUUAUGCUUUGAUUGUAGAAAAAAUGUGCUUGGCGUCCGGAACAUGAGGCCAAAAUUUGUGCAAACUUUCACAUGAUAGCUACGCAUAAAUAAAGCUCGUAGAGAUAAUAACAAACCUAGCUGGGUUCUACCGGAGGAUUGGGCAAAAUUACUUGUGCAUUGGAAAUAUGAUCUAAGAUUUAAGCAGAUGAGUGAGAUCGGUAAAAAGGCAAGAUCAUCUACUAAGGGUGGUUCUCUACACACAAGUGGGGCUCAAAGUCAAGGAAGUGUGAGGAGGAAAUUGGUGUGUAUCAUUUUUCUUUGUGUUUAUAUAUGUUAUGUAUUAAUAUUUAAUUACUCUUGAUUAUAACUUUAUUAUUUUAUGUAGGAAAGGGAACUAGGAAGACCGCUAACUCAAGCUGCGGCAUUUAAGGCAACACACAUUAGAAAGAAGAAAAAUCCUGAAGAUCCAGACGUGUGGGUUGAACCGCGAGCUGAAGUGACCUAUGUAUGUAAGCCUCUAAUUUUAAAAAAUAAUUACUUAUUUUAUAAAUUUAUAUUCUCAUAUGAUAACAUUCAAUUUAGAAUCGAUAUCUUCAAGCUUUGGAGGAUUUACAACAAACUCCACCGGAAGAAAAUAGAGGUAUGCCACUUACUCAAGAACAGGAUGAGAGAGUUUAGUUAGACUUGACUUGUGGGCCGAGUAGAUAUGGGUAUGCAUACGGAAUGCCGUAUAAAACCUUUCGUGAAUUUUCUUCUGAGUUUGAAGGCCUAACUAGUUCAAAUCUGAUGAAUCGAUGAAAAAAAAUUUAGCUAUAGAGAAAAAGAUUGUUGAGCUAUCUAGCCAAGCCGAAGAAUCACGGGCUAGGGAAAGGCGGUUGGAAUUACAGUUUGCGGGUCUUAAGGCUCAAUUUGAUGCAUUACUUGCUUCAGGAGGGAUUCCCCCUUGUUCUGGUGAUGUCACUUUCCCUCCUCGACCUCCUCAAUCUCAACCUACUCAAUAUCCAAUGUAUGGUCAACAAAGAAAUACGACACAUGAGUCUAGUAGUGAUGAAGAAAGUGAUGAUUAUGUGGCAAACACACUACCACAUUAGUGAAGUUUAGACUUGUGAUAGUUAACUUAUGGAUCAUUUUGUUAACUUUAUAAUUUUGUGAUGGGAAUUAUUUGUUUUGUGAAUACAUCAUAACGUUGCAAUGUAUUAUAUAACUUAUGGAUAUCAUGGUUUUUGUUUAAUAUAUAAUUAUGUUGAAGUGAGUUGCAAUUGAGUUGAUAAGAGAAUAUUUAGUAAAUGUAUUGCUUCAAUUGAAUUUUGGAAGUUCUUUGAGCUUGAUUUGGGUACUGAAUUAAAAUGAUAGGUGAUGAGAAGCCGCAGAAAUAAUAAUUAGCUGCCAGUUUUUUUCCAGAAAAAGAGACCUCAUGAGGUCUCUUUUUUGUAUUAAUUUUUCCAGAUAUUUCAUAAUAGAGACCUCAUGAGGUCUCUAUUUAACAUUUUAUAUUUUAUAAAUGCAGAAAAGAGACCUCAUGAGGUCUCUUUUCUGCAUUAUAUUUUCCGUAAAUUUCAUUGUAGAAACCUCACGAGGUCGCUAAAAAAUAAAUGCAGAAAAGAGACCUUAUGAGGUCUCUCCUUUAAAAUAAUAUAAAAUUAAAUUAAAUAGUAUCUUAGCGACCUAAUGAGGUCUCUUUAUUAAAAUAUAAAAUAAAAUAAUAUAAUAAAAUGGUGACCUUAUGAGGGCUCUAUAUAAAAAAUAUAAAAUUAAAUUAAAUAAUACAAUAGUGACAUCAUGAGGUCUCUUUUUUAAAAAAAAUUUGACAAUUUGUUGGUGACCUCGUGAGGUCUCCGUUUGGCGACCUCAUGAGGUGUCUUUAAAAAAGUGACCUGCAUUUUACUGACCUACCGUUAAGGUCUCUUUUUCGGUCUCUUUUCUAGAUCUCUUUUUGGCCUUUUUUUAAUAGUGGGAUCAACCAAUCAGUUCAUAUUCAUCGUCGAAGACUCCAUAAAUUCUUUAUCAUUGAAGUCAUGGAUUCUAUAGAUUUUCAAGUCUCUUUUUGAUAAAUUUAUGAUGACGUGUGUAUCUAUUAACUAAUCGUUUUCGCCGUACACGAUGAAAGAGAUAUAAUGGGAGGAGGAUUAAACAUGAUAUCUUUUAUGCGUAUCUAAAAUUAAUGUUAUAUAUCUCAGCCUCAAAAAUUUUGCAUAUUAGUUUAUUAGAUGUAACUUGUGUAUUUAAACAAGUUAAUGCAUCCUUUUGUUUUUAUUGUAUAUACAAGUUAGUCUUCAUAUUUUAUUAGAUAUAUAUAUAUAUGUAUUUGUAUCUAACGAAGAAUUUAUUAACAUUGUAGACAUUUGUCGUUAUAUACGUUUUUAUAUACAAAUGUAUCUAAAUGACAUAACUCAUACAUGAUCAUGUAUAAUAAAUACAAAAUGUACUUAUGAAAAUCCUUCUAAAAAAAGACCCUCCAAUACAUGCAUUACUAUUAUUGUAGAUAAGAUACACAUUAGAUAAUAUAUAUAUAUAUAUAGAUAGAUAGAUAGAUAGAUAGAUAGAUAGAUAGAUAGAGAGAUAGAGAGAAGAGUAGUGGUAGAAAAUUAAAUAUAUAACUUAUGUAAUUUCACGCUACCAAAAUAAAAGAAAAUUAAAUAUUUCUAGAAACAUCUUUAGUUAUUUUUAUUACUAUUAAUUUAUUUUGUUAUUACUUCACUUUUUUUUAUGGGUCAUUGUAAUAUCUAUCCAUUAAUCUAUUUUACUAUUACUUUAAUUUAACUUGGAAAAUUUUUUCUAUUCAUUAUGCUUAUAAUAAAUACCUACUCUAAUAUAAAAAUAAAUUAUGAAUUACUUAUUUUUACCUUUAUUUUGUUUUUAAUGAAUAUACUUGAAAAGAAAUAAGUGUGAUAAAAUUAAUAAUAUGUAUUAGAUUAAAAUAAAGAAAAAGAUGUUAAGAAGUAAUUUUACCAAUAAAAAUGAAUAGAAUGAUAUAUUUACAUUUAAGACGACCAAGAAAUGAAAUGAAAUUUCAUUCUAACAAAAAUCUAUUAAGAAAGAUAGCAAGAAAAAUAAUUAAUUCUGCAAACAUCUUUCUAUAUAUGAAGUGAAUGGUGAUCAAAUGUAAAAAUAAAAACUUACGCAAACAAAAAUCUGUCAAGAAUGAUUAGAAAAAAAAAACUAAAUUAUUCUAGAAAUAUUUUUAGUUAUUAUUAUUACCAUCAACUUAGUUUGUUAUUACUUUACUUUUUUAUGAAUUACUUUAAUUUAACUCUUAAUUUUUUUUCUAUUCAUUAUGCUUAUAAAAAAUACCUACUUGAAUAUAAAUAUACAUUAUAAAUUACUUAUUUUCACCUUUAUUUUGUUUUUAAUGAAUAUACUUGAAAAGAAAUAAGUGUGAUAAAAUUAAUAAUAUGUAUUAGAUUGAAAUAAAGACAAGUAAGAAGUAAUUUUACCAAUAAAAAUGAAUAGAAUGAUAUAUUUACAUUUAAGACGACCAAGAAAUGAAAUGAAAUUUCAUUCUAACAAAAAUUUAUCAAGAAAGGUAGCAAGAAAAAUAAUUAAUUUUAGAAACAUCUUUCUAUGUAUGAAGUGAAUGGUGAUCAAAUGUAAAAAUAUAACUUACGCAAACAAAAAUCUAUCAAGAAUGAUUAGAAAAAAAAACUAAAUAAUUCUAGAAAUAUUUUUAGUUAUUAUUAUUACCAUCAACUUAGUUUGUUAUUACUUUACUUUUUUAUGAAUUACUCUGAUAUCUACUCAUUACUCUAUUUUACUAUUAUUUUAAUUUAAUUCUUAAAAUUUUUUCUAUUUAUUAUACUUAUUAAAAAUGUCUACUUUAAUAUAAAAUUUAUUAUUUAAAAUAUAAUUAAUUACUUUUACUUUGGCUCUAAUUAAUAUAUCAGAAAAGAAAUAAGUGAGGUAAAUUAAUAAUAUAUAUUAGAUUGAAAUUAAAGAAUAAUAAAAAUAGUUUUAAUAUUGAAAAAACAAUAUCUUAAAAAUGUCAAAAUGUAACUUUACAAAUAAAAUGAAUAGGAUGGUAUAUUUGCAUUUAAAGUAAACUAAAAAUGUUUACUAGAUUUUUAAAAGGUAGUUCUUCAUUAAAAUAUAUAAUAAUUUUUUUACUUUUAGUUGAAUUCAAACAUAUUAAUCUGAAUAGUGAACUAAUGUAAGUUUGAUUUAAAUUCAAAGUUGACAGGUCAAAAUGUGAUACUUUUCUAUUAUGUAGAAAUAUGAAGUUGAGGACGAUCAAGGAUACUAUGGUCAUUUUCAUAUAUAUUUCAUUUUAAAAUUCUAUUUUUAAAUUUGUCAAAAUAUUACUUCAAGUGGCUAAAUUUCCUGCAUAAGUUGCAUGAUUAUUUUGGAAACUCUAAGUUAUAAGAUUUUUCUUAAACUAAGUCCAUGAUACAAGUAAAUAGACACUAACACAUUCUUCAUUUCAUUCACUCCACAAAUCUCUCCCCUCUCAUGUCUUAUACCAAUAAAUUUCUCGCAGUCAUCCUAAAAUAAUACACACUUCGAUAUAGAUAUCUCUAUUAUUAGGAAGAUCAAUAAUGCAACUUUUUUUUCAACAUUUAAAACUUCAUUUUUGGUUAAUUCCCUACAUAAUGACCCUACUUUUGUAAAAUAAUUAUAAGACAAAAGCAAAAUUCACUAUUUCUCAGUGUUACUUUAGAAGAAAGUUCUUUCCUUACCAUCUUAAAUUGUUCUCCUAAUUUUAAUGAAUAUAAAGUCGUAACUUUUUUUAAAAUCUUUUUAUCAUUUCGUAAAGAAUGAGAUGAUUCAUUCUAAUAUUUUGUCAAGUCACUAUUUUUGUUUGUUACCUAUAAUUUUUUUUAUAAGUUUACAAAAACUAAUCUAUAGAUGAGAUCAGUACGAAAAUUGCUAAUAUAUUACGACUCACAAAUAUAAUCUAUUUUAUUAAAUGAUUUUUAAAUAAAAAUAGAAAAAGAAUUUCAUUAAAUUAAUUAUUUAAUUCAAAUAUAUUUUUUUGACAUGAUAUUAAUCAUUGAAGAAUCUAAUUUAUUAUUAUUAUCUCUUAUUAUAUUUAUUUGAAAAUGUCAAAAUAAUUUUUCUAUUCGAAACUAUUUCAAUUAUUAUUAUAAAUAUAUAUAAUGUUGUAAUAUUGAACCUGUAAAUGAACUUUUCAUUACGAAUUGGUUGAUCAAUGAUUAGUAUUUUAUCAAAUGCAAAGCUUAUGGUGCAAAUAUUACAAAAAGAAGAUGAUAAUAUUGUAGAAAGUAGAUACCACUUGCGAAAAUAUACGAAGAUCGAUAAACGUUUUCAAAGAUAUCAACAUUUUAUGUUCCUUGAAUGUGAAAUGUUUUAACUCAUAAUCUAACACAAUUCUCUAUUUCCUUGUUGCAGAGAAUUUUUUGACAUUCAACUUUCUCGAUUUGGGUUGUAAACGAUGCAUUUAUAUCGUAUGAACAUUUGAAAAAGAUUAUUAAGUAAUACAUUGAAGUUGGUUACCGUAAAAAAAAAGGUAUAAAGUGUAUAAAUAUCAUAUAUUUAGAGACUAAUUACAUCCUAUCGUAGAAGUUUUCUCAAUUACAAAAAUUUCAAUUUUUUGUUGCUCUCGAAUACAUUCCUUGGUUCUCUGGUACAUUACUAAUGAUAUAUAUUACUUCAUGGGAGGGAUAUAUCCAAGAGAGGAUAAAAAUAUAUCCGAGAGGGGUUUAUGAUAUCUUAAGUUGUGAAUUUAUGUAAUUUUUCCAAUAAAAUAUAUAAAAUUAUAUUGGGCCCGUAUCACGGGCCUUAAAUUAUCUAUCUAGCAUGCAUAUAUAUAUAUAUAUAUAUAUAUAUAUAUAUAUAUAUAUAUAUAUAUAUAUAUAUAAUAGCAAACUAAUAACCUAAAAUAAAUGAAGUAGCUAGGGUUUGAUUUAAUUGUUCUCUAUAGCAAACGUUUGCAAAAAAUUGUCAGGCGCCUCUCUCCCAAAUAUCUCGCUCGCCACUCUCCUCCAAUCUCUCGCUCGCUUCCUCACUUUUUAUACAAACACAAGUGUAUAAAAAUUGUUUCUAAUUGUAUAAAGCAGAGAAAAUUGUAUAAAUACAUAUAUUUUUGCCCCUCUCUCCCCUCUUCCAGAUCUUGCUCGCCAUACUCCAAAAUCUCGCUCGCCACCCUCGCCUUUCUCACUUAUACAAACAGAAGUGAAAUGUAUAAAUUGCAUUAUAAAGUAUGAGAAAAUUGUAUAUACACAUGCAAGUACAUAUAUUUUCGUCCUAUACACUUAUAAUUAUACAAUAAAAAUACUCUUCUGCCCAGCUUCUUUUGCCUUUCUCUCUUUCUCGUUUCAUACAAUUUUCAAAUUGUAUCUAAUUUCACUCUUUCUCGUUUUAUAUAAUUCGAUUCAAUUGUAUAUUCCUUGUCAAGUCUCUUUUGUCUUUCUUUCUUUCUCAUUUUAUACAAAUUCAAAUUGUAUAUAAUCGUUCUAUACACUUAUAAUAGUACAAUUCGUUUUAUACACUUUGUUUUUAUACAGUUCUCUGCCCAAGUGUCUUUCUCUUUCUUAUUUUAUACACUUCGUUUUAUACAAUUUGCUUCAACUGUAUAUGUAUAACGAAUUAUACAGUUUCUAUGUUUGCUAUGGAACACAAUUAUGCAAACUUUGCUAUAUCAUACAAAUAUAAAUUUUUAUUUGCUAUAUGUGAAAGUUUAUAUAUAUAUAUAUAUAUAUAUAUAUAUAUAUAUAUAUAAAGAUAGACAUAUAGAUACGUGUAAUUAAGGAAAGAAAUAAAAACGAUCUACUACCAAGAAGGUGAAAUUUACAAUUAUUCUAAUUUGCUGAAAUUGAUAUUUUUUGUAAUAUUUGAUAUAGUCAACAUGGUGGAUAUUAAAAAUCUGUUAGAGUAGUCAAUUACUUCUACAACUAAUUAAGAAAUCACUUACGACUAUUUAAUUCAAAUUAACAAAAUAUUUAUUUGGCUUUUUAAAUUUGUCGGAAAUACAUGUAUCUAAAGAACGAAAUAUGAUACAUGCUGUAAUAUUGGAGACUAUUGUGAAUUUUAAUAAUUAGGACCUAAACUAGUGAAAUUUAUAUAGUUUGCAAUUUAAAUUUUAAAAAAUCCAAUCAUACUAAACUUGAAAAAGCUCGUACUUAACCAAUUCAAUUCGAUAUUCCAUACACACUUUUAAAUAAUUAUAUAAUUGGAUUGAAAUUUAAAAGAAUAAAUCGAAGAAUUGAUCGUCCACCAAUUGCAUAUCCCUAUUGUAAAAAAUAUUCCAUAACCAUGACUCAAUCAUCCAUAGAUGCAACAGGAGAGAAAUCAGAGAAUAUAGAGAUUUGGAGAAAACAACUGAUGAGUUCUGUUAUGAAUGUAGCACAUAUUUAUACAAUGUAAAAACUCUAACUAACUAAUGAUUUGACGUGUAAAAGAAAAGUAACAGAAUCGAGAUGACUAACUAACUGUUCUAACUACUUAAUUGAUUACAUUGCAGUAACUAUUCUAACUAAUUAAAUGAUUAUACUAACUACAAUUUUCAAUACCCCUCUCAAAUUGGAGAUGUAGAGAACAUGAAUAACUUGUUCAAUGCGGUAGAGUAUGUCAAUGUCUUAGUCUAAAUGUCUGCUAGUUGAUUAUCAGAACUUAUGUGAUGUAGCGAGAUAGGCCGGUCUGAAGUAAGCUCCUCUCAAAAUGGCAGUCGACUUCAAUAUUCUUGGUACGUUCAUGAAACACUGGGUUUCAAGCUAUAUGUAGAGCAGACUCACUAUUACAAUACACUUCAAUAGGUGCAUGUAAUGUCAAUGUGAGUUCUGCUAAUAAUCUGUUCAGCCAUACCAACUCUCCUGCAACUUUCCUUAGAGCCCUAUACUCUCUUCUGUUGAAGAUAGAGAUAUAGUCUCUUGCUUCUUGUAUUUCCAGCUGAUUGGGUUGUUUCCUAGCAACACAAUAUAACUACUUACUGAAAUCCUAGUGUCAGGGCAUGCAACUCAGUCAGAGUCACAAUAAGCUUUGACAUUGUAUGAUUGUUCCUUGGAAAGGAAAUUCCUAGAGUAGGGUGUGCCUUAAGAUACCUUAGUAUAUGAAAAGCUGCUUGUAAAUGUGGCUUCUAGGAUCUUGCAUAAAUUGGCUGAGAUGUUGCAUACAGUAUGUUAUAUCCAUACUAGUAUUAGUUAAGAAAUUCAACUUCCCAAUAAGUUGUUUAUUAAAGAGUAGUUCUAUCAGAGGUGUUCCUUCUUUGGCAUGGAUUUUUACUGCAUCAUCAAGUGGAGAGGUGCAUUUUCUCAUGCUUGCAACCUUGUAACUUUUUAACAUGUCAAGUACAAAGAGAGAUAAUCAGUCCUACCAUCUUUGUAGAGAACUUCCAUUCAUAGGAAAUAGUGUAACCUUCGCAAGUCUUUGAUCUUGAACUUGUCAUGGAGAAAAGGUUUAAGUUCCUCAAUUUCAUAAACACUUGUGCCUGGUAGAAUCACAUCAUCUACAUAUACAACAACAAAUAUGCUAGAGGUUUCAGACUUUUUAUGAAAAAGAGAAUAUUCAUUUAAUGAGUGAGUGUACCCCUUUGAAUAUAAGGCUUUAGCUAAAUUGUCAUACCACUGCCUUCUGGCUUGUUUCAGACCAUAUAAAGACUUGUUCAGUUUGCAUACUAGUCCUGGUUUGUAUACUACUAAACCUGGGGGAACCUCUAUAUAGACCUCUUCAUAUAAAUAUCCAUAGAGAAAUGCAUUAUUGACAUCAAGUUGAAAUAUAUCCAGCCCUUCUUGACAAUUGUGACUAAUAGAGCUCUCACAGUUGUCAUCUUAAUCACUGGUGAAAAAGUUUCUGUAUAAUCAACCCCAGCUUGUUGUGUGUAACCUUUCACUACAAGUCUUGUUUUAUAUCUUUCAAUAGUCCUAUCAGCCCUAUGUUUUACCUUAUAAAUCCACCUACAUCCUAUGACCUUCUUGCUACUAGGUAAAGGAACAAGAUCCCAAGUGUGAUUUGUAUGCAAUGCUUUAAAAUCCUAUGUCAUUGCUUGUUGUCAUUCAGGGUUUGUACCAGCCUCCCCAUAUGAAGAAGUUUCAUCAUCACUACUGAUAUUUCUCAUAAGAGUUUGACUUCAAUUACUAAGACCUCAGGUGAUACAUGUUGGUGUUUGGAGAAGGCUGUAUUUAGGAAAUUUGAGUUCUGUAAAUGUUUAGUAAAAUUCUUGGGUAAGACAUAAUCAUGAAGCUGUGUGGGUAACUUAUGUUGCCUAGAUGGUCUGCUCGGGGCUUCAGAUUUAGGUGUAUUUGCAAUAUUGGGGGGUUGAAUGGGCUGAAUAGUGACAGGUAACUCAGUUAAAUGAUUAAGUGAAGUGUAAGGUAAAUUAGUUACAUGAUCAAGUGAAGUGUAAGGUAAAUUAGUUACAUGAUCAAGUAAAGUGUGAGGUACAAUGUCAUUUGCAUCCAUUACAUCAUUGUCAACAUGUUGUCCAGUUUAUGAUUCAAUGUUAGCAUGCACAGGAUUAAUCAAAGGAACAAAAUGUAAGACAGAGGGAAAAGAAGAAAUAUCAAGAAGAAUCGCAAAAGGAAAAAUGUUUUCUUUGAAAAUCAGAAAUAUCAAGAAGAAUCGCAAAAGGAAAAAUGUUUUCUUUGAAAAUCACAUCCUUGGAAAUAUCUAUCUUUUUGAUGGCUAGACUGAGAAGCUUGUAGCCUUUUGAUCCAAAGGGGUAAUCUAUGAAAUAUGAGGUGUGGUCUUGGCUUGAAGCUUAUCGCUAUGAGACUUUGGUACAGUAGAUAAUAUAGGCAACCAAAAGUUUUCAUGUGGGAAUAGAUUGGUUUGGUUUGUAUAGCAAUUCAUAUGGACAUUUCCCUUUCACACGAGAGUUAGGAAGUCUAUUAAUAAUGUAUGUGGCACACAAUACAGAUUCACCCCAAUAUUUAAGAGGUAGUUUGGACUGAAAAAGAAGAGCCCUCACAGUUUCUAACAAAUAUUUGGGUUUCCUUUCCACCACCCCAUUCUGUUGUGGUUUGUUGAGACAUGUAUUCUCAUGGAUAAUUUCCUUUGUUAUGAAGAAAGUUGAAGUUUAUGUAUUGACAAACUCAAGUUCAUUAUCAGUUCUUAUGGUCUGAACACAAGUGUUGAAUUGAGUCUCAAUCAUGGAUUGAAAAGUUUUGGUAACUCCAGGUGUUACUUUUACAUGUUAAUAAUUGAGUCCAUGUACAUAUACUAUAAUCAUCAACAAUAGUAAUAAAGUACCUACAAUUAUCAUGAGUCACCUUGUGGUAGGGCCCCAGAGGUUUAUGUACACCAGUUAAAACAUUUUGGUAGAGGUGUGGUGUUGUGAGGAAAGGGCGGUCUUUCUUGCCUUACCAUGGGGCAAAUGUUACAAAAGGAAAGGUUAUUUCGUACAGAACUUUUCAAGUAUAGACUUAAUUUUCCUUAUCUUCACAAAAGGAACAUGUCGAAGUCUAUUAUGUUAAAACACAUUCACAUCAUCACAAGUAUGAGAUUAAAAGGAAGCAGAAAAAUAAGGACUUUUAUUGAGUAGAACAUAAUGUUGAGUACAUUUAUUAUGUGUACAUAAAGAAAUAGGAAAAGAAACAAAUUUGAAGUUGAAAAACAUCUUGACUAGAUAUGCAACCAGGAGUGAAAGCUUAAGUGGUACAUACAAGAACAGAAUAAGUAGACUUCAUCAGACAUUUUGAACACAGAAAAUACAGUCCAUCUUUUGCCUCACCAAUCACCAGAGGCCUCUUCAUUGAAGGGGCCAAUAAAAUGCAUAAGUAAUUCAAAAAAAAAAUACACAAUGCUUUUAGGCAUAGAUUUUGAGAGACAAUUAAUGAAAACAAGAUUGUACUUAAAGGAAGGCACAUACAAGACUUUAUGCAGAACAAUAUUUGAUGCAAGUAUUUCACUACCUAUUUUCACUACCUUUCACCUUGUAACCAUUUGGUAAGGUAAUCAAUAAGGGACAGGGAAGGUAAGCAAUAUUUGUUAAGAGUGUUAUGUUAAAGGUUAUGUGGUUAGAGGCUAUUGAGUCAAGUAUCCAAGAGUCAAUCUUAUUGUUAGAACAUUUGCAUGAUAACUUGCCAAAAUCAAUUGAGGAAGUACAUGCUAUCAUAUCUGCAAAAGCAGAGUUCACAUUACCACCAGAAAAAUCCAUAUGUUGAGUAUUGUCUUUCUUAGCUUGAAAGUGUUGUAACUUCUCCGCAAACUAAGUAUAUUGUUCUCUUGUCAACUGAGGACCUAUUUCAUUACGAUUUCCCUGUGCUUUUGUUCUCCUGAACAACCUUCACCAUGGACAUCAUCCAUAAGACAUUUGACUUUGUUAAACCUGGAGGAUUCUGAUUGUUCGUCUGUGGAUAGCCAUGCAACUUGUAAUAUUUAUCUCUAGUGUGCUCUAGUUUCUUGUAAUAAUCACAUAUAAUUAGAAGCAUGUUACCAAUAUAGGAAUUGGUUUGGGAGUAAUUACUUUUGAAAUUCAAAUUAUCUGUAGAAGAGUAAUUUGAUUUCAUGGGCCUAGAAGUAUUUGCUCUAUCAUUUGCAUUGAAAGCAACAGAUUCCAUGACUUUCUUCUCUCUUCUAGCAUUUAGAGACACAGACUCCAUGAACAUUUGAGUGUUGGGCUUAGUUUCUCUCUAUUGUUCGUCCUGUACUAACAAGGAAAAAGUUUGUGCUAGAGAAGGCAAUGGAUUCAUCAUGAGAAUAUUCCCUCGAAUUACAGUAUAAACCUCAUUCAAUCCCAUAAAGAAUUGUAUCAAUUUCCUAUCCUGAUCUACCUUGAACAUAUUAUCCUUAUCUCCACAAGUACAGAGUUACAGUUGCACUGAGUUUUGACAUGCAAUGUGUUCAAUUCUUCCCACAACCUUUUCAUCCUAGUGUACUAGGUAGUAAUGUCUAAAGUUCCUUGUGACAACUCAUUAAUUUCACGUUGAACCUGAUACAACUUUGCAUAAUUGGUUUGAUCAUAUCGAUCCUCCAACUCUUUCCACAAUUCGAACGAAUCAGAGACAUAUUCCACACUCUCUGUAAUUUUCUUUGACAGAGAAUUGAGGAUCCAGGAAGUAACCAUGUCAUCACAUCUUCCCCAUUGACGAAAUCGUAGCGUUCUUGGAUCGAGCCAUUUACAAUCACCAUUGAUAAAGCCUAACUUAUUCUUAAUCGAUAAAUCUCUAUGGACACUUACUUCCCAUGAUCUAUAACUCACUCCAUCAAAAUGAGCUUGAAUCAGCGAGGCACCUGGGUUAUUUGAAGGAUGCAUAUACAAAGGAGAACUAAGUUCUUCACUACCAACACCAUUGUUGUUUACAAUAAUAUCAUUUGAAGUAGAGCCACUUUCAAUUGCCAUAGCAAUUCAAUUCAAGGAAACUCACAAAAAAAAAAGAUGAAUCGAUCUAAGUGAAGAAAUGCAGCGGAAAAAAAUAAAUCCAAAAAACUAGAUCUAGCAAUCAAUCGAAACACAACACAAGAGCAGAAUAAGGAUGAAGACAGUGUAUAGAAAUUCAUACGAAUCGAAAUACCUCCAGCUUUGUUACCAUGUAAAGAAUACUCCAUAAGCAUGACUCAAUCAUGCAUAGAAGAAACUGGAGAGAAAUCAGAGAAGAUAGAGAUUUGGGGAAAACAACUGAAAUAGUUCCAUUAUGAAUGUAGCACAUAUUUAUACAAUGUAAAAACUCUAACUAACUAAUGAUUUGACGUGUAACAGAAAAUUAAUAGAAUCGAGAUGACUGACUAACUUUUCUAACAACUUAAUUGAUUACACUGCAAUAACUAUUUUAACUAAUUAAAUGAUUAUAUAUACUAACUAUAAUUAUCAAUACUUAUUAUUAUCAUAUAUUACUAAAAGCAUGAACAAAAAAGUUGAAAGUUGAAUUACGAUUUUACCCUUUCUAUAAAUUCAAUUAUUAUAAAUAUUUAAAUAUUUGAUUGUAUAAAUUUAAUUAAAUGUUAAUGACUUUUAGACUUCCUAAGAUUAAUUCCUAAUUAAAUAUCUAAUUUAUUAAUAUUUAUCAUCUAUAAUCUAUAUAUAUAUAAUAGUUAUAAAAUUUUUUUAAAUCUUUUCCUAAAUUUCUUUUCUUUUCCUCUUCUUAUAACUUUUUCCUUAACCCCCCUCUCAUGAAUAACAAAAUUGAUGUGAAUAAAGCAUUAUCGUUUAUGAUAAAUAACGAAAUUUAAUAAUUUAAAGGGUGCAAAUCUACAAAAUGGAGACGCACAUUGAUAAUGUCCUCUUGAUUAUUAUUAAAGAAUGACUCUAGCUUCACAAAUUUAAAUUCAUUAAUGCUUAAUUACAUGAUAAGAACUUUAGUUGUUCUUUUUACAUGGUUUGCUAACUUUAAUUUUUUUCCCAUAUUCUUCAUUUAUUUAUCAUUAUUUUCUAAUUACUUAUUUAACUUUUAUACUCUUAAUAUUUAUAACUCUCAUCUAUUCAUAUUCAUAACCUCCAAACAUUUAAAUUAAAACUUUAAGAUAUCUUUUGAUAUUCCUUCUAUUCUAUUUAUAUCAAUUCAACUUCUUUAUCUCAUGAAACCCCUAUCAAGAUUAUUAGGCUAUUAUUUUUAUUCUAUAGUAAAAACUGAUGAUGAAGACUCUUGAAUUUUGAUAGGAUAUGAAAGGAGUCGAUAAAAACUAAGAGAAUUAUGUACUAAUUUUGUACUUAUAUUUUCAUCUAUAUAUACAUCAAUCUUAUAAGGGCCCGUUUGGAUGGGUUAAUAAAAGCAGCUUUAAAAAAGUACUUUUGAAAGUGCUGAAACUUAUUUUUAAAAUAAGCAGUAAUGCGUUUGGAUAAAAGUGCUGAAGGUUCUAUGCCAAACGUGAAAAGGGAAAAAUGGAAGAAAGAGAUGUUAGGGUUAUGUGAGUUAUUUGGAGAUUGUAUAAAAAUAUUAAGGGCAAAAAGAUAAAAAUGUGGUCAACUUAAAACAGCUUAUAAGCUAAAAAAAAAGCACCCCCUACCACAACUUUUAACUUUUGGCUUAAAAUAAGUUUUUUUAAACUUAAAACAAGUUAUUUUGAGUAUUGUCAAACAGCUAAAUAAGUCAAAAACUAACUUUUAAGUCAGUUUGACCAGCUUUUAAGCUGAGCCAAACAGACUCUAAGAAUAAUGUCUAUAUUGUAUUUUUUCUUAAAUAUUCAGUUUCUUUUUGUCGUUUUUUUCACUCUUUUAGACUUCUUAAUUUAGUUUUCUAUGAAUGUUUUAUUGCCGUAAGUCUUUGAAUUUUGUAAAUGAUACAUUUUAUUAUUCAUUACAAUUUACAUAUAUAUUUUCAUGAGAUUUUAGUCAUUCUAAUGUAUCUAUAAAAAUUCAUAUGAAACACACGUGCGAAGCACGUCCUCAAAAACUAGUUAAAUUUAAAAGAAUGAGUGAUGUCACCUCUUAGCUCAUACAACCAAUAAGAGAUCAAUUAUUUUUAAUUUUAGCAUCUUAUAUAUAAUAUAUAUGUCAACUGUCAAGAUUAAAAAGUCUUAAAGACUUUUUCAAAUGAUCUGAAUGCUCUGUUAUUCCGCGUUUCUCCUACAAAUCUCCGCGUCCAUUGCCGCUAACAAAGAAACCAGAUUUUUGAAAUAUUUUUUUUUUGAUUUUUGAAAUAUAAAAAAGAAAGGAUAAGGCGUAGAAAUACAUUUAAAUAAUAAUGCUAAAAUUAUUUAUCAUAAAUUUGACUUAUUCAGGGUUUUAUCACUUUUUAAAUAUAUUAAUUGAAAGAUCAUCAUGAAUGGCAUGUUUGAUGAAAAGUGAAUAUUACAAAUAUAAAUGUAAUGUAAUAAACUUAUUCAAAUAAGUAAAAGUAAUCUAUUAAAUCUAACUAAAAAUAAAUAGCAUGCAAUAUGAUAUAACAAGUCAACACAACUAAAGUAUAGAAAGAAAUUUAAAAAAUCAAACAAAAAUUAUUUUUUAUAAAAAAAAUUAUUCCAACUUAACAUAAAAUAAGUUCCAAUAUAACUUAAGUAAAUAAAAUUAAGAAAUUAAGGGAGUCUAUAAUCUCAUUCAAUAAUGAAGUUGUACUUUAAUUCAAAAACUAGAAUAAUAACACAAUUAAGCUAGAAUAAUAACAAAAUCAUGCUAUGUGAAGAAAACAAAGGAAUAAGAAAUUAUAUUGAAUUAUAAGAAGUAAGGACGGGGAAUAAAAAUAAAUAAUGCAAAAUGAAAAUAUAUUUUUUUAAAAAACUCAAAACUCAAAAAUUAAAAAAUAUAUUAAAAUAAAAAGAAAGAACUAUUCUCAUCACCCUAGUCCGCCCCUUCUCCUUGAGAAUACUGUAUAAUUAUCCUCUCCUAAUUAUAUUCAAUUCUCUACUAAAUUAAAGUAUUUAUUUGGUCAAACAAACUCUAUGUAUAUCUUAUCUAUGUCUCAUUGAUGAUUUGAUACAUGUAGAGCCGUUAAAAUGGGCAUAGGCCAUGGGUCAAACUAGUAGAUUUAUAUAAGUUUUCCAUUUGUUAUUGAAGUAGGCUUGAAAUAGGACUUUCAGUCAAUUUAAAACUAGGGCUCAUAAGCCUAGCCAUAUAAGUCUUUGUCCCUUGAGACUUAAUCUUAACAGGAUUAGGAUCUGUCCAUGGGCCAAAACUUUUUACUUAAGAAUAACUUACAAUAAUGUCACCAGUAUAUAAUCUAAUUACUUAAAUAUACACUAUUUUUUAAUAUUAUGAAUCUAAUUAGAUUUUGGUACGUCCAAAUGCAUGUAUCUCAAAAUAUAUAGACUCAAAAUUAGGUUAAUUUGUUCUAAAUACACUGUAUCCAAGUAGAUUCGCAUGUAUCUAGGAUACAUAGACUCCUACCCUUGCCUCCCUCCCAUCUUGCUUGUCACUCUCUUAUUGCGCUCGCCUAUUUGGUAUGCGAGUUACAUACGGAUUACAUUAGAUUUUUGUGCUAGUGUUAUUGAAACAACGCCAUUGGUUGUUGUACAUAACUUGAAAAUCUUCUCAUUUUUUCUUGAUGUCAUAUUAAUUAAAAGUUUGAAGAAAAAAAGGGCUAGCCCGCCCCAAUCUUGUCCCUUCUAGGAUUGGGCUGGGUUUAGCAUUUUCAAGUUCUUCCAAAUGAAGGGCCGGCCCACCCCAGCCUUUCAAAUUCCUUGGCCCGCGAGGCUUGGGCCGCGUGGGCUGGACCGAUCCUUUUUCACAGCUCUACAUAUAUGUAUUUAGAUAUUUAUAUUUCAGUUUUAAAACAAAUUUAUAUAUAUUCUGUAUGAGAGUAUAUAGUAUAUAAACAGAGCAUAGCCUACAAUCAUAAAGUACAUGUAAGUUUUUAUUUGUAUACCUAUGUAUUUCUAUCUAUGUAUCUAUCUGCGUUUGAUUAAUGAUUGAUACAUAUAUUUUUGGUCACAAAUUUAAUGAGAAAUUUUUUUAUAAUAUUAUUCAAGGCAGUUUAUUGGUGACACAUUGAUUUUAGUAUGAUGUUCUUACUUCAAACAAAUGAGUAACUCGAACAGGUUUUCAUGCAACAUUCUAACCGUUGUUGCGUGGACUUCUUGCAAGCUCCUUUAUAUUUAUUUUUUUAAAAAUAAAUAAAUUAGAGAAGUUUAAUUAACACGUAACCGAAUCACAUACGUAUGUUGUUUUAAAAUAAUUUGUUGAUAUAGAACAGUACAUAUAGACGUGCAGUACAACUAUUUGACAAACAAGUAAUUAAUUCUUUCAUUUGAUUGAUUUUGAUUGGCAUUUUAUCAUUUUAAUAUUGGUUCCCUAGAUUUAGAUAUGAUUAAAUUUUGUAAGAAAGAUUUUUUAAAACAUUCGUCAAUAAAUUCUUUGUACUUGUAAUAAUAAUUAACGAUAUAGCAUUUGACUUUGCUAUAAUUUGUGAAUCAUUCCUUCUCAAUCAUGCUCAUCACCACUUGUCACCUUACUAUAUAAACUAGUCAUCUUCAUAGUAAUAAUCAUCCAAAACUCAAUCACAAUGGCGAUAAAGCUUAGUUUCUUUGUGCUACUUAUUUCCUUUUCAUCAUUCUUUUUUCCUAUUUUAUCGAUUAACAUUUUCGAUAGUGGCAUAAAUGCUUGGUGCAACAAAACCCCUUAUCCUGAUCAAUGCAAGUAUUUCAUGAACCAUGGUUCGUACCAUUUUGCACCCAAGAACAAGAUUGAUUUCAAGAAAAUGGCUGUGAAAAUCGCGUUGGAGAGAGCACUUCAAGCUGAGACUUACACCAAAGGACUAGGUGUGAAGUGUAGGAAUGAACUCGAAAGGGCAGCUUGGUCCGAUUGUGUGAAGCUCUAUGAGAGUACAAUUCUCCAGCUCAAUAAAACACUCGAUUCCAAUACUAAAUGUACUGAUUUUGAUAUACAAACAUGGCUAAGUACAGCCAUGACAAAUCUUGAAACAUGUCAAACUGGAUUCAUUGAGCUAGGCGUUAAUUCAGACUACAUUUUGCCUAGUCUUAUGUCCAAUAACGUGUCUGAAUUAAUUUGUAACACUUUGGCACUCAACAAUGUUGACUUUGUAUCCAAUAGGAAGCAAACGUAUAAAGACGGUUUCCCUUCUUGGGUAUCUCCAGGCGAUAGAAAAUUGUUACAAUUGUCCUCCAUAAGUCCAAAUCUUGUGGUGGCUCAAGAUGGUACAGGGAAUUUUCUCACUAUUAAAGCAGCUUUAGACGCUGCCGCCAAAAGAAGUGGAAAUGAAAGGUUUGUUAUACGUGUGAAACGAGGAGUUUAUAGAGAAAAUUUGGAGAUUGGAAACAAAAUGAAGAAUAUUAUGUUGGUUGGCGAUGGAAUGAAGUACACAAUUAUCACAGGCAGCCGUAGCGUUGGAGGAGGCUCUACCACGUUUAACUCUGGCACCGUUGGUAAGCUAUUUUCAGUAUAAGAAAACUGUGAACUACAUGGGGAUUUUCUAGGGAAUUAGAAUGAAAAUUUACAGAAAAAUUUCUUACUGAAUCCCUCAUAUAAUUCACAUUUUUCUUAUAGUGAUUGUAUAUUAGUAUACUAUUGUAUAUUGCAAAUAUGUAUAGUUUAACAUUUUACCCUGUUAUAAAAUUGCAGUGGUUACUGGAGAAGGAUUUAUUGCUCAAGGCAUUACAUUCCGCAAUACAGCUGGUCCAGAAAAUCAUCAAGCAGUUGCACUACGUUCUGGAUCUGAUCUAUCCGUUUUCUAUCGUUGUGGAUUUGAAGGGUAUCAGGACACUCUCUAUGUCCAUUCACAACGACAGUUUUAUAAAGAAUGUUAUAUUUAUGGUACAGUAGACUUUAUUUUUGGUAAUGCUGCAGUGGUUUUGCAAAAUUGCAUGAUUUUUGCUAGGAGACCUAUGGAUAAACAAAAGAUUACCAUAACAGCACAAGGCCGGACUGAUCCUAACCAGAACACUGGAAUUUCAAUACAUAACUCGCGAGUUAUGGCUGCAUCUGACCUUAGGCCUGUGGUAGGUACAUUCAAGACAUAUUUAGGACGACCAUGGAAACAAUAUUCGCGUACUGUUAUUAUGAAAACCUAUCUUGAUUCAUUGGUGGAUCCUGCUGGUUGGCUAGAGUGGGAUGGUGAUUUUGCUUUAAAUACGUUGUAUUACGGCGAAUACAGGAAUAAUGGUCCUGGAGCAUCGACUAGUAGUAGAGUUAAGUGGCCUGGGUAUCGAGUGAUCACAAAUUCAAAUGAAGCAGCAAGGUUCAGCGUGGAAAAUUUAAUUGCUGGUGGAUCAUGGUUGCCAGCAACUAAUGUGCCAUUUCGUGCAGGUCUCUAAUGUAACAUGAUGGUUUUAUAAUAUUGUUGUACGCCUCAUUCUUUCUUUUUUUCAUUCUUGGCUAAAUCAAAUGUUGUUUUGUUUUCCAAUUUUUGAACCAAUAAGUGUGUUCUUGCAAAAUAUAUUAAAGAACAUUUGUGGGCUGUGGCAAUACCAUUUUCAUUCUAGUCAUCUGGAUUUUCUUUUGGAAAGAAGGCAAAUAUAUGAUGUUCUUGUUGUUUAACAAAUAGAUAGCAUAUUUGCUUGUUUAAUUGACAGACUCCCAUUUACUAAAUUACGGAAUCAUUUAUCUUAUUUUUCAAUUACUAAAUUGUCAUGUGGCCUUUAAAAUACGGAAAAUUAUAUAUAAUAGCAAACUAUUAAUUCAUAUUAAAUGUUAUAAUCAUAGUUUGAUUUAAUUGUACCACAUAGCAAACUGUUGCUAUUUUCCCUCUCUCCUGGUGAAUCUCACUCGUCACUCUUCGUUCUCUCUCUCGCCUCUCUCACUUUUUAUACAAAAAUGCAAUUGUAUAAAAUGUGUUUGUGUUUGUAUAAAACGAGAUAAAAUUGUAUAUAUACAUAUAUUUUCUUUCUUCUCUCUCGGAUCUCGCUUGCCACUCUCCCAGAGCUCAUCCUCUCUCACUUUUUACAAAAAUGCAAUUGUAUAAAAUGUGUUUGUGUUUGUAUAUAGCAAGAGAAAAUUGUAUAUAUAGAUAUAUUUUCGUUCCCCUCUCCCAGAUCUCGCUCGCUCGCCUCUCUCACUUUUAUACAAACAUAAAUGUAUACAUUGUGUUUCUAUUUUUAUAAAGCCAGAGAAAAUUGUAUAUACAAAAAGAAAUGCAUAUAUUUUCGUUCUAUACACUUAUGAUUAUACAAAUACGAUCUUCCCCUGCUCACUUUUCUUUUGUCUUUCUCUCAUUCUCGCUUAUACAAACACAUAUUAUACAAUUCAUGAUCUUUUACAUAUGUAUACAAAGCAGAUUAUACAACUGCUUUCUUCUAUAUAUACAUAGUGAAUUAUAUAUACAACUACUUUCUUUUAUACAUGUAUAGCGAAAUAUACAUAUUUAUGUUUGCUAUGAAACACAAUUAAGCAAAUUAUAGCUAUAGCAUACAAAUAUGAUUUUUAUGUUUGCUAUAUGUGAAAGUUUCUCCGUAAAAUAUAAGUCUACCCAUUAUGGUUUUGGGCUUCUUACAUAGCUACAUAUAAUCAAUAGAAAUGAUGGUAGGGUCAUAUAUAAUGUAUUGGUAUUGUAUAAAUAGUAUAUAAUUGUGUAUAUAUAAUGUAUAACUAUAUAUUUUAGAUGUAUAUAUAUUCAUAUAUGUUAUUUAUACAAUAUUCAUAAAUUGCAUACUGAUUUCUUUUCAUACCUGGCCAAUUCAAAAUCUCCUCUAAACAGCUCAAAUUUUAGAUAGAAAUUUAUCCUCUCAAUGUUUCGAGUCUUUUGAUAUAUGAAACUAUAUAUUUUAUAUCUGUAUUUAAUAGCAAAUAAGGAAAAAGUCUUCUAAUCUCUCCGUCUUAAAUUUCGUUUGCCUCUCUCCUCUAUCCCUCUCCGCACCCUCUCUCUCACUCUCUGAAUUUUUGUUGCUGUUUUUGUACUCUUAUUUUGGCCCAAACUAUGUUCAUGGAGGAUUGCAUUAGAGACUUUGAGCAUCCGAAUUUUCCAAUACAAAUGCUUAAAGGUGAAAAUAUUUUACCCUUCCUAAUGUUGCUGAGAUAGCAACUGCCAAUUAAGUAUGUUAUUUUAUGGCUAAAGAAUAAUAGUCAUCAGCAAGGCAUUAUUAUAAUUUAUAGAAAUGAAUUAUUUGCUCGUGGUUGAUAUGAUGAAUAAUAUAACUUUGUUGAAUUUGCCUCCAAGAAGUCAAUACAAUGACGUAUCAAUCACAUCUUACUAAAUUAGCUACAAUGAGGAAUGAACCUGUUUUAUAUAGGAGUCCGGAGCCUAAAGGGUAAAAGAUGUUAACAAAAAUUUUAAAAUGGUAUAUGAAAUUUUUUUUUAAUCAAAAGGGCAAAAUCGCUCAUGAAGUAGCGAUUUUGUCCACUGAAAAAAGCAAAAUCGCUGCUAUAGCAGCAAUUUGUUAAAUUUGCUUUUUAGAAAAAAAAAUUAUAACAAAAUCGCUCCCGAGGGAGCGAUUUUGUUUUCAAAGUAAAAAUCUUUUUUUUAAUAUUUCUUUUAUAUGUCGCUGCUUAGGCAGCGACUUGUGUAUAAUUUUUUUAAUUAAUAUUUUUUUGCUUUUUUUUUAUAAAAAAAGUUUAAAUCAAUUUUUUAUUUAUUUUUUAAAUCAAAUAGUUGCCAAGGCAAUGAUUUUUAAUUAAUUUUUUUUAAAAAAAAUAAAUAAAUAGCAAUUUAAUUUUAAAAAAAUAUUUUUUUCAUUUAAACUUUUUUUAAAUAAAAGAAGCAAAAAAAAAAUUAAGGUAAUGUCGCUGCAUAAGCAGCGACUUACUUAAAAAGGUUAUAAAAAAAUUGAAAAUUGAAAAUCGCUCCCGAGGGAGCGAUUUUAUUAUAAUUUUUUUUAAAAAAAAAAGCAAAUUUAACAAAUCGCUGCUAUAGCAGCGAUUUUGCUUUUUUCAGUGGCAAAAUCGCUACUUCGCGAGCGAUUUUGCCUUUUUGGUUAAAAAAAAAUUUCAUAUACCGUUUUAGAAUUUUUGUUAAUAUUUUUUACCCUUUAGGCUUCAGACUCUUUUAUAUAGCUGGUUACAUCAAUUGCCCAGUGGGAUUAGAGGAGCUUAUUUUCUUGAUAAGAUGCGAUUACCUAGCAUAACGAUAAGAUACGAUGCUUCUACAUGACUUAUAUACAUUGCCAGGAUCGCGAUUUUAGCUUAAAUUAUUAUCUUUUAAAAAAAUAAAAGUCAUAGUACGUUAAAUAGAGGAAGUCUUCUACUUUAUUUUUGUGCCUAUAUAAAAACUUGUAGGGGUAAUUAAUAAAUUUAAUAUGAAAAAGUUUUCUCAUUCUUAUUUUUCAUGUUAUUGAUUGCAUCCUUCUACAAAAAUUGAAUUCAUAUUAUUACAGUAAUAAUUGUGAGCAUAACUUUGAAUAGGGACUAGUAAACCAAAAUGCAAUCAUAUUAAACCCUAUAGCAUAAUGAUAUAAUUUAUUAGUUGUUUUCCUCCAAAAAAGUAACUAAUAGUGAAUAACAUUAGAGAGUAGUAAUUGAUAUCUAGCCACUGUCCCUAUAAACAACUUUUGUUGCACCUACGUGUGCGUGGAAAAAGAGAUUAAUUAUACACCUUUGACAAAUCUUCAUGGAUUAAUCAUAUUGUUCGCUAAAUAAAUUGCAAUCCUGUAAGGUAAAACAAAAAGUAUCUCCACUACAUCAUAUUCUUCACAAAGCAAAAUAAGUGCAUUUAAAUUCAGUUCUGGCCUUGAUAUUUAUUUGAUCCAACUUUUAUCAAAAUUAAGUAUACGAAAAGUUUUUUUUGUGGUGCCCAUCUUCAUAGAAAAGAAAAGAUAUAAUGGGACGGUUUGAAUGAGUUUAUAAUUUAUGAUAUAUAAGAAAAAGUGAUAAAUUAUACUAUUUUUGGCUUAUCUUUUAUUAUUUUGAUUCAGAAAUAAGUGUUUCAAAAACUUUUUAAAAAAAAAAUCUUAAUGAACAUUACAAAAAGAGUUUAAUAGCUAUAUUAAUUUUUAAAAUACUAAAUAAAAGCUAGUUCAAAUUGAUUACAACAACAUACUUAAUAUAAUCACACAAAAUGGGAAUGGAAAGGUAGAGUGUACACACAUCUUUUCUCUACAAAGUAGAAGAGAUUAUUUUCAUCCGUAGACCCUCCACUUAAGGGGGGAGGAGGAGGGGUUGGUCCAAUUUAAGCAAUAAAAGAAAGUAAUAAAAAUACGAGAAAUAACAUACCGAACGCUAGUUAGUAUUAGAACAACAACUACAACAAUUAAUAUAAUCAAAAUACAUAACACAACAAAUAAUAAUAAAAAUCUAAGGACAACUGCCUUUAUAGGAAAAAAUAAACUCAUGAGAGUCCAUAUCAGCAUUCAGCUGAACCAAAGACAAAAUGUUAAAGCAUGAGUGAAUAAUGACUUGUGAGGAAAAGGUCAAAGAAGGCACUUGAUUUUAUAUACUAUUUUAAUAAUGUAUAUCGGAUUAUGUUUUGGGCUAAAGAUUUGUAAGGCAAGUUUUGGACUAUAUUUUUACAAAUAAGUUAGUUAAUCGUACUUUUAUAUAUAUUAAAAUCCUUAUAAUUAUUAUUGGAUACAAUUUUACCUUCUCUUGUAUUGGUAGCCUGAAAGAAUCCCAGCAACCUCUAGCAUUUGCUCGACAACUUUCUUUGGUACACCAUGAUUAAUUACUUAAUCAUCAUAAAGUCAAUAGUUUUUAAAUUAAUUAUCGAAAAAAAAUUAGUAACGCGAUCAAUUUAAAUUUAGAUAAUUAGACAUAAAAACUUGGAAAAGAUCAUACAUUCGGCAGGCUUAGCCAAUUUAAGGGAUUAUCUAAGUGGCAGAUUUCGCUGGAAAGAACAAAUCUUUGGCCGGGUUUCUGAAAAAAACAGGUAAUAUAUAUUAUUUGAGUCCGGAAUUAAAAGAUAAUUUUUUCUAUCAAAACACAUAAAUAAUAUUACUAUAUUAUAUUAAUUAUUAUUAUCAAAAGCGAUUUUUCUUUUGAUAAAAUUAAGGUGAUUAAAAAAUAUAUUUUUAUUUUUAAAUAUGUAAAAAAAAGAAGAAGAGGAAAAGUUAAACCAUAUAAAUAACUCUGAAGACCAAAAACAGAUACUAAAAAUAACAAACAAAAUAAAAAUGGACGGGAUAAAGAUGUUAGUGGGCAAUAAACAAAGGUGUUUUGGGGAGUGGAAAUAAUAUGAUUGAAGUGAACUUAAUGAUAGUGGCUGGCUCACGCUAGACCGUUGGAGCCGCCACGUGAAACCCCCCAUUAUUUCUCCUUCUUUGGGUCCACUCACUUUCCUCAUCUCAAGCCGGAUCCUUAUUUACUUGGGCUCAACUAGAGCCAGCCAACAUGUUUCUUUAUUAAUUAAUCCAAGCGGAGUUUAUUCAAAUUUAUGAAAUAAAAAAUUAUAUAGUUUAUAUAACUAAAAUACUUUUACUUUUUUUUAUGUUUAUAUAUAUAUAAAAUAAAUAUUGAACCUCUUUAUAUUUUUAUUUUUUUCAUAUUUUAAAUUUAAUUAAUAAAAAUUAUGUUUCGGCCAUUGGAUUGGUUGAAGCUCCGUUUGACGACUCUCCAUGAGCUGAAAUGGUGAUAUUCUAUACAAGUAGACUAGGUUAUAUGUAUAUAAUGAUGAGAGUCCGUGGUGGUGUAGGAAACGUAUUCCUCACGGGCAACAACAAUUCAAUCAUGUUUUUCAUUUGUUCAUUUAUAUAUUUAGCAUGUGAUAAUUAUUGUGUAUAUAUAUAUUCUACUUGCAAUCCAACAUCUACUUCUAUUUUUAACUUGAUUCAUUUUACCCUUUAAAGUGAUAUAGUAAUCGCGCAUAUCAUACCUAAUAUUUCUAAGUGGAGUUGUGAUUUAUUUAUUUUUGUUGGUGCAUUUUCAUAAUUAUUACUUAAAAUGAUUUCUUUAGGAAGGUGGAAUUCAUUAGUAAAUUAGUUGAGGGGGUUAAUUAACUUCACACAUGGAAAAAGGAAAAGGAGAGGUUAAGUUCAUAAUUAGGAGAUUCCCAUUAAUGAAUUGUUAUGAUUCUUAACUUAUCGGUUAUUAAGUCGAAUCAUAUUGUCUUUUCGUUCAUUCAACUACUUCAAUGUUCAUUUAUAAAUCCCCAACUUUUACCAUUGAUCAAUUACAAAAACUCCAUCCAUGAAACAACCGAAAAGGUUAACUUUAUUAGUGACAAUAAGACAUACUAAAAAGAUGUUUUUUUGCGAGUGUAAUAAUUAGGGGUGGAUUUGGAACAUAUAUAUGUUAUUUAUGUGAUUCUAUACUUUGAUAAUAGUAUCGAUAUAUUAGUAUAUUGUUUUUAAUAAUCUUAAACCAUAUUAAGUAUUAAAAAAAGAUAUACUAUAGUCUAUAUCAAAUACUACCAUAAUAUCAAAAUAAAAGUAAAAAAAAAAAACAUGAUAUAUAAUAAUUCGAUAUACACGAAAGGGUAAGGAGUAGGGAGAAUGUCAUUUGUCUGUUCUGUCUGCUCCUCCUUUAUUUUACCUCUUUUAGACAGGAGAUAUUUGUCCAAUCCUAUAACUCUUUGCCUCAAUACCGUCUCAUCACGUCACCACCUUAAUAAACAAAAACAAGAAAUUAUUAUUUUUUAAUUCUUAUUCAGAAUUUAUUUAUCCACUAUUUUAUUUAUUUCAGAGUAAGCUCAUUUUUAAUAUGAUAAAGUGCUUCUGAAAGAACACUUCUUGGCAAUGAAAGGAUUUAAAGUAUUUCACUGUACUCUGGGGAGGUAACAAGACAUAAAAUUUUCACUCACAUAUACUAUUUAAUUAGUUACUCUAUUUCAAUUAUAUGAUAAUAUGACUUAUUUUUAUUUUAGUAGUUCCCAAAACAAUUUAUAUAUUUUUAUAUUCAGUGGUAACAAUUUAAUUUUAAAAGUAACUUAUAAUUAUAUAAAUAUCGAUGAAAAAUUUUAAAGCAUAAAUUUUUUUUUCUUAAAUUAUGUAUUAAAUUAAACUAUAUAAUAUAAAUUGGAACCGAAAAUAAUAAUGAAUUUGAGUAAGGUGCCUUUUUGUAGGGUCUUUGGGGAGAUGGAUCUGUGCAAAUUGAAUUAAGCUGUUGAUUGGCUAGCUAGUACUCUUUGACAUUCACCGUUUACCCUUCUUUCUUUUCAUGAAUGGAACUUUUUUCAUUAUUUUCUCUCCUAUUAUUAUUGAUUUGACUUUUGGACAUUGAAAUAGAAAGAAAAUUAUAUUCUCAUCCGAUCUCUCUUUUUUUUAAAUUAUUAUUACAAUAUUUUCAAUCGAUCAUGUAAAUAUUUUUUACAUUAUCUCUUUUUGUUAAUCUUUCAUAUGAGUUUUUCAUCCUUAACACUUUCUUGAUUAUUAAAUCUAUAAUUUUAAUAUGGAAGAUGUUUACUAUUUGAGCAACUUAUUUCUUUCUCCUUCUAUCUAUACAUUUUCUUAUUAUAUAAGAGGAAGUUUGGAGACUAAAGUAUAAACACAUUUUCAUUGACGCAUUUACUUUAAUAAGGACAAUUUUUAUUUUUAUUUUAAAAAAAAGUUGUAAUCAAUGGUGGGUGAGUGGAGGUGGCAAUUGCCCACACGCUCAUGCUUGUUUUUUCGGCACCUUUAUUGACACCCAAAAGCUUUCCCAACAAUUCUGCUAUGUCAACGGCAAAAUGACAUCAUAUAUUUAUAAAUAUGAGAUCAACUAAUUAAAUUUUAAACUUUACUAUAGUAUUACUUGUUCUAUUUCAUUUCGUCCCUCUAGUUUUAUAUGUAACAUAACCACAUUUUAAAAAUUAUAUUUUCCUUAAAAGAAAAUCUUGUGGUAAUAAAAUAAAGAUGAUGGUUUGAUUUGAAUUGGUUAUUGAAUAAAAAUAAAAUCAAAUAAAUUUAUUUUGCUUUUAAAUUUUUUAAAUCAAUUUUUUUAAAAAAAUAAUUAACCGUCAAUUUGAUUUGAAAUCUUUUGAUUUUUUCGAUUUGAAAGUUAAUUUUUUUUCAAGGGCAUAUGUAUCUCGACAGACAAAAAUACCUAGUACAUGAUGAACAAGUGAUUUAGUUAAGCAAUACUAAAGUAAUUAUACACUAAAAUUUAAGUGUUUGACUUAAGAAAAUGGUAAAGUUAAAGGCUAGAGUUUAUUAAAAUUCAAUGAAAUAUUCAUAUUUUAUAUAAUAUUUCAAAGAUAUAUAUAUAUAUAUAUAUAUAUUCCGAAUCAAUUAUUUUUGCGGUUAUUUUUUAAUAAAAUCAAACCUAACCCAAAUAGUAUCGAUUUUCAAAAUGUAAAACUAAAUAUAAUCAAACCAAACCAAAUAUAUUUUAAUCGGUUUGUUUCAUAUUGUAAUUCGAUUUAAUUUUUUAACCAUAAGUCCAUAACCAUGAAAAACCCUACCCAUAUGUAUAUGGGAUUAACGUAUUCUAUCAAUAUGAUAUAAUUGUAGGAUAAUCUAAUGAUUAUCUUAAACUUUCACACCAAACAACUAAUAAGGGGUCGUUUUGUUAGAAACAAAAUAUUUCCAAAUAAGCACUAUGUAUAUGGAAUAACUCAUUCCAUCACUAAGAUAUGAAUUGUGGAAUAAAUAAUCUCAAAACGGCUUAGUAUCUUAAAUAAUCUUACAUUUUAUUUAUGAAAUUAUUAUACUUUAUAUCUCACGUCAGGCUAACUAUAGUAUUACACUAUCCUUCAUCAUUAGGGCUUUUCUCUCUUUAUUUGCGUGUUUGGUGGGAUGACUUUAUAUAAGCAUAUUUGUUCAUCCUUCAUCCAUUUAGCCUUUUUUUUCCAUUUUGGGGAUCUGGUCCAGCAGGAGAUCCAGCACAAUUCCCGAGGCAUUCAACUUUUAACUCUAUUUAUUUCCUAUUCUUUUUCUGUUUCUACUAGUGUUGUUGUCUUAUUUUGUCUCUUCUCUUUUACUACUUUUUUUUCCACAUAAACCCUUAUUCUUCUCCCCUCAAAUUCUACUUUAUUCAGAUCUAGGCGCUUGGAAAUUAAGGUUUGCUCCAUCUUUUGUUCUUUUCUUAACAAGUUUUAUGGCCAUCACUAGUCGAAGCGAAUUCAAAAUUUAAAAAUAUAGAGCAUAAGUUGCAUCUGUCUGUACGAGUAUUAAGUACUCUAAUUUCUAAUAUAGAUGAUGUGUUUGCCGGAUUUUUAAGAGUUGAAUGAACAAUCACUAUAGCGAUUAUAACCUUGUGGAACGAAAAACACUAAUUUAUUUGAUAAUCGUCUUGAUGAUUGUUACUCCAACACUAUCAUAUGCUUUGUAAUUAUAAUCUGUUUAGAGAUAGUUGGUAAACAUUGAUUAAUAACUGUAUUAUUUUCUCUUUGGUUAAUUAAUUAAAAGCAUGUGAGACUAGACUAGUAAUUGGAAAUGGAUUUAGUUGAAGAAUUACUAAUCGUACUAAUUUGUUAGAGUAUCCUUUAAAUUAAUCCCAUUUGUUUAAUUGGCAUGAAACAAAGAUUUCAUUUUUAUUCUUUUUUUUGACAUAUGUUGAAAGUCAGGGGACAGUAAUUUGCUAAUUAAAUGUGGACCGGAAACUCCCUAAAUGCGAAUUACUAUUUCAUUUCAAUGGAUUAGAUUAUAAAUUAACUAUGCUUAAUUGAGUGGCAUAGACUCGAUGUCAACUAUCAAAACAUUAAUCAAUGAACAUUAUUUUUUCUUCAAUUGUGUCAUGAAAUUGCAAUAAUAAUACUCUAUAACUUAAGUGCUUAUGAUUAACUAUCUAUUUUUUUUUAGUGUUAUUUUUACGUUUUAUCAUGUGUUUUUUUCUUCAUUGUCUUCUUUGUUUGUGUUUGUUGAAGCACUAAGCAACAUGAGAGAUUGGAAAAGGUAAAAUAGUGUUUGAUGUGAAUAAUAUUUGCUAGAAAUUAAUCGGCUCUUUAAACCUCUUUUUGGUGUCCUGAUACACUCACAUGUUGAUGAAGUGUAUUAAUUAGUUGGUUCAACCUCUAUAAUACAUUUUAUUAAUGAGGUAAAUCAUACUAUUUUGUGCGGCAAAAAAAUAGGGUAGUACAGUAAAAACGUUUUUAUUAGUGGCAAGUAUUUAUAUUUAUUAUGAUCAAUGGUUCUACAUGAACUCUUUUAGUUGCAAAAAUAAUCCAAAUUUUUUUUGUUCAUAAUCAUAGACAAUUAUAAUGAUGUGGGAAAUAAUAAGAAACUUUAAAAGAAAAAAAAAUUGAGUCUUGCUGAAAUAGUGGUAUUUGUUAUGGAUAUACAGGUGAUAUAUAUAUAUAUAUGUAGAAUGAAUUCGUUUUCACAGAUUCCUCCUGGCUUUCGGUUCCAUCCAACUGAUGAAGAACUUGUAGAUUAUUACCUCAAGAAGAAAAUCACUUCAACAAGGAUUGACCUAGAUGUUAUUAAAGAGGUGAACCUCUACAACAUUGAACCAUGGGAUCUUCAAGGUACUAUUAACAUAUAUAUAAGUAAAAUUUAGAACUUCGAAUACUAGGUCUUAGUUCUUCUUAUACUAAUAUGAUGAAAAAACAUUAGUUGAAGUUCAGUCGUUUGACUCUUGUUGAAGCGAAAUGUGACAAGUAAAAGUGAAUGAAAAGAGCAGAGAUUUCAAAAAUAAAAAAAAUAUGAGUAGUAAUAACUACUUAUGAAACUAUGUUUUUAUAUAGAAUUAUGCAGAAUAGGGAGAGAAGAAGAAGAUGAAUGGUACUUCUUUAGCCACAAAGAUAAAAAAUAUCCAACUGGCACAAGAACCAAUAGAGCCACAACAGCAGGAUUUUGGAAAGCAACAGGAAGAGACAAGGCUGUAUAUUCCAAUCAUGACUUGAUUGGCAUGAGGAAGACCUUGGUUUUUUACAAAGGAAGGGCUCCUCAUGGUCUAAAAUCUGAUUGGAUUAUGCAUGAAUAUCGACUUCACACUGAUCCAAAUGGUGCCCAUCAGGCAAGUUAUUCACUAACUCUAAUAUCUUGUUUGGUCGAAUUUCUAAAAUUUUCUAUCAUUUGGUCGGAAGUGGUUUUGGAAAAAAAUCUAAUUUUUGGAGAGUAACAGUUUGUGUAAUCUAUCUUAAAAACCUUUUUAACCUGUUAUUAGAAUUUUAGAACAGUACUUUGUGUUUGACCUAUAUUCCACAGGUGCUUUUGGAUAAAAGUUUUUCUCUGUCUCAUUUUAUGUGACACUUUUCAUUUUUUGAGAGUCAAAUAGUUUAAUUUUGACUGGACAUUUGCCUAUGAAAUCUUCAAUUUUUUUGAAUUGAAAUUUAUAUAUUUGUAAACUACGUAAAGAAUAUUAUAAAUCACAAUAAUUGAUAAUUUAAAAUGUUAAAAGAAUCUAUGAAAAAUUUACAAUCAAAUAUAAACUUGUUUGAAUCUCGAAAUGCGAGAAGUGUCACAUAAAAUGAAACAGAAAGAGUAGUACUUUUUUGUUUAGCUUAGAGCCGGCUCGGAUAAGAUGGACAAUAAUAGUUUUCAAGUCAAAAAGUACUCCUAAAAUGUAAAAGGAGUCCUAUUUUUGGUUUUUAAUCUUUUUUAAAUCAUUAUAAAGUUUAUUUUAAGUUAUUUUUAAUUUUGUCAAAUAUUUCUAAAAAUUAAAGUAAGUUUGAUCAAUUUUAAGUCAAUUCAAAAUAAACUCUAAAUAGCUUUUGCUAUUACUAGUAGAAAGCCCUUAAAUCCCCCUAAAAACGUGGUCAAACACCUAAAAUAAGCAUUUUUUAUUUUCUAAAAGUUUAUCCAAACAGACUAUAAAUUAACAUGUUCUACUAGGUCACCUACCUUAUCAUUCUACAUUAAUUUUGUUACCUUUUAGAUGACCUCAUGGUAAUAAGAUACAUUAGUUUUGGUCAAAUAUAUAAAUAAAUCUCUAAAUUUGUUGAGUUUUUUCUCUCAGGUAUCAUAACUAUGCUAUUUUUUAAUUGAACUAUUGAACCACCAAUAAUUUUUUCCUUUUAAACACCGUUGGCUGAUGUGGAACCAGAUUUUGUGAGGGGUAUUGGUUGAAGAUACAUAUGUUGUUCCAGAUGUCAUUUGUUCAAUUAAUAGUGAAGUUGGUCGAGAAUAAUUGUGUUCUACUUCAAGUCAUUUGAACACAUUAGAAAACAAAUGAGACUAACACACAAUAUGUCUUCAUUCCUUCAAUCAAAAUCAUUACAAUACGAACACAAUUGAAGCCAUUUACAAUAGAAAAGUCGAUCAAAAUCAGCCAGCCAACAGUGUUUAAUAGGAAAAAAUAAUGGGUGGUUCAAUGAUUCAAUAGGAAAAUGACGUAGUUAAGGUACCUGAAGGGAGACAUCCAACAAGUUUAGGGAUCUAUUUAUGAGUUUGGCGUAUUAAUUUCCUUUGUACACUUGAACAAAUUGAACUACAUAUUGAUUGUUGAUAAACUAAUUAAAACACAUGCAGGAAGAGGGAUGGGUGGUGUGUAGAGUUUUCAAGAAGAAAAUGGCAAGCACAAGGAAAGAAAGUGAGAAGGAGUCACCAAAUAAUAAUGAUCAAGUUCCAUUCAUGCCAAACCAUAUUGUCUCACAACACAAUUACCCUUGCAAGAAGGAAUUAAUCGAUAAUUUGAAUUACCAAAUCCAAAUCCCAUCUCAUCACCACCACCACCAACAAAGUCCAAAACUUGUUCCAUCCACCUCAAUUUCAGUGUACAAUAAUUUGCAACAGUCUGUCUCCCUUCUCACACGAGAACAAGUUGUUGAUCAAGUGACCGAUUGGCGAGUGCUCCAUAAAUUUGUAGCUUCUCAACUCAGCCAAGAGGAGGAAAAUGACUAUUACUCAAACACCUUACAUGGUGUUACCGAUGAAUCGAAUUUGAACAAACAAGAAACAGUCACGGAAAAUAACUCCACUGCAUCAUCUUGUUUUCAGAUUGACCUGGGGAAGUACACUUCUUUAUUUGUUGAUUAAAUAUCUAAUUUGUUUAAUAUCAUUGUACAUAAUAAUACUACUAAAAAACACUGCUUGAUGAAUUAGUAAUUUAGUUAAGAGAAGAUGAAUUAACUGCUUGAUGAUGGAAGCAUAGGGUGAAUUAUACAUGCAGGGCUAUUGACAAUGUAUAUGGUACGAUAGCUAUUGCUUUGCUUUAUGUAAAACAUAACUUGAUAUGUUUAUGUAGUGUUGUACUAUUCCUUUUGUUCGUUUUGACAAAAAAAAAUUUUUUUAGUCUGUUUCAAAGAUUAAAGUCCUCAUGUUACUUUUAAUGAAAUGAUUUAUUGUAAUCACACAAACGUUUGAGACAACUUUUGACCACAAAUUCUUUCUUUUUUAAGUUUUGUACUCAGUCAAGUGGUGCAAAAUAUAAAUUGGGAGGAGGGGGUAUGUGUUUGUUUUCUAAAUUUAUUCCUAAAUUAAUGGGAAUUUAAGAUCCAUACCAUGUUCUUGGUUCCUUUUAUUAACAAUAUAUCUUAUUCUCAAACUGCUAGGAGCCAACUCAAAAAUACUUCCAAAUAACAAGCUACAAUUUAUAAUAUUACGUAUAGCAAUCCAUUUUAUAUGGCUAAUUAAAAGCAUUUGCAAAUUUAAGAAUCAUAUUCUAUAUUGCUGAUAGUUUAAGUAGAUGAUCUGUCUUUGUUUUUGUUUUUGUUUUUCAAUUUUGGGAAAUAUUAUAUUAUAUUAGCAUAAAAUAAAAUACGGUAUUACGUAACUUUGAGGUGAGACCUAUCCAAGUGCCGUCUUUCAUUAGUAUUAAUUGCUUUGCUUAAAGGCCUCUUGUUCUUCUUCAUUCUUCACAUAAAAGAAAAUAAUCUAACAUUACAAUACUCAGAAAUUUUUUUACCAAAAAUUAAUUAACAGCAUCAUCAUGACUCAAAAUUCUCCUUCAAAACAUACACAACUUUAUAUCAAAUUGAACAAGAACGUACAAAACUCAAAAGGCAUUUACAUUACAUACCGACCGCAAAACUAGGAAUUUCGGGUUUUUAAGAUUUAAUGUGAUGACUAAUAUGAUUUUCUAGAUAUAAAGUAUAGUUUCUCGAUAAAGGGUGUUCAACAGACCACCCGCUAUAGCUCCACCACUACAUAACAUGUUUAUCAUGGAAGUUUACCUACAAUUUUAUUAUAAAUGUAUUUGUCGUGUAACAUUUUAAAUUGUGAUCUUGCAAUUUAGAAGCAAAAUGGAAAAACAACAAGAAGAUGAACACAUUUGAGAUGGUCUUUUUCAAGCAUGUAGACAUGCAGAUUUGCAAACUGAAACAUUGAAACUUACAUAUUUACUUAUGGACAAAGUAGAGAUUAAUUAGCUUAGAAUUAGUAAUUAAAUAGUGACAUAACUUAAGACUAGCCAUAUUACUAAGAGACUAAUAUGUAAAUAAAUUAUACUUACAAAAAACUUUUGUCAACAUUGCUUUAGUUAGAAAUCCUCCAAAGUUGCUAAACCAAGAGAAUUUUUUUUUUUUAUUUGGAGGGAUCUGAAGUAAGAAUUGAUUGUAGAAAGAUUUGAUUAAAUAGCAUGAAAAAAGUAGAGUCGAAUUGCCCUUGUCUGCUGCCGAUAAUUUCGACAUUCAAAUUCCUUUUUAAGCAAAGAAACAAAAAAAAACAUACUCAUUUGAGUGUCUUCCCUACUCAUGAUAAAUGAACAAACAAAGAAACAGAUAAAAGUAUAAUUUUAAUUUUUUGACACAUUCAAAUAAUAUUUUAAGUCUUUUUCAAAAUAUGAGAUUCAAAAUUUGAAAAAUAGGAUAUAUUAUUUAUUAGCACAGAUGAAAAUGAUCUAAUAAUAUAAAAAUUAUAUGUACUAACGGUAUAUAUUACCCUUUUAUUUUAUUUUUUCAAUCGAAUUGAGAUGCAUUAUAUAAAUUUUGCGACACAGAAUAAUUUCCUUCAUACUAAAAUGGUAUCCUAGGAUGAAAAGAAGAAUGAAGUAAGUCAAAUAAGUCUGAAAAGUGUAUAGGCAUGAGAUGAAGAUGAUGAGCAUUUUUGAAUCAUAAUUAGGGUUAUGUUUGUGUGUGAAUGAAGGUAACAUCAUUAACAAACUCCCAUGUGAAUGUUAUUAUGCUCUCCUCUAUAUCUAAGACCUUUUUUCAUCAUACGUUAAUUAAUAAUUUGAUUUUGCUCUUUACUUAAGGAUCAAUAUAAUCCUCUUAUUUUCAUAGUCAACUCAAAAUUCAACAUUCAUCUAAUCCUCUAGUGAUCAGGGGGGAGUCGGGAAUUACAUAUUACAACUUGUUUACCGAUCAUUGAAAUGAGCCUAUCAUUUUUAUUCUCUAUUUUAUUUAUUUUUUAAUUUUUAAUAUUGAAAUCUCUUCUGCAAAACUUAUUGAGUUACUCUUGCCUACAAGUUACAAUAGAACAACAUUUAAUUUUUUUGUGUGUACUUUAAAACUUCAAAAAGUGCAACAAGCCAACAAUCAAUCAUUAUAUUAAAAACAAUCAAUCAUUAUAUUAAAGGAACACAACAGUUUAUAUUUUUGAGCCAGUUUUUUUUGGGUUGAAGAGCCAUGUUUUAUAAUUUUCCUUGAAAAGUUAUUAUUAAUUGACAUUCUUAGUUUAUAAGUAUAUAUGUUCUUUGUUUGGUUAUUAUAUUAAAAUUUAUUCAAUUUACAUAUGUCAACUAGUAAAUAUAAUUUCAAUUUUAGAGUAAACUUGAAGAAAUAAAUUCCAAAAGACAUGCAUAUAAGAUGUUUAACAAAUAAUAAAAAUCUUGAAUUAAAAAAUAUGAGUUGUUCUUCAAAUAAGUCACUAACUGAGUAGAGUAAUUAGAUGAUAAAUAACUCCCAAGAAAAAAACUUUAAAAGAAGUUGAUGAAAAUAUGAUAUAAGUAGUUCCUAAAUAAUUUAAAUAGUUGCAUCCUAUAAAAAAAUGUGGCAAUAUUUCUUUUUUCUAAAACUAAAUAAAUAAAUAUUAAGAUCCCCCUCUAAAGUUUGGCUUUAAGGCCUCCAGAAUUGUUGAAUCGUCCCUGAACAUAUUCAAAUCACUCAAAAUUUCAUUGGUUGAGUUCAAGAUAAUUUAAAUUGAUUAAUGUCAACAUAUUCAAAUUUUAACCCGUUUUAAAGGAAUCUUCAAUUUAUCCUUAGAAAUCUCACUAGCUUAAUAACUAAUUACUUAGAUAUGCUCUAGUUUGCUGUAUUACGAAUCUUACAAGGUUUUGGUGCAUCCAGCUACGUCCAGAUACAUGUAUCUCUAGAUACAUAGUGUCAAAAUUAAAUGUAAUUUGUUUAAAAUACAUUAUAUCAACCGCAUGUAUCUGAGAUACAUAACGAAUCUCAUUCGUCUCUCAUCUCGUCUCUCUACCCAUUUCGCUCACCUCAUUCUUUAUUUUAGUGUACCUGGUAGCAAAAUUACAUGUAUAUAGGUAUAUCUUUUUCAACAUAAAAAACUCUUGAUUAGUGGUAAGAUACAUAAUUAUUUAAAAUUAUAGAUAGAAUUAAGAAAAAACUACAUAAUUAGACAUACUUUACUACCAUGUAGGGGUGUACAUGGACCAGGUUGGUUCAGGUUUUUUAAAUAUCAAACCAAACUAUUAGUGUCGUAUUUUUAAAUCUAUAAAUCAAAUUAAACCAAUAAAUUUGGAUUUUUCAAAUUUCUCGAGCUUCUCUAGUAGAAUAUUUGUACAAACAUAUAAUUAACUUAUAUUUCAAAUAUUUCUUUAGUCUUACCAAAAUAUUAUUAUCUAAGGUGUUUCUUAAGAAAAUAACACAGUAUGAUAUGGAUGAUUAGACUAAAGUAUUCGACGAAAUGAUAGUGAUAUCAUAUAAAACAUAUAUUGCAAAUAAAUAAGUCAAAAUGAAAAUGAUCAUACUUUUAAAUUAUAAAUCAUGCUAAAAUAAGUCCAAACCAAUAUAUAACUAAAGAAUAAAUAUUCAACAUUAUUGUCAUUCUUAGUAUAUGAGUUGAUUUUUUUUGUUAGCAAUUGUAUUGAUUCGAUUUAGAUUUAAGUUUUGUUAAAAUUACUAAUAUCUAUCUAUGAAAUAUAACUUUUACUGGACUAUUCAAAAUUUUAAGUCAAUCUUGAAAUAAUAUGUUAAAAGAUAAAAAUUAUGAAAAUGUAUAAGAAAUAUUAUAAAUUAUAUCAAAGUAAAUUACUUUUAUGUAUAAAAUAAUUUUUAAAAAUUAUGUAUACUUGUCGGGAUGACUUUUUAAAGAUUAAAAAGAAACCAACCAAUAUAGUCGAAUUUUUUUUCUUCAAUACCAAAUCAAGUCAAAUUGAAUUACUAGUUGGAUUUUUUUCUCGGUUUACAUUUUGAUGCAGUUUCCAGUUUAAUUUUGUCCACUCCUACUACCACAUAUACUAUUGUACUUAUACUUUCAAAAUGUUAUGUACCUUACAACUAAUGUAGAGUCUUCUACAUAUUUUACACUUAGAUGCAUGUAGUUUUGCUACUAUAUAGUCGAAUUUACACUAUAUACCCCCACAACUAAUUUUGCUUAACUAAUACUAAAUUAGUAUCAUAUAUUGGUAUCAUUAAGGUUGAUAAUUUCACCUAAUUGUUACUAAAUUGAUAUAUAUAUAUAUAUAUAUAUAUAUAUAUAUAUAUAUAUAUAUAUAUAUAUAUAGUAUUGGUAUCACAUCUUUCUUGUUCAGAAAUUACUCAUUAGUUAAUGAUACUAUAAAACUAUAUCAUUGACUAACGAGUAAUUUAUAAAACAAGAAAUCUAAUGAUACCACAACAAUAUACAUAUAGUCUUAUAGUAUCAUUGGCUAAUGAGUAAUUUUUAAAUAAAAAACCUAUGCCAAUAUAGUAUAUAUACACUGAUUUUGCAUCAGUCUAGCGAAAUUAUCAAUCUUAAUGAUACCAAGUAUAUGAUACUAAUUUAGUAUUAGUUAAGCGAAAAUUGUCAGCCUUUAAUAAAUGAGGGGUAUGGUCUGUAAUUUACUUUUUUGAGUGAAUGAGUAUUUCUUCAAUUACUUUGAAUUGGAGUAUAAAUAUGUAAUUGUUAUGAGUUUUAUGGACAUUUAUGUGGUUUUUCCUUAAAUAUAUAUGGUAUGUAUAUAUAUAUUCCCAUUAUUCAAUAAGGUAGUUUCUGCUUUAUUUGUUGGUCCACAUGGUAUCUGGCCCAACACAAAAACUCGACCAGUUCAAGAAUGAAUGAACCCAACAGCCAAUUGCUCGUUUUACACGGUGAACCACUUCUAUAAAAAUUCCGAUCAAAUUGCUCAAACUUUUAAAAUACAUAGCUUCAUGAAUCUUCUCUUGUUUUGAACUUAUAAAGCCUUUGAAUCCUGUGAGUUUAUCCUUAGUUUUGAACUGCAUGAAUAUAUCCUUGGUUUUUAACUUAUAAAAACUUGAACACCAUAAAUUAUUUCUUGGAUUUGAAACUCCAACAAAUAUUUACCCUCAAGAAUCAUUUCUCAUUUUUAAAAGUUUGGAAUCCAAGAAUUAUACCACAAUGAGGUUUCCUUGGGUUCCACUUGUUAAUCAUUCGACUUCCAACGGUAAUAUUUUCAUUAAAAAAACUUUUCCUGUCUACAUAGUGGCUAAAUGUUAAGGUAGCUUUUAAAAUAAUGGCUAAUAUUUGAUAGGAGGUUUUAAAAAACGAAAAAAGAAACUAAAAUACCCUCAAAGUAUUGAAAAUGGUGUAAAAUUAUCCUCCAUUCACCUAUUGGAUCAAAAAUAUCCUUUCCACCCAUCUAUUGGCUCCAAAAUACUCUUGUCAUCCACCUUUUAGUUCAAAAUCGUCCAUUUAGUUAACGGUUUUAAAUUUAAAUUAUUUAAAUAUUUUUUUAAAUAUGUGGCGCUAAACUAUUUGUUAUAAUUUAACUGUAUAAUUUACAAAUCAAUCCACUACCCACCCAUUACUAAUUAAACCCCUCCAAAUUAAUAAACCCGUCACAUUAUUAAUGCAACAACAGAAAAGCUACUACUAAUUGAGUGUUUUUAAAAAUUUAAGGUAAAAAUAUCUAUAGAAGUAAUUUAUCAUACAUUCAAGUUUCUAAAUAAAAAUUACCGAUAAUCUUAAAAGUCUGAUUAUGUUCAUCUUAAUUAUUCUUACGUCUCAAUUAUGUGAUGUUACUUCAUCGGUAAAUUUUUUCAAAAUAAUACAUUAAAGGUUUUAAAACAAAUCAUAAAUAUUUAUAAAAUUAUAUUUUAAAAAAAGUACAUGAAUUAAUUUCGGAUAUAUUAGUUCUUUACCUUUAAUCACAAAUUUCUAAUUAAAUCUUGAAAGAGAAUUUUAUUGAAAGUGUCCUCCUAAAUAAGCGGCUCAACCUAAAUUUAAUUGGGGCUUCGAUUCAGACUCGAAUAAUUUUGUAUGUCAUUUUUCAGGAAUCUAUAAUCUCAUCGUGUUUUAGUAGUGUUUAUGACGAUUUUGAUAUUAUAUUGGAUUAUUAAUUGGGUGAGUGAGAAGUGAGUUCGUUUAUAUUAAUAAAUUAACUAUAACCAAUAGUUGAACACCAGUAUUUUAAAAAAUAUUUAAAGAGUUUAAUUUUAAAAAAUUAAAUAAGUGAUCAAUUUUGAACAGGUGGGAUGGUAAGGGUAUUUUGAAGCCAAUAGGUAGAUGAGAAGGGCAUUUUGGAGCCAAUAGGUGGAUGAAGGAUAAUUUUGUACCAUUUUCAAUGCUUCAACCAUAUUUUAGCCAUUUUCCGUUUUAAAAAGUGGUUGCUUCCAUCAUAUAGAUACCUAGAAUAUGAUAAGGGGCCUUACACCUUCUAACUCCUGUUUCUGGUUGGUUUCAGGACUUGAUUGUUCCACAGAAAAAAAUUAUACAAUGAUCAAAACUCUGCAUGUUAAUGUAACCUAAUGGUAGCAAGAGGCACAAAAUGACAGAAGAAUCUAUAUCAACAGAUUGAAGAAACUAAAACUGGAAGAAAGUUGUAUGCCGUCAGUAAGUUGUCUUCUCAUACUUCACAAAUUUUUUUUCGGGAACAAAUGAAAUAGACGGGAAACUGUGCAAACUAUCGUUAAUGAACUUUCUCAAAGUAAAAGAAUAAGAAACAUUAAUCCUAUCAGCUCAUCAUCCUACAAGAAAGUGAAUUCCCAAAUAUUAUCACCAACUGAAGUGGUACACUAGUAUACAAGACUGAUGACAGUAGAGAGUACCAACAACAAUGUAAAAUAUAACCCCGAGCUUCCAAAUAGGGUUGUCGCUGAAGAUACUUUCUGUUUCCUGAAAUACAUGUACGAUCAAUUUAGGGAUGCGUCAAGAGUAAAAACCAAAACUAUGUGUAACAGAAGCAAAGAGAUGAAAUCAUACUUUUGCAUAUAAGCAAGGGCACCACAGUACAGAGCAUUGUCAGGCUUUUGCAUUUCUGUUUUGUUGCUAUGAUCUUCAGGAUUGAUAAUUCUCAUAUACGUUUCCUGCCCUAAGUACCACCUGUCCAGGUUUUCUGCUCUGAGGUUCCACACCCCUACAUUGUCGAGAGAUACCAAAACUGCUGUCCAUCCUCCAGGAAAAACCUAAACAAACAGGUACAGGUAAAAUAUAAAUCCUACCUUGUUACAGGAAGCUUUCGAAUUCUUCAAAACUAUACAAGAUAAGACGGCUGUAUAAAACAAACCUGAGUCGUAGACCGGGAAAUUGCAUCCCAUCUAUUAUAAGAUCCCCUGUUGUUCUCUGUCCACUCUCCAAAGCCCAUCCUGAAGCAAAUAGGCAAAAAGUUGCAUUAAAAUUCACUUGGUAGGAAACUACAUACAUCUAGAAUGAAAUUUUUUAAGCAGAAGCUAUACCCAACAACAAAGAAUGAGUAACCAUCCAUGUGAAAGCUCUGGACUACAGUGUCAUUGUUCUGCAAUACGAUUUCUAUAAAUCCCUUGUAUGUGGCAUUGAUAAUGGACGUGUCCACCUUGGGUGGUCUGUUCAUUGGCUUAGUUGGGAAAUCAAGCUUGUAGUCACCCUUCACAUAGUACAGAUCAGCAAGCCUAAUUGGAGUAGCAGGAUUUUUGAAUGAAAUCCCAUUAAAGGUAGCUCGAAGCUUUCCAUCAAUUGACACUGGUGGCACACUCUUUAGCAAAUAAAAAUCUGUGACAUUAAUUUGACCAUAGUGGAAAGAUCCUUGAGGAUUCGGUCGAGCUCCACUUGCAGAAACAUUUUGCCUGCAGAUAUUGCAUCAGAUUAUUCAAUGGCAUGAAACAGAAAAGUUAGUCAUUAAGAAGUAAACCAAUUUGUAUUGCUUGAGAUGCCUAAAAGAGUAUUGUCAAAUAAACGACAUUGUGACCGUAAAGAAUUUAAUGAAAACAUAUAUGGUGUCCCAACUAAGUAAAGCCCACAAAUUAGGUUCUCCUAAUUUCUUCUUUGUCAUGGUUAAUCAUUUUUUAGUUUCAAUAAUCUAGUUUCCAAAUUUAUAAGGAAGUAUUUGUCCAAGCCAUUGAAUGAAAUAAUGAAAUGAAGAGGAAUAAAAAGGAACGAGUAAAAGAACCUUAUGGACAUGGCCUGAUUCAGCGCAUACGAUGUGUCAUAUACAUCAUUUGGAGGGUCUGGAAGGGGUCCAGCUGCCUUUCCUUUGGAGUUGGAAUAAUGCAAAAUACCAACACCAGUUACUUUUUGCCAGAUUGUUUGAUUUACAAACCUAGAACUCGCCACAAUGUAGUAAUCACUACUUGCAUUCUGAUCCAUGGUAACCAAAAAUGUGUACGACUGCCCAACAUGAAUAUCUACACUAGUAUAAUUUUGCUGUGAAGUGUAAUAUCCCUCCGUCUCCACCAAGAGUAAAUUAUGAUUUUGAAUCCUAAAAUUCAAACAAGUGGAGACUCCAACAUUGUGCACCCGAACCCGAUAGGUAUUACCUGCAGCACAAUAUAUAAUCAGAUGGAGAGGGGGUUAAGAUUCAUAUGACUUGCUUUCAAGUAAGCUGUUAAUUGAAAACAACAAGGUCAAUUUUUAAUCUAACAGGUUUUACAUAUGUGCUAUUUUGCAAUGUUUAUGAAACAUCAACUGCUCUUCAAUUUUCUACAAGCUUGAUAAAGCAUGAAUGUUGAUAUACAGAUAAGUACUCCAUCGCACAUCUUACUCAAGAAUGCAUAGGCUAAAGACAGCAAUUCCAAGCGGACAGAUCAAUGUGAAGAACAUCAUAAAUAAGCAGACUAUUUUCUAUCAAACCACUCGGGAGAAGGACAACCAAUCAAGUAUAUCAAGUUGAGACUUAGUUAGCAAGUUUUGAAGAGCUUGACCUGGAUCAACAUUUAUGGUUUCAUGGUCAAUCCCAUCAGGUACAAGUGUUGUGUUGUAUCUGUACGGGCCUUUCCCAUUAAUGAGUACUCCAUCUGGCAUCCCCAAUUGCUUCCCAUCAUCAAGGUCCUUCCUCAGAGACUACAAUUUGAAAAUAUACCAGAGUUGGUACUAGAAAAUUCAUACACAAUACUGCAUGAAAGAGUAAGCAAAAACAGGAAGAGACACUAACCUUAUGGCUCUGGGUGUACCAAUCGCCAAUAAUUAUCACUAUAUCUCCAUCAGGAGGACUAAAGGGAAUAGGGAUAAUAUUACGGUUCGUAACAAUAAAAGAACCAAAACCACCAGCUGCCCUCUGCAUGUUGAUGGAAGGAGCAUAGAAAAAGCUACCAAUCUGAUCCUUUACUUGAAACUGGUAAGUGAAGUUCCGUCCACCUGUAGGGAUGGGGCAAUUUGUACCAAGAACACCAUCUUGCCAGGAAGUGCGUCGCAUCUGAAUUCCAGACCUGCCACAAUUCAAAGAAAAAUCAAAAACUGAAGGAGAGAGCAUUUAAUAUCACACAAUUGAAACUUACCAAGUGACAAGAAGUUCUUCAUCCAAUUUGUUCUUCACAUCCACCACAACAUUAUAAUUAGUUGUAACAUUAAGGAUGGGACCUGGAAAUUUCCCAUUCACAGCUACAACCUGCAAUUGCAUAACAUAUCAUGGCAUAUUAACCAACACUGAAAAUCCGGGGCAGAAUACCAAUUCAUAAUCACAUAACUAAAUUAGAAACUAUGCUUGAAAAAUUGUAUAGAGCCUCGAAGCAAUUUUAAUAUAAAUCCCGAUCAAACAAAUUAAAAUAACACAAGCAUUUUGAUCUCACCACAAUGUAGAAUUUACCAAAAACAGAAUUAUCAUAACUUUAGGCAAAAUAGUGGUCCCUUCCAACUUUUACUCAGAAAUGAUACUACUACUGUAUAAAGAAAAAAAUCUUUAUAAAGUAUCAGAAAAAAUUGAAAUCGACAUGUAUCACGAAUAGAUACUAAUUUUUUCAUCUACUAAAACAUCAACAUAACAUUAAAAUCAAGAACAGCUCCAGAAAACCCCAUAGUUGAAUCAGACUCAAAACUUAAAAACAAACUAUUGUUUCACCCCAAACAGGAAAACGAAAAAAGAAAGAAAAAAUCAUACGUUGAAACCCAACAGUCCAAGAUUUAAAAAAAAAAACGAUUCGUUUGCUGAAAUUGGGGAACUUCUCGGGACGGAGAAAAUGAUUCUUCCGUAAAAAAAAUUGUUGCAGAGCAAAAAAACAAAUUAAAAAAAAUGGAUUGGUUGAUUCAAAUGAAAGUUGGGUUAACCUGUUGGGGAACGCCAAGAGGAGAAGCGGUGAUAUAAGAGUACUCCAAUUCAAAAUUAGCAAAAGGGUCAGCGGCAAAGCAUAGUGUGAAAAACAGAGCAAUGCAGCAGAGACGAUGCACAAGUAGAGAAGAAGAAGCCAUUGAUGACUCAAUGGUAAAAUUUUACAGAGGGAGAGAUUUGUUGUAUGUGAAAACAGACUUUACAUGAGAGUGAUAAUAGUGUGAAGAGAGAAGCAGAGAGGAAAGAAGCAACAGAGUCUUUUUAAAACCUCUUUUGUCUUUUUUGUUUUUCUGUUUGUAGGGUUUUUUUCAUUUUCUUUUUCCUUUUAAAAUGAAAUGAGAAAUUUUAAUUUCCGGCUAUAUUAUUUUAUUUUUAAUAAAGUAGACUGUUAAUUUAAUUUAUUUACUUAUUCAGAAAAUUAAAGUAUCUCUUUGAAGUAACAAAAACAAUCUUUUCGGAAACUAAGAAAUGUACUAGUUCUUCAUUGAGAAAAAUAAAUUUAGAAAUAUUUUCUAAAAAGCUUAUCAAAUAUUAAAUUGUUACUCAUUUCAUAAAAAAAGAAAAAAAAUUUAAUAAGUUAAUUUUAAAAAUUUGGUAAAACCAGAAAAGAGAAACGAGGGAGGAUGAAUGAGUAGUAAAGAAAAAUGGUUUCUUUGACUAAAGUUAAAUUUUACUUGUGUUCUUCUCACCUAAACUUAUUUAAAAAGAAUAUAAGUAAAUAAAAUCAUUUAUUAUAAAACAUAAUUUUCAAAGAUUUAGCUUGCAUUCACAAGUCACAAGAAUUUAUUUGAUGGAUUUAUAUAGCUACCGUUACAAAUUUUGAUUAUAUGAUUUUCUUGGAUAUAUCUUUUUUUUAUAGUUAUGGAGAAAAUAUAUAAGAUUUAAAAAGUGUUUAGUAUUUUAUUUUGUACUUAAAUAAAAAUUAUAAUUAUUAUGUACCAAAAAUAAUCUCAAACGCAAUUUACCUUCACGAAAGGUAGAAAACAUGGAGUUGACCAUUUCUAUUUAUUUUUGGUAGGCUAGAAUGAUAUGAACAUAAAAUUAUCAAUACAAAGAUUUUAAGAGUUGGACAAAAGAAUUUACCAUUAAAUAUUGUAAUGCUUACGUGGCAAUGAUCGCAAAAGCAACCGGUUAUUGCCGGUGACAACAAGUUAAGCAGAAACAAAUGGAUCAGCAAUGAAUAAUAGAAAAUCCAACGUUCACAUUUUUUAGCCAAAUCGUUGAAAGGGCCCACUCAAAUGUGGUCCCACCCACCCCACACGAAACUCAAAACACACGCUCGUUUUGCGCUUAUCUUGUGAACUUCAAUUUCCCCUUCCACUUUACACUUUGUAUAUUGAACUACAUUACAUAUUUAUGUAAAAUAGCAAUUCUCCUCCCUUUGAAUUAGUUAAUGAGACGUGAGUUAAGCAUAAUACUUAAUUUUACAUAAAUUUUAUAUAUAUAGAGUAAUUUCAAACGCAAUAAAUUGUAAAAGUUAUUGAUAUUGAGUAUUUCUCAGGUUCAGAAGUUAUUUUAUUUUAUUAUAGAUUUUAAAGUUAAAACUUAGAUAAUUUGAAUUUUUAAAGUAAUAAAAUUUUGGAACUUGAAAUUGUACUUGAAUAUGCAUUUUACUCGAAAAGAAAUAGAACUUUUAUGAGUGACAACAUUUUAUCAAAUUUUAUAUUCAUAUAAAUAUUGGAAUAUCAUUUUUCAUAAUUUUAUUGAAAAUUUAUAAUCAAACAUCAAACACCAGCUACAUAUUUUCCGGAGGAAACAUAUUUGACAGAAGAGUCCUAUAAGACUUGAUGUCGACGAACAAUAUUUUCAUCAAAACAUCCCAAUCUUUCGAUACAUUUAUUGCCCACUUUUAUCUUAUUCAUCAAUUAUGAGUGAAAGAUAUAAUUCACUUUGGUGAUAAUAAGGAAAUUAAAGCUAGAUCCAAAUAUAAACGAGCCACUAAAAUAAAAAUAAUUUUUAAUGAUAAUAAAUAUACAUAUUAAUAAAGAAUGUUAAAAUUUUUAUUUGAUAUAAGUUAAAUGAUAUUGAAUUUAAUAUCGCUAUAAACUUUAGAUAUAUUUAUAGAAAAUGUUAAUUACUCUAAAAAAAUUUAUAUAUUUAAUAAUAAUUAAAUUAUUAUCGUUAAUCGAUCGACGCUGAACGUAAUUUUAUUUUUACUUUGUAACCCAUAUUUUAUCAUGUUCUUUUCUUUAUUGUGAAAUGUAAUAUGCUUUCCAAUCCAAUUCCUCAGGUUGAUGCAUGUUUUCUUGUCGACUUAUCCACUGUCCCUAGUGUCAUAUUUUUAGGUUUAUUUAUACAAUUUUUAAUUAAUUAGUCAACUUUACACCGAAAAAAAAAAUGGAUAUUGAAAAAAUUCCAAAGAGUUAAUGAGUAAUUUGAAGUUGGAAAUGGCGUGAUAGGUGGGCAUAUGAUAGGAAUGAGAAUAACUUAAUAUGGUUGGUUAUCUAUUAUUUUGGGCAUAUAUAUUGUUUUUCCUAAAAUAAAAGUGACGGGGGCAAGCUGUUUACCAGCUAAUUAUAAUAAAUAAUAAACCAAAAUUCUAGUAUAUUGAAAAUGGAAAAUAAUAGUCAAUAUUUUAUCUGUUUUUUUUUUGUAGAAAAUUGAUUAAUUUAUUAGCUUAAACGGUGCAUUUCUUUUUUAGUUCAUUUCACACACAAAAGAAUGGUCAAAGUCCAUAUACCUUUUAUGGAUACAAACUGAUAGAUACAAAGAUUUUCAGAAAUGUAUUUAGGUAGUUAAAGCAUCAUUAUUUGAAUCUUAAAUCAAGAAAUUAUGAGGAGCUAGGCUAUCAUAGUUACAUUUAACGUGAUUUGAGCCGGAUUUUAUUAUCUUGAUUGAGACUCCCAAAACAAAUAGAUUAUGAUAAUAAUAAUAAUAAUAACAAAGUAGUAAUUAGAAUAAUUGAGUGGUCCACUUAUGUCUUUUUAUGGUGUGUUUCAUCUAAUUAAUCUUGUUCUGGGGUGCUUGGGCCACUUAUAAGGUCAGUGUCAUGGAACAACUCAUUUUGUAGUCGUCAAUGGAACGUUUGUUGAAGUAGGUAAAAUUGGAUCCAAGACUUCUACAUGAGCGGGGAAUCGAUGAUUUAUAUCACCAUUUGUUCAAUGUGAUUAAUACUCUUUUCGUUUUAUUUUAUGUGAGCUAGUUUGAUUCGAAAUAAAAUUUAUAAAAAUAUAAAGCAACUUUAAAACGUGUAGUUCAAAAUGACUCAUAGAAAUUUAUGUGCCUAUAAAUCAUUUCAUUAAGGAUAAAAUAAAUAUUUUUUAGUUAAAUUAUUACUUAAUAUAGAAAUUUGUAAUUAUUUUCUGGACCGACUAAAAAGAAGAACAAAUCACAUAAAUCGAAAUAGAGGAGUAUUAAUUAUUUUUAGAAAUGUAUAUUUUUCUUUAUAGAAAAUUAUUUUCUAAUGUUUGGUUAUGAAAACUUUUUUUGUUACAAUAUUUAUCAAAAUAGAGAAAUUGAUUUUAAUACUUACGGGAAAAAGUACAUUUGACCUCUUAAAGUGAUGUUGAGGUGAGUAACAUAAUGCCAAAAAAUGACAAUGAGUUUAUAACAAAAACUUAUGGAACAUGUACAAAUGGUUAUGGUUCAUUUCUUGAAGAAAAUGUGACUUGUGUUCGUAUGGAUAAAAACAUGUUCAUAUAUUGUUGGAUGAAUGUCACAUCUCACCUCUACGGGAGAUUUGAGAGAUUGAAAGAAAAUAUUUUGACAUAAAUGGUCAUUUUGGUCAUAUAUAUACUUUGAGUACUACAUAAAUAUUGUGAUAUGUUUUAUUAUGAACUAUUGGAGGGAAAAAGAAAGAAAUAAAUAUUUUCGGUAAAGAUUGUGGCGUUGACCAAAAUAAAUGUUAUUGUGUGGCAACACAAAUUAUUGGUUAUCAAGAAAUAAGUCUUGAAUGUAAUAAUUUUAAACAUGAUAAUAAUAAUAAUAAUUUUCUCUUUGAAGAAGAUGGUCACCAUAAGGAUGAAAUUGUGAAAAUUGUGGUUGUACACAAAAUUAAUUGAGAGUUCCGGAAGAACUAAUUUGUUACUAUCCGGAGGGAUGGAAUUGUUCAUAAUAUUGAGAUUGUAGUGAGUCUCAAAAGAAAAUUAAGUUUCAGAAAAAUUGAAAAGAGAAAUAAUAUAUUGAGAAUAUAAAUUAUUGGAAGAUUUAAUAUCUUCAAAUUACUACAAGAAAAGUGAGUUGUAAAUUUUUAUAUAUAUGAUACCCAUUUUUUCCCUCUUAUUUGUUGUAUACAAACAUGGGCAUCCUGAUGGAAUCACAUGCAAAAGUCAACUAGAAGUUUACUAGAAUAAAUAUCAGUUGGCACAAUCGGUUGGCCAUCUGAUUCAAAUGUGAUGCAAAAGAAAUUGAGAAUUCACGUGCCUAUAUGUUGAAUAAAUAAAAGAUUCUUCAAGAAUUCUCUUUUUGUAGCUUGUUCUUGCGAUAAAAUAAUCAUUGUACCAGUUAAGGGUGUGAUUGUAUCCCCUGAAAUUAUUUGGAACAUAGAAAAAGGUGAAUAUAGGCCGGUUCACCUGCCAUGUGGACCAUUUACUAUUCUGAUUUAAUAGAUGCAUAUAUGGUAUGGUCACAUGCGUAUUUGUAUCAACUUACAAAUUGAAUUUUGUAAGGUUGUUUGCUCGAAUUAUUAAAUUAUAAAGAGCACAGUUUCAAACUAUAAAAUCAUGUUGAUAAUGCUUGUUGGUUAGCAUAAAUUGUAUACCUCUAAUUAUUGCUAGACCAUUAAUUAUGAGAACGAAUCUCUCAAAUAAGAUUUGAUAUGAGAUGAAUUUAUUUAACAUGUAUGCAUCAAACCAACAAGAUCUCCCAACACAAUUGGUUCAGGGUCAGGAACCAAAUAAUUUCCAUCUAAAAAUUUGACAUGUGCACAUAUGAUUUUAUUGCUCUACUAUGCUCAAAGAUGGAUCCCCAAUUGAGGUUGAGGGGUGAAUGUUAGAUUUCCUAACAUUAGAAGGAGAUAUGUGUAGGUGAGGUGAAUUAUCUAGAUCCUCGUUAAGAAAAAUGUGAACUUGAAGUUCAAGAGAUAAUUCAUUUGCAAAAUGUUGCAAGUAAUUUGCCAGAUGUAAUUUCUGACCCAAUAUUUUCAUUAAGCUGCAAAUGCUCCAAUGAAUAGUCCUUCAAGGACAGAGUGUAUGGUACGCUAGAAGCGUGAUAGACCAAUCAAUUUCAAAUGUAAAACUCCUUGAUAAAGGAGAGGAGCAAAUUAUCAAAAUGGUCAUUGAUAAUGAGGUAAGUGCUUCGAAAGAGCACUAUGACAUAACACUUCAUAAAACCUUGGUGAAGGUUCAGGUACCUGAAAAUGAUGAAUGAUUAAGAGAUCUCGAUAAGUUAUGUCGUAUUGGAAUUAAAUCAAAAUGACCAUCGACGAUAUAUUUGAUAUGAAGUAGCACUGAAUGUUAUAAAUGAUUACGAUGAUCUUAAACUGGAAUAUAGUGUGGACAGAUAAAUGAUUAUCCAAAUAAUAUGCACUAUUCAAGUAUAUUUUGUUUCACUUAAAAAAGUGAUGUUUUUGAACUUAUAGUUCAUAGAUCAAAAUAUAUGCCAGUUGGGUACAAAUGAAUUAUUUUACGAAAGUAUAACCGUAAGAUAUAAAGUACGAUUUGUGCCUCGGAUAAUAGAGAGUUUUCGCAAAAAUCCUAACAUUAUUGAAUGGAGAUAUGUUCUCUAGCGGUGGAUGCAAUAAGACUUGUUUCAGUUUGACAAUAGAUGAAAUACUUGAAUAUGCAUAAUGAUUGAUUAUUACGUCUAACUAGACGAUGAAGGUUAUACAAAAAUCCUUGAAGGAUUUAAAAGGUCUUAAAGCAAUUCCAUUGAGUGCCCAAUGGUUUUGAGUUUGCUUAACACAAAGAAAUAAUCUUUUCAACCUCAUGAAAAAUGGUUUAAACUGUUAUGUAUUGGUGCAAUUGAUGCACUUACAGAUUGCUGGUUAUGCAAAAGUUCAAAGAUGUGUGAUUUUCUUUGAGAAGAAAAGACGAGCUUCAAUAAAAUUGAUUAAUCUCUCAUCAGUCAAAAUGAUUUGAUUAUGUAGAUGUAGAAUAUUUAUUUGAUUACAAAAAGAUCGAUUGCAAAAGAGCUAUUUGCUUACAUAUGGUAGCACAACAAUAUUUUGGCAUUCAACAUACAUUGGUAACCACUUCUUCAAAUCGUACAGAAAUAAUACUGAUCUUUGAAGUAAGUUGGGGUGUGUUUGGUUGGAAUCAUAAUCUAUCAUAUUUAGAAAAUAUGUGAUUUUCCAGCCACCAUAUAUGACAAUAGUAUAUAGCUCAAUUGAAGGGAGGAUAUAAUCAAAAGAGAUCGAACAAAGUAUAGUUCAUUAAAAGUAUUUCAAACAUGAUCUUCAACAAAAUGGUGAUAUAGACGUUCAAAGGUUUAUUCACGUGAUAAUCUUGUAAACUUAUUGAUAAUCUUGUAAACUUAUUCACUAAAGAUUGCCAACAUCAAUAUUUGGGAAGUUGUGAUACAAGAUUGGAAUGCAUUGUUUUCGAGAUAUCAAGUGAAGUUUUUAUCAGGGGAGAAAAAUACGUGUUGUACUCUUUUACUUAACCAUGAUUUUGUCCCAAUUGAAUUUUCCUGGUAAGGUUUUUAAUGAGGCAACAUUUAAAGCAUAUUAAAAGAUAUGUGUACUCUUUUUCCUUCACUAGGAUUUUUUUCCAUAGGUUUUUUUUCUAGUAAGGUUUUAACGAGGCAUGUUAUCUAUAGACAUCCAAGGGAGAGUGUUAUAAAACAGUAUAAUAUGGAUGUCCACUACACCAAGAAGUUACUCACCCAUUAUCUCCACUAUUUUCCUCAUUAUGAAGAUGACCAUAACCUCCAGAACCUCCACCUUUAUAACCAUUAUUCUUGUAACAUUUCACUUUCAUAACCUCCUGUUUAUGACUAACCUUUUGUAUGCCUCUAUGCUACACUAUAAAUAGAGGCAUAAGGGUUCCUAUUGUAUACACUUGAAGAUUUGAUGAAUACUUUGAUGAAUAAGAAAAGCUCUCAUCUCUUGUCUCUCUAUUUCUAUUGCUUUCAUCUUCUAUAUUUCUUAUCUUAUUUUGCUUUAGUUUUACAACAUAAACAUAAUUAUGUGAAUUGCCUUGUUGUGAUUAAUUGAUUGAUGAAAUGCUUGACAACAUAAAUGAAUUGGAUGAAUUGUUGUCUCUUCCAUGUGGUGAGAUAUUGCUUGUAUACAUUGAUUAUUGAACACGAAGAUGAGACAUGUGAUAGUUUGAUGUAGUGGUCCUUUUUGAAAAAUGUUUAUAAUGUCGAGAUCAUUGUCGGUGAGUGAUAUAAAGCCAAUGAAAAAUAAAAAAUUGUUUUGGCUAGUGAUAUAAAGUUUAUGCGAAAUAGUUCAGGCUAGUGAUUUGAUAUAAAGCUGAUGAGAAAUGGUUUCGUCUAGUUAUUUGAUAUAAAGUCUAUUAAAACUAGUGACUUGAUAUAACGCCGAUGGAAAUUGUUUCCGAUUAGUGAUAUUGUACCGAUGAAAAAUGGUUCUACUGAGAGAUUGAUUAUUGUGACUUAACACAUUUGAUUCUUAUGUAUGACUUGCUUGUAAUUAUGAUUGAUGCACUUGUUGCGUGUGACUGGUCUACUUAAAAUUGAGAUUGACUUGUUUGAUUCAUUGGAUUGUUGAUUUGUGACUAUUGAGUUGCGAAUAUUGAACCGUGUGAGUCAUGUAUUGUAGAACUGUUAUGUUCGACUGAUUUUUGUGUAGGUUGUAGUUUGAGGAGGUUCGAUUGGAAUGUAAAGGAUACUUGAUUUCUAGCUAGAGAUGCCUUGUUUAUUAGGUUGCUUGCUAAGUUCCGUCUUGUUAGUACUCACCCCUUGCUCCUACACUUGUAUAGCUUUCGAGUCCGGUCCCAUGUGGUCUCUUUCACCUUAAUCUAAUUUUGAGGUUCAUCAAAAAUUGGGGAGACGACUGCUUGUCUCUUCAGCAGGCCCUCAUUUUACUUUUUUUUAUAUAUACUUUGUUCUAUUUCUUAAUUUUGCACUUUAUGAAUUAGUAGCUUGUACACGUGACAAUCAAAUUUUGGGGGGUUUGAUAGAAGGAUUAAGGUUUCUUGCUUUAUAUUUCUGCAUUUCUUUCAUUUUUGUUGGGUUGAGCUGACUUGUCUUGGUGGGAAUAGACAAAUCAUCACGUGUGUUUUUGGGCCGUGACAAUAACAUAUUCAAACUUCUAAACUCACUUAGAAAGGUAAACUCAAUCAUCACCGUACGACAUAAUAUGAAAUUUAAAGUGUAGAUUAUACAUUUAUAUUUAAAUAUUUUUUUAAAAAAUAUAAUACUUCUCUAUUUAAUUUUGGAAGAAGAACAUGGAUUCACGUAAACAUGGUGACCUCGUUAGAAUACACCCUGAUUGAUGGGAGUAUUCGAUAGAGACUAACCACCAGGAGGGAAAAUAGAAAAUAGUUUAGGUCUUUACCUCGAGUUUUUGACCAAAAUCAUUCUCAAACUACAUCCUUAAAACAUCAUUAUUAGCAGAAAACAUCCUUCAAGUAUUUAAAAGUGAACAAUUUUAAUCAUUCUACUUGAAUAAUAAAAAAAACUAACAAAUCCCACAAAAAUCAAGUCAUGCCUUCGUAAUUAUUAUUCUUAGAUAUGCCAAAAAUUCUGUUGUGUAUUUUUUUGAUAAUUUGAGUUUAGCAUGAUCCAAAAUUUUUUAAUUUGACAAUUUUUUUUUCGUGUAAAUUUAUUAAAAAUAUUAUUAGUUGAAUUUGUUUCUUCUCAAUUGAAUAGUAGAAGCGGCGUUCAUUGAAAAGUUCCGUUUCAAAUAAUGUAGCAUAAAACUCAAAUACGAGACAUAAUAUUCUAUCACUUUAAUGUCAGAUUGACCCAAAAAUAUAUUGGUCUAAAUAUAAUUUGACCAUGAAAAAGGUAAAAAUAAUUAGAUCCAACUUUUUUCUGUUACUAAAUGAGAAAAAGAGCAAAUAAUGUAUCCUCACACUAUAUUUUUUUUUCCGUAAGCAUUAGUGACUAAGAUUUUAAUAUUUUUUGAGAAACAUUUAAUAGAAAAUAAUGAAAUUACGUAGAAAAACUUCUAUUGAUAGUCACUUGAGCUGCUCAUGUUUUUAUAGGAUUCCUUAGUAUUUUGAUGAUAUCUAACAAAAGUACUAAAAUUAUUUACGUUUAAAUAUUUGAAAGUAUUUUCUGAUAAGAAUAAUAUUUUAAGAAUGUAAUUUAAAUUUGAGAUAAUAAUUUAAGAAUAUUUUUAACCAAAAACUCUCUUUUACCUCCAUUUUUAAAAAUUGUUAACCAUUACAUUAAGACUUCAGUACAAAAAAAAUCUUCUAAAUAUUUUAAGGAAUAAGAUCGACAGAAAAUAGAGUAAAUCAUCCCCCUUUAGGCUUUAAGUAAAAAAAAUAUAUCGCUAUAUUUUUGUGGGACUCAAUCCUAAUUUGUUUGUUUAUAAUAAUUGUCCAUGAUCGUGCUGCACUAAUUAUAAGGUGUAAUUUGAGCGAUUUAUAUAUUUUCUGUAUUUUAAAUUUAAGACUAUCAUUUUCAUUAUUUUUUUAAAUUUUGUAUUAAAUUAAAACGAUGAAAAUAAUAUUUAUCUAGAAGGUAAUAUAUAAAUCAACUUUUAAAAAAAAAUAUCUAGAGCCGUUUGGAUAGCUUUAAAAAAAUAAUUUUUAAGUCAAAAUAAAAAAUCAAACUGAAAUGAUUUUUAAAUUAAAAAAUAAAAAGUAAAAGGGAGACCUACAUUUGAUUUUUAGCCUAUUUUAAGUCAUUUAGAACUUAUCUUAAGUUUUCUUUUACCUUGUGAGCACUUUCUAACUUAUUUUAAGUCAUGUUUUGACUUAUUUAAAAAGAAAAAUGCUUAAAUAUGCCAUUUUACAUUAUUUAAAUUAGAAAACAAAAGAUUCAAGUUCGAAUAUUUCUCUUCUUUCUUAGUUCAAUGAUAUUAUUAUUUUUAUUAUUAUUUCAAAGAUAAGAAUAUGAAGUAAAAAUUUUAUUUUUUGUAAAAUGAAAUAAAAAAGAUAUAGUAACAUUAGUAACAAGAGGAACACGUUAUAUUUCUACAAUUUUAAAUAAAUAGAAAAUAAAAAUAGAAUACUCAAUCAUAAUAAAUGCAAGCAAAUACCGUCUCUUUCUUUUUCGAUAAUGUAAACAAAAAAGUCUAUGUCGGUAAAAUACUAGGAAAUUAGUAAAGAAAGAAAAAAGAAAGGAGCAAGAUUUAUUCUAUUAGAUAAAAAUUUGGCUCAUUUAUGUCAUUACCAUUAAAGUAAAAGCUCAUUCAUGCCAUUAUUUUUUAAUAAUGGUUUGCAAAAUUAUUUUUGACACGUGACCAAUUAUAAUUCGGCCACGUCAUCAAUUUUUUAAUAAAAAGAUUAAUUCAAUUUUUAUUCAGAAUUCAAUUUUUUAAAUAAAAAAUUUUUAAAAAAAAUUGAUGACGUGGCCGAAUUACAAUUGGCCACGUGUCACAAAAGAUUUUGUAAAAUCACUGUUAAAAAAUGAUGGCAUGAAUGAGUCUUUUCUUGAAUGAUAAUGACAUAAAUGAAUCAAACUUUUAACGAAUUGAUAUAAAUAAGCCUUCUCUAAAAGUUCGAUGGCAUAUUUGAGUUUUUUCUCUAAUAAUAAAGUAAAACAUAAAUAUUGAGUGCAUAAAUUUGCAGUUCCUUUUAGUUAAUAUGGUUGAUAAAUACACUUUUUCUUUUUGAUAUUCAAAAUUAUUAAACUAAUUUCUUGUGUAUAUUUGUUUAUAAUAAUUAAAUGACCUCUCUCUAUAUAUAUAACAAUAUCAUAUUAAAAUAAUUAUAAAAAUCCCAAACAAAUAUUAUCAAUAUAACGAUGUGUAACUGUAUAUUCAUCUGUGAUAAAACUAGCCUAGUUAGUUAGUAGCUUAAGUAGUGAGUUAGUUACUAAUUAGUUAGUUAGUUAUAGUUAGUUAAAGUUAGUUAGAAGUCACAUUUUUUUACACUUUGUCAAUUUGUUAAAUCUGUUAGUUUGUUGUUCAUUGAUGUGUAUGUAUACACACACAUUACAUUGAUCAAUGCAACAUAUUCCAAUUCUAAAGAAGCAACUUCUUCUUCUUCAUUCGUUAUUGUCAAUGGCUCAACCUCCAUUAAUGGAGGAAUGAGAUGCCCAGCUUACAUGCUGGUUUUGUCAUGGUAUCAGAGCAAAGUUGCUCACACUAGAUCUCUUGAUCUAGCUGUUAAUCAAUUCAUUGAUCUCUCUUGUUCAAGUCGAUCUUUUGAUUUGAUUUUUCUUCCCUUCUUCUCUCUGUUUCUUUCUUUGCCCGCUUCUUGUUAAUUCAACUUCCAUUUGUUACACUCUGUUUCUGUAAAGUUGUUUCCCAUGGGUGAUGUUUCAACUGAUGCGAACAACAAUAACUCUUUGAAGUGACCAGAUUUCAACAGUCCUUUCUAUCUACAUCCAUCUGAGAAUGCUGCUUCUACUUUGCUCCCUGUGGUGUUUGAUGGAACUAGCUAUAGAUCAUGGAGACGAGCAGUUCUUAGAGCUUUGUCUGUUAAGAAUAAAACUGGUUUUAUUAAUGGCAAGGUAGUGAAGCCAAGCUUUACAGAACCAUCAUUCAUGCAGUGGGAAAGAUGUGAUGAUAUGGUGACAUCUUGGAUCCUAAAUUCCCUCUCCCCAGAGUUGCGAGAUAGCCUACAGUAUGUGAAUAAUGCUAAGGAUUUGUGGGAGGAAUUGGAAGAUCGAUAUGAUCAGACUAAUGGAUGCAAAUUCUAUCAAUUACAGAAGGAAAUAAAUGAUUUGGUACAAGGUGCUUUAGAUGUCACUUGUUACUAUACAAAAAUGAAGAAAUUAUGGGAGGAGAUGAGUGCAAUUGAUGUAAAUUCACAGUGUAGUUGUGUGUGUUCUUGUGGAGGAAAGGUGAAAAUGUAUAAGGUUGAGCUAGAUAGAAGACUUAUAUAUUUUCUAAUGGGGCUAAACAAAAUGUAUACUGCUGUGCGAGGGAACAUGCUUAUGAUGCCCAUUUUGUCUACAAUGGCACAAGCAUUUGCUAUUCUAUCACAGGAGGAAAGGCAAAGGGAGAUGAAGCCUAUAAACCAUAUGGAUUUGGAGUCUACCUCACUGAAUGCCUCUAUGUCCUCUCAAAAUAAUGCAACUAAUUCUAGUUCUUACAAAGGAAGUACAAGUAGGGGUAAUGGGAACGAUAACAGCACUGGUUACAAUAACAAUAAUGCUUUUAGGGGGAAUUCUAAUACUGGAAAUAGAUCAAACAUGUUUUGUGAAUAUUGCAAACGAUUUGGACAUGUCAAAGACAGGUGCUACAAACUCCAUGGUUACCCAACCAAUAUAAGAAAUCCAAGAGGAAGAGGCAAAGGAUCUGCAGCAAAUAUACACACUUCUGAAGGUGAUAGUAGUCAGUGUGAAGAGAAUUUUGAGCAGGGAAAACAAGUACCAGUGAAUAUGUCAAAGGGCCAAUAUGAACAAUUACUCAAUCUACUUGGAAACUUGCAUGUUGGGAAUGAAUCUGAUUACUCAAACAAUAUGUCUAGUGGAGCUGCAGGCCUAGCAGGUAUACUUGCUUGCUACUCUUCCAUCAGUAAGAUAGGUGAUUUGUCAUGUAAAUGUGAUAAAUUGACUGCUGGCUCUUGGAUAAUUGAUUCAGGGGCAUCUCACCAUAUGACCUACACAAAAGACAAUCUCACAAACCUUAAUACUCUACUUUAUCCUUUUCUAAUCACCUUACCAAAUGGAUACAAAGUUAAAGUGACUGAAAUUGGUGAUGUGUGUUUGAAUUCAACAUUAAUUCUGUAUAAAGUGUUGUACAUACCUAGCUUCAAGUUCAAUUUAAUAUCAGUUUAUUGUUUAGCUAAUCAACUUAAAGGAGUAGUCUGUUUUAACAAUGGUUCUUGCUUACUGUAGGGCCCUUCGAAGAGCCCUCUGGCACUUGGUAAGGCAAAGAAUGGUUUGUAUUUCUUUUGUCCAAAGUGUCACAUUCUAUCUGCAAAUGAUAAUGAUGCUUCUCAUCAAAGGUGUCAAUCUGUUUUUCUUCUUAACUACUGUAAAAGGUCUUCAUUACCAUGUAUAAAACCUUCUCAUAUAAUCAAUAAAGAAGCCUGUUCUAUUGAUCACAUUUCAAGCUCAGCUGCUAAUCUUUCUGUCAGUCAAGGCAAUGAAUUCUUAUGGCAUGCUAGAUUAGGACAUAUACCUUUUGUAAAAAUGAAAAAUAUAUCUACUAUUACUUUAAAGUUUUCUAACAAGCAACCUUUUACUUGCACAAUUUGUCCAAUGGCUAGACAAACUAGAAUGCCUUUUCCAGAAAGUGUCACUGCAACUAGUUCAAUAUUUGAACUGUUGCAUGUUGAUUUAUGGGGACCUUAUAAUGUACCAACUCAUGAUGGAUAUCACUACUUCUUAACUAUGGUAGAUGACUACAGUAGAGCCACUUGGACACAACUUCUUAGGUGUAAAAGUAAUGUUCUACAUACUAUAAAAGCUUUCAUAUCUUUGAUAGAAAAUCAAUUUCAUACUAGAUUAAAAACCAUCAGGUCUGAUAAUGGCUUAGAGUUCUCAUGUUUUGAGGCAACAUGUUUCUUCCAAGAGAAAGGCAUAAUACAUCAGAAAACAUGUCCUUACACAGCACAACAAAAUGGGGUUGUAGAAAGGAAACACAAAGACCUUCUUGAGACAGCAAGGGCACUGUUAUUUCAAUCAAAAAUGCCUAUGAGAUAUUGGGGAGAAUGUGUGCUGACUGCCACUUAUUUGAUCAAUAGAUUGCCUACUAAACUACUUCAAGAAAAAUCUCCAUAUGAACUGUUAUAUCAAAAGAAACCAGUCUAUUCUCAUCUUAGAAAUUUUGGAUGCCUUUGUUUUCCAACUACCUUAAAGACUCAUAAAGACAAAUUUGAACCAAGGGUUGUGCCUCACAUUUUCAUUGGAUAUCCUUUUAAUACAAAAGGGUACAAGGUCUUAAAUUUGGCUACCAAGAGAAUUCAUGUGUCUAGAGAUGUUCUUUUCUAUGAAACUGUUCUUCCUUUUGUUAUUGCUCCUAUUGGUUCCAACUUUAAUUCUGUAUUACAAUUGGUUAUUCAUUAUUCUAAUAAGUUGCCUUGCAUGUCUAGUAAAACAACUACUUCUAUUGAUGAUGAAAUGUUGAAUUUCCACACACUUGAUGAAGUCACUUGUGAUCAAGAUUUUAUAUCUGAAGAAACACCUAUCACUGAACCUACAACAUCCUCUACUAAACCAAAUCUAUCUGUUCUUACACCUAUAACUGAAUCCACAGCAUCUCCUAUAGAAUCAAAUGUGUCUGUCCUUGAUAGUGCAUCCCUUACACCUAGAAGAACAACCAGAUCUUGUCACCCUCCAAGGUACUUAAAAGAUUACACCUAUUCAUUACCUAAGCUACAAUCCCCUUCACCUAUAAAUAAUGCCAGUGAUUCUCAGCAGUCACUCACAUCAUUCACAAAUCACCCUGAUCAUGUUUGUUUCUCCACACUUUGUUCUGAGAGUCAGCAGUUGAUUCAUAAUGUUUCACAUGAUAUUGAACCCACAUCUUAUGAAGAGGCAAUCCUGAAUCCAGCCUGGCAAGCAGCAAUGAAACAAGAAUUUGAUGCAUUGUAUGCUAAUAACACUUGGGAACUAGUUAAGAUGCCAAAGGAAAAGAAUGCUAUUGGAUGUAAAUGGGUGAAUAAGAUCAAGCAUAAGGCAGAUGGGAGCAUAGAGAGAUACAAGGCCAGACUAGUGGUGAAAGGAUAUACUCAACAAGCUGGGAUAGACUACAUUGAAACUUUCUCACCUGUGGUUAAAAUGACUACAGUUAGAACACUCAUUUCACUGGCUGUUAAGAAAGGUUGGAACUUGUAUAAAUUGGAUGUUAAUAAUGUCUUCCUACAUGGUGAUUUGCAUGAAGAGGUGUAUAUGGCUCUACCCCCAGGACUAGUAGUGGAUAGUAAUGACAUGGUCUGCAAAUUAAAGAAGUCUCUAUAUGGUUUAAAACAAGUAGUAGACAAUGGUAUGAGAAGCUGGCCAAUAGUCUUUGUUCAAAAGGUUACAUUCAUUCAGACAGUGAUUACUCACUGUUUUACAAGAAAGAUGGCAAAUUUUUAGUGUUUGUGGCUGUAUAUGUUGAUGACAUCAUCUUAACUGGCACUGAUAUAAAGGAGAUUGAGUCUUUGAAGUUCUUCUUGCAUGAGAAAUUCAGAAUAAAAGACUUAGGGAGAUUACACUACUUUCUUGGAUUAGAGAUAUUGUACAAACAGGAUGGUGUUCUUAUUUCACAAAGAAAGUUCACUCUUGAUCUUUUGAAGGAAUUUGAUUCUAUGCACUACAAGCCUACCACUUCACCAUUGGAUCCUACUGAAAAACUGAGGCUCACAGAAGGCAAACUACUAUCAGAUCCUACUUACUACAGAAAAUUUGUGGGAAAGCUUAAUUUUCUUGCUAAUACAAGAAUGGGUAUAGCAUACAGUGUCCAGCAUCUUAGUCAAUUCAUGCAAUCUCCUAGAGAACCUCAUCUAAAGGCAGCUUAUCAUGUACUCAGGUAUCUACAACAUGAUCCUACUUUGGAAAUUUUUAUCAAUAAUAAACCUGAUGUCACUAUUAGUGCCUAUUGUGACUCAGAUUGGGCUUCUUGUCCUGAUUCAAGGAAGUCUGUGAGUGGUUAUUUGGUUCUCAUGGGAGAUAGUCCUAUCAGCUGGAAAUCUAAGAAGCAACUCACAGUGUCACUUUCAUCAGCAGAAGCUGAAUACAGAGCCAUAAGACAGGUGGUAGGAGAAGUAGUGUGGCUGGAAAGGUUACUUGGUGAACUCUCAAUGACAGUGUCCUUACCAAUACAUGUAUUUUGUGACAGCCAAGCAGCAGUACACAUUGCUAGGAAUCCAAUAUUUCAUGAACGAACUAAACACAUAGAAGUUGAUUGCCAUUUCGUCAGGACAAAGCUACAAGAAGGACUGAUCACACUCCAAUACAUUCCAACAGAUUCUCAGCUAGCUGAUGUCUUCACCAAGGCUUUAACUGGGGUCAACAUACUAGUUUACUGAGCAAGUUGUCUGUAAGAAUCUUACUUCCAACUUGAGGAGGGGUGAUAAAACUAGCCUAGUUAGUUAAUAGCUUAAGUAGUGAGUUAGUUACUAAUUAGUUAGUUAGUUAUAGUUAGUUAUAGUUAGUUAAAGUUAGUUAGAAGUCACAUUUUUUACACUUUGUCAAUUUGUUGAAUCUGUUAGUUUGUUGUUCAUUGAUGUGUAUAUAUACACACACAUUACAUUGAUCAAUGCAACAUAUUCCAAUUCUAAAGAAGCUUCUUCUUCUUCUUCUUCUUCAUUCGUUAUUAUCAAUGGCUCAACCUCCAUUAAUGGAGGAAUGAUAUGCCCAGCUUACAUGCUGGUUUUGUCAAUUUGAAGAACACAUGAUAUACAAAAAAUACUUACUCGUAUGUGAUUAUAAAUAAAUCAAGCAAUAAACUAUAUUUGUGAUCACUAUUAUUUUAAGUGAGAAUUGAAAUAUCGUUGGAAUAGUAACAAAAUUAGGUUCAUCCGCAUGCUAAUGACCCUCCUCUUCAACACUUAUAAAACAACAACAUAUUUGAUUGUAGUAGUCGUGGGAAGGAAAUUGAGGCUUUAUUUAUUUGUGCUUAGUGAAAAUUUGAAUGCUUUAAAUAUUAAAUUAUUUAAAAUAUUUGUUUUUAUUAAGAUUUAAGUACUUAAUUGAUUUAAAUAGAUUUUAAAUAAAAAGUUAGUAUCAAUCAAUAAUAUCUUGUAUAAAUAAUAUUUGUCACUAUUUUAUUUAUAGUCAGUUGUCACUGUUACUAACUACAUCUAUCAUCAAAACUAUUACCAUUGUCAAUCACCAUUCACCUUCGUCAUCACAAUUACUACUAACAACCACAAUUGAUGCCAACCAUUAAUUGCUACUAUUCGUACCACCUUAUCAUUAUAAUUAUAUUCAUUAUCACUAUCAUUAUCACUGUCAAUCACUAUUACUGUAAUCAAUUCCUAACAUCAACACAUUGUCAAUCACCAUAUAUACUUCGACUACCACCAAUAUCGUUGUCGCCAUCACUUCCACCUCCACCAUCACUAUAAAUCAUAUCAAAAUGGUUAAUCCUUACUAUCAACUACCUCCAACAUCACAAUUAGCAUCGCAGCCAACUACCAUGCCAACACAUCGUCAACCACCAAACAUUCUUUAACCACCACCAAUUACUAAUAUCAACCAACUUCACAAUCACUGUCACCACUAGUAGUUGCCACCAUCAUGACAGUCACUACUACAUCAACCACCUCCGUCGCAAUUAUCACUAUCACUUUUACGAGCCACUAAUUACCAACUAUUAUCAUUAUCACUAUAAAUCAUCUAUGUCAUCACCGGUGUACAUAAAUGUUGCUUUUUAAUUCAAUAGUAAUAAAUCUAUAUUUUUUCCUGAUAUUUAAUAUGUUUAUAUAUAUUUAAAUUAUUCACAUUCAUAAAUUGUAUCACAUCGAUGGCAUCCUAAAGUUGGCACUAAUUUUCACUUAGACACUCCAACUAGACUUUGUUCAUUUUGGACAUCUCAUAUCAUGUCCCGCUGUGUCAUUUUGACACUUUUUGCUGACAUGACAUAGUGAGUGUGAUACACUCCUUACCAGCGUGGAGAGCUUAUAUUUAACCUGCUUUAUUUAAUUUUUUCUUCUUAAUCUCCAUUUUAGCCACCAUUUUCAAAACUUAAACUCCUUCCAUGGAUAAAUAGAUCUAAUAGUGCUACAACACCAAGAAAUUUCAAGCUUAAAUAACUUUUUUUUUAUUUUGUUGUCAUUCUUCCUUGAAAUGUUUUGAAAAAAAAUUGAAAUAUAUUUUCUUGAAAGAAAAUCUAGAAAAUUCUUUAGGGAACUUUUUGUUUAAAUUUGAAGAAUUUGAUUUUAUUUGAAUUUUAUAAGUAAGAGGAAUCAAUUUUUGCAAAGAAAUUGUGCUUUUGUAAAUAAUUCCUUUCAAAUAGUUAAAUUACUAUAAAAAUAUAUGAAGAGAAUUAAAACAAUCUAGGAUAGGGGGUUGUGGAAUGUGAAGAAGACAAUCUGGUGGGGGAGAGGUUGAGUUAAAAAUUAUUUUCAAUAUAUAUGUCACAUGUCUUUGUUUAAUUCAUCAUUUUGACACGUCAUCGACGAGUAUGUUAUACACACCUUACAUAUUUGACUGAUUAUAAAAAAAAUGACAAAAUGACAUAUCAAAACAUGACAUGAGGUAUCUAAAAUAGACAAAACCUAAUUGAGAUGUCUAAAUGAAAAUUAAUACCAACUUUAGAAAGCUAGCGAUGAGUUAAUCUUUUAUAAAAACAAAUGAAGCUUUAGUGAGGCUAAAAUUUUUAGGCAUUAGCCCCAACAUCAAUGCGGAGUUCUAAAGCACUUUAAGAUUUAGAAAGAGCCUCAAUUUUUUAGGCAAAAAGUCUUUGUUGCAAAAAGGACCUUAUAGUUAAGUACUUCAAUCAGUGAGACAGAAAGUGUUUUUGUUCAAUCCAUGAACAACAAAAUGGUACUUGUACAAAAUAGGAAAUCAUAUAUAUCAGUGGACUAUAGGAAAUGUGGUUAAUUAGUUUAGGAUUAAAACCAAAGCUAUCACUUCUUUUAAAGAUAUAUAAAGGAGUACUCUAUUGCGAUGAGAAAUUUUGUGAGGUAAAAUACUACCUAAGCAUCAAAAGAAAAUUUUAUUUCUAAGACUCAAACUCGAGACUCUAGUUAUCGAUUAAGACAUAUUUACUCCUCCACCUCUGUGAUGGAGAUUGAAUUGUGAGAAAAGCUGGUAUAUAUUGGUAAUUAAUUAAGACAGGAAAACAUUUUCUUAUUAAUAAUAAUAAAGCGAAAGUAGUUCUAUGUUAGUCAAUUUUAUAAUCUUUUAUAACCCUGUUCUUUAUUUUAUGUCCUUCCGAUAAGAAUAUUUUAUAACAUGUCGAAAAUCUAAAAUAUAUUCAAUUAUAAUUUACAUUGAAAUUAUAAGGGAUUGUGUCCACUCCUUUGCUGCUCCCUUAAUGGUAAGAUUGGUUGUAGAGCACAAAACAAAAUAACAUCAUGAUUUCAAGGCAUAAAAAGGGGUAGUAUGCAUUAGAGAAAGUACAGUACUAGAGUUUGUAGUAUUACUUUUUUAUUUGAUAUAAAUUACAAUAGAUUGAUAUCUAUUUAAUAUUAUUUUAUGUAUAACUAAUACAUAGCAAAUCAUGAUAUUAGUAAUAGAAGUGUUUUUAUACGUGCAUAAGCAUUGUUUUGGAUGGAGGAUAUUUUAUAAAUAAAAAAAUUAUACAGUACAUGUUAUUUUUUAUAUACAAAAUCAAAUAGUAAAUAACGUAUAAUGUCAACAUAACUAUCUCUACCUCAACAUUAUUAAUAUACGUUACUCAACAUUAUAUUACUAUUUUUAUACAUUUUAUUAAAACACUCUGAAAUGGUCCAAUUCUAUGAGGUAAAUGAAAAACUGAAAAGAACAAGACUCAGGCGUCUCAAGUGCAAUAAAUAUAGGAGUAAUAACAAACUGAAAGAGAAAAGGAGAAAGUCAAUGAAAUUAGUAUGUAAACAUUACGUAAAGAAAACAGGUACUCCCAAUUUUAUACAUUCAAUAAGGAUCCGUUUUAUAAUACCCAUAAACCUGUAUUAUUAUUUAAAUGGAAAAAAAAAGUUAUGCAGAAAAGGAAAAGCAAAGAAGAAUAUUAAAUAAUAUAUCAGAAUUUUAUAUAAAGUCGAGCCCAAUUAUAUACUAUUUUAACUAUGAGAAGAAUGGUCCAAAUGGUUCUGUCAAUUCUAUAUAUUUUAUUAUUUAAUAUGAGAGCUUUUCUUUUUUGUCUCUAAUAUUAAAAAAAUAUAAUAAUAGUAUAAAUGAAAAGGUGACUUGAGCUCUGAUUAUCAGUUUAAAUAUUUUUGAAUGUUUGACUACUUUGAAUUUAGCGGGAAAAAAAUAUUUAUGUAAUAUAAAAAUUAUAAAUUUAUUUUGUUUUCAGAAGAUGAGAAAUCAUUAAUCAAUUUGGUGUAGCCUGUAGCAUUAGGUGUUUUUCGAGUCACGGUCCACAAUAUAGGCCCAAAUUAUCCCAAUGAUCUGGGCCUGAACUUUGAUAUUAAUGGCUAUCUGGGUGAAACUAUUGACAUCGGAUAGUUCGAAAGGCUUAGAUCAAUUUUCAUAUAUGGCAAACAUAAAAAUUAUAUUUGAAUGUUAUAGUCAUAGUUUGUAUAUUUACGUUCCAUGAUAAAUUUUAUGUUUGUUAUGGAGCAUCAGAUUGUAUAGCUCGCUGGCAAUGCUUCAGAUUUGUAUAAUUUCGGUGGUAGGUCAUUUGUAUAAAUCGUUGGCAUAAAUCGCUGACAGCCUCUCAAAUUUUAUUUUAUUUGUUUGCAUAUCUGCAUAAAAUUUGAAUUUAUAUAUAAUUGAAUCGAAAUAAACUAUUUGUAUAUCGAAUCUCUCUCUCGCUUUAUGCAACAAUAAUUAUACAUUGUAAUUUGUAUAAUUUGUGUUUGUAUAAAGUGAGAAAGACAAAAGAGAACUGGAUAGGAAAAGAUCUGUAUUUGUAUCAUUAUAAGUAUAUAGGACGAAAAUAUAUGUAUUCAUAUUUGUAUAUACAUUUUCUCUCGCUUUAUACAAACACAAACACAUUUUAUACAUUUGUGUUUGUAUAAAAGCGAGAGUGGCGAGUGAGAAACCUAGGGAGAGAGGCGAAUGAAAAUAUUUUGCUACAGGUUAAAUCAAAUUGUGUAUAUAACAUUUAAUUUGAAUUAAUAGUUUGUUAUUAUAUAUUUUUCCUUAAAAGGAAUACAAUACAGAAUACAGAAACCUCAAUAGUUUUUAGGCGUUAAUUACACAUUAUCUUAAAAGUUUUUUAAAUAAAUGAUUUUGGAUUUUUCAAAACUUGUGGAUACAUUGCUCAUUCGCUCUAUAUAUAUAACAAACAAUAAAUAAGUUGUGUAUCACUAAUAUAAUUAUAUUUGAAAUAAUUGGGGUUAUGUAUCGGUAAUAAUAUUUCUACCAUAUUAGUAUACACAAACAAAAUUGUGGUGUAUUUCAUAGAGGUCGAGUGAUGUAUCCGGAUGAAAAAAGAGAGAGAAGGAAAAAGGAAAUUUUUGUAUUUAAUUCAAAGAUAGGAAUUUUUAGAGGAUAUAAUAAUAUUAAGUUGUAUAUAAUUUUGUAACUUUCUCUAAAAAAAUAUUGUCUUUAUUGUUUUAAAAAUAAUUUCAUUUCGUAUUUUUUUUUUCAUUUGUUCCAUUAUGUGUAGAUAUGUCAAAGUUUGCUAAGCCCAUGGAGCCGGUCCAACCCAACUCGGUAUUGGGGUAUGGUUGUGAUAGGAUUUACAAGACCAUUCAACAUUAGGACUUAUAAGCCCUUGAGUCUUGAUCGGGAACAGGUUAGGAUCGUCCCAUGGGUCAAAACUAUUUAUAUACGGUAACUAAAAGGAUCUCACUAGUGUAUGAGCUAGCUAAUUACUUAGAUGCACGUUAUGCUGUAACAUUACAAAUCUUACUAGAUUUUGGUGCAUUUCGAUACGUCUAUUUAUUCUAGAAGGACUUCAUUCAAAUGGAUUCGCAUGUAUCUAGGAUAUAUAAACAAAUUCCAAGCCCUCGCCUCCCACCCAUCUUGGUCGCUCUUAUCUCGCUUGCAUAUUUGGAAUGCAUCACAACAUAUACAUGUAGCUUGGGCAUGUAGUAUCCAAGGUACAUGUUAAUCAUACUAAAUUUUUUGUUAGUGUUAUUGAAAAAACACCAUUGUUACCAUAUUUGAUUUGAAAAUAGUCUCAUUUACUUGAUGGUAUAGAGCUUUAAGUUUAAAAAGGAAAAAAAUGCUAACCCCCCCAGUUUGUGGCCCUUCUAAAAUUAGGUUGAGUUGAACAAUUUAGGCACUUUCAAAUAAAGGGCCAACCUUCCUUAGCUCAUUAAAUUUCUUGGCCCACGAGGCUUGAAUUAGAUGGGCUGGGCUGAUCUUCUUUUGUAACUCUAAAUUUAUUUGUACGGGAAUUAUAUCAUUGCUAAAUAGAAAUGUAUCAUUAUUAUUGUAUAUGUAUAAAGAAUGAAUCAUAUUCAUAGUGGAUUCAAGAUUUGCACUUAAGGGCUUCAAGAGGGGAAAUUUCAAAAACAACAAACAUUAACCCUUAAAAGUAUUCCAUAACUACAGUUUCAUUAUUUAUGAUUCAUAAUAAUAUUCUUGUUCGCUAUGCAUUUAUAUUUAUAUAUAUUUUUUUUCGUGAAUUUUGAAGAAAAAAUACAAAUAGAAACUAAUUUGUAUUAAAAUGAAUACAUAUUAAGAGAAGAGAGAUGAGUGAGAUCGAGAGAGGAGAGACGGGAGCGAGAUCGAGAGAAUUAUAUUUUGUAUUUCUUUUACAUUUUAUCCUCUAUUUAUUAUUUAGUGCAUAACUAUUUUGUAUAUUGUAUCAAUUGUAUUUAUCCGCUCUUUGAUUGAGUACAACUGAUACAUAAUACAUUUAAAAAUAUCUUACUUAUACCAUAUACUUUUUACCAAGUUGCUCACUCCCUCCUAACUUCGACCUUACGUAUAGAAUUGUAUGAGUUAGAAGAUGAAUCAUUGUUGUAUAUGUUGUGUAUAAUAAGCUCCAAUUCCAAUCUCGUUGAACAAAAAUAUUUAGGUGGCUCGUAACCAUUUAUACUUUUGCUCAACGAGAUUGCGGAGAGCUUGCCGUUAUUACUAGUUAUAUAAAAGAAAAAAUAAUCAAGUUUGUCAACAUUCCCAAGUUGUUUCUGUAAAUUAUUUGUGCAUAUAUUUGCUGAGCUUUCUUAGUUUACAUAGAAUCCAGGUAAGCUCUACUCGGUUUCCAGGAACCCAUACAUUGUAUACUCUACUAGAUUUGACAUUGCUAGAUGACAUCUAAUCCUAAGGUAGGGCGAAUAACACUACAUAUAUUGAUCUCCCUCUUCCCUUUCUUGAUGGGACGUCGGUGAAAUAACCUUCAAAUGAAAAAGAAAAAAAAAACGAAAUAAAGAAGAUUACAAGUCUUGCAAAGGGAAGGAUUGAAUAUUAGCUGACUCAAGUGACCAAAUCUUGACGGAGGCAGUAACGCUAGCCCCUGUGGCAUUGUUGAAAACAAAGAGUCGUGCUGCUCCAUUUACUGCCUUUGUUGGGUAAAUUCGCGAUGUUAUGACUGUUCUUCCUCCUUGAGCAAAGCUCUCCACAAUUGAGUGAUCCACCUAAAAUUCAGUUUAUAAAAAACCUUUUACUCAAAUGCAACUGCCAAGUACUUUAAUUAUUGUGAAGUGAAGAAAUGGAAUAAAAUCAAGGUAAAAUAAGGGAAUCAUUAUCACUUACCAAUAAUCUCAUUGAAUGUUUUUCACCGUCCAACACAGGUACUGAACUACCAUAAACUUGUUUACCAACUCCCGGAGCCUCAGAGGAUCUGCAUAUAUCAGAUCAACAACCCGCUACUUUUAUCCAUCUCCAUUUUACAAGGACAAAUUAAUUGUGCCAGAUAGAAAAGCAAACCUAGUUUGAUCAGCACAGAAGUGAGUCUCUGCACGACCAUCAGCUCCUUUAGAAAUGUAAAAGUAAACUGGCGUUAGCUCAGAUAGCGUUUGAUCAGCAAUUACUAUGACACCAAAUGGUCCCAAAAUGCCUCUGCUAGCAGCACCUCCACUAGUAGAGCAACUGAAACCUACAUGAUCUGCUUCAAUUAUUCCCUGAAGCGCGACUUUGUCCACUUCAAAUGAGGCUUCUAUAUCCAACUGCACAAUAGCUAAACAAGUUUUGGGACUGCAGAUUAAGCGCGUGUUUGUAAUUUAAAACAAAAGUAACGCAACAAACCUCUGCAGCUGAGUCAACACGGAGUAGCUCAAUUGAGCCUGGUUGAAGAUCGACUUGCUUAACAGUAGGAUCACCCACUCUUAAGCUUUCAAUUUCUUCCACUGGCCACUGAAGUAGAUGUGUCCCUGUCUUCUUGUCGUAAAGCACUGUCCUUGGAAUACUCUGUUAUUUCGAAACACUAUUAGACACGUUUCAUAUACAAUUCAGAAUUUACUUCACCUACAAAUGCAUUGAUUAUAACAACUUUCUCUAAAUAAGAAAUUUCCCUACCAUGAUUAUUACGAUACAACUAGACGCUGUGUAUGGUGCAAAGUAAAAUAACAAAACAAUGUGUUCAUCCAAGUCCAUACCUGUACAGAUGCCCAUCCCUUCUGCAGGUCAGCAGAUUCACUGUCAGUUUCCCCAAUCCAUCCCCACAGUACUCUUCGUUCUUUCUUCGGGUCAUAAAAAGUCUUUGAUGCAUAAUAUUUCCCAUAGUCUAGUCUCAACCCAAUUCCACAAUCCAAUUCCGGGUUAUCGGGUGUCCAUUUGUUCUUUCCCAAGUCAUACGUACCAAUAGCAUAAUGAUCUUGCUUAUUGUCAUCUAAACUUGCUUUUAACACAUGCUUUACACCCGGCCCGUUAUAUGAUGUGUCCAACCCGUUUGUUUUUUUAGUAGAUACCGGGUAAAAGUCCACACACUCCCACAUACCCGUACCCGGAACCGCAUGCAGCACUCCAUCCAAUAGCUUAAAGCUUGUGAAGUUGGAAGUUUCAUAAACAAGUGCAACACCCGUUUUACCAAUCUUAGACCCGAUUGUUAACAGCCAUUGCCCAUUUUGUGGUCCGGUCCAAGCAGUAGUCGGGUCUCUAAAGUCCUUGACACCAAUGCCGGGUGGAGGAACCAGAACCGGGUUGCCUUUGAACUUGACCCAGUCUAGAAGGAGAGGAUCAGAUAAGUUGGCGGGGUACGCAAGAUUUUGCACUUGCACAUAAUCAUCAGUGUCACCGGUAUAAAGCAUCAUGAUCUGACCAUCGGGUAGGAUGGUAGCGGACCCUGUCCAGACACCGUUAAUAUCAUACCAUUGAUCAGGAACCAUGGCAAAAGGCAAGUAGAGCCAGUGGAUCAAGUCCUUGGAUACAGCAUGGCCCCAUGUGAUAUUUCCCCAAAUAGCUGAAUCUGGAUUGUAUUGAUAAAAAAGGUGGUACCAUCCCUUGUGAUACAAUGGUCCUGUUAACCAAUUUAUUCACGUUAAUAGAAAUUUCAAAGUUUUUACUUGUAUAGGUAAGACUUUUCUAUGCAAUUUGAAUUAUAAAAUACUCUACAAAAUCUCAAUACGUUCCGUACCAAAAUUGCUAUGCUUUUUGCGGCAAAAAGAUAACCUUCUUUUUUUUUUGAAAAUUUGGCCACGAGUUUUUAUUUUUGACUUUUGGAUAAGAUUUUCUUCAACAAGAUACGUAAACAAAUUUCACUAGUGGUAUGUUAGGAGAAAUGAUAGAAAUUUCACAUUUAAGUUAUCUUAUUAUCAUUAUUCAUAUUAGUUUUAUAAAUUUCUAGUUCCUCAUUUUUACCUAUCAGAUUAAUGUAUCUCGCACAUCAGACUCAUGUAUCAGCGCUUAUAUUAUUGUAUUAGUUUGAGAGACUUUUAUAACCAUAAAAUUAUAAAAGAUUAAUAAUAAUUUUAUCUUAAAAAUUUAUAAUUUCCGUCAUUUACUCAUGAUAAUAGUAAUUGCUAAGCGGCCAAGAUAACCUACUCCAUUUCAAAAAAAAAUAAAAAAAUCAAGUGGAAGAUGGAUUACUUUGAGUGGGGGCCCCACUAUUGGUAUUAUUACAUUACUACAAAAAAGUAUGACCCACAUAACGUGAUUGGUUUCCAAACUUGUAUAAUACUGACCCAAUCAAGUGUUUUCUUUUUAUUGGAAAAUUGCACAAAAGCAAAAAACAUUACUGCCACAAGAUCUCAUGUUAAUCCCAAUUAUAUUGGAACAACAAGCUUAAUUCAUCAACUUGUGGUCUUUAUUAAAAUGUCUGUUCAACUAAUUUUUAUGAAUAUCUAGAAAGGUUAGAAUUUACUCCAUCCAUCCUACUCUAUUUGACUUGACGUGUUUUCUUAAAAUUUGUUAUUUCAAAAUACUUGUCCAUUUAGAAAAAUAAGAUAAUUGAUUCCUCCCCUAUUUCACCCUUAAUCUAAAUAAUGUACAGUGAAAAUAAGAAUGAUUUAGCUUAAUUAUUUUUCCUAAUGAGUACUCCCUCCAAUCCAAAACUAUUGAUGAUUUAACAUGAAUUAAUUGUGACUAAAGCAUAUGUAAUUAUGAUAGUCUUUUCACUUUGGAUUUGACAUAAUCAUUAUAGGGGUUAGGAAGGGCAAAUUUGAAAGAAAAAAAAAUUAAACAUCACAUUGAUUAUGUCAAACAUCAAUUAUUUUGAAGGGAGUAAUAUUUGUUUUUGAGUAUAAGGUAAAAGGAUUAACCGAGAUGAUAUACAUAAGCACCCGAAUUAAUGAUUUGCUCAUUCAUGAGAUUGCUUUAAAAGUUAUAAUCAUAGUUUAAGAAUAUAAUUAAUUAAAAACUAGCAGAAAAUAGUGAUAAUAAUUAACUUUGAACUCACCAUUAGGAUCUGCAGAAUAGCAUCCAAUCAGAAUCCAAAAGAUACCCCCAACAGAUCAAUAGCCAUAAAUAUCAUUGAGAAAAAAAAGAACUGUUAUAAGUAUUUAUAAAUAAUUUCAAUUUUAAGAUCAAAUAAAAAAGAAAUUAAAGAAAAGUCAAAAUAAGAAAGUUAAUUACCGUUCAUCCAAUUUUUUUGAGGUUGAAAAUGGUAAGCCGUUCUUUGCCAGCUAAGCAUAGCAUUGGACCACGCAUAAGAAACGUGACUAGCACCGGCUACAUCUCGAAAAGUUUUAUCGGAGACUCCCUGAGAAACACCUCUUGACGGCGGCGCCGGCGAACGGGAGUCGAUUUGCAAGUCCGGUGACUGGUUGUUGAGGAUCGGAAAGAAGGCUACAGAAAGCAAAAGGAAAACGGAGAGGAAAAUGCCGGAGAUGAUUUUAAGGGACUUCCGGUGGCCGGAAUCGGGUUGAUCCGGGAGUAAUGUGUAACGAGAGGCGGAGUUUUCGGGGUCAUAACACUGAGUGGCCAUAAUAGAAGAUAGAGGAAUGGGAGAAGCUACUAGUCUACUGCUAUAUAUAUAGGUGAUGAACACAGAAAAUGACUGGGACCAACGAAAUUGAGUAACAAAAGGACUUUUAUAAUUUGAGGUACACUUGGGAUUAGAGAAAAUGACCAAAACUAUGCUUACUGUUUGGUUAAUUUUUUUAUUUUACUUCUUCAUUUAUUUCACUUCAUUGAAAUGACUUAAUGUAUACUUUAUUUUAAUCGUUAUUAUAUUUUACUUUGAUUAAAAUGAUUUAUUUUGGUUCUUUAUUUAACAAAAUUUACUACUUUUCUUGCUCAAAAUAAAAACUGUUAUUAGGUCAGUAAAAUAAUAUUUAAAAGAGAAAAUAAUAAAUUUUGUUGGAGAAAUUAAAAAAAAAUAGUAUUAGAUUUUAUGGAAGAUUUUUCUUUGAAGGUAAAAAAACUCUAUGUUUAGGACAAAAGACCAAAAUGACCACUUUUUAUUAUACAUUUAUUAUUAUUUUAAUCAAGUGAAAUAUAUUAAGGAUCCAAAUGAACAUAUUUAUUAUAUAUUAAAGACUAUCGUUAUGGGCCAUUUUGUAUAUUUUCUCCUUGAUAGUAUAUUUUAGUAACUUUCAUUAUAGAUUAAAAUGUGGAAUGUAAAUAUUUAAAAAAAAAUUGAGACUUGAAUAUUAAUUAAAUAUAACUAGUAAAACUUUUCGUAUAAUGAGAUUCGAAUAAAUCCUACUUGAAAGGGAUUUACAGGUUGAUUUGUAUUCAUUGAAUGUUUAGUUGGAUUCAACAAAAAGACAAGUUCUCAUCUAUAAAGACAGAAAUUUAAAAAGUUUAAAUUCUCUAUUAAUUAAAUAUAAAUAGUAAAACUUUUCGUAUAAUGAGAUUCGAAUAAAUCCUACUUGAAAGGGAUUUACAGGUUGAUUUGUAUUCAUUGAAUGUUUAGUUGGAUUCAACAAAAAGACAAGUUCUCAUCUAUAAAGACAGAAAUUUAAAAAGUUUAAAUUCUCUAUUAAUUAAAUAUAAAUAGUAAAACUUUUCGUAUAAUGAGAUUCGAAUAAAUCCUACUUGAAAGGGAUUUACAGGUUGAUUUGUAUUCAUUGAAUGUUUAGUUGGAUUCAACAAAAAGACAAGUUCUCAUCUAUAAAGACAGAAAUUUAAAAAGUUUAAAUUCUCUAUUAAUUAAAUAUAAAUAGUAAAACUUUUCGUAUAAUGAGAUUCGAAUAAAUCCUACUUGAAAGGGAUUUACAGGUUGAUUUGUAUUCAUUGAAUGUUUAGUUGGAUUCAACAAAAAGACAAGUUCUCAUCUAUAAAGACAGAAAUUUAAAAAGUUUAAAUUCUCUAUUAAUUAAAUAUAAAUAGUAAAACUUUUCGUAUAAUGAGAUUCGAAUAAAUCCUACUUGAAAGGGAUUUACAGGUUGAUUUGUCUUCAUUGAAUGUUUAGUUGGAUUCAACAAAAAGACAAGUUCUCAUCUAUAAAGACAGAAAUUUAAAAAGUUUAAAUCCUCUAUUAAUUAAAUAUAAAUAGUAAAACUUUUCGUAUAAUGAGAUUCGAAUAAAUCCUACUUGAAAGGGAUUUACAGGUUGAUUUGUCUUCAUUGAAUGUUUAGUUGGAUUCAACAAAAAGACAAGUUCUCAUCUAUAAAGACAGAAAUUUAAAAAGUUUAAAUCCUCUAUUAAUUAAAUAUAAAUAGUAAAACUUUUCGUAUAAUGAGAUUCGUGUUAUAAAAUCAAGCUCAUAAGAAUAUAAUCAUAAAGAGAAGAAGACAAGAGAAGUAAGAUGGAAGAUAAGACUUUCUUCGUAUUCAAGUGUAUUCAAGUCUCAUAUGUAUAUAUUACAAUAGUGAAUGAACAACUCUAUUUAUAGAGUGAGAAAUCACUCCAAAGAUUACCAUAUUAAGUAUCAUAAUAAAUAGAUACAUUCUUAUCCAAAAAGGUUCAUGUCACCUAGUGAAUAUGAAUGGUUGUUCAUGUGCCAACCUUAUGGACUAUCCACUUAAUUCAAUGUAUUUAUAACACUCCCCCUUGGAUGUCCAUAGAUAAUGUGCCUCGUUAAAACCUUACUAGGAAAAACCCUGUGGGAAAAAAUUCUAGUGAAGGAAAAAGAGUACACAUAUCUUUUGAUACGCACCAUUUGUUGCCUCAUUAAAAACCUUGUCAGGAAAAUCCAGUGGGAAAAAAACCUCGAUCAAGGGAAAAAGAGUGCAACGCGUAUUGUACUCCCCCUGAUUAAAACAUCACUUGAUUUCUUGUGAUGAUGUCUCCAAUCUUUGUACAUUGUGGUUGGUAUAUUCUUUUUUUAAAGAAAAACCACACAUUUCUUGAAUAUGGUGUGUCAUUUAUCUCAACCAGACGCACUUUUGACUUGCUUCAUGGAGGACUUUUAUUUCUGCAGAGCAACAUUUGCUUCAUUGAUCCCCAGGAUAUUAUUGUGCCUCCACAUGCAAACACAUAGCGUGCUUGAGAUAGAGCUUUAUGCGGAUCAGAUAAAUAUUCUGCAUCUGCGUAAUCAAUCAAUUUUGUCUUGGAUUCCUCGGGAUAGAAUAAACCCAUAACUAUGGUCCUUUGAGGAUAUUCAUUCAUGUGCUCAACACCAUUUCAAUGUCCUUUUAUCGGGGAGAAACUGAAUCUUGCCAGUAAAUUUACUGCAAAACAAAUAUCUAGUCAAAUAUUGUUAGUAAGAUGCACUAGUGCCCUGAUUGCACCAAGAUAGAGUUUCAUCACCAAGAAACUCUUAUCCUUCUUUUGAGAUCAAACUGAAUCAUCAUUUAUGUCAAGUGAUCUCAUAAUCAUUGGGGUACUCAAUGAAUGCGAUAUAUCCACAUAAAAUUGCAUCAAAAUUUUUCAGUGUAUGUGCACUGUUGUCUGUUAGACAAAUAUUUUAUUUGUCAAAUUAACAAUCUGUAGGUCAAGACAAAAUUUUGUCUUACCAAGACCUUUUCAUAAAAAUACAAGGACAAUUAGGGUCAUUCUUUUGUACCCUUUUUCUUCCUUGACUAUUUCAAUCCAUAUAAGGAUUCUUGAAGCUUUAUUGGAUAAGUUUCUUUCAAACCUUUAUAUGCUUCAGACACCUGGAUUGUUUCAAGGAUUUUCAUAUAACCUUCAUUACAAUUUUUCAUUACAUGCAUUCAAGUUUUUCAUAUGUUGCCAGAUCAAAACAAACCUCAUUGCAUCCACCAAAGGAGAAAACAUCUCCAAUAAUGUCAGGAUUUUUGCGAUAAACCUUUAUGCCCCAAGGCACAAACCGUAUUUGAUAUCUUACGGUUAUACUAUCACAUAAUAAUUUAUUUGUACCCCACUGACAUUAUACCUUGAUUUAUGGACUACCAGUCCAAAAUGUCACUUUUCUAAGUGAAACAAAAUAUACUUGAAUUGUGCAUUUUACUUGGCUAACCAUUUAUCUGUUCACACUAUAUGACAGAUUUGAAUUCAAGAUCCUCAUCACAAUUUAUAUCAUUGAGCGCUACCUCAUAUCAAAGAUACCGUCGACGGUUAUUUGAUAUCGAUUCCAACAAGACAUAACUUAUCGAGAUCUCUUCAUUUUUCAUUAUUUCAGGUACCUGAACCUUUUUCAAGAUUUUAUGAAGUGUUAUGUCAAUGUGCUCCUUUAUAGCACUUGCCUCAUUAUCAUGACCAUAUUGAUCAUUUGCUCCUUCCUUCUUUAAGGAAUUUUAUAUUUGGAAUCAAUUGGUCUAUUACGCUUUCGGCGUAUCAUAAACUCUGUCCUUCAAGGACUUCACAUUGAAGCAUUCGCAGCUGAAUUAUAUCAUAGGGUCAGUGCAUUCCUCUGGCAACUGACUUGCAACAUUAUGCAACUGAAUUAUCCCUAGAACUUUAAGUUCACAUAUUUAUUUAAAUUGCCUUCACAUUUUGAAGGACUAUUUGAAGAACUUAUAGUGUUCUUCCUUUUAUCAUUACCACAAUGAUGACUAUUAUAAUUAUGUCCCUCCACGCCCUUAUUCAUAUCAUUAAUCAUUUGUCAUCUUUCAGACUAACAUUCACUGCUACCACAUUCAUAUGAUUGAAUGGAGCAAGUUAACAGGCGGAUUUCAGAGUUAUUACAUGUUGCUACCACAUUCUUUUCAAGGAAUGAAGCAAAUUCAAUAGAACGAAUUUCAAGACUUUUCAUCAAAGCCUAGUCAUCAUUAUAUCAUCAUUAUGGUGCAUUGACUCAAACUCAAUGUCUUAUCCAUAUAAGGCGUUUUACGCCAUAAUUCUAUGGGACUUGAACCCAAUCACGGUGCAUCAAAUCUCAAAUUGAUGUCUUACCCUUUUGGUGCGAUAGAACUUGAAUCUAUCGUCUUAUCCUCAAAUAUUUUUAUUAUGAUGCAUCCGGACUUUUACCUGAUGUCUUACCCUUAACCAACGGUAUAAUAAAUCGAAGUACAACAUGACUCAUCCUUUGAGUCUUUCAAAACAAUCAAAAUAACAUUCAAAUUCAUGCUAUUAAAAUUUUAUACCUUCUUCUAUUUAAGAAAUUUUGUAUAGCAUGUCAUAUUCAACCAAUAGUAGUAUAUGUCUUCGGUUCCUGAUAAUUGUUAGUGACUGAAUACUAUUUUAUUCUAAAUCAUAAAAAUAUUCUAGAAAAUACAUACCUGAUUUUAUGCAUAUAAUACUUUGAUCUUCAUAACGAGAUCAACCAAAAUAUGAGUUAAAGAAAAAGUAAAACUCAAUCUUAAUUGGCUACAGACUCGUGCUGAUAACGUGUUAUAAAAUCAAGCUCAUGACAAUAUAAAUAUAAAGAGAUGAAGACAAGAGAAGUAAAAUGGAAGAUAAGACUUUCUUCUUAUUCAAGUGUAUUCAAGUCUCAUAUGUAUAUAUUACAAUAGUGAAUAAACAACCCUAUUUAUAGAGUGAGAAAUCACUCCAAAGGUUACCAUAUUAAGUAUCAUAAUAAAUAGAUACAUUCUUAUCCAAAAAGGUUCAUGUCACCUAGUGAAUAUGAAUGGUUGUUCAUGUACCAACCUUAUGGACUAUCCACUUAAUUUAAUGUAUUUAUAACAAUUCGAAUAAAUCCUACUUGAAAGGGAUUUACAGGUUGAUUUGUCUUCAUUGAAUGUUUAGUUGGAUUCAACAAAAAGACAAGUUCUCAUCUAUAAAGACAGAAAUUUAAAAAGUUUAAAUCCUCUAAAUGUGCAAAAACAUAUUUAUAAAACCAGUUACUUGUAAUGUAGUUAUUUUAUAGGACCUGUUUAAUUAGAAUGAAGUUUAAAAAGAAAAGAAAAAAUUAAAUUCAUGCACUAAAACAAGUUACAUUUUCUGAUUAUAAAUAAUUUCAAUAAAGAUGAAAUCAGAAGUAUAAUAAGGGGAAAAACGUCAUUUUUUUUCUUUUUAAAUAGAUUAAAAAUAAAAAAGUAACACAAACGAAAAGAUUAAUUACUAACUUAAUAAUAUUGAUAACCGGUCAUUUGUUAUCACAUGUUAAAAAAGAAUUUAUUUUGUUAUGGAUUAGAGUUAUCCAAGUACAAUCAAACUUUGAUAUUGUUCUUCUUCUUAAAGUAGAACAAAAGAAUUGGAGAUGAUAUGACAAUACUUUAAAUGUAAUAUUCACUUCUAUCGACUCUAUAUUCACCUAUUUUUAGUACAUUGAAUUAUUUUGAUAAUGAAGAUUUGUCCAAAAACGAGUUUUUUAUGCUUAUAAACAAGAAAAUAUAUCAAAUUUGUUCUCGCGACAUACCGUUGAGUAGAAGAAACUUGUAAAGUUUCAGAAUGUUUGAAGUUCUAAAAAUUAUUUCUUACCAGGUUCAGAAAGUAUGAUGUUUGAAGAAUUACAUGAGCGAUGAUCUUAAUGAAAAACCUACGAUAAACUUAAUUAUUUUAUUGAUUUUGGAAAGAAAAAAUAAGUUAAUUAUGGAACAAAAUUUGGUAAGAAUCCAAAUAGGACUCAAUUAUUGAUAAGCAUUUGGAAACAAUUUUUCUUUUUAUAGUUAAUACAAUAUUUUUAGAGAAGAAAUACUAAUAUAAAUUUUGUGCACCGUCAAUAUAGUAAAUUUCUACACCAUCGAAUAAUUUAAUUUCUCCCUAAUCUUUGUUACAAAAUAUAAAAUUAAAAUUAACUUUCUUUUCUCUCUCCUUGAAAUUAAAAUCCUCUCAUGUCUUUAUUCCUCUUAAAUAGCUGAUAUUCAGCGGCAGUUACUCCUCCUUAUACGCACUUGGCCUACUUUAUCUUUUUUUUUUUUUUUUCAAUUUGCAUAUCACAUUGACCUAAUUUCUCUUUAUGUUUUCUUCAUAUCUGCAUAUCUUGAUAUUCCAAUUUUGUUUGUUUAUUUGUACACGUGGAUAAUUAUGAUUUUUUUUUUAUCAUUUUUCACACUUAUUAACUAAUGAUUAUUUUAUUGAUUAUUAUAUAUAAAAAAAAAGAAGCAUUUGCUGGUAAAUUUGCAGAAUCGAAGUGUCAAAUUCAAUAAUCUAUUUCGCUAUGUGCAAAUUGAUAAUGUUUUUCAGACUUUGUAGAUCAUUCAGAUAGCACAAUAGAAUGUAUCAUAAUGUUAUUUAAUUAUAAGGUAGAAGUUUUGUUUCAUUUAAUUUGGAGGAUCAUUAGCUCUUUCUUUGGUUGCAUUUUUAUUUCAUCGAUAUAAAAUAUUAUGUCGAAAGUGAGUGAAUCUGCUUCUUUGUAAAUACCAUUAGUACAUGUCUACAUAGAACUUCCAUGAACUCAAAUUUGUGGCAUGAACAAAUAGCUCUUUUCAAUGCAAGAUCCAAACUAAUGAUAUGUGUCGACUUUUGUCUUUGAAGUUGAUGCACUUUAUAGAUGUUUCUUCUAUCCUUAACAUCAAUCUUUUCAGAGAUAAAUUUUUGAGAUUGAAUUAGUUCUUCUUGAAAAAUCUGAAAUAUCUUUCUUAUAUAUUCCUUCGUCGCUUUAUCCUCCAUAGGAUACAAAGUGUUCAAGCUAAGCCUUGAAUAUUUUGUCUUGUAAUACUUCUUCCUUACUUUAUCAUAUCUAACGUCAAAAGUGUUAUCAUAUCGCAUCACAAAUAUACUCAUUGAAGUACAAGAAUUCAAAUAAUCUUUAAAACAUUUAUUCAUACUCUCACUUCUUUGACUUGUUGACAUGCCUGCACAAAAAGUAGUACACACAUAUGCUGGUAUCAAUUUUCACGAAUUGCAUAUAUUCUCUACAACCCACUAAUUUUUCCUAAAUUAUACGUCCCCAUUAUUUCUAUCUAUAUUGUUUCAAAUUUCUUAGGAGUAGUUGUAUCGUGAAUAUACCAACUAAACUUGCUACUAAAAUCAGCAUACUAAUGAUAAACAUGACCUAAAUAUUCUGGAAUCUUCUUUGUUAUGUGUCACAUACAAAAAUGAUGUUUAUGUUGGGUUUUAACAAGUGUGAAUGGAAAAAUAAAAAAGAGAAUAUCAAAAGUGAGGGAACUACUUUGGAGGGAAAAUGAAAAGUCAUUUGCAAAGUGCAAAUGAAAAGUCAUUUCUUUGGAUUUGGAUUUGGAUUUGGCAAAUGAUGUGAUUGAUUGAUAUAUUUUUUGGACAAAAUUUAUUCAAUCAAUUUUUGUUAAAUCAAAUAAAUCCUGUUAAUAUUAUUUCUUAUAAAUUUGCGGGUAACAGUAACAUUCCGAAAAGUCGUUACUUUUCCGAAAAGUCGUUACUUUCCAAAAAGUAGUUAUUUUCCUAACAGACACAAUUUUUCAAAAAAGUUGUUAUUUUUUCCAAAAGACACAACUUUCUGGAUAAAAUGGGUCUGAACAGAUUUCACUGAACGGACAUGUUCCUUGCUGAAAAUGGCUAUAAAAGGAAGUCAAAUUUUGAUUUUUUAAACACUGAAAAUUUUUCUUUCUCUGCAUUUAUUUUUCUCUCAAAUAAAAUCAAAGUGUCGAUCGACUGAGUCUGUGUGACUUGUUGUUGUUCUUAAGUUCGUUGAAGUUAAAGAAGUUUGAGGUACCGCUAUUUCUUUAACAGGUUUAAUCCGUUUUAUCUUGAGAGAAAUUAAUCCAUAACCUUGGGUACAGUGAGGGAAUUAAAUUUCUUAAGGACACAUAGUAGUUUCUGUGGACUCGGAUUAAUUCUUGUAUUCUAUAUUAUUUUCUGCUUCAUCUUAUUUCUGUUUCUGUUUAUUAACUUUAUAAAUAAAAGUUAUUAUAAGAGUAACAAUCUUAAGAAAAUUUAUACAGUUUCUGUGUUUGAGGUUUCUGGAGAUUAAAACCUUUAUGGUUUUCUACUCUACUUGAAUUUUUAAAAUCAUUCGAUUAACGAUUAAAAAAACAUAAAAACUUUAUCGUUAAAUCAGAAACAGGUUGUGUAAAGAUUUGCUCUUUACUGUUAGUAUUUUAAAUACUUAAUUUAUCUGCCAAUUGUGACAGAAAAAAAAGACUAAUUCAAGUCAAACAAAUGCUGGAACAGUAAGUGCUGCAACAACAAUGGUUGCACAUAAUCGUUCACAUGCUGCCUUAGCACCGGCUGAGAAACCUGCAAAGUUUUCUGGAGUCGACUUUAAGAGAUGGCAGCAAAAGAUGUUCUUCUAUCUCACUACGUUGAGUCUGCAGAAGUUCAUCAAUGAGAAUGUUCCUGUUAUGUCAGAUGAAACUUCGGCUGAUGAACGAUUCUUGGUAACAGAAGCAUGGACACACUCAGAUUUUUUGUGUAAAAAUUAUAUUUUGAGUGGUCUGCAAGAUGAUCUGUACAAUGUGUACAGCAAUGCAAAAACCUCAAAAGAACUCUGGGAUGCUUUAGAAAAGAAGUACAAAACAGAAGAUGCCGGAAUGAAGAAAUUCAUUGUGGCAAAAUUUCUAGACUUUAAGAUGAUAGACAGUAAGACUGUCGUCACCCAAGUUCAAGAAUUGCAGGUUAUAAUCCAUGAUCUCCUUGCUGAAGGUAUAAAUUUAUUUAAUGCCUAUGUUAGAAAUAUUAAGUUUUCCCUUAAUACUCACAUAACCUUUAAUGUAGGAUUGAUUGUGAAUGAUGCUUUUCAAGUGGCUGCAAUUAUUGAAAAGUUACCUCUAUUGUGGAAGGACUUUAAAAACUACUUGAAACACAAACGCAAGGAGAUGAUUGUUGAAGAUCUCAUAGUAAGGUUGAGAAUCGAAGAGGAUAAUAAGGCUGCAGAAAAGAGGUCACGUGGUAAUUCAGCAAUAUCUGGAGUAAAUUUUGUUGAAGAAGAUUCCACAAAAUUCAAGAAAAGAAAGAAAGCAUCUGGUCCAAAACGCAAUCCUCCUAAGAAGAAAUUCAAUGGAAACUGCUUUAAUUGUGGUAAACAUGGUCAUAGGGCUAAUGAAUGCCGGGGUCCUAAGAAGGACAAGAAAAAGAAGGAUCAAGCAAACUUGGCUGAAUCCAAAGGAGAAAUGGACGAUCUCUGUGCAAUGCUUUCAGAAUGUAACUUGGUUGGAAAUCCAAGAGAAUGGUGGAUAGAUUCUGGUGCCUCAUGCCAUGUUUGUGCCAACAAAGAAUUAUUUUCAUCAUAUACUCUAGCACUUACAGAUGAAAAAUUAUUUAUGGCAAACUCCGCUGUUGCAAAGGUGGAAGGAACUGGCAAAGUCCUAUUAAAGAUGACAUCAGGCAAGGUAGUGACUUUGAAUAUGGUCUCAUAUGUUCCAGAAUUGAGAAAUAAUUUAGUUUCAAUUCCAAUUCUGACCAAGAAUGGAUUUAAAUGUGUAUUUGUUUCUGAUAAAGUAGUAGUAAGCAAAAAUGAUAUGUAUGUAGGAAAAGGCUACCUUAGUGAUGGCCUUUUCAAACUCAAUGUAAUUGCAGUUGAUAUGAAUAAAGAUUUUGCUUCUUCUUACUUGCUUGAGUCUAAAUGUUUAUGGCAUGAACGUUUGGGACAAGUUAAUAACAAAACCUUGCGAAAACUGAUUAACUUAAAUAUUUUGCCAAAAUUUGAGUGCAAUAAAUCAAAAUGUCAAAUUUGUGUUGAAUCUAAGUAUGCUAAGCAUUCUUAUAAAUCUGUUGAAAGGAAUUCAAAUCCUUUAGAAUUGAUUCACACUGAUAUUUGUGACAUGAAGUCAACACCAUCACGUGGUGGGAAAAAAUAUUUCAUAACACUUAUUGACGAUUGCACUAGAUAUUGUUAUGUCUAUUUGCUAAAUAGUAAGGAUGAAGCAAUAGAUGCAUUUAGGCAAUAUAAAACUGAAGUUGAAAAUCAGUUAGAUAAAAAGAUCAGAAUGAUCAGAAGUGAUAGAGGUGGAGAAUAUGAAUCUCCAUUUGCAGAAAUAUGUUUAGGAAAUGGAAUAAUCCAUCAAACUACUGCUCCCUACACUCCUCAGUAUAAUGGAAUUGCAGAAAUAAAAAAUCAAACUUUAAAAGAAAUGAUAAAUGCAUUACUUAUAAGUUCAGGUUUACCACAGAACUUGUGGGGGGAAGCUAUCCUUACAGCAAAUCAGAUACUUAACAGAGUGCCUCACUCAAAGACAAAUGUAAUUCCAUAUGAGAAAUAGAAAGGUAGAAAACCCAAUUUGAAAUAUUUCAACGUGUGGGGGUGUCUAGCCAAAGUCCAAGUUCCUAUACCUAAGAGGGUAAAAAUAGGACCUAAAACUGUGGAUUGUGUAUUCAUUGGAUAUGCGACAAACAGUAAGGCAUGUCGAUUUUUGGUUCAUAAGUCUGAACAUCCGGAUAUUCAUGAUAAUACGGUAAUGGAAUCAGAUAGUGCUGAAUUUUUUGAACAUAUCUAUCCGAAUAAAACUAGACUUGAGUCAUCUAGUGGGGAAUCUAAACAACCCAGAGAAAAAACAAAAGAGAAUGAACAAAAUGAAGAAAGUCCAAGACGCAGUAAACGUCAAAAGACAUCUACUUCAUUUUAAUCAGAUUUUGUAACAUUUCUUCUUGAAAGUGAGCCUCAAACAUUCAAGGAAGCAAUGUUGUCUAGUGACUCAACCUCUUGGAAGGAGGCUGUUAAUAGUGAAAUUGAAUCAAUCUUAAGCAAUCAUACUUGGGAGUUGGUUGAUCUUCCUCCAGGGAACAAACCCUUGGGUUCAAAAUGGAUCUUUAAAAGGAAGAUGAAAGACGAUGGAACUAUUGACAAAUAUAAAGCAAGACUAGUUGUCAAAGGUUUUAAACAAAAAGAAAGUCUUGAUUAUUUUGACACAUACUCACCAGUGACUGGGGUUACAUCAAUUCGGAUGUUAAUUGCACUAGCUGCAGUAUACGGUCUUGAAAUUUAUCAAAUGGAUGUAAAAACAGCCUUCUUAAAUGGAGAGCUUGAAGAGGAAAUUUACAUAGAACAGCCUGAGGGUUUUGUAGUUCCUGGUAAAGAAAAGAAAGUGUGCAAACUUAUUAAGUCACUUUAUGGGCUAAAACAAGCACCAAAACAAUGGCAUGCAAAGUUUGAUCAAACUAUGUUGUCAAAUGGAUUUAAGAUCAAUGAAUGUGAUAAAUGUGUUUACAUUAAAGAUACUCCAAAUCAGGAAGUUAUUUUAUGCCUAUAUGUAGAUGAUAUACUUAUAAUGAGCAAAGACAUUGCUAAUAUAAAAGCUACAAAGCGUAUGCUUGCUAGUAAGUUUGAUAUGAAAGAUUUAGGAGUUGCUGAUGUAAUAUUAGGAAUUAAAAUUCUUAAGACUCCUAAUGGUCUAACAUUGUCUCAAACUCAUUAUAUUCAAAAGAUACUUGAAAAAUUCAAAUUUUUGAAUUUUAAAAGGGCAAAGACUCCAAUUGAUGUAAAUCUUCAUCUUGCAAAGAAUAAAGGCGAAAGUCAGUUUCAAUUGGACUAUGCUAGCGUAUUGGGAAGCUUAAUGUAUGUUAUGAAUUGUACACGACCAGACAUAGCUUGCGCUAUCAGUAAACUGAGUCGAUACACAAGUUAUCCUAAUCAUAAUCAUUGGUUGGCAAUGAAGAGAGUUUUGAGAUACUUAGAUGACACUCAAAACUAUGCUUUACAUUACAACAGAUAUCCAGCCGUUCUUGAAGGAUAUAGUGAUACAAAUUGGAUUACUGGAUCAACUGAAACAAAAUCCACAAGUAGAUACAUUUUUACUAUUGGUGGAGGAGCAAUAUCUUGGAAAUCAUCGAAACAAACAUGUAUAGCUCGCUCUACAAUGGAGUCUGAAUUCAUUACUUUAGACAAGGCAAGUGAAGAAGCUGAAUGGCUCCGGAAUUUCUUAGAAGAUAUUCCAUUUUGUCCCAAACCAAUGGCCCCUAUAUGCAUGCAUACAUUGUGAUAGUCAAGCUGCAAUAGGAAGGGCUGGAAGCAUUAUGUAUAACGGCAAGUCUCGUCACAUAAGACGAAGACAUAACUCUGUGAGACAACUACUCUCUAGUGGAAUUAUCACAAUUGACUAUGUGAAGUCAAAAGAUAAUGUGCCGGAUCCACUUACAAAAGGCCUAAAUAGAGAGGGAGUUGAGAAAUCAUCGACGGGAAUGGGACUAUGGACGAGAACAAGUCAUCGUGGCGGUAACUCUACCUAGAAGACUGGAGAUCCCAAGAUCUAGGUUCAAGGAGAUAAAACAAAGUCAUUGAUGACGGUUCAACAUUGUCAAAGAAAAAAAAUAUUAUUAUUAUUUUAUGGUCCAUUCUCAUGAUGAGACAAUGUUUAGUAACCAGGAUAAAGACAUAAGGACUUUUUAACGGUUUCUAAGUUUGAUACAGGGAAUAUCAAAUGGUGUAUCUAUGGGAUAACACAUUUAGAAAUCACCUAUGUAAGUGUGAAGUGUAAGCCGCUUCAAGGAGAAUCUGGUAAGGCCAGUUCUUUAAGCACUUACUAUCCAAGAUGUGUUCAUGGCUGAAACGAACAAAACAAUGAGAACUAAGAACAGUUCAAGGGUUGAUUGUGUGACAUAUGUUGUCUAGGUAUACACCAAAUCUCGACGGUUCAAAGAUAUCAAAUCUACCGAUUGACCGAGUAUAUCCGAUAUAUGUUCACUACGAAAAGUUUAAAGGGAAACCUACUUAUCCAGAUGCGAUUAACCUUUACCUACAAGACACACAAGUUUUUUCAUUCAUAUGUUUUAACAAUAGCCUUCCCCAUUCAUAUGGGGGAUUGUUGGGUUUUAGCAAGUGUGAAUGGGAAAAGAAAAGAGAGAAUAUCAAAAGUGAGGGAACUACUUUGGAGAGAAAAUGAAAAGUCAUUUGCAAAGUGCAAAUGAAAAGUCAUUUCUUUGGAUUUGGAUUUGGAUUUGGCAAAUGAUGUGAUUGAUUGAUAAUUUUUUUGGACAAAAUUUAUUUAAUCAAUUUUUGUUAAAUCAAAUAAAUCUUGUUAAUAUUAUCUCUUAUAAAUUUGCGGGUAAUAGUAACAUUCUGAAAAGUCGUUACUUUUCCAAAAAGUCGUUACUUUCCAAAAAGUAGUUAUUUUCCUAACAGACACAAUUUUUCAAAAAAGUUGUUAUUUUUUCCAAAAGACACAACUUUCUGGAUAAAAUGGGUUUGAACAGAUUUCACUGAACAGACAUGUUCCUUGCUGAAAAUGGCUAUAAAAGGAAGUCAAAUUUUGAUUUUUUAAACACUGAAAAUUUUUCUUUCUCUGCAUUUAUUUUUCUCUCAAAUAAAAUCAAAGUGUCGAUCGACUGAGUCUGUGUGACUUGCUGUUCUUAAGUUCGUUGAAGUUAAAGAAGUUUGAGGUACCACUAUUUCUUUAACAGGUUUAAUCCGUUUUAUCUUGGGAGAAAUUAAUCCAUAACCUUGGGUACAGUGAGGGGAUUAAAUUUCUUAAGGAAACACAGUAGUUUUUGUGGACUCGGAUUAAUUCUUGUAUUCUAUAUUAUUUUCUGCUUCAUCUUAUUUCUGUUUCUGUUUAUUAACUUUAUAAAUAAAAUUUAUUAUAAGAAUAACAGUUUAGUGUUAGAAAAUAUUGUUGAAACUGCAUUUUUUAUGGCAGAAUCUAGAUCUGUUAUGAUUGUAUGAGGCACAACUCCGAACAUUGUCUCUUGCCAAGUACGAAGUAAUCUCUCAAAAGUGUCUUGAGUUUCAUCCUAAAGUAGAGCAUAACCAAACAAAAUAGACUGAUAGUGAUUGUUAACUCCAGUAAAUGGAAUAAAAGACAUCUUGUAUUUAUUUAUCAUAGAUGUAAAAUAAAAAACAACUACUUUUCCAAAAUUCUUAUAAGUAAUCCUAGAUCUAACAUCAACCCAAAAACAAUUAGCGAAAUGAUCAUCUACAUCCAUUUGAAUUGCAUAAAAAAAAUCUGGAUUUUCAUAUUGACACCUUUGGAAAUAUUGCAGCAUUAGUUGUGCAUCUCCUUUAUCAAGAUCUUUUUGUCUUCUAAUUUGUAAAUAAUUCAGGAUAUCUUGACUUGUUAAAUUCAGUCGGUCUACACACGCAGCUUGAUUCAUCAACACUGAUGUUAUUUUACUUGGACGAACUCAAAAGUUAUCAAGUAAAUCAAUAAGAUUCUUUUGGGCAUCUUUUUUUUUUCUUUUUGAUGCAAGAAUUUUGUAUUACUUGGAGAUGCAAGUUCACAUCACUACUAAAAAAAGGCCAAAAAGAGACCUAGAAAAGGAGACCUCAAAAAUAAGUCUAUAAUAAGAGACCUCAUGAGGUCGCUAUUUGAAUUAAUAUCUUUUAUUUUUUUUAAUGUAGGAGAGACCUCGUGAGGUCAAUUUAAUGAAUUUUUUUUACCUGACUUAUUUAAAUUUUUAAAAUUUUUAAUCUAAUUCUCAUAAAAUUAGAGACCUCACGAGGUCUAUACUUGUAAAAUUAAAAAUAAUAAUUUAAUUUAAUUAAAGAGUUAAAAAAUAAGAGACCUCAUGAGGUCUCUUAAACAAAACAAAAAACCUAGCCAACAUUAAAAUAGCUAUCUCUUUCUUCCCUCUCUCUUUCUCGUCGUUCCUCUUUCUCUGUCGUCGUCCCUCUCUCUCUCAUCGUUCCUCUCCGCCGUCGUCUUCUCCUUCUCCUCUCUCCGCCGUCGUCUUCUCCAUCUCCAUCUCCACCGUCGUCUUCUCCAUUCUCCAUCACCGCCGUCGUCUUCUCCAUUCUCCAUCUCCUCUCUCCGCCGCCAGCUCUCCGCCAUUUGCAGUCGGGCCUCAGAAGGUGGAGGUCGCGCCGCCUCCGUCUCUGCCAUUUGCAGUCGGGCCUCAGCAACAGCGUUCCCAACCCUUUGACUCCAGGUAAAUUUUUUGAACAAACUAGUUCUUUGAAAAUAAGUUAGUUCUGCUGUUAACUUUUUUCUUGAGGGUAGAAAGACAAGUGGGAUUGGGAUUUUCUUGGUUGUUGAAGGGACGAAGAAACAGAAAGGUUCAAUCUUUGUGUGUUACAAGUUUAGUUUCAGAUGGUUCAUCAAUUGCUGAAAAUAAGAAAGUGUCAGAAGGGCUUCUUUUGGGUCCUGAGAGAGAUGGUUCCGACUCUGUUGUUGGUUUUCAAUUGAUUUCACAUUCUGGUACUGCCCCUUUUUGUGUUCUUGAGUUUGAAGUUAACAUUCAGUAUUCAUGAAUUUGAGAUAUGGUUUUCAAGUUGCUUCAAUUACUGAAAAAUUUGUUUGUUAAGUUUAAGUACCAACACUAGUUGAUCCUAUUGAUGACAAAAUUGAUUUUCCUUGAACAUCAAUUUGUGUCCAUCUAGUGUUGACACUUACCUUUAAAUUUAGAAAUAAUAUAUUGUUUAAGCAUAAGUACCAACACUAGUUGAUCUUAUUGAUAACAAAAUUGAUUUUCUUUGAAAAUCAAUUUGUGUCCAUCUAGUGUUGACACUGGCUUUAAAUUUAGAAAUAAUUAUUUGUUAAGCUUAAGAACCAACACUAGUUGAUCCUAUUGAUGAAAAAAAUUGAUUUUCUUUUAAAAUCAAUUUGUGUCCAUCUAGUGUUGACACUUAGCUUUAAAUUUUAGAAAUAAUUAUUUGUUAAGCAUAAGUACCAACACUAGUUGAUCCUAUUGAUGACGAAAUUGAUUUUCUUUGAAAAUCAAUUUGUGUCCAUCUAGUGAUGUCACUUAGCUUUAAAUUUUAGAAAUAAUUAUUUGUUAAAUUUGUAACUAUCGUGUUAGUAUUAAGGUAAAACUAAACUAAUUAAACUUAGAAAUUUGUUAAGUUAUUUGGUAAGUUAAACUUGUUACAAUAGUAUAAGAAAUUAAGUUAACAAUAAACUAGUUAGAAUUAGAAAGUUGUUAAGUUGGUUGAUAAGUUACAUUGGUUAAUAUAGUAUUGGAAUUAAGUCAAAACUAAACUAAUUAGACUUAAAAAUUUGUUAAGUUGGUUAAUAAGUUAAAGUUGUGAAUAUAGUGAUUGAAUAAAGUUAAAACUAAACUAAUUAGAUUUAAAAAUUUGUUAAGUUGGUUAAUAAGUUAAACUUGUUACUAUAGUAUUUGAAUUUAGUUAAAACUAUACUAAUUUGACUUAGAAAUUUGUUAAGUUGGUUAAUAAGUUAAAUUUGUAACUGUCGUGUUAGUAUUAAGGUAAAACUAAACUAAUUAAACUUAGAAAUUUGUUAAGUUAUUUGGUAAGUUAAACUUGUUAAAAUUUGUUUUCAGUAAAUUAUUACAUAAUGUAGUGCUUGACAAAUUUAAUUUAUGAUUCUUAUGUAGAUGGAUCGUAGUUGAAUGUAUAAUAUGACUAAUUUUGGUCAAAUGGGGCUAAGACCUGAAUUUGUAGAAGUUGUCAUUGGUUUUGUGGAGUAUGCAAAUACAUUAGAUCUUUUUCAACGUAGUGGUAUGAUUAAGUGUCCUUGUAAUAAAUGUCAAUAUUUGAAUUAUGAAAAACCAAAUGUUGUUGAGCUUCAUAUCUAUCGAAAUGGGUUUAAAAAAGAAUACAUUGUGUGGAUUAGUCAUGGAAAAAUUGAUAAUAACUUUGAUGUAUUCCAACAUUAUGUUCCUGGUGAAAGUAGUAGCACUGUGAAUUCUAAUGCACAAAAUUAUAGAAUUGAUGACAUGGUUCAAGAUGCUUUUGGUGUGUAUUCUGAUUUUGAUUUUGCUAAUCAAGGUAAAGAAGCUCCUAAUGCUGAAUGUAAAAUUUUCUUUGAACAAUUGGAAUCUGCUAGUCGGCCUUUAUAUGAGGGAAGUCUACACUCACAGUUGUCUAUUGCGGUUAGAUUAUUAAGUAUCAAAUCAGAUUGGAAUGUUCCUCAAGGGGCAGUGGACUCUGUGAUUGAUCUUAUUCAUGAUUUAGUUGAGACAAAUCUAGAGAUACCUGAUAAUUUCUAUAAGGCAAAGAGGUUGGUAUCAAAGUUAGGAAUGUUGUUGACACCCAAUUUUGACCGACCUUUAACCAUUUAAGGAUUUCUAUUUGACUAAAUACGUAUUCUAAAAUUUACCUAAAGUUUUAAAGUUUUAGUCGAUUUUUCUCAAAAAAUUAUAUAUUUUAGUAUCGUUUACUUUAUAAAAUUAUUAUAAAUAUUAUUAUAUAUUUUUUAUGAAUUUCAAAUGUUUUAAAAUUUAGAUGAUUUUCAAUUAUACAAAAUAUUUUAAUGUAUGUAGUAUUUUAAUAAAAUUAUUUAAAUUCUAGCCUAUUCUAUUCUAUUUCAUUCUAGUUCUAGCCACUUUAAAUUGCAAUUUUAGCCAUUCUAUAUCUUUGCCAAUCUAAUUUCAAUACAUCUCAUCUUUCGAUCUCAUCCGUCUAUUUAAUUAAUAAAUCCUAGAUCAGAUCCUAACCCUCCGUCUCUAUCUAAUCUAACGGUUGAGAUCAAUUUUUUCUAUCUCUCUCUUUAACACCAAAAUACCCUAAAUACCUAAUCUUGAAAAAAAUUCUAACUCUCUUCUUCCCCCUUUCCUCCCUCCAGCCGCCAGCCUUGCUCUCUCUCUCCCAUUCUUUCCGGCGAGAGUCUCCGUCACCGGCGAAGCCAGCAGCCGCUGGCAGCCAUCGCGCCUCCCCUUUGCUCCCUCUCCUCCUCCCUCCUUCUAUCUCUCACCCCUCUCUCCAGUCUCGUCUCCUCCCCUUUUCUCUCCCUCUCCUCCAUUUUUCCGGCGAAGGAGACAGCCGGACGGAAGCAGCAGCACCGCUGCUCUUCUCCCUCUUCCCCUCUCCGUCUCUCCACAUCCUUCUCCCCCCCUCUCCUCGUUUCCCUCUUUCUCUUCUCCCCUCGCUCCUCCCCUCCUUCUUUCUCCCCUCUCCCGUCGUCCCCCUUCUCCCUCUUUCUCUCCUCUUACCCUCUCUUCCCCUCCCGUCUCUCCUCUUCCCGUUCCUCUCCUUUUUGCAGGUAGCAGCAGCCGGCGACAGCCACCACGCAGCAGCAACAGCCAGGCGAGGCAACCGGCAGCAGCAGCGACAACAUCUCUAGCGCCUCCCGCCAGCAAGCAGCUCACUCGCCCCUUCCUUUUCCGGUUACACAAUGGGCAACAAUUCAGGCUAUGGUCAGCAAUGGCGUGAAAUCCGAACUUAGUGUUUGAGAAAUGGCGGAUCUGGACAGAUCCGUCUAGGUUUGUUCUAAUCAAUUAAUUGUUAUUCAUCUCUUAAUACUCUUAGUUGUUGGUCCUUGGCAUGCUCUUGAUUUCUAUACAUCUACUUUAUGUGAGUAAAAAAUGUUUUGAACUACAUUGUAGAAGGAGCCAUGAGUUUUUUUAUCUUAAGCAUGUUUCGUUGUAAGUUGCUGAUGUUUGAAUGUUCUUAUAUCUAUAUUAUUGGCUUCAUUGUAAUUUGAUGAUAUGCAGAAAGAAAUAAUAUGUUCUUGAUUCAGAAUUGUGGACCCUUGGUUUUGAAUUGAUUAACUUCUUAAACUAAUAUGAUGCAAAUUUUCCCUCAACUUUGAUGCCUACGGAUUUGUUUUUGAUAUCAACUUAGUAAUUUUGUAUAAUCCUUUUGUUGAACUACGUGACUGAUGCACAUGAUGAAAUUGUAGGUUCUGUGAUCUUUGUAAUAUUGAUACCUCUCCCUUAAUUAAUUACUCUUGUCCGACGAAUUUGUAAUUGAUAGCUUAUUAAUCAAUUUCUUAUUUUAUUCGGUUGUGUAUAUUUUUGACAUGUUAAUUUUGGUUUUAGUAUUUUGGAAUUUGACUCAUAUUUGGCUCUUCAUUAUUUAAGGAAAAAUUAUAUAUCUCUUCCCAAUUUUAUUUUUACUUGCUUACAUGGUAAAGUAAUAUUAUUUUUUGGCUCUUCUUUGAAAAAAUAUAUUCUCUUAUUUAUUUAUAUUUGGUAAAAAUAUAUAAGAUAAAGGAUAAUUUCUUAUUUGUUUAUAUAUGGUCAAAAAUAAUUAAUUAUUUUCUGAUUUCGGAUUCUUCUUCAUUUGUGAAAAAUAUACUCUAUUAAUUAAUAUACUCUAUUAAUUUAUUACUUGUAUUAUGAUUGAUUCCUUGAAAUAUUUAUUUCCCUUAUUUGUUCCCUCCUCCUCUACUAUAUAAAGAGAUUCCUUUAUACAUACACAUUCAUUCACUCUCAAUCACAAAACUCUCUCAUCAUUCUCCCUUCUCUCAUUUGCUCUCUUGCUACUCAACAAAACAUUAAUAUUCCGGUAAUUAUUCAAGGGUUCUUCUUUGCUAUCUUAUUACUUUGUUCGAGUAAAGAUUGAAUCAAUUCGUUUUGCUUAACGGGUUAGUAUUCUUAACAUUCACACGAUCUUUACAUUCACAAUUUGUGUAAGCUAUUGUUUUGUAUGUAGAAUUCGUCAUUAAACGAUUGCAUAUUGUCUCACCUUAACUAACAAGUGUGAUUACUUGUGUAGUUAUUUAAUUACUUUGACAGGUUUCAUAUUUGAAGUUCAAGUUCAAGAUUAACUGAAGAAGGAUUUAUUUAUUUGUUUGAAUGUAUAUAUAUAUCUAUAUAUUUUUAUUUUUUCGCUAUUUUAUUUAUUCGAAUGAUGUAACAAUUGUAACCCUAAAGAUCAUAUAAUAAAUUUAUUUGGGGGUCGUCUAGGGGAGGGGGAUUUAUAUGCUUAUUUGUUCGUUAUAGUUUUAGAAAUCAUGCCUAUAGGUUUGUAUUUAACCACCUAGAUUUAAUGUUUAUAGGUGUUAUAAUCAAUUUUCAAUUUGCUUACUUUUGUUAAUGAAGUCUAAAAAUAAUAAACUAGAUUCCGUUAAUGUUAAAAGCAAAUCAUAGUAACUUAAUAGGCCGAUUAGUUGUUUUAAUAAUGUUAUAAUUUAAGCAUCAUCUUGUCAUGUAGAAAUCAUGUCUAAGGUUUAAUUUGUUCAUAUCAUUUACAAAAUCAUGCAUAUAUAUGUUACAUUGUUUUUUUUAAACACCUAGAAAUCAUGUCUAUAGGUUUGUAAAUAAUUUUUAACAAAAUUUAUUUGUGCAUAUUUGUGCCCUCCCCUUAAAAUUAGUUAAUAUCAUUAGAAAUCCUAUUUGUCCUCUUGAAGAUUUCCGCAUUUAUUAUGCAAUUUUUUUAUUAGAAUCAUUUUAUGCAUCUAGCAAGUUACUUAGUUUUAAAAUAUUUCAUAUCAAAACCUUGCAACAUAAUUCAAUCUUUCUUUAAAUUUUAGAUUGAUUAUGACUCUGCUUAUUUUUGAAAUAAAUUAUAAAGUGCUAUCUCCUAACCUAUCGUUAGUGAGAAAGUCAAAGGAACUACGAGGUCUAGUUCCAUUUUUUUUAAAACCGGACGCAUCCUCGGAAGUACCACCUACCCAUGAAUUUAAAAAAGAAUUAUGUAAAUGUUUAUGUGCCUACGUGUGAACUAAAUCUUUUAAAUCAUUUUUCAAAACAUAACUAUUUUUUAUACCGACCUCAAAUCAAAAUUGUUUCUAUGGUGGAGGAGCGCGAUCAAUAAUAUCGUGGCAUCAUCCCUAUAAAGAAACAAACAUUUUUCUUAAAAUAAAAAAAAUCAUAUUCAAAACUUGCUCAAUUUUCAAAACCUUACUUUCUCACAUAUUAAUUGUUUAAUAUUUAUUUUGUUUAUAACUUAGUCUUAUGCUUAAAUAUAAAUAAAACUUGAUUGUUUAUUUAUCGUCAUCACCUAGCCUUUCAUGCUUAAAUUAAUAGUAUUAAUUGUUUUAUACUUGUUAUCACUUAGCAAACAUAUUAAUGAAUAAUAAUGAAGUGACCUUGAUUGCUACUUGUAACCCCCACAUAGAUUGCAUGAGAUACGGUCGGGACCCACACUUGUGGACCUCGAGGGAUGCCUAACACCUUCCCCUCGAGGUAAUUUGAACCCUUACCCUAAUUCUCUGGCUCGUUGACCUUAGUUAGACUUAGUUAGGUUAGAUAGGUGCCCUAACGCGCCUUAAUUCGUUAGGUGGCGACUCCCAAACUCAAAAUCCCAAAAGAGUUGUUAGGUCGUGCACAAAACCCGUUUUCUGCAAAAAUGGGGCGCGACAAAUGUCAUCGAUGAGAAUUCAUUGUUGUGAAAAUGGUUGCAUGUUAUACUAUAAGGAUGAUAUUGAUCUUGAAUCGUGAAAGUUUUGUGGAAAAUGUCGUUAUAAGCAGACAACUAGUGGGAAGAAAGUUCCUAUUAAGGUGAUGCAUUACUUACCUCUUAUACCAAUGUUAAAGAGGUUGUAUGCGUCUAAUAGAUCUGCUCCUCAUAUGAGAUGACACCAUGAACAUAGAAGACCACCUGGAGUUAUGUGUCAUCCAUCCGAUGGAGAGGCUUGGAAGCAUUUUGAUAGAACAUAUCCACAAUUUGCAGCUCAAACCACGUAACAUUAGAUUGGGUUUAUGUUCAGAUGGAUUCACGCCACAUUCUGUUUCUGCUGCACCAUAUUCUUGUUGGCCUGUAUUUGUAACACCAUAUAAUCUUCCACAUGAGAUGUGUAUGACCAGUCCAUAUAUAUUUCUCAAUUGUGUCAUUCCUGGCCCACGGAAUCCAAAAGUAUUGAUUGAUGUAUACUUGCAACCUUUGAUUGAUGAGUUGAAACAAUUGUGGGUUCAAGGGGUUGAAACGUUUGAUGUGUCUUUUAAGCAGAAAUUUUAAUUUGCGGGCUGCCUUAAUGUGGAUUAUUAAUGAUUUUCCAGCAUAUGGAAUGUUGUCAGGGUGAAUGACAGCGGGAAAGUUAGCUUGUCCUUAUUGUAUGGAAAAUACUAAAUCAUUCACUUUGAAACAUGGUCGUAAAAAUUGUUGGUUUGACUGUCAUCGACAAUUCUUGCCAAUGGAUCAUGAGUUUAGUAGUAUGAAAAAUGCAUUCAAAAAGAAUUCUGUUGAACAAGGUUAUCCUCCUCCAAUCUUAACUGGAGAACAAGUUUGGGAGAGGGUUCAAAGCUUUCCAAAGGUCGCAAAAGAACAACCCUACAAAUUUGAUGGAUAUGGUGUUGCACAUAACUGGAUAAAACAAAGCAUAUUCUGGGAGUUACCGUAUUGGAACGACAAACUUCUUCGACAUAAUCUUGAUGUCAUGCAUAUUGAAAAAAAUUACUUUGAUAAUUUAUUUAACACAUUAAUAGAUAUCACUGCAAGACAAAAGAUAGUGUUAAAGCUAGAAUAUACUUACCUGAAAAUUGCAGGCGAAAAGAGUUAUGGUUGCAAGAGAAAUAGAACAACAAGUUCUUCAAGCCUAAGGCUAGUUAUUCAUUUACAAGGGAUCAAAAGCGUAAAAUUUGUGAAUGGGUCGAGCAACUUAAGAUGCCUACUCUUGCUAGUUUGUUUAAUAAAGCUCGUAGAGAUAAUAACAAACCUAGUUGGGUUCUAUCGGAGGAUUGGGUAAACUUACUUGUGCAUUAGAAAUAUGAUCCAAAAUUUAAGCAGAUGAGUUAGAUCGGUAAAAAGGCAAGAUCAUCUACUAAGGGUGGUUCUCUACACACAAGUGGGGCUCAAAGUCAAAGAAGUGUGAGGAGGAAAUUGGUGUGUAUCAUUUUUCUUUGUGUUUAUAUAUUUUAUGUAUUAAUAUUUAAUUACUCUUGAUUAUAACUUUAUUAUUUUAUGUAGGAAAAGGAACUAGGAAGACCGGUAACUCAAGCUGAGGCAUUUAAGACAACACACAUUAGAAAGAAGAAAAAUUCUGAAGAUCCAGAUGUUGGGUUGAACCACGAGCAGAAGUGACCUAUGUAAGCCUCUAAUUUUAAUAAAUAAUUACUUAUUUUCUAAAUUUAUAUUCUCAUAUGAUAACAUUCAAUUUAGAAUCGAUAUCUUCAAGCUUUGGAGGAUUUACAACAAACUCUGCGGGAAGAAAAUCGAGGUAUGUCACUUACCCAAGAAAAGGAUGAGAGAGUUUGGUUAGACUUCACUUGUGGGCCGAGUAGAUAUGGGUAUGCAUAUGGAAUGCUGCAUAAAACCUUUCGUGAAUUUUCUUUUGAGUUUGAAGGCCUAAAUAGUUCAAAUCAUGAUAAAUCGAUGAAGAAAAAUUUGGCUAUGGAGAAAAAGAUUGUUGAGCUAUCUAGCCAAGCCGAAGAAUCACGGGCUAGGGAAAGGCGGUUGGAAUUACAGUUUGCGGGUCUUAAGGCUCAAUUCGAUGCAUUACUUGCUUCAGGAGGGAUUCCCCUUUGUUCUGGUGAUGUCACUUUCCCUCCUCGACCUCCUCAAUCUCAACCUACUCAAUAUCCAAUGUAUGGUCAACAAAGAAAUAUGACACAUGAGUCUAGUAGUGAUGAAGAAAGUGAUGAUUAUGAGGCAAACACACUACCACAUUAGUGAAGUUUAGACUUGUGAUAGUUAACUUAUGGAUCAUUUUGUUAACUUUAUAAUUUUGUGAUGGAAAUUAUUUGUUUUGUGAAUACAUGAUAACGUUGCAAUGUAUUAUAUAACUUAUAGAUAUCAUGGUUUUUUUUUUAAUAUAUAAUUAUGUUGAAGUGAGUUGCAAUUGAGUUGAUAAGAGAAUAUUUAGUAAAUGUAUUACUUCAAUUGAUUUUUGGAAGCUCUUUGAGUUUGAUUUGGGUACUGAAUUAAAAUGACAGGUGAUGAGAAGCCAUAGAAAUAACAAUUAGCUGCCUGUUUUUCCAGAAAAAGAGACCUCAUGAGGUCUCUUUUUUGCAUUAAUUUUUCUAGAUAUUUCAUUAUAGAGACCUAAUGAGGUCUCUAUUUAACAUUUUCUAUUUUAUAAAUGCAGAAACGAGACCUCAUGAGGUCUCUUUUUUGCAUUAAUUUUUCCAGAUUUUUCAUUAUAGAGACCUCAUGAGGUCUCUUGUUUGCAUUAUAUUUUCCGUAAAUUUCAUUAUAGAGACCUCACGAGGUCGCUAAAAAAUAAAUGCAGAAAAGAGACCCGAUGAGGUAUCUCCUUUAAAAUAAUAUAAAAUUAAAUUAAAUAAUAUCUUAGCGACCUAAUGAGGUCUCUUUAUUAAUAUAUAAAAUUAAAUAAUAUAAUAAAAUGGUGACCCCAUGAGGUCUCUAUAUAAAAAAUAUAAAAUUAAAUUAAAUAAUACAAUAGUGACCUCAUGAGGUCUCUUUUUUAAAAACCUCGUGAGGUCUCCGUUUGGCGACCUCGUGAGGUCUCCGUUUGGCGACCUCGUGAGGUCUCCGUUUGGCGACCUCGUGAGGUCUCCGUUUGGCGACCUCAUGAGGUGUCUUUAAAAAAGUGACCUGCAUUUUACUGACCUACCGUUGAGGUCUCUUUUUCGGUCUAUUUUUCUCGAAAAGAGAUUGCUACGAUGAGUAUAAUUGAGAUAAAAUUUAAAUGAAUCAUCAAUUGCCUGAAACUCCUUACCGAUGUAGGGGUCUCUCGAAUUUCCAACUACUAUUUUAAAAAUAAUUUAUUUUGUUUCUUCCCUGUCACUUUCUUCUAAUGAAACUUCAACUCAUGUACGUUGCUCAUCUAAAUUUGAGUUUUCCAUUAAUGCUGCAAAAUACAUUUAUGAAUGUUAGAUAGCUUAAAAUAUGUCUAUUUAUUCAACACUUUCUUUGUGAAUAUUCAGUAUUGAAAGUUCAAGUAAUAAAAGAUUUUUCCAAUAACUUAGAGUAGAACAAAAGAAUUGGAGAUGAUAUGCCAAUACUUUAAAUGCAAUAUUUACCUCUCUCGACUCUAUAUUCACCUAUUUUUAGUAUAUUGAAUUGUUUUGCUAAUGAAGAUUUUUGUCCAAAACGAGUUUUUUUAUGCUUAUAAACAAGAAAAUAUAUGAAAUUUGUUUUCGCAACGUACCAUUGACUAGAAGAAGCUUGUCAAGUUUCAUAACGUUUGAAGUUUUAAAAAUUAAAUUCUUGUUAGGUUCAGAAAGUAUGAUGCUUCAAGAAUUACAUGAGCUAUGAUUUUAAGGGAAAACCUACAAUAAACCUAAUUAUUGUAUUAAUUUUGAAAAGAAAAUAAGUUAAUUACGGAACUAAAUUUGGUUAGAAUCCAAAUAGGACUCAACUAUUGAUAUUCUUCUUCUCCUUCUCUUUUUAGUAAAUGGUUGAAUUUUUUUUCUUUUUUUUUUAAUUAUAAUAUUUUAUUAAAAUAAGUUACCUGUUAUAGGAUGUGUUUAAUUAGGAUGAAGUUUAAAAAGAAAAAAAGACUUGAACUCAUGUUCUAAAACAAGUUACAUUUUCUGGUUAUAAUUAAUUUCAAUAAAGAUGAAAUCAGAAGUAUAAUGGUUGCGUGGGGGGUGGGGGUGGGGGAUGUUAUUCCUUUUCUUUUUAAACAGAUUAGAAACAAAAAAAGUAACACAAACGAAAAUAUUAAUUACUAAAUAAUAUUGAUAACCGGUCAUUUGUUAUCACAUGUUAAAAAGGAAUGUACUUUGUUAUGGGUUAGAGUUAUCUAAGUACAAUCAAACUUUCUAUAAUGGUUAUUCGCUAUAAAACUUUCAACUACUAUAACGGUACAAACCUUUUUAUAACGGUCAUUCGUUAUAAAACCUUUUAACUAUAUAAUGGUCAUUCGUACAAAUCUUCACAUAACGAUCUGGUUCGUACAAAUCUCUCCAUAACGAUAGUUCGUACUUCAUAACGGUCGUUCAUUAUAAAACUCAUCAACCCCUGUAGUCAUUCGUACAAAUCUUUCAGUAAUGGUCAUUCGCUAUAAAACUCUCUAACCUUUACAACUGUCAUUGGUACAAAUCUCUCUAUAACAGUCAUUCGUUAUAAAACUCUUCAACGAUAUAGCCUCUCUAUAACGUUCAUUUGUUAUAAAGUUGUUCAACCUCUAUAACCUCGCUUUAUAAUGGUCAUUCGUUAUAGCAAUAUUCAACCUCGAUAAUGGUCAUUCAUUAUAACACUCUUUCAACCUCUUUAAUGGUACUUCGUUACAAAACUCAUCAACAUCUAAAUUCUCUCUAUAAUGACCAUUCAUGCGAAACUCUUCAUCCUUUAAAACCAUUUCUCAUGAUAUAUUUUACUUUUCUCUAACAACAUUUUACCUGUAACAAAGAUGAUAUUCAUUAUAGCACUAUACUCUUUUUUAAAAUAAAUCUUUCAUAACGCCAUACUCAAAUAUUGUAUACAGUAAUAUUUUAUAAGAAAUAUAUAACGUAUAAAAUAUAACAUUAAAAUGUUUAUGAUAAUUACCACUUAAUAUCAUGUACAAACUUUUGUUCCUGUUACGAUUUUUCAUGACCUUUUUAUGGUAUAAUAAAAGAAAAUAUCAAAAUAAUACAUCUUCCCAUACUCGGGGGCGGAGCCAUCUUGCGGUUACGGGGUCAUUCGAACCUUUUUCGGUGAAAACUAAUACUAUUUACACAUAUUUAAAGUAAUUUUAUGUAUAAUAUAUAAUAGAUAUUAAUCUCUUUUAACUAGUUUGAAUCCUUUGUGAAAAUUACGACUCCUUAUUGUCAUACUAGAAAAUGUUUUUUAUAUUUGUGGUCCUCAUUUAUCAAAAUAUUAUCUAAACAUUAUUUGCCUUGAAUAUUAUUUGCCUCCUCCAUAUUAAGAGUUUGAUUGACAUUACAUCAAAAAUGCUUUCUUUUGAGAAAAAAGAAAACAUUUAUUUGAAAGAUUAAGUGUUUGAUAAAUGUUAAAACUGCUUUUUAGAUGGAAGCAAGAGCAGUUAUGUUGUUGGGAUGAAGCUAAAAAAAAUUUGCUUCUUAGAAGAAAUAGAAACACAAAAUUAUUUUUUAAAAGACUAAUAUAAAUAUCCCUUAUCAAUUAAUUAACAUAUCUCAUAAGUUUGAUUAAGUUUCAUUUAAGAAUUUUUAUUUUUUAUUUUAUGUAAUAAAUUUCUUUUUUUAUUUUAUUUUUAGAAUUUAUAUAUUAUUUUACGUUUUAUUUACAUAAUUAGUAAUAAAGGUAACAACAAUAUUUUUGUAGGAUAAAAAAAUAUAAAAGACUUAAUUUAUUUUUGUGGAGAAUUUUUGUAUAUAGUAGUUUAAUUUGUGGAAUGGUUUUUAAAUUUAUGAAUAUGUACAUUUUAAUUUAAUUAAAGUAAAAUUUUAACUAAAAAAUUGUACUAUAUAUUGAAAAUAGCUUUUCUCUAUAAAAUAAUAUUAGCAUUAAAAGCACAUUAUUACUUAUCAUUUUCAUAAUUUAAUUUUUAAAAACACUUUUUAAAAAAAUUAGCAAAAACAAUUUACUUAUCAAAAUCACUUUUCAAAUAAAUUGAGCAAACACAAAAAAAAUUCAAAAGUAAAUGUCAAAAAGACUCUAAAAAUGGUAUGUACAUAAUGAAUGUUUAUUGUCUUUUAAUAUAUAUUUGCAAUCCUAAAUAAUAGCAUUGAGAGAAUGGCGCACUGUAUGCCUUUUGACUUCAAUAUUUGAGGCUCGUUUAGAGUAUACCUGAUAAUUGAAUUUGGCGUAAUUAUGUGUAAUUUAAUAAUUUAUUUUUUUUAUUGGAUAAAUAAUUACUUUGUCAAUAGAUAAUUGAGGUAAUUGACAGGAGAUAAUUACUCUCUCUAAUUCACAGUCAGAGGUUGUGAAUUGCUCAUAAUUACAUGCUGUAAUUACCAACUGAUUACUUUAAAUUAUUUUUUUUUAAUUUCUAUUUUUUAUUAUUUUGUUUUAAUUUUUCUACUUCUAUUAUUUAAAGUUCUUUUUUAUUUUUACUGUUCUAAAAGUUCCUAAAAGUUUAUUUUUUAUUUUGUAUUAUUAUAUUUUAUUUUCUUCUCGUUCUCAACUUUCUUCAAGUGAUUCUAUGCAAAUUUUUCGUAUUAUCUAUCUCUUUAUGUCAUGCUUAUUUUCUCAUCAACAUGAUCCUAUUAGUAUUCUAAUUUUUAAAUUAAAAUAGAAUUUAUUGUUAAGUGAGGUUAUCGAUUUACAAUUUUUUUAAAAUAAAAAUAAGUCAUAUCUAUUACAUUGAAAUUUGCGAUAAAAGUAUUAUGUUAAAUUUUUGUUUUAAAUUUAUAACUUAUAUUAUAUUUUCAGUUUCAAUGGUUUUAGUAAUAUUUAAUUCACAUUGCAAGUCAUUUUAAUUAGACUUAUAGUUUUUAAAUUCAAUUAGAAUAUAUUAAUUUGAAAAAAUAUAAAUCAAUUUUUUUCAUAAUAUUAGUAAGAAUUAUAAAUAAUUAGUUUUUAUUUUUAAAAAUAAUUGCUUUUGUGCAUCCAAAUAAAACAUGUGUAAUUACAUUAUGGCAUUCAAACAGAACAUAUGUAAUUACACUAUGACAAUCAAACAUGUCAAUGUAAUUACUAGAUUGUGUAAUUAUUAAAGUAAUAAUUACUACCCUAGUAAUUUCACCAAUUUCAAGAGUUUUUUGCCAAAAUAAUCCUUAAAUUAUAUCUCAAGUUAUAUCCGUAAAGUAUCAUUCUUACCAUAAAACAUCCUUCAAGUAUUUCAAAGUGAAUAAUUUUCAUCCUUCUACUUAAAUUUAUUAGAAAACUAAUCGAUAUAUCCCACAAAGAUUAAGGCGUCCCUUCCUAAUUAUUAUUCUUAGAUAUACCAAGAAUAUUAUCGUGAACUUUUUCGUAAUUGAGUUAAGAAUUAUGCAAAAUCUUUUAAUUUGACCUUUUUCUCAUUCAUUUUUCAUGUAAUUUAAUUAAAAAUAUUAUUAGUUUAAAUAUGUUUCUUCUCAAUUGAAUGUGCUAGAAGCGACAUUUGUUGGAGACUUCCGCUUCUAAUAAUAUAGAAUGAAACUCAAAUACGAGACAAUAUUUUGGUCACUUUAAUAUUAAGAUUGAUCCAAAAAUCUAUUGAUUUAAUUGGUUAAGAAAAUGAUAAAAAUAAUUAAUCUCCAAUUUCAUUCCGUUACAAAAAAGACAAAUCAUGUACGCUCACACCUUCCAAUCAUUUUUAGUUUCCAUAAGCAACAGUGUCUAAGAUUUUUUAUAUUUUUCAAUAACUUCUUGUAUGUUUUCGUAAGAUCCAUUAGUUUUUUGACAAUAUCUAAUAAAAGGACGAAAGUUGUCAACUUACAAAUACUUAAAGGAUGUUUUCUACUAAAAAUGAUACUUUAAGGAUGUAGUUUAAGUUUGGGGUAUAGUUAAAAGAUCUUUUCUGUUAGAAAUGAUAUUUGAAGGAUAUGAUUUAAGAUAUGUCGUAAUUACUCAUAUAUUUUCAAAAAUUAUUGUAAAAGAUAGUAUUUCACUUUUCUAUAUUCAAAUUAUGCACUCUGUUAUUGGGCACGGUAUGCAACUGAUUUAAUUCUGUGUGUUGAGGUGACUUUGAAGAUUCAAAUUCUACAUGCGUGCCUUGAUUAUUUUUUUAAAAAAAUAUUCUUUCAAGUAAAAUGUGCUAACUUUCACUUUUCAGCAAAUUUGUUCUAAUUAGCCCAAUUCAUUAUUCUUAAUUGGAAAAUCACUUUUAUACAUGAAAUUUGAUUCAUUUUUAUGAAAUGUUGAAGGAGAUUUUUUAUUUAGCAAAAUAUAGCAAGAAUUUGUUUUCAAACAUAUAUGAAACUUUUGCUCAAAAUUUUGUAUAUGAAAAUGGUAUAAAAUCAACUCUUCAAUUUAAUUAGCUUCCUUUUGUUUUUAUUUUUAUAGUUAAUUAUAUAAUUAAAAAAAUAAUAUUUUCAUUGUUUGUUUUAUAGAUCAACGUGUGGACACCUCAUAUUGUAUUAUCCAAAUUGGAAUAGACCACUCAACACAUAAAUCCAAACACUUACAUCCAUUUGUUUUAUCGGAAAAUUGAUCAUUUUCCGAAAAGAGUUUGUUUUAUUUUCAAAGAUAUUUUCGACUUUUAGGAGUCGCCACUUAAUUUUUAAGAAAAAUCAAAAAAACUUAUUUCCAAAACAAAUUAAACAGAAAAAUUUGUUUUGAAAAUAUUUUAGGGGGUUCGGGAUUCUUAUUCGCGUCUUAGGAAGGUGUAAGGCACCUAAGAUACUCCGCUAACUUACGGUUUUCCAACGAUUAACUUAUUUGACUAUUUUAUUAACUAUUGCGAUUCUUUAAGUUGAACCUUUAUUAGAAUUUUACUUGGACAAAUUUACAAGUCUUGAAAUAUUUGUCGCUUUUUAGGCUUAGUUUUAAAUUUAGUAAAAUAGAAAAAGCGUCUCGGCGGGGUUUGGAGUUUCCAAUCCUAGACUAAAAGGCAUUUAAAGCAAAAAUAUAAACAAUAGUAAAGAGAGAGAGAGAGAGAUUUGGGCCCAAACUCAGGUUCUGUUCGCCUUGACCGAGUUUUGGACCCACCUGUUUUUUUUUGGGGAGGGGGGGGUUUCAACCCAUUUUCCACCUGUACUAAUCUAAACAUAUAAAAUAAUACGAGAAAGCAAAACAAUAAGGGCUUAUGCCCAUUACAAAAUACAACACAAUAAGAAAAUCUUCUAAUUCGCCUUUGGAUUCUUCUUCGAUAUUCCUGGCAUUGGACUCUCGCAUGUUUGUCUUAACUCGAUCGAAGGAAUUUUAAGUCUUGAUGACACUCUUGAAAUGCAACGGGAGAAGAGACGAGAUCCAAAUGGACACGAAAGGAGUCUCACAUGCAACGAAACAGAAUAGGUACAUGUUAGCGAGUUAAAGGAUUAGAAGAUCAAUUAAAGAAAUUAGGUAACAUAUCCACAUACAACUCGACUAACGGGCAUACAAAGUGAAGGAAAUAAUCUACUUGAUUACGCAUGUGACACAAAGAAAGGUGCGGUUUAACAAAAUGUUUCAUUUGAGGAAAGCUUACAGAAAUAUAUAAGUAGCCAAAUUAUGAGAGGAAAAAAAAAACACAUCACAACAAACAUUUGAACAAUCAUUCAAUAUUAAGAAUAUCAACGCAAGCUGAUCAAAAUGGAGAAUCAAGAACAACAUCACACGACUAACUCAAACAAGGCAUCAUAUAUCUUGAGACACUAACGAAACUUAGAAAAUAAAGAACGAGUCAACUGUUGCAUUUAACGAAGUAGACACAACAAUCAUUCGACCUUCUCGCUAAAUAGCCUUGACACUUUGCUUAACAUUUACAACCACCCAAACACAACAUAUUUAAUCAAUCCCUAAUGAAAACAAAAGACAGUAAAAUAAUCAUGCAGACAUAUUUGAAACCAUCUAUUUAUAGUCAAACAAGUCUUAAAAGAAGUGAGAUAGAAGCGUGACUCAAAUUAAGGCAAAGGAACUAUCCCAUCAAGGUGUUCCAAGAAACCAAAUCCCUCUUUGACAUUUCAUCAAACAGUUUGUGUGCACAACGGAUUCCCCCACAAACACAAUAAAAAUUCCAAAGGGUGUUCUUCAAAUCAAGAAACAAAUCAAACCCAGAUUUCAGAAACAGCCGAAUGAACAGCUAGACCAGUCCAUUUCUCCAUUAAAGGCUAGACGAACAGCAAAACCAGAACUUCCACGAGCGACAACAAUUCACUUUCGAAACAGAACAACAAAAAAAAAACGGAGAAGUAACAUGGAGCAGGGAAUUACCAGCAAUAUACACAUAUAUGCAUCAAAACAUAAUAGAAAUAAAAAAAAGAAUAACAGUGAAUGAACAGAGCCCUUUCGCGCACAACAAAACUCAACUCGAAAACAGGACAUCAAAUGGGAUAGAUGUUACCUUUUCGGGAGCAGCGAACUGGGACUAUGCGAGCAGGAGAACGACGACUUCAUGCCACAGGUGACACGAACCACGGCUCUACGCCUAUGUCGCUCUUAGGAAAAUUUCCGACAAAACAAAUUGAGCUUCCCUCAAACUCGAACAAAGAAGAAGAGCAGUGGAAGAAACUAGUGAGGAAACCUAAGCCAAAUUCUCAACAUCGAAAAGAAAAUCCUUCAUAAAGACAAUACUAUUACCCAACCUAAACGAAACUCUUUUUUUUUUUUUAGUUUUCUCGGAAACAAUAGAACAACCCAAAAUCUCCAACCUAAAAUUGCUAACCAAGAAGAAAAACAGUAGAAGAGACCAGUGAGAAAAUCUAAGUCAAAUUAUCCCUCUAUGCAAUCUUUCGACAAAAUCUCUAAGUAUCUAACGAUUUUUUCACUCCGAAAAUUCCAACGCUCAAAGUUCUAACCCCUUUUCUUGAGAACGAAAGGGGUUUAUAUAGGGUUUUCGGAAGAGGGAGGGCGGGAACGUGACUAGGCCCAUUUCAAUUCAAAAUUUGAAUCUCUUCCAUUAAUGGUGCCACAACUUUUCCUGAAGAUUUCUUCCUUUUCGGAAAUGGAAAAAGGGAGGGGAAUGGCUAGGAUCGCUCCAAUCGUCCUUGAGGGAAGACGUGGAUCGAUCUCGCGCCAUCAAGGACGAAAGCGCGUCUGCCAUAGCUGCGAACGCAGGUCUGCCACAGCCGAAAGCACUGCACUGCUGCGAUGGAUUGAAGAAGGAGACGUUGGUGGAGAGAGAAGUCGUGUGGAGAGACGAGAAAUGCGGCUGGGGGCUGCUUUUCGUACGCAGCUUCUGCGUUUUUUCUGGAAAUGGCGUAGGUGGGGGAAAUCGCGUAGGGGAGAGGUCGCGUCUGGGAGAGAGAGCGUGGGCGAGACGAGGGAAGAGAGACGAGAGGGGGAGUUAUGCGUGAGGGAUACGCAGGCGGAGGAGAAGGGAUUUCCGAUUUGGGUGUCUGUUUCAUCUGCGUUUUUUUUUCUUUUCUUCUGGGUUUCUUUGCUUUUUCUGGGAAUGGCGUAAAGGAGGAGAAAGAGAUAAGAUGGGGUCUGGGUCGGGUGUAGGCGGGUUUGGAUCGGGUGUAGGCAGGUUUGGAUCGGGGCCGGGUCGAAUGGGUUGGGUCGGACCAUUGGAUGGGUUAUGGGUUGGACUAUUAAAUGUUUAAUGAAUUGGGUAUUUAGGUGUGGGCUGAGGGAAAUUUGGGUUGAAAGGAAUUGGGUUGGGAAUAAGAGUGGGCUGAUGGUGGAGUGGGCCUGGGAAUUAGGAAUACUUAAGAUACACACAUAUACAUAUACAUAUAUGUAUAUAUAUACAUAUAUUUUAUUUUCGCAAGAUUUACAAAACUAAUUAACUUUAAAUAAUUUAAAAAACUCACGAAGCUCGAUAAUUAAUUUGUACCGACGUGGGUCAAAAAUUGGGUGUCAACACCAUUCUUAUAAAUUCAAAAUGUGUAUUAUUUCAGAAUAGAUUAAAUCAAGGGAUAAUCUAAGGUGCAUUGUAGCAUUUUGAACUUUUAAGAAAAAAACAAUUCUUCUUUUCCUUUUUCCUAGUUUCCGAGAAAAGCAAGAAUUUUUAAAUAGUUAUUCAUUAUUAACUUGAUAAUAAAUACAAUAAAUAGAUAUCAAAAAUAAAUUAUCUCUUGAUUUUCUAAAUUGGACAAAUAUUUUUAAUAUAAUGGAUAAAUUAUUGUUGAACGGAUGAAAUAUUACUUAAUAUUACUCUUACAUGUUUCUAUGUAUAUGUUCAUCAUUUUAGAUUUCACGUCUCUUAAGAAAUAAUGUAACUGUACUAUUUAUAUUCAUAGUUAUAUUUUCAUGAAAACAAAUUUUGAUAAUCAACAUGAAUUAAUCAUCUAGUUUUUCUAUGUUGGUCAAAUUUAUACUUUCAAAACUAAUAACUUUCAAUUGUAAAAUAAGAACAUAAUUUAUUAUUUAUGCAUUGAUUUUGUCAAAUGACAUAUAUUAAAAAUUAUCUAUAUUUAGUAAGGACGAUAUAAAUAGAAACGGAGGGAGUACUUUUUUUUUUUUUGAAGAAAUUGGAAUAAAAAAAUAUAACUUUCUAAGAUAAUUAUUAGAGGUGUUCAUAGGUUGAUUUGAAUCGGUUAUUGGUCAAAAUCAAAAUCAAAUCAAUUAAGUUAAUCUUUAAAUUAUUAAAAUCAAACCAAAUAUAAUAAAACUUUAUCGUUUUGGUUGUUAUCCGUUUCGAUUCGAUUGGCUCGCUUAUUCAGAUAUUAAUCAUGCACCAAAACAUAUAAAAAUCGAUUCAUUCAAAAAAGCAAAAAGGACAAUAACUCAUUCAAAAAGAAAAAUAAUUAGACCGAUUGACAUUACGUAACUUCAAUCAUUUAAUUUACUUUGAGUAAUUAAAGCUUCAAAAUUCACCAUUUUGACCUAUAAAGAAGAGAUAGUGACACUCUUAGUUCCACCAAAAAUUGUCAUGGAUAUUUAUAUAAAUGAAACCAAUAAUAUAAAUGUUCUCAUCUUGGAUAUUUUUACUUUUAUAGAUAAAUUUUGAUGAAAUCAUAUACAAAAUAUUUAAAAUUAUUGUUAAAUAAUAAUAUAUUUUUUAUUUAUAACAAUAUAAUAUAUGCCUAUAAUUUGUCGUUUCGUUCGGUUAUUUCUUUGAUUUUUUAAACAAAAUUUAAACCAAAUCAAAUACCAUCAUUUUUUAUAAAUCUAAAUUAAAUCAAAUCAAAUCAAAAUCAAAUAAAAUUAGUUAUUUAAAUCAGUUUAUUUGAUUAAUUUUUAUUCAAAUUGUGAACACCCUUAAUAAUAAAGUAUUACUUGAGCUAUUAUAAUUUACAUGAAAUUAACAAAACAGAAAAUAAAAUAAAAAAGAAAAGAAAAAAAAAAGAGGAAGAAACAAUAAUGGAAGAGGGAGAGGGAUCUAAUUUUAACUUACGUUAAAGACAAAAAAAACAUUCCUAUCUGGCUAUCUUAUAUAUUUGGGUUGUGUUAGUCAACAAAUUAAAAUAAACGGAAUCACGUGUCAUCACCUAUAAUCAAACUUAUAAUGAUAGCAAUAUUUUAUUAAACUAAACUUCGUGGCAUCACCAAUAUCAUACAAUUAUGAAUUAUGUUAUAAGGUCACCUUUGCAACUAUAAUUAAUAAUUAUGCACCCAAAAAAGUUAAGUUCAUGUGAUCUACAAUAUAGUUACACUUUUCUACAUCACCAGUUUUGAAAUUUUUUUUCUGGUGUUAUAGUGAUUGAUUAUUAUAUAUUUAUAAUAAUAUUUAUUUUUUAUAGAUACAAAAAAAAAGCACAGAAUUUAAUUUUAGAUUUUAAUGUUAUGAAUAUAAAAUUUACUAUCUAAUAAAAUAAAGUAAUUUUCAAUUCUUUCAUAAUUGUAUCAGAUGGAAAUAAUGAAAUCGUAAUUCGAAAUGAUAGGAUAAUUUGGGUCCCAAAGCGAAUGCCAUUUCCAUAUGUUUUGUUCAACGUGCCUUUUUUUAAAAGCAUUGGCCAUAACUUUCACCAAUAAACAUUUACCUAGAAAAAACAUCACCACUUAAAUAGUGAAGUUUGAAUUAGCUAAGCACAUUACAAUCAUGUCUUUUUAAUGUAUUGUUUGGUAACUAGUUAUAAUUACGUGGUAUUAGUAAUACUAACAUUAAACGUGAAUUAAUUUAUAUAUUAUUUUAUGUAGAGUUUCAUUAUUUAUGUCUUAGUUAUUGUUUUUUUUUUCUACAUAAAAUAAUAUUUUAUUCGUUCACUUAUUAGAGUUUGAUUAUUCAUAUAUUAGUUAUUCUAUCAUUUAUCCUACAUGAAAUAAUAUUUCAUUCGUUUAUUUUUAAUUGUCGUGGUUUAAUUUGGCACUUCCAUUCAGAAAAUAAUUAAUGAUAUAAGCAUUUUACCAAACGAUCCCCUGAAAAAUAAUGUCUUGAAAAAUAAUUUGAAAAGUAAGUAUUUAAUGUUGACGGAAAAAUAUGGAAAAAAUUAUUGUACUUGAUAUGUCAGAAGUGACAAGUUAAAAUGAAAAUCUAUUUUAGGAAUAAUUAACAAGUAAAAAUGAACGAAGGAAGUAUAUGGAUUUCCUAGUAAUUUAUAUAAAUAUUAAUAUCAUCUGAUUUUCGAAAUUGUAAAUAAAAUAUUAUUAAAUUUUAUUCAAAGCAAAAAAUAUUAUCCAAAUAGAGAUUCAACAAUACUUGUCCACUAUAUAUAAAUGUCCAACAAUAUUUGUCCAUUUUAUGAAAUUAAUAGAUAAUUUUACACUUUGUUUCUAAAUUUUUUAUUAUUAUUAAUUAUAAUCGUUCUCCUAUUAUAUUUCAAGACAUUAUAUUUAUUUUAUUUAAAGGAUGAUAUAGUAAAAUUACUUUUUAUUUAUAAUUUCGUAAAAAGUGUCUUAAAUUAAUAGUAGAUAAUUAUUAUUGGACAAAGCAAAGAAAGAUCAUUAAUAUUUGUAGAAUUUGAUACUUGAAUAAUUUAUGUCCUAACCAGUUAGUAAAUAGACCCUUAAAUUAAUAGCUGGCGUAAUGGGAUUUGCAUGGUUGAAAAUGGUGAACUCAAAUCAUUUUGGUUAAAAUUAUUAAAUUGAGGAAACUGCGAAGAACUAACUCCAUCCAUACAAAUAAAUGAUUGAAUACUCAAAUCAAAAAGGAAAUCAUGAUUUCUCACCUAUUUUCUUCUAUUUCCCAUCCGAACUAAUCUAUCAAUGGACCAGGCAUUGUUAAUAAUUCAUUUUUGUGUCUCCACCUUAAUAAACCUUCGUAUUGCCCAACUAAUUGUAGGGGAGCUAAAAUUUUCAUUAAGAAAUAUUAAAAUAUAAAGAAGUAAAUUCAAUAAAAAGUAAAAGGUGUUAUUUGUCAAUAUAUGAUAUUUACAUGUAAAAAUAUAAUUUAUUUAGAUACACUAUAUAUAUUUUUAUGAAAGAAUGUCAACUGGUAUAUUGGCUCCGCCACUGAACUGUUAAGAAUUCAUCAAUAACUUAAUUAUUUUAUUAAGAGAAAUUUAGAAUAUUUCGAAAUUGUACAGAAUUGAAGAAAUAUCUCUAGAAUAAGUAUUCUAGAAAUAGAAGUCCAGAAAUGUAUCUCUUUAGAUUCUUCCAUCACCUCCUAUAAAUAGAUGUGGUUCAUUUGAUACGCAACCAAGCAAGAAACAAAGUAACAAGCAAGUAAGAAAGUAACAGAGCAAAUAAGAGUGAGUGCUCGAGUAAAGAGUGUUGCUGAAGCAAGCAACAAAUGUGAUCAAGAUUAGCGAAUUUUUACUUUGAUAUAAUGAAAUUCAAGUUAAGAAAAAUCGAUAGUACCUAUCGUUUCCGCACAUAAAAAUAUUCAACAUGAACAAGCUGAAAUAUGAAUUACCUGAAAUAAUUUAUUGAGAAAAUCGGGGAGAAGUGGAGAAUCAAAUAAUUUCAUCGACUUAUACUAGCAUAAAAUUACUAUUGUGCGUAGGUAUUCAUAAUAAUUCUUCUAACAUACGUAUACAUGUAUCAUAAUUAAUUUAAUUAUAAGCAUUUUCCUAUUCGGCAGGUACUAAACAAAAAAAAAUACAUGCACUUUAGCAUUAAUUUUCUAAUAUAUGAAACAGAUAAAUUCCUGUAUCACAAAUAACCUUUUCUUUUCCUAGCACAAAGAUUCAAAUUUUUUUAACAAAUAGAGUACCAAUAUCUCAGAUAAUUUUUCUCUCAGAAAUCACUCCACAUUGAUUUCAACCCAAAAGUCAUUCAAAAAUAUUUUUUUCUAUAGAAAAGUCACUCAACUUUGAUUUUAACUCAAAAAUCACUCAAUUUCUUUAAUUGUUAUUAAAUUAAAAUUUCAGUAUGAUAUUUUUAUUUAAAAUCAAAAUUUUAAAAAAUAUAAAAUAGCCUAUUUUUAAAAUAACGUUAAUUGGAAUGCUAUUUUUUAGGGACUGGUCAACAAUUGAAUUUUCUCACAAAUUUAUGAAAUUCAUUGCUUAAAUUGUGGCUUAUGAGUUGUGAUUUGUGAGAAUAGAACAAAAUACUAAAAAGAUGCUCAUAAAUAAAUAACAUUUUCUCCUAAAUUAUAGGCAAAGAAGAAGCCAAUUUCAAAGAAGAAAAAUGCGUACACGUGCAAUUAGGUGAAACAAAAGGAUCAAUAUUAUAAUAUGGUAUGUAGUGAUUGGAGUCAUUAAAAUAGUUUAAAUAGAUUAUCUUUUUAUUUUUUUAGUUUUGAUUUUAAUAAAUAUUUAAUAUUUUAAAAAUAUUUAAAUAGAUUCAGUGAUUUAGUAAGUAAAUUUUUUUUUAAUGAUUUUUGAUUAAAAUAUCGGCCCAUUGUUGCUUUAAAUGCGUUAAUGUGACAAUUCUCUUUACACUUCGAUGUCUAAAAAGUGAAAAAACUUAUCCGCAUCGAAUGUUUAUACCUAAGUAAAAAAAUGACAUAUAUGUUUUCAUCUUUUCUCUUUCUAUUUUCUUGCUCCACAUAUACUACAAAGAGAGUGAAGCCAUUCUCCAAGUCACUUGCAUUGUAGAGAAAUUAGGCUUUAAAUAAAAAAUGUUACAGUUCAAAAGGUAACAUUUAACAACAUACCAUAAUUUACAGUAUUAACUGAAAAAAACAUGAUAAUUAUAUAUAUUAAAAUGCUUUGAAAUAAAUAAUCCUAAAGUUUUGGAGAGGAAAGCAUAAUACAAGGAGGAAAAAAAGCUUAAUCUAAUGCUAAAAGGGAACUUUUUGGUAGAUCUCACUUUUAUCGCUUAGGCCCAAUAAGUUUAAAAGUAGAAAAGAUUGGCACUUGUCAGAAAAGAAAGUGAGGAGAAAAAGCAAAUAAAAUGUGAUCUUUCCCUUUCCAUUUUUAAUUGACAUGAUUUUCAUUUUUAGAGUUAAAUCGUAAAAAUUUUAAUAUUUUAAGAUAUAUUUAUUAAAAUAUAUUGAUAUAUAAAAACUUACUAUUUAUAAUGCUUUUCAUAUAAUUUUAAAAUAUUUAAAUUUUUUAUUUAAAAUAUCAAAUUAAUCUACUCUAAUAUAAUUUUAAAAAUUAAUUAUAGAAGAACACAUUAUAACAAAUAAGAAUGAACGGAGACAGUAUCAUGCUUCAUGUUUUGGAAUCCAAUUAAUGAUUUCAAUUAGGUGUUAAGUUGUUAUGACUCUCGUGAGUUUGUUCCUCUCAUCUAGUCUACAAGUUGCAUAUUCAUGUGGCUUCUUUUUGCUUAAUUAGUGUCUUUUCCUCUAACGGGCCCAAACGGCAAAGCAUUUAUAUUCUUUUUCUAGUUAAAGUUUCAUACUUAUAUAAAAAUAUAAAGGGCAAUUAGAAAAUUCGGUCAAAUUUAAUUAGAUAUUUAAAAAAUUUAUAAUAUUUUUUAUUUUAAAAUAAAUAAUAUUUUUUAUUUUUAAAUUAAAAUAUAUUAAAGUUAAAAGAUAAAAAUGUUCAAAAGAUAACAUAGCAUAGAGUGAUAUUUUAUCAUUCUGGUUAUGAAUUCAUUUUUUCAUUAACUUGUACUCCUGUGUCACUAAUUACUUGUUCAAUUUUUCUUUUUAGUUGUUCCUAAUUACUGAUCCAUUUAUACUAAUCAAGAAAGAAUAAUUUUUUUACCUAUUAUAUCCUUAAUUAAUUAUUUUGAAAAGGUAGAACUUCUUGAAAAUUUUAAGUUUUAAUUCAGUCACUUCAUAAUUAAUAAGGGUGAAAUGGUAAACUCACUAUUUCAAUCAUUAUUUUCUUAAUAGAUGUGUCAAUUCAAAAGUGGACAAGUAAUUAGAAACAUAGGGAGCAAUGAGUAUUAAUUUAGUACGAUGGUGACUUAGUUUAUUUUUUUAGAGUUUAAUUAGAAAACAUGUAAGAAUUGUAUUUUUUAAUUGAGCAAUUUUUAUUUACGAUCUUGAAUAUUUUAGUACUUUAAAGAAAUUAUUUUAAUAAAUAAUAUUAUAUAACUCUUAUUAUAUAUAAAAAAAUUAAAAUUAUGUUUAAAUCCACAUAAAAUCACAUAUAUCUGCAAUCUGCACCAUAUUAACUUUUAAAAACCCACUUUAACCCACUCCGCAACCAGCAUGCCCUAUUAUCAUUCCUAAAAGCAUGGACAUUAAAAGUUAGAUUGUUGUCUACGAGACUAGGGCUGGUGGUCAACUUAAAUGAGUUGAUGAAAUUAAAAAAAUAGAAAAUGGCCUAAAAUACCUUUGUAGUAUUGAAAAUGGUACAAAAUUACCCUUCAUCCAUCUAUUGGCUCCAAAAUGCCCUUUUCAUCCACCUAUUGGCUCCAAAAUGCCCUUAUCAUCCACCUUUGGGUUCAAAAUUGACUACUUUAAUUAUUUUAAAAUUAAAAUCUUUAAAUAUUUUUAAAAAUACUUGGCAUUGAACUAUUGAUUAUAAUUUUAAUUUAUUAAUAUAAUUUAUAAAUCAACCCACUACCCACUCAUUACUAACAAACCUCACCCAAUUAAUAAUCCAAUUAUUAUAAGAAAAUCGUCAUAAACACUACUAAAACACGAUGAAAUUAUAGAUUCCUGAAAAUGACAUUGAAAAUUAUUCGAGUCCGAAUCGAAACCCCAAUUAAAUUUAGGUUGAGACGCUUAUUUAGGAGGACACUUUCUUUCAAACUUGAAUUAGAAAUUUAUGAUUAAAGGUAAAGAUGUAAUACAUCCCGAAUUAAUUCAUGCACUUUUUUAAAUAUAAUUUUAUAAAUAUUUUUGAUUUGUUUUAAUACCUUUAAUGUAUUAUUUUCAAAAAAAGUUACCUAUGAAGUAAUAUCACAUAAUUGAGACGUAAGAAUAAUUAAGAUGAACAUAGUCAAACUUUUAAGUUUGUCGGUGAUUUUUAUUUAGCCAAUUGAAUGUAUGAUAAUUUGCUUCUAUAAUUUUUAAAAACAAUCAAUUGGCAGUAGCUUGCAUUAAGGGUUUAUUAAUUUAGAGGAAUUUAAUUAAUAAUGGGUGGGUAGUGAAUUGAUUUAUAAAUAAUACUUAUAAAUUUAACUAUAACAAAUAGUUGAGCGUCACGUAUUUUAAAAUAUAUUUAAAUAUAAAACCGUUAAAUAAGUGGUCAAUUUUGAACCAAAAGGUGGAUGACAAGGGUAUUUUGGACCCAAUAGGUGGGUGGAAAGGGUAUUUUGGAGCCAAUAGGUGGAUGGAGGGUAAUUUUGUACCAUUUCCAAUACUCUAAGGGUAUUUUAGGCCCUUUACCGUUAAAAAAAAAGAAACUAGAUAAUUAUACAUACUAUUACUAUCUAUACUUUCAAAUUAUUAGAUAUUUUAUUAUUAAUAAAGAGCUUUUUACAUAUUGUAUACUUAGAUAUACACAUUUUAUCACCAAAUAUGCAAAAAUAAAGAAAGAUGUGAAUAAAAUUCGCAUACAUCUAAAUAUACACUAAAUAUAUAUAUAUAUAUAUAUAUAAAUCUAAAAUGAUUUGUACAUAUCUAAAAUACCAGUCAUAUAAGCCAACCCACGUAGCAUGCUACGGGUGCUCCCAUUGAUUUCAACUCCAACUACACAGAUUUAAGUAGAAAUACCAAAUUUAUUAAGUAUAUAAAUAAUGGUGAGGUAGCACCCAUAGAACAAAAAGCUUGGUGGGUGCUUUGGUUUAGAGGCCGAAACUAAGGCUCUUUUUAAGUCAUAUUUUAGGAAGGUGGGUGAGAUCAAUCCUCCGUCUUGAGAAAAAUUUAGAAAUAACAAAAUAAUAGACAUAAUAAAGUUUUAUACAUUUAAUUUUGAUAAUUACAUUUUAUAGCUAUAAUUUUGUUUGUAUAUUUCUGUUUCUUUGUAUAUUUCGCUUGACAAUAUAUAAAUAGGAUAAGUAUAUAUAAAUUAUGAAUUUAUACAUUUAGGAAAUUUUUAGAUUCAUUUGUAUAAUUCACAUGUCAAUAUACAAAUAUGGUAAUUUAUUAUGAAUUUUUCAUAAAUCGUAUAAAAAUAACUAAGACAAACAUAUACAAAGUUUAAAAUUUAUACAAUCAUGAACUAAUUAUACAAAUUCUGAAUUUAUACAAAUCAGGAAAAUAAAAAGAAUUAGUGAAACUAUAGUUGCGAAUUACAAUUUUCUUAAACUAUAACUAUAGUACCUAAUAUAGGCUAAAUCACAUCAGCUUUUAUAACUACAGUUUUGUUAUUUGCAUACCAUAGCCAAAUUAUGUUUGCUAUGGAGCAUAUGAUUUGCAUAUCGUGGCGAUUUGUAUAAAUCAGGCGUUAAUUCGUCUCUAUAUAUGAAAAUUAUGUUUAUAUAUGUAUAUGUUCUUUGUGUUAAGCUAAAGCGGCAAAUGAGAUUGAAAAAGAGAGGAGAGAGACGAGCUUGAGAGGGCAGAGAAUGGAGAUGGAUGGAUUGUAUAUGUAUAUCGGUUAGAUAAUUGUAUAUGUGUAACCUACUAUGUAUAUGUAUCAAUAAUUGUGUUUGUAUAUCUGAAUAAAAUUUGAAUCAUAUACAAUUGAAUUGAGUUAAAACAUUUGUAUUUGAUAUCAAAGAUUUUUCUCUCUUCUUUAUACAAACACAAAUUAUAUAUUAUAUUUCUACAAUUUGUGUUUGUGUACAGUGAGAGAGAGAAAUUCAAAAGAGAAUUGGGUAGAGAAAGAUUUGUAUUUGUAUAAUCAUAAGUGUAUAGGACAGAAAAAAAAUUGUUUGUAUUUGUAUAAACCGUCUCCUUUGCUUUAUACAAACACAAACUCAAAUUAUACAUUUCUAUUUGUAUAAACUGACAGGGGCGAGAGAUGACUGAAAAAGAGAUCGAGCGAGAUUCCGGAGAGGGGAGAGACGAAUGACAAUAAAUUCGAUGAGAUUUGAAAUUAAAUGAAAUUGUAACUAUAACAUUUAUUUUGAAUUAAUAUUUUGUUAUAAUACACAAUUUUUCCACUUUACACCUAAUUAACUAAUUGAUAUAAUAUUUCAAGAAAAUAAAUAAAAAUACUGAGCAAUUUAGUAAAUUGGGUUCUCUUGAUUUUAGGCUCAUAUUUUUAAAAAUCUUUACCACCUGUAACGACCUGUUUAGUCGUUUUGAGCAGCAGAUUUUAUUUCUGAAAAAACUGGCUGAGACGACGGAUCCCACGAUGGACCGUCAUGAGCACAACGGACCGUCGAGGGGGUCUCGUUCCAAAACACUUAGAAUUCUAAAAUUUGGGUACUGAAAUCGACUCUCUGAACUUCGUAACGGAAUGGCAGGACGGACCGUCGUGGGCACGACGGACCGUCACACAUCUUCCACAGAAAUUAACUCUCUGAACUUUGCGACGGACCGUCACAGCCAUGACGGCCCGUCACAGGCUGCGUAAUCCCAGGCUGGGUCGGAUUUCUUUAAAUGUUUUAAGGGAUGUUUUGGACUAUUCCUGCUAUAAUUAUAAAUUUAGUGGGUGAAUAUUAAUAAUCCAAUUUCUUGAGGGUUAAAGGAGAUAACCUUGAAUUAAUUAAUGGGUUGAUUUAUCAUCUUUUAUACUUAAUUAUAUGCUAAUUAGGGUAAAAGAAAAAGGGGUUUGAAUAAGAAAAAUAGAAAGAACAAGAGAGGGAGAAUCGAUCAAGAGAGAGAGGAACGAAGAGGAUAACAAAGCUUUGGGGAAAUUGCUUGCUUGAUCAUGAAUCUUCGGUGGAAGUAGGUUAUGGUUUUUAUGCUAUUCGUAGUAGACUCUUAAUAGCGAAUGAUAUGUGUUGGGUAGUAUUAUAAAACCUUCUAUAUGAUUAAUUGUGUGCUUACAUGAUGUGAUCAUAUAAAUGUGAUGAAUAAGCAUGAUGAGGCUAUUGAAUCUCUAAUACUAAAUUUACCUUGUUAAUGAUGAUGCCUUGGUAUAAGAGAAGGCUUGAUGAACUAAAGUAAUGAGAUUGAUGAUGCCUUGGUAUAAGAGAAGGCUUGAUGAAUUAAUAGAAUGAGAAUUAGGGGAUUGGGUGUCACGAACCGACACGUAGAAUUAGGGGAUCGAGUGUCAUGAACCGACACGUAGAAUUAGGGGAUCGGGUGUCACGAACCGACACGUAGUAUUAGGGGAUCGGGUGUCAUGAACCGACACGUAGUAUUAGGGGAUCGGGUGUCACGAACCGACACGUAGUAUUAGGGGAUCACAGUGUCACGUUCCGACACAAGAGGAAUAAAAGAGAAUGAAUCUUGAAAUAUGUUAAUUACUCAACUUAAAGAACCUAAUUCCCAAAUGAGUAUGGUAUGGAGGCUUGCGUCCUCAUUGAUGUGCUUGGUGUUGUGACCAAGGGUUAUGGUAAAUGCCGCAUGUUGAGUAUGGUAGUUGAUUUUAUGAUAUUAUCUGAUAUAUACUGUUUUCUAUUUUGAGUUGGCCGAUGAUAUCUACUCAGUACUCGUGUUUUGUACUGACCCCUACUUGUAUGUUUUCUUUUUGUUCAUUGUGGAGUGCAGCAAAUGUACCGUCGUCUUCAACCCAACCGCAACUCUAGCCAGUCUUUAUCACACCAGAUUUCAGGGUGAGCUAAAGCUUUUAGCUUGGACUGGAUCUUCUUCUUCAUGUCUUGAUGCCUUGAAGUUCUGGCAUAGACUAGCUAUUAUUUAUGUUUAGUUUCUUAGAUACUCUUAGCUUUAGUAAUUUGAGGAUAGAUGUUCUUGUGAUGAUGACUUCCAGAUUUUGGGAAUAAUGAUAAGUUUGAGUUUUAGAAGUUGAUUAUUGAUUUUGUUAAUGAGUUUUAAGUCUUCCGCAUUGUUUUCUAUUUAUUAUGUUUGAAAUGUUGGGGUUUAGAUUGGUUGGUUCGCUCACAUAGGAGGAUAAAUGUGGGUGCCACUCACGGCUCGAUUUGGGUCGUGACACCACCUAACUCUACCCUCCUUUUAACAAACACAAAGUUAUCCUUGAGUUUUCAGAUGAAAGCAUUAAUAGUCCUUUAUGUUUGCAAUAUUAGUGCACUCUUGGUCCUUCCCUAAAAUUUUGCCAUUUUUUAAGACAUUAAUUUUGUCCAAAAUUUUAUAGAAGGAAUCUCCAAUCGCCUUUUUAUAUAUUUAGUAGAAAUAUUAAUUCUAUCUGAGAGAAGGUGAUUAGAAAAACACAUUGUUCUCUUCACUGGAAAUAUUACUACAGCUAAACUAAGAACAUCUUAACAUAUGCCUUUGCAGGAAAAGAAAAAAUUGUACUAUUACACCUAAAAUUAUUGUGAUGAACCUCUCAACAUUACUUGCAAUACAAUUUCUACUAAACAAAACAAAGUGUUUUCUUCUCACAUUCUUUCACAUAGAGUUGUUAUUUCUACUAAAUAUAUAAAAUAACGUUGAACAUCCCAUACAUAGGUUAUGAAUAAAAUCAAUGUUAAAAAUAGGUAAAAUUUUGGAGGAGGACCAAAAGCACACCAAUAUUGCAAACAUGAGGGACUAUUAGUGUCUAAUGUGGAAACUCAAAGAUGACUUUGAACUUUAACCCAAAGAAAAUUGACUAUUUUGAUCCUUUCCUCCGUAGCGGCAAGUCUCAAAAUAACCUAACGGGUCAUUAUAUGCUAUUUUUGUGUUUGUUAAGAUUUUUUCAUACUUAGUUUAAUUAUUUUUUGGAGUAUUCCGUGUCUACUUUCCUAUGAUGAAGAUCUCUAAUUUGUUGGUCUUGUAUCGAUUUAUGUUUGUAAAUGAGUAAAAUUGGUUUGUAUGAAAAUAGGGUCUAUUCUUUCUUCGAAGUUGAUGACUAUUUAUAGUUAUUAACUUGACAACAAAUAAAAGGUCGGUAAGUGGUUGUAUAUCUGUGUAUCUUGUUGUAAACCAGUGUAUCCAAUUGGCCGUUGAACCAGAGGCAAAUCUAGGAUUUGGAGGUUGGGGGUGUCACAAUAUUUGUAUGAUAAAGGAUCGAUUGCUUUAAUUUUGGGUUAUAAUUCGAGUUUUUGAUUUAUUUUUUUUAUGUAAAAAAAAUGAUCAAAUAUGCAUGUUAGUAAAAAAAAUUUAUAGAUAUUUUGUGAUUAGAGAUAUCUAAACAAUUCAAUUUUAUUUCCCUUUUGCAAUCAGAUGUCUUAUUCGCUGAAUUUUGAGGAAAAAAAAUUCACAUUAAAAUUUAAGUUUGUAUAAACCAUCUAAUUGUAUUAACAUAAUACAUUCAUCUUUCAUUGAAUUUAUAUGUGUUGUUGGAGAUACAUAGUAGGAAAAGAAUAAAAAUUGUAGUUCCAACAUAAUCAUCUUACUUAGCAAGAACGUCGGUGAAGAUCGAAAGAAUCUUUAAAUUAAAAAAGAAAACUAUAAUAAUAAUAUUUAUCAUUUUUAAAACUACAAUUUAAAUAUAUUCUUAAUAAAAUUUAUUUGACGCUUAUAAUUAAGUACUCAUUAAUUGAUAAAAAAAAAAAUAAACAUGUUAUACUCAUAUCAAGUGAUUAAUAAUUAGUGCAAGAGAAAGUAAAAAAAAAACUAAAAAUUAAUCACGGAAAGGGAUCAAUUUGAAUUAAUAAAGAACAGUAAAUAAAUAAGAAAAAAUGGUGAAAAAGAAAAGAAAAGGAAAAAGGUAGCAAGCAAAAAAUUAUAUGUUGUUAGUUUGAUCCCUAUAACGGAAGUAUUGACCAAACUAAGUCAUUAUAUAAAGGACUUCAGCAAAAUAAUAUAUUUUUAAAAAUUUUACAAAAUAGUAUAAACGUAUUUCAUAGUAACGUUUUAGAGCAUACUUUAUUUUUUAAAAGCUGACGGCAUUAGAUUGAUAUACGUUACUCAAAAAAUAUUUUAGGAGUAAAACGUUACUCAAAGUAACGUAUACCAACCUAACGCUGAGUUUUUAAAAAAUGAAAUAUAACGUAAAACAUUACUGUGAAAUAUGUAUAUACUAGUUUUGUAAAAUUUUGAAAAAAUGAAUUAUUUCGUUAAAAUUGUUUAUUUUGAAAAAAAAUUGCUAUUCCGUAUUACAUUUACUGGUUGACAAACGUAAUAUUUAUUUAAUUAUUAUACAUAUAUACAUUUUUCGAGAUCAAUGGGUGUUGUGACACCCCACCCUUCCACAUAGAUCCGCCCCUGCGUUGAACGCAGAGCAAUUUCAAUGAGAUCACAUAUGUAUAGGUUCACUGUUCAAAUUAGUUUGGAUUAAUCUUAAAUUUUUAAAUAUGUAUGGGCUAUUGAAGAGAUAACAUGCAAUCUUCAAAGCAGUGUGAUAGAAUAGAUAGAUACUCUUGAACAUAAAUUACAAAUUAAGGUGUCGAACAAGGUACACUCUCCCUUGGGGAGAGAAGUGGUAGCCAAAGUCAAAAACAAAAUAAAAAAGAAAUAUGAAGAUGGAUGACUAAGAAAUACAUUGGCUGGGCUAAGGGCAUCCUUGAUGCAGCAAUUACGAAAAUGAAUUUACAAAGAAAAGCUCUGAGCAGAAACAGUAAAUUAGAAUAUCCUGUUUCUCGUCUCUAGAAACUUUUAAUAAGCACCUCCGCUCCCUAAACCAUCCCCACAACUACUCAUUCCAUCUUCAUAACAAAAAAAUCCAACAAAAUGGGGUAUAUAUGUAUUCGAUAAGUUAAUUGCUACAACUUGACUUCUUCCAUGAUACCAAGCACUUGAGGAAUUCCAUCACCUAAAACCACAGAAAUGCAAUCUCUAUAAAAUCUUAUAGUAAGAAUGUAGGUUCCUCAAGCAACAUCAAUUACACUUUCAUACCUCCGAUGGAUCCCUCAGAGAGUAGAAUGCAUUGCUUUCUUUUGGAGCAGAAGAAACUAAGAUUCCGUAACCUUUAUUUCCCUCUCUCAACACCUGUUAACAAGCACAUUAGGCAACUUAAUAAACAUGGUUGAUGAUUCCUCAAGGAAAAGUAGGUCUGUUAAACUUUUACCUUAAAUGCAUCUUCAUCUGUACGAUCAUCUCCUAUGUAAAUGGGAAGAACAUCAUCACAAUUAUUCAACCCUAAAAAAAAAAGAAAAAAACAUGCACGUGCGUUAGUUUUAACUGUUGGAACAUCCAGUAACUAGUUACAUAAAGCAAUCAAGGACAUCUCCCUCACCCAAUGAUUCAAGUAAGAACUCAACAGCUUUUCCUUUGUCCCAGUUAAGCACAGGCCUGACUUCUAAAACCUGAAUAAGGUUGAGGAGAAUCUAGUCAGAGGAGUUAAACUUUCCUACUGCCCUGCAAAAUGCACUGGCAAAAGCAGUCUCAGAUGUGUACCUUCCGGCCAUGUGUCAAUCGCAGACGGGGGUAGUGUUUUAACAAAUCAUCAACAGAUUCGGCGAUGGUUGACCAACUCUGUAAUAAUUUAAGCAAGCACAAUACAAGGGAUAAGAAUUUUCUGACAGGUAAAGUAACAUAAUCUUGUUUAAAAGAUCAGUGAGAAAAGUAAAGAGUCUUUUAAUUUGACUUUAACCAAAAGUAUCUAUUCAUACCUUCUCGUCUACAUUACGGUAGUGUACCGAAACACAGAAUUUGUUGUUCUCAACCUUUGCUCCGCUGAUGUCUUUUGUGAGCUCAACAAGAGAUCUAAGAACCUGUUUGAGUAUAUAUUAAAAACAUAUGUUUUAUACCGAGUAAUGUCACAAAUAGAAAUAAUAAUCUUUUAGCACAAAACUCUUAUUUACCUCCUCGAUCAUUGGUAAGAACUCACUAGCAGGUUGGAAAAGAUUAACUUCCUUGCCCUGUGUUCACAGAAGUUGAUUGUUGUCAGUAGCUCAUAAGACGAGAUGGUUGGAUGUCUCAUUUUUUUCAAUAAAGAUUAGAUUUAGCAUCAUUACCUGCUUGUCAGUAGAUCUAAUACAACUAUAGUCAUCAGAAAUGGCUCGAACAGGGCUCAUUAUAUCCAUGCCGUGACUACCAGCGUAGUAAAGUUCAGAUAGUCCGACAAAGUCAUGUACCUGGACACGAGAAUAUCCAAUCAAUAAGAGAAGAAUCUUGAAAGCCUUAAACAUAGAAAUGAUAAUAUUUAUACAUAAAAAAGAAGUCUAGUUCAAACACACUAAAAUGAAAGCAUUGAUAGGCACCUUAUCACGACUUCUCCCACUAAUAAUUGCUGUGGGAAAAUAUUUAGCCACAUUCCUCACAGCACCACGCAUCUGCAAAAGAGUGACUUAGUGUAAAAAAGGAAUCCUACAAUGAGUGUCGCACAAACUUUCUCCCAUUAAAAAGUUAAAAUACUCACAGCACUAGACAUGAAAGCUCGAUCUGGAUCAUCUACAAUUGGUGAUAAAGUUCCAUCAUAGUCCAGAAAAAGUGCUAAUCUUUUGCCUUUUGCAUAAUUUGUGAUUUGUUCAAAUGAUGAAAGUGCUGAGGGAUACUUGAGCUGCAAAAGCACAAAAAAAAUAUUACAAUACUUCUCUUAUAUUCUUCUGCAAGUAGGAUCCAGACAAAAUAUUGACUAAAUUAGAUUACAAAGAACAUAAAGAGCAUUACCAUCCAUAUGCGGUAGGCAAGAUCAUUUUCAUUUGACGCUAGUUCAGCAGUGGAAUCCUUACUUUUCUUUCUAUGUGUAGGAGAUGAAGAUUUCAUGGCAUCCACCAACCAAGUAUUUGAUCUAACAUCAUCUAAAAUUCCAGGCUUCUUCCUUGGGAUAGUAAGGAAGAGAGUGGGGGAGAAAGUUGGCAAAGCCGGAGAGUAUGGCAUCAAAGCUGAGUGGAUGCCCAAUCUGGACGGAGUCAGUGGGGCAGGAUCGGUGACAACAGGGGAUGUAUUUGAUUUCAGGUCCAUUGUGCCUAGUAUCUUUUUUAUGGCAGAAAAUAAGUUUAAAACUAUGCAAGCAGUUGACAAUGGUUUGAGUAACUCUGCUCUUAAAUUGUUUCACACACUUUUAACCAACCCUUUUGUCGAUGAAAAACCACUUCUUCAAAGUAACCUUAUCACUGCAGCCAGGCGUACGGUCCAUUAAGCAAAAGAGCCCUGGAAACUGACAAUCACCAGACAAUGAGUGAGUUACGGAAAGAAUUCAAUAUCAAAUUCAUAAAUUACGAUCCAAUGUAGAUCUUACUUGCACAUCUUCCCACUUCUUAGCCUCACUUUUCUAGUCAGUCAACAAACUGCAAAAUAUGGUUCAGAAGGAUAUAUAUGUUAAGAAGAUGUACGUCUCAAUAUCACAGAGAUGUAAUAAACGGAUAUGCAGCAUCUAGAAUGCAACAGAACGCCUAGAAAGUUUGUAACAUCAAGCAAUUUGCAUGAUAAGAUUAAUCACAACCAGGAAAAUGGGAAAGAUCGCACCCAAAAAAAAGAAAAGCAAGUAGAACAAGACUUGAAAGAUUUCUAAUAUAAAGAAUGUCAAUCAAUACCAUACACAAAAAAGACAAAUCAAAGGGUUCUGUAGAUUCCAUAUAGCAUACAAUUGAAACACUGCAUGAGUUGCUGUGAACUUAUUAAAGGGCCUAACUACUAACAAACAAUUAUUAACAUUAAUGAAACAGAUACAUUCUCUGAUUACCUUUGAAUGAAUAAAACAACAGGUUAUCUGAGAGGUCUCAUAAAUAAAUUAAACUAAUGGUUCAAAUACUAACUGAUAUUUGGUAAGAAAACUUGACAAUUGGCAGUAGGUAGCUGUUAACCUCCCCAUAGCCCACAACUUGAGAGGAAAAAAACAGCAGAUGCAACCACAUAUUAUGGUCCUACAAAGAAGCAUGGGGAGGCAUUAAAUAUGGACCCCUCCCAUUAAAUUCUAGUAAUAGAACAAAACCAUGACAUUGAAGAUAAACCAAGAAUCAUGCUAAAUACACAUUUCUCCAUAUUAUAGUUGCUUUCAUACACCAACUUGGUGACCACCACCAAGAAAUAGCAAUAUUUGGACAUAAUCGAACCUUUUAUUUUCAAGAACAAUGUUUUCUCUCUUCAAAGAUCAACAUAUAUAUAUCCAUCAACACUUGGAUACAAAGAUAUAAUGUAUUGAUUAUAUCUGUGGAAAAAAAAAUGUAUCGACUUAAUAUUAUUACAGGAAGAAGAAUCUAACAACAAUUAAACUGAAAAUGAUCUUCGAAAAAUUGACAGAUGAACAUGAUAUCCAAAAAUGACAUAUAUAUCACAUCAUACACAGCUCCAUUACAAAAAUAAUGGUAGAAAUAACCGAACUUAUCAAUCACUUGAAACAGCACCACCGAUUUCACAACAUAAUAUCUAACAUUUCUAUUCAAAACAAAAAAAAAAAAAAUAUGAUAAAUAAUUGCGCGAAAUAUAAAAAAGAACUUUUACAAAAAACAGAGUCCCGAAAAAUAAAAAUUUCUUUAUCAAAACGUAAUAUGUACUAACCGGAGUAGGGAUGACAAUUGAAUGCAGCAGUGGAAACGUGUAAAUGGAAGGACGGCCUAAAAUGUGAUAAAAACAAAAAUGUUAUCAUAAAUAUAAAAGCAGAGCCAACGAAGUCGAAGAACAAGACGAUAGGAAAUGACGUCAGCUUACCUCCGGCAACAACGAAACCGUAGAAGAGGAAGAAAAAUCACGGAGAAGGAAAUGUGGGGAAAAAAAGAGAAAGAAGAAAAAAGGAAAGGGUUGUUUAUAUAAUGAGAGACGUGGUGGAGAAGGCAAAGGUUUCCCCCUUUGUAGUUCAAUUCCAACCAAAUCAGAAAAACCCAACCGCGGUUUGACCACGCUUUUCAUUUCCCCAUGGCGUGCGUGACAGUUGAAAAUACACCAACCACCAAACAUUUUAAAUGCAAAUUUACUUUUUCAACUCCUCCUUCCUUUACCAAUGUUGAAAAAAAAAAAUAUAUAUAUAUAUAUUGUAAAGAAAGCUCAGAAUAUAAGAUGAAAAAGACAAGAAGUAUAAGAUAGAGGAGAUAAUUUUCUUAUUCAAGUAUGUUAUCUCUAUUUAUAGUGGUGAAUGAUAUCUCUAUUUAUAGUGUUGAGAUAUCAUAGUCAAAGGUCACCUUGAAAUUUUACAUAGUUAUCAUCAAGGUUCAUAUCACCUUGAUAUCUUAUCACAUUGGAAACACUAAUACAUAAAUCCAAUUAAUUGUUGGAUAACUCUAAUAGAUCAUCCACAUAUACAAUGGAUUUACAACACUCCCCCUUGAUAUCCAUAGAUUAUGUGCCUCGUUAAAACCUUACUAGGAAAAAUCCAGUGGGAAAAAGCCUAGUGAAGGAAAAAGAGUACACAUAUCUCAUAAUACGCUUUGAAUGUUGCCUCGUUAAAAACCUUACCAGGAAAACCCAACUUGGGACAAAACCAUAAUUAAGGAAAAGAGCACAACGCGUAUUUCGCUCCCCCUGAUGAAAACUUUACUUGAUAUCUCGGAGACGGCGCAUUCCAAUCUUGUAUCUCAAUUUCUCAAACGUUGAUGUUGGCAAUGCCUUAGUGAAUAAAUCAGCAAGAUUAUCACUUGAACGAAUUUGGUGAACUUCUAUCUCACCAUUUUGUUGAAGAUCAUGCGUGAAAAAGAACUUUGGUGAGAUAUGCUUUGUCCGGUCUUCUUUGAUGUAUCCUCCUUUCAAUUGACCUAUACAUGCAGCAUUAUCUUCGUACAUUGUGGUUGGUAUAUUCUUUUUCAAAGAAAAACCACACAUUUCCUGAAUAUGAUGGGUCAUUGAUCUCAACCAGACGCACUCUCGACUUGCUUCAUUGAUCGCCAAGAUAUUGUCGUGUCUCCACAUGUAAACAAAUAACCUAUUUGUGAUCGAGCUUUAUGUGGAUCUGAUAAAUAUCCUGCAUCUGCGUAACCAAACAGUUCUGAUUUGGAUUCAUUGGAAUAGAAUAAACCCAUGUCCAUGGUCCUUCGAAGAUAUCGAAGUAUGUGUUUAACACCAUUCCAAUGUCUUUUUGUUGGGGAGGAACUGAAUCUUGCCAGUAGACUUACUGCAAAACAGAUAUAUGGUCGAGUAUUGUUAGCAAGGUACAUUAGUGUCUCGAUCGCACUAAGAUAAGGAGUUUCAUCACCAAGAAGCUCUUCAUCAUUCUCUUGAGGUCGAAAUGGAUCUGUAUUGAUGUCAAGCGAUCUUACCACCAUUGGAGUACUCAAUGGAUGUGAGUUAUCCAUGUAAAAACACUUUAGUAUCUUUUCUGUGUACGUUGAUUGAUGAACAAGUAUUCCAUUUGACAAAUUCUCAAUCUGUAGGCCAAGACAAAAUUUUGUCUUGCCGAGAUCUUUCAUUUCAAAUUCUUUUUUCAGACACUCAACAACUUCUAAAAGCUCUUUAUGAGUGCCAAUGAUGUUCAAAUCAUCAAUAUACACAACUAUUAUUACAAAUUCAGACCCCGACCGUUUAAUGAAAAUGCAGGGACAAAUCGGGUCAUUUUUGUACCCUUUCUUUAACAAAUAUUCACUCAGACGAUUGUACCACAUCCUUCCUGAUUGUUUCAAUCCAUACAGAGAUUUCUGAAGUUUUAUUGAACAAGUUUCUCUUGAAUCUUUGUAUGCUUCAGGCACUUUGAAUGCUUCAGGAAUUUUCAUGAAAAUGUUAUGGUCCAAUGAGCCAUAUAGAUAGGCUGUGACAACGUCCAUUAGACGCAUUUCAAGUUUUUCAUGAAUAGUCAGAUUUAUGAGAUAUCUGAAGGUGAUUGCAUCUACCACUGGAGAAUAUGUCUCCAUAUAAUCAAUGCCAGGUCUUUGAGAAAAACCUUGAGCAAUGAGUCGAGCCUUAUAUCUCAUGACUUCACCUUUCUCAUUUCUUUUUCGUACAAAAACUCAUUUGUACCCCACUGGCUUGAUACCUUCAGGUGUUCGGAUUAUCGGUCCAAAAACUUCACGUUUUUCUAGUGAAGCCAAUUCAGCUUGAAUUGCAUCCUUCCAUUUUGGCCAAUCAUUUCUCUGUUUACAUUCGCGAACAGAUUUUGGCUCAAAAUCUUCAUCUUGUUGCAUUAUUUCAAUAGCAACAUUAUAGGCAAAUAUGUUGUCAAUCACAACAUUAUUUUGGUUCCACAACUUUCUUGUCGAGACAUAAUUCAUUGAAAUUUCAUUAUUUUCAGAAGUUCAAACCUCUUCAUCAUCAUGUGUUAUGACUUGGGUCUCAUCUUGAGAAAUUUCUUUCAACCCAUGAUCAUCUUGAUCAUUUAUUCCUUUUCUCUUUCGAGGAUUUUUAUCCUUGGAACCAAUCGGUCUACCACGCUUCAAAUGUGGUCUAGACUCAUUUUCCUUAACAAUUUGUCCCGUCGGGAUAUCAACUCGAACUGGAGCAUUAACAGCUGGAUUAUGCGAUUUAGUAAUCCUUGGAAGAUUAGUAAAUGCAUCUGGUAGCUGAUUUGCAAUGUUCUGCAAAUAAAUUAUUCUUUGAACUUCUUGCUCACAUUGGUUUGUUCGAGGAUCCAGAUGAGAUAGAGAUGAUGAAUUUCAAUCUAUCUCUUUUCCUAAUGACUUAUGUUCUCCCCCUAAUGUUGGGUAUACUGAUUCAUCAAAAUGAAAAUCAGCAAAUCUUGCCUUAAAUAAAUCUCCAGUCGUAGGCUCCAAAUAUUUUAUGAUUGAAGGAGAUUCAUAACCAACAUAUAUCCCCAACCUUCUUUGGGGCCCCAUCUUUGUGCGUUGUGGUGGAGCAAUUGGGACAUACACCGCACAUCCAAAAACUCUAAGAUGGGAAAUGUUUGGUUCUUGACCAAAAGUAAAUUGUAAUGGGGAGAAUUCAUGAUAAUUGGUCGGCCUUAUGCGCACAAGUGUUGCUGCAUGCAAAAUAGCAUGCCCCCACAUAGACACAGAUAACUUUGUUCUCAUUAGUAAUGGUCUAGCUAUUAAUUGCAGACGUUUAAUCAAUGAUUCUGCUAGACCAUUUUGAGUGUGAACAUGAGCAACUGGACGUUCAACUGUUAUACCAGUAGACAUACAAUAAUCAUUAAAUGCUUGAGAUGUAAACUCACCAGCAUUAUCUAGACGGAUUGUCUUUAUUGUUUAGUCUGGAAAUUGUGCUUUCAAUCUUAUUAUUUGAGCCAACAAUCUCGCAAAAGCCAUGUUGCGAGUUGAUAAUAAACACACAUGUGACCAUCUUGUAGAAGCAUCUAUCAAGACCAUAUAAUAUUUAAAGGGUCCACAUGCAGGUUGAAUUGGUCCACAUAUAUCACCCUGUAUACGUUCCAAAAACGCAAGAGAUUCAAUUCCAACCUUAACUGUUGAUGGUUUAAUGAUCAACUUUCCUUGAGAACAAGCAGCACAAGAGAAUUCCUUUGAUUGAAGAAUAUUUAGGCUCUUUAAGGUGUGCCCAUGUGAAUUCUCUAUUAUUUUGCGCAUCAUAUUAAAUCCGGGAUGGCCCAACCGGUCAUGCCAAAUGAUAAAAUCAUUAAAAUUAGUAAACCUUUUGUUUACUACGGCAUGUGAUUAAACUGUACUUAUACUUGUAUAGUACAACCUAGAAGAAAAUGCAGGUAAUUUUUCAUGCACAAUUUUCUUCUCUACAUUAAUUGUAGUAAUGUAAAGGUAUUCAACCUUUCCUUCAUUAGCCGUCUCAACAUGAUAGCCAUUUUGGCGAAUAACUUUGAAACUUAAUAAGUUUCUUUGAGACUUACUACAAUAUAAUGCAUUAUCAAUGCUUAAUAUUGUCCCUCCAGGUAGUAAUAAGGUCGCUCUUCCAGAGCCCUUAAUUAAUUUUGUACUACCUGAUAUUGUGUUGACAUAUGCCAUUCUCAUAACCAAAUUAGAAAAAUAUUUCUUUUCUUUUAAUAUUGUAUGCGUUGUAGCACUAUCAAGAAGGCAUACAUCUCCAUUACUCAUCUUGAAUCCAACCGACAACUGGGGAUUUCUAUUAAUUUUCAUUAAAAUAAAAUACAUCAAAAGAAGGAAGAAACAAAAUUAACAACGGAAAUUUAAAUACUUCAACAUUAAUAACAUAAUAAUUAAAAAUACAUAAGUAAAAUAUUAACAAAUUUCAUUCCCCAGCUAAAAGAUCAAACAUUAGUUUCGAUCUCCAAAGAAGUCAUCAACUUCCAUAUGAGUAAUGUCACCAAGGCCAUCAAAAACAUCAUCCUUUAAAGCCAAAUUUGCUUCAACAUCUUUAUCAUAUUUCUGAGAUGUUCCAGGCUUAUCACCAUCUUUAAGAGUCAUAUGUGACUCAGCUCGAGCAUUGGAAGAGGAAGCACCACUUUUAUUUCCUUUCUUUUUAAAGGAAUUUUGAUAGAGCCUUACAAAAUGUUCAUGCGUGCGACAUUCAUUCUUCCAAUGACCUUUCAUGCCACAACGACGACAAUUACUUUUUGAGGGGGUAUUUUGAGAACUCAUGAUGUUCUCCCUUUUAUUAUGACCACCACCUUGACGAUUAGGGUAUCGUAUUUUAUCUUUGCCACGUCCCCGUGCAUUAUUAUAUCCCCGAUGAUCAUCUCUUUUUACUUCAGAUUGAUCACGUGCUUCCACCACAUUUGCCUCCGGUAAUGGAGCAGCUCCAGUGGGACGAGCUUCAUGAUUUUUCAUUAAAAGAGCAUUAUGUUGCUCAGCCACCAAAAGACAUGAGAUUAGUUCAGAAUAUUUCUGAAAACCCUUUUCACGAUAUUGCUGCUGCAAUAUCACAUUCGAGGCAUGAAAAGUAGUAAGUGUCUUUUCCAACAUGUCCUCAUCUUUUAUAGUCUCCCCACAUAAUUUCAACUGGGAGGUUAUCCUGAAUACAGCAGAGUUGUAUUCAAUUACGGUCUUAAAAUCUUGAAACCGUAAAUGCAUCCACUCAUAACGAGCUCUUGGCAACACUGUUGCCUUUAGGUGGUCAUAUCUCCCCCUUUAAAUCAGUCCACAAUUCAAGUGGAUCUUUCACCGUCAGAUAUUCAAUCUUCAGGCCCUCAUCAAGAUGAUGAUGAAGGAAAAUCAUAGCCUUCGCCUUAUCUUGACUCGAUGCUUCAUUUCCCUGAGUAAUAGUGGCAUCAAGACCUUUAGCAGCCAAGUGAAUCUCAGCAUCGAGUACCCAUGAAAGAUAAUUCUUUCCAGAAAUAUCUAAUGCCACAAACUCAAGUUUGGAUAAGUUCGACAAAAUGAAAAUUAUGAGAGAAUAUGUGAAUUAAAUAAAAAUAUUUUUAUAGUACCUUUGCAAGUAACAAUCUCGUGUUGAUAACGUGUUGUAAAGAAAACUCAGAAUAUAAGAUGAAAAAGACAAGAAGUAUAAGAUAGAGGAGAUAAUUUUCUUAUUGAAGUAUGUCAUACAAUGGUGAAUGAUAUCUCUAUUUAUAGUGUUGAGAUAUCAUAGUCAAAGGUCACCUUGAAAUUUUACAUAGUUAUCAUCAAGGUUCAUAUCACCUUGAUAUCUUAUCACAUUGGAAACACUAAUACAUGAAUCCAAUUAAUUGUUGGAUAACUCUAAUAGAUCAUCCACAUAUACAAUGGAUUUACGACAAUAUAUAUAUUUGCUUUGUACAUUAAUAUUUUUUUUAAUAUUCUGUUCGUAUAAGUUAGAAAGAAAAUGAAAAAUGUUUCACUUAGCAAAUAGUCUUUUACUAAAACAGCAAUCUUAAUUGUUGUUAUUAGUCACUAUUAGCAUAAUUUUGACAAUUUAAUAAUAAGAGGUUGAAAUUGAUGCAUGGAACAUCAAACUUUCCCCUCUUGGACUGGCUUCCCUGCGCACUGAAUUUACUAAUAUCAACCAAUAACUCAGGCUCCACCAACAUUUUUCCUGCCAUCACUUUGAAUUGACCAGUAGGAGAUCCUUUAAUAGCCAACUUCAUUUUCCUCUAUUGGAGGCUCGCUCCAGACACUUAUAAUACACGAGAUAUAUAGAGGAUGAAAUUGGAUUAAAGGCGUUUUUGAUAUGAGACUGAAAGAUUAUGCGAGUAUUAACUAUUUUAUGUAGUAUAUUAUUUAGGCGUUAGUUCUAUAUCAUUUAAUUAUUUAUUUUAAUUUUUUAUCCUCGUAUAAAAUAAUAAUAUAAACUACCAAGCUAAGCAGGGCCCCCCCCCCUACCAUAACCAAGAAAUAUUGAGAAGGAAAAAAUCGACGCGAUGACACGUGGAAAAGAGACUUUAAUGUUGAAGGACACCUGUGAUUGUGUCAGGAUGACGUGGCCACGUUACUUGUGGGUCCCAAUGACUUAGUGUGGUCAUUUUCAUGCCAGCUGGGCUCGACUGCGGUUAAAAAACUCAAGGAUUGGGUGGCACAAAAUGUUCAAAUACGUGGGACCCAUUCUUGUUUUGACCCGACCCAUCAUGCCAAAAAUACUACUAUUACCGGUUACAUUUGAGAAUGUUUUUUUUUAUAAAAUUAUGACUACUUUUAAGUUUUAACAUCUUACACCCUCCUUGUUUUCUAGCAUACACUGGGAGUGGGACCAUGAAAUUAAAACACAAAAGAGAACCUCACUCAUAAUGUUUUCUAUACACUAUUGAUAAUCUUCAUAAAUUUUUGAUAUACUAAAUAAAAUUUAAUACAAACAAGAUAUUGAUAGUGUUAUAAAGUAAGUAUUUGAAUAUGUGAAUUUAUCUUAAAUUCUUUGAAAAGUUUAAUCUGAGUAUUUCAUGUUUUUUAAAUAAAAACGCUUGACAAAUUUAUAUUAAUAAAGAAAAUCAUUUUUAUCUACUGGUUAUUUAUUUAAUAUGUAAAUAAAAGUUAUAGCUGAUAUUAUUAUUUUUAUCAAUCUAUAAAUUAUUUAUAUAGAAUUUAACAAUUACUUUUAUCAAUUAAGUUUUAUAUUAUUUCAAAUCAACGUUUAUCAGAUAAGAGGCUCAUGUUAUUAAAGAAUAGCACACUAUAAUUUAUGUUUAAUCUUUUUUUAUUGAAUUAGAAUUUGAUAUUCUUUCGAGGACGUCCGAUAAAAAAAAUUAAAGUUCAAUUAAUAUAUAUUUUUUAAAAAUAACUUUAUGAUAGCAUAUUAUAUUUUUAUUAUGAAUUUCUGCUUAUUUAAUAAGAUUAUAUUUAAAGUUUGAGAUUUUUUAAAAUAUAAUUCUCAAAGUUUAUCGGGGGUGGGCAGGUUAUAUUUAUGAGCAAAUAUACUAUUUAAAAAAUAUGAAUUGCAUGCUAAAAAAAAUUCAAUCUCAUAUCGUAUAAUUUAGUAUCAUAAUUUCACAUCAUUUGGUUAAACGUCGCAUAAAUAUUGGUCAAUGAUAAGAUAAAGUAUAUGGACCAACUAAUAAAAAUGGUAAAUAAAUAAGUAAUUUUUUACACCGAAGACAUCCAAAGUAUAUGGACCAACUAAUAAAAAUGGUAAAUAAAUAAGUAAUUUUUUACACCGAAGACAUCCAAAGUAUAUGGACCAACUAAUAAAAAUGGUAAAUAAAUUAGUAAUUUUUUACACCGAAGACAUCCAAAGUAUAUGGACCAACUAAUAAAAAUGGUAAAUAAAUAAGUAAUUUUUUACACCGAAGACAUCCAAAGUAUAUGGACCAACUAAUAAAAAUGGUAAAUAAAUUAGUAAUUUUUUACACCGAAGACAUCCAAAGUAUAUGGACCAACUAAUAAAAAUGGUAAAUAAUUAAGUAAUUUUUUACACCAAAGACAUCCAAAGUAUAUGGACCAACUAAUAAAAAUGGUAAAUAAUUAAGUAAUUUUUUACACCAAAGACAUCCAAAGUAUAUGGACCAACUAAUAAAAAUGGUAAAUAAAUUAGUAAUUUUUUACACCAAAGACAUCCAACAUUGCUUAAUUCACACAACUUUUUCUUUUCCAGUCAAUCGACUAUAAACCUCAACUUUGACUCGAUCUGAUAUUUUUAUUUUAAAGUCGCAUAAUCAUCUUGAAAAAGAUUAUUUAAUAAUAAAAAGAUUAAUUAUAUCAUUUUUCAUUUAAUAUUGAUAAUUAUAUAAAAAAUUUCAAAUUUCUAAUUAAAAUUUAAAUUAAUAAAUUUUUAGAGUUAAUUAAAACUAAAACAAUCCUAUCAUUACCACACAAACUAUUAUAAAGUUCUAUCAUUAUUUUUUUUCAAACUUGAAUAUUAAUUCAAGUUGGAUUAGUGGAUAGUACUUGUGUCUCGUGAGUGAUUACGUGAAUCUUUGAUUGAUUGCUGGUGCUAUUUGUGGGUCCCAUCCCAGCUGGAAAUGAGUUUUAAAUAGAAUCAUUAGGUCAUACGCAAAAAUUAAAAAUUCCAUCCGUCCACAUUUGUUUGACACGUAUAUUAAAAAUAGAUAUGUAAAAUUAAUUGUUAAUUUAAACAGUUAAAAAAUAAUUUUUUUUUAUUUUUCUCUUAAUAUUGCUUAAUUCUGUUUAAUUAAAAAGUUAUGUAAACUUUUAAUAUUCUUAAUAUAUUAGGGUUAUAUUAAUUAAAUUACACCUUGUAUUAAAUUUUCCUUAACAUGACCUUACUUGAUAAAUAAUUAUGGACGGAGGGCGUAAAUAACAAACCCGACAGAUUAAAUUAUUUUAAAGUUAUAAUUUUUUAAUUAAUUCAAUUAAUGUAAGAUACAUUAAAAAAUUAAGUUUGGUAUCAUAUUCACACGUUAUUAUUUGAAAAUAUGAACCUAUCGUAAAAUUAGUUAUAUCUUAAUCAAACAAAAUGUAAAUUAAUAUUUUAAAUAUCUUAUGAAAUAAAAUUUCCGAAAAUCAUUUGGUACAGGAGAUAAAAAAAUUGAAAUACUAUUAUCAUAUACUUGAUUUAAGAAAUUAACACUCUUGAAAUUAUUUUCUCUUACUACCUAUACUUGGAAUAAUAAAAUUACUAUCACAUAUAAAAAAUAAAUAUAAAAGAUCUAAAUCCAAAAAAAUAUUUUUGAUUUAUGGAUGAGAAAGGAAAGAGAUUAAAAAAGGAAAAGGAAAAAGAAAAAAAACGGUAUACAAGUGAGAUUUGGUAUGCAAGUACAUGUGGGGUCUCUCUAAAGAUCCUUUAAUGUUUGCUUCUUUUUGGAACAGACGACGCGUCUUUUUUUGGUCAUUUUCCGCCGAAACAAAUUAUUUUUCAAAAUUCAAUUUAAAUUUUACUAAUUCUUAUAUUUAUAAAAUUACUUGUUAUAAUAAAUUAUAUUAUAGUAUAAAUUACAUCUAAAUUACAUUCUAUCCCUACUAAUUUUCAAUUUACAAAAAUCCCUUAAAAUAUCAUACCUAUCUUUUAGAUACAUUAUAUGUGAUUUAUUAUAAACAACUGUUUGUUGAGCUUAAAAAAGAACAAAUCAGGUAAAAAUUAUUUUUACUUAUCUUAAUUAAUGCGCCUAAAUGUAUUUUUACUUAUUUUAAUCUCGUUGAUUAACGCCUAACUGAUUCUUAAUAAGUUCAUAUCUCAAUAGGUAACAAAUUCACAAAUAUCAAAUCUCUAAUUUACAUCUUCUUCAUUGAACAACCAUUAAUCUCAAAAAAGUGAUAAUCUUAAAAAAUUUGAAGAAGUUGCUGAUAAAAAAGAUGAAUAUAUCAAUUUUGUUGAGAUCUUCAAAAAAAUUGGGGGAACGAGGUGAGUUAUGAAUGUUAUUAAAUUGAUGAAAUCUCUAAAAAAAUUUCAUUGUGCUUGGUAUAUUUGUAUUUUGUCCAAUCAAAAUUGAUAAGAUUCAAGCUAAAUAUUUUCAUCUUAUUGAGUCAGUCGGGAGUCUGAAAAAUUGAGAUUAGAUAUGAACGGUAUCAAAGUGAAAGUGAAGCAAAUGUAUAAGGAUAAAACAAUUUUGAUGGGUGCAAUGACAAAAUACAAAAUAAAACAUAAUUUCAAUUUUAAAUUAAAAAAUUUGUGAUUUUGUAGUAUGUGUUGUGUAUCAAAUCAUCUGCUACAUUAUGUGUUCGUAGAUAAAUAAUAAUACGAUUGUGCCAAUGCAACUUGCGUUGCAUCCAAAAGAAGCGAGUGGCGGUGGUGGGACUAAUAUCAAUUAUUAGAUGAUACUAUGAUUGUAUGAUGACGCAAAUUGUAGUUUAAUUAAUGGGUAGAAAAAUUCAUUCGAUGAAUUAAUUUAUAAUAAAUAGAUAUAAAUUGCAUUAGAUGAUGAAUUCAACUGAGAAAGAGAUCAAGUAGCCUCCUUUUUGAGAUAUCACAUUAGUCGCACGCUAACUAAGAAAGAUCAGGUGGAAUUAUAUAGAAUAUUUUUGAUAUAUCAACUCAGUCAUCUUUCAGUUUAAAAUGCUUAUUUAAUUUAUAUUUUUUUACAAUAAUUUUUCUCAUGAAAAUGUAUAAAUUGGACCCACCGAUUUUGAAAGAAAUGGUUUGAAACGACAUGUAUCACAUGCAAUGCUAUUCAUUUGCCAAACGUUACAGAGAAAAACUCUAUUGGCUAUAUUAAAUGUAACAAUUAUAUUCUAGAAGAAAGCUUUUGUAAUAUGAAUGUAAAUAAAUACUUAUGAAACCUGAAUGGAAGAUACUUUUGGCAAAAAGAAAAUAAACGUUUUAGAAAAGUGAAAGAGUCCAAAUGUAGGUAAUGCAUGCGUGUUGCCUACUUGGAUGUGUACAAAGCUGAGUCUACGCUGAGGCAUCACAACUCACACAAAUCCAAUUUUUGAUAGUAGAAAUUAAAGAAAAUUGACUACGUCAAUUACUUAGAUAAAAAUAGAACGUACGUUGUUAAUAUGUUAUCAGAGUUUGAUUCAUCUCAAUUCGCGUGUAUUAGGAGGAGACAUAUCACAUAUGUUUAUAUGAUGAAAUGAGUGAAUGGGGAAGGUGGACCAAACAUUCUUACUUUAGGGAAGGUCGAAUAGAAGGAAGUGAGGGUGGACCAAACAUAAUUUAGGUAUCAAGAACGAGGCAGUAUGAUUUAUACAACGAAAAGGAAAUAAAUGUGACAGGGAUCUAAAUUACCAGCUUAUUAUUAUUGUCACUCUCCUAACUGGUGGGGAUUCAUUUUUUUUUUAUAUGAGUUGUCCAAUUCUGUCACUGCCAUGGGACAAUGAUUUAGAUCAGACAGGAAAGGGUCAAAUAUAUCACUACUAGCUUAAAUAUAUCUUUCUUUAUAUUUCUUUUAUUAUACGUUUAGUUUAAAUAUAUUGAUAUAUGAGAAAUAACGUAAAGAAAUAGAUCGUAUAUACUCAAAUUGUUACGUAUUUUUUUAUAAUGUAUUGUAUUAUAUUGUAUGAUGUUAUAUUGUAUUGUAUUAUUUUAAUAAAUAUAAUAUUUAGAUAAAUUACAUUGUUCUUCAUCAUCAUAUAGGUCACAUAUCAAUAAUUUAAAUGAUAAAUCUACUAGAAAAAUAAAAUAUGGUAUGUUAAAGGAUAACAUAAGAUUAUUAUAUAAUAGGUAAAGACAAAUUAAGGAAAAAUAUAUUAAGAUAGUGACGUGACAAACCAAGCUAGCGUUUGACCUACUACAACAAAAAUAAUUUUUAACGACAAUAAAUAGACACAUUAAUGAAGAACAUUAAAGUUUUUAUCGACAUUAGUUAAAUGUCAUUAGAUUCAAUGUCGUUAAAUCCUUUAGGGACAUAUACAAAGAGUGUUAAUUACCGCUAAAAAUACAUAUUUAGUGAUAAUUGCUAAUUAAUUACCGCUAAAACUCAUUUUUGAUAUAAUGACCAAAGAUUUUCAAAUAUUCUUGACAAAUAUUAUUUGGAUGAAAAUUUAGAUGAAAUUUCACUAUGUAUUUGAUCGUAGUAUUUGAAAAACAUAUUUUAUUUUUAAUAGAAAAAUAUACUCAAAAGUUUUUAAAAUUAUCAAAACUAACCACAAAUUUGUAGUACAAGUCAAUUGGAUCUUCGUUGCUACAAAUAACAAGUAACGUUCAUGACAUUAAUUAGAGCAAUGUGGUAGUUUGGAGUGAGUGGAACGAUCAUCAUUUCAUAUAUCAUGAAAUAGACAAAGCACAUGACUUUGUAACUCUGAGCCGAUUGUUCAUCAUUUUCAUCAAUAACCAUAUCAUCAUUUUCAUAUUAACUUUAGAACGUUUCAUCACUAAUUUGGUUUACGUAAAAAAGUUAUGUAAUACAACAGAACAAUUACUAUAGAGGAUAUUUUUAUAAAAGAUAAAAUUUGACAUAAAAUUCAAUUUUUGAAAGAACCCAAAUAAUGAGAUUUGACCCAAAUAUUAAGGAAAAAAUAGUUAUUUUUGAGAAUUUGAGAUAUUUGCCAAGAAUAUUUGUCAAUUAAUCAUAAAUUGCAUGGACAAUCACUAUUUGUCAAUUUCUUUUCUCAAAUAUUACUUGAAAAAUCUAUGACCAAACGAGUCUCAAAUAAGUCGUUGCAUAAAAUAUUUUUUUUUGUGGUUACCUUACAAUGAAUUAAUUGUACUAUAUAAUUCUAUUGAAGAUAAAUAAUGUUAUAAGUAGUUAGCUAAUUAUUAAUAUUGUUAGGAUUUAGUUAAAGGUUAGUUAGAAAGUUUGUUACUAUUUCUUCUACUUGUAUAAAUAGUAUUCCUCCCACAUCGGGUGAGGAACAAUUGUUCAUUUUUCUUCAAUAUAAAAAUUCCCAAAUCUCUCAUCUCUCUCAAUCUUUACAUGGUAUCAGAGCUGUGAAUCAAUAGUUUUUUGAUUCAAUCUAAUAGUUCGAUUCUGAUUUUGAAGUCAAGCAGAAACAGAGCUUCAGUAGCUUGUAAUGGUGAUCGAAAGUGCAACGCCAGUGGCUCAAUCGUCUGCAUCAGUUCCUGCAGCAGAAACACUUGAGAUGGUAGAAUCAAAGAGAAAUCAUCCUCUUCAUCUUCAUCCUUCAGACACUCCUGGAUCUUUAUUGACUACAGUUCAACUUACUGGUUCAGAAAACUACUCUUUAUGGAGUAGAUCGAUGAUUAUAAACCUCCGAGCUAAGAGCAAGCUUGGUUUUGUGCUUGGAACAUGCAGAAAGAGUGAUUAUACGCCUAAGUUGGAAGAACAGUGGGAAAAAUGCAAUGCAUUUGUCUUAGCAUGGAUCAUGAAUACAAUUUCGAAAGAAUUGUUAAGUGGAAUUGUAUAUGCUUCAGAUGCUGCAAUGGUGUGGGAGGAUCUGAAGGAACGAUUUGAUAAGGUGGAUGGUUCUAGAGUGUAUCAACUUCAUAGGGACAUAUGUACAAUUCAUCAAGGUAACCUAACUGUUUCAGCCUAUUUUACCAAGUUAAGGUUGCUUUAGGAUGAAUUUGAUGCACUUGUUCCACCUCCUUCAUGUAAUUGUGAUAGAUCUAGAAUAUAUGUGGAUCAUAUGCAUUAUCUGCGAUUGUUUGCAUUUCUAAUGGACUUAAGUGAGAUCUAUGGCCCUGCACGAAGUCAGAUAUUAAUGAUGAAUCCUUUGCCAACUGUUGGCAAAGCAUAUGCCAUGAUAGUUUCAGAUGAAAAUCAAAGGAUCACUUCUGGCUUGCGAAAUGGAGGAGAUGUAAUUGAGGCCACAACAUUAUAUGCAAACAGAAGUGGUUAUGGUUAUAGAAACACAGAUCGUGGUAAUGGAGACAAAGGUGAAUAUAAUAGAAGUGGUUAUGGCUAUAGAAACACAGGUCGUGGUGAUGGAGAUAAAGGUUACAAUGGUAAGAAGAAAGUAAAUUGGAACUUAUUCUGUGUACACUGCAAGUUGCAUGGACACACUAAAAAUAUCUGUUAUAAGUUGGUAGGAUAUCCUGAAGAUUGGAAGUUCAAAAGGAAAUCAGAUACUGAAAUGACUGUAAACAAAGGAAAAGGCAUAGCAAAUAAUGUACAAGUUGAUAAAAAUGGUGAGGAAGAUGUGUUUGGAGUAGUUAAUGAAGGAGAUAAAAAUGAACAAGGAUCACAUGAUCUCAAUUCUGUUCGAACAAGCUUACAAGCACUGGCAAUGAAAUCGACAUACACUCCUGACCAAUAUCGAAAGAUAAUGAAGCUAUUGAAUAAAGAAAAGCAGGCUGAGGUCAACAUGGCAGGUAUUUCCAAUGAUUUUGAUUCUUUACUAGAAUGUGAUAGAAGAAGAAGUUAUGAUGAUGCUAUGAAUGCAAGUAAUGAACAUAAUAUCUUUAGCAAGAAAGGUCAUUGGAUAGUGGAUUCAGGAGCUACAUGUCACAUGACAUCUAAAUUUGAAAAUUUAGAUAAGAUUAGCAGAAACAACAAGAAUACAGAAAGAAAGGUUUAUCUGCCUAAUGGUCAAACUACAUUAGUGACACAAUCAGGAGCAUGCAUGAUAUCAGCUAAUCAAGAACUUGAAAAUGUUCUAGUUGUUCCUGAACUUAAACAUGAUCUAUUAUCAGUAUCCCAAUUAACAAGACAGUUAAAGUGUUCUGUUCAAUUCUUUCCUGAAUUCUGCAUAUUUCAGGACCUCUUCAAUGGAGAGGUGAAGGGGAUUGGUAAAGAAAAUGAUGGGUUAUGUUACUUUCCUAGAAAUUUGUCAGAAGAAAAGACAGUUACUGCAAAUGUUGAUGACAGAAGGUCCAUGAACAAGGCAAAUUCACAGUUUAUGAUAUGGCAUUACAGAAUGGGACAUCCUUCAUAUAAAGUCUUAAAGCAAUUGUAUCAAAGUGUUCCUGCAGGAGUAUGUGAUGAUUGCCCUAUAUGUCCAUUAGCCAAACAAACCAGGCUUACAUUUCCUAUGAGUAGCUCUAGAACUGAUGAUGUUUUUUAUCUGAUUCAUCUUGAUGUAUGGGGACCAUAUAGACAUACUACUCAUAAUGAUUUUAGAUUCUUUUUGACUUUUGUGGAUGAUAAUUCAAGGGUGACUUGGUUGUUUUUACUAAGACAUAAAAGUGAUGUGCUUGCUAUCUUGAAGUCCUUUUUUGUGUUAGUUAAAACUCAGUUUGAUAAGCAAAUCAAAAGAGUAAGAUUAGACAAUGGUACAGAGUUCUUUAACAAUGAAUGCAAAACAUUGUUUACUUCUUUAGGAAUUGUUCAUGAAAGUAGUUGUCCACACACUCCACAACAAAAUGGAGUGGUGGAAAGGAAGCAUAGACAUAUUCUUGAAGUGGCAAGGGCUCUUAGAUUUCAAGGGUCCAUUCCUAUUAAAUUUUGGGGUGAAUGUGUGUUAGCUGCUGUAUAUUUGAUCAACAGAAUGCCUACAAGUGUAUUACAGGGAAGGUCACCAUAUGAAGUCUUUUACAAGACUAAACCACAAUUAGAUCAUCUAAGAACAAUUGGAUGCUUAAGUUAUGCAACUAAAGCUGUUAAGGAAGAUAAGUUUUCUUCCAGAGUUGAUCAAUGUGUUAUGAUGGGUACUCUUUAACUCAGAAGGGAUAUAUGCUAUACAACCUGGCUCUAAGAAAGUUUAUUGUGAACAGAGAUGUAGUCUUCAAAGAACACAUAUUUCCAUUCAGUCAGCUGAAGGAUGAGAAUGUGAGAGUGUUCAUUGAACAACCAUUUUGUGACUAUGACAUUGCUGAAGUUCAUACACCAUUAGAUGUUGAGACUUCAGAUGAACAUGCUGAACAAACACUUGUUCCUACUGAGCAUGUUUCUGAGAAUAUUACUGAAGAGCAUGGUGAUGACAAUAUGGUUGAUGUGCCUAGUCCUGUGCCCAGAGUUUCUUCAAGAAUGUCUCAUCCACCCGUGUGGAUGAAGGAUUAUGUUACUCAUCUGACUAAUUCAAUCCAUCCUCAUUCUUUAGCCAACUAUAUGUCAUAUAGUCAUUUGUCUGGAUCUUAUCAGACAUAUUUGAGUACAAUGUCUGCAGAAGUUGAACCCAAAACAUAUGAAGAAGCUAUCCAAAAUCAAAGAUGGGUAGAAGCCAUGAAACAAGAGAUUAUUGCAUUAGAAGAUAAUAGUACAUGGGAGGUUGUGACUUUACCUUCAGGGAAACAUGCCAUAGGCUGUAAAUGGGUGUUUAAAAUAAAAUACAAAGCCACUGGAGAGAUUGACAGGUUUAAAGCUAGGCUUGUAGCUAAAGGAUACAGUCAAACUGAGGGAGUUGAUUAUCAGGAAACAUUUUCACCAGUUGUGAAAAUGGUUACUGUUAGAACUAUUAUUGCAAUUGCAGCUGCUGAAAAUUGGCAAAUAUUUCAGAUGGAUGUUUUCAAUGCCUUUUUACAAGGUGAUUUGGAUGAAGAAGUAUAUAUGGAACUUCCUAAAGGUUUCAUAAGCAAGGGGGAACAUAAAGUUUGUAAACUAAAAAAGUCAUUAUAUGGUCUCAAGCAAGCAUCUAGGCAAUGGAAUGUUAAGCUCACUGAUGCAUUAUUGAAUUCUGGAUACAUACAAAGUCAUUUGGAUUACUCCUUGUUUACAAAGAGGAAGAAGUCAGCACUAGUUAUUGUGUUUAUUUAUGUGGAUGAUUUGUUGAUUACUGGAAAUGAUUAUGCACUGAUACAGGAGACAAAGCAGGUUCUGCAUCUUCAUUUUAAAAUAAAGGAUUUGAGAGAAUUGAGGUACUUCUUGGGAAUAGAAUUCUGCAGAUCAGAACAAGGCAUAGUGAUGAAUCAAAGGAAAUAUGCAUUAGAGUUAAUUUCAGAAACAGGAUUAUCAGGAGCUAGACCAUCUUUAACACCUUUGGAGACAAAUAUGAAGCUUACAAGUGCUGAUUAUAUGCAAGAUGUCCAUGAUGAACUAUUUACUGAUAUAAACAAAUAUCAAAGGUUGAUUGGCAAACUACUAUACCUUACUAACAUAAGGCCUGAUAUUGCUUUCUCAGUUCAGUGUUUAAGUCAAUUCAUGCAAAAACCAACACUUUCUCACUGGAAUGCAACAUUGAAGGUGGUUAAAUAUGUUAAAACAGCACCAGGUCUGGGGAUACUCAUGAGCUCUGAUAAACAAGCACAGCUCACUAAUUUUUGUGAUGCAGACUGGGCUGCCUGUCCAAACACCAGAAGAUCAGUGACUGGCUAUCUCUUGAAGUAUGGGAAAUCUUUAAUAGCAUGGAAGUCUAAGAAACAAAAUACAGUUUCUAGAAGUUCUGCAGAAGCAGAAUAUAGAAGCUUAGCAACAUUAACAGCUGAAGUUGUUUGGGUGAACAACUUGUUCAAGGAAUUGGGAAUGAAUGUGCAUGAACCAGCUAUCAUACAUUGUGACAACAAAGCUGCUAUGCAAAUAGUAGCAAAUCCAGUUUUUCAUGAACGUACAAAACAUAUUGAGAUUGAUUGUCAUUUUAUCCGUGAAAGGUUACAACAAGGAUUGAUCAAGACAAGCUACAUCAAUACUAAGGAGCAGCAAGCAGAUUUGUUAACAAAGGCCUUAGGAAGAUCUCAACAUGACUUCUUAUUGGCCAAGCUAGGUGUAUUAAAUGUUUUCAAUACAUCUAGCUUGAGGGGUACUAUUGAAGAUAGAUAGUGUUAUAAGUAGUUAGCUAAUUAAGUGUAAUUAGUUUGUUAUUAAUAUUGUUAGGAUUUAGUUAAAAGUUAGUUAGAAAGUUUGUUACUAUUUCUUCUACUUGUAUAAAUAGUAUUCCUCCCACAUCGGGUGAGGAACAAUUGUUCAUUUUUCUUCAAUAUAAAAAUUCUCAAAUCUCUCAUCUCUCUCAAUCUUUACAAAUUCUAUCAAAUUUAAGCAUCAAUUAAAGCACAUAAUUUUUUAAAAAAAAUUAACAAUACAAUACAUUACAACACGUAGCAAUCAUCCAAAGUCCAAAAAAGGAACUAAUUAAAAUAAAAAUUUUAGAUACUUAUCAAUAUCACUGUCUAUGAAAAAUUAUAAUGAUAUUUCGUACAUCCUUAGAUUUUUUUAGUAAAAACAAAAGAUCGUACUAUUAUACGUGCAAUACACACCGUCGUAUACAAACUGGUGGAUAUUAAUAAGACAACUUAUGAUUAUACAAUUUCACUUGAAAUAAGGAAGGCAACGUUUAUACAAAUUAGAAAUUUCUAUUUGAGAAGACGUGUGCUAAUCUAAUAAAUUAGUACUCUCUGUCCAAAAUUGUUUGUCAUGUUUCGUUUAUCGAAAGUUAAUUUGAAUAAUUUUCAAAGGUAAUUAGAUCGCAUUAAUUUGAUAUUUUAAACAAAAAAAUAAAUAUUCCAAAACUAUAUGAAAAACACUAUAAAUUACAACUUUUUGUAUAUUAAUAUCAAGAAAAAGUAUAUCUUAAAAUAUUAGUCAAAAUUUAUAUAAUUUGACUCUAACUAUGACAAGUAAACCGGAUGGAGGGAGUAGUAAACUAGUAAUAGUUUUAAUUUCAUGUCCUUGGGUAAGAAUUUAGUAUUUACUCCUUUGCUUAUGUUUACUUAUUUAUUUAAUUUGACACAUCUUAUAAAUCGUCUCACUAAUUAGGAAAUAAAUAAAAACUUACUAAUAAAAAUAAAAUAGAUAUAAUGUGAUAAAUUAUUUUUUAAUUAUUUAAAUUAAACGAAUAAAUAUGAACAUUUAUUUUUAGUAUAUGAAAUAAGUAAAAGACUAUAUAAGCCCCUCCUAUUAAUUGAUGCGCUGGUGAGGUCGAUAGAAAGCAAAUCAUAGACAUAAUAAUCGAUUAGAAAAAUCCUAUAUAUAAUUUUUUUAUAAAAAAAUAAUUGUAGACAUCAUUAAAAUGACGUAUUGGUAAAACUUCACUUCUCAAACGUGUCUGCUGCUCAGGGUUUGUUAUUUUGAUGGACUGCUGGAAGUUGAGAACUUGACUUUGAGUUCAAGCUAACAUAUUUUGACAUUCAGAAAGUCGAUUUGCGGUCGUAAGUUGAAUUUAGUAAUUUUUACUUAAAUUAUAUAUUUAUAUUAAAAAUAUGUAUAAUUAUUUAAAAUAAUUUAGUAAAAUAUGAACUAAACCUGUGAACUUGGUUCUAAGAAACGUGUUAUUAGAUCAAAAAAAAUUUAUUUGUUUUUCUCAUAUUUAUUCUUCUGUCCUGUUAGAAUCAUUUGCCAAUUGUGUUUAAGUUUAAAUACUCUGCAUUCUUCGAAGUCGUGUUUUCCUAUAUUUAGUUUCGUCAAAAUGAGACACUAAAACUAGUAUUAUAAUAUUCCAUGUUUUUUUGCAACAAGUUGGAGAAAUUAUUAUUUAAUUUGCGUUGGGAAUCAAAUGAAAUAUAUAGUAAUUAUUAUUAUUAUUAUAAGAAGAGAGGGAAAGAGGUGGUUUUGAUACAAGUCAAAUUGGAAAGAUUGAGGAAAUCUCUUGGAAAUAAAAUACAAGGCCAUAUUAUUAUUAAUAUUAUGAACUCAUUGUGUAUGUAAUAGUAAAUUUAUACAUCACGUUAUAGUCGGUGCCUAACUCUUGAAUUAUUAUUAUUAUUUUAUUCUCUUAGUUAAUUAACACAUAUACUCUAUUGAUUCUGUAUUCCGUCUAGAACAAGAAAAUUAUGUAAACAAAAAAGGCACAUGAAAUGUCUGCAAUUAUUUGGUGGUUUAUGACUUAUGUGGCAAACAAACUACUUCUUUAUGGUACUAAUCAAAACGUUUCUCAAUUGAUUUGGUCAAACACAAAAUUUUCAAUUCUGUUUUUGGAAAAACAAUUUUUUCGAAGGUAGGCUGAACAUAUCCUAAGUAAGCCCAAUCCAUUUGCAACCAGGCUUAGACUAACAACAGAUCAAUUGACUAGCACUGGGGUGGAGAUAGCGAGGGCCUAGGCAUCAAUCUGUUGUUGGACUAACAACAGAUUUCCUAAGUAACCUCAAUCCUUUGAAAUCUCAGUCGUCACUCUUGCUUUUGUACAAAUAGAAAUGUACAAAUUACGUCUCUAUUUGUAUAAAGCGAGAGAAAAUUGUAUAUACAUAUGCAAAUAUGUAUAUCUUCGUCCUAUACACUUCUAAUUCUACAAUAUAAAUAUUAUCAUGUCCAGUUUUCUUUUGUCUUUUUUCUCUUACUCGCUUUAUACAAACACAAAUUAUAUGAAGUACAAUGUAUAAUUUAUGUUUGUAUAAAGCGAGAGAGAGAACGAUAUUUGAUCAAUAAAUGUUUUAUUUCAAUUCAAUUGUAUGCAAAUUCAAAUUUUACACAGAUUUGCAAACACACAAAAAUUGAAUUGAGAGGAAGUCAACGAUUUAUACAAAUGAGAGACUAACAGCAAUUUAUACAAAGUCAUUGAAAUUAUACAAAUCUGAAAAGGAGCUAGCGAAUUAUACAAUUGUUUCUUUUGUAUAUAUAUAUAUCGAAGUAGUCAUUGUCUUUUGUAUAUAUGUAUAGUGAAAUAACAUAACAAAGUUUGCUGUGACGUACAAUUAUGUAAAUUAUAGCUAUAACAUACGAAUAUAAUUUUUAAUUUUUGUGUGAAAGUUUGCUACAUCUUUUGUGGUGCAAACAUUUGGCUGCUACUCAUUUCAGGUGAAGCAUUCAGCUCUUCAUCCGAGCUAUUGCUUCGAGAAUCAACAGAGCUCAACAAGUCUUUUAGUGAGUGGUUAUUCAUGUUGGCUUCUCAAUUGAAAACAAAGACACAUUUUUUUAUUCGAACUUAAACCACUAAAUUGUAGGCAUUAAUAUUUGAUGUAACGAAAUAAAUUCUUGUCUAACUUAACCGCAAAAAUUAGCUUAUGAAGGUAGGAUUACAAAAAGAACGAAAGUCGUCUUAGUAUUGAACAUUGGACCUGCCCAGGACCAGAUGUUAAACACAACAUCUGAAAGACUAUUGAUGGUCUGUGUAGCACACCUGCCUUGCCAUUAGCGAAGCUACUGGGAGAGUACAAACAGCAUUAUAGCACAUUAGUUAACAAAUCCUCUUAUUUAUUUUUGGCAAAAUAGCCUGGUGAACCCUCGUACUUGUCAUCUAGACCUCUGUACCUAUCUAAAAUUAAAAUUUUAAACACUUUUUUUGAUGUGGCAUCGCGCAUGUUGCACAAACCACGUAGUUGGCCAAAAAUAAAAAAUAAUAAGCCACGUAUGAAAUCUACAUGGUAAAUCAGCCAACUAAGAAUAGUCCAAACCUCAGCGAAAUUUUGUAAAAAUUUUUGCGAAUUUUCCUCUUCUCUCUUCUCCUCUUCUCCUUUCUACGAUUUCUCCACUAAGAGUCGUUUGUGAUUUGCCAUAGAUUUUCUCGGUUGAAGCUCAGUUCCACUCCGACUAUCAUUGUAAGUUUUUGAACUUGUGUUAGUUUUCGUUUUUUUCACUUUCUUGUGCGUAUCUGUUUGAUAUUAUCAUUCAAUUUUCUGAAUUUCUUUUGAGAAUUUUACUUUGGUUUGGGGGUAAUGUUAGUGCUAUACACUUUCUCAGUUGAUUAAUGACUUCGAUUGACUUCAAUGGCAUAUUCCGUGAAUUCGAGUAGAUUUUAGAAUUUUUCCAUAAAAUUCCAAUUUCGACUAAAAUUAAUAUUCUAUUUUUGGUCAAUUGUCUUGGGUAUUGAUAAUGUUAGUGGUCCAUUAAACAACAAUUACAGUUAUGGUUUGUUAAUAGCUUUUCCGUCUAACUAUUACUGGUAUUUUCUUAAAAAAUUCAGGGCUUUUGUGUUACAGUCGUGGUAUGUUUACCCCUUUUAACUGUAGUUGUUUUUUAUGUUAAGUUUAUGCUUGUUUUUCCCUUUAAAAGUAGUUGUUUUUGUCUUCCUUGUCUUGAACUCGUUGAUGAAUUGUUGAUGUUGUAUUGUUCAUUAGCAUCAGCCCAUCAAAAAAAUCCACACACAUUACCGGUUGAAUAGUUUUGACAGCCCCAAAACAUUCUUCCAGGAUUAGUUGGUGUUCUUGAUGUCUUUAGUUCAGCAUAUAUUCCACAGUAGCAACAUCGAACUGUCAUCGUGAAUACCAACAAAAAUACAAUAAGAAUCAAAAAAAAAAAAGAGACAAGUAGAUUGAAGAAAAAAAAUUAAAAGAGAAUUUUUUACAGAGACAAAAUUGAGAAAAAAAGAAAGAAAAAAGCUCAAAAAGGCAUUAACAAUGGUGUUGAGUGAAUUAAAGAAGAAAUAUCCUUUAAAGGUCAAAAUAUGACUGUUAGUGCCUUUUUAAGGCAUCUCACGCUCUUCCUUCGCCUGAAUCACACGCUCCAUGUGGGUUAAUUCCACAUAGGAUGCCACAUCAAAGAAAAUGUUUAAAAUGUUGAUUUUGAAUAGGUUCAGGAUCUAAAUGACAAAAAACUAAGUAUGAGUAUUCAUAAUACAAUCCGAUAUAAGUACGAGGAUCCACCAGGCUAUUCUGUCUUUAUUUUUUUCUCAAAAAACUUGUUUAUCAUUAUAUGGUUGCCAGAAAUGAUUUCCCUGGCGUAUUCAGAAGGGAAAAGCCAAUAGAAGUAAGCAAAACAUAACUACAAUUAAAUUUACUACAUCUCUGUAGAAUUUCUACAUCUGCAUCAGAAGUCAGAACAUUACCAUUCCCCAUUUACCUGAAGAAAAAAAUUACCAAAAUUCUGAUGCAAAAUUGCAGUGGAAAAUAAGGUGAUUUAUAUCCUUCUAGUGCCUUUUGCACUCACGAAUAAUGUAUUUUCACUUCUAACCAACGAUAUCUACUGUACGUGCAUGACUAACAAGGUUGAGGUUGGGAAUUACCUGACUAAAAGCUUUUAUCCAUACUUAACCAAUUUUUGCAACCUGGUCAUACAAAUUAGCUAAGUUGAAAACAACUACACAACAUUAGCAGUCCCAACUGUUCAACAAAUCUAAUGUCAAAUCGGAAUCAUGAUGCAUGUUUUCCACAUUAUUAAUAACACAAAAGAGAUGCAUGUGAUUUACAAAGGAAACAUCAGGCAUUACACUUGACAUGAUCACCUAUGCAUCAAAUGAUAUCCCUCCCUACAAGUAGGUUGAAGUAAGCCAAGUGGAAACUUCAUACCAAAAGGUGGUUUAAGAUGACAUACUAGCUCUGAUCUCCAUUAUCCAGAAUAAAAAGAAAAGUUAAACAACAUAGUAGUAGCUUCAUACUAUAGCCGGUCCACUAAUUAGAACAUACAACACUAGCAAACCCUAGAGACCAGUGGAAUCUCUCACAAUUCAUAGACUCAUAGAAGACUCAUAAGCAUCCUUCAAAGGUCUCGGCACCAUUGGACUCGUCAAGCAUUCGAACAACUUGAGCCACACCAGCUGCAAGUUCCUUCUGAAUGGCACCAUCUGGCAUAUCAAAUGUUCUCCUCCUUGCAACAGAUAAAGGCCUUCCACCAGGUUGGGGGUCGAUAACAUCAAGCAUUGCUUCUAACUCGUCCACUAUGGAUUUCUUUGCAGAUCGGACCAUCAUAUCCACACCCUAAUACCAAAGGAAAGUAAAGAAUAAAUGUAUUUCUAGAACAGAAGGAAAACACAUAAAAGGGUCGAGACUGCUAAGGAUUUGCACAACACAUUGCAAGUAAAGAUAAAAUAUGCUAAUGAUUGCCAAGGAUAUAUGCAUACAUUUGAUGUUAUUGACAAACUAUGCAUAUGGAUUCAAUUAUAGAAAUAAAAUUAAAUCGAAGAUAUCAUUCCUGGGUUGCAGUAGGCAAUGUUUCAUGCAAAUCUAUCAAAAUAGAGUCUGAAAAAGUUUUUACCAGAAGUAUUUACAGAAGUGUUUAAGCUGGAGACAGAGGACUUGUGUUUCCCCACCUCAGUUCCAAGAAAGGCAGCAAGCAGCAUAGUAAUAAUAAACUGCAUUCUUAUGUUGCCUGUUCAGUUAGACAAUGCGAAGAAUGUACAUUCUAUGUUGCCAGCAAAAGAGAAGCACCAAGGUCUCAAGAUGUAUUUGUCCCAAAGGUCGUGGGUAUAAUUUUUCAUUGUUCAGAUCCAGACUUCAGAUUAAUGCCCCUCCUAUUUAAGACCCCCCAAACCCAACCGAGAACAAAAAAAUAAGAACAAAACAUAGAGAAGAAAAACUAAAAUGAGGGGCUGAAAGGCCAAUUCCUGUACUCAGAUCAUGCAACAACUACAAUCAUCUGAGAACUAUAGAUCCAAGAACUCAUAAAUGAUACUUUACCUACGAAAGUAGCAUUUCCAAGUAGCAAAUUUCUAGUACUCUAUCCAUUCAAAUUUAUAAGUCUUCAUAUUUUAUUUUGGGACAACUCAAAGUCUUUGACAAUACUAUUUUGGACAAUAUUCACAACUUACAAAUAUCCAAGUCCAUUUAACUAAUCAGAUCACAGAUUUGGUGUUCUUUUUCUAGUAUUACAUUAAUAUUUCCUUCAACUACCUCUUAUAUAAUAUACUAAAUGAAAUUAGCGUCUUAAACUUCAUAUGUUGUCACACAUCAUCAUAUCAUUUGGAAAAGAAAAAAGUUUUACUUUUGGUGCAAACGGCUAGCAACAAAGCAUAUUAUAAGAUCAAUAACAGGACAAGACAGUAACAGUUACUACUAUGUCUACCUCAAUGGCAUCAACAGUUAGUAGCAGCACAAUGAUCUUCUCAGAGAACCUCUGGCGCUCCUCAGCAUCACGAGCAACACGUCUACGAUAAGUGAAGUUGUUGAAGAGAGCCCUUAGCUCCUUCAACUUAGUCUUGGCAAUGGCCAGUUCUCUCAGAGCACGCAGUGCCUGAGACCUCUUAAUCAAGUAAGCCCUGAAGCUCAUUUGAAUCGCUAAAGCUGCAUCUUGUGGUGAUAGUUCCUUCCUCUUCCCCCUUCUCUUCUCCACCCUCUUUGCAAAUACCUACAGAUCAUAAACAAAAAAACGCAAAUUUCAAGAUUGUAACAAUGUCAUUUAAAGAACCAAAAUUAAUUACGAAAAUGUGGAAGCUGAACCUGUCUUAAGACGAGUGCGCCAUGAUGGGUUGGCUCUUCAAUCUCAACCAAGCGUGUACAACCCACAGAUUUCUUCUUCUUCUUCAUCUUAUCUUUCUUCUCUUUUUUCUGACUUUCAUCGCUAUCGCUAUCGGAAUCAGUGACAUUUGAUGCUUUGAAACUGUAACUACGUGAAUCGUCACCUUUUCCUUUGAUCUCAGCACUAAAUUUGUAGUUUUUAUCCAAAGCCCCUUUCUUCUUACCAUCUUUCACCUCAGCAAUCCACUUAUAUUUCCGAUCAACCCCAUCCUUCUCAGGGCUCUUAAUCUCAGCCGUCCACGUGUACUUCCGCUCCCCAAUUUUAUUCUUCUUCUUCUUCUCCGUCAACAUCCGCUCGAGCGCGGUGACUCGGUCAGAGAGACAUUGCAACUCAGUACCGAGUCCUAUCCGGUGCUGGACCCGGCGAGUAGUGCUGUAAAAAGGGGUUGUUUCGAUUUGGAUCAGAUCGGUAAUGGAAUCGAAAUUUUCUAGAUCGAGGAAGGUAUUGGGUGCAUAAGGCUUAGGGCAGAUGAGAUCGAGAGUGCAGUCAAGCUCAUCUUCAAUGUGGAAGUAUGGGUUUAGAAGUAGGGUUUUGGGGGUGAAAAAUGAAGGAGAAGAAGAGUAGUCGAUGAUGUCAAAUCUCCUGAAGCGGCUCAUUUUCGCUUGAAUCUAGCUAAACCAAAUGCUAAAAACUUGAAGAUGCAGAGGUUAAGUUGAGUUGGAGAAGAAGAAGUCAAUAAAAAGGAUAAUGGGAAAGUGACAGUAGGGGUAUUAUGGGUAACAAAUUUGUAGAUAACUUAGGUUGAUUGGUUAAAUCGCCGCGCACAGGAUGUGUGUUUUUACAAAUAUGGCCUUGAAAUGCGGCGUACAAAAUCAUAGACAAGAGAAUCUUCAGAUUGGGAAAGAAGAUGAGGUUAAAGCAUGUGGGGUUCUGGGCCAGCUGUUCAGUUGAAUUCAAAAAUUGAUGAACAGUGAAAUUUUAUCAACUGGAGUACGCUUUAAUCUUUUUUGAUUUUGCAAUUGUCUUUUUGGGAUAUUCCGAAUCAAUUCAAUUAAAUUUGAAUUCCAAAUCAAAAGUUUUAUAUUUUAGGAUACUAAAACUCUACAAAUAUCAAUAGAGAUUUAAAAAAAAAAACUUACUAAAUGUUAUUCAUCCGUCCGAUUUUAUUUAUCAUGAUUUCUAUUUUUAGAGUCAAAGUAUAAAAACUUUGACUAAUAUUUUAAAAUGUAUUUUUUUCGUAUAAUUAUAGAACAUCUAAUUUUUUUAUUUAAAAUAUCAAAUUAAUAUAAUAUAAUUUACCUUUAAAAAUUAAUUAAAUUAAUUUUCGAUAAAGCAUAAUAAUUAGGGAGCAUACUGAUUGAUUUAUUUUGCAUUAGUCAUUGCCAUGUGAAUUCUCGUAAUUUUCAAUAAGAUUUUGCACGUGGUAUAACAUUUUAAGUUGUGUCUUAUUUCAAUUAAGAAAUGGAGAUGGCGAAUUUAAUUUUCUCAUGUCAUCUGGCAUGGUCAAGGUAUGAUGGUCGGCCCAAUACUUAGCCCCUCCAACUUCCAAUUAAUUACAUAUAAAAUAUGCAUAUCAAAUAUUCUUCCUGUGAUAAGCGAAAUGUUAUAAUAAGUCGUUAUUAAUCGGUGAUGAUUUAUGUCACGUUGGAGCAAUCUCCUAUAUCUAAUCCAGUGAUGAUAAAUGGAUGGGUCGUUAAAUAUAAAUCGUAAACAACGUUAAAAUAGGUCAUAAUUUAUUCGCUCAUAUUUAAUAUGAAUAAUAAAUUGAUUAGAUAAUAUACUAAUUUAUCCAUAUUUUUAUGAAUAAAUAGUACUUAAGAAUUUAAUAUGGAAAAAAUAUUUUAAUCCUUUUUAAAUAAAAAAUAUUAAACAUCCUUCAUUUAAAUAUAUCGCAUCAUAAAAAUAAUUUUUCUUAUAACUUUUCAAUUUAAAUAAAUUUAUAUAAUAACAAGAUUAAGUAUUUUUAAUUUUAAAGAAAAUAAAUAUUUACCUUUUGGGACUAAUGAGUACUUUAUUAUAUGUUUUUUUCGUUUUUUUUUUUUAAUUCUAAUAGGCUAUUAGAGUGAACUUUUAUUUCCAACUAUCCCAUUAUACAUUUGCCAUCGGCCACACAGCAUCUCUGUUCACUAUCUUUUAUCAAGCUGAUUUACAAAUUUUGAAUUUUUCCUACCGAACUAAUUUUUAGAGGAUAAAAUUAAUUUCAUCAGUUAUAUUAUAUUAUAUCCUAAUCUUGCUACUACUCGCAAGAUAAUUUAUGCAUGUACCAUAUCCUAGGGAUAUAAUCGUACAAUUAACUGUCAUAGAAAAAUGAAGGAUAAGUAUGGAGCAAAUUAGAAUUACUGCUAUUAAAAGAUGGUGAAGGUUACAAAACUAUCCCCUACUAGACAAGUUCCCUCAAAUACCAAAUGCUUUACAAGUUAAAAAAAAUAAAAAAAAAUGCUCAGCAGUUAUCCAUAAUUUAGUUAGAAUAAGAUCCUCUUUUACAAAUAAAUCAUAUAUAAUAACAUUAGAAGUACGUCGCUAUCUACCUAUGACAAUUCAAAUUCAAAAUAAUAGAAGUAAUUGUAGCAGAUAGAUCAGCAAUUAAAUUUAAUAAAAAAAGUUGCUGAUUCUAAUGAUAACUAAGUAGGAACAAGAAAACCCGAAGGCUGAAUUACAAGAAAAGAAUCAUAAAAUCUCAGCAUAACAAAUCCCACGCAAACUGCACCCAUCAUCACCCCACACCCUAAUACUCCAAAAUACCUCCCAUUUAUAACAUUACCUUCACCAACUUCCUCAAUAUCUUUAACAGGUGAAUCCUCCGGAACGUCGUAAUUAACCGGAUCAGAAUCGCGCUCUACAGCCGCCUCUCCAUCAUCAUUGAUACACGACUGGCUACAAGAACAGACCGAAGCAGCAUCAUGAUCAUUCAUAUUAUUUCCGUCUAAUUGUUGCUGUGAGUGAAGAUCAAAGACGGUUUCAAGUUCGUUGAGUCUGCGACCAAUGUGGUACAAGUGUCGUGGCUUGGACGGGGACGAAGUGAUUUCUGCAGCCAACAGAUGAUUUAGAAAUUCAAGUUGCUGUUCAAUGGCGUGAGAGAGAAUCUCGUGGGUCGCGGAAUCCGGUGGGAACGUGAAGAGCAGAUGGAGAUCCGAUUCCAGUUUUUCCAAUUUCUUCCGCAGUAUUCCAUAUCUCUUCGUCAUUUCUUAAUUCAUACAAGUUUUUUUUCUUUAGUUUCUACUUGUAAAAAUAUUCAUCAUGGUCGCGACGGUUAAUUAAAAAAAACGGUUACUAAUUAUGAAAACCUCCCCUAUAACUACGGAUCAUUUAAUAUUUACUUCCCGCGUAAUUCCGAAAAACUAAUCGAGAGAAUUAAAUUACAUUAAUAACUAAAUCAUAGAAAAACUUGAAAUUAUAAAACUUUUAUCAAGUAUAAAUCAAAAUUAAUGGAGAAAAGUCAAUAAAAAUAGUCUUUUUAUUUCAUAUCAAGGCCUGUUUGGAAAGACACUCUAGCAAUUGAAUUUGGUGUAAUGAUAUAAUUACAUUAUCUUGUCCUGUUUGGAAGGAUAAAUAAUUACUUGGUCAGUAGAUAAUUGAUAUAAUUGACAGGGGAUAAUUACACUCCACAAUUCAAAGAGGGUGUGAAUUGCUGUAAUUACAUGAUUUAAUUAUCACCUGAUUACCUUUUUUUUUUUUUUUUUCAUUUCAAUUUUUAUUUUUUUUACUUCUAUUAUUUUAAGUUUUUUUUUUAUUAUUCUAAAAAUUUGUAAAAGUUUAUUUUUUAAUUUUAUAUUAUUAUAUUUUAUUUUCUUUUUGUUCUCAACCUUACUUUACGUGAUUCUAUGUAAUUUUUUCGUAUUAUCUAUUCACUUUCUGCCAUGCUAUUUUCUCAUUAGCCUAAUUUUAUUAAUAUUCUAAUUUUGAAUUAAAAUAGAAUUUAUUGUUAAGUAAGGUUAUAGACUUACUUUUUCUUUAUUAAGAAAAAAACAAAUAAAAAUCAUAUUUAUUGCUAUGUUGAUAUUUGUUAUAAGAGUAUUAUGUUAAAUUGUUUGUUUUGAAUUUAUAACUUCUUCUAUAUUUUCGGUUUCAUUUGUUUUAGGCCUCAUUUGUUUGCGCUUAAUGGAGGUCUGAAUCUUAAUCAUUCAGAUUUUUAGCCUAUUAAGUACGUUUGAUUUUUAGGUCUGAAUCAGAAUCAUUCAGAUUCAAGCCAUUAAGGUCAUUUGUUUUAUUUCAGACUCAUUUAAUAAGUUAUCAAAUGAUAAAUCAUCGUUUCUGCUUUAAGCGUGCCUUUUUAUCUCAUAACUAAAAACUUUCUCUCUCUUUUCUCAAUCAAACACCAUUUUUUUCCUCUUGAACUGGUAAGUUUUCAUAAAUCAGUUCUUUUUUAUAUUAAUAAUUUUCUUGUAUUGACUUGUCAAGAACACUGUUGGUGUAUUGGCUUUAUCAAGAUUUUUGAAUGAAAAAAAAUUGUACUUUCAAAUCAUGAUUAUUAAAAAUUUUAAUUUUUUUUAUCAAAAGCGAUAUAUUUUGUUAAAAUGAAAUUUUAUGAUAUUUUAUUAAUUUAAUGUUAAUUUCACAGAUAUUGAAAACAAGCAGUAUUAAUUAUUUAGUGUUCAGUUUUAGAAACCACAUAUUAAUAUUGAAAUGUGUAUUCAGAUCAAAACACUUGAAUCUUAAUGCAAAUCUUACUAUUCAGAUGUAUAUUCAGAUUUAGACCUCUUAAACUUAACGGAAACAAAUGAGGCCUUAAUAAUGUUGAAUUUACAUUGAACGUCAUUUUUUAAUUGACUUGAUAGAUUAUAUUUUUGUCAAACAUUUAAUAAUUUAUGUUUCACGAUGUUCGUAGAAACUUCAUACUUUUAGUUGUUACGAUCAAUUCGAUUGAAAUAUAUUAAUUUGAAAAAAAUAUAAAAUCAAUUAUUUAUUCAUAAUAUUAGUUACAGAAAAUAUGUUUAUUAAUUAAUAUAGUUUUAAAAAAGAAUAUAUAUCUUAAAUAUUUAGUUUAAUGUGUAAAGUUUCUUAUUUGUCUAGUAUAAAUUUAAAAUAAUGAAUUUUCAUUUUUAAAAUUUAUUAUAAUUUUAUUAUUGCAAUUGUGCAUCAAAAUAGAACAUGUGUAAUUACACUUUGCCAUCCAAACAUGACAUGUGUAAUUACACUGUGACAAUAAAAUAUGUCAGUAUAAUUACUAGGCUGAUAAUUACUACUCUAAUAAUUAUACCAAUUCUAAUUACCAAGUGAUUUUUCAAACAGAUCCAAGUUAAUUAUCGAGACUUUCAUAAUUCAAAAUAAUUGAAUGUUUUCUGAAAGUUCAACCUAAUUAUUGAAACUUUUUUUUUCUUUCAUAGUUACCUUUUCUAUUAUUAAGAUUCGUAACUAUUUAAAAUUUUCUAAAAGACUAGUUGAGAAAUCAUCAAAAGUAUAAUAGUGAAUAGUAUUCUUCGAUUUUAUCUUUAUAAAAAAAUAUUGUGCUUAUAUAUAAAAACUCAGCUAUUGAGGAUCAACCUCAGACCUCAAAAGUUAUAAAUUCGCACGCUCACCUAUUUUUAUUGUGUCUGAGAGUGUUAAAUUUAUUAUAUUUUCAAAUAUUAGAUAAUAUAUAAUAUUUAAUUUAUAUACACUAUAUAAUUAAUUAGGGCCUUAAAAAUUGUAUCACUUCCUCUUAAUAGCCUCUGUUGUAUUAAGUCUUAUGUCACAGAGUGUAGUGAGUUCCAGCAUUGCUCAUUCUCUUUUUGAUCAUAAUUUUGAACUAUUUACUAAUAUAUGUCCAAGUUUUGUCCAUUUGGCUGUGGACUUUCGUUUUAGGGCACUUUAUUUAACAAGGCUCCAUUUCUCAAUAUCUAUCAAUGUUUGUUUUUCUUUACAAAAUAAGUCACCAGUGCAGUGCUGGAUGAUCUGUUCUUGUAAUUAAAGCAAUUGAUAAUUUGCUGAGUUGUAGUGUGUGAAGACAAUUGGAGAAGUCUUGAGUUUGAGCUAAACAUAUUUGAACACCAUAUAACCAACACACAACAUUAAAAUGAUCACUAUCAACUAACCAAGGUCUAUCAACCUCUUGCUUGCUUAAUGUGUGUUAAUACUGACCACAACUCCAUUCUAUUUUUUAAUAGAGUUAAAAACAUUUAUAAUAGUAACAAGAAAAGAUAAGAGUUCCAGUGAUACCAAUAUCAAUCAAUGAAUUGAUUGAGCAGAAGAUCAAAUGUAAGUCACCUGGCCGUAAUGUGUUUGCAUGAACCUAUGGAGCCUUGUUUGUGGGCUUUGACCCUAGCUAGCUUCCACCAAAGCAGCAAGUUUGAUAUGUUUAUUUCUCAGAUAAAGUACAAGGCAAGUGAUGAGUGAAAAAUAAGGACAUAUGUUGAUAGCAUCCAUAUUGGCAUACCUCCAUUAAAAUUGAUGGGCUUUAAUGGGAAAUCAAGAAUAUCUUUAUCAUGAAAGUGUUCAAAUUCAAGCCUAAAAGUAAGAAGAUUUGGCCACAUGAAGCCCCAAAAGAGAAUCCACCAAAUUAAAAAAAGUUCCUUAUUCUAAAGUUCCCUAGAAAAAUAUUUCCUACAUUUUUUCUAAUCCGUUUCCGAUUCUAAUUUUUUUACUAGUUUUAAUUUUCUAGUUAUGUAAAUAUUCUUAAAUUUUGUUGUGUCUUACCAAGUUCUUCAAAUUUUAUUCAAACUAUCUUAAGAAUAUAAGAUGAACAAAACAAGAUUCAUAAAAGAAAAAUCAUUAGAAAUGCAUGGUUGCUAUAAAUAAGCAAAAUAAUAAUAGGCAAUUUAUGUUAGCACGUGUUAAUUAAAUAAUAGUAGGGCAUUUGAAAAUUAAGCAAGUAUUACACAUGAUAAAUGAUAAUUAAGUGAUAUCUAUGCAGAUCUCCCCUAGCUAUGGCUUCUUCAGAAGUAGAGUUUAUAAUAUUUUAGUACGAAUAUACGAAGAGCAUGGAGAGGUAAUAAAGAGUAGUUUUAUUUAUUAAUUUGAUAGUGUUAUUAAUGUAACAUAGGAAGAUGAGAACUUGCAUAUGCAAAGUUCACUUAUUUAAAUUUUUUUUUAAAAAGGUUUGUACGUGCAUAAUAAUUUCAUAAGCACGACGAUACAUUUAUUUAUUUAUUUAUUAACCCCUUGGAAAUUAAUGAGGCAAAGUAGAGGGUACGUAGUUUAACAAGUGAAGCCAGUAGGAUAUUUCUUUCCACAUGUGUUUAGUAUGAGGCUCAGAGAGAGUGGUACAUUCAAAUUAAUUCCCAGCACAUUUGCUUUUAUGGCUGUGCACAAGCAAACCGCGGCCUCUAGGUCCGUCAGUCCCUGGAUCAAACUGCAGCAUGGCAAAGUUGGUGGAGACCCGACUAUUACAUUCACCAAAUUAAGUAUAUUAGCACACACACCAAGUUUCAAAGUAUCUAUUGAGCAUGUUUGUUGAGAACCAACGCAAUUUCCAGUAUCAUUGGUUCCACUUACAACAGCAAACAACAGGAGAUUCAGUGAUAGGAAAAGGGGUACUGAAGACUGACUUGCAAUUGUUUUGGAAGCCAUAUUCAAAUCUAGAGAAUAUUAAUCAAGCAGUUUAUAUUUCUUAUGAUGAUGAUGUGCAUCUAACCAUGGCUAUUUAUACUAAAUUCUACUACUGUUGCACUUGAAACCAUUUUUAGAUAUUAUUACUUCAACUUAAAUAUUAGAUUAGUAGCAUAUAUGAACUUAGUCAAUUAUUGUCUGCUCAUCUUGAUUAAUUGGUAAUGCAUGAAUAGUUACACGUUGAAAAUGUUAAGGAAGCAUUAAGUAGUACUACUGUAGUAGUAUAAUUAGUAUUAGCCACCACCAAAGGACCGGAAAUGGAUCUCGAGUUUGAGCUCUGAGUAUGGAAAAAUUCUUGAUACAAGACCCUUCCCUCUUAAUAGGAUUCUACGUGAUGUGAGUUUAAAAUAGACAAACUUUAAUACGAAUAACGAACCUGGUUUAAGAAACAAAAAUUAAUAUUGGACUCCACUCACCUCCAAUGUGCCCCUAAUUUAAUUAUAUUACCAUUAAUUUUAAUUUAUAUUACAUGUAUUCAAUUUAAAUAAGAAUUUGACUAAAAUUAGAAAGGAGCUCCAUCCAAUAGUUUGCAUGCAUUCAUGCUCUAUAAUAUAGUUAUUGGAAAUUUAAUAUGCUUUUAGAGUAUUAACUAUUCCCGUGAUCAUUGACAUUUCUACAAACCAACUACAAGUCUGGGGCGACUCGACGAAAUAUGUGGCCUAAAGUUAAUUCUUAAAAAAAAGCCUAAAUAUAUUUCACUUAUUUUAUUUUAUAUUUUUAAUUGGAUUAGGCAUGAGAUUUCAAAUAUAUAAAAAACUUUUGAUACAAUUCUCUAAAAUUAAAUGUGUGUAUAAAAUAAAGAGAUAAGGGUCUCAUAUAUCUCUCAACUUUGUCAUUUAGAGUUGAUAUACUUAUCGUUAUAAAAGUGGCUCUUAUCUACCCCUACUUAUAUAAAAUGACUUACAUAUAUCAUUUUUGUCAAACGGAAAUGAAAAAAAAUUAUUUUUAUUUUUAUUUUUUUAAAAAAAAUAUAUAAUUCCAUAAGAGUAUAUUUAAUCCUCCUUAAACAUAUCUAUUUUUUUGAAUUUUUUUUGUUUCAGUGACUAAUUUAGAUUUAUUAUUUUGAUGAUUAAAUUUAUAUAUGUUUUACUAAUAUUCUUGUAAAACUUAUUAUAGAUGACCAAAUUUUUUUCUUCAAUACAAAAAUUAAAUUACAAUAUAGACCAAAAAAUAGUUUUAAAUUAUAAUAUAGCCAAAAAAAAUAGUUUUACGUUUUUUUUCUUUAUCACACAGGAAUGAAAGAAAAAAUAAAAUAAGAAUAAAAAACUUAAAUAAUUAUAAUAAAAGAAGUCAAAAAAUAAUUUAUGUAUGAAAAAGAUUAAAAUAUACCUUGAACUAUGCUAGAAGAAUCAUAUAUACCCCUAAAUAAUUUUUAAGAAAAUUAAAAGUCAAAAUAUAUAAAUUUUAAACUAAUUUUUUUACUUUCUUUAAAUGAAGGGUAUACGUGAUAUCGUUUUGUAAUGGCAGGGGUAUAUGUGAGCCGUUUGUAUAACGGUAGUGGUAUAUAUGACCCACAUAUAUAAAGAGGGAUAUAUCAAUUCCAAAUGGCAAAGUUGAGGGGUAUAAAUUUUUUUUGAUAAUCCGUUGAGAUCAUCCGCACAAACACAUGGAAAUCAUCUUUAUCGUUAUAUGGACCUUGCGAGUCUCCCAUGGACCACGAACUCUCUCAAUGCAUUUAUGAGAAGUAUAGUGUAUAUAGGGUUGAGAAAGUACUUAAUUUAUAUCUGAGACAUAUCAUUUCAUGGUGUUGCAUUGCAUUGGAUCUCAUGAUUAUUGUCAAAGCCAGAGCCUACACCCUAGACGUGGCCGACACUCGACAACCAUUGUUGGCACUAAGCGAACCCUUGGGCUGACUCAGCUCUCAACAAAAUAUUUACUCAAAAAUAAAUUAACCUCAAUUGUAACUCAACUCAUAACAACAUCACUACUUAAAAAUAGUUUAACUCAAUAAAGUCUUAAAUACUCAAUAACAUAACUAUAAACUCAACUCUUUACACAUCACAAAGAAAAUGGAAAAGACUCCUAAACUACUAUUGUCUAUCUAUGAAGCCUCUAAUAAAUAUGAUGAAAGUCGGUACAAGACCCACAACAUUCUAAAAAAACUGAAAGAUAUAAAUGGAAUCCUUCAGAAGGUGGAGGCUCCCCAAAGCUAACUCAAACUGCAAGUGGUAUCAAUGAAGCACCUGUUGAUGACCCUGGUUAUCUUUAUCUGCAUCAUGAAAGAUGUAGGCCAAAUAACAUCAGUAAUGAAAUGUACAAGCAUGCAAGGGGAACUCUGAAGAACAUAUAUAAGCUUGAACUGAUAAAAAGGAAGAAUAUACUCACCUCAUCUCAACUCAAGGAUACUCAACUCAGUUCAAUAUAAAAACAACAAUAAAAAUACAUUAUAAAUAAAGCUUUUUAAGAGGCGUAUAAUAACUCACUUGCAUCUAAAAAUACAAUAAUAAACUCUUUUACUUUUAUUUGAGAGAUUUUCUGACCGAUAACCAUCACUACGAGUUAUGUGAUGAUACAACAUCUCACCCACGCUGUCAGAACUAUCAUAUACCUUGCCUAAGUAUAAGACAUCCUCAACUAAGUGGAUCUAAUACGCUAUGCUUAAAAGUAAAUAAGGAAUCAUCUAAAAACUAUGAGCUUUUCUACCUGCGUUGACAUACAUGGUUUAUAAGGACUUUGAGUUGUUUGAAGUCGUCCCUAUACCGGUGCUCAAUAUUCUUCCCAAUAAUAUAACUUAUGCUCAUAUGUUUAAGAAACAUUUUCUCAUCCUCAAUCCUUGAGAUUAUUACUCAAAAGAUUUUCUUAAAAGAGAUUAUACUAAAAAACUUAUCUUGAACUCAUUUGAAAAUCGAUGUUUCCUCUCAUUUUAAACGUAAAAGAAUUUACUCUUGAGAAUGCUUGGUUCCCAUAUAUUCAUUUUAAAAAAAUAUGAAACUCAACUACCAUCAUCCUCUCAAGUACUCAAAUAUUAAAAUAAUUCUAUAAAAAAAGUUUGCAAAAGAAUUCUCAAAAUGACUCAAAAAAUUCCCUCAAAAUUUACUCUUUAACUCUAUCUUGAGUUUGAAAUGUAAAUUCGAGAAGUAUGAUCCGGAUAUAUAGGAUCACACAGUGAUUAUUGAAGACUUAGGUAGUUGGAAAUAAGCAACGAGUGAAGACUCAAAUUAGAGAACACUAGUGCGAUGUGGAGAUGAAAUUAGAUUUUCACUACAACAAAUAUGAUAGAUAGCUAUGAAAUUAUUAGCUACAACAUCAAAUUCGUCACUAAUUAUUCGAUUUUAGUGAUAAAAUUUACUUUUCGUGCUUAAAUAUAUGAGACACAUACUUUUAGUGACGAAACAUAAGAAUUCGUCGCUAAUUUUUGUUCACAAAAGUUUCCCACCAAAAAAAAAUUUGGCGCCAUUUGUUAAUUAGUGUUAGUCACGAAGUUAUCAUUUGACACAUUAUUUCGUCACUAAUAAUUUAUUGAAUUUCGGACAAAAAAAAAUUCAUCUAAAAAAUAUGUUGUUAAAAUAACCACAAAUUAGAGUUUGUAGUUAAAUAUUAUAAAUUUUAGCUAUGAAAACGUAUAUUUUAUUAUGAUUUUUAUUUCGUCACUAAUAAUAUAAAUAAUUGGUGACAAAUAUUUCAUUGUCUCUAAUCAAUAUAUGAUUUAGUGACAACAAAAAAAUUGUCACAAAAUAUGUAAGGUGUUUAAUAGCGACGACUUAAAAUUUUUAGUGAAUAAUUAAACUAUUUGCUACGAAAAAAUGCAUAGCUAAAUACAAUUUUUUUUUGCUACAAUUGUUCAUAAUUACAAAUGACAAAUUACAAAAAUAAUAAUACAAGUGCUUCAUAAGAAGUAGACAUAGUCCAUUCGUUAACUGACAAGUGAAAAUAUAAAAACCAAUGAAUUUGGUCGAUUUUGUAAAACGAUCAAAUACAUCUGUUUUCUUAAAUUACACAAUUAUAUAAUGCAUCAUUUGAAUAUACAAUCCGGGUUAAAAAUAUUGUGAGUAAGCAUGGUUCUACCAAUAGAUCACUAAUAUUUGUUAGUUUAACACUUUUGUUUUUUAUUUAACACACUUUUAUUGAUAAGCACGAUAAAAAAUAAUUUGUAGUCUUUAUGCGAAUCUUUGUGCAUGUCUAUUAAUUUAUUAUUGGUAAACUACAUAGAUUAAGUAGAUCUAUAUGUUUUUGUCUAUAAAUAUGUACAUAUUAAAUAUUAGUUCCACUCACGUAUGUAGAGUAACUAUACCGAGAUAACAUCGACUUAUAAACUUUGACUUUGCAAAGGUGCAAUAUAUUUCAUGAAUUUCUAUUAAUUUUUUCCAUCAGUGUGAAAAUUGAAAUAAACUAAAAAAUGAAAGCACAUAUAAAAGAAAUGAAAUAACGAGGAUUUCAGAUAUAUUAUGAUGAAUUACUAUAGUUAUGGGUAUUGAUGUUCAACUUGAACUGAUUAUUCAUUUUUUUAAUAAAAUCAAAAGUAGAUUUUAAAUAAAUAUAUUAUUGUACUGAAUAAUUAUUAAAAUUUACAAAAAUAAAUAAAUAAAAUGAGAAAAUUGAACAGAAUAUAUUUAAAGAUAUUUAAAAAAUACACAGUUUAAUUAAAAUAUAAUCUACAUUUGAAUGAAUUGUGGGUGGUAAAUUUCAUGCAUUUGUAUAUGAGCAUAAAUAAUCAUAUAAUAUAUUAUUUCUACAAAAGUUAAAUUUGAAAAAAGUGAAUGAAGUAUAAAAUAAAAUAAAAAUGAACAAGAGGGAGUUGGUCUGAUGGUAAGCACUCUUCAUUUCCAACCUUAAGGUUCUGAGUUUGAUUCCCCGAGGCAGCAUCAUGUGUGAGCUCCUGGCCAAUGUUGAAAAAAUUUGAGAUGGGAGAGGGGGGUGGGGGUGGGGGAGAGAGGAAGAUAUAUAUGUAUAUACAUUUAAAAACAAAAUAAUUUUUUGUAUAUAAAAUAUAUAUCAUUAGUGACGAAAUUAAUUUUUUUUCAGCUACAAAAUAUAUAUAACUUUUGAUACAAUUGAUUACGUCACUGAUUGAAGUAAAAUAAUUGGCGACGAUAUAAUUUUAUCGGUAGUAAUAACCUUUUUAGUGACAAAGCAUACUAUUAACUACAAAAAAUACACUUUUUACAACAAGUAAAUUUGUUACAAAUGAUUAAGCAUUUAGUGACAAUUUCUUUUUUUGUAGUUAAUAUAAUACUUUUAGCGACGAAACACUAAAUUGUCUUUGUUACUUUUAGUGACACACAUUUAAAGACGACUGAGUGACAAAUUAUUUUUCGUCACACAAUAUUUUUAAUGACGAAAUUAUUUGUCCCUGAUAAUCGAAUUUGUUGUAGUGUUUGAUCGCAAAAUAUUUUUGAAGCAGAUGACUUCGUAUCCUCUCUGCAACUCGGAAAGGGGUGAUUAUUUGGGGGACUGAAAUUCUAAGAGCCUCCGCGAUGCGGACCUAAGCACUAUUAUUUGCCUGAUCUUUUCCUCUCCUUCCAAACUCAAUUCAACUUAUACCUAAAGUCAAAAUUCUCGAAUUUUCAUUACUCAAAAUAGUUGUAGCGAUACCCAAACAAAGAACUAUCAAUUAACUGAACUCACUUGCAAACUCUUGACUCAAGAACUCAAAUCAGCACUGAAUUGCCAAUUAAAUUCAAGAACUUCUCAAAAACUCAAUAAUUUGACAUCAAGAAUGAAUUCCUGGGUAAAAAGAUUACAUGAUUUGCGUGAGAGAGAACACAUCCAACACGUGACAUACAAUGCAUUCUUCAAAAAAAAAAAAUCCCAAAAAACGAUGAUGUUAGUCGCUUUAUUGCAAUGCUUCAGUUGAUUUUUGAAAAUUGUCAACUAAAAAAGCGACCCAUUGGAACGCACAACUUUUUCGUCGAUUUUGACCUAAAAAGCAAAGCAGUUCAUCUCUUUUUUUGUCCUUUUUGUUAUUUUUAGUAGCAUAUAAAUCAUGUGAAAAUUAAAUUUGCUCACGAAAUUUAAAAUAUUUCUAAAUAAAUAUCAUGUUUGAUUAAAAAAUAUUUUUUUAUAUUUUGUACACACAUUGUAACGAUAUGUUUCUUUGUUAUGGAAAAGCCAACGGGAAAAAAAAUUUGAGCUAGAAAACCUUUAUUUUUUGUAGUAUUUGGAAAUUCUAGGCUAGGCCAGACUUGGACGAAAUCUGAGAUCUGGGGAAGUCUAGAGAGAUCUGGUAGUGAAUCUGGAAUCUGAUUAAGAAUUUGAUCACAUGAGCGGAUAAUCAAGACGUUAAGGAGCUUGUACGACUUUACGAAAUCGAAUUCGGGGGAGUAUAACUUUUGAAACUGAGCUUAGUAUGAAAGGGUAGUUUCUGAACGUCUAGGGUUGAAGAUGUAUUGUGAAAUGAGAGCUUGAAAUUUAAAUUCCGAGUUUUUGUCUUAGUGCAAGCCGUCAGGGCGGGAUUGUUCCCGUAAUGGAAAGGUCGAUGUGGUGGAUUGGAUCCCGCAAUGGCGGGCCAAUCGCGACUUAAGUCAGGAAAAAAAUCCAAAAUCACUUUUUCCUGUAAAACUUCAUUCUUAAGAGAUGGGAGACAAUCCAGGUUGAUUUCUUGACAGUUUUCCACGAUUUUUAGUGCUAAAGGUAAGGAUUUUACUCCUCUAAUCUGUAUUUCGAUUCCUAGAACUUUGAAUCUUGGAUAAUUAUCAUUGGAGAGGAUUUUGGCCUGAAGUUAAUGGUGGGAAUAAGUCCUAGAUGAAUAUUAGGAUUAUGGGUUUGGUCUUGGGUUAUUAAGAUUAUUAUCCAGGUAAAUUAGACCUUGUUUAUUGAUCAUUGGUUAAAAUACUUGUUUAUAGACCAAGUAUGACACCCCAAAAAAAAAUUUAAGUUAAGACUUGUAUAAUUCUUCGCAAAGUAAGUUUUUACCAAGAAAUUUUAUAUUUUUCUUAAGAGUUAAGGUUAUUAGAUAUAUCACCUUGAAUUCCAAAAAAAAUUAAAGAUAUUCAUUCAAGUCAUUCCUUAGUUCUUUUAAGUUUUGGGUCAACUUCAAAUGAUCAUACCUUUUAGCACAGGAUGAGUUAGGAGACCCAUAAGAUUUCAAAUGAAAGGUCUUAGAAUCCUUUUUUCAACAUCACCGAGUUUGCUAAUUUUUAAGCUCGUAUGAGUAAGAUAUGCUCGUUUGAAGUCGGAUUGUCCAAAUAAAGAAAGUUACCCAAAAAUAUGAGAGGUAUUUUGGUGUUUUCUUACCCAAUCGAAUUCAAAUGUUUUUAGUAAGGUUUUAGGAGUCUAAACUGGUUAAAAUCAAUUUCAUUCAUUCUUAAAUUUAGAAUUUUAGAGAGAAGAUUCAACAGGAGAAAAAGUUCAUAGUUUCAAACGUUCAUUCAAGAAAUUCAAGAUUUCACCAAAAACCUAAUUCUUUGACGUACGUAAGCUUCCGUAGUGUAGGUAUCAUUCAUCCACACACCAAUCAUAAGUUUCUUUUGUGAAUCUAUCCAUAGAUAUUGAGCAAUUUAAUUUCUUGAUGAGUUCUUGAUAAGUGUUCUUGAAGUUUCCUUAUUAAUUAAGUUUUGUUGUAAGUUUCUACUUGGGUCAAUUUCAAAUGACCAUCUCUAAGAAUAUAAAGAGUUACGUGGGUCAUAACCUAUCAAAUUAAGCGUAUUUGAAUCUACUUUUCAACGCCAUCAAUUUUGCGUAAAUCUAAUUUUUGAGUAAAAAUUUAUGACUAUUUUAGUAAUUUGAUACAGUGUUGUCACGAAUUAGCCGACGUGAAAAUAUUAAAAAGCAAUGUUUUUUUCUUUUUACCCCCAAAAAACCCUAAAAAAAUUUCUUGACUAAUAAAAGGCUAAAAAAUAUAAGAUUUUCAUCUUUUAAUCCAUCAUUCUCUUCUCUCUCAAACCCUAGGGCAAAACCCUAAGGAAAGAUUCUUUCAAUCUUUUUCAAGAUUCUUCUUUAAGGUAAGCCUUUCUCCAAGAAUUCAUUCUUUUCAACUCAAAUUCCUCCAUACAAUUGUGAAUCACUAAUGAAAAUCAUAAUUCUUGGACAUAUAUAUUUCAAGAAACUAAUUCAAGAAUCUCAAAGAAGAUUUUCUUGAUUGUUUACUUUCAAUCUGGGAUUUUAAGGCUUCUAAUAAAGUUCUUCUUUAAUGUUACUAGUUCUUCCUCACACCCUACAUCUUCUUUCAAAUCAAUAAAAGAGAAAUCUAGGAUUCUUCUAAGAUUUGAGCAUUCAUGAGAUAAGUUGAUUUUAGUUCUUGAGUUCAUAAUUAUUUUAAAGAUUUUAUUCCUAAUUAUUGACUUUCCAUGUUUUAAUUGAGAUUCUUUAGUUAAAUCAUUCAUGUCUAUAAUUCAGUAUGAACCCUAUUUUGAGUUGUAAAUUUUAAGAAGUUUUUUCAAAGCGAACACUUUAGUUUUGGACUAAGUUUUGAGGAAGUAAGUAUAAGAAUGAGAAGAGUCUUAUACAUGAGUUCCAUAUUAUUAUGAAGACUCUUGAGUCGAGUCUUUCAUGCCUAUAAAUUCUGCAUGAACUCCAUACAUUGAGAAUCUUUGAGAGGAGUAGUAUCUUCUAAUUUUAAGUCUUUAGGCAUUAAGUUUCUAAUUGUUUUGAGAUUAUAUUCCUACUUAUGAGACUACUACAUGUUACCCAUGAAGCCCUUGAGUUGAGUUGUUCAUGUCCAUAAUUUCGCAUAAACCCUAUGAUUCAAGGAGUCUAGAUAUGAGUAGUAUCACUGAGCCUUAAGUUCUAAAUAUUAAGUUUCUUUAUUGCUAUUAAGAUCCCUAAGUUGAGUCGUCCAUGUUAAUAAUUCUAUAUGAACCCUAUGAUUUGAGUUAUAAGUUUUAGAAAGCAUUUUAAAGUCAACACUUGAGUUCUUAAUGUAAGUUUUGAGAAAGUAAAGAUAAGUUUUGAUAAAAGAGUUUUCUUAAAGAUGAUUAGUAUGACAAUCGAAUAUGUCAUCAUUGUAUGAGUAGUAUGGUAUCUAUAUAUACCAUCAAUAUUUAUGACGUCUGACUUCCCGAGUCAUCAAUGAUCAUAUUAUAAUAUGAUUUUGAAUUUUUUUUGAGAAAGAGCAUAGUUGAGUUCAUUUUCCUUAAAAUUAUAUAUGGAAACUAAUUAUUCCCAAGAGUAAAUGUUCUCUAAGAUAAGAGAAAACUAAGAUUUACAAAAGAGUUUUGAGCAAUUUAAGUACCAUAUUUUUAACAGAAAGUUUUUUAAGUAAUUAUCACAAACCACAGAAAAAAAAUAUGUUUCUAAACGUAUGAGCUAGUAUCUUUUGGGAGUAGUUUUGAGCACCGAUAUGGGGGAGAUUUCAGAUUACUCACAAGCCCUACAAACCAUGUAGUCAACGUGGGUACAAAGGGUCAUACUUUGCAGACGACUCCUUAAUGCUUUUUAGUAUAGACUAGUGGAUCCACUUAGUAGUAGGUCUUAUACAUGACAAAGUAUAGGGUAGUUCUGACAGCGUGGCCGAGAUGUUGUAUCAUCACAUAGGUCAUAGUAAUGGUUGUCACUUGGAGCUUAUUUACAUAUUUUACUUUGUAUUUUCAUAUACAAGUAGAUUUAUGUUGUAUCCUUGCAUACAAAUUGAGUUACUAUUGUAUUUUUUCAAUACAUCGAGUUAAUUUCUACUAUUUAAAAAGUUUUUCGUUUAUAACACCUCUUUUGUUGUUUUAUCUUAAAUUGAGUAUCCACAGUUGAGUAUUUUGAGUUGAGUUGAGUAUCUUUGAGUUGAGUAUAAUAUCUUUGAGUUUAGUAUCUUAUUCUUCAGAUUAGUUGAGUGAGUUGAUAAAAGGUAAGUAUGUUUCCUUUUUAUAAAAUUCAAACAUAUAUUUAUGCUUUAGAAUUCCCCUUAUAUGCUCGUACAUUCCACGUAUAGAGCCAUUUAUCGUGCAUAAUUUUGUUAUGCAGAUACAUGUAUUCAGGAUCAUCAACAAGCAAUUCGUUGAGGUCAUGUCAUAUUCCAGUCACCUUUGGUGAGACUUCUAAUAUUUCGAAGGACUUCACCUUUAUCUUACAUUUAGUAGUUUUGAGAGGUCAUGGGUCUUAUCUCGAUAUCCUUCUGUAAAGUAGAGUCUUCAUAGAUAGAUAGAGUUAAGGAGUUUUUGUAUUUACUUUUAUUUUGAGUAUUGUACAGACUUUUAAAAAGGUUGAAGAUUUGAGUUUAUUGAAUUUAUUUUAGUUUUAAGCUUUUGUAUGCUUGAAUUAGUCUUCCACUUCUAGCCAGCUAGGACGAGGGUUUUCUUGGAAAUCACCAAUGGUUCUCGAGGGUUGGGCACUUUCAAGGUGUAGGCUUAAGUCGUGACACCAAGAACAAGUGAAAGAAUCCGAAAAGGAAAGACUCAAGUGUAUUAGGAGGAUUCAAGCUUGGUUUGAGGUAGAUAAUGGUUUGAUUUCCUGUUUGUGUAAUAUAUGUCGGUUGAUUGCUACUUUAUAUUACAGGCGUGUAUGUGAAUAGGGAAAUGUGAACCAAUCUAAUGAAAUGAUUAUGUGUGAACAAUAUAUGUCACGAAUUUGUUACUUGCUUGUAUGAUUGAGUAUUAGUCAUGAUAGAUGUGAUUAUAAUUGUGGUUGUGCUGAUUGGAUCGAGUGUCACAUUCUGACACAUGUAUUAGAUCGGGUGUCACAUUUCGACACAUAUAUUAGAUCGAAUAUCAUGUUUCGACACAUAUAUUAGAUCGGAUGUUAAGUUUUGAAACAAUAAUAAUUUGGGGAUGGGUUCCAUGAGACUACCAUUUGUGAUAAUUGUGUUAUAUCUUAUUUUCACUGAAAUUAGAAAAUUGUAUGUUACUCCUAAAAUGAUAACUGAACUAUAUUUUGUUUAAGUGUGCUUAUUGUGUUGUAAUUGUUCGUUCACUACUAAAAAAAUAAUAUUUAGCGACGGAUAUUAGUGACGAACAGUAUUUCGUCACUAUAUAAUGACGGAUUUGCGAUGGAAUAAACAUUUUGUUGCAAAAUUAAACAAGUAAUAUUUUGAUUUAUAAUAUAGCAACAUAUUUACAACGGAAUAUAUAAUCCGUCUCUAAAUAUUAGCGCAAAAAUUUGGCGCCUAAUUUUCCCUACAGAUUUAGUAACAAAGUAGUGGUGACGAAUUUAAUUAAUAUUGGGCGACGGAACUAGUGACCAAAAAAAGGUUGCUAAACUAUCAAAUAUAUUUUUUAUAAAAAAUAUAUUAUAUAGUGACGAAAAUAUUUGUCAAUAUAAUUUUUCUAAAUAUAUAUAUUUAUUUGAAACCAACGGAUUUUAGAAUUCGUCACUAAUUCCGUUGCAAACUCAAAUUUCAGAUUUCCAUUACUCUCAUUUAAUCUCAUCCGUCCAUCAUAAUUAUCAAACUCCAAGAGUCAAUCUCAUCCGCUCAUCCGAAUUUAUCAAUUGUCCUGCUUUAAGACCCUUGCUUUCCCAUCUUAUACAAAAGAUCCCAAAUCCCUAAUUUUCUUCAUUCUCUUCCUCUCCUCUACAAGUCCGCUGCCCAGGCCUUGUUUGCCUUCUUCUCCGUUCUUUUUUUCGGCCUUUGCAGCCUGGAGAACGAGUAGUGAACAACAAUGGUGAGCUCCGAAAGACUUGCGACGACCACCGAACCUCCUUCGUUGGCAGAAGAUCAAGUUGGCGAGCAAUUAGGCGACCAGGUGGUCUCCGUCCGGCUACAGCAACAACACAAAGAUAGCGCCAUCAAUUGCCUUCCUCUCCGGUGAAGAAGGACAGCAACUUUAGCUACACGCUGUGAGCAGCGAUGGUGAGCACCGGCAGCAUCCAAAUCCAGCGAGCAACAUAGGAACAAAAUCUAGGGAGAACACAACAACAAUUUCAGUCAUAGGAGCUCUAUGAGGAUUUUAGGUGAAGAAACUCUUUCCUUCAAUGCUCUGUAAAUAAAGCAUUCUUAUCAUAUCUUUUAUCGAAACACUAAGAGAUUAAAUUAAUAAAAUGACAACAAUUCUUAUAUAAUUUGGUUUUGUCUGUUUCUUGAAAGAUAUAUCAAAGCAAUUGUUCCAAAACAAGUAAUCUAUGGCUUUCGUGAGAAUGAUGUUAGCUUAACUAAAGUUUCUUUAACUCAAGUCAGAUGCCACCUCUUGACGUUUGUGAGAUAUAGUAAGCAAUCAAAAUAUGUGAUUUGAUUGUUUUUUUCUUCUUCAAGUGGAACUUAUAAAUAGGGUAGUAUAAAUCAACAGAAGCAAUUCGAGUAGUUCAAAAGGAAAUGUACGUUUUUUCUGUACAAUAUGGUGGUGUUUCUAUAAGAUCCAUCAAAGACCAAUGUGUUCUUAUAUUCAUUUUCAUUAUCCUUGAUUCCCUCAACUUUGUGUUAGCCAUUUUAUAUUUGUCUCCUUUAUGCCCCCUUUCCCCCUUUUCAGUUCACAUUGAAGCUGGUGCAUUUAGGUGUAUAAAGAUAACUUGUUAUUCCAAAUGUAUCAUUAUGUUGGCGGGCAUGAAGUUGUUGUUGUACUUACACGGGUGACUCUAUCUCAAUUGGAGAAUAUUGCAGAAAACUUGUAAGUAUAUAUUUCACAAAUUAUAUAAGUACUAUCUUUAGGUUGUAUGAUCUAUACACAUGUAUCUAAACACACAUUACACAAUAUAUAUUAUUGUAUUUAAAGGUGAUUUAUCUUUUGUAUAGGCUAAAGGAUCGAGAUCCAACACCAAGCGAGUUACAUUUGCACGUCCAUACACAUGGUCAUGAUGAAAAAUCUUUUGUUGAUGAGCGCUCUCAAAUUGUCCAUGUAGGUCGAAAAAAUAAACAUGUAGUUGCUAAUUAGAAUGAGCUCUCUAAUUCUUGUUUAAUUUCUUAUUUUUUUUCUUAGCUUACUGUUUCGUGUUUCGUGAACCUGUUGUAUGCUUGGGAUUUAUGUGUUUGUGAUUUGUUAACUCUAACUGAUUUGCCUUCUUAAGCUGGAAUUUUUUAGUCACAGUUUGAGUCUUUUUGUUUAUUUAUUAAUCAAGUCUUUGCCAUGUGAACCCCUUUCUUAAUUCUUUGUAGUAUUCGAGUGUUCAAUUCUUUGUUUAAUUUGCUCACUGUAAACAUUGAUUGUUAAUUUUGACUAUAUUUUUUUUGUUAUUAUUUAGGAGUCAAAUGUGAUGAAUUAGUAGAAAUCCGAUUAAUUUAUCAUGAGUAGUGGUUAAAUUUAUCUAGAAUUAAUUUUUAUAACUUUUACAUGAUUUUAAGUCAUUGUACAUUUGUUGUUUCAUUUUCUUGCUCCUUGGAUGUUCAUUAUUUGUUAUUGAGGAAUGAUUUGGAUGUAAUAUUGUUGCUAUACUUAUUUUGGGUUCUAAUUCCUAUUUUUUUUGUAUCAUGUACAAUCAUGUGGAGUCCAAAUUGGACUCGAAUAUGUUUUCCUUCGCAUUUCUAAUGAGCCAUGAAAGCUCAAGUCCCGAGUGAAUCCUUGACUAUCACUGGGAAGUCGGAAGAGAAUUGCUCUAUUGUCUAUCUUCAAUAAGGAGAUUUCCAUCAUAUUAAUUUUAGUUUGUACAAUUCAAAUAAGAUGCAAAAAGUAAUUACCAAGAUAAGUCUGAAGAGGGAGAAUUUUCUCAAAAGAAAAUUAAGGAAAAAAAAGUAAUACAAGAAGUUGAUAGUCAUUUAUAAUUCGUAUUCUCAUUUAGUUAAUCCAAGAGGGUGAUGCUAGUAACCAUUAAGCAAAAUCGAGAAAAGGCAACAUAACAAAAUAAUCUUACAUGCAUAUGCUUCUGUGUAGUUUACGUUACGAUGAUACUCGUUGGGACUUAUUGUUGCUAUGUUACAUUGUUUAUGAAUUUUUUCAAAAGGAUUUAUGGCAUAAAGUGCUUGUUAUAGACCAUAGCAGUAAAUUGGAUCAGGUAGCUAUUUUUUUUCUUGACAUUUAUAUGAAUUACAUUUGUUUGGUCUUGAAACAUCUGAAAUCCAUUCAAGAUUCUCUGAACUUUGAGGUAUCAAUUACAGUGUGUUUCUUUAUUUGUUUUUUUAUUUAGUUUUUUCACAACAAAAAAAGGGUCAAAAUUAUCCCUAUCAUAUUAUAAAUGACUCAAAAACAUUUUUCUUUUCCCUUAUGGGAUCACUGAUCAAGUUUUAGUUUAGGUCCAUAUCUACUUUCUAAUUUGUCUCCUCAUGUGUUUAUUGGGGACUAGUGUAAAGUUGUAGGCUUAUAGCAAAUAUUCUUGAAUACUGUGUUGUUGUACGUAAUUAUCAUUUCACUCAUUUUUAAUCUAAGUUUAAAUGUAAUGUAUAUGUAAUGUAUGUUAGCUAAAAAAGUAUAGUACAUUUAGUUAAUCUAAAAGGUUGUGUAUGUUACUACACUUUCUUUUAAAUAUUAUUUUGUUACUAAUUUUUAGUGCUUUCUCUUUAUCUUUAUUUACAGGAAAAAUAUGAAGAAAUAUUAUGGGGGAAGGUCUCAAUUUGAUAUUGAUCAAUCUGAAGCAUACUACAAAAGUUGAUGAACAAAGGUUCUCUUAAGAAUAGUUGAUAGAUUAUUUUUGAUGUUUUGCUCCAAAAUAUGUGAUUUAGAUUUUGCUAUGUACAGAUUUUGAACCGUCUAAGUAUUAUUUUUUAUGAAUAUUUGUUAUUUUAGAGGUACUUUUAGUAAAUGUUAUUUAAUUUAUUUCAGCAAUGUAUAUUUAAAAUAAAUAAAUGAAAUUAUUUUACAAGAAACUUUUUAACAACAAAUUUAAUAAUGAUUUGGUCAUUGCUAUAAAAAAAAUAUUGGCGACGAAUCAGCAACGAAAUAUUUUAGUGGCAAAUAUGUUGGCUCAAAUAACAGAAUAUUUUGUGAUGGAUUAGUGACGUAAACUUCGUCAAAAAUUUAUUUGAAAUGACGAAAUUACUUAUGAAAUAGCAACGAACUAUAUAAGCAUAACGAUGGACCAGUCUGUCACUAACAAGUGGCGACGAAUAUCAUUCGUCUCUAAUAUGUCGCUAAUCUUGCGAUGGUCUCAUUUUUUUGUCGCUAAGAGAUUACUAACGAGCGAAAUAGCAACAACCAGCAAUUUUUCGCAAAUCCGAUUUAGUGACGAAAUACCAUAGAUUAGCGACGGAUUUCACCCGUCGCUAAAUGUUUUUUUUUUUGUAGUGAUUGUAUAUUGUGCUUAUGGGAGUAGUCGCGUGAUCCUAUCAGUACAUUCUGGUUAUGUACUGAUAACUGAUACUGCACUUGGUCUUUCUUGUUGAGUACAGGGCAUUUUCAGCCUGAUAGACCUCAGUUAGGAGACUAUUGUUCGAUGACCGGAUGCAAGGGUAAGCCAGUUCUUUCAUACUAUCAUGGAUAUUUUUUGUUUGAAUCCACUCUUUUCGGACUCAGACUAUUUAGUAAGGGUUUGCUUAUGUUAGUUGGGUUGCAUCCCUUUUCCUUAGAUUUGAUGGUUUACAAAGUUUUGGUACAAUGAAUUUUAGGUUCUAGGAGUUGUUUUCUGCAAUGGUUUUGGUAGUUGUUUUUGUUAAACUUUCAGAGUUUAUGGAAACUCCAUAUUUCGUUCGACAUUUAGACUUGCUUCAGUGUGUUUAAAUGUUCUAGAUUUUGUUAGGUCGUAGAAAUGGCUCUCCCACCAGAGGGUUAGUGUGGGUGUCAAUCACGACGGUCUGAAACGUGCCACACAUUUAAUUUUAGAGAAUUGUGUCAAAAGUUUUUUAUAUAUUUGAAACUUCAUGUCUAAUCAAAUUAAAAAAUAUAAAAUAAAAUAAGUGAAAUAUAUUUAGGCUUUUUUUUUAAAGAAUUAACUUUAGGCCACAUAUUUUGUUGAGUCGCCCCAGACUUGUAGUUGGUUUGUAGAAAUGUCAAUGAUCACGGGAAUAGUUAAUACUCUAAAAGCAUAUUAAAUUUCCAAUAACUAUAUUAUAGAGCAUGAAUGCAUGCAAACUAUUGGAUGGAGCUCCUUUCUAAUUUUAGUCAAAUUCUUAUUUAAAUUGAAUACAUGUAAUAUAAAUUAAAAUUAAUGGUAAUAUAAUUAAAUUAGGGGCACAUUGGAGGUGAGUGGAGUCCAAUAUUAAUUUUUGUUUCUUAAACCAGGUUCGUUAUUCGUAUUAAAGUUUGUCUAUUUUAAACUCAUAUCACGUAGAAUCCUAUUAAGAGGGAAGGGUCUUGUAUCAAGAAUUUUUCCAUACUCAGAGCUCAAACUCGAGAUCCAUUUCCGGUCCUUUGGUGGUGGCUAAUACUAAUUAUACUACUACAGUAGUACUACUUAAUGCUUCCUUAACAUUUUCAACGUGUAACUAUUCAUGCAUUACCAAUUAAUCAAGAUGAGCAGACAAUAAUUGACUAAGUUCAUAUAUGCUACUAAUCUAAUAUUUAAGUUGAAGUAAUAAUAUCUAAAAAUAGUUUCAAGUGCAACAGUAGUAGAAUUUAGUAUAAAUAGCCAUGGUUAGAUGCACAUCAUCAUCAUAAGAAAUAUAAACUGCUUGAUUAAUAUUCUCUAGAUUUGAAUAUGGCUUCCAAAACAAUUGCAAGUCAGUCUUCAGUAACCCUUUUCCUAUCACUGAAUCUCCUGUUGUUUGCUGUUGUAAGUGGAACCAAUGAUACUGGAAAUUGCGUUGGUUCUCAACAAACAUGCUCAAUAGAUACUUUGAAACUUGGUGUGUGUGCUAAUAUACUUAAUUUGGUGAAUGUAAUAGUCGGGUCUCCACCAACUUUGCCAUGCUGCAGUUUGAUCCAGGGACUGACGGACCUAGAGGCCGCGGUUUGCUUGUGCACAGCCAUAAAAGCAAAUGUGCUGGGAAUUAAUUUGAAUGUACCACUCUCUCUGAGCCUCAUACUAAACACAUGUGGAAAGAAAUAUCCUACUGGCUUCACUUGUUAAACUACGUACCCUCUACUUUGCCUCAUUAAUUUCCAAGGGGUUAAUAAAUAAAUAAAUAAAUGUAUCGUCGUGCUUAUGAAAUUAUUAUGCACGUACGAACCUUUUUAAAAAAAAAUUUAAAUAAGUGAACUUUGCAUAUGCAAGUUCUCAUCUUCCUAUGUUACAUUAAUAAUACUAUCAAAUUAAUAAAUAAAACUACUCUUUAUCACCUCUCCAUGCUCUUCGUAUAUUCGUACUAUAAUAUUAUAAACUCUACUUUUUGAAGAAGCCAUAGCUAGGGGAAAUCUGCAUAGAUAUCACUUAAUAAUCAUUUAUCAUGUGUAAUACUUGCUUACAAAUGCCCUACUAUUAUUUAAUUGACACGUGCUAACAUAAAUUGCCUAUUAUUAUUUAGCUUAUUUAUAGCAACCAUGUAUUUCUAAUGAUUUUUCUUUUAUGAAUCUUAUACAUAAGUUAAUUUAAUUAAUUAUCUACAUACCUUAUAUUAAAGCAGCAUCUUCAAAAGUAUGUUAGUCGACUUGUAUAAUAGCAUCUCGCACCUUACAAAUUUUGCUUAUAGGAAUUUUUUUUUGCAUAAAACAUGUAGUAUACAUAGCAUGCCUAUAGGGAAAAUUUACAAUGCAUUUUCUGUCUGUUUAGUAAUCAUGCCUAUAUGGCCAUUUAAUUAAAUUGAAUUCGUUUUCAUAUGAUCGACAAUAUACAUUAAGACAGUCCCAAUAAUCUUUUGGUUUAUCCCAUUAUGUGUUUAUGCAUUUUAAAAGUAAUUUAUUAAUCACGCCUACAAGAAUUAAUAUCAUUUAAGCUCUCCUUAGAUAUCUUGUUUUUAGAUUUUAAUGGCUAACAUGUCUUUAGUAUUGUAUAGCAACAGACUUAAGUCAUACGUGUUUCCUUAAAGUUAUUUGCAUAUUUUAUUUAAAUAACUCAAUUAUAGGUUAUGCCUAUUGAACAUCUCAAUUGUUCAAAAGUCAUUCCUAUUGGACACAAAAUAGUGACAUCACAAAAAAACGUGUGGUUCGCUACUAUCAAAAUAUAUUUUUUUUAACUUAUACCACUAAACUAAAUUUUUUAAAAAAAUAAUAAUUAACAAAAAUAAAAGAAGAAGGAAGAGUCAUCGUCUUCCCCACCCCAAUAUUUCCUUCCCUGCAACUUUUUUCAAUUUCUCAUCCUCCAUUUUCAUCCUCUGUUUUACAUACAUGCUCAACCCUCCCCAUUCUCUGCACCCCAUUUCGGUGAAUCUAUAUUUAUUUCAAUGAGAAAAAUAUGAAUUAAUUUUUCAGCUAAAAGUUUGUUAUUAUAUUUUGCAAUUUUGAUAAAUAAUUACUAAUGGUAAGAAGAUGAAGACAAUGAGUAACAGAUUUGAUGCUAUCAAUAUGAAGAAAACUAAUAUUCCCUCCGUUUCAAAAAGGAUGAUUUAGUUUGACUUGGAGUUUAAAAAAAGAAAGAAAACUUUUUAAUCUUGUGGUUCUAAAUUAAAGUUAUGUCAAAUAUACCAAAAUGUCCUUUAAUCUUGUGGUCUUAAACAUGUCACGUGGAAAGUUAAAGUUAAAGUGUUGCAUAAAAGGAAAGGAGUCAUUCUUUAGAAACAAACUAAAAAAUAAAUAGACAUUUUUUUUUGAAACGGAGAGAGUAAGUUCAAGUAUUAGCUAAUUUCUAACUUUCAUUAUUUCACUAGCACUUGAACUAUUCAAUAGAGAAUCCAAAUUGCAUCUUUACAUAGAAAUCAUAACGGAUAAAACUGAAUGAAGGAGAAGAAAGAGGUAGGGAGAUGAUUUGCUUGAGUUAAUACUAUGGUCACUAAAUUAUGUGUUCAAGUUUCAAUUUUACUUCAAAAGUCACUUAACUAUGCACAUUUCUCUCAUAAAGUCACUCAACUUUUAGUUUUAAUUCAAAAGUCACUCAACUAUUCACUCUUCUCUCAAAAAGUCACUCAAUUUAUUUAAUUAUUUUUAAUUAAAAUUUAUUUAUAACAAAUCAAAAUUUUAAAAAAUAAACAAUACCAUUUAAACAAUGCAAUGACCCGUUCUACUUGACCCGACCCACUAAAAUAUAAUAUUGACCCAUUUUAUGACUAUUUCUCCUCGGCGUUUUUUUUUUCUUUCUAAAAGAGGAAGAAGAAAAAUUAUUUGAACAACAUUUAUUUCAAGGAAUGGGUACUCUGUUCAGAGAAGGAACAAGAUUCAUGACUGAUUUAAAUGUAAUUCAUGUAAUUGAAUCUAUAUGUUCAGGAACUGAAAUCAUUCACAAAAACUCAUUAACAGGUCCAAAAUUAGCUCAAAAUUCGAUAUUUUGUUCAUUCUUUUUUAAAACACCAUUGUUGAAGAAAACACCUCGACUUUUAAACUCAUCAAUUUCUAUGAAUACAAUUAUACCACUUUCGACUCAACCCAUAAUCAAGUGAAUACAAGUGAAGAACCCAUCUGGGGUCGCAAAAAACAGAGCAAUUUCAUUGACCAAGACAACAACAGUACUAAGUCAAUUCAAUUGAGUUAUCAGGUUUACGCUGAUGAACUUGAUCCAAAAAGUUCAUUAUCCGAGUUUAUGGAUCAUGUUCCAAUGAAUUUAAGAAGAUGGGCUUGUUAUCCAAUGUUAUUUGGUUGAAUCAAAAGAAAUUUCAAGCAUAUAAUAUUGGAGAAAUUCCAAUGUUAAUGAAUUUAAUAAAAGAGGAAGAAGAAAAAUCAAUAGAGAACUAACAUAAAACGGAGGAGAAAGAGUCAUAAAAUGGGUCGAUAUUAUAUAUUUAGUGGGUCGGGUCAAGUGAAGCGGGUCAUUAAAUGGUUAAAUGCUAUUUUUUAUUUUUCAAUAUUUUAAUUUGUUAUAAAUAAUUAAUAUCAACAAAUUUUAAUUAAAAAAAGGGAAAGGAUCUGAUAUAUCCCUCGUUAUGAAAGUUGUUCAUAUAUGUUUAUACAUUUUAAAAGUAAUUUAUUAAUCGUGCCUACAAGAAUUAAUAUCAUUUUAUAAGUUCUGCUUAGAUAUCUUGUUUUUAGAUUUUAAUGGAAGCAUGUCUUUAGUAUCAUAUAGUACCAGACUUAAAUCGUAUAUGCGGCUCCUUAAAGUUAUCCGCAUAUUUCAUUUGAAUACCUCAAUUGUAGGUUAUGCCUUUGAACACUUCAAUUAUUUAAAAAUCAUUCCUAUUGGACAUAAAAUACUGACAUAACAUAAAAAUUAUGGUUUACUCUCUUUAAGUGCGUAAAACUAUCAAAAUAUUUUUUUUCUUUUUUUUCUAACAUAUACAACUAAAAUAAUUUUUUUUUAAAAAAUAAUUAACAAAAAUAAAAAAAUAGAAGGAUGAUUCAUCGUCUUCCCCACCCCAAUAUUCCCUUCCCUGCAACUAGUUUCAAUUUCUCAUCCACCAUUUCCAUUCGUCUUUUUACGCACAUGCUCAACACACCUCAUUCCCUGCACCCAUUUCGGCGAAUCUAUAUUUAUUUCGAUGAGAAAAAUAUGAACUAAUUUUUGGGAUAAUAGUUUGUUAUUAUAUUUUGCAACUUUGAUAAAUAAUUACUAACAGAAAGAAGAUGAACAAUGAGUAACAAAUUUGAUGCUAUCAAUAUGAAGAAAAACAAUUGGUUCUAGUAUGAAGAAACCUUACCCCAGAACACGAACCAGGUUCGUGUAAGUUGCUUUUAAGUAAAGACAGAAUAGAAACACAAACACUUAUUGAAUUAAAAACCUUCCUCACUCAAGGAAGGAAAAACCUCGUUUUAUUAAUUCAACUAUAAGAUUUUGUGAUUACAACUCAAUAAUCAAAAGUCUUAUCUCUACUACUCCCUCGAUUGACUCCAAUCGAUCUCUCCAAAAGGCCAAACCCACCUUUUGUUACAACUCUUACUAACACUCAACCCUACAAAGAGCCAAACCCACCCUUUGUACAAUAAACUGUAAAUUACAAUUAAGAACAAAAACAAGACAAAUAGUUCUUCGCGAUAAAACCUUCUAACUCAAGAACGUUUUGUACGUGGCAGUCCUAUCAAUCUUGAAGACCUCAGUUUGAUGAUUAAUUGCCUCUUGUUCUCUGCGUGAAGUGGUAGAUCUUUUCUCUGCCUCGUGUGCUUCUUAUAGAGUUUUGUCCUUGUAUAAUCCCUACUAAUAAGGUAAGAAAGUUAUGUUUAAACAAAGAUUCUUUUUUAAAUUAGAAUCCUUAUUAUACACAACUUCCUUCCUUAAUAAUAUAUUUAAGGUUUUCCUUAUUUAUAUUGACUUGUACCUUUAAUAUAUUAUUUUGACUUUGACAAAUAACUCUAUUUUCUACUUGACCUUGGACUUCUUUUGCUGCGUACAUUUUCUACUGUUCUUUGCGCUUUUUGUCUAUCAUCAAAACGAAUUAACGAUUCUAUCAUAUUCCCCCUUUUUGAUGAAGACAAACAUGUAACGUGUGAUGCAUGCGCAAAUAACUCUUCCCCCUUUUGACGAAUCAAAAAGACAUAAGCAGCGGCGAAUCAACACUAAUCAAUAUCCAUAGUAACAAAAUACGCCCAGCCAGGUGAGCAAUGUAAAUUGUUCUGGCAACAAAACAAGAAACAACAAUACAGAGUGAAAACAGCUAAGAGAACCAGGUUCAGACAACAUGCUUUAUCACUGUGGAGGCUGACCAGGCUUAGUUGAACAACAAUAGCAUUGUUAGCAAGUUGCUGCUGCACCAACUGAUCCUUCAACCUGUGUAUUUCAGCAUUUGAGGAAUCGAGCUCAGCACGUAACUUCUAAUUGUCUGAUUCAAGAGAGGCGUUCUUUUCUUCAGCUACUUUAAGCUCCCUAAGUAACUGAGCAACAGGACCAGAUGUACGUGGAGACGCUGUUGCAACCUGCUCUGACUCCAUAGGAAUGCCACAAUCAGCAAGGAUAGUUUGAGUGAACAUGUCUGCACGAGUUAAGAUCCUGCCUUCACCCAGUGGUACUUCAAAAGCAUCAAACACCCUAGUCAAUAGGUUGCCAAAGGCUAAAUGAUGGGAGCCUAACUGAGGAUCCACAAUUCUAGCAAGAUGUUUAAUAAUCAAUGUAGGCCAAUCAAUGCGCUCUUUGCACUCAAGUGCACUCAUAAGUCCCAUGUCUCGUAUGGAGGCAAUGUGACGUUGGUGACCUCUAGGCAGUAUCACCUUAUGAACUAUCUCAAAAAGAAGCUUAUGCAAAGAUCGCAUUAUUCCCUUUAAAACAGUUUGAGCCCUGUAAUUGACUCUACCUUGCGAGAAUCGAGCUGGCAGACUUGAAUACUCAUCAAAACUCCAAUUAUCUCAUUUAUACCUACAGAUGGUAUAUGCAAUAUUUCCCCAAGCUUGGUUGCAUCAAACACAAUAUCAACACCCUUUACACUAGACGACACCACAUCUCCUUCUAAGAUUACCAAAUUUGUAUAGAAAUCGACCACUUCCUUUUCAUAAAUCAAACUAGGUUCUAGAAAUAACUCCUCCCACCCUUGAAACCUUAGAAGUUCACAGACCUGCUUCACUAAAUCCAUUGACAGUAUAUCAGGAUGAAAGAUUCUACCCCUAAGCACUAAUUUGGUUUGGAAGUACUUUUUCCUUCCCACUUUUAGAAAUUUAUCUGCAUUUCUUUUCACAGAUUUUGUUUUGGAUUGAGGGGUUGCAGAAUGUUUUCCCUCAGACAGAGCAUCAGUAUCAGAAGCAAGAUCCAUUGGAGAGACUGAUGAAGGGACAGGGGACUUACCCAAACGUCGAUGCUUCACCCCAGAUGUUGUAUCAGCAGCUAGCUUGACCGCAUGCGCACUCCUUGUUACUGGCCUGUGUGGACGAGCUUGUUUGACGACAAUAUGCUUUCUUGGCCGCCGUGGUUUUGUAGGGUGAAGGGAACUCAAAAGAAUAUCAUCAUGGGUGUGAGAAGGUGAUGGGUUUUGAGGAGUGGUUUGGUGAGAUGGUGAAGAAGGGGGGAUGGUUGGGACAGUGGUUGUGGGAGAUGUUGGGUUUGGUGAAAGUAGGGUUUCGUGAGCUGGUGAUGCUGGAGUUUCUUGGACUGGUGAUGGGGAAGAUGCGAUGAUGGGUGGUGAUGGGGAGUUAGUAACGACAGGUAACGAUGCUCCUUUAACUGGUGAUAAUGAGGGGGUUACUUGUGGUGGUGGAAAUGUAGCUUUUGGUGGUGGAGAUGGAGUUUUUGGUGGUGGUGAUGGAGCUUUUGGUGGUGGUGAUAAAGAUGUGGUUGGGAGUUGGGUUUCGUCCCCAAGAUCGGGCACACCAUCAACAACUUGGUUUUCUUCCCCCUGAAGAGAUGCACUAUCAGACGAGCUGCCGUCAUCGGAGUAAGCAACAAGUAGAUUAGUCAUGGUUAUGGAAGGGAUUGUGGUUUCUUGGUUUUUUGGAGAUUGAAGAUGAGAGAGGGAAGGUUGCUAGUUUAGAGAGAGUGCUUUAUUGGGGGUGGGUUUAGUGUGGUAAUCAAGGGAUUGGAGUAAUGAUGGGGGAUUGACAUCGAGGGGACGUGCACCGUGACGGUUGCACCUGCUUGUCAGGGGGCAUGGGAGAGAGAAGAUGAAAUUGAUUUCCCUUUUUUUUUAAAUAUAUAAUUUUUUUUUAAAAUAAAGAUUAUGUGGAACCAUCUUGACAGAACCUGGUUUAUACCUCAGUAGAACUUGGUUGGGCAUGGUUCAUUCCAAGAAGAUGAGCCCUAACUCAAGUCUAUUUUUCUUAAAUAACUCUCUUCCUAGUGCCUUGGUGAAGAUGUCCGCAACUUGAUUCUCAGUUUUGCAGAACUCCAUAAUUAUGUUUCCUUUUUCAACAUUAUCACGAAGAAAGUGAUGUCUAACAUCUAUGUGUUUGGUGCGCUUGUGUUGAACUGGAUUUUUGGCCAUUGUUAUAGCACUUGUGUUAUCACAUAGAAUAGGAAUACAAUCUGUUUCUAUGCCAAAGUCUUUAAGCUGCUGUUUUAUCCAAAGAAGUUGGGCACAACAAGAAGCAGUUGCAACAUACUCAGCCUCUGCAGUAGAUAGAGCCACGGAAUUUUGUUUUCUUGUUGCCCAGGAUAUCAAACAUGGUCCUAAGAAGUGUGCCAUCCCAGAAGUACUUUUUCUAUCAACCAUGUGUCCUGCAUAAUCAGCGUCAGCAAAUCCCUUUAGAUCAAAAGAAUCACCAGUUGGAUACCAUAGAACCAGGUUUAUUGUACCUUUCAAAUAUCUCAGGAUUCUCUUGACAGCUUUUAGAUGUGAUUCCUUUAGACACGACUGAAAUCUUGCACAUAGACCAACACUAAACACUAUAUCAGGUCUGCUGGCAGUGAGAUAUAGGCGUGAUCCAAUCAUACCUCUAUAUCUAGUGUCAUUGACUGGUGAACCUGAUUCAUUUUUAUCGAGCUUUGUUGUUGUCCCAAUGGGAGUAUCAUUAGUCUUCGCUUCAUUCAUAUCAUACUUCUUCAGUAAUUCCUUGAUGUACUUUUGCUGAUGAAUUGAUGUUCCAACUGGAGUUUGCUUAAUUUGGAGUCCCAAGAAGAAAUUCAAUUCUCCCAUCAUACUCAUCUCGAACUCACUAUUCAUUAGUUGAGCAAAUUCUACUCCUAGUGAGUCAUUGGUUCCUCCAAAUAUAAUGUCAUCUACAUAUACUUGGACUAUGAACAGAUCUUUACCUUGUUUUCGAAGAAACAGUGUAUUGUCAAUCUUUCCUCUUGUAUAUCCAUGUGUGAGAAGGAAGGUAGACAAUCGAUUAUACCAUGCUCUUGGUGCUUGUUUCAACCCAUAGAGUGCUUCCAGUUUGUAUACAUGAUCAGGAUAUCUGGUGUUUUCGAAACCUGGAGGUUGUUUUACAUACACCUCUUCUUGUAGGUAACCAUUUAAAAAGGCACUUUUGACAUCCAUUUGGUAGAGUUUAAACUCCAUGUGAGCAGCAUAUGCAACCAGUAUUCUAAUUGCCUCAAUUCUUGCUACUGGUGCGAAGGUUUCAUCAUAAUCUAUACCUUCUUCUUGGUUGUAUCCCUGUACAACUAGUCUAGCUUUGUUGCGCACUAUUUGACCUUGCUCAUCGAGCUUGUUUCUAAACACCCACCUAGUUCCUAUUACUGUUCUGUUUUGGGGCUUUGGAACCAGGUUCCACACUCUGCUUCUUUCAAAUUGGUUGAGUUCUUCUUGCAUAGCACCAAUCCAUUCAGAGUCCAGCAAUGCUUCCUUUGUAUUUUUAGGCUUAAUCAGGGACACAUAGGCAGAGAAUGCACACAUACUACGUAGUUUGGAUCUUGUAGAUAUCCCUGAGUUAAGAGGAGUGAGAAGAUUUUGCAGAGAGUGAGAGCUUUGAUGUUUCCAAUUAUGAGUAGGAAUACUUACUACUUCUUGAGGUGCAGAUGAACCAGUUUCAUUAGCAGACUUAUCUCCUAUUUCAGAUGUUUUGUCAGAUGGUAUGGGUUCUUUUUCCCGUGUUUUUGGGUCUGACGGCUUGGAGCAGGUUCCCUCAUCUUGUUCAUCCUCUGAAUUUCCUUCAACUUCACUAGUAUGUUCAUUAAAGACAACAUGGACACUUUCUUCUACACAAUUUGUUCUUUUAUUCAGUACCUUGUAGGCCUUGCUUUGUGAUGAGUACCCCAGAAAGAUUCCUUCAUCACUCUUGGCAUCGAAUUUUCCCAAAUUGUCUUUGUCAUUGUUGUGUAUAAAACAUACACAUCCAAAGGCCCUAAGAUGUGCUAGAUUUGGUUUUCUUCCUUUUAGUAGCUCAUAUGGUGUUUUGUUUAACACUGAUCUGAUCAUACAUCUAUUUAUUAGAUAACAUCCUGUAUUUACUGCUUCAGCCCAAUAGAAUUUUGGGAGCUUGCUUGAGAUUAACAUUGUUCUUGCAAUAUCUUCCAGUGUUCUAUUUUUCCUCUCAACAACACCAUUUUGUUGUGGUGUUCUAGGUGUUGAGAAGUUAUGCUCAAUCCCAUUUGUAGUACAAAAUUGUAGGAAUUGUGAGUUCUCAAACUCCAGUCCAUGAUCAGAUCUGAUGCUGAUGAUUUCUUUGUUGAAUUUCUUCUGAACCAGCUUUGCAAAAGCUUCAAACAUAGUGAAUGUCUCGUCCUUUGUUGUAAGAAACAAUGUCCAAGUGAAUCUUGAGUAGUCAUCAACUAUUACAAACACAUAUCUUUUUCCACCCCUGCUUUGUACACGCAUUGGUCUAGACAAAUCCAUGUGAAGCAAUUCCAGUGGCUUAGUAGUACUUACUGUCAACUUUGGUUUGAAGGAUGACCUAACCUGUUUUCCUUGAAUACAGGUUCCACAUACUUGGUUGUCCUUGAAACUUUUGGUUGGCAGUCCCUUAACCGGGUCUUUAGAUAUGAGUUUGUUUAUAGUUGUCAUGCUAAUGUGUCCCAUUCUUUUGUGUCAUAGCAUGGAGCAAUCUGAGACUGCACUCAGACAUUUAAGAUUAUCUUCCUUGGAGUCACCAGUCUUGACUUUGUACACAUUCUUGUGUCUCUUUCCUAGUAGAACCAGAUUUCCAGUCACUGAGUUUGUUACUCUACAUUCUUUUUCUAUAAAGAGAACGUUGUUUCCUUUGUCACAUAUUUGCGAUACGCUCAAAAGAUUAUGUUGUAGACCAUUUACAUAAUAUACAUUCUCAAUUGCAUAAGUAUCCAUUGUUCCAACCUUUCCAAUUCCUUGAAUUUCUCCAUUUUUACCAUUUCCAAAGGCAACAUUUCCUCCUUUGAUGUUCUUGAGUGAGAGGAAGCUUCUUUUAUCUCCAGUCCUAUGUCUUGAGCAUGCAUUAUCCAAGUACCAUUGUUGCUGCUUCCUCUUCACUGAUCCCUGCAAUUUAUUGUUGGAUUUUAGAUUUUGGUACCCAAAUCCACUUUGAUUUAAGCUUAGGGAAUGGGUGAAUAAGAUUUCUUCUGGCCCAUCUAGGAAGAGACUUGUCUAUAAAGAUUUGUUUUUGCUCAUUGGGUUUAUCAUGAUGAGGUUUUCUCAAGGAUUUCAAGUUUUUGUUAUGGGCAGUUUGUUUCUUUUGACAAUCAUGACUUUUAUGUCCUACCAGUCCACAGUGCAUGCAUAAACAGUCUAUGUUGGGAAUUUUUACUUGAGAGCUGGUUCUAUCAAAACCUAUCCCAUGUUUCUCAAAUGUGCGAUUCUUGUGAAUGUUGUCAAGCAGUAUGGAGGACCUGGUCCAUCUCAUUCCAUUUUCUGCUUCAGUUUUAGUCACAAGAAGCUCUUUGGAGAGUGUUUCAUUCCUUUUAAUUACCAGUUCUAGAUUUUUACUUAGUUUGGUAUUCUUGGAUAAAAGAUGGAGAUUCUGUUUUUCAAGACUCUUGUUUUCUUCUCUUAGUGAUGCAUAGUCUUCCAUUAUCAGUUCCUUUUUUGAGUCUAUGGUUUUAUAUUCAUCAAUGAGAGUGUAGAGUAAGGAUUCUAGCUCUCUUUUUGAGUAUGAACCUAGAUUUUCUUGUAAGUUAUGAAGAAUGACCUUUUCAUUUAUGUCUUCUUCUUCUUCUUCUUUUUCAGAAUCUGAUCCAGCCAUAAGUGCUAGUAUGGUUUCUUGUGAUCUGCCAGUUUCCCUUUCUUCCUUGUUUUCCACUGCUACAAGUGCAAGAAAGUCAUAAUCAUCUUCUUGUUCUAGUGCAAGAAGAGACUGAUUUUCUAUCUCAUCAUCCUCAAACUCUUCAUCAGAUGAAUUCUCCAUUGCUGCAAAAGCCCUCUUCAUUGACAUGUCUGCCUCUUGAAUUGUCAUUCUUCUGUUUGAGGGGACAAACUUAUCCUUUUUGAUAUCUUUCCCUUUCUCAUAGUUUACCUUUUUUUGUUCUACGGCCCAGGGUGGACAGAAUUUGAUGAAGUGAUCUGGGCUCCCACACUUAUGACAAACCUGGUCUUUAGUGUUUUCAGAUUGUUUUUAAAAAGCUUUCUUUUGAAAGGGUUGCCCUCUCUUUAGCAUUCUGGUGAACCUUUUGGUUAUGAGGGCAAUGUUUUCAUCUUCAAAAUCAUCUGAUGCAGUAGCCUUUAGAACCAGGUUCCUUUCCUUUCUUUUUCCUCCAAUUUCUUUUUCUUGGUUUUUCUUAAGUUCGUAAAUAAUGACAUUACCAAUUAACUCAUCCAUUCCCAGUGAGUCUAGGUCGCGGGCUUCAGUGAUAGCCUCGACUUUGCUUUCCCAGGUUUCAGGAAGGAUACUCAAGAGUUUCCUUACUGCUUUUCCAUUAGGCACUAUCUCUCCUAAAGAGUACAUUUUAUUGAUGAUGGAGGUGAACCUGGUGUGCAUAUCUUGAAUAGUCUCUCCUUCUGCCAUCCUGAACAGCUCAUAUUGCCUGUUCAAGUUACCAAUCUUGGACUUCUUGACUUGUGUUGUUCCCUCAUGAGCUAUCUGCAGUGUUUCCCAUAUGGCUUUGGCAUCUUGACAUGACGAAAUUCGAUUGUAUUCGUCUGGUCCUAUGCCACAUAUCAGAAUUUUCUUAGCUUUGGCAUUGUUUUGAAUUGCAAGCUUGUCUUCAACAUUCCAUUCCUUUCUUUCCUUUGGGAUUUUGGUGAUUCCAUCAGUUGCUGUUUUCAUAGGUAUGGUUGGGCCAUCUAGAAUUACUCUCCACAGAUCAGGGUUUUCGCCAAUAAGAUGGUCCAUCAUACGAUUUUUCCACCAUCCAUAAUAUUUGCCAUUAAACAGUGGUGGUCGUGUUUGUGAAGCUCCUUCUUGUGGGGUAGGUGGUGCUGCCAUUGAAUCUUUUCAAGGUGUGAAUCUUUUAACGAAAAGACCCGCUCUGAUACCAAUUGAAGAAACCUUACCCCAGAACACGAACCAGGUUCGUGUAAGUUGCUUUUAAGUAAAGACAGAAUAGAAACACAAACACUUAUUGAAUUAAAAACCUUCCUCACUCAAGAACGUUUUUUACGUGGCAGUCCUAUCAAUCUUGAAGACCUCAGUUUGAUGAUUAAUUGCCUCUUGUUCUCUGCGUGAAGUGGUAGAUCUUUUCUCUGCCUCGUGUGCUUCUUAUUGAGUUUUGUCCUUGUAUAAUCCCUACUAAUAAGGUAAGAAAGUUAUGUUUAAACAAGGAUUCUUUUUUAAAUUAGAAUCCUUAUUAUACACUACUUCCUUCCUUAAUAAUAUAUUUAAGGUUUUCCUUAUUUAUAUUGACUUGUACCUUUAAUAUAUUAUUUUGACUUUGACAAAUAACUCUAUCUUCUACUUGACCUUGGACUUCUUUUGCUGCGUACAUUUUCUACUGUUCUUUGUGUUUUUUGUCUAUCAUCACAACGAAUUAACGAUUCUAUCAUAGUAUUAGAGAACUUCUAACUUUCAUUAUUUCAUUAGCACUUGAACUAUUCAAUAGAGAAUCUAAAGUUUUUCAAGGUUCUCUUUUGCGAACUGUGUGUCGCUUUUGCGACAUGUGAGAUCCCUUCUGACCUGCCGUUUCGUUAGACAUUUAGACUUGCUUCAGUGUGUUUAAAUGUUCUAGUUUUUGUUAGGUCGUAGAAAUGACACUCCCACCAGAGGGUUAGUGUGGAUGUCAAUCACGAACAGUCUGAAUCGUGCCACACAUUUAAUUUUAGAGAAUUGUGUCAAAAGUUUUUUAUAUAUUUGAAACUUCAUGUCUAAUCAAAUUAAAAAAUAUAAAAUAAAAUAAGUGAAAUAUAUUUAGGCUUUUUUUUUAAAGAAUUAACUUUAGGCCACAUAUUUUGUUGAGUCGCCCCAGACUUGUAGUUGGUUUGUAGAAAUGUCAAUGAUCACGGGAAUAGUUAAUACUCUAAAAGCAUAUUAAAUUUCCAAUAACUAUAUUAUAGAGCAUGAAUGCAUGCAAACUAUUGGAUGGAGCUCCUUUCUAAUUUUAGUCAAAUUCUUAUUUAAAUUGAAUACAUGUAAUAUAAAUUAAAAUUAAUGGUAAUAUAAUUAAAUUAGGGGCACAUUGGAGGUGAGUGGAGUCCAAUAUUAAUUUUUGUUUCUUAAACCAGGUUCGUUAUUCGUAUUAAAGUUUGUCUAUUUUAAACUCAUAUCACGUAGAAUCCUAUUAAGAGGGAAGGGUCUUGUAUCAAGAAUUUUUCCAUACUCAGAGCUCAAACUCGAGAUCCAUUUCCGGUCCUUUGGUGGUGGCUAAUACUAAUUAUACUACUACAGUAGUACUACUUAAUGCUUCCUUAACAUUUUCAACGUGUAACUAUUCAUGCAUUACCAAUUAAUCAAGAUGAGCAGACAAUAAUUGACUAAGUUCAUAUAUGCUACUAAUCUAAUAUUUAAGUUGAAGUAAUAAUAUCUAAAAAUAGUUUCAAGUGCAACAGUAGUAGAAUUUAGUAUAAAUAGCCAUGGUUAGAUGCACAUCAUCAUCAUAAGAAAUAUAAACUGCUUGAUUAAUAUUCUCUAGAUUUGAAUAUGGCUUCCAAAACAAUUGCAAGUCAGUCUUCAGUAACCCUUUUCCUAUCACUGAAUCUCCUGUUGUUUGCUGUUGUAAGUGGAACCAAUGAUACUGGAAAUUGCGUUGGUUCUCAACAAACAUGCUCAAUAGAUACUUUGAAACUUGGUGUGUGUGCUAAUAUACUUAAUUUGGUGAAUGUAAUAGUCGGGUCUCCACCAACUUUGCCAUGCUGCAGUUUGAUCCAGGGACUGACGGACCUAGAGGCCGCGGUUUGCUUGUGCACAGCCAUAAAAGCAAAUGUGCUGGGAAUUAAUUUGAAUGUACCACUCUCUCUGAGCCUCAUACUAAACACAUGUGGAAAGAAAUAUCCUACUGGCUUCACUUGUUAAACUACGUAUCCUCCACUCUGCCUCAUUAAUUUCCAAGGGGUUAAUAAAUAAAUAAAUAAAUGUAUCGUCGUGCUUAUGAAAUUAUUAUGCACGUACGAACCUUUUUAAAAAAAAAUUUAAAUAAGUGAACUUUGCAUAUGCAAGUUCUCAUCUUCCUAUGUUACAUUAAUAAUACUAUCAAAUUAAUAAAUAAAACUACUCUUUAUCACCUCUCCAUGCUCUUCGUAUAUUCGUACUAUAAUAUUAUAAACUCUACUUUUUGAAGAAGCCAUAGCUAGGGGAAAUCUGCAUAGAUAUCACUUAAUAAUCAUUUAUCAUGUGUAAUACUUGCUUACAAAUGCCCUACUAUUAUUUAAUUGACACGUGCUAACAUAAAUUGCCUAUUAUUAUUUAGCUUAUUUAUAGCAACCAUGUAUUUCUAAUGAUUUUUCUUUUAUGAAUCUUAUACAUAAGUUAAUUUAAUUAAUUAUCUACAUACCUUAUAUUAAAGCAGCAUCUUCAAAAGUAUGUUAGUCGACUUGUAUAAUAGCAUCUCGCACCUUACAAAUUUUGCUUAUAGGAAUUUUUUUUUGCAUAAAACAUGUAGUAUACAUAGCAUGCCUAUAGGGAAAAUUUACAAUGCAUUUUCUGUCUGUUUAGUAAUCAUGCCUAUAUGGCCAUUUAAUUAAAUUGAAUUCGUUUUCAUAUGAUCGACAAUAUACAUUAAGACAGUCCCAAUAAUCUUUUGGUUUAUCCCAUUAUGUGUUUAUGCAUUUUAAAAGUAAUUUAUUAAUCACGCCUACAAGAAUUAAUAUCAUUUAAGCUCUCCUUAGAUAUCUUGUUUUUAGAUUUUAAUGGCUAACAUGUCUUUAGUAUUGUAUAGCAACAGACUUAAGUCAUACGUGUUUCCUUAAAGUUAUUUGCAUAUUUUAUUUAAAUAACUCAAUUAUAGGUUAUGCCUAUUGAACAUCUCAAUUGUUCAAAAGUCAUUCCUAUUGGACACAAAAUAGUGACAUCACAAAAAAACGUGUGGUUCGCUACUAUCAAAAUAUAUUUUUUUUAACUUAUACCACUAAACUAAAUUUUUUUAAAAAUAAUAAUUAACAAAAAUAAAAGAAGAAGGAAGAGUCAUCGUCUUCCCCACCCCAAUAUUUCCUUCCCUGCAACUUUUUUCAAUUUCUCAUCCUCCAUUUUCAUCCUCUGUUUUACAUACAUGCUCAACCCUCCCCAUUCUCUGCACCCCAUUUCGGUGAAUCUAUAUUUAUUUCAAUGAGAAAAAUAUGAAUUAAUUUUUCAGCUAAAAGUUUGUUAUUAUAUUUUGCAAUUUUGAUAAAUAAUUACUAAUGGUAAGAAGAUGAAGACGAUGAGUAACAGAUUUGAUGCUAUCAAUAUGAAGAAAACUAAUAUUCCCUCCGUUUCAAAAAGGAUGAUUUAGUUUGACUUGGAGUUUAAAAAAAGAAAGAAAACUUUUUAAUCUUGUGGUUCUAAAUUAAAGUUAUGUCAAAUAUACCAAAAUGUCCUUUAAUCUUGUGGUCUUAAACAUGUCACGUGGAAAGUUAAAGUUAAAGUGUUGCAUAAAAGGAAAGGAGUCAUUCUUUAGAAACAAACUAAAAAAUAAAUAGACAUUUUUUUUUGAAACGGAGAGAGUAAGUUCAAGUAUUAGCUAAUUUCUAACUUUCAUUAUUUCACUAGCACUUGAACUAUUCAAUAGAGAAUCCAAAUUGCAUCUUUACAUAGAAAUCAUAACGGAUAAAACUGAAUGAAGGAGAAGAAAGAGGUAGGGAGAUGAUUUGCUUGAGUUAAUACUAUGGUCACUAAAUUAUGUGUUCAAGUUUCAAUUUUACUUCAAAAGUCACUUAACUAUGCACAUUUCUCUCAUAAAGUCACUCAACUUUUAGUUUUAAUUCAAAAGUCACUCAACUAUUCACUCUUCUCUCAAAAAGUCACUCAAUUUAUUUAAUUAUUUUUAAUUAAAAUUUAUUUAUAACAAAUCAAAAUUUUAAAAAAUAAACAAUACCAUUUAAACAAUGCAAUGACCCGUUCUACUUGACCCGACCCACUAAAAUAUAAUAUUGACCCAUUUUAUGACUAUUUCUCCUCGGCGUUUUUUUUUCUUUCUAAAAGAGGAAGAAGAAAAAUUAUUUGAACAACAUUUAUUUCAAGGAAUGGGUACUCUGUUCAGAGAAGGAACAAGAUUCAUGACUGAUUUAAAUGUAAUUCAUGUAAUUGAAUCUAUAUGUUCAGGAACUGAAAUCAUUCACAAAAACUCAUUAACAGGUCCAAAAUUAGCUCAAAAUUCGAUAUUUUGUUCAUUCUUUUUUAAAACACCAUUGUUGAAGAAAACACCUCGACUUUUAAACUCAUCAAUUUCUAUGAAUACAAUUAUACCACUUUCGACUCAACCCAUAAUCAAGUGAAUACAAGUGAAGAACCCAUCUGGGGUCGCAAAAAACAGAGCAAUUUCAUUGACCAAGACAACAACAGUACUAAGUCAAUUCAAUUGAGUUAUCAGGUUUACGCUGAUGAACUUGAUCCAAAAAGUUCAUUAUCCGAGUUUAUGGAUCAUGUUCCAAUGAAUUUAAGAAGAUGGGCUUGUUAUCCAAUGUUAUUUGGUUGAAUCAAAAGAAAUUUCAAGCAUAUAAUAUUGGAGAAAUUCCAAUGUUAAUGAAUUUAAUAAAAGAGGAAGAAGAAAAAUCAAUAGAGAACUAACAUAAAACGGAGGAGAAAGAGUCAUAAAAUGGGUCGAUAUUAUAUAUUUAGUGGGUCGGGUCAAGUGAAGCGGGUCAUUAAAUGGUUAAAUGCUAUUUUUUAUUUUUCAAUAUUUUAAUUUGUUAUAAAUAAUUAAUAUCAACAAAUUUUAAUUAAAAAAAGGGAAAGGAUCUGAUAUAUCCCUCGUUAUGAAAGUUGUUCAUAUAUGUUUAUACAUUUUAAAAGUAAUUUAUUAAUCGUGCCUACAAGAAUUAAUAUCAUUUUAUAAGUUCUGCUUAGAUAUCUUGUUUUUAGAUUUUAAUGGAAGCAUGUCUUUAGUAUCAUAUAGUACCAGACUUAAAUCGUAUAUGCGGCUCCUUAAAGUUAUCCGCAUAUUUCAUUUGAAUACCUCAAUUGUAGGUUAUGCCUUUGAACACUUCAAUUAUUUAAAAAUCAUUCCUAUUGGACAUAAAAUACUGACAUAACAUAAAAAUUAUGGUUUACUCUCUUUAAGUGCGUAAAACUAUCAAAAUAUUUUUUUUCUUUUUUUUCUAACAUAUACAACUAAAAUAAUUUUUUUUUAAAAAAUAAUUAACAAAAAUAAAAAAAUAGAAGGAUGAUUCAUCGUCUUCCCCACCCCAAUAUUCCCUUCCCUGCAACUAGUUUCAAUUUCUCAUCCACCAUUUCCAUUCGUCUUUUUACGCACAUGCUCAACACACCUCAUUCCCUGCACCCAUUUCGGCGAAUCUAUAUUUAUUUCGAUGAGAAAAAUAUGAACUAAUUUUUGGGAUAAUAGUUUGUUAUUAUAUUUUGCAACUUUGAUAAAUAAUUACUAACAGAAAGAAGAUGAACAAUGAGUAACAAAUUUGAUGCUAUCAAUAUGAAGAAAAACAAUUGGUUCUAGUAUGAAGAAACCUUACCCCAGAACACGAACCAGGUUCGUGUAAGUUGCUUUUAAGUAAAGACAGAAUAGAAACACAAACACUUAUUGAAUUAAAAACCUUCCUCACUCAAGGAAGGAAAAACCUCGUUUUAUUAAUUCAACUAUAAGAUUUUGUGAUUACAACUCAAUAAUCAAAAGUCUUAUCUCUACUACUCCCUCGAUUGACUCCAAUCGAUCUCUCCAAAAGGCCAAACCCACCUUUUGUUACAACUCUUACUAACACUCAACCCUACAAAGAGCCAAACCCACCCUUUGUACAAUAAACUGUAAAUUACAAUUAAGAACAAAAACAAGACAAAUAGUUCUUCGCGAUAAAACCUUCUAACUCAAGAACGUUUUGUACGUGGCAGUCCUAUCAAUCUUGAAGACCUCAGUUUGAUGAUUAAUUGCCUCUUGUUCUCUGCGUGAAGUGGUAGAUCUUUUCUCUGCCUCGUGUGCUUCUUAUAGAGUUUUGUCCUUGUAUAAUCCCUACUAAUAAGGUAAGAAAGUUAUGUUUAAACAAAGAUUCUUUUUUAAAUUAGAAUCCUUAUUAUACACAACUUCCUUCCUUAAUAAUAUAUUUAAGGUUUUCCUUAUUUAUAUUGACUUGUACCUUUAAUAUAUUAUUUUGACUUUGACAAAUAACUCUAUUUUCUACUUGACCUUGGACUUCUUUUGCUGCGUACAUUUUCUACUGUUCUUUGCGCUUUUUGUCUAUCAUCAAAACGAAUUAACGAUUCUAUCAUAUUCCCCCUUUUUGAUGAAGACAAACAUGUAACGUGUGAUGCAUGCGCAAAUAACUCUUCCCCCUUUUGACGAAUCAAAAAGACAUAAGCAGCGGCGAAUCAACACUAAUCAAUAUCCAUAGUAACAAAAUACGCCCAGCCAGGUGAGCAAUGUAAAUUGUUCUGGCAACAAAACAAGAAACAACAAUACAGAGUGAAAACAGCUAAGAGAACCAGGUUCAGACAACAUGCUUUAUCACUGUGGAGGCUGACCAGGCUUAGUUGAACAACAAUAGCAUUGUUAGCAAGUUGCUGCUGCACCAACUGAUCCUUCAACCUGUGUAUUUCAGCAUUUGAGGAAUCGAGCUCAGCACGUAACUUCUAAUUGUCUGAUUCAAGAGAGGCGUUCUUUUCUUCAGCUACUUUAAGCUCCCUAAGUAACUGAGCAACAGGACCAGAUGUACGUGGAGACGCUGUUGCAACCUGCUCUGACUCCAUAGGAAUGCCACAAUCAGCAAGGAUAGUUUGAGUGAACAUGUCUGCACGAGUUAAGAUCCUGCCUUCACCCAGUGGUACUUCAAAAGCAUCAAACACCCUAGUCAAUAGGUUGCCAAAGGCUAAAUGAUGGGAGCCUAACUGAGGAUCCACAAUUCUAGCAAGAUGUUUAAUAAUCAAUGUAGGCCAAUCAAUGCGCUCUUUGCACUCAAGUGCACUCAUAAGUCCCAUGUCUCGUAUGGAGGCAAUGUGACGUUGGUGACCUCUAGGCAGUAUCACCUUAUGAACUAUCUCAAAAAGAAGCUUAUGCAAAGAUCGCAUUAUUCCCUUUAAAACAGUUUGAGCCCUGUAAUUGACUCUACCUUGCGAGAAUCGAGCUGGCAGACUUGAAUACUCAUCAAAACUCCAAUUAUCUCAUUUAUACCUACAGAUGGUAUAUGCAAUAUUUCCCCAAGCUUGGUUGCAUCAAACACAAUAUCAACACCCUUUACACUAGACGACACCACAUCUCCUUCUAAGAUUACCAAAUUUGUAUAGAAAUCGACCACUUCCUUUUCAUAAAUCAAACUAGGUUCUAGAAAUAACUCCUCCCACCCUUGAAACCUUAGAAGUUCACAGACCUGCUUCACUAAAUCCAUUGACAGUAUAUCAGGAUGAAAGAUUCUACCCCUAAGCACUAAUUUGGUUUGGAAGUACUUUUUCCUUCCCACUUUUAGAAAUUUAUCUGCAUUUCUUUUCACAGAUUUUGUUUUGGAUUGAGGGGUUGCAGAAUGUUUUCCCUCAGACAGAGCAUCAGUAUCAGAAGCAAGAUCCAUUGGAGAGACUGAUGAAGGGACAGGGGACUUACCCAAACGUCGAUGCUUCACCCCAGAUGUUGUAGUUGGUUUGUAGAAAUGUCAAUGAUCACGGGAAUAGUUAAUACUCUAAAAGCAUAUUAAAUUUCCAAUAACUAUAUUAUAGAGCAUGAAUGCAUGCAAACUAUUGGAUGGAGCUCCUUUCUAAUUUUAGUCAAAUUCUUAUUUAAAUUGAAUACAUGUAAUAUAAAUUAAAAUUAAUGGUAAUAUAAUUAAAUUAGGGGCACAUUGGAGAUGAGUGGAGUCCAAUAUUAAUUUUUGUUUCUUAAACCAGGUUCGUUAUUCGUAUUAAAGUUUGUCUAUUUUAAACUCAUAUCACGUAGAAUCCUAUUAAGAGGGAAGGGUCUUGUAUCAAGAAUUUUUCCAUACUCAGAGCUCAAACUCGAGAUCCAUUUCCGGUCCUUUGGUGGUGGCUAAUACUAAUUAUACUACUACAGUAGUACUACUUAAUGCUUCCUUAACAUUUUCAACGUGUAACUAUUCAUGCAUUACCAAUUAAUCAAGAUGAGCAGACAAUAAUUGACUAAGUUCAUAUAUGCUACUAAUCUAAUAUUUAAGUUGAAGUAAUAAUAUCUAAAAAUGGUUUCAAGUGCAACAGUAGUAGAAUUUAGUAUAAAUAGCCAUGGUUAGAUGCACAUCAUCAUCAUAAGAAAUAUAAACUGCUUGAUUAAUAUUCUCUAGAUUUGAAUAUGGCUUCCAAAACAAUUGCAAGUCAGUCUUCAGUACCCCUUUUCCUAUCACUGAAUCUCCUGUUGUUUGCUGUUGUAAGUGGAACCAAUGAUACUGGAAAUUGCGUUGGUUCUCAACAAACAUGCUCAAUAGAUACUUUGAAACUUGGUGUGUGUGCUAAUAUACUUAAUUUGGUGAAUGUAAUAGUCGGGUCUCCACCAACUUUGCCAUGCUGCAGUUUGAUCCAGGGACUGACGGACCUAGAGGCCGCGGUUUGCUUGUGCACAGCCAUAAAAGCAAAUGUGCUGGGAAUUAAUUUGAAUGUACCACUCUCUCUGAGCCUCAUACUAAACACAUGUGGAAAGAAAUAUCCUACUGGCUUCACUUGUUAAACUACGUACCCUCUACUUUGCCUCAUUAAUUUCCAAGGGGUUAAUAAAUAAAUAAAUAAAUGUAUCGUCGUGCUUAUGAAAUUAUUAUGCACGUACAAACCUUUUUUAAAAAAAAUUUAAAUAAGUGAACUUUGCAUAUGCAAGUUCUCAUCUUCCUAUGUUACAUUAAUAAUACUAUCAAAUUAAUAAAUAAAACUACUCUUCAUUACCUCUCCAUGCUCUUAGUAUAUUCGUACUAUAAUAUUAUAAACUCUACUUUUGAAGAAGCCAUAGCUAGGGGAAAUCUGCAUAGAUAUCAGUUAAUAAUCAUUAAUCAUGUGUAAUACUUGCUUAAUUUUCAAAUGCCCUACUAUUAUUUAAUUAACACGUACUAACAUAAAUUGCCUAUUAUUAUUUAGCUUAUUUAUAGCAACCAUACAUUUCUAAUGAUUUUUCUUUUAUGAAUCUUAUAUAUACGUUAAUUUAAUUAAUUAGCUACAUACCUUGUAUUAAAGCAGCGGCUAUUAUAUCUUCAAAAGCAUGUUAAUUAAUUUGUAUAUUAAUAGCAUUUCUCACCUCAGAAAUUUUGGUUAUAGGAAUUUUGUUGCAUAAAAUGUGUAGUAUAGAUAUCAUGUCUAUAAGGAAAAUCUACAGUGGACUAUUAUGAUAUAAUAUAUUUGUUAUAAUGCUUUUUCUGUCUGUUUAGACAUCAUGACUAUAUUAGGGUCAUUCAAAUAAAUAAAUCAUCAAAGACAUUCCCACAACUAUUUACAUGUUGUUUAAUUAAGUUGUGCAUGACUUUAAUAACAUUGAUUUUAUUUUUAUAAUUAAUUUAAGUUUUGAGAAAAAGUAUAUUUAAUUAUAAAAUGUAAUAAUACCUUAUCAAUAUAAUUACAGUAAAAUAAUAAGAGAAGUAAUUGUUUAUGCUUCAUUUUUUUGUUUAAUUUUAAUGCUCUAAUUUACUUCAAAUAUAUGCAUUUUCUUUUAAUUUAUGAAGUUGGUGUUGUAUUUCGUUAUAUUGUAAUUACAAUAAGCGGAAUACUAUUCACUUUUGAAUGUAAUAUUAUGUUAAAAAUGAGUUACAAAAUAAGCUAUAAGUGGUUUUUCAAAUUUGAAACAAAAAUUCAAAUUAAACUUGAAUUAUUGACGGCCAAACAUUUUUUUUCUAUGUAAUUAAAAAAGAACAUGAAGUUGCUACAACAAAUUUUCUUUGUCGUUAGUAUUUUUGGUGAUAGAAUUUCAUCGUUGAAAAAUAAUAGAAAGCUAUCAAAUACGACCUUCAUUAUCUUUUAUUUUUUCGCUAUACAAAAAGUAUUUUCUUUCUUUUAGUUCUUAUCAAGAGAUUUUUUCUUUCAUGUUUUACUCUUUACAUUAAAAUUACUUAUUCUCAAAUUGUCUGUCAAAGUUUAAAAUAAAUACAUGAGAAAAAUAAAGCAACAAUGCAUAUCACAUUUUAACGUUAUAUAAUAAAUAAAAUAAAAUUUAAAUAUAAUUAAAAUAUAUACUAACAACGUAUAACUAUAAAAAAUAAUAAUAAUACUAUCAACAUAAUAUAGACAAAAUACACACCAGGGUACCAACCAUCUUACCAAGCUGUAAGACUAAUGGAAUGUAAUUGGUGAAUUUUCAAUGUAUAAAAUCUUUUCAAAUUCAAUGAUAUUAAAUUCUCAAGAAGUCUAGAUGCUUGACUAUGCUUUUCUAUAAUCAAAUUAUAGUUAAAAAACAUUGAAUUUAUGUUAUGUCCCAUCUCUUACUACACAUAGGUGAGCAGGGUGAACUUAGUGGCGGUAAUGUGUUCAUUCGAAGUUAUCGAUAUAAAAGAUAAAUUUCUAUAUAUUUUGAAUUUCUUAAACACAAAACUAGAAAUUGAUUAAGUAGUUUAGAAGUUCAAACUCUAAUUUUAAAUUCCAAACACUUUAUUCUACAAAAUAUUCCCAUACCUUUUAACUUGAGACAAAGCCAUAGAGUUGCAUUCAAAAUUGAUCCAUAUUUACGGUAUGAGGCGUAGAUUUUUGAAAAUUUAUAUUGAAAAUUAAAUUGAAGUAAGGCAAAUCUAUCUAUGAUAGUGACAGUUAAUAACUCUGAAAAGAAUUUGAUCGUUACCACCAAGCCAUUAGAAAAGAGUUAUUAGUUGUAGUUUCAAAAUUUAGUUUAACUACAACUUAUGAUAUUGACUUGGCCAGCGACAUCAUUGACGAGGAUGAUGAGGUUAAUAUGCUAGCCAUAUAUAUUAUUUAAUUAAUAAGCUAAGGUGGCCAGGAUGAGGAUCUCUCAUCUAAGCAACAAAGAGUUGAAAGCAACCAAAGCAAAAAUAAAACACAUGAAAGCAACAUAGUUGGGAUGACAAGAUGAUCAAGGAAUUUAUUUCAAGUCACCUACGAUGUAUCAGAUAAAGCAAAAUCAUAUGACAAUUUCAAUAAUAACACGAUCCAAUAAAUCUUCAAAAGAAAUGAUGAACUAUGAAGUUUUGUUAAUCAUAUUUGAAGAAGAAGACGAGGAAAAUACUUCAGGUUACGUUACACGGGGAAAAACUAUUUCUUUAAUUUCUGCAUAUAUAAAAUGAUGUUUGAGGUUGAUAAAUCAAUUUUAUUCUUAGAUGUUUUAAUUGAUAGUAUCAUCCUAGAACGUAUUAUAAACUUUAUGAUGAUUAUAGAAUAACUAGUUUUCUCGCUCUUAUUUUCUUGAUGCUUAUUAAUUAACUAGCAACAAGGAGAGCCUCCAAAGCAAAGUCAUCAUAGUGGCAUGUGUUUGAGAAUGUUUGAUCAGUUGGUAAAUCAAACACAUAAAAAAAACUUACAACACUACAAAAACACUAAAAUUAUCAACCAAAUACACUGUUUCAACCAAAAAGAAUGAAAAAUAAAACAACCCCAGAAAAACUCCCAACUGAUUUCAGCAUAAUAUAUACAUGCAUAGUUUAGCCUCCAAUGUUAAGUCAUCAUAGUGUUGUAUGUUUGAUCAUCCAGUAAAACAAACAAACAAACAAUGCAAGCUUAUAGCACUACAAAAACACUAAUGUCAGCAAAGAAAAACAUUGUUUCAACCACAAAGAAUGAAAACAAAGGAACCCCAGAAAAACUCCUUAUGUGAUUUAAGCAUAAUAUACCUACAUAGUUUAGCCUCCAAAGUGAAGUCAUCAUAGUGUAACAUAUUUGAUCAUAUAGUCAAACAAACAGACAAUACAAACUUAUAUCACUACAAAAAAACACUAAAAUUAGCAAAGAAACACAUUUUUUCAACCACCAAAACUAUAAAACAAAACAACCCCACAUAAACUCCCAACUGAUUUAAGCAUAAUAUAACCAUUCAUAGUCACUGCAAUUCAAGAACAGCCGAUCAGCUUGAAGCAAUUUCCAAAAAGACUCUUAUCUUUAUGAUAAAUAACCUUUACCCAGAUGAUCAAUAAGUUGAAUUAGUCAAAAAUUUGAAGACCCAUAAUCACUGUUUCCACAAUAAAUAAGAAAAAAUAUGAAAAAAAUCAGUUCUUGGGUACCUAAAAGUGGUGGAGUUUUAAUCGAUCUUUAUCUCUUUUUCUUUAAUUAAAUUACUUUCUUCUUCUUUCUUGAUAAUUCUGCGUUGAAUAUUUACGCAAUAUACACCUAGUUCAGUGUGUUUUACAUAUAAAAAUACAUGAAAAUUAAAGGAUUGCUGAUGAUAGAUAAUGAUGAAAACACAGUAAGAAGGAAGCACUUGGGUGGGGGUGGGGUGGAAGUAAUUAUGUGUAUAAUGAAGUUUUUAAGAGUAAACGAAACAAAUUAUAUGUAAUAAGGUCUCUAUUAUCAUCAUGGUUCGGUUAGGAAUGAGUUAUUUUGGGAUAAAAAUUUUAUUAUAUGUAUAUAAGAUAACUUGUAUCAUUAUUAUAAUAAAAAUAAUAAAAUAAAUAAUUCAAGACUACUUCAUAUUUACAAUCAGAUAUAUAUAAUAAAAUAAUUCUAUAUUUUAUUUUGAGAUUCUUAUACGCUAUUUAUAUUAAAUAAUUUUUAAAUAAUUCGAUGGAAAUAAAAUAAUAUAUAUCUAAAUACAUGAGGUAUAUAAGGUUAAUGAAAUUACUUUGUUAUAAAUAAAUUAUUAUCAUACAUAGUUUUUUUUUGGGAGUACAUGUAUAUGUAAUAAAAUUGGCACAUACAUGUGAUACAAUUGACAAGAAGGUCUGAGAGAGAAAAAUUGAUGUCAAAGCAAUAAACAAAAAUUUAUCAUCAAAAUAAUUAAUAAACACAAAUUUAUCAUCAAAAUAAAAAAAAAAAUUGAUGUGAGAGAAAUGAUUAAAUAUACAUCUAAAAAAAUUGAUGUGAGAGAAAUGAUUAAAUAUACAUCUAUAUAUCUUCUGUGUCAAUUAAAAAUUCUAAAAGAAUAAAAAAAUAAUUUAUAUUCCCCUUUGAUUGAAAGAUAUAUCUAAAUUUUUUUGUGCAAAUGAUAAAAUUAUAAAUAUAACACUUUUAAAACAAAGAAUAUAAUUUUCCUAAAUCGUAUACUUAUUAAAACUUUUUCCACUGUAACAAUAACAAAUCACGAUAAAUAAAAGGUAUGUAAUAAAGUAAAAUCAAUUUCGCUAUGUUUAUAAAAAUUAUAAUUUGAUAUACUUGUCCUACUUGAACCAAAAUGAUAAAACAAAAUGAUUUUUAGAUCUAUGGUUAAUUUAAUGAUUGAUCAAUAAUAAUAAUAAUAAUUUUUGCUUAGAACUGUAGUUUUAUGAACAAUGUAGAAUUAUAACAUAAAAAAUAUACGUACCGAUGAAAGAGAGAGAAAGCGAUUUGCUCAUUGACAGAACUCAAAGAUGAUUCGGCUUCUCUCUCAGAGGCUGUUUAUAUAAGAAAUUUUGUGACCUAAGUAAUUAUUAUUAUCAUUAUUAUUUUUUGUCGUCUAUUGAAUUUUAAGAAUUGAUAUCAAAUCUUAUUUUAAUCUCAUUAGAAAAUGUAACUAAAAUGACGUGUUAAUUAUGACCAAAUUUACUACGCUAAGAUACCCAAACUUUGUGGAAAGUCUAUUUACCCCCUCCCGAGCUAUGAUUGAAGACUAUAUUGAACUAAAUUAUAUAUUUCUAGAUUCUAAGGUGAUGCACAAAAUAUAGUUCACUAUUUUUGAGGGAGUAAAAAAUAAAUUUAUAUAUAUAUAUAUAUAUAACACAUGUUUUUGUUGAAUUAUAAUUAUCCUAAUCAAUUUAUAAAAUAUUGCAUGGGACAAUCGUGCGAAGCACGUGUUCAUAUACUAGUUUAUGAACACGUGCUUCGCACGAUUGUCCCAUGCAAUAUUUUAUAAAUUGAUUAGGAUAAUUAUAAUUCAACAAAAACAUGUGUGUAAUGAGUACUAAAAUGGAACAAUCUCAAAUAAUUAUUAUGACAAUAUUUCUUUUAUAGAACACUAAAUUAAAGAAGACUAAUAGAGAGUAAAUAUAAAAAAACUAAACAUGAAAGAAAAAAUCAGCAUACACAUUGUUCUUUAAGACUUUAAUCAUAACAAUAUAUACAUGGAAAAAGAAUACAAAAUCAGUACAUAAUUUACCGACUUUUUGUCACCUUCUCUCAUAUCCAAUCAAAAUUCAAAAGUCUUCUCCAUCAAGUCAAACAAAAGUAUAAAUCAAAUAGAAAAACGGAAGGUUAUGACUUAUGAAUAUUAAUAAUGAUAAUUCAAUAGGUAAUUAAAUAUAAUCUCUGUCAAUUAGUUUAAACUUAAAUCAUAUAAAUAUUGUUAAAACUUGUAGUGAGAUACACACCAAAACUUGAAAAAAGAAAAUAUAAAUUCAAUUAGCAAAAUAUGAAAUGAAUACAAAAAUCUAUGUACAGAUCAAACUUUAUUAUAUGAAGGGAACUAUAUAAUAAUCAUAUUGGCUUUGUUCGACUGUCUCUAUAUUUGUAUCAUCUCUUAUUAGUUGUGUUUCAUAUAAAAACAUUAUUAGGGGAGGAGAUACUAAAGGUAAAAAAUAAACACCUACUUCAAGAUCAUAAAUGUACUAAGAUUAUAUUAUAACAAAUUCACACAGUAUUAGAGAAUUCAAAUAAAAUCAUAAUUUAUAAGGAGAAAGUGAAACAAUUUUUUAUUCAAAUAGUAUUGGAGAAACUCAAAUUGAGUCAUAUAAUAUAUAAGGAGAAACUGAGAUAAUUUUUAUUCAAACUCAAAUUAUGUAAAAUCUAUUGUAUAUCUAACAAAUCGAAAUCCUCAAUAUAUUGAUAAGAACAGUUGAAUACGGUUACAACCUUAAGAUUCUGAUUGCAAUAAUCAAACUACCAAAUCAUAAUGGAAAUAUUGAAAUAACAAAUAAUUAAAGAUAGAAGAAGAACGGAGAUGACAAACUUUAGACUCUAGAAGAAGAUGAGACGAAAAACAUUUUCUUCAAUAUGCAUAAUCCCUAAAUCAGUGACCGUUGCACCUUUUGAUGGAACCAUUCUCACGUCCACUACUCGACCCGUAUCCCAAAUUAACCUGACCCUAUUGCUUGUUCUAGGCCUAAUAGCCCUUGUCAUCCCAAUAACUACUAGUGUGACAUGGGUAUCCACAUUAGGUUGAACUUAGUUCAUAACGAUAUAUGUCCUAAAACUUUGAUUUAAAGGAGUUGUCAUUAGCUUGAAGCAUGAAAGAUGCGUAAUUGAAAUCAUUAACCUAAGUAAAGCUAACAAAAAUCAAAACAAAAUCAAGAUUAAUAUAACAUAACCACUCCAAAAUACUUCAUAAUCAUCAAGAACUUGCAAAUUUGAAAUAAUCAAUAUUAUAACCUAAAGAAAUGAAUAAGUCUAUAAAAUAUUUUAAGAAACUAAAAUAAAAUUACUUACGCUCUCUUUGAAACUUUAAACCUCAUAUUACAAAUGCACAAUUGAUGUGGUAAUCUUGAUGCCCCCAAAGCUGAGAAAGAAAAUAUGACAAACAUAAAUAUAAUUAGAUGUGAUAUACAUAUAAAUCAUGAAAUCUAAAAUUAAAAUAAUGUGAAUAUUUGUAUUUAUAAAUUUGAAAAAAUCAUCUUUAUUCAAUAUAGGCAAAUGAAGAGACAAGAGUUUUAAGAAACUAAUUAAGUGGGUUUCAAAAACAUAUAAUUAUCUUUUUAUCUUCCAUUUUCUUUAAUGUCUUAAAUUUCACAUUUAAUUGGAUAAUGUAUUUAAAUAAAAAAAAUUUUGGACGUCUUAAAAUAUUGAUUUAGUUCGGAAAGGUCUUAAAAUAAUGUUAAUGGUUGACUAUGAUAAAUAAUGUAAUGUGACUGACUUUUCAUAUUUUCCAGUUUUUUGUGAUUUUUAGCAAGUUUAGAGGUAAUUAAAGUUUAAUAUCAAUUAAUGAGAUGCUAUAUAAUUUUUAUUAUGUAUAGAGAUAAAUUGGUAAUUUAACUUUACACUUUAGAGCUUUCCAGUUAUAAUAAUAUUAGUUUUUGGAAUACGUGCAUUGCACGUGUAUCCCAUGUUAUUUAAUACCAAACAUUUCAAAUGAUAUAAUUAUUUUAGAAUAAUUGAUGCAUUAUACAAUAUUUAAAGGAUAAAAAUGAUGUUUCUGGUAAAACAUUCAACUAAGGUUGCAACUUGCAAAGAUCAAUAUAAUCCGAAGAAUUUCUGAUUGUAUUGAUAAAAAAAAUUCUUUUAAUCAUGUGGGAUACACUAUAUUUAUUGGUAAAAAAAAAGAUUACUACUUCAAUUAUAUGAUUUGUCAAGAUUGUCAAAUAUCUAACACUAUAUUUCCAUACAAAAUGAAAGAAGUUAAUGAAACAAACCAAUAUAUUAAUAAGAAAAAAAAAUGACCAAUGAAUAAAAGAUUACAUAAGAACUAUAAGAUGUGAAAUUAUAAAGUGUAAUGGAUUAAUAUUUUCUAUUCAAUUUAUAAAGAGAGAAAUUGUGUAUAUGAAAGGUUGUGAAUGAAUGUAUUUAAUUGUAGAAGCUAAAAAGUUUAGCAAUUAAAGUCAUUAAGAAGUGAAAAAUAAUAAAUUGUGACAUCUAACCAUGUACUCUCUUCAAUUAAAUAUUGAUAUUGUAUGAAUCUCUCCAUAUGCUCUAACCUCUCUCUUCAUAUGCUCUAAUAUUAAGUUUUUUUUAAUUUAAAACGAUAAUUAUUUUAAGUGCACAAAUUUCAGCAAUUAAGAAAAAAAAUUGUAAUGCUACUCAAUGAUAAUGGCAAAAGGAAUACUCAUAAAUGCACUUCAAAUUAUUACGGUAACAUUUUAGUGGUAUGUAAAAAAAAUUUAUGUUAUAGAACUUCAAUUACUUUUAAUAAUAAUAAUUAUUAUAAUAAUCAAUAAUAAUAAUAUAAUGUUAUUAUUGUAGUAACUCAACUAUAUAGGGUUAUUUUGGUAUUUCAACUUUCAACUUAUAAUAAUAAUAAUAUAAUUGUUAUAAAAUCAAGCUCAUGACAAUAUAAAUAUAAAGAGAUGAAGACAAGAGAAGUAAAAUGGAAGAUAAGACUUUCUUCUUAUUCAAGUGUAUAUUAUAAUGGUGAAUGAUAUCUCUAUUUAUAGGUAGAGAAAUCAACCAAAAGGUCACCAUGUUUAAUGUCACAUUAGUAGAUACAUUUCUAUCCCAAAAAGAUUCAUCACCUUGGGAAUACAUAUCCAUGAUAAGGAUAAGUUUAUGAUAAGCUUAAUGGACAAUCCACUCAAUUCAAUGUAUUUAUAACACUCCCCCUUGGAUGUCCAUAGAUAAUGUGUCUCGUUAAAAUCUUACUAGGAAAAACCUUGUAGGAAAAAAUUCUAGUGAAGGAAAAAGAGUACACAUAUCUUUUGAUACGCACUAUUUGUUGCCUCAUUAAAAACCUUGCCAGGAAAACCCAGUGGGAAAAAACCUCGGUCAAGGGAAAAAGAGUGCAACGCGUAUUAUACUCCCCCUGAUUAAAACAUCACUUAAUUUCUUGUGACGAUGUCUCCAAUCUUCGUACAUUGUGGUUAGUAUAUUCUUUUUUUCAAAGAAAAAUCACACAUUUCUUGAAUAUGGUGUGUCAUUUAUCUCAAUCAGAUGUUUUUUCGACUUGCUUCAUGGAGGACUUUUAUAUCUGCAUAGCAACAUUUGCUUCAUUGAUCGCCAGGAUAUUAUUGUGCCUCCACAUGCAAACACAUAGCGUGCUUGAGAUAGAACUUUAUGCGGAUCAGAUAAAUAUUCUGCAUCUGCGUAAUCAAUAAAUUAUGUCUUGGAUUCCUCGGGAUAGAAUAAACCCAUAACUAUGGUCCUUCGAGGAUAUUCAAUCAUGUGCUCAACACCAUUUCAAUGUCCUUUUAUCGGGGAGAAACUGAAUCUUGCCAGUAAAUUUACUGCAAAACAUAUAUCUGGUCAAAUAUUGUUAGUAAGAUGCACUAGUGCCCUGAUUGCACCAAGAUAGAGUUUCAUCACCAAGAAACUCUUCAUCCUUCUUUUGAGAUCAAACUGAAUCAUCAUUUAUGACAAGUGAUCUCAUAAUCAUUGGGGUACUCAAUGAAUGCGAUAUAUCCACAUAAAAUUGCAUCAAAAUUUUUCAGUGUAUGUGCACUGUUAGACAAAUAUUUUAUUUGUCAAAUUAUCAAUCUGUAGGUCAAGACAAAAUUUUGUCUUACCAAGACCUUUUCAUAAAAAUACAAGGACAAUUAGGGUCAUUCUUUUGUACCCUUUUUCUUCCUUGACUAUUUCAAUCAAUAUAAGGAUUCUUGAAGCUUU